AUAUAUAAUGUUUGGUAUGGAAACAUUAAACAAAUUAAUUUGAAAAGGGACACGAGUAUUAUACUUGGGCGACUAUAGGUAAGUAUUGAUUGAACCAAAAAAUUAUGACGCAAAAAUGAUACGCUAACUAUCUAAACGAAAUUGACUGAGUGAUUUUGAUUGAUACAUUAAUAAAUGAAGGUAAUAAGAAAUCAGUUUCAGUCAUCCUUUCGUCUCGGGACAAGUACAUACACAAAUAGCCACUCUAGCUUCCAAUGAAUUGAUUGGCACAAACAUGUAAAUGUCAAUUAAAGAUGGAACAUUACAAAAAGAUAUACAAUUUGAGACAAAUUUGGAAUACCUUGUCAGCAAUAGAAUGCUGGUUACUGCUUAGAAAUUACUCGUCGGUUAUAAAUUCUUUGUUGAAUUAUUACGAUAUGUAUCUCUUCGUCAAUUGUAUGAAAAGAGAGAAUACACACGCACAUACAAAAUAUAAAUAUGGUACGAAUCAAACAAACGGAAGUUAAGGUGGUAUUCAGUUCGCAGAAAUGAGUGGAGAAAAUAUGGGAAGAAAAGAGAAGAAAGAAGAGAAAAUGUCAGGAGAAUUCAAUUUAUGUUGUCUGAUUUUUUUUUAAAAUUCCAAGAGAGAAAAGAAUUUAAAUAUUUUUGUUUUCGAGGCUUUUAAUGUCUAAUUUUAAACUUUUCAAGAUUUAACUAAAUAAAUUUGUUUUGUUUUGUUUUUAAAUAAAUCACUGUUUAACACAAAAUAAAAUAUCAAUAACUGUUAUUAUUUAAUCAAUUUAUGUUGGCACCCUCUCAUAUUUCUAAUUUUUUAUUUUUAAAAUUAUUAACAUAAAAAAUAUCAAUAAUAUUAUUUGACAAAACAAGUUAUAAAUAACAGUUAUUUAAUUAAAAUAAACUAAUUAAUAGAAUUUGACCUCUUAACUCUUUGGUGAAGGAUCCAUAUUCCUAAAUUUGAUGAAAUUUAAAUCUCAAUUGAAAUUGAAUUCCACCAUUCUAUUGCCAGCUGAACAAUGGAAGGGGACAGAGAAACCAAAUCCUUUCCUCUCCCCUCAUCUAUCACCAUUCACCAAGUUCCAACCGAACACAAAAUAAUAGCGGUAAAUUUUGGAGCUAGAAUUGGAAAUUUUUAGGAGAUUAUAGAGGUAGCUUUUUGGAAGUCAAAGCCUAUAUAUAAUAAUUUAGACUGAAAUGUCAAAAUAUUAACAAUUAUUGGCGAAAAUGACAAUAUAAUAUAUUUUGUGGGUUGACAUUUUGAAUUUGCGAGAGAUCAAUACUGGAAUUACUGUUUGUCUCUUUCUUUUCAUAGGCUUGACUAGAGCCCAACCGUGUCGAUGUCAAAAUAAACUACGAGUAAAUAACACUAGUUAACAAUAAAAUAGCGAUUUUUCAUAAACUAUUGAUACAUUAAUCAAUCAUUUCUGUUUCGUGCACUUAAUUUUAUUUCCUAAAGAUAAGGACGACGGUAUUUUAAAAUAUAAAUAAAUUAGAAAAUAAAACCGCGCUUCACGCGGCUUUGAAAAAAAAAUUUAGUAUUAUCUUUUUUUCUUACUUUACACUUGAUGAAACUGAUAAAAAAUAUGAAUUGAUUUUUUUUUUAAGAUGAGGCAGCCUUAUAAAAAACAAAAAAAAAUUAUUAGUCAGUAAUACAAAUAAAGAAGCAACGCAAGAUAAAGAAUAAAAUGAGAGAAUAUAUUAUAGAGUGAUUUUAUUCAUUCCAAUUAUGUGUGUACAAAACAAAAAGAUGAGCUCUUCUUUUAUAGUUGCAUAAUCACUUCAUGAAAUUAAUGAAAAAUUAUGGAUCAUAAUUACUUGUGAGAUAGUGGGAGUUAUAAGGAAGCUAAAGGUUGCUAAUGGGAGAUAGUGAGGAAACUAAGAGAUAUAUAUUAUGAAUAUCUACAUUUAUUUUAAUAAAUUCAUAACACUCCCCCUUGGAUAUUAAUUACAAAGAAUGUGCCUCAUUAAAAUCUUUACAUAAUUGUUAUUGUGUAAUAACAAUCAAAUUAAUUAUGAGAAGAUGAAAAGCCACAUCUAAAAGAAAAUUUCUCUAUUUAUUAUAUAAUAGAGAAUAUAAAAAGAUGAGAAAUGGUGAUGCCACAUCAUCUUCUCAAGUCCCAACUUUAUAUAUAUAUAUAUAUAUAUAUAUAUAUAUAUAUUGGACAUUGGACGACAAAUUGACUUAUAUUAAUUGUUCGUAAAAGACAUAAUUAUUACACAACUGAAUAAAUAUCAUUAAUGUUCGCUUUCACUUAAAUAAAAACGUCAUUGUAUGUUGACUGAAGUUUUGUCAGUGCAAUACUGGAAGCUCACAAGUUUUUUUUUUUUUUAUAUAUAUACUGGUUACACACCAGAUUACUGUAUUGCACAGAUAUUUACAAAUAUUUACAACUGUUAUCACAAUAGUACACUGAUAUUUAAAAUCAGAUAUACCUAACUGGGACUUAUAUAUAUGAUUACAUUAAAUUUUAUGAAAUACAUGCUCAGAUAAAUUGCCCUUACAAACGAGGGAUGCCCCUACUUUACUUGCAUUUCGUAAGAAAGAAGAAAUUAUAAAUNNNNNNNNNNNNNNNNNNNNNNNNNNNNNNNNNNNNNNNNNNNNNNNNNNNNNNNNNNNNNNNNNNNNNNNNNNNNNNNNNNNNNNNNNNNNNNNNNNNNUCAUCACCACAAAAUAAUCUCCCAAUUAUUUCAAGCUACAUCACUCAAGCUCGAUUGGACUAAACGUAUGGCCACAUUCUACACUAUCCUAAAUUCCUAAUUUUAUUAACCCAACAAAUUUCUCUCUAAAGGCCUUGUUUGUUAAACGAUCAAAGUUUGAAGUUUUAUUAAUUUUAAUUUUUUUAAAUUUAUUUGUUUACUUUUUAACUUAUUUAUAAUUUUUAGACAUUGAUAUUUGAAUUGAAAAAGUGAACUUUUGUUAUUUUUAUUUGAAUGGAAAAUAAAUACUAUAUCUAAAAAAUGUCUCUAUUAAAUAUGUUUAUGUCCUCAAAUAUAAACAUAAUCCCUUCAUUCAUUUUGAUCUUAAAGAAAUAAAUAUCAAAUAACUAAGUUUAAUUUUUUUUUUUAAGAAGAAAACAAGAUGCCACAUAUAAUAUGAUAUUAAAAAGAAAAGACUUCAACCAAUUAAGACUUAAUUAGAUAUCAGAUAGAAAUACAAACGGUACUUAAGUGUGAAAGCCAAUAUUUGUUUUGUUUUUUCAGUGGAAAUAUCAAGUUUAAUUUUCUCUAUUGAGAUCAUAUAUACUGGUGAAAUUUCACCAAGCCACUUCACAAUUCCAAAGAGCUCGCUGUACAUUUUCACUAAGCCCUUUAUGCAUAAUUAUAUUGAGUCGGCUACCAAAUUCAUUUCUUUGUUGGUGGCCCUACUUGCAAAUUAUCAGUGUUUAUCUGUCCAACAGUGAGUGGUACACACACAUGAGCCAUUUAAUAUGCUCCUAUAACAACAGUUUCUAGUCGAAAUGUGAGGGAUUCACAAUUUUUGUUAUAAAGCCAAUAGGAAAAACUUCACUAUAUCUGCAUAUUUAUAUAUGACAUAAUUCUAUUUCUUGCCAUUAGAUAAUUUUAAUGCCGAAAUUAUUCAAAUUUAAAUUUUCGAUAAGUUUAUAUUCUUUCGGUCAUUUCAGGUUUGGACAAUUACUAAAAAAGGGGGUUUAAAUGAUUAGUUUAAUAAAUUUAUAAUUAUUUGUUUUUCUAACUAAACAAUAGGGAGCUAAUCGUAAAUUGCCCAUGAAAUGAAAAUGUCAUCUACUUAUUUCUUCACAAGCAAAUAAUGAUAUACCCAUCUGUAAAUACAACCCACUAAAAUCUUGAUUUCUAUUAUUUGAUAAAUAAAUCCUAUUUAACGCCAAAUAUACCUCUAUGUUGUUAACAUAUGCAGUAUUCUAUUUUUAUUCUAUUAAUACUUAUCUAUUUAGAAUAUGAAUAAAAAAGCCUCUUCUGAUUUUGAUUAUUUAUCUUUCAAACUGUAAGUACAAAAUAUUUUAAAAAUAAAACUAUUAUUAUCUUAUUGUUCAUAAUAAUAAUAAUCUUAUAUAACAGAAUUUCUUUUUNNNNNNNNNNNNNNNNNNNNNNNNNNNNNNNNNNNNNNNNNNNNNNNNNNNNNNNNNNNNNNNNNNNNNNNNNNNNNNNNNNNNNNNNNNNNNNNNNNNNNNNNNNNNNNNNNNNNNNNNNNNNNNNUAUAAUAUUUUAUAUUAAAAGAUUAUGAUAUUUUAUGUAUCAAGAAUUAGAUAACUUUAUCUAGCUUAAGAAUAGUUAGGGAAAAAACUCUUUUCAUCCUUAGGAUUUCAUUAAUAGCAUAUUUCAUCCAUACUUUUUAAAUAAUAGCUCAAAACAUCCUUACUCCAACUCACCGUUAGUUUAAUGUUGUUAACUAAUAAUUCAUUGAGGGCAAAAUAUGAUUUUUUUAUUAAAGUGAUACAAACUAUGUUAAAAUAAAUUUUUUACACAAUUAAAUAACACUACAAAACAUUAAAAUUUAUAUUUUGAAGCGAAUAUGAAAAUUUAUAAGUAGAAAGAUGUACAUUAAAUAAGGAGGAAUACCAAAAACUUUAUCUCUCUAAAUAAGUGCUAUAAAUAAAAUAAUUAUAAAAAAGAGUAGAAAACAAAAGACAACUCAAAUGUGAAACACUAUUUUUCAAUUAUAGAAUCUGACGUUGCAACCUAUAAUAACAUCUAAUUAUAUAAGGAUUAAAAAAUCAAUAAGAAUUUCAAAUUAAAAUAGAUCAAUACAUGUAAUUACAACCAAUUAAAAAUUGCAAGUAAAACUUUUAUAUUUGAAGUGAAGUAUUAAAUUACGAGACUUAAUAAAUUAAACAAUUAAAAUUUAUUCACCCUUUCAAAUUGUAAAAGUAUUAUUAGUCAAAAGUUUCAAUAAUAAACUAAACUCAAUUAAGCAAAAAAGUAUUUGGGUGUAAUUGUUUUUUUUUUUUUUUGUUAGGCGCUCUAGCUCUCUGUAAAGAACUAGAUGUUGAUAAUUCUUCUAUCAAAAGCUCUUUAAAAUACUCAAAUUUACUUUCUAAAUCGUCCUAUUAGUUAAUAUAACUAAUAAAUAAAAUUUAAAAAUUGACAUUAAAAGUUUAUGAAAAUAUUGAUAGUUGUUACUAUAUGAUGUUUCUAUUCAAUUUCAAUACUAGUGACGAUGUUAUAUUACAUUGACAUAUUUUUUAACUAGAAUUUAAAAAGAAAUUAAAGCAGUAAUAAAAUUUUAGCUCUCUAGUGUUUUCAAUCUAUUCAAUAAAAUAUAUAAUUCAAUUGAAAAUAAUAUAAUGGAAUUAGGGUCAUAUUUGUAAAUAAAAUAAAAACUCUAUUGUUAUAUAAAAUUGAUGAAAACAUAAGGGUAAUUGAGUUAGGGACAUAUUUGAAUAUAAAAUAAAAACUCUACUUUUAUACUAAAUUGAUGGAAACAUAAGGGUAGCUGAAUUAGGGACAUAUAUGAAAAUAAAAUAAAAAUUCUAUUAUUUUUACUAAAUUGAUAAAAAAAAGUAAGGGGUAUAACUGAUUUUUCUAGACUAGACUGGGCUACAGCUCGGUCUAGCCAACGUGUAGGUUUGCCAUUGGAAUAAUCAUCUUAAGCAACAAACUGUAAUUAACACAAUAUAUUUAAAUCAUUGGAAAAAAAAUCAAAAAUACAGCCAACUUUUAUUUGCUUGCAUGUGCUGAACAUCUUCUUAAUCUUCAAUUAAUUUUUAUUUUAAACUUUACCACCACUUUUCCUUGACCAUUAUUAUCUCUCGUAAUCCUUACCAUUGUCUCCCCAAGUCAGCUCACAAUGCAAUUAGAGAGUAUACUUGUAUGAAUAUGAAAAUUAUAAUUAUUUGUUGUACUUAGAUAUAGGGUUUAAAGGGUUUUCAUGUUGCCAAAAUAGAGAGAAGUGUAAAACAAUUGCUUGAAAUAGUAUUUCUUGUUUAGCGGGAUUAGAUAAAAAUUAGUUUCGGUUAUAUGUCAACCGUUUUUAUUUUUUAUUUUAAUUUCUCUUUAAUAGAAAAUCUUUUUUUGCCCUCAACGAAUUAUUAACAAACGACAUUUACUAACGAUGAGUUAACGAGAAUGAUGUUUUAGGCCAUUGUUUAAAAAGAAUGGAAGAAAUGAGCUAUUGCAUGAAACCCUAAGGAUGAGAAGGACUUUUUUUCUCAAUAAUUAUUCAAUCAUCAAAUUUAAGGAUAAAAUUGUAACUUCAAAAAAAAUCAACUAAAUGUGGUGCCAUUACACAAAGAGCAGCGACCAUGCAAGGAAAUAGUGAAACAGAAUGGCUGAGACAAGUGACGACAAUCCGCUGAAAAAAUUAUAAUAAAACAAGAAAGCGACUGAAUAGUUUUCAAAAGUCAAGUAUAUAUCAAGUAGAGUUUGCCAAGUCUUUAAGUUCGUUUAUAAAUUUAGCACCAAGCCAAAUAGCCAACCAACCACUCACUUUUGCAGAUCAAUUAGAGAGAGAAAAAAAAAUUAUGAUUAUGCUGCAUUCAUGUUUAUGCUUCUCUCCUAAGUAUCAUCCUUUACAACUGUCUGGUAUGUCUCUCGUUUCCCCACGAAUCUUCCUUCUAAUAAGUUUAUGAAAAAUGGUAUUUAUAGUCGGUGUCUCUUCACCUCUACUAAUAAAUGCUCUAAUUUUUGAGUUUUUUAAAGUGGAGGUUGAACGUUUUUUUUAAAUGUUAAAAUAUCUAAACUAUCCUUAACUUAUUUGACAAUCUUAUUUUAUUUUUUUCAUAACAUAACUUUAAAAAAUUUAUCUAUUAAAGUAAUUUUAUAAUUUUUAAUAAAAACUUUCAUUGACAAUCAAACAACUAAAAUUUUUUUAGUAAAAACUCUACAUGUAAAAGCUUUACUAAUAAAAACUCUAUUCAAAUAAGGUUUAUUUAAAAAUUUAUAUCAAACGGAGCCCUAAACUUUCAAAACAGUGAUAGAAGUAAUAGUAAAUAUUAACACACUCAAUUAUUAUUCUUUUAAUUAAUGAUAACCCCAUAUAAUUUUAAAGUUGAUUUUGUUGCCAUUCUGAAAAAUUCUUGAGGAUAAAUAUGAGUAUUGUAAGUUUUUAUAUAUUGUAAACUUAUAAUUAAUUACUUUAUCACAUAAAUAAUAAUACUAGCACAAAUAGUUGUACAUAUUUUCUAUUUUAAGAAACUAAAUAUCUCUAGGUCAGUAAUGUUAUACUUAUUUUGUUGGGAUACUUAGUUUGUAUCCCAAUUAAUGUGUCAUCAAUAAAAUUUCAUCAUUUGGAUGAUAAAUAAUAAAAUUUAAUAAUUUUGAGCUCAUGCCAUGUAAGCUAUCAACUCAAUUUGUACAAUUGCUUUCAAUAUAAAUCAUUAAUAUGUUUUAUAUAUUAAGUUUUAUUUAAGUGAAGAAUUUUGGCAUAAACCUUGAGCUAUUAAUAUCAAGAGAGAUUGUUAAUUUUCUCCCUAAUGAAAUCAAUAUACAUCAUUUACUCCCUUAUUAUUUUCAUAAUUAAUACCCAAUAAGCCCCAACACCAUAAUUUUCUAGCAUUAACCUUGUUUUUAAAAUGCAUUUUUUAUAUUUAUUAUCAAUUAAAUAAAUCAUAUAAAUUGAAAAUAAAAAAAUUAAAUUUUAAAAGGAAGAAACAUGGGUUUUGUGUAAAUAAAAAAUGAAUGAUAACAUUUUUUUUUUUAUACUUUUUGUUGCUUUUAAACAUUUUUUUCUUAUAAAUUUAUAUUUUAUAGCCGAAGAUCAAACAUCAAGCAAAUUCCUUUAAAUUUUUUUGUGCCAGAAGGGGUUAUUGGGUAUUAUUAAAACAAUAAGGAAGAAAGUAAUAUAUAUUGAUUUCACCAGAGGGAAACUAGCAAUCUCUUUAAUUUUGAUCUGUAAGUGUAUAUAUAUAUAUAUAUAUAUAUAUAUAUAUAUAUAUAUAUAUAUAUUAUCAUUAUCUAAUAAGGGAUUUAUUUAAAUUAUUAAAUAAGGGAUAAACUAAAAAAAAAAAAACACAUCCUUCAGUAUAAUAUAUUUUAUUAUGUAGUAUAAUACAGUGUGUGUUUUUCCUAUAUUUCAAGGGAUUUCUUACUUUAUUAAAGUUGCAAGACUACAUGUUAUAUAUAUAUAUUUUUUAUCUGAUAAAUUUUGGAGUAUUGCUAGAGAGAGAUAAGUAUGAGAGAAAGACGAGAGAAUUUUGCUCUCUCUCUCUCUCUACCCCUUUCUUCAUUAUUUCUCUCGUCUUUCUAUUGUCCUUCUCUACACCAAGCAUUUUCCUAAACUUUAUAUGUAUUCUUAUGGUCAUUUUAGGUUGCGUGAAAAAGCAUGUAUCGCCAAUAACACGGAUACAUGAGGGCGCUGUGAACAGAGGUAGCGAAAGCACGAAGUACUCCAUCAGAUGCCGAAGUUCAUUAUUUCACUUGACCAAUUGCAGGAAUAGAAACGGCGAGGGUAUUACAAGCGACAAACAGUGUAAACCAUUCAACAGGCACCGUGCUCCCGUCACGUUACAAGAUGAAGCUGCAUCAAGAUUCGACGAAGAUAAUAAUAAUUCCAUCAGCUUUCGCGAUGCUUUCCUCAAGAAUAUCAACGCAAUUUUUCAAUUCACUCGUCCCUUCUUUCUUCUUGGCACUGUGAGUUGCUAAUUGUUAAUUAAUUUAUAUAUAAUUAAAAAACAGGUAUAUAAAUAUUCUCAGGUGCCAAUAUCUUUUUUUUUUUUUAUAUAUAUGAAUUCAUUGUACACACCAUAUGAUAAAUUAGUCAAUGAAACAAAAAAUAAUAAAAACAUUAAUACAUCAUAUGAUGUAUAUAAUGAAUUUAUAUUUUAAAUAUAUAAAUAUUCACACUGAAGAAAUAAUACACACACAUAUAUAAAAUGAAAUAAAUUUCUAUUUACAGUUAACGUAAUAUGAUUUUUAUGUUUUUUAUCGAUUAUGUUUUAUGCAGACGAUUGAUAUGACCUCGGUAUCUCUUCUUGCACCGCAACAGUUUGCCGAUUUGACUCCGACAUUUUUUAUUGGAUUAUUGAAGGUAAAUUAUAAAUUAAUUAAUGAUAUAAUAAUAAAAAUUGCUUGUAAUGUACUGUUUAGUAAUUAUUUAAAUAAUUCUUCAUUAUAUUUCAGGCCAUAGUGCCCGGAUUACUGGUGAACAUUUAUGAGGUGGGAGUAAACCAGUUGUAUGAUGUUGAAAUAGACAAGGUAUAAAUUUCAUCAGAGACAACUAAUUUUAUGAAUAAUUAGUUCCAAUCAUAAAUAUAUACAAUCUGUGCAUUACUAAAUUAGGUAAUAAUUUCAUUAAUAUAAUUUCAUUCUUAGUUAUAUUGCUUACUUAAUUUUUCUGGUAAAUUAGUUUAACAUUGUUUAAUUCAUUGUUAAUAAAGAUUAACAAGCCUGAUCUCCCCCUUGCUUCCGGUGAUUUGUCCAUUGGAGCUGGAAUCACAAUUACUUGCACAUGUUUAUUGAUGGUAAGCAAAUGCUAACAACUACUGCUUAAGAAUUUCUGUUUAAUUUUUAGUAUUGAUUAAUUUGUUAAUUAUUAGGAAAAAUAACUCUCUAAUCUCGCUACUAUCGAAUUUACAUUUAGUAAGUGAAGCUAUAUUCCAUCUAAAUUUAUGUAAUUUUUAAUUCAUUGAUUUCAAUUUUCAGAGUCUGGCUAUAGGAAUUAUGCUUCAAUCUCCACCCCUUAUUUCUACCAUCAUUAUGUGGUUUGUACUUUCAAGUGCGUAUUCCGUCGAUGUAAGUGUGGCCCUGAGUGAGAUUCACUACUAUUUUUAUCAACUUUAAAAUUUUAAUUUGUACGUUGCACAAGUUUUUCAAAAUUAUUUUAUGUUGGAAUAAGUUUCAAGUUUAAGUUUUCAACUCACAUGUUCUUUUUUUUUUUUUAAAGUAAUCAAUAUGUUAAACUUAAUUAAUUCACAACAUUGGUCAUUUGAUCACAAUAUAUUCAUGAUCUAAUUGGUUAUUUAUCAAUCUUGUAGCUUCCCUUUCUUAGAUGGAAGAGAAAUCCAUUUCUAGCAACAAUGUAUGGGGUGCUUGAGAGGGGACUUGCAAUGCCUCUUGGUUACUUCAUGCACAUCCAGGCACGUACAAAUUGUGCCUAGCUCCGUGUCAUCAUUUGGUCACUCAUUAAUUAACUUUUUAUUUUCUUUUGUAUUUUCCACUGAAGUGGGUUUGAAAUAUACCCUGCAUGCAUACAGAAGUACGUGCUUGGAAGACCUAUAGAGUUUUCAAGAACAUUGAUGUUUGUAGUGGCUGUCAAGUGCUGGUUUUGCGUUUUGCUUGUACUUCUUAAGGUAAAUAAACUGAGAAACCUUAAAAAUGAGCAGAGCAUAUAUAUAAUGGAUUAUGGAUGGAUACUAAUGUAUUUUCUUUGGACUUUAAAUAGGAUAUGCCUGAUGUGGAUGGUGAUAAAGAACAUGGCAUUCAAACGCUCAGUAUCGCUCUAGGAAAAGAGAAAGUGUGUAAAUUAAUUCGAAUAAAUUCUAUAACCAUCAUUUUUAACUUCAAUUUUUGUCCUAGAUUUUCCUUUCUAACUGUUAUUCUUCUUAACAGGUACUUUGGCUAGGUGUUUAUAUGUUAUUAGUUGUCUACGGAGCUCUUGUAAUAGCAGGAGCUUCGUCACCCUUCCUGGAAAGCAAGCUUAUCACUGUAAGAAUGUGGGGGGGGGGGGGGGGGGGUUGUUGAUUUGUUACGGAAUUCUAGAUUUUAUUAAAAUUUGAGAAAACUAUUAAAUUAUAUGGUCUAAUAGUAUAAUGCCAUUACACUACUAAAUCAUAUGACUUAAUAGUUUUUUCAGACUUUAACAAAGCCCACAACUAUGCAUUGUAUUAUUUCAUAAGAAAUUUAGCCUUUUAUGUAUGUAUGUGAUCACAAUUACUUACUAAUUAAGAAUUAAAUUGUUUUUUUCUCGCAGAUUAUUGGCCACAGCACACUUGCAUUUCUUUUGUUGCAACGAGCUCGAAAUGUUGAUGUCUCCAGUCAAGCAGCAAUACUUUCUUUUUACAGGUUCAUUUGGAAGGUAGGUGGUUCUACUUUGAUGUGUAAUUUCAAUAUUAUUUUCAUUCAAAUCCAAGAAAGUUUUAGAAUUUUAUUUAAUUGUAGACUGACUUAUAUAGUUAUAUGUUUUUGCACGCAUUUGCAGUUACUCUUUGCUGAACACAUCCUCCUUCCAUGCGUACGACUAUGAGAUAACUUUGUUGCCAGCUUACAGCAACUAUUGUGUUGUGUUGUUGUGUUAAAACGAUAAUAAGGUUGUUGCGAUUGAUGUCAAUAAGUUGUUAGAUAAGACUUAAAAAUCUAUAUAUUCAUGCACCAAUGUUCCAGAGAUCUACUACCAUAGACAAGAUUAAUGUCAUUUAUAUAUGGCAAAAUUUACGUACUUGUGAAAGUUCAUGCACUCGAGUACAACUGGUAGCUUUUUCUUUAUUUUCUGAUGGCUAAAAGUUUAAAUCCUUGUAUCAACGAGAUUUUUGCAGUUCACUCUUUUUGACGUCGAUGUCUGGUUUCUACUUUUCAUCCUUUGGAAACAAGCCAUAGCCCUUGCAACUGCACUUAUUAUUACAUACGUGGGGAUGACGAGUUCACUGUUAGUGUUUUUGAGCCUUUUCUUUAUUCUUAUAAAUUUUAUUGACGGUCUAUAAUAUGGUGUGUUUGUCAAAAGAUAGAAAGUUUUCUGUAUGUUAAAAAUGUCACACGUCCUUCGGCAGUAAAUUUUGAACAUUAAUAUUAGAUUAGGGAUAUAUAAUAGGCGAUUAAAAAUAUUAGAGUUCUAAAUAGUAAAAAAUAUUAAUAUUACAUCACGGAUGUAAUGAAUCAUUUCAAAAAAAAUACUAACAGAGUCUAAAAAAAAUCAACUACUGGCACUCACUAAUCAAUUAAUGUCACAUUGUUUAGAAUAAUUUUUUAAGACAAAAAAUUUAAGAUGAGUAGCACUAUCUUCAAAGAGAAAUGAUAAAAAUCCCAUUUUUUUAAUCUCAAAUUUAUCUCAAUUUAUGUGUUAUUCAUUAAAUGAUUGAUAAUUGUUUUUAUAAAAUUUAAAUAAAUUAAUUACAUCAUCUUACCAAUCAAUUACUAAAUACCACAUUAAUCAAUUAAUAAAUACCACAUUAUUUGAAAUAGUUAACCAAUUACUAAAUACCACAUUAACCAAUUAAUAAAUACCACAUUAUUUGAAAUAGUUAACCAAUUAAUAAAUACCACAUUAACCAAUUAAUAAAUAUCACAUUAUUUGAAAUAGUUUUUUUGGAUGAAACAUCUGGAAUGUUUAAUAGCGCUGCAAAAGCAUCAAAUCUUCUCCACGUUCUUGGUUAUAGCACCCCAAUUCCAAGAUACUGUCUGAAAUCCAUUUUAAUUUUCCACUUACUUUUUCUUUAGGAAUUUAUUCUGAGCACUAAUGUACUGGAUCGAACAUCGAAGGCUCAUCAGAGACUAGCUAGGAUUUCAUUUUAUUUCUUAUGGUAAUUUUGCGUAGUAGAUGAAACUGAAUCACAAAAAGUAGAAAAUGAAACGUUCACUGUUCACACAAGAAAUUCCCUUGCUUAUUUUUUAAUACCAUAAGCCAGCCUAUCAAACAGAAUCGGACUACAUCAGCUUUCGCAUUCAGUGUUCUGUUACGUGUCGAAUUUAACUAACCGGCAGCAGGAAUGGUUUAAGCCUACGUGAUAGCAGUCAACAAGCAAAUGCAGGUGUCAAUGAUGACGCUUUCUGGAGAUCAAAGAAAUGAACAUUACUAGACCAAAGUGAAAUGUAUAUAUUAACCCAUCAAAUGAUUAGAAAAUAGAAAUCUGUACAGGUUGAUCGGGGUUAGCGCCAUUACGAAAUGAGAUGGCUGGAAAAACAGCAUGUAGUGUUUCUUAUGUACAGAAUCAAUACAAGAAAACGAUAAUUUGGCGAAAGUAAAUCUAGGCAUUUCAGUUGCCAAUGUCGAAGUAUCUUGGAUCUUCUGGGAAAUGGUAUUCUACAUUCAACUGCCAUCAGACGAGAAAACCUCUAUUAGCCCUAAAGUACUAGGACACCAAAUAAAAAAAUUCUUUGGUCUACAUUAUCAUGAUAAAGAGUCUUAUAAAGACUGAUCAACUUAUGCAUAUGCAGGCAGCAUCAACUGGGUAAGGCUCACUAGAAAUCUAGAAUCUAUAAAGAAUAUUUUUUCUUGAGGGUUAAGGAGUGCAAAUACGAGGCAUUACCAGAUCAUUCAGCCAACAAAUAAUUACUUCGGUAUUCUCAUUUUCUAUCAGAAUCCAGAGUACUCUAUCUAAGAUUUCAUAUGACCAAACAACCCAUCAGCUUAAACACCAUACAAAUGUGCAAAAUCGACAUAAGAGAACUUAAGAAGAGUGCAUACUAGAGCCAAAAAACAGAUGAAAUCAAGAUCACAUACCGUGCCCUCAUCAGCAUCUGAAUGGCGUUGAGGAAACACAACCUCAAGUCAUUGUAUAGAUAGAACCUUCGCUCACCUUCCUUGUCUAGACUUGCAUUUUGUGGCACAGAGAAAGGAUCAGAUUUACAUCUCUGAACCAAAUGCGACUUUUUCUUGGGAGAGGGGCAUAAAAAACGAAGAUGAAGAGCUUAACGCAGAGCACCAGCUCCAGAAUUAUUCUCGUUAACUUUAGAACAACUCUUAGCUAGCCUCUUGCAAGUUUCAUGACAUGUAUCCAUGCAGUUGGUAUCCUUACGAUCAGUCUUUGGCCACAGCCAAUCACCAUUAUUGUACCCAUUCUCAAGCAUACAGGAACGAAUACUUGCCACAUCCUAGGAUUGAGUGGAUGACUUCCUUCUAUCUACUGAAUCCACUAGAUCAGAACAUUCAAUUUCUUUAACUUCAGUAUUCUGGUCAAUAGAAUGCCUAGCAUGCGCCAUGUCAACUCCAUCUGAAUUUAAGAAUCUGCUAAACUUAACAGGGUGGCUUUGCUGUUGGACUGCAGUUACCUUUUCUCUGACUUUAGUUCCCAAACUUAUCUGUCCUUGUUUCAACUCUGUAGAUGUCGGGCCAGAAGAGGCUAGAGUAACCUUCUGUCGCAAGAAUGUCUAAUUUGAUUUGAACGGCAGCGAAAAAAAAACGAAAGAAAGAAAAACGCACAUACAAUUAGAUACAAUGAGAUUAAAAGUCCACUGUCCACACGAUAUGAACACAUAUAACUUGCAUACAAUGAAAAGACACUAAAGAGAGAAAUAGUAGCACCAAAAAAGAAAUAAUAAGCAUGAAACAAAAACAAAAAUCAGUGAGGGAGAUAUGCUUUAAGAUGUGACUAUUUUCUGAGUGAUUACAAUGAUAACAUUCUUGAAUGUUCACAAUCAAAAUGAAUACUAUCACAACAGACAUAAUAGGAACAAAUUCAAUAAAUUUAAGCUUCCUGAAAUGACCAAACCUCUGACAUUAAAAAAGUGUUUGCUUCCAGGAGAAAUCAACUUUAUGUAAUAUUCCAAUUCAACUAUGAUAAACAAUUUAAUUCAUCAACUUUCGAAUGACAUCCAGAAGCAGAAGAAGUGUCAUCGACAUUGCAAUCUAAGACAAGGUUAGUGCCCUCUACUAAUUGCUUAUUUCACAUCAACAGUUUGGUAAAAGAAAAUUUUCCUUUUCAAUAGAGCCAGAGCACUUGUUCAAUCAGAGACCAAACUAUAAUUUAAUGAAGACAAAAAGCAGGUUCUAUUGAAUCUUACUCUAGUACCAGCUGGCAUGUCACUCAAAUCGUAGUUGCACAGGUAUGUGUGAACAGGUGUUUUUUCUGGGUUGCUGAGAACCUACACAAAUCAAAUCAUUUUAAAAGUAAAUAAAUAUGUUAUAUUCUUUAAAAGAAACUAUUAAAUACCUAUAAGCAUGUAGAUUCCAGAAACCUUAAAACCAACAUCUAUAAAUAGAAAUCCCUUCCAAGGGAUCAGGCAUGUUACUUUCCAAGCAUGAAUGUAUGAGAGAAAACUAUAGGAUUAGAAUUGUUCCCAUAUGAAUGACUUCUCAGUAGAUGAUAUAACAUAGCAACAACGAGAGAUCCUUCUCAGGUACAUACACGGUAUGCUAGUUUGAUAUAUAAAUUAAGGUCCUGUUUGGGAUGCUGUGGAAAAAAAACUGUAACUAUAAAACAAAAGUUAAUAAUAUGUCGUAAAUAUAAAAUUUAAAUAGUAAUUUUAACAAAAUUAUUAAAGAUAUAAACACUUGGGUUAAAAGAUUGGGGGAUAAUCUCUUGUUGUAAAGGUUCAUUGAUACCUUGGAAGUCAAUUGUAAACAUUUGAAGCCUUGGGAGGCUUGGAUAGUGAAAUCCUCACGCUUGGUUUGCUUGGAGGCGUGGAUGUAAGUAGGGAUUGCCGAACCACAUAAAACUCUUUGUGUUUACUCUCUCUUCCCUUACUCUUUUAUUUUUUAGUAUUGUUAAAUUUAUUGUUUUUUAUUUUAGCAUUGUUAAAUUUAUUGUUUUUUAUUUCAUUAAAGCAUUAGAUUAAAUUGUUGUUCGAUUUGUUUAGCUUAUGUUUUAAGAACCCAAUUCAACCCCCUCUUCGGUUGCAUAACUAGCAUUUCAAAAUCAGCUCGGAAUUCCUCUCCUUGAAUAUUCAACUUCAAUUGCCGGCAAAUAGCAUCACUAAUUAUUUUGGUUCCAUCUGCCACUAAUACAGUCAUUGGACUAACACGUUGAAGUUCACAGCCUGUUCUUUUUGCAACCGUAGGGUCAAGCAAGUUGUGAGUACUUCCAAAAUCAUUGAGUAUGGUGAUAGCUUUCUUUUUGCUGCCGCAAAUUCUUAUAGUUUGGUGAGUGUUAGACCCACAUACGGCAAGAAGGGAAACUUGAGAUUCUUCUUUUCCUUCCACUUUGUCAACUUCAUUUGGCUCUUCACCCUUGCUAUCUUCGCCUUGUAAUAGAUAAAUAUGUUUCCGUUUGCAAACAUGACUAGGCUUAUACUUCUCAUCACAAUAAUAACAAAGCUUUUUUUUCUCUCCUCUCUUGCAUCUCUACUGCAGAAAUCCGUUUCACAGGUGGUAAUCGGCUACUGUCUGACUUUUUUGGCACAAAAGAAUUCAUUGUACUCACCCCACCUUUGUUAACCCCUUUGGCCUCCUUAAGAAUUGCUUCCAUAGCUCGUUCUUGUAGCAAGGCUAAAUCAAUGGCUUGGGUCAGAGUGUUCGGUUGAAACAUGGUGACUUGGUUCUUAAUGGCAUCCUUCAAGCCACUAAUGAAACAUUGAACAAAGAAAUCCUCUGGCAGCCCCUUUGUUCUAGCCAUCAAUGCCCAAAUUGUUCUUGAUAGGCUUUUACUACAUUAGUUUGCUUCAGCUUGGUUAAUUGCCCAACUGGACUAUCAUAAGCACUAGGACCAAAACGAGCAACGCAUUCUGUAGAAAAACUCUCCCAGUUGAUAAAAUUGCAUGGCCAGCUUCAUACCCCUAAAACUAUUCGAGGGCAUGUCCCUCUAAAUUGAUCGAUGCCAUCUCUACUUUCUCUUCUUCAACAAUUCCAUUGAUGUUAAAAAAACUAUCACACUUGUAAAUCCACCCACUAGGAUUUUCACCCUCGAAUUUGGGAAAAUUCAAUUUGGAAAAUCAAGUUUGAACGGAAUUCUUACCAGUAUGAUUGUUAUUCGAACCCCUAUUGGUUGAAGUACUUUCCCCCGUUGUUGGAAUCCCAUGUCUUUGUUGUUGUGGAUUGAUCAAAUUUCAGGCUUAUAGCAGCCAUCAUCUUAGAUAAAUCCGAUAAAAGAAGGCCGUGUUUUUCUGAGGUCUCCUGCAACUGCUUCAAAGACUCAUCCACACGCUUUUGCUCUUGUGCUCUCAUUCCAUCAGCCAAAUUGGUGCCAAAAUCGAGCUCUGAUACCAAAUCUUAUGAUCAAAGAGGUAGAGCAAAAAAAAAAAAAAAACUCUUGAAGUUUUAUUAAGUUUUUUUUUCUAAUAAAAAAAAUUAACCCCCCAAUCGAGUUCUUCUUAUACAGAGAAAACAAGAAAAUAAGCUAAUAAAGAAAACAACUAAAUAAGGAAACAGCUAGCUAGAAUCAAGGCAAAUCAAUCUUAAAAGGAAACUGUCGUAACAGGGCUUCAGUUAGACGAAGAGGAAUAGGAUUGAUGGGCUGCUGGAUUCAAACAACAGAUGGAGAGAAGGGCUUGUAAAAAUUACAGCAGAGGUGUGCAACUACUUUACUAAUAUAUUUACCUCCUCAAAUCCUUCUCAUGAUUCAAUUGAUGAUGUUAUUAUUGAUUUGGAGCCUAAAGUAACAGAGGAUAUGAAUCAAAUGAUAGACAAAGCCUUUAUGGAGGAGGAAAUUCGUCUAACCCUUUUUCAGAUGCAUCCCUACAAAGCUCUUGGGCCUGAUGGACUAAAUGCUGGAUUUUUUUCAAAAAUAUUGGCAUAUUAUCGGCGAAUUAGUAACAAAUGUUUGUUUUCAUAUUGUGAAUGAUGGGGAGACAUCUCUUAUUUGAAUAAAACUUAAAUUACUCUGUUCCUUAAAAUUAAAAAGCCAAAAAAGGGUAUCCGAAUGCAGGCCUAUUGGUCUCUGUAAUAUUAUCUAUAAAAUUAUUACAAAAACAGUGGUUAAAAAGAUAAAGCUGGAAAUCAAAGCGUUUUUGCAUCAGGUAGACCUAUUAUAGACAAUAUAAUUGUAGUUAUGAAGGUUUAUAUAAAAUUAGAUUAAGAAAAAGGAGAAAAAUGGUAUGAUGGCUCUGAAGUUAGAUAUUAAUAAGCUUUAUGAUCGCCUGGAAUGGGAUUUUCUAGGUAAGGUGAUGCUAAAAUUUGAUUUUAUUUUGCGUUGUAUUAUAGCUUCUUCCUUCUCCGUGUUCGUUAAUGGAGUUCCAUCAGAUAAUAUAAUUCCUAAAAGAGGAUUAAGACAGGGCUGCCCACUCUCUAUUUAUUUUAUGUGCCAAAGCUUUUUCAUGUUUAUUACAAAAUAUUAUUAGUGCGAACGUAAUUCAUGGUGUUGAUUUUGGGCGACAUUGUCCUUCCAUUUUUUACUUUUGUUUGUAGAUAACGGCCUCGUUUUUUAGAAAGCCUCAGUGGAUGAGUGCCGACACCUUAAGAGAAUAUUUGAGAAGUUCUCGCUUCUGGCCAGGUGUUUAAUUAAAAGAAAAUCUUCAAUACUUCUCAGUCCAAAUGUACAGGCUGAUGUUUUUGCAAAAUUAAAGGCGGCCUUCCAGCUGGAGGUUGUAUCUCAUCAUGAGAAAUAUUUCAGUUUGCCUUCAAUGCUUGGCAGAUCUAAAUAUCAAAAUUUCAGUGAGCUGAAGGAAAAGUUUUGCAACAAGGUUAAUCGCUGGAAAUCAAUGUUGUUUUCUAGUGACGAUAAAAAGGUUUUGAUUAAAGUUGUUGCCUAGGCGAUUCUAACAUAUGCCAUGAGUCUUUUUUAGCUUCAUUUAAUCCUUUAUGACAAUAUUUAAAAAAUCAUUGCAAAAUUUUAGUGGGGAUCCAAUGUGACGGCAAGGAGUAUUCACUGGAUGGAUUGGAAAAAGAUGUGUGUGCCGAAAGAAGAUGGUGGGUCUAAGCUUUCAUGAUCUCGGAGCUUUUAAUCAAGCACUUCGUGGAAAGCAAUGUCGGAGGUUGCUUCAUUGCCCAGAAUAAUUAAUAGAUAUUUACCGAAAGGGGAGUUCAUGAGAAGUAAGUUGCGAUUGAACCCUUCGUAUGUAUGGAGAAGUUUACUUUGAGGAAAGAAGGUAUAGAGAAUUGUCUAGAUUGAGAGUAGGUGAUGGUAAAUCAAUCGUUGUCUACUCAGAUAGAUGGAUGCCAAGCCUCAUAUAUUCAAGCUAAUAUCACCAAAGGUUUUGCUUGAUUACAAUAUGGUUGCUAAACUUAUUGAUAGAAGGGGCUGUUGGAACGAACAACUAAUCUGAAAAAAGUUUCUCUUAGUUGAUGUCAAGUUAAUUCUAGAAAUUCCUCUUCCUCAUGCUUCGAGACAAGACAAAUUAGUCUGGCAUGAUGAUAAAAGAGGAAUUUAUUCAGUGAAGAGUGGUUAUCAAGUAUCUUUAAUGAUAAAACUUCCUGAGAGUCCUUCUUGUUCUAAUGGUGCUCAAUGUGGAUUUAAGUUCUUAUAGUUUUACUGCGUACCAAACAAAAUUAAAAUAUUUUUUAGAGGGCCAUCAACAACUUGUUUGUUGAAAAGUCAAAAGAGUUUGGUUGGAAAAGAAAAGUGAGCCACAUACAUUGCUUUUAUUUUUCAAAGUCGGCACCAAAUUGCAAGCUGUAUUUGGCAUUUGACAAUCCUGCACCAAAUGAAGAAAAAUGGAAAAGUUAGCAAAAUUUGUCAAAUUGACAGAGAUGGAUAUUGACAAAUUGCAGAUGGAUUAGGUGGAAUAGUGCAUGCUUGAAGCCUAUAAAUUGAAGCCAUUUCUUCAUUCUAUAAUCAUCCCAAAAUUGUUAAGCUUAUAAGUUUCUAAACUUUUGAGAGAAGUGAGAGAAGUGUGUCUGGGGAAUUUAUCUUUCCUGCAGAGUGUGAGAGUACUGGGUAUAUUUAGGUUUCUGGGAAGUGAGAUUCGUUACUCAAAUAUUGUACUCUAUUAAUUGUUAAAUAAACAAUUAUUCUUUCUUGCCUCCGUGAAUGUAGAUUUAAUUACCAAACCACGUAAUUCUUGUGUCCUUUAUUUUUCUAUAAUUAUUUGGUGCGCUUGAUUCCGCAUUCCGAGCACAACAAGUGGUAUCAGAGCCGAAGGUUCGUACUUGGGGGGAUACGGUACUGUUCACGUAUACAGUACUAUUCCCGUAUAUGAUACUGUUCACAUACUGUACUGUUCACGAAUACAGUGGAGACGGCCAUUUGUACUUGGGAGACAGUCUAUUGUAAGUAGUGUGUAUUUUUGCAUGUCUAGGAAAGUUCUGUCAACAAAGGCGAUAAGAGUCUAAGGAUUCUGGUUUUUAAUUGGGACCGAGUUCUCGUCCAGUUUCUUGGGAACUUUCCUAAUGCAUUUAUUCACACAAAAUUAACAUCAUAGAGACUGUUUUUCAAGUGGAAAUAGUUCGUUGAAAAAAUGGUAGAAGGUGAAACUUUCAGAAUUGGGGAGAGAUCUACCGAGACUAUUUCAGGAGACACUUCAGGUGGGAGGCGAGAUUUGUCAAAUCACUAUUCAGCACCUAUUAUAGGAGGCCAGAAGAUCGAUGUUGAAAAGUUUGAUGGGAAAAUCAACUUCGGCAUGUGGAAGCGCGAAGUUAUGGAUGCCUUUAUUCAAAUCGAUCUCGAUGUUGUUCUGAAAAAUAAAAGACACUUGUAUGAUGAAGAAAUUUAGGAUCGUAUGAAUGAAAAAGUUUGUGGUCAUAUCAGAUCUUGUUUGACCAAGGAGGUGAAAUACUUGGUGAAAGAUGAGGAGUGUGCGGUGACUUUGUGGCGUACAUUGGAGAAGAAGUACCUGGUGAAAAGUCUUGAAAAUCGCCUUCAUGUAAUAAAUAGUGUCGUAUACAUGUACAGUGCCGUAUAUGUGAACAGUUCCCGACUCCAAAAAUACAACCAAUAGCUCUGAUACUACUGUUAGGAAAUUGGUGGGUGGAGCAGACAAGCAGCUAAAAUAAAAUUGGAAGAAAAAUAAAGAACGAGCACAAUAGAGGACACCAGAAAUUACGUGGUUCGACUUUUAGCCUACAUCCACGGGCGAAGACAGAAGGAAAUAUUUUACUAGCGAAAAGGAGUUACAAGUAUUGUAGUAUUUUAGCUCACUUCCCAAAACCCCAAUACACCUAAACUCUCUAAAUCACUAUAACAAGAGCUUAUAAAUUCAAGCUCUCUAAAUUCUCUCUCAACUGCUAAAUUGCUCUCUGAAUGGAAUGUAUAAGCUCUUCAUUUGCACUUCUAUUUAUAGCAAAAUGAUGGCCAAGAAAGUCAAAACCUUGUUCCUCCUUUUCAAACCCAUGUUCCUCAUUUUCUUCUUCAAACAUUUCUUUUUCCAUUUUCCUCUUCAAGCAUUUCGGCCUUUUCAAUCUUCAAAGCCCUGUGCCACCAAUCUUGUUUAUUCAAAGCUUCUAGAUGCAGCCAAUUUUGACAUUCUCUCACUUGGAGAUUAAAUUGAAAAUCAAUCAAUCUCCACACCAUCAUUUCUGCUUCGCCAUAAUCAUGUUGCCUACGUUUCUGCUAGGCCACAAGAGGAUCUACUCCAGAUAAACUUAUCAGUAUUUAUCAGCUUGGUCAAAACAUCUGCUAGGUUCUCCUUCGUAUGGAUUUUCUGUAAAUUUGUUCGAGAAGUAGUGGANNNNNNNNNNNNNNNNNNNNNNNNNNNNNNNNNNNNNNNNNNNNNNNNNNNNNNNNNNNNNNNNNNNNNNNNNNNNNNNNNNNNNNNNNNNNNNNNNNNNCUGUAAAUCCACAUUUCCGUCUUCCACUACUUCUCGAACAAAGUGAUACUGAACUCCUAUGUGCUUUGUCCUGGAAUGAAAGGCUGGAUUUCUUGCAAUGUGCAAAGCACUCUGACUGUCACAAAACACAUAAAUUUUCUCUUGUUUAUGCCUGAGCUCCUCUAAUAACCUUUGUAUCCAAAUAGCUUCCUUGCAAGCUUGUGUAGCUGCCAUGUACUCUGCUUCUGUUGUAGAUAAAGCCACAACGGUCUACAGUUUCGAAACCCAGCUUACAACUGCUCCUGCAAGUGCAAACACAUAACCAGUAGUGGAUUUCCUUUUAUCAAGGUCUUCUGCAAAAUCUGAAUUCACAUAGCCCCUGACAGUAAACUCUGAUCCUCCAUAACAUAAUGCAACAUCUGAGGUUCUUUUGAUGUAUUCUAAAAUCCUCUUCACAUUUAUCCAAUGCUCUCCACCAGGAUUCGCCAUGUAUCGACUGAUUGCUCCCACUAGUUGUGCAAUGUCUGGUCUAGUACAUAUCAUAGCAAACAUCAAACUUCCCACUGCUGAUGCAUACGGUACUCGAGACAUCUCCCUCCUCUCCGCUUCAUUGCUAGGACAUAUACUUGAGGAUAAUUUGAAAUUAACAAUAACUGGGGUAGAAAUUCACUUACAAUCUUGCAUGUUGAAGCGUCGCAAAAUUUUCUUCAAGUAGUUCUUCUGCAAAAGCCAAAUCUUCCUGUUAUUUCUGUCUCGGUGAAUUUGCAUCCCUAGAAUCUUAUUUGCCAGUCCCAAGUCCUUUAUUUCAAACUCCCUAGCCAACUGUGCCUUCAAUUCUUGGGCUCGAUCUUUGUUGGGACCUGCUACCAACAUGUCAUCCACAUACAACAGCAAAAUGAUGAAAUCAUUAUCUUCAAACCUCUUGUAAUAUGAACAAUGGUCUGAACUGAGUCUGUUGUAUCCAAGACUCAUAAUGAAGGAAUCAAAUCUCUUAUACCAACACCUCGGGGCCUGUUUGAGACCGUAUAGAGAUUUAUUCAGCCUGUAAACCAAAUUCUCUUUUCCUAUUUCUGCAAAACCUUCUGGUUGGAGCAUAUAUAUUUCUUCUUCAAGUUCUCCAUAAAGAAUUAUAGUUUUCACAUCUAACUGCUCAAGAUGUAGGUCAAAUGUGGCACACAUUGCCAAGACUAUUCUGACUGUUGUGAGUCGAACCAUCGGCAAAAAUAUCUCGUUGAAGUCAAUACCUUCUUUUUUAGCAUAUCCUUUCACCACCAAUCUCGCAUGAUACUGCUCUACUUGGUCAUUGCCAUCACGUUUGAUCUUGUAGACCCAUUUGUUUCCAAUGGCUUUUCUUCUGUAUGGUAGUGGUACAAGUUCCCAUGUCUUGUUCUUGUGUAGAGCUUCAAUUUUUUCCUACAUUGCUGUCAUCCACAAAGCAACAUCUGAGCUGUUUAAAGCUUCAUGGAAAGUUGAAGGCUCUCCAUCAUCUGUUAGAAGACAGUAUGCAACGUUGAUCUCUGUGACAUACUUCGAGUGCCACGCCGGCAGUCAUCUCUCACGAGUUGACCGACGAACUUCUGGAGCCUCAGACUCGACUGGUUCUUAUUCCUCGUGCUCUAGUGUUGCUUCAGAAGAAUCUGAAUAUUCUAGAUUAUUUUCGACAUAUACCAGCACAGUCUCUGACUUUUCUUUUACAGUGUCAUCAUCUCCAAUUUUCAUUUGCAGUUGAUCUUUUACAAAGAUAACAUCUCUGCUGAUGACGAUCUUAUAGGCAGUGGGGUCCCACAGAUGAUACCCCUUUACUCCAUCAGCAUACCCCAAGAAGAUACAUCUUCUAGAUUUUGGAUCCAGCUUUGUUCUUUCUUGGGCAUUGUACAUCACGUACACAGGACAUCCAAAUGCAUGUAGGUAUGAAUAAUCAGCUGGCUUUCUAGUCUACAUCUCUAUCGCUGUCUUCAACCCAAUAGUUGUAGAUGGCGACCGAUUUACUAUAUAACAGGUAGUUUUAGCUGCUUCUGCCCAGAAUGAAUUGGGUAGACUAGCAGUCUUCAACAUAGCUCUUAUUCUUUCUGUAAGAGUUCUGUUCAUCCGCUCUGCCACUCCAUUUUGUUGAGGAGUAUAUGCCAAUGUGAACUGCCUCUGAAUACCUUCUUGCUUACAGAAAGUAAGAAACUCACAGUCUAUAUACUCUCCACUAUUAUCCGUUUUCAAGCACUUGAUCUUUUUACCAAAUUCAAUUUCUACCCGCGCUUUGUAUUCUUAAACACAGGAAAUACAUCUGACUUUUUCUUAAUUGGAUGCACCAACAUCUUCUGGAAUAAUCAUCAAUGAAAGUCACCAUGUACUUUGCACCUCCCAUGGAUAUAUCCGAUGAUUCCCAAAUAUCAGAAUGAAUCAAGUCUAGAAUGCAUUUACUUCUAGCAAUAGAUUUACUGAAUUUUAAUCUAUGCUGCUUACUUGUAACACAAUGCUCGCAAAAUGGUAAACUUACCGAUUUGAGCCCCGGAAGUAAUUUUCGCUCAGAGAGAAUCUUCAAACCAUGUUCUGACAUGUGGCCAAGUUUGAAAUGCCACAUCAUCGUUGAUACUUCUCCAUUUGACGCGACACACACAUUAGCCUCCUAUAGUGUUUCUCCUUUAAGCAUGAAUAAAUUAGCACCGAUCUUUUCUGCCUUCAUCAAUACAAACGCUCCUUUAACGAUCUUCAUAAUUUCAUUCUCUACAUGAGUUUUGCACCCAUGAUUGUCUAUUUGUCCCAAAGACAAUAAAUUUUUCUUUAGGCCGUUGACAUGUCGUACCUCCCCAAUUGUGCGAAUUGUACCAUCAAACAUUUUUAUUUUGAUAGUACCAAUACUAGCGAUCUCCAAGGCAUGAUCAUCUCCCAUAUAUACAGAUCCUCCUGAGAUAGGUUCAUAUGUGUGGAACCACUUUCUCCGAGAGGUCAUGUGCCAGGUAGCUUCUGAGUCUAUAAGCCAAACAUCAGACAAUCAUUUUCUGCCUUCUGAAAUAGUUCUUGCCUCGCUGUAGAGUAUUUUACCAUCAUCCGAGGUACUUGCUAUACAACCCUGAGCAUUUGAUGACUCAGGUUCUUUACACUCUUUUCUCUUCUGGUUACUCCAACACUCCUUUUUUACGUGCCCUUUCUUGCCACAGUUGUAGCAUUUAACAUUCUUCUUACUUUUGGAUUUUGAUCUACCAUGAUUUUGACUUCCACUGGAGCCACGUUCUGCUGAUCUCCCUCUCGUCACCGAUAGCGCCUCCGCUUGCUGCGAACUUGCUUGUUUGUUUUCCUUAUUUUCCGCCUGCUCUCCUCAUUUAAUACGGAGGCUGUAACAUCGUCGAAAACUAGACUCUCUACUGGAUUAUUGUUCGUCAGGUUGAUGAUGAGUUGAUCAUACGAAUCUGGUAGACUUUGAAGUAGAAGCUUUGCACGUUCAUUCUCCUCUAUAUUAUGACCCAACGUUGUGAGUUGUGAAAAUAGAGUCUUUAAGGUGUUGAUGUGGUCGGUCACCAUUGUAGAUUCUACCAUUUGAAGAGUAUAAAGUUUUCUCUUCAAGAAGAUUUUGUUGUGUAGUGACUUGGCCUCGUACAAUUUUGUGAGAGUAUCCCAUGUUUCCUUCGCUAUAUUUUUCUCUGCCACACUGGAUAAUACUCCAUCUGCAAGUGCUAAGUGUAGAUAAGAAAUGGUGUUACCAUCUAUCUCGUUCCACUUGUCAUCAGUUAUCUCCAUGGGCCUUUCUCCAAUUGCUGCCAAGCAAUUAUUUUUCCUCAAUAUAGCUUUCAUCUUCAUUUUCCACAACGAAAAAUUAUUUCUGUUAAACUUCUCAAUUUCAUACUUUGCUGCCAUUUUGUUGAUAAAUACCGCACACAAGUUAGUGUACCACCUUGAAUAGUUGUGAGUAUAUGUGAGAAUGCACACCAGGAAAGUUCUCAGGAAAGAUUGGAGGGGUCACAAUAGUCCAACUUAAAACCCAGACUCCUUAAGCUCUUAUCGCCUUUGUGACAGAACUUCCCUAGACAUGUACAAAACCACACAGUUGCUUUACUCACACCAUUAUUCCCUGUUUUGCACCGUAAACUUCUUGGAUCGCUUCCACCGUUUCACGUGAAUAGUACCGUAUACGUGAACAGUACUGUAUAUGUGAACAAAACCGUAUACGUGAACAGUACCAAAUAUAUGGUUUUCGAAUGAAGCCUGGGGUGUCAAUGCACGAUCAUGUUUCAAGAUUUGAAAACCUACUUGCUGAUUUGAAGAAUCUUGAUGAAAAUAUUAAGGAUAAAGUCAAGGCUAUGAUUCUGUUACACUCACUACCAGAGGAAUAUAGCCAUUUUAUGACUACUUUGAUAUAUGGGAAGAGUGUUAUUGUCUUUAAAGAUGUUUGCACAGCAUUGACUAGCUUAGAGAUUCGGAAUAAUGAUAAAAAUUCUGAACGAGCAUCGUCUGAAGCUUUGGUGAGCAGAGAUUGGGUGAUGGAGAAACAAAAGAAACGUGGUGGAAAGAAUUCUCGAUCCAAAUCGAGAAGUAGAAAUAUAGCUCGAGAUGAGUGUGCCUUUUGUCAUGAAAAGGGCCAUUGGAGGAAAGAUUGUCCAAAGGCUUAAAAGAGAGAUGGGAAGAAACCAGCAGCAGCAAACAUGGCACAAAAAGAUGAGGGCUCUGAUUAUUCACUAAGUAUUACUCAUGCAGCAUACAUGGCUAGUUCGAGCGAGUGGAUACUUGAUACUGGAGCAACCUAUCAUUUGUGUCCUAUUAAGGAAUGGUUUACGAAUUUUCGUAAUCUGAAAUUCGGUGUAGUUGUGAUGGGGAAUGAUCAACCUUGUCGCACAAUGGGGAUAGGAACAAUUCGGCUCAAAAUGUUUGACGGAAUGGUCAGAGAACUCAAAGAGGUUAGAUUUUUUCCAGCUUUAAAGAAAAAUCUAAUUUAUGUGGGUGCUUUGGAAGCUAAAGACUACAAGGUUACCAUUGAAGAUGGUAUAAUGAAGUUUACACAUGGGGCUAUGGUGAUUCUGCAAGGGGUUCGGCGUCACAAUCUGUACUAUUUGAAGGGAGGUACAACUGAUGAAGCAAAUGUUGUUGAGGCGCACAGUGACACCACCAAGCUAUGGCAUGUACGACUGGGACAUGCUGCAGAGAAGUCUUUGCAAACUCUGAUGAGGCAUGGACUCUUAAAAGGUACCAAAACCUGUAAAUUAAAUUUCUGUGAGCAUUGUGUAGUAGGCAAGAAAACAAGGGUCAAGUUUGGUACAGCUAAUCACGAUACUCGUGAGAUCCUUGAAUAUGUUCAUAGUGAUGUAUGGGGACUAACCAAGACUGCAUCAAUUGGUGGAAGCCAUUAUUUUGUUACAUUUGUUGAUGAUUUCUCUAGACGUGUGUGGGUGUACACCAUGCGAGCAAAGGAUGAGGUUCUAGAGAUUUUCGUGAAAUGGAAGAAAUUAACAGAGACUUAAAUUGGUAGAAAGAUCAAAGUAUUACGAUAUGAUAAUGAGGGUGAAUAUACUUCUGAUCCAUUCUUGCAAGUAUGCCAGAACGAGGGUAUUAAAAGACAUUUCACGGUGAGACAUACUCCGCAACAGAACGGUAUGGCUGAGCGUAUGAAUCUUACUUUACUGGAGAAGGUACGGUGUAUGUUAUCUAAUGCUGGUUUAGAUAAAAAAGUUUUGGGCUGAAGCUGUGAGCUACGCAAGUCACUUGGUAAACCGGUUACCUUCUGUUGCAAUUGAAGGUAAAACUCCUAUGGAAAUGUGGUCUGGAAAGUAUGCACAAGACUAUGAUUCCCUUCGUGUAUUCGGGUGUUCAGCUUAUUAUCAUGUCAAAGAUGGUAAACUGGAUCAUCGUGCUAGAAAAUCUAUCUUUGUGGGAUUCAAAGGUGGAGUAAAAGGCUUCAAGCUUUGAGAUCUCGAAGAUAAAAAGUUUGUGUGUAGCAGAGAUGUCACAUUUGAUGAAGUUUCAAUGAUGAAAGCUUCAAGUUCUCAGCAGGUGGAGAACAAGACCAAAGAGGUAUUACAGUGGGUGGAGUUUAAUGCAACUCCAUAUGUACCAGUUAGUUCUACAUCCAAAAAGAGUUCAACUAUGGAGGUGACACCUAGAGUUGAAGAAGAGGUUGUUUUUUCUGAUGUCCCACAAAAUGAAGAAACAAUUGAUGAUGAAGAUAAUGAUGAUUUUAUAGCAACAAGGAGGCCAAGAAGAGAGAUAAAGAAACCCGGAUGGCUUACUAAAGAUAUGGUGGUAGCCUAUGCACUUCCAGUUAUUGAUGAUGACAUCCCCAACACUUUCGGUGAAGCAUUACGCAGCAAUGAAAGUGAUCAGUGGAAGUCAGCCAUGGAGGAAGAGAUGAAAUCUCUCCAUCAAAACCAGACUUGGAAACUUGUAAAGUUACUAAAGGGGAAAAUGGCUAUUGGCAAUAAAUGGGUCUACACCAAAAAGCAAGGAUCUCCAAAUCAAACAACUCCUCGAUACUAGGCAAGGCUCAUGGCAAAAGGUUUUACUCAAAAGGAAGGUAUUGACUACAAUGAAGUUUUCCCUCCAGUUGUAAAACAUACUUCCAUUCGUAUCCUACUUGCCUUAGUUGCAGAAUAUGAGUUAGAGUUGGCUCAGUUGGAUGUUAAGAUGACGUUCUUACAUGGAGAUUUUGAGGAGGAAAUCUAUAUGAUUCAGCCUUGUGGUUUCAGAGUUGCUGGAAAGGAGAAUCACGUGUGUUGGUUGAUUAAAUCUUUGUACGGACUGAAGCAAUCGCUAAGGCAGUGGUACAAAAGAUUUGAUCAAUUUAUACAAGGGCAGAAAUUCACCAGAAGUGAACACGAUCAUUGUGUUUACUUUAAAAGACUACUAGAUGGCGCUUUCAUCUAUUUGUUACUCUAUGUCGACGAUAUGCUUAUAGCUUCGAAGAAUAGAGAUGAGAUCGAAAGAUUAAAGAAGCAACUGGCUUCUGAGUUUGAGAUGAAAGACUUGGGUGAUGCACAAAGAAUACUUGGGAUAGAGAUUCGUAGAGACAAGAAGAAUGGGAGCGUAUGGUUGACUCAAGAGUCUUAUUUGAAGAAAGUACUAGAAAGAUUCGGCAUGGAUGACAAAACUAAACCGGUAUGUACACCUCUAGCUCCUCAUUUCAAAUUAAGCUCUUUUUCAUGUCCUAGAUCUCAAGAGGAGCACGAUUACAUGGCUCGUGUUCCAUAUGCUAGUGCUGUGGGUAGUCUUAUGUAUGUUAUGGUAUGCACAAGGCCCGAUAUAUCUCAAGCAGUGAGCAUGGUUAGUAGAUACAUGCACAAUCCAAGUAAAAAUCAAUGGCUUACGGUAAAGUGGAUUCUCCGAUAUUUGUAUGGGACAAUGGAUGUUGGGUUAUUGUUCAAGAAUGAUUGUGGUCAACAAUGUGUUGGGUAUUGUGAUUCUGAUUUCGCUGGAGACCUUGACAAGUGAAGAUCAACAACGGGCUACGUAUUCACAUUGGGUGGAGGUCCGGUUAGCUGGAGGUCAAUUCUACAAUCAACAAUUGCUUUGUCCACUACGGAAGCAAAGUAUAUGGCAACAACUGAAGCUGUAAAAGAAGCUAUCUGGUUGAAAGGCUUGUUAGGUGAUUUGGGAGUAAUCCAGGAGAACAUUACGGUAUUCUGUGAUAAUCAAAGUGCGAUAUUCCUUGCGAAGAAUCAAACAUAUCAUGCUCGGACGAAACACAUAGAUGUGAAAUAUCAUUAUGUGAGAGAGAUUAUCGAGAGCGGUGUUGUGUUGUUGAGAAAUAUUGAUACCAAAGAUAAUCCAUCAGAUAUGUUGACGAAGGUAGUUUCUGGAGUUAAGUUUCAACAUUGCUUGAAACUAAUUCAAAUCCUUCGAUUGUGUUAAGAUAUGUCCUUCGGGAAUUUUGAACUACAGUUGGCUUGAUCCCAAAUUUUGGGUACGUAGGCAGUCACAGAGAUACAACCACUUUGGGGAUGAUGAUUGGUUGGUAGUCGGCUCAGAUUUAGACAAAUCUUCGCCGAUGUGGAGAAUUGUUGAAAAGUCAAAAGAGUUUGGUUGGAAAAGAAAAGUGAGCCACAUGCAUUGCUUUUAUUUUUCAAACUCGGCACCAAAUUGCAAGCUGUAUUUGGCAUUUGACAAUCCUGCACCAAAUGAAGAAAAAUGGAAAAGUUAGCAAAAUUUGUCAAAUUGUCAGAGAUGGAGAUUGACAAAUUGCAAAAGGAUUAGGUGGAAUAGUGCAUGCUUGAAGCCUAUAAAUUGAAAUCAUUUCUUCAUUCUAUAAUCAUCCCAAAAUUGUUAAGCUUAUAAGUUUCUAAGCUUUUGAGAGAAGUGAGAGAAGUGUGUCUGGGGAAUUUAUCUUUCCUGCAGAGUGUGAGAGUACUGGGUAUAUUUGAGUUUCUGGGAAGUGAGAUUCGUUACUCAAAUAUUGUACUCUAUUAAUUGUUAAAUAAACAAUUAUUCUUUAUUGCCUCCGUGGAUGUAGAUUUAAUUACCGAACCACGUAAUUCUUGUGUCCUUUAUUUUUCUAUAAUAAUUUGGUGCGCUUGAUUCCGUAUUCCGCGCACAAUAUUGUUGCCAAUUAACGGAAAUCUCUAUAAGAGAAAAAUCUUAACUGACUCUUGGUGCCCUAGAGGUAAACUUGAUUAUGAUACUACUAUGCAUGCUCUGGUGAAGUUCUGCUCUUUUGGUGCUUUAUGGGAAAUUCCUCACUUAAGCUUCAAGGAGCCGGCCUGGACUCUAAUGGAAAAGGGUAAUAUAAAUGAUUUUGGCUUGUUUAUGGUGACAACCUAGAGUAUUUGGAGUUAAGGAAUAAUUGGAUAUUUAGAAAAGGGAAUUGUUGUCCGCUACUAACCUAUAACAGAGCAGUGGAUCUGUUGCAUUCUUAUAGAUCUCUCUAAAAGCAUUCCCCAAAUAAGUUGGUCUUGAGAGGAGACUCUUCCAUUUAAUAUUGGUCUCUCCCUGAUGUUUAUUGGAAUAAAAUGAAUAUAGGUGUGGCUGUAAAUUAUGAUGGAGGAUUGCUUGGUUUAGAAGCAAUUAUAUGGAACUCCCAAGGUGGAUUCAUGGCUGCAGCAAGUUGGAGAUAUCAUUUUCUAAAUGAUGUUGAAGCACUCGCUAUUUAUAAAGUUUAAAGAUGGCCAAAUUAAUGGGGUUUUAUCCUUUGAUUAUUGAAUUGGAUUUAAAAAAUGUGAUUAGGCUGAUUACUAGCAAGUUUGCAAGUAGAAGUGAGAUAGGAUGGUUAGUUGACAAGUUUCAUGACCUGGCUAAGGAUGUUGCUAAUUUAGUGUUUAAGUAUGUACCUAAAGCUUGUAACUCAGUGGCUCACAAGUUGUCUAAAUUGGCAUUGUUGAAGCCAAACUGUUGUCUUUGGUAUGAAGAAGCUCGUGCUGAACUCAUGGCUUUGUUAUCUUGUGAUAAUCGUUUGUCUGAUUAAAACCUUAAGGAGAUUGUUAUCUUACAUAAUUAUAACUAAAACCUUAAUGAAUAAUUAUUUUCAUUAAAAAAAAAGACAUGGGCCACAAAAAUGACAGCAGGGGGAAAAUAUCAUCUUCAUUAGUAAUUAUUAGUUAUAAUUACUCUAUCCUGCUCUCUCUCUCUCUUUCACUUAUUUUCUUAAACUUCUUAAGUAAACUAUCUAAUUGAUAUGAUUAUUUUCAUUCUCUCCCUAACAUAUUUUUGUUUUAGAAAGAAAAAAGUUUUUGAAUAUAAGUGAGACCAUUUGCAUUUAAAUAAUUAUUUUGAACAUUCAAAAUUUAAGAAAUAUUUUUGUUCCUAAAAUAUCAUUGAAGUAAUUCGUUAUUAAGGAUAGCUUUCUAGUGCAGGCGCCCUCAUUUUUUUUUCCAUGUGAAUACGUUUUUAAAACAUAGAAUUUAAUAGAUUCAGAUUUUGAUACUAUUAAACCACACGGCUUUAUAGUGCAUUAAAAAAUAACACUAUUAAACUGCAUGGCUUGACACAUAUCCGUAUUUAAAAAAGGGAAAUUAUCACUGCACCACCUCUUUUUUUCCUUAUGUUCAUCCAACCACCAAAAAAUUCUAACAUGUUCUCUGCACAACUCUUUUUUUUUUUUUAAUUUGUAUCAACUAACCACUUUUUAACUAAUACCGUUAAAUAAUUUAAAUGAAAUGAUAAUUUUACCCCUAAAUAAAUUAAAAGACCAUUUUAUUUUACAAAAACUUUGAAAAAUAAAAAAUUAUAAUUAUAAAAAUACCCCUAAAUUUAAUAAAAAAAUAAAUCUCAAACAAAUGUGCUCCACUGAUUUUUAUUUAAUUUAGAUUUUGUAAAAUUUUAAUAAUUAUUUUUAUUAAAAAAUUAUAAUGUUGCAAAAUUUUAAUAAAAAUGACUGAAUUUAUUUAUUAAAAAUUAUAAUUUUGCAAAAUUUUAUUAAAAUAACUGAAUUUAUUUAUUAAAAAAUAAAUCCCAAAAUUUUAAUAAUUUAGGGGAUUUUUAUUAAAUCCCAAAAUUUUGUAAUUAUUUUUAUAAUUAUAAUUUUUAUUUAGAUUUUGAUUAAAAAUAAAAAUUCUAAUUUUGGGAUUUAUUUUUUAUUAAACUUAGGGGUAUUUUUAUAAUUAUAAUUUUCUUAUUUUUCAAAAUUUUUGUAAAAUAAAAUGGUCUUUUAAUUUAUUUAGGGGUAAAAUUAUCAUUUUAUUUAAACUAUUUAACGGUGUUAGUUAAAAAGUAGUUAGUUGAUACAAAUUUAAAAAAAAAAAAGUGGUGCUGAGAACAUAUUAGAAUUUUUUGAUGGUUAAAUGAACAUAAGGCAAAAAAAAGGUAGUGAAGUGAUAAUUUCCCUUUAAAAAAUAAGAAUACUCGCAUUUUAGAAUGAUUAUAUAUAUCAUUAUAUAUAAUUAGACAAAAUGAAUAUUCUUUUAAAUUUGCGUGGUGAGAGUUUGCGGGUGAAAAGGACGAUUGCAAUGAUUUUACAUGAACAAACAAACGUUUGAUAAUUAAGAUGGAUAUAUUCUAUAAAAGGAAAUUGAAUUUAAGAAUUCCCUUAAAGCAUGUUUGGACAUGAAAUAGAUGGCGCUUUUUAUGUCGUAUGAUAGGAAAUUAAUUUUGCGGAAAGACUUUAAAGAGCAAUAUUCAAUCAAAUUGCGUGGAGUCCUUAACGCACGGAUGCCGUAAUAUGUUUGAUAAAUUGACCAAUUAGGUGUUUGAUGAAAUGCCAGAUAUUCAAAUAUUGGUGGAAAAUCAACUGUCCUCAACAUCGCAUGAAGAUGAGCAUGCACGCAAGACUAAUAGAUGAUUUAAUUAAGAAUAAGAUUAACGAUGUCAAAAUAAAAUACGUACACAACAGCUUGUGCUUAUCAUUAUAUACUAUUGGGGCUCUCCAAGUUACAUUUAGUGUAACUUACAAUAGCUAAAAUUUAUCUCCUGGCUGACCAUACAUUAUUUUAUUACUUAUUUUUGCACCGAAAAAUUUAAUUAUAAGUUAUAAAAAAAUAUGUAACUCAGAAAAGCCCCUAUUAUACAUCUAACUAAUACAAACUAAGAAGUUAGAAUAAUAGAAUCGAUGUUUUGAUUAAAGAUUACAUAUUUUUAUUUACAAUUCUACUCUUUUAUGACUUAAUUUGAUCCGUUAGUCAAAGUGACGCCUAGCUCCCAUCACCAGGAAAACUCACAGCUGCAUGCAAACUUGAACGAUGAGCACUUGGUUGAGAUUGGGGGGUUAUGGGAUGGGUUGAAUAGGGUUCGUAAAAAUUUAAUCCAACCCAUUAUUGAAUUGGUUGAGAUAAGAUAAACUUAAUCCAAUAAAAUAAAUAUUUUAACAUAACUUAAUCCAACCCUUAAAUCAUUUGGUUAAAUUGAGUUGCAUUGGAUUGAUUGAGUUGAAGGCUAAAUCAAAAUUAAAAAUUAAAAAAGAAAAAAUAUAUGAAAAUUUAAAAUGAAACUUAUUAAAAUGAGAUAUAAAUUUAUUAUAAUAUGAAAAUUUCAUUCACUGUCUAGUGUUUGACUAAAAAAAGCUACAAAAUCAUCUUAAAAUUAAGAAAAUUUCAACAAUGAACUUCUAAACUUUAUUUUCGACUUCCCACAUCUCUUUUUUGAAUUCUAAAUUAAGACCUUCUACAUAAUUAGCUAGCAUCAUGUCCAAUUACAAAAUAAAUGUGAUAUAUAAUUAUGUAUUGUUCAGUAUUUAAAAAAAAAAGGAAAAAUUAAAACCAACUUAAUUUUAAAAUUAAACUUAGAAGAUAAUAAGAUUACCGAAAUGAGAGAGUGAUUUUAAUUUUAAAAUUAGAGUGUAGAGCAAUACAUACGAGAAUGAAUUUUUUCUAUUAAAAAACUAAAAAAAAUUAAAAAUUAGGUUAACUGUUUAGGGUUUAGAAUUUUAUAAAAAGAGUUAAUUACGAUGAAUUCAUCGAGCCCAAUCUAAUUUAAUUAUUAAUUGAGUUUAAAAAAUUUAACUCAAUUAAUCUAUUAUAAUUCACUCAAAAAAAUAAAUUAAAUUAAAUUGAAUUGGAUCGAAUCCCUAGGUUGGAUUGAGUUAGUCCGUCCCUAGUUAGGACCACCACGUAGCUAACCAGACAAAUAAUUAAUUAAUACUGUUGAGUAGGAUAAGAUAUGCGUGGAGUUAAAAAAAGAUUAAUUUUGAACACAUAUAUAGCUUAAUAGCUAGCUAUAUGAUUCCGACCUGCACGGCACAGACAGGUACAGAAACUUACUUGCAAGCAAGUCGCGGUUGGUGUGGUAUUCGUCUACAUUUUUUGACUUCUUGUUAAUAAAUAAUGGAUUAAUCAUUUUCGGCUUAUUAGUUUUUCUCUCAAACUGUGUGAAACUGGGGCCAAAAGUAGAUAUCCUACAGCCACUAGACUACUAGAGGCUGAUGAAGAGGAUUUAAAAAUCAACCCUUUGAAUCAACUGCUUUGAUCGUGACGUAACCAAUGUUUGGAUUCUCUAUUUCAAAUAAUAAAAUAACAAAAAUAUCUUUGUCUUUCCUCAAACUGUCAACAUAUGCAUGCCAUAACUUUAUUGGAGUGUUGACGGGGCUAGCAAGUUCAAGCAUAUUUGAGGCUAUUAGCCAAAUUGUUUUAGUAAGCCACUUGUCCUUUAUUCACCCAAAUCUCAAAGCUCCACAUGCAAUUUUUUUUUUUUUUUAUGUUAUGAAAGAUAUGUAAUCUUGAUAAUUGAGAUAUGAUAACAGAGCCUUCAAGUUCCGUCAAAAAAUAUUAUUUUUUUAAGCAAUACUUAUCACUAAGAAUAGCUCUAAAUAAGGGAGAAAAUUUAGUAUAAAAACUAACGUUACAUCAAAUGCAUUAUAAAAUUUUUAUAAAUGUUACAUCAAAAGUAUUAUAGAAUUUUUACAAAGGAGGAAAUCUCUAGUGUUAUUCUAUUGGUGGGAAUAUAAUAGUAAUACAUUAGAUGUAUUAUAAAAUUUCUCCAAAAAAUAAAUCUCUAUUAUUAAACUAUUGGUGGGAUUAUGAUUGUUUACAUAGGGAAGGAUAACAACUAAAGAAGUAGGAAAUUAAACAAUAAUAAAUUACUAUUUUUUUUCUUUUUUCAUCUUAAAAAGUAAAGUAGCUUAAAAAGUAUAUUUGUAGUACUGACGAGCCAAUUAAAACUGGUUAAAAACCAAUCGAUUAAACUCUUAGGAGUAAUAAAUUACUAUUAUUAAUUACAUUGAACUAGCUACCAAUUAAAUAGAAAAAAAAAUUUCAAUUUAGAUAUAAAAUAAAUACCAAUUAUUAGAAAAUCUAUAAAAGACAAAAAAAAUCCAUCUUAUAGUAAAUUUUCUUGUCUUAUAAUGAAGUUUUUUGUCCUAUAAUGAUAGUGUGUACUAAUUGUAGUACUAACUGUGGUAAGUACAUCCAUACUGUAUCUUUUAACGUGGUACCUUCACAUCUAAUUGGCACAAGAAAAUCCCCCAAGUUACUUAUCAGCGAAGUCAUGACUUUGUAUUGUUUAUGCAUUCUAAGUUUUAUUGUCUCAGUGAAAGUAAUGGGAAUAUAAAUUUUAUGUAAAAAUUAUUGUGUACAAAUUGAUAUCAUUCAAAUAAUGAUUUGCUACUUCUACCACCAUUACAUGGGUUCCACUUGGUAUAUUUUCAUUCGCUGUAAUAACUUUGACAUUUUCAUGUAGGUGUCUAACCAAUUUGUUGAAUGAUAUAUUAACUGUUCCAAAGAGAGUUUGUACAUAUAUCUCCAGCAUUACUCUUUCCAAAAUAAUAAUAACAAUAAAUAAACUAGUGCUAAGUUAAUUUUGAUAUUUGCAUUUCAAUUUUGCUACAAUAACUUCACAUUCUCUUUGGAUUCGUUUGUAACCCGCAGUCACUUCUUGUUACAACAAUAGAGAGGGGAACAAUUUUGACGCCUCAAGCUGAAAAAAAAAAUUAGGGAUCACAUAGAUUUUAGGGUUAUUUUGGUUUGAUUUGUAUAAUAAUUGUAAAUUAUAAAAUGAUUAGAAGAAAUAUUGAUAUUCAUAGGGCGAACUCAAUGAAGGCCCCCGAAAGACUGCUUUCAUAUUAUCUUAAGACUAAACUAAUUUAAUUUGUAACUCUUCUAAGGGUCAGUUUGGGAAUGUUGUAUUUUUUAAAAUAAUUGUUGUUAACUUUGCUAUAGAAAUAAUCAGUUAUAAAGAUAAUCAACUAAGUGUUUGGUAAAUCUUGUUUUAAAAAGUACUAUGAGUUUUGAAAGUAAUUAUUGGUGUUUGGUAAAAUUUACUGUUAAACUGCUGUGAGAAAACGAAUAACUAAUAUAAUAUACAUAAUGUAGAAUAAAAUUUACUUCCAUAUAUAAAACAUGUACAUAAAAUAUUUUUAAUUGUGUAUUAUAAUAACUUUAACUAAAAAUAAAAUUUAUAUCAUAUUGCCGUAGAGAUCUUUUGAUGUAAUGUAAAAUAUAAAGAAGAAAUAGAGAAAAUAAAAGAAUGAAUGAAUUAUAAUAAAAAGGGAAAAGGACAUUCAACCCCCCAACGUUUAGGAAAAGGGACAAAAAACCCCUCAACGUUUCAAAAAGGACUUAUAACCCCCUUUCCGUUAAUAAACACUGUUUGUUUUAACAUUAAAUUUAUUUUUUAUUUUUAAUUACUAUUAUACCCUUAUAAUAAAUAUAAAUUAAUAUAUUGAUUUGAGACAUGUCACAAUUAAUAUUUUUUAAAACUAAAAAUUGAGAUACAAUUACAUUUUUGUCCAAAUUAUUUGCUAUAAAGUAUACCUUUCUAAUGAUCAAACCUUUCAUAUGUGAUUAUUACUAAUAAAACAAAAUUUGGUUAAACCUUUUUUCUUUGAGGAAUCAAAACCAUAUUAUUAUUGUUAGAAAGGUAUAAUUUAUAGUAAAUAAUUUUGGGAAAAAAAUAAUUGUAUCUCAAUUUUAAGCUUUUAAAAAAUUAUUAAUUAUGAUAUAUCUCAAAUUAAUAUAUUAAUUUUUUUAUUAUAAGGGUAUAAUGUUAAUUAAAAAUUAAAAAUAAAUUUACUGUUAAAACAAACGGUGUUUGUUAACGGAAAGGGGGUUAUAAGUCCUUUUUAAAACGUUCAGGGUUUUUUUGUCCAUUUUCCUAAACGUUGGGGGGUUGAAUGUCCUUUUCCCUAAUAAAAAUUAUUGAAAUAUUGAUGUCUUUUCUAAUUUAAAUAAGGAUAAUUUUGAGUUUAGGUAAUAAUUUUAAGAAUACUUAUGAAAUUUUAUUAAAGUAUAAAAUUGAUUAUCAAAAUCAGAAUUUAAAAGUUACUCAUUUUCUUCUUUUCAAAAUCAGUUGCAAGAGAGUUGAUUUUGACAAAAAUGAUUUUGAUUUUUUUUACCAAACACCAAAAUUAACUUUAGAUUUUCAAAAUUACUUUUAAAUCUCCCAAAAAAAAUCUCAAACGGGCUCUAAGUUUUCAAUUUUUUUAAAAAGUUGUAUGACAUAUUUAAACCACGUUGAAUUCUUUUGGAUUUUUUUAAAAUUUAGCCUAAUAUUCAUGAUUUAUUGGACUGGUGGGUCUAUUAAGCCUUAAUUUUAUAUAUCAUUAGGUCUUAAAUGCAUAAUAUUUUUAAAAAAUAUUCUUAUUGUUUUAAUAAUUUUCAUCAUAUAAUCAAUAAAUUUUCAUUUAUAUUAUUUAAAUGAAUCGUUCUUAUCUCUAAUUCCUCUAUGUUUGUCAUUAUUUGUAUUCAUAUAGAUUUGAUGUCUCCCAUUUCCUAAUCGCAACCUUUUCUCACUAAGAAGGAAGAUUUCCUCUAUAAUUAUAGUUUGAUUAGGAUGAAAAAACUUACUGAGUUUCCACGCAAAACCGGCCUACACCCUAAUCCCUAAUAGACUUCGACGUCACUGCUACUGACAUGCCACAGUUAUUCUUUGCUUUUGUCGUCGUCUUCAAAAAAUUUGUAAUUGAAUUUGUAUUAUGCUUCCUUUAGAUUAAAUUCCUGUGUCUGUAACUGUUGAUAUCUAUCCUUUGUUACUAUAUCCUUACAAAAUCUUUCAUUCUCCUGUAUUUUUAACUAUUUGUUAGCACCGUCAUUAAUAAAAUAAUAAACACGAUACUUUUUAUGUUGAUAUUUUACAAUUCUAAAAAUAAUCAUACAAUCAUGGCCCUAUAUUUUAUUGUUUAGCCUGAUACAUAUAUUUAUUAUUUUGUGAUAUAGCCCUUUCAACUUUACUAAUUUUGCUUUUGUAUUAUGCUCGCGGUUGAGUAAAUUAUUGAGGGACCCGAUUAUAAUUGAGUAUCCUACAGCUUUGUCCGACUGUUUUGACAAAAGAGGGAAAAAAGAAAAAGGUGGGGGGGGGGGGGGGGCGAGAGAAAGAGAGAGAAAUUUAUAUAAUUUUGUCUUGAAGGGAUUGGUCUUCAAAAGUUAGGAAAAUUUACGAAAAUAGUUAUAAAUAUUUGGUUAUUUUCACAACUAACCCUCUCAAUUUUUUUCUUUCAACAUUAGCCAAACACAAGCCUUUCUCCCCAAAUUACCCUUCUUUACAGACCAAAAGCAACAAUCUUUCUCCCAUAUCGUCAAACCAAACACAGCUUAAUCAUCAACCAACAUCGACGGCAAAAGACAACAGUAAAGGUGAAAUCCAAUCAUAAUCUAUCUGAAUCCAACACUAAUCGGCAUCACUUAGUGGUAUGAGUUAUUUUCUGAACUUACUGAACUGAGUCGUGGGUGAAUCUGGCGACAGGGUGCCUGUCGCACCAACUCUUCGGGCGACAGGCACCCUGUCGCACCAAGCCUUGGAGAUUCAUUAAAAUUGUAUUAAUUUGAUCCGGAUCCAAUUAAUUUUUUUUUAAUAAUUUCAGGCUUAAUGGAUUCAGUUGUACUUGAAUUGUGUUACGAUGGUUGGUGGGAGACAUUAGAGGAUGGCCGUAUGGAGUAUAUGAAUGGUAAAAAUCGAGCUUUUUUGGUUGGGAAAAAUUAUCUGUUUGAUCAGUUAUUGGCAAGAGUAUACGAGGUGUUACAAAUAAACCCUAAUGAAUAUAGUAUUACAAUGAAGACAACUUGAGGUCUAGUACACAUUAUAUCGUAUAUGUGCACUGCCCAUGGGACAGUGGCGAAGCUAGCAUCAUUUGGGUGGGUGGGCUAGAUUAAACCAAAAAAAUGAAAUUUACUUCUCAAAAAAUUUGUUUUAUAUAAAUGAAAUUAAGCACACUACAUAAGUAAAAAUGUAACCAUAAAACUAUAAAAAUACAAUGUAAAUAAGAAAAACACUAUUGACGAAGCUGUGUCCUGCGGUUCUUCAAAAAAGAAAAUUCAUCUGCUAUCGCAUCUGAGUCAAUAUUGUCUUCAAUUUCUCUUUCAAUGUAAAUAACCAUACAAUCUGAAAGAAACUCAUUCUCCAUCUUGUUUCGAUGUGUUGUCUUAAUCAGUUUCAUGGCAGAAAAUGCUCUCUCUGUUGUUGCUGUUGAAACAGGAAGGGUUAACACUAAACGAAUUAAUCUAUCCAACAAGAAAUAAAUCUGUGACUUUCUAGUCUCAACCAAUCUUCGACACAAUUCAGAAAGGGAAGUAAUAUUCUGAAACUCUUGAAGAGAGUGUAUAUCUAUCUCAAAGCACUCUAAUUGUCUUCUCAAAGCCUGUAACUCAAUCUUAGUGAAAUCUUCAGGAUAAAAUCUUUCAGCAAGGCUGCAAAUAUCUUCAAUUUUAAAUGAUUUAAAUGCAUCAAUAGGAUUUAAAGCUGAACUAAGAGUGAGGAGUUCCAAAGUCUGUUCAGUGAAUCUAUUAUUCAACUCCAUCAAUUGAAAAUCUAUCACAGUAUUAAAUAUAUCAUAAUGAUAAUAAUGCUCAACUGUAAUAUAAUCAUUCUGCUGACAAGAACGUCCUCUCCCUUUCAUAUGGCGAGCUUUCAUAUCAGGCAUAUCUAUCUCAUUCUUUUCACAAAAUAGAACUACAUUCUAAAUAAAAGUUUCCCAACCAUUGUCUCGCAUCCUUUGAAGAAGUUUUUUCGUAGUUGAGACUAAGUGCACAGCAUUUAGAAUAUCUUGAGAUUUAACUUGUAAUGCUUGACAAAGUAAAUCACUCAUCCCCAAAACUUUAUUUAAUAAAUGCAAAAUGAACACAAAUUUAAAAGAUAUCAUUGAUUCACACGCACCUUUAGCCUCUCCACGUAUGUUAUUGUUACGCCCACACUCUACCAACUUCCCAAAAACUUUACGAACAACACUAAACAAAUCAAGCAACCUACUGACAGAACGGAAAUGAGAGCUCCAUCGAGUAGCUCCAGGCCGUUGCAAAGUAUGAAUUUGAUUGGCCCCUGUACCAGUUUGAACUUCUCCUGAAGCUAUCAAAUCUAUUAUUUCUGCUUCCCAAACAGAUUUUAACUCAGAAAGCCGUUUAGCAGAUGAAGUCAGAACAUUUACAAUUGAACCCAAUGCUGAAAAGAAAAGCCAUACAUCUGGCACAUCAUUAGAUGCUGCAACUAAAGCAAGUUGUAGUUGAUGUGCAAAACAGUGUAUAUAAUAUGCAUAUGGGCAAUCUUUCAAAAAUAAUGCUUGCAAUCCAUUCCAUGCACCUCGCAUGUUACUAGCACCAUCAUACCCUUGCCCUCGGAUAUUUUCAACUAAAAGAUCAUAUCGUGCAAGAACAUUACAUAUUUCUUUUUUCAAUGUUACUGCUAUAGUUUCCAUGACAUUGACAACUUCAAAAAAACGUUCUCGAAUAUACCCAUCACAAUCAACAUACCUUAAAAUAAUAGCCAUUUGCUCUUUAUCAGAUUCAUCAAGUGCUUCGUCUACUAAAAUACAAAACUUACCAUCUCCAAGUUCCCUGCGUAUCUUGUUUCGCACUUUGUUUGCAAGAAUAUUUAAAAGCUCUUUUUGAAUGUCAGACGAUGUAUACUUAGCAUAUGAUGGAGCAUUUUCCAAGACAACUUGAGCAAUUUCUUUACUACACUUCGCUGAAUGCUUUAUCAACUCUAUGAAAUUUCCCCGAUUUCUUGAAUUAACUGAUUCAUCAUGACCUCUAAAAGCACAUGCUUGCUUUGAAGUCUUCAAUCGUAACCUAUUCUCCAAAAGUUAUUGUGAAGUUUGGGCAUUAAUUAAUCUAUCAAUGUGUUGAAUUAGAUUCCUCAAACAACCCCAACUCUGCAUAUUCUUAUUAUGAUGAGAAGAUGGACCCCUUUAAUGCUGUAAAAAAGGACAUUUUUUCCAUUGUUGACUCUCUUCCAACUAGAAAACCCUUCGAUAACAAAUUUUGGGUUAUUUGAUGGAAUUUCAUAAAAAAGAAAGCAUGGAAAACAAAAUGCACUAUCUUUUACCUCAGAGUACUCAAGCCAUGGAAAUUUUUUAAACCAGUGAUACUGAAACCUACGUUCUUGCAUGCCAUCAUUAGUUAGUGGAUAGUCUCGUAGUUUAGGUUGAUAAGGUCCCAUUUUGAUGUACUCCCUUCGAAUAUCAUCACGUUGAUUUACUGAAUAUGUCCCUAUUUGAUGACGUAAUCCAGGAUCACGCUCCAGAUAAGUAUUUCUAGUUUCUUCAACUUCAACCCUUUGAAACUUAGAAGCAUGUUGCUCACUGGAAUCUUGAGCAUUAACUUGACAUGGAGAUAAAGACUUAGUGGAUGAUUGAUUUUCACUUACUCUCUUAAAAAAAGAAAGUAGAGUUUUUCUUGGUUUAUUUAUCAUUGAAUCUGUAAUAAAAUCAUUAAAAUUUUAGUAUUUAUUUUAUAAAAAAUUGACCAAAACGUAAGUUAAAAGCUAAUUAAAAAAAGUCAGCAUUCAAAUUAAUUAUUUUACUAUUUUGAUCACUCAUUCUUUCAUGCCAUCAUUAUUUUAUAAUCCCAAGAAGAUGAAUCAUCACCUUUUACAAGUUCCACUUUAUAUGCUAUCAUCAUUAUUUGUCAUAUUCUAUUAUUUUAUAAUUUUAGAAAGAUGAGUCACAGUUCUCAGUUCACAAAAUCGACAACUUCUCUUCCACAAUUCCACUUUGUGUGCCAACCAUCAUUAUCAUAAAAUCAUAUUCUAUUAUGUAAACUAAAGUUUAAAAGACAAAGUGCUUUGUACCAGUGGCCGCAUCAAGAGACUGGGCAUUUGGCGUUGGCUCGGCGGUGAGAGAUUCAGCCUGCAGGUGUGAGUCUUGCGACAGUGGCUCGAUGUCACUCAUGAGGCAGUGGCCGAGCGUCAAUUCGAGCGCAGGAGACUGGUAUUCAGCAGCAGUAAGAGACUUGAGCAAUUGAAUUUUGGUGAAUUUCAAAUUUGUAUUUGGUUAGAUACUAGUGAGUUUUAUGAAUUGUGAUUUGAGGAAAAUAAGGAUUCCUAUAAUUAUUAGGUUUGUUUUUUUUUUAUAAAUAUUAAUAAAAAUAAAUUUAUAAAUUAUAAAUUUUUUUUUUCAAAAAGCUUACCCGGGCUGCAGCCCGGGUUAGCCUUCCCUGAGCUUCGCCUCUGUCCAUGGAUAUAUUUGAUGAUGAAAUGGUGAGGGUUGUGUUGCAUAUGGCAUCCGACGUAGCCAAUUUUGGAUGCAUUCCUAUAUUCGUGACCACGUCACCUCGAGUUCCGAGCGAAGGUAUUGAGCCACAUGUCGAUACAGAAACUUCAUUUAGAGCAAAUAUGUCUGGCCCCGAUAAUGAUGAAGAGGUGUUGCCAAGGAUAAUAUCGCUGCAGCAAUAUUACUCUCCAAUCCACGACAAUUAUGACAACAUUGAUGAUAACGGCGUUACGUUAGAGGAUGUUGGAGCAAUGGUAUUCUCCGUAUCACAACAAUGAUUUUCGGGACAAUGAUGAUUUUCAUCAUGAGACAGAGGGGGAUAAUGUUUGUGCAAAAGCUUCUAAUAAUACGAGGGGCACUCAUUUCAAUAAUGAUGGUGAUGAUGGAGGAGCCAGUCCUUCGAAUGUUUCGUCGUUUCAGCAUAACGAUGAGUGUGAAGACAAUACUCUUGUGAAUAACAGAGGCAAUAGACCCAGUCCUUCUAUGGUGCGAUCGAGAAGGCGAAUUGACCCCCUUACAAGUCUUGCUCCAACUUUGCCUUCGAACAUGGUUACUCCAAGCUUUGUUAGCAGUUGUGAUUCAUAUGAUAUCAGUGUGGGUAAGCUAUUUGCUGAGAAGAAUGAGUUUAUAUUACAAUUACGCAAGGUUGCCUUUAGAGAUAAGUUUGAUUUCAAUAUUGCACGGUCUACUACGACACGUUUCAAGGCUCACUGUUGUUCAGAAUGAUGUAAAUGGCGUAUUCGAGCAACUAGAUGUUCGAAGCGAGAGAAGUUCCUUGGGUGGUGAAGAGAAUUGACAAUGUACACACUUGUCAUAAUGAGGUAUUGGUUGAUGGACGUCAUCAAUUAAGGAGCCAGGUUGUCGGUCAUAUUAUCACAGAAAAAUAUAUUCAAGAGAAGAUGAUUUAUACUCCGAAUCACAUAAAAGCAGAUAUGCAACAGGAAUACGGUGUUCAGUUAACAUACCAACAGGCAUAUCGGGCGAGAGAAGUUCCUUGGGUGGUGAAGAGAAUUGACAAUGUACACACUUGUCAUAAUGAGGUAUUGGUUGAUGGACGUCAUCAAUUAAGGAGCCAGGUUGUCGGUCAUAUUAUCGCAGAAAAAUAUAUUCAAGAGAUUGUAGCACUCGGAUCUUCCAUCAAGGGUUUUAUGCAGUACAUUCGGCAUGUCAUUGCUGUAGAUGGUACUCAUCUGAAGGGACUAUAUCGUGGAAGCAUGUUCGUGGCAACAUGUCUUGAUGGUAACAAUCAAUUUUAUCCGUUAGCCAUUGGGAUCAUGGAUUCAGAAAACAAUGAUGCUUUGGAAUGGUUUAUGAUGAAGUUACACGGAGUGAUUGGCGAUAGACCUGAGUUGGUAAUUAUCUCUGAUCGAUGCACUGCCAUAAGGAGAGCCGUUCUUAAAGUAUUUCACAAUGCAACUGAUGGCGUUUGUUUUUACCACGUCAAAGGUAACAUUAAGUCUCAAUUUAGAAUGUCCAAAGCUCUUUAGGAUCAAUUUGAGCCUGCCUUUAUUAAUGCAGCAAAAGCAUAUGGCCACGAGGAAUUUAAGAGACAACUUGAAGGGUUGUGGAUGAUCCACUCGGGUGCGGCUGAUUACCUAGAAAAUAAUGUCGGUACGUGCAAUUGGGCAAGGUCUCAGUUUGAAGGUAGGAGGUACAGCAUAUUUACCACCAACAUCGCGGAGAGUGUUAAUUCUUUCAUGCGGGAACCUCAAAAAUUUCCUGUUACUCAUCUUGUUGAUCACUUUAGGAAAACAAUGCAGCAAUGGUUCUAUGAUAGAAAAAUUGUGGCUGAAUCAAUGACUACUCGGCUAACAACAUGGGCGGAUGAAAUAGUUACCGAGAGGAGAACUAUAGCUGAAAGAAUGAUAGUUCAGCCGGUGUCUCUGCAUCGAUUUCAAGUGAUAGGCGGUGGGCUUAAGGAAGGUUUGGUUGACUUGCAACAGAGAACUUGCACAUGCAGAGUGUUUCAGCUUGAUCAUCUUGUAUGUGCUCAUGCAAUUGCGGCGUGUCUAACACACCGGGUGGAUUUUAUUAACCUAUGCUCGGACUUUUACACUACAGAAUCGUUGGUGAUGGCGUAUGCACAACCAGUAGAGCCAGUUGGUGAUGUGGUUGAUUGGGAAAUUCUAGAUGAAAUUCAGGAGAUGCAAGUAUACCCACUAGUUGAGGCACCACCACCUGGCCGUCGUAAAGAGCUCAGAAUACCCUCGGCUGGCGAGGACGUUAACAGGCGGACUGUAAGAUGCGGGCAGUGUCAUGAACUGUGCCAUAAUCGUAAGCGAUGUAAGAAUCUCAUUACGUCGACUCGAAGUUAGUUGUUAUUGUGUUUUGUGUAUUGUACACUUAUAUUUCAUAAAACUUUAUUUGAUUUUAAAUAUUAAAAUGUGAGCAUUAAAAUUAUAUAAACUUAAGUGCGCAAAUUUUAAAAAAAACAAGUUUAAACAUUCAAAUUACUACAACGGUUUACAAUACAAUAUCGUCAUUAAAUAUGUCAACCGCAAUCUUCUUUCUAAAGUACUCGACAUGACUAGCGUUAAACUCCAAUCCAAGCCCGAACAUUAAAUACAUCGUAACCAUCAAUACAAAAACACCGCAAUCGCCAGUUCCGGGCUCCUGUUGUGGCGCGCUCCUAACUGCGAUAACUUUCCAGGGGUCGGCACUCCGCAACUCAGGUCGGAUGUUGUAGAACCCAACAUAUUCCAACCAUCGAGGGAAGAUAACUUCAAGUGGCUUGAAUUUCAACCUGUAUCUUUUGUCGUCGCGGCAUGUGAGUAAUGAGUCAUAAAUCCAGACUUUGUUUUUCCGAAAGUCUACUCGUGCCAGUACCCAAUGCUCGCCGUCCAAGUUAACAGGGAUGAGUAACUGUAUAUAAAAAUUCAAAAACAUGUUCGUUAUAUAUGAAAUUGAAAAACAACUAAGAAAAAUCGACAACUUGUAUAUAAAAUGCAAUAAAAUACAUACCAUAUCGACAUCCAUCAUUGAUUUGGACAUUGUGUGCUGUCGCCCACAAAGAUAACUAUUCACGCGGUUGUCGAAUACUAAUGAAUCGACCGCACAAUCCCCGUUGUUCCAUAACUGAUUCAAGAACACCUAGUACAUAGAUAACCAAGAAAUGCAUAAAUUAACAAAACUUAAAGGCAAUAAUUAAAAAAAUUAAAUAGUAUUUAUAAGUUUUGUCGGCACGUUACCCAAAAAAAUGUGUCAGUAUGUGUGACACGUUGGAGUAAGGCAUUUGGAUACUGCAGUUGUUUCUCGUUAAUCAAGCGGAGAUACUCGUGAAUAUGCUGUUGAGAAACAGAAAUAUAACGAUUAAAAAGAAAAAUUUUGGUGAAACAAAGCCACAACAGUAUACAUAACUUCGAAAAUAAAAAUACCUCAUCGCCUAGCCAUCCCAUCGAAGCUGUACCCAAAAUUAUUUCAAAGAAUGACCGCGGGUGCUGGACUCUCCGGCGGACUCUGCUAUCACCAGUGAACCAUCGAUCAAACUCAGCAAAUAGACUAGAGUCCUCUAAUCCUCUAAGUGGAUUUACAUCCACACUCGUACUCAUGUCAAUCGCAUGCUCCAUGAUUUGGGGUCGAGGUAAAGGCCGGACGUGCUGUCCUCGCCUGACCGGAGGAAUCAUGUAAGGACUGUUAUAAACAUACGACGGUAUGUACGCGCGGCCGAACUUACUAACGCUCGGAGGCACCUCAGUGAACACCUACACGCUCUCCCCACUAACAUCCCCGUAGAAACUAUACAAUGACGUGGGCGUAGACAAAUUUUCAUUGCCCACGUCAGUAUACACUCCAUAGUCAUCCAGGGCCUGUCCAUUCGCCAAGAAGAACAUAUUAAACAACUAUUAAAUUAAAAGUUAAACGAACAUAAUUAUUAAAUUUAAAUUUGCUCACUGCAUACGAGCGUGCAGGGGGAGAAUCCUUAUUUGGACGUUUAGAAAAUGUUUCGAUGAAGCGAACAAUGGUUUCUUUAAAAUCUUUUAAUUCUGACUUUAUUUCAUACACGUUACGAUCAAUCUUAUCCAGCCGUCGUUGUAUGUAAUCAUUAAACUGCUUUGUCCUCGACUAUUACAAAAGAAAAAAAUAAAACUUUAGAAUAAUAAUAAAAAAUUAAUAAUUUAUAAAGGAAAAAUAUCGUAUAUUAUUUAUAACCUCAGAAUCCCGUGCGUCAUCAGAGUUUUCUGUUUGAUGCUGGUGGUCAUCAACAUUAUUUAUAACCUCAGAAUCCCGUGCGUCAUCAGAGUUUUCUGUUUGAUGCUGGUGGUCAUCAACAGCCACCUCAUUGCCUUGUAACCGACGACAUCGCGUUGAUUGAGGAUUGGUGCUGUAUAAAGUAUCAUUUAAAAUUAGUAAAUGAAAAGUCAAAUAUUUCGAUUAAAAAAUUUUUAGUACUUAGAGUAUACCAACCUUAUGAACCCAGUCUGGAAUGCAUUUCGAUUAAAAAAUUUUUAGUACUUAGAGUAUACCAACCUUAAGAACCCAGCCUGGAAUGCUUGGCAAGUAAUCCUUCACAGAGACCCAAUAAUUUCUGCUACUCUCCUUUGAAUUUGGCUCAAGAGUUUGUAAAACGUCCCCCUGCAAUAAAUUAAAUUGAAAAUUUUAACAUAACUUAAAUUUAGUAAAGUUAAAAAAAAUAAGUAAUACAUAUUACUUACAAGACGAGAUUUGUCGUUGAAGAACGAAUAAACCUCCGCAAAGUUGAUUCUCGAAGACGCCAUGGGCUUCCAUUGCAGAAUGCGGGGAAUCUUAUUCUUCGUUUUGACGACCCAUGUUGAUGACAACCCUCCGAUUGCUUCGUAAAUCCAAGCCCUACAACAACAAAAGUGAAAAAUCAAAUAAAACAACUAUCAAAUAUUUAAUACUAUAAAACUUAUUAAUAUCGCAGGAAAAAAAAUGCACCUGAACCCCAGACGUAAAGCCGUAAAGAUUGUAUUUUUCAAUAUUAUGAUCUGGAUUUUUCAACCGAGUCUUUUUAAAUUUCUUGUCUUUCUCGAACAGUGCAUUGUCAAGACUCUCGUAAAUCAUUUCCCACGACAAUAGACCCUAUGGACGCUUUCGGAAGUACUGUAUAUCAUCAACUUGGUCAAGCCAAUCGAAAUUGACUUGACAAUGAUUUUUUCUUGCAUUUAGUACUCUGUCCGCAAAAUAAAACAGCGCAAUCUUUAAUGCGUCCAUAUCGUCCAUUUCCUCGAAUUUCAACUCCUUAAAUACUGCAUCAAAUUGCUUCACAUUAAUCUUACGAUGCACACCACCAAAAUACGUAUUCUGUAGCCUCUGCUCCAUUUCAUCAUUUUUUUGAUUGGUAUCAACACCAAAUGAAAAUCCAGUAACCAAGCACCAUUCGACAAUUGACAAGCGAAUCAAAUGCUUACCAAUUUGAAACCAUAACUGAUCUUCACGACUAUCUUCUUCAUGGGCCACUUGCCGCAGUAAAAGAUUGUGCAAAAUCACCCCACUAAAUGGAAAACUUCGACACUCCAAGAAAUGCCCAAAUAUAUCCUUUUUGAACAUGAAUAACUACUGCUUCGUUAAUUUUUCCUCGAUGGCUUUUACGACCGAAGAUAACAUACACAUGCUCGAAAUUCGACCAGGAAAGUGAUCGGCAUAACGAAAAUACAUCUUGCCUACUUCGAUAUCCGGUGAUUCUGAUUUUGCCAUGUAUCUGUAAUAUUUAUAAAAUUAUUACAUUACAUUUACGGAAAAAAAAAUUGACUCGUAAAAAAAAAAUACUAAUUUUUGGUGCGACAGGCAAGCCUGUUGCUCCAAAAAAAUAUUGCGACAGGGCCUGUUGCUCCAAAAAAAUGUUGCGACAGGGCCUGUCGCACCAAAACAUUGGUGCUACAGCAAGCCUCUCGCACCAAUGGGCCGCGCAUGGCCGCACGCUGCUGCCCAACGAUGGGCGCGCGCGCGCGCCCUGCCCUGCCCCUCUCUCUCCCCACCCCCAAAAUUAAGCACAAUCACUCCAAAAUCGAAAACAAUACUCCCAAACACCACCAACCACCACAAACAUCAUCACCACCACUAUUAUUCUCAAGCUAUAACUAUUAUUAUUCUAAAAUCUCAUUUUAAAUUAAUGAAAAUUAGAAAAAUGACUAACCUAGGUUUUGUUGAAGGUUGUAGAUCGUAGAUCGUAGAUCGGAUGCCGGUGAGAGAUGGAGCCGCCGUCGACGAGGGUUGAUGUCGCCGCCGAUGAUGGGAGUUGGAUCGGUUUGGGAGAGAUGAGUGAAAGGGAGUGUUGGGGGAGAGAUGAGGGAGGGGUAUUUUUGUCUCAAAGGUUGUUUAAUGGCUAAUGUUGAUAGAAAUAUUUGUGGGGGGUUAAAAUGAAAAAAAACAAAACUUUUUUGGUUAUUACUGUAAAUUUCCCCAAAAGUUAGCCAUAUAUAUAUAUAUAAUGUUUCGUAUCGAAACAGUAAACAAAUUAAUUAGAAAAGGGACACGGGCAUUAUACUUGGGCGACUAUAGGUAAGUAUUGAUUGAACCAAAAAAUUAUGACGCAAAAUGAUACGCUAACUAUCUAAACGAAAUUGACUGAGUGAUUUUGAUUGAUACAUUAAUAAAUGAAGGUAAUAAGAAAUCAGUUUCAGUCAUCCUUUCGUCUCGGGACAAGUACAUACACAAAUAGCCACUCUAGCUUCCAAAUGGAUUGAUUGGCACAAACAUGUAAAUGUCAAUUAAAGAUGGAGCAUUACAAAAAGAUAUACAAUUUGAGACAAAUUUGGAAUACCUUGUCAGCAAUAGAAUGCUUGUUACUGUUUAGAAAUUACUCGUCGGUUAUAAAUUCUUUGUUGAAUUAUUACGAUAUGUAUCUCUUCGUCAAUUGUAUGAAAAGAGAGAAUACACAUGCACACACAAAAUAUAAAUAUGGUAAGAAUCAAACAAACGGAAGUUAAGGUGGUAUUCAGUUCACAAAAAUGAGUGGAGAAAAUAUGGGAAGAAAAGAGAAGAAAGAAGAGAAAAUGACAGGAGAAUUCAAUUUAUGUUGUCUGAUUUUUUAAAAAAAAUUCCAAGAGAGAAAAGAAAUUAAAUAUUUUUGUUUUCGAUGCUUUUAAUGUUUAAUUUUAAACUUUUCAAGAUUUAACUAAAUAAAUUUAUUUUGUUUUGUUUUUAAAUAAAUCACUGUUUAACACAAAAUAAAAUUUCAAUAACUGUUAUUAUUUAUUCAAUUUAUGUUGGCACCCUCUCAUAUUUCUAAUUUUUUAUUUUUAAAAUUAUUAACAUAAAAAAUAUCAAUAAUAUUAUUUGACAAAACAAGUCAUAAAUAACAGUUAUUCAAUUAAAAUAAACUAAUUAAUAGAAUUUGACCUCUUUAAUUCUUUGGUGAAGGAUCCAUAUUCCUAAAUUUGAUAAAAUUCAAAUCUCAAUUGAAAUUGAAUUCCACCAUUCUAUUGCCAGCUGAACAAUGCAAGGGGACAGAGAAUCAAAAUCCUUUCCUCCCCCCUCAUCUAUCACCAUUCACCAAGUUCCAACCGAACACAAAAUAAUAGCGGUAAAUUUUGGAGCUAGAAUUGGAAAUUUUUAGGAGAUUAUAGAGGUAGCUUUUUGGAAGUCAAAGUCUAUAUAUAAUAAUUUAGACUGAAAUGUUAAAAUAUUAACAAUUAUUGGCGAAAAUGACAACAUAAUAUAUUUUGUGGGUUGACAUAUUGAAUUUGCGGGAGGAUCAAUACUGGAAUUACUGUUUGUCUCUUUCUUUUCAUAGGCUUGACUAGAGCCCAACCUUGUCGAUGUCAAAAUAAACUACGAGUAAAUAACACUAGUUAACAAUAAAAUAGCAAUUUUUCAUAAACUACUGAUACAUUAAUCAAUCAUUUCUGUUUCGUGCACUUAAUUUUAUUUCCUAAAGAUAAGGACGAGGGUAUUUUAAAAAUAUAAAUAAAUUGGACUUUGGACGGCAAAUUGACUUAUAUUAAUUGUUCGUAAAAGACAUAAUUAUUAAACAAAUGAAUAAAUAUCAUUAAUCUUCGCUUUCACUUAAAUAAAAACGUCGUUGUAUGUUGACUGAAGUUUUGUCAGUGCAAUACUGGAAGCACACAAGUUUCGUUCUUUUUUAUUUAAACAAAGUUUCCUCCUCCACCGAGAUUUCUUAAAAAAAAUGAAAAAAAAAUUGAAGACAAAAUAAGAAGUGGUUGAACUAAUUAUUUUAUUUUUGAUUGUCAUCUAUAUUUUGUUCUUUAUUAGAGUAUUAUUUGUUCAAUAAAAUAAAUAGCCAUAUUAUCCCCACGAAUCCCUAUGAUAAAUAUUAUAUAUGCAAAUUUUCUUACAUAUUAGGUUGAAUUGUUGAUUCUUUAAAAAAAAAAUUGCAGUGAGAAAGAGUCAUUUAUAUAACAGUUCUUACAUAAUAUUAUUGUAAUUCCGAAAUCAUGCCAUGAUUUUGGGUAGUGAAUUAAUCUGUCACUACCGACUGAUCUUUCAGACUCCAAGAGUGAAUUCAUCACUACAAAUAAUCUCCCAAUUAUUUCAAACUACAUCACUCAAGCUCGAUUGGACUAAACGUAUGGCCACAUUCUACACUAUCCUAAAUUCCUAAUUUUAUUAACCCAACAAAUUUCUCUCUACAGGCCUUAUUUGUUAAACGAUCAAAUUUUGAAGUUUUAUUAAUUUUAAUUUUUUUUAAAUUUAUUCGUUUACUUUUUAACUUAUUUAUAAUUUUCAAGCAUUUAUAUUUGAAUUGAAAAAGUUAAUUUUUUUAUUUGAAUAAAAAUAAAUACUAUAUCUCAAAAAUGUCUCUAUUAAAUAUGUUUAUGUCCUCAAAUAUAAAAACAUCAUCCCUUCAUUCAUUUUGACCUUAAAGACAUAAAUAUCAAAUAACUAAGUUUAAUUUUUUUUUUUAAGAAGAAAACAAGAUGCCACAUAUAAUAUGAUAUUAAAAAAGAAAAAGGCUUCAACCAAUUAAGACUUAAUUAGAUAUCAGAUAGAAAUACAAACGGUACUUAAGUCUGAAAGCAAAUAUUUUUUUUUUUUUUUUCAGUGGAAAUAUCAAGUUUAAUUUUUCUCUAUUGAGAUCAUAUAUACUGGUGAAAUUUCACCGAGCCACUUCACAUCAAAGAGCUCACUGUACAUUCUNNNNNNNNNNNNNNNNNNNNNNNNNNNNNNNNNNNNNNNNNNNNNNNNNNNNNNNNNNNNNNNNNNNNNNNNNNNNNNNNNNNNNNNNNNNNNNNNNNNNNNNNNNNNNNNNNNNNNNNNNNNNNNNNNNNNNNNNNNNNNNNNNNNNNNNNNNNNNNNNNNNNNNNNNNNNNNNNNNNNNNNNNNNNNNNNNNNNNNNNNNNNNNNNNNNNNNNNNNNNNNNNNNNNNNNNNNNNNNNNNNNNNNNNNNNNNNNNNNNNNNNNNNNNNNNNNNNNNNNNNNNNNNNNNNNNNNNNNNNNNNNNNNNNNNNNNNNNNNNNNNNNNNNNNNNNNNNNNNNNNNNNNNNNNNNNNNNNNNNNNNNNNNNNNNNNNNNNNNNNNNNNNNNNNNNNNNNNNNNNNNNNNNNNNNNNNNNNNNNNNNNNNNNNNNNNNNNNNNNNUACGCCCUUUAUGCAUAAUAUAUGAGUCGGCUACCAAAUUCAUUUCUUUGUUUGUGGCCCUACUUGCAAAUCAUCAGUGUUUAUCUGUCCAACAGUGAGUGGUGCAAACACGAGCCAUUUAAUAUGCUCCUAUAACAAUAGUUUCUAGUCGAAAUGUGAGGGAGUCACAAUUUUUGUUAUAAAGCCAAUAGGAAAAACUUCACUAUAUCUGCAUAUUUAUAUACGACAUAAUUCUAUUUCUUGCCAUUACAUAAUUUUAAUGCCGAAAUUAUUCAUAUUUAAUUUUUCGAUAAGUUUAUAUUCUUUCGUUCAUUUCAGGUUUGGACAAUUACUAAAAAAGGGGGGGUUUAAAUGAUUAGUUUAAUAAAUUUAUAAUUAUUUAUUUUUCUAACUAAACAAUAGGGAGCUAAUCGUAAAUUGCCCAUGAAAUUAAUGAAAAUGCCAUCUACUUAUUUCUUCACAAGCAAAUAAUGAUAUACCCAUUUGUAAAUACAACCCAUUAAAAUCUUGAUUUCUAUUAUUUGAUAAAUAAAUCCUAUUUAACGCCAAAUAUACCUCUAUGUUGUUAACAUAUGCAGUAUUCUAUUUUUAUUCUAUUAAUACUUAUCUAUUUAGAAUAUGAAUAAAAAAGCCUCUUCUGAUUUUGAUUAUUUAUCUAUCAAACUGUAAGUACAAAAUAUUUUUAAAAUAAAAUUAUUAUUAUCUUAUUGUUCAUAAUAAUAAUAAUCUUAUAUAACAGAAUUUCUUUUUAAAUGAUGUAGAAUAAAUCUUUUUAAAUAAUGUAGAAUAAAGGAUAGUAUUUUAAACAUUAUAGUAAUUUCCCACAAUUUUUUUAUAAUUUUGUAAAAAGAUUAAUCUUUUUUUUUUGGAAAUUUAUAAUAUUUUAUAUUAAAAGAUAAUGAUAUUUUAUGUAUCAAGAAUCGGAUAACUUUAUCUAGCUUAUGAAUAGUUAGGGAAAAAAACUCUUUUCAUCCUUAGGAUUUCAUAUAAUAGCUUAUUUCAUCCAUACUUUUUAAAUAAUAGCUCAAAACAUCCUUAUGCCAACUCACCAUCAGUUUAAUGUUGUUAAUUAGUAAUUCAUUGAGGGCAAAAUAUGAUUUUUUUAUUAAAGUGAUAUAAACUAUGUUAAAAUAAAUUUUUUACACAAUUAAAUCACACUACAAAACAUUAAAAUUUAUAUUUUGAAGUGAAUAUGAAAAUUUAUAAGGAGAAAGAUGUACAUUAAAUAAGGAGGAAUACCAAAAACUUUAUCUCUCUAAAUAUGUGCUAUAAAUAAAAAUAAUUAUAAAAAAAAGUAGAAAAUAAAAGACAACUCAAAUGUGAAACACUAUUUUUCAAUUAUAGAAUCUGACAUUGCAACCUAUAAUAACAUGUAAUUAUAUAAGGAUUAAAAAAUCAAUUAAGAAUUUCAAAUUAAACUAGAUCAAUACAUGUAAUUAUCAAUACUUGUAAUUACACUCAAUUAAAAAUUGCAAGUAAAACUUUUAUAUUUGAAGUGAAGUAUUAAAUUACGAGACUUAAUAAAUUAAACAAUUAAAAUUUAUUCAUCCUUUCAAAUUGUAAAAGUAUUAUUAGUCAAAAGUUUCAAUAAUGAACUAAACUCAAUUCAGUAAAAAGGUAUUUGGGUGUAAUUUCUUUUUUAUCAGGCGCUUUGGCUCUCUUUAAAGAACUAGAUGUUGAUGAUUUUUCUAUCAAAAGCUCUUUAAAAUACUCAAAUUUUACUUUCUAAAUCGUCCUCUUAGUUAAUAUAACUAACAAAUAAAAUUUGAAAAUUGACAUUAAAAGUUUAUGAAAAUAUUGAUAAUUGUUACUAUAUCUUGUUUCUGUCAGUACUUUUAAUACUAGUGACGAUGUUAUAUUACAUUGACAUAUUUUUUAAUUAGAAUUUAAAAAAAUUAAAGCAGUAAUAAAAUUUUAGCUCCCUAGUGUUUUCAAUCUAAUCAAUAAAAUAUACAAUUUAAUCAUUUUAUAAAAUAAGUCACUAAUUUCAAUUGAAAAUAAUAUAAUGGAAUUAGGGACAUAUUUGUAAAUAAAAUAAAAACUCUAUUGUUAUAUAAAAUUGAUGAAAACAUAAGGGUAAUUGAAUUAGGGACAUAUUUGAAUGUAAAAUAAAAACUCUAUUUUUAUACUAAAUUGAUGGAAACAUAAGGGUAACUGAAUUAGGGACAUAUAUGAAAAUAAAAUAAAAAUUCUAUUAUUUUACUAAAUUGAUAAAAAAGGAAGGGGUAUAACUGAUUUUUUUUGGACUAGACCGGGCUACAGCUAGGUCUAGCCCACGUGUAGGUCUGCCAUUGGAAUAAUCAUCUUAAGCAACAAAUUAUAAUUAACACAAUAUAUUUAAAUCAUUGGAAGAAAAACUAAAAAAUACAGCCAACUUUUAUUUACUUGCAUGUGCUGAACGUCUUAUUAAUCUUCAAUCAAUUUUUAUUUUAAACUUUACCACCACUUUUCCUUGACCAUUAUUAUCUCUCAUAGUCCUUACCAUUGUCUCCCCAAAUCGGCUCACAAUGCAAUUAGAGAGUAUACUUAUAUAAACAUGAAAAUUAUAAUUAUUUGUUGUACUUAGAUAUAGGGUUUAUAGGGCUUUCAUGUCGCCAAAAUAGAGAGAAGUGCAAAACAAUUACUUGAAAUUGUAUUUCUUGUUUAGCGGGAUUAGAUAAAAAUUAGUUUCAGUUAUAUGUCAACUUUUUUUUAUUUUUUCUUUAAUAAAAAAUCUUUUUUUGCCCUCAACGAAUUAUUAACAAAUGACAUUUACUAACAAUGAGUUAACGGGAAUGAUGUUUUAGGCUAUUGUUUAAAAAGAAGAGAUAAAAUGAGUUAUUGCAUGAAACUUUAAGGAUGAGAAUGGCUUUUUUUCCGAAUAAUUAUUCAAUCAUCAAAUUUAAGGAUACAAUUGUAACGUAAAAAAAAAAAAUCUACUAAAUGUGGUGCCAUUACACAAAGAGCAGUGACCGCGCAAGGAAAUAGUGAAACAGAAUGGUUGAGACAAGUGACGACAAUCCGCUGGAAAAAUUAUAUUAAAACAAGAAAGCGAUUGAAUAGUUUUCAAAAGUCAAGUAUAUAUUAAAGGGUUUGCCUACCUUACGUUAAAACAUAAGGUAGCAGCUCCCUAUAUCAAAUAGAGUUUGCCAAGUCUUCAAGUUNNNNNNNNNNNNNNNNNNNNNNNNNNNNNNNNNNNNNNNNNNNNNNNNNNNNNNNNNNNNNNNNNNNNNNNNNNNNNNNNNNNNNNNNNNNNNNNNNNNNNNNNNNNNNNNNNNNNNNNNNNNNNNNNNNNNNNNNNNNNNNNNNNNNNNNNNNNNNNNNNNNNNNNNNNNNNNNNNNNNNNNNNNNNNNNNNNNNNNNNNNNNNNNNNNNNNNNNNNNNNNNNNNNNNNNNNNNNNNNNNNNNNNNNNNNNNNNNNNNNNNNNNNNNNNNNNNNNNNNNNNNNNNNNNNNNNNNNNNNNNNNNNNNNNNNNNNNNNNNNNNNNNNNNNNNNNNNNNNNNNNNNNNNNNNNNNNNNNNNNNNNNNNNNNNNNNNNNNNNNNNNNNNNNNNNNNNNNNNNNNNNNNNNNNNNNNNNNNNNNNNNNNNNNNNNNNNNNNNNNNNNNNNNNNNNNNNNNNNNNNNNNNNNNNNNNNNNNNNNNNNNNNNNNNNNNNNNNNNNNNNNNNNNNNNNNNNNNNNNNNNNNNNNNNNNNNNNNNNNNNNNNNNNNNNNNNNNNNNNNNNNNNNNNNNNNNNNNNNNNNNNNNNNNNNNNNNNNNNNNNNNNNNNNNNNNNNNNNNNNNNNNNNNNNNNNNNNNNNNNNNNNNNNNNNNNNNNNNNNNNNNNNNNNNNNNNNNNNNNNNNNNNNNNNNNNNNNNNNNNNNNNNNNNNNNNNNNNNNNNNNNNNNNNNNNNNNNNNNNNNNNNNNNNNNNNNNNNNNNNNNNNNNNNNNNNNNNNNNNNNNNNNNNNNNNNNNNNNNNNNNNNNNNNNNNNNNNNNNNNNNNNNNNNNNNNNNNNNNNNNNNNNNNNNNNNNNNNNNNNNNNNNNNNNNNNNNNNNNNNNNNNNNNNNNNNNNNNNNNNNNNNNNNNNUAAUAAAAUUUAAUAAUUUUGAACUCAUGCCACGUAAGCUAUCAACUCAAUUUGUACAAUUGCUUUUAUUAUAAAUCAUUAAUAUGUUUUAUAUAUUAAGUUUUAUUUAAGUGAAGAACUUUGGCAUAAAUCUUGAGCUAUUAAUAUCAAGAGAGAUUGUUAAUUUUCUCCCUAAUGUAAUCAAUAUACAUCAUUUACUCCCUUAUUAUUUUCUUAAUACCCAAUAAGCCCCGACACCAUAAUUUUCUAGCAUUAACCUUGUUUUUAAAAUACAUUUUUAUUAUGUUUAUUAUCAAUUAAAUAAAUCAUAUAAAUUGAAAAUUAAAAAAAAUUCUAAAAGGAAGAAACAUGGGUUUUGGUGUAAAUAAAAAAUGAAUGAUAACAUUUUGUUUUUUACUUUUUGUUGCUUUUAAACAUUUUUUCUUAUAAUAAAUUUAUAUUUUAUAGCCGAAGAUCAAACAUCAAGCAAAUUCCUUUAAAUUUUUUGUGACAGAAGGGGUUAUUGGGUAUUAUUAGAACAAUAAGGAAGAAAGUAAUAUAUAUUGAUUUCACUAGAGGGAAACUAACAAUCUCUUUAAUUUUAAUCUGUAAGUGUGUGUGUGUAUAUAUAUAUAUAUAUAUAUUAUCAUUAUCUAAUAAGGGAUUUAUUUAAAUUAUUAAGUAAGGGAUAAACUAAAAAAAAUGAAAAACAUAUCCUUCAAUACAAUAUAUUUUAUUAUGUAGUACAAUACAACGUGUGUUUUUCUUAUAUUUUAAGGGAUUUCUUACUUGAUUAAAGUUCGAGAACCAUCGUUGCAAGACUACAUGUUUUAUAUAUAUUUUUUAUCUGAUAAAUUUUAUAUGUAUAUACUCUUAUGGUCAUUUUAGGUUGCGUGAAAAAGCAUGUAACGCCAAUAACACGGAUACAUGAGGGCGCUGUGAACAGAGGUAGCGAGAGCACGAAGUACUCCAUCAGAUGCCGAAGUUCAUUAUUUCACUUGAGCAAUUGCAGGAAUAGAAACGGCGAGGGUAUUACAAACGACAAACAGUGUAAACCAUUCAACAGGCACCGUGCUCCCGUCACGUUACAAGAUGAAGCUGCAUCAAGAUUCGACGAAGAUAAUAAUAAUUCCAUCGGCUUUCGCGAUGCUUUCCUCAAGAAUAUCAACGCAAUUUUUCAAUUCACUCGUCCCUUCUUUCUUCUUGGCGUUGUGAGUUGCUACUUGUUAAUUAAUUUAUAUAUAAUUAAAAAACAGGUAUAUAAAUAUUCUCAGGUGUCGAUAUCUAUUUUUUUUUAUAUAUGAAUUCAUUGUACACACCAUAUGAUAAAUUAGUCAAUGAAACAAAAAAUAAUAAAAACAUUAAUACAUCAUAUGAUGUAUAUAAUGAAUUUUUAUUUUAAAUACAUUAAUAUUCACACUGAAGAAAGAAUACACAUGCACACAUAUAUAAAAUGAAAUAAAUUUCUAUUUAUAGUUAACGUAAAUAUGAUUUUUAUGUUUUUUAUUGAUUAUGUUUUAUGCAGACGAUUGAUAUGACCUCGGUAUCUCUUCUUGCACCGCAACAGUUUGCUGAUUUGACUCCGACAUUUUUUAUUGGAUUAUUGAAGGUAAAUUAUAAAUUAAUUAAUGAUGUAAUAAUAAAAAUUGCUUGUAAUGUACUGUUUGGUAAUUAUUUAAAUAAUUCUUCAUUAUAUUUCAGGCCAUAGUGCCCGGAUUACUGGUGAACAUUUAUGAGGUGGGAGUAAACCAGUUGUAUGAUGUUGAAAUAGACAAGGUAUAAAUUUCAUCAGAGACAACUAAUUUUAUGAAUAAUUAGUUCCAAUCAUAAAUAUAUACAAUCUGUGCAUUACUAAAUUAGGUAAUAAUUUCAUUAAUAUAAUUUCAUUCUUAGUUAUAUUGCUUACUUAAUUUUUCUGGUAAAUUAGUUUAACAUUGUUUAAUUCAUUGUUAAUAAAGAUUAACAAGCCUGAUCUCCCCCUUGCUUCCGGUGAUUUGUCCAUUGGAGCUGGAAUCACAAUUACUUGCACAUGUUUAUUGAUGGUAAGCAAAUGCUAACAACUGCUGCUUAAGAAUUUCUUUUAAUUUUUAGUAUUGAUUAAUUUGUUAAUUAUUAGGAAAAAUAACUCUCUAAUGUCGCUACUAUCGAAUUUAUAUUUAGUAAGUGAAGCUAUAUUCCAUCUAAAUUUAUGUAAUUUUUAAUUCAUUGAUUUCAAUUUUCAGAGUCUGGCUAUAGGAAUUAUGCUUCGAUCUCCACCCCUUAUUUCUACCAUCAUUAUGUGGUUUGUACUUUCAAGUGCGUAUUCUGUCGAUGUAAGUGUGGCCCUGAGUGAGAUUCACUACUAUUUUUAUCAACUUUAAAAUUUUAAUUUGUACGUUGCACAAGUUUUUCAAAAUUAUUUUAUGUUGGAAUAAGUUUCAAGUUUAAGUUUUCAACUCACAUGUUCUUUUUUUUUUUUUAAAGUAAUCAAUAUGUUAAACUUAAUUAAUUCACAACAUUGGUCAUUUGAUCACAAUAUAUUCAUGAUCUAAUUGGUUAUUUAUCAAUCUUGUAGCUUCCCUUUCUUAGAUGGAAGAGAAAUCCAUUUCUAGCAACAAUGUAUGGGGUGCUUGAGAGGGGACUUGCAAUGCCUCUUGGUUACUUCAUGCACAUCCAGGCACGUACAAAUUGUGCCUAGCUCCGUGUCAUCAUUUGGUCACUCAUUUAAUUAACUUUUUAUUUUCUUUUGUAUUUUCCACUGAAGUGGGUUUGAAAUAUACCCUGCAUGCAUACAGAAGUACGUGCUUGGAAGACCUAUAGAGUUUUCAAGAACAUUGAUGUUUGUAGUGGCUGUCAAGUGCUGGUUUUGCGUUUUGCUUGUACUUCUUAAGGUAAAUAAACUGAGAAACCUUAAAAAUGAGCAGAGCAUAUAUAUAAUGGAUUAUGGAUGGAUACUAAUGUAUUUUCUUUGGACUUUAAAUAGGAUAUGCCUGAUGUGGAUGGUGAUAAAGAACAUGGCAUUCAAACGCUCAGUAUCGCUCUAGGAAAAGAGAAAGUGUGUAAAUUAAUUCGAAUAAAUUCUAUAACCAUCAUUUUUAACUUCAAUUUUUGUCCUAGAUUUUCCUUUCUAACUGUUAUUCUUCUUAACAGGUACUUUGGCUAGGUGUUUAUAUGUUAUUAGUUGUCUACGGAGCUCUUGUAAUAGCAGGAGCUUCGUCACCCUUCCUGGAAAGCAAGCUUAUCACUGUAAGAAUGGGGGGGGGGGGGGGUGUUGAUUUGUUACGGAAUUCUAGAUUUUAUUAAAAUUUGAGAAAACUAUUAGAUUAUAUGGUCUAAUAAUGCCAUUACACUACUAAAUCAUAUGGCUUAAUAGUUUUUUCAGACUUUAACAAAGCCCACAACUAUGCAUUGUAUUAUUUCAUAAGAAAUUUAGCCUUUUAUGUAUGUGAUCACAAUUACUUACUAAUUAAGAAUUAAAUUGUUUUUUUCUCGCAGAUUAUUGGCCACAGCACACUUGCAUUUCUUUUGUUGCAACGAGCUCGAAAUGUUGAUGUCUCCAGUCAAGCAGCAAUACUUUCUUUUUACAGGUUCAUUUGGAAGGUAGGUGGUUCUACUUUGAUGUGUAAUUUCAAUAUUAUUUUCAUUCAAAUCCAAGAAAGUUUUAGAAUUUUAUUUAAUUGUAGACUGACUUAUAUAGUUAUGUGUUUUUGCACGCAUUUGCAGUUACUCUUUGCUGAACACAUCCUCCUUCCAUGCGUACGACUAUGAGAUAACUUUGUUGCCAGCUUACAGCAACUAUUGUGUUGUGUUGUUGUGUUAAAACGAUAAUAAGGUUGUUACGAUUGAUGUCAAUAAGUUGUUAGAUAAGACUUAAAAAUCUAUAUAUUCAUGCACCAAUGUUCCAGAGAUCUACUACCAUAGACAAGAUUAAUGUCAUUUAUAUAUGGCAAAAUUUACGUACUUGUGAAAGUUCAUGCACUCGAGUACAACUGGUAGCUUUUUCUUUAUUUUCUGAUGGCUAAAAGUUUAAACCCUUGUAUCAACGAGAUUUUUGCAGUUCACUCUUUUUGACGUCGAUGUCUGGUUUCUACUUUUCAUCCUUUGGAAACAAGCCAUAGCCCUUGCAACUGCACUUAUUAUUACAUACGUGGGGAUGACGAGUUCACUGUUAGUGUUUUUGAGCUUUUUCUUUAUUAUUAUAAAUUUUAUUGACGGUCUAUAAUAUGGUGUGUUUGUCAAAAGAUAGAAAGUUUUCUGUAUGUUAAAAAUGUCACACGUCCUUCGGCAGUAAAUUUUGAACAUUAAUAUUAGAUUAGGAAUAUAUAAUAGGCGAUUAAAAAUAUUAGAGUUCUAAAGAGUAAAAAAUAUUAAUAUUACAUCACGGAUGUAAUGGAUGAUUUCAAAAACAAUACUUACAGAGUCUAAAAGAAAUCAACUACUGCCACUCACUAAUCAAUUAAUGUCACAUUAUUUAAAAUAGUUUUUUAAGACAAAAAAUUUAAGAUGAGUAGCACUAUCUUCAAAGAGUAAUAAUAAACAUCCCAUUUUUUUAAUCUCAAAUUUAUCUCAAUUUAUGUGUUAUUCAUUAAAUAAUUGAUAAUUUUUUUAUAAAAUUUAAAUAAAUUAAUUACAUCAUCUUACCAAUUAAUUACUAAAUACCACAUUAACCAAUUAAUAAAUACCACAUUAUUUGAAAUAGUUAACCAAUUAAUAAAUACCACAUUAACCAAUUAAUAAAUAUCACAUUAUUUGAAAUAAUUUUUUUGGAUGAAACAUCUGGAAUGUUUAAUAGCGCUGCAAAAGCAUCAAAUCUUCUCCACAUUCUUGGUUAUAGCACCCCAAUUCCAAGAUACUGUCUGAAAUCCAUUUUAAUUUUCCACUUACUUUUUCUUUAGGAAUUUAUUCCGAGCACUAAUGUACUGGAUCGAACAUCGAAGGCUCAUCAGAGACUAGCUAGGAUUUCAUUUUAUUUCUUAUGGUAAUUUUGCGUAGUAGAUGAAACUGAAUCACAAAAAGUAGAAAAUGAAACGUUCACUGUUCACACAAGAAAUUCCCUUGCUUAUUUUUUAAUACCAUAAGCCAGCCUAUCAAACAGAAUCGGACUACAUCAGCUUUCGCAUUCAGUGUUCUGUUACGUGUCGAAUUUAACUAACCGGCAGCAGGAAUGGUUUAAGCCUACGUGAUAGCAGUCAACAAGCAAAUGCAGGUGUCAAUGAUGACGCUUUCUGGAGAUCAAAGAAAUGAACAUUACUAGACCAAAGUGAAAUGUAUAUAUUAACCCAUCAAAUUAUUAGAAAAUAGAAAUCUGUACAGGUUGAUCGGGGUUAGCGCCAUUACGAAAUGAGAUGGCUGGAAAAACAGCAUGUAGUGUUUCUUAUGUACAGAAUCAAUACAAGAAAACGAUAAUUUGGCGAAAGUAAAUCUAGGCAUUUCAGUUGCCAAUGUCGAAGUAUCUUGGAUCUUCUGGGAAAUGGUAUUCUACAUUCAACUGCCAUCAGACGAGAAAACCUCUAUUAGCCCUAAAGUACUAGGACACCAAAUAAAAAAAUUCUUUGGUCUACAUUAUCAUGAUAAAGAGUCUUAUAAAGACUGAUCAACUUAUGCAUAUGCAGGCAGCAUCAACUGGGUAAGGCUCACUAGAAAUCUAGAAUCUAUAAAGAAAAUUUUUUCUUGAGGGUUAAGGAGUGCAAAUACGAGGCAUUACCAGAUCAUUCAGCCAACAAAUAAUUACUUCAGUACUCUCAUUUUCUAUCAGAAUCCAGAGACAAAAUUAAGGAUACUCUAUCUAAGAAUUCAUAUGACCAAACAACCCAUCAGCUUAAACACCAUACAAAUGUGCAAAAUGAACACAAGAGAACUUAAGAAGAGUGCAUACUAGAGCCAAAAAACAGAUGAAAUCAAGAUCACAUACCGUGCCCUCAUCAGCAUCUGAAUGGCGUUGAGGAAACACAACCCUCAAGUCAUUGUAUAGAUAGAACCUUCGCUCACCUUCCUUGUCUAGACUUGCAUUUUGUGGCACAGAGAAAGGAUCAGAUUUACAUCUCUGAACCAAAUGCGACUUUUUCUUGGGAGAGGGGCAUAAAAACCGAAGAUGAAGAGCAUAACGCAGAGCACCAGCUCCAGAAUUAUUCUCGUUAACUUUAGAACAACUAUUAGCUAGCCUCUUGCAAGUUUCAUGACAUGUAUCCAUGCAGUUGGUAUCCUUAUGAUCAGUCUUUGGCCACAGCCAAUCACCAUUAUUGUACCCAUUCUCAAGCAUACAGGAACGAAUACUUGCCACAUCCUGGGAUUGAGUGGAUGACUUCCUUCUAUCUACUGAAUCCACUAGAUCAGAACAUUCAAUUUCUUUAACUUCAGUAUUCUGGUCAAUAGAAUGCCUAGCAUGCGCCAUGUCAACUCCAUCUGAAUUUAAGAAUCUGCUAAACUUAACAGGGUGGCUUUGCUGUUGGACUGCAGUUACCUUUUCUCUGACUUUAGUUCCCAAACUUAUCUGUCCUUGUUUCAACUCUGUAGAUGUCAGGCCAGAAGAGGCUAGAGUAACCUUCUGUCGCAAGAAUGUCUAAUUUGAUUUGAACGGCAGUGAAAAAAAACGAAAGAAAGAAAACCGCACAUACAAUUAGAUACAAUGAGAUUAAAAGUCCACUGUCCACACGACAUGAACAUAUAUAACUUGCAUACAAUGAAAAGACACUAAAGAGAGAAAUUGUAGCACCAAAAAAGAAAUAAUAAGCAUGAAACAAAAACAAAAAUCAGUGAGGGAGAUAUGCUUUAAGAUGUGACUAUUUUCUGAGUGAUUACCAUGAUAACAUUCUUGAAUGUUCACAAUCAAAAUGAAUACUAUCACAACAGACAUAAUAGGAACAAAUUCAAUAAAUUUAAGCUUCCUGAAAUGACCAAACCUCUGACAUUAAAAAAGUGUUUGCUUCCAGGAGAAAUCAACUUUAUGUAAUAUUCCAAUUCAACUAUGAUAAACAAUUUAAUUCAUCAACUUUCAAAUGACAUCCAGAAGCAGAAGAAGUGUCAUCGACAUUGCAAUCUAAGACAAGGUUAGUGCCCUCUACUAAUUGCUUAUUUCACAUCAACAGUUUGCUAAAAGGAAAAUUUCCUUUUCAAUAGAGCCAGAGCACUUGUUCAAUCAGAGACCAAACUAUAAUUUAAUGAAGACAAAAAGCAGGUUCUAUUGAAUCUUACUUUAGUACCAGCUGGCAUGUCACUCAAAUCGUAGUUGCACAGGUAUGUGUGAACAGGUGUUUUUUCUGGGUUGCUGAGAACCUACACAAAGCAAAUCAUUUUAAAAGUAAAUAAAUAUGUUAUAUUCUUUAAAAGAAACUAUUAAAUACCUAUAAGCAUGUAGAUUCCAGAAACCUUAAAACCAACAUCUAUAAAUAGAAAUCCCUUCCAAGAGAUCAGGCAUGUUACUUUCCAAGCAUGAAUGUAUGAGAGAAAACUAUAGGAUUAGAAUUGUUCCCAUAUGAAUGACUUCUCAGUAGAUGAUAUAACAUAGCAACAACUAGAGAUCCUUCUCAGGUACAUACACGGUAUGCUAGUUUGAUAUAUAAAUUAAGGUCCUGUUUGGGAUGCUGUGGAAAAAAAACUGUAACUAUAAAACAAAAGUUAAUAAUAUGCCGUAAAUAUAAAAUUUAAAUAGUAAUUUUAACAAAAUUAUUAAAGAUAUAAUAGAUUUUUCAUCAAACAAGUGAAAAAUUAUAUCAACAUAGCUUCCAAGCUACAGCAGCUAGUGUUUACCAAACACUUUAGUGCUUACCAAACACUUUAGUGCUAUAACUUUUAAGCUACAGCUGCCUAACCUCAAUCCCAAACACACCCUAAAUCAGUCCACACAAUCAAUAUAAAAAAAACAUAUGGACAAAUAACAUAACCAGAACUCCCAAAGCAAAUUAUUUUAAUGCAGGGAAAAUCUUGUCAACUUGAACUUGGGCUCAUCAAGGUCCCAUAUAGUGGAUGUGAACAACCAACAAACAACGAUCAUUAUCAUUCCGAAGCCUAAAUGGUAUAAAUUAAGCAAAAUCUAUAAGCUAGAGAUUAUAAUUGCCGCUAAUGGAAUCUAUCUUAUUUGAUAUUGGAAAUAAAAGAAACACUAUCCAGUUUUGUAAGUAAAUUACACUCUACACAUUUUGUCUUAGGCACUAAGAACCAGAAAUUACUUGGUAAAGAGAUUUGCAUACCAGUUGUAUUCGUCCUUUCAUAGGAAUACGGAAGCAGCUUUUAACAGUUUGUGAAUCAUCAUUCCCAAGACCUCUUUGCAAUUUUUGGGCUCUGCACUUGUUUGAUGAAUUUCUUGCAAGAUCUAUGGAUGCAUAAUAGAGUAAAUAGCAAUCCCCAUCCACACUAGUAACAGAAAAUGGCAGCUUCUGUGAUUGUGGUGAGAAGUUCCCCCCAGUAAUGCUAAGUACAGCAAGGAAACCAUCAAUUCUCUGCACACAUAGAUGCCAAAAGCAAGCAGUAGAAUUGCAGCAGAUAUUAGUGAAGAAUAAUUACCAACUCUCUCAUGUCCUAUAACAAAACAAAAGUACUAACCUGACUGGACUUUCCAGAAAUCAAGCGUCCAGACAAUAGGGACUCCUCAAAUGAACCAACCAAGGACCUUCUAACCGAAAGUCCACUUAAACUUCUUACAAACCUAAAGCAUUGGGAUGUGGGUGGUGAUUCUUGAUGCAAACGCCAACUUAAGCCAGCUGUGCUUUCUAGAGAAGAUGGACGAAACUCUUUGUGAACAUCUUCAAAUGAUCUUCUUCCAACCAUAAACUCCGCUUCUUCAGUUGAAAAGAUAAUGCCAGAGUCAGAAUCAUUGAUAGAUUCUUCCAAAUUCUUUAAGGUGGAACAAUGAUCUCCUAUCUCUCUCUUAACCUUCCUGCAUCCUGGCACAGUUUCUAUUCUCUCAGAAAAUUUUGGACCAAGAGGUGACAAGGAAAGACAAGGUAAGAUAGCCUUUUGAGGAGAUAUGGGUGUCAGUCCACAACGUGAUAUUACCUUACUUGAUUCAUUGAACUGAUCAAGUCCAGGCAUAAACAAAAAAUUAUUGUGCUCGCCUGUGUCAUUGUUUUCCAGCAAAGGGCCAUCGGUCAAAAUAAUGGAUGAAGUUCUACUGUUAUCAUAUGGGACAAUCUUCUGUUCGAAACAACUGGAUUCGGACCAGGAUAAUGUUGUGAAUUGGAUUUUGCUUCCAACAUUUACUUUCUUAUAAUCUUGUGACGUUGAGACACUAGAACUAUUAAUCCUGACAGGGAGAUUCAUUUGAGAAUUACUGAAGCCAAUGUCCAGAGGAUCACCAUUAAACUGGUCUGGAAAAAGCAUAGUCUUUAGAGGUGAUAACAACCGCUUUCUGACCAAUGACCCACCGCCCUCAGUUCCAUUAACUGCGACACCAUCAACAGAAGAUGAAUGAGCAUCAUCAGCAGAAACACCCUGAAGUUCCUUACUUAGAGAACUUGUUCCACGAGAUUCAAAACCAACUAUCCUAGAAACAGGAUUUGGAGUAUUCCAUCCACUUUUAGGAAUAAACAGACCAACUUUAUCCGCAGAUGUAAUCUUAAAACCAUGUACACUGGAAGUAGCAUCAUUUGACCCUCCAGAUUUAAAUGAUCCAUCAGAAAACUUGGAACUUUCCAGAGAGGCUUUCCUCUGGAAUUCUCCAAUAGGAGAGCAUUGCGUUUCUACAGCUGUUUGGCUCACACUUCCUCCAUGCAUUCCAUCCAAAUCACAGGUGCUCACACCAGAAAGUCGUUGGGGGCUUUGCAAAAAUGAGGCCGAUGAUGUUGCUGCAACUUCCUCAGCACUAUUGCCAGAGGAAACUUGCGGCAAACCCAUCCCUAAACUCUUUUAAGUUAUUUACCUUCUCUUUUUUUUCCCCUUCUUUGAUGUAUAUUUUAAUUUUCUACUUUCAUCUAACUUAAUAUUUUCAGCUUAUCUUCUCCUGUCUAUCUAUUUUUCCGGCCUAAAGAACACAUCUACCAUGAGCUUCCCAAUCUUAACAGCACUAGUAAAGAAAUGAAAAAUCCAACCUGUCCUGUAAAUGCUAGAACAAUUGUUAAUAUAAGCAAUUCUGUGAAAUGUGAGACCCUACUUAACAAUCAAACCCAGUACUAUGUAUCCACAAAAGGCAUCCACAUUUCAAAUACAACUUCUUCACAAGAUUGUAUGCUUAAACCCAAUCUCCUAUUAACCAUCCAGGGAUGACGAGUGGCACAAAUCUUUUGACCUCCAUACCAGCAAGCAAUGAGAUUCAUAGAAUUCAUUGUUGCCCACAGUAUCAAAGCAUGCACCUGAUUUUAAAAAAAAGAAAUGAAGGAAAACAAUAGCACAUAAUUAGUUGUACAAUUCAGGAAAUUGAUUGCACUAAAAAUUUAACACAUUUAUAAAACUGAUUUAAAGAAUAUUAAACAACAUUAAUCAAUACAAUUACUAUGAAAAGCAGCCAGUUACUAUAUAAGAUAAAAAAUUAAAAAAGAAAAAAUCAACUAGCGAUGGAAACUAAGGGAACCGCUCAAAAUCUAUCAUUCAACUUACAUAUAUUAAAGCAGAUUAUCUCAAAAAAAUAUAUAACCCAUAAUUUUUUUAAAAAAAUAAAUAAAUCAAAGAAAACCCAGGAUUUUUUUAACAGAUACAUUUAAAAGAUCAUCAGCGCACCAAUUAUAAAGAAGACGGAGAACAUGAGGAAGUGUUCGCUUGUACAUCACACAUACAGCACAACUUUUUAAUGAUCAUCUCAUACAAGCAAACAGCAUAUGGUUUUAAAUUUUUUAUUUCGUUCUUUCUUCUGCUUUUAACACAAAGCAUAAACUAAACAAAUUAUUAAAAAGAAUACAGUUUUGAUUGGAAAAUUCAAAAAAAAGGAAAAGAAAAGAAAACACUCACAAAUGAAAGCUUGCUGGGAUGCAAUAAUCAAGUGAUGGUGGUCGUGGUAGUAGUAGAUAAGUCAUUCUAAUGAUCUACCCAUGGAAAUUCAAAAUUCCCCAGAUCACACAAAAAUCAAAAUCUCUCUAAAUAAGCAGAAAAUAAAUUAUUUUUCGGAAUUUUCAAUAGAGGAAAAAAAAAAUAAAAAUGGGAUGAUAAUGGUAAAGAGGAAGAGGUGGGUGAAGGUGUGCAGGUUUUGUUAGGCCUGUAAUGCUAUGCUCUUUUUUAUACCUAAUAUUUGGUUACUACUGCAUUACUUUCUUUAUUUGCAUGUUGUAACUUUUUUUUUUUGGGUGAGACAUUAGAUACUAAAUUAAGUUUCUGGUAAAAUCCAUGAUUGUUGCUUAUUUAACAGUAAAUUAUUUUCUUUUUUGUUAGGAAAAAAGUAAGUAAAUUACAUAAGUAGGAUUUUUCAUGUCGCAAAUGUCAUGACAAGAUUAUCAAAAUUCUUUUCAUGGAUAUAAUCAUUUCAUACUUUUCUUUCCGGGUGGCAUUAAUAUAUAAUGAGUGUUUAUAUUAAUACAAGCUACACAACUGGCAAAAUUUUUCAGGAUGCAAGGGGUCUGAAUCCGAAUAGAAUGGACUAUGGAGUUUGAUUACCAUUCUUGCAUUGAGGUGCUUUAAAAAGAACACAAAUAUAGAAAGUAUUGUAAGAAAUUAAGAACUUAAACAAAUAUUAUGCAUUUUGGUAUAAGUAGAUAAUGGAUACUAACAUCAAAUUCCCCUACAUUUUUGUACAAUUUAUAACAAGUACAUAGUUUUGCAUAUACAUUAAAUAUGUCCCUAGCUUUUAAGUUAUUUCUUUCAUGUAACUUACGUGACUCACCAAAAAGAAAAGUUUUAUUAGGAUUGUCCUACCACUUAAUAGUCGGUUGAAAUUAAGAUUGAAUAGUUAUAGUUUAAAAACUACAGUGUUGAAGUAUUUGGUAGACAUUAAUUAUCAUUCUUUGGACGUUAUGUUGAUGCGAUUUUAGACUUAUAUGAUGAAAAAUCUAUUAUAUAUUUAAUAAUUUUUUUAAAUUUUUGAUUUAAAAAUUGUAUAACUAUAUACUAUUAACUUUUGUUUUACAGUUGCAGUUUUUUCUCUAUUGCAACUGUAGCUUAAAAGGUAUAACACUUCAAUUCUAAACAGGACCUUAGUCUGCUGUGGUGGUACCGACCACUAAUACUUUACCAUUUAGUAGAGUAAUAGAUCUUAUUAUAAGAUAACAAAUAUAUUCCACCCUACGAUCUCCCAAACCUAAUAUUAAAAAAAUAAUAAGUCUUAUUUUGGAAUCCACAAAUCUAUUAUUUGAUAGAAUAUUAAUGGCAGAUCCUACCACUUAAACAAGUUGAGAAGGUAAACCGAUCCUAUAUAAGUAUUUUUAUGAUUUUUUUUGGAAAAUUCUAUAAUAUUGUAAUAAAAAUUUUUGAAAUAAUUUGUUAAAAUGACUUAUUUGACACAAAUAGACAGAUUAUGUCCUUACUUGAAAAAAAUCAAGAAUCGAUAUGUUACUAACCCUUCAUAAACAAUUUUCUUAAAGAAAUCAUAAUAAUUUUUAUGUUAUUCAAUAGAAAUUUGGUUCCAAUUACCAUAUGACAAUAAAUAAAACCGAGAUUCGAUUUAGGUUUUCUAAUUUAUUGGGUAAUAAUACUAUGUGAAAUUAAAUACCUUUUAGCAAUUUAAGUUACUCAAUAGUCAAUAAACACAAACCUACAAUGAUUCAUGACCAAAAUACCCAGCAAACAAACCGUGCCCGAAAACACAAUUGAAGGGCGUCUAAUAAAACGUUUUGACCCAUCCAACAAACCAAACCAAACCAAAUCAAACAUAAUGUGAUUGCUUUCGGUUUGUCAUCAUAUUUGUUUUUUUUUAAAAGGGUUUGUCAUCUUAUUAAAUACUAUUAAUUUGUAGUAAAUUUCAAACGAAUGUAAAAAAUGUAAAUAUAAAGUUUUUAUUUGACAACUUGUCGGUACCGUUCAAUGUAUUAUUAAGCAACGGAAAUGCUUUCGGUAAAAGUCACAAUCACGCCGUACGAGAGCAGUAGUUCUAGAAGGCAACAAGUGGCAAGGACGGAGCGACUCAUCAGGAGACGUGUCAACAAGAUAAUGCGCGUCAUUGGAUGUCCAGGAUACGAGGCCAAAGCACGGCAGAUAGGGCGCCUGCAGAGACAUCAUGGUCAAUGGGGACUCAUUAUCCACUUCCUGUGUUCACCAAUCGAUUACGCGUUACAUUUACAGGUUGGUACUUUCUUCUCCUCACGUUCAAUUACAACUUUCAUAAAAUUUUAAAAUGAAUAAAUUAAAUAAAGAGCCGAUCUUGUUGUUACAACAGUGCUUGUAAAAUUUCAACUCCACCACUUCCAAUGCACACCUAAUUCAAUACCACAUGCCAUGUUUGUGAUAACUCCUCUAGAAGCAGUUAAAGUUAGUUACUGCAAGCAUACAAAUACUGGCUAAAUUUGAGGGCAAAUUUCGUUGAUCUUCAAUUUUAUAUUAAUUACAAGUAAUUACUCAAAAAAAAAAAAUAAUUACAAGUAGAUAAGAUAAGACACGUGAUAGGUAGGGAGGUCACAUGACCGGAACAGGCAAGUAAAGUAAGCAAGCAAAUCCAGGCACAUGCAAACUCGCCGUGUGCGGUUCCAGAGAAAGGGAUAAGAGAAUUCUGGAGACAAGCGUAUUACCGUGGAAGCAAAAUUGUCUUCACAUCACAAUGAUCUGUAAUAGAUUAAUUGGCCUCGCUUUGUUAAAAAUUAUAGACUUCUUAAUCAUGCAAAUACAAUCUCUCAUCAAGUUGCCGUAUACAUUUUUCUUUUACAAAUUUCCUAAAUGAUUUGUGAAAUAUUAAAGUCCCACGUGGGUCAUAUAGAGAUCGUAGAAUCCUGUCCAUGUGUUUACAAUUCUAAUUAAUUUAAAUUUAAUAAAGCAUCUAUGACCAUGAACGCCCACAAGUACAAAAGAGGCAGGCUUGGAAUUCAGACCAGUGAGACCACCGCCAGAGUCUUCAAGUUCACCAGCAAUCAUUCGGGACACUAUUUGAUGCAUUUUUCUUCAGUCAACAGGAUUCAUUUGAUUCCUCUUUGCAUAUUCAGUUCACGGCUCAUUUCUUUUUUCUUUUUUCAAUUAUAAUUAAAUUAAACAAAUGACAUCAAUAAAUAAAUAAAUAAAAUCUGGACAAGGAUUGGGAUCGGUAUUUUGUCGGUCUGAAUUCGAGACAGGAUUCGCUACACUAAAAUGUGCCAAUUGGAUCGGAAUUGGCUUAUCUCGAACGGAACCAUCCCCAUCGCCAUCUUAUAUUUAAGAUGCCUAUUGCUUAAUGCAGUAGAGAUCAAGGUUUACACUGAUAAAAAAAUGUGUUAAAAUGAUUAUUUAGCAAGCCCAAUUCCAAGUGAAACAAAAGCUAUGCCAGAAUUUUUCAUUUUCAACAAGUGGAGAUGGGUAGAGGGUUAGCUUUUGUACAUAUCAAUCAUAAUGAUAUCUAAACCCAUGACAGGCACAAGGCUCACGAAUAUGGGAUUUGCACAAAAUUUUUCUUUAUGUAAUGAGGUUGUUACAAGGGAUCAAAGCAUACUUGUAAGCUAAAAAGGUCUGGCUGCUUCUUCCAUCAUCUUCUUUUUUCUUGUAAGUUUCUCUAUCUCCUUUAGAACCUAAAAGUAUUAGCAAAAGAAUGGAAUAAUCUUAUGUUAGUAACCCAAUAAUCUAGACGUUGGGUCAGGAAUGCUUGCAUUGUAAAGCCAUUUCACCUCCAAAGUCAUGUCUUCUGUGGUUACAGCAUCCAAGUCAUCAUAACCCAAUUGACUAGCUACCUCUGUUAAGAAGAAGAAGCUGCCAUUACCAAUAAGAUAAUAAAUUUUGUUACCUAAUAAAGAAGAAAAUUUUACGAAGAUAUACUUUGGAGAGAAACGGUUGCAUCAGCUGUGGCAUAUCCAUCUCUCAUUUCUUUAUAUAAAGCAAAUAGCUGAGGCAACACCUGAUUGCAGUAAGGUUAGAAAUAGCACUCAAUAACUGCAAGGCUCAACAUGCCUAAAAUCAAGAGAAAUGUUUCGAAGACCUUGGCAAGUGUUUUAAGUGAAAGACAAAUAGUAAAGAAUUACAGGUUUUGGGGAAAAAUGAGACCUUCAUGUAAGAUCAACACUUUGAUACCUCUGAUUCAGGAAAUCCGCUGUGGUCCAUUCUUGCUACCAUGCCUGGAGGAACGUCGAUCCAUAAUGAUAUUCCAUGUCUUAAAAGUGCCCUGUUUAUGUUUAAAAGCAAGUCAGAUAAAAUAGUGCAUACACCUUGUUUGUAAUAGUUGAUAUAAGCAAAGGAAAUUUCUGGCAGCUAAUUCGGCAAUUACUGAAAUCUCAUACAGAUUAGCUGAACUCUGAACUGCACCAUUUCCCGCACAAACUACUAGUCGACCCAUGGAUGAUAACUGCUUCAAUACUUCAGUCUGCAGCAACAGAUCACCAAAAAUAUAAGCCACCUUAUUGUCUAAAUUACUAAUCAAAGUUGAAAAGUAAAGGUUUCACAUUCAACUACUCUACCAAUCUCAACCUACAAAUAACCGAGCUUGCACGCAAAAAGCAGCACAGCAAUACCAAGCAAGUCUAAAACAAUCACCUCAGCCUGCUGAUAGCCCUUCUCAUCACUCUCCCUGAAAGCUUUAGCAGCAGAUUCACCGCCAGCGGCUUCAAAUACCAAACUAUCACUAAAUACAGAAUGUACAAAAAUGGUCAAGUUAAGCUAUCAUAAUUCACAUGGCUAUGAAAUAUUCUCAACACAUUAGGAUUAAAACUCAUAGAUACCUGUCAAAGUAAUAAUAUCGUAAUGCAUCUGCAAGAAAAUUCCCCAAGUGGGUUUUUAUUGCAUUGUUCAUCCCUAUUCAUCAAAUCAACCACAGCAAUGGUAUAAGUAUAAACAUCAAGAUCAACAUGAGGUUUGAGCGCCAAGUGCAAUGCCUAGCACAAACAAUUGCUUACCCACAAGAAAUACGGAAGUUCCUUUCAAUUCGGUUGAUAUAUCAGCUGCUUUCUUCUGAAUCAAAACUGAGCAGUUAAAAUAAAUAAUUCAAACCCCCAAUAAGAAAAAAUAAAAAUAAAAUAAAAGAAAGUUGAGCCUCUCUCACACUGUCAGUUUGUUAUAGAAAAUCAAACGUUGGCAUCUCACCUUUACCGCGAAAGAUGGAUCCUCUGCUGCAACCUUUGUCACAGUAUCUUACAAGAAAAAAGUUAAAAAGAAAAUCGAAUCACUAAUAAAUAAAUAGACAGUUAACACUUUAAAAAAUUAACCAACAAUUGAAUUAAAGCUCGCAAUCAACUUCAAAUGACAUAAGAUUGCCACAACAUACCAUACAUUCUCUACCUUUUUCUUAUAUUUUCACGAAUUACAAAUCCCAAUUUCUUCUGUAUAACAUUUCAUCAAACACGACAUGGGCACCAAAAAAAAGAAUGAAAAAGCCGAUAAUAAAAAAUAAAAAAAGUGAACUCACUGGAAGUAGUGUCGUCAGCGAUAGAGCGAGUGGUGAUGCGAGGUUUCCGAGAAAUAAUGGAAUAUUGAAGCGAAGUUCGAAUUGGUGCAUAAGAUUGAGAGUGAAGCAAAGAGAAAGGCGGGUCAAAUUUGAGGCCUUUUGGAGUAAUGGAUUGGGUAGCCAUAGUUGUAGCAGUUGUUCCUGCUAUUAUCUCCAUGGCUUUUAGCUUAUGGCUAUCGCUUUGUACUUUUUUCUUGUAGUAUAUACUUUCACUUUUUUUCUCGGUAAAGUUUGUUAUUUUGGGGUUUUUAGCAAGUUGGGCCCAGUACUUGGUCCAAAAAAUCGGUGUGAAAUGUAGAUGAAACCGUACCCUUUUUCCUUUUCUAAACAUAUAAUCUAUUAUAAAUUUAGGAAUACCAAAUCAAAACUGAUUAAUGAUAUAGAUACAAAUAAUUUUAUAAAAAUUGAUGUAGGAUAACUUCAUUGGUGGAAUGAGAAAAAUUACAUUACCCACAUAAUUUAUUUUUAUAAUUUUAUAUUUAAAUUUUUAUUCAACUAAUCUUGCCAUGACAUGUUUGUACAAAAUGAAUCAACUAGAACUUUUUAUAGAUAGACAACUUUCUUUAGAUGAGAAAAAUAAAUUUUUUAGAUAAAAAAAUAGACUACAUAUGCUUUUUUUUUUUUAAAGACCAAUUUAUACUUAAUUGUCCAUCCUCCAACAAAAGAUGAGAGAACUAUGAAAGUUGAAGUCUCUUCUUACCAUCUGACUAUCGGAUAGUUUAUCAUCGAAAUUGUUGUAGAUGCGAUUGAAGCACUCAAUUUUGAGAUUUUUUUUUACUUCUAUAACAAAAUCAUUUUUGCAUAAUUUAAUGAUAAAUAUAUUCUUACUAUAAAAUUUAGAUAGAUGGAUGUUAAAUUGUCAAUUUGAACAUUAUUAUUGUUGUUUCUGAUCAAGCCAUUAUCUUACCCAUAACAUUAAAAGAUUGGCUAUUGAGAAUGAUCUUUUUGGUUUUCUUAAGAAUAGUUUUAGGGGAAGGACUAUUUAGAGCCUGCAGAAGAGAAAGACGAUCGUUAGAGGAGUCACCGAAGUCCGAAUAGUGCCGGCGAUGGCACUCUAAAAAUCAAGUCAGUGAAUAGUAGAGAUAAGGAUAUAUUUUUUUAAAACUCAAAAUAUGCAAAAGGAAGAGUUGAAAGAGUAGAAGGGAGGUCCCCUUGUGUUGAGAUAGACUUGAUUUUAUAUAGUGGAGUGCCCCUAAAGGCAUCUUUGGUAGUUUUAAGUAUGUGGCGAACUGUGGUUGGUUGUCCUCCUCUUCAAUAUGAGCUUUUUAGUAGUUUCAUUACGAAAUUCAAAUAUCUUUGUCCUUCUAGACUCGAGUUUGACUGAUUGCAUUUCCUCAUGUGACUAUCCUUUUAGGCUGUUUUACAGUUACACACAAGCUUGUUAGGGAAUUGUCUUUCCCAUACAUUCUUUUAUAAUGGUAGUUUCUAGGGUUCUUUUAGUGGAGCUGAGCUAGUCUAACGAAGAUAUCUUCCCAUGCUGAUGUGCCCUAAAUAUAUGUGGAGAUCCUCUCAUUGUUGUUGUAGUUUCCAUUGGACAUGUGGUAAAUCUUGGGCACCAUGUAAGAGACAUCUUUUGAAGUUUUUCAGAUAUUAGGUUGGGUCAUACUACUCACCCCAUUUUUCUCAUAAUUACCCCAACCUUUAAACUUCCAUUUUAUUCUUAUCAAGGGCUUAUAAUCAAAACACUCCCUUAUACACAUAUCAUUCCUUGAUUAGCCUAUUCAAAUUUACCAUCAUCAAAUAUUAUUAUUAUUAUUAUUAUUAUUAUUAUUAUUAUUAUUAUUAUUAUUAUUUAUUUCUCUUUUUUAUUUCCCAUUCAUGUAGUUUUUAACAAAUAACCUUGUUGAUGAGAUAAUUGAUGACUGAUACCACCUCAAAGGAAAAGGAUCUCUAGAAAGGAAAAUUGGAUCUCUCAAAGACAGGGACGAAAUCUGUUUGGUGAGAAUUUUGGAGCCCUCAAAAUGGGAAAUAUAGAAACCUUGAUUUAAAUCGUGAAUGGGUCAAAGCCGCCAAACCAACAAGGCUAAAAUGUUGGCAUGAUGCUUAUCACCAAGAUAAAAUCAUAGAAAAUACUGCAAAAAUGACUAAAGAAGUUGGCUACAAAGCCACUACGCCCACAACUCUCCCAAAAAUAGGGGAAUCACCUCCACUUCGAGAAUCAUGCCUAUUUUUCUUCUCCAUUGAAGUAUUUUUAAGGUAAAAAAAUCACCAUGAAAGAGGCAUGAUCACUUAAGCAAACUAAAACACUCAGAUUUCAAACACAAAGAUACUCUACUGACUUAAGCAUCGAAGUGGGCACGCUGAAGACCACCACCUUCGGUCUCAUUUCGCCCUUAUCUUGUUUGUUACUGUGUGUGCAGGUUACCUCUAUUUUUUGGACUUGUUUUGACCCUAGGCGGGAAAAAAUCAAGUAGCAAUAGUUGGGGCUUGAAGAAGGGCCUCUGCCAAGCAUGUAGCGGUAGUAAGAAGAAGGUCAACCAAAAAUCAAUAAUUUGAACGAAGUGAAGUCAUUACCACUAGACUCGCAGAGCUCGAGCCAAGUCCCAACUUGGAGGCUGUGCUCUGGUUUAAUUGACUAAGAGUGAGAAAUUUAAUUUAAUGAAAUGGGACAAAGAAUGGAGCAGUGGAUGCAAAGAAUAGAAGAAAAAAUUAAGAGACUAAUUUCGACUCUAAUUUAGGUGCACCAAAGUAACCACCACGAAUGUGAUUCUAAAUGAGACGAGGUAACGAAGUUAGACAAACCAGUUGUAAGUCAAACACAGUUAGAAAAAUGGCACAGAUAGGCAUGAAUCAUCGGGUUUAAUUCUGCGAAACAAGAAGAGCACACUAAUGAAACCGAGGUCAAGAUAGAAGAAUCGGAUUGGAAAGCUGAGCUACGGGAAAUAAGAGCCCAAAUUUGAGGAAUGAGAAACAAUGUUUAUAAGAGAGCUGAAGAUUGGGAAAUAAUGAAUGUUAUGGAGCCAUCAUACACAGAUGAAAUCAUGGAUACACCAUUGCUCCCAAGGUUUAGGUUACCACAAAUAAGUGUAUAUAGUGGUCAAGGGGACCCUACCCACCAUUUGAAAUCAUAUAGGUCGUGGAUGGAGCUGCAAGGAGCAAUUAGGUGCAAAGUAUUUUGACUCACCUUAACGGAAUCAGCUAAGCAGUAGUUCGGACAACUCAAGCUAAAGAGUAUCAGUUCGUUUUCAUAGUUUUCAAAACAAUUUGUGGCACAAUUCAUUAGAGCAAAGCAGCAGAAAAAGCCAUCAACCCACUUACUGUCAAUCACACAACGUGCUGAUGAAAGUCUCAAGGAUUAUGUCGUGCAUUUCAAUGCAGAUGCGGUACAAGUAGAAGGCUACAGUGAUGGAGUGGCAUUAAUAGCGAUAAUGGCGGGUCUCAAGCUAGAAAAAUUCCUUUGGUCACUUAAAAAAAAACCCACCUUGUACCUACAUUGACUUACUGCGUAAGGCAUAGAGAUAUUCAUAUGCGGAAGAACACUAUUCUGCCAGGUGCAGAUUUGAACCGUUACUGUCUAAAAUAUUGCCAGACCUUAGAAGAACAUGUAGAGAGCAUAGUUUUGCGACUAACAAGCCGUGUGAAUAUCGCACCUUGUGAGGCAGAACUCGGCUAGCAUUCCAUUUAUAGUUCAGCCACUUUACCCUAUUGAACACCACCAGAGAAUAUAUCUUGAUGCAUAUAAAUAACGAACCUUAUCUCAAGCAGCCAAGCUUGCUAAUCACCUCAUCUGAGAAAAGAGAUAGAUCAAGGUAUUGUUACUUCCACAAAGAUCAUGGGUACAACAUCUCAGAAUACUAGGCACUCAAAAAGCGAAUUAAGGAAUUGAUUAGACAAGGGAAAUUGAAGGAGUUCAUAAAAGACAUUAACAUUGAGAAAAAGCUUGGAAAACGCGAAGACAUUAAUAAAAAAAAAAGGAAAGCUCCAAUCUAGAUCAAAACCAUAUAUGGCGGGUUGUCAACAAAAGGUAUUUCACAAAGGGCAAUCAAACGUCGAGCUAGAGAAGUGAUGCAUAGUUAUUACUUCCAGCCAAACAUUCAAGUUGUGCCAUAUGAGAUCACCUUCACUGAAGUAGAAGCAACAUGGGUAAAGUUACCCCACAAUGAUGCACUAGUAACCACCAUUAUGGUGGCAAAUUACCAAGUACACCGGAUUCUGGUGGACAAUAAGAGCUCCGUUGACAUACUUUAUAUGAAGAUAUUUGGAAGGAUGAAUAUUGAUAAGGACAAGCUGAGGCCAAUUAAAACACUUUUAAUGAGUUUUGAGGGUGAAAGCGUCAUAGCUGAAGGGGCUAUACAACUACCAGUUACAAUAGAGAAGACACUAGAUCAAGUAACGUCUAUGGUUAAUUUCUUGGUUGUUGCCUUUUUAUUUAUAAUAUGAUUGUAGAAAGACCUUUCUUAAACCUUAUUAGAGUAGUCACAUCAACAUAUGCUCUAGCUAUAAAGUUCUCAGUCAAAAGUAGAGUGGACACAGUUAGGGGAGAAUAGCGAACCGCCCUAGAAAAUUACUCCUUAGCUAUGAAAAAUAUCAACCUCAAGGUAAGGGAUUAACCGACCUUGACAAAGAAGCAUACGAAUCGAGUUCUUUGUCUCGAAAGAGAAGUUCCACAAAAGCAACAAACUAUAAAACCAGCGGAGGCAAUAAAACUAGUGACUAUUGAUGCAAAUGACAACUCCAAGGUGGUGAAAAUCGGAGGAAGCCUCGACAGAAUAAUACAAGAAGCUCUAAUUGCUUUUUUUAAAAACGAUAAGAAUGUAUUUGCAUGGACUCAUAAAGACAUGUCAAGAAUAUCCCCAUAUCACAUAAUGCACUCCUUGAAUAUCAAUCCAGAAUGUCUACCAGUUAAAUAAAAGAGGAGAACAUUCAACCAAGAACGCAACGAGGCGAUUCAAGCAGAAGUGGAGAAGUUAUUAAAGGUAGAGUUCAUUAGGGAAGUACUUUACCCAAAUUGGAUUUCUAACAUGGUUUGCUCAGGAAAGCAAACAGACAGUGGUGGAUAUGUGUAGAUUUCACCGAUCUCGAUCGAGCUUGCACUAACAUAGCUUUUUGUUUCCCAACAUAAAUGAGUUAGUUGACUUAACUAGUGCUAACAUUUAUGGAUGCCUUUUCAAGUUAUAAUCAAAUACAAAUGUCCCCAUAAACUAGGAGAAAAUAGUUUUUCAUAAUUAAGGGUUGUAUUGUUACUGCGUGAUGCCUUUUGGACUAAAAAACAUAGGAGCCACCUACCAAUGCCUUAUAAACACCAUGCUUAAAGAUCAAGUUGGGAAAAUAAUGGAGGUCUACGUAGACGAUAUACUUGUCAAAAGUCAUAUAUGAGCUAAUCAUGUACACCAUCUUAAAGAGGCAUUUAUGAUCCUCCGAGAAUACUAGAUGAAACUGAACCCAAACAAAUACAUAUUUGGGGUGACCUCAAACAAGUUUUUUGGUUACUUGGCCUAUAACGGAGGGAUUGAUGCCAACCUUGCCAAGGUGUACGCAAUUUUGGAAAUGAAAUCCCCAUUUAACAAGAAGGAAGUACAAAGUUUGGUGGAAAGAUUGGUUGCUUUGAGUCAUUUCAUUUUUUUGGUUGACAAACAAAUGCACUCUUCUUUUUAAAACUCUUAGGGGUACUAAUGACUUCACUUGGAGCAACAAAUGAGAGAUGGUCUUUAAGGCAUUAAAAAAGUAUCUCACACAUACUCCAACCUUGGUGAAAUCGUUGGAGAACGAUGAGUUGGAGUUAUACCUGGCAGUUACCUUAUUCUAUAAAGUUCGAAUCAAAGCUUUGAAUAACCAAGCGGAAUAUAAAGCUUUAAUAGGUGGUCUAAAUUUGGCCAUUGCAAUGGAUGUAAAACGAAUCUCCAUUUAUAGCGAUUCAAAAUUAGUCGCCAAUCAAGUUCUUAACCAAUUUCAAGCCAAAGAAGAAAAUAUAAAAGUUAUACCUGGCAGUUACCUUAUUCUAUACAGUUCGAAUCAAAGCAGUUAUCUUAUUCUAUAAAGUUCAAAUCAAAGCUUCGAAUAACUAGGCGGAAUAUAAAGCUUUAAUAUGUGGUCUAAAUUUGGAGUUAUACCUGGCAGUUACCUUAUUCUAUAAAGUUCGAAUCAAAGCUUCAAAUAACCAGGCGGAAUAUAAAGCUUUAAUAGGUGAUCUAAAUUUGGCCAUUGCAAUGGAUGUAAAACGAAUCUCCAUUUAGAGCGAUUCAAAAUUAGUCACCAAUCAAGUUCUUAACCAAUUUCAAGCCAAAGAAGAAAAUAUGAAAACUUACCUAAAUAAGAUAAGAACUUUAUUGGAAAUAUUCAGAGAGUGGCAAUUGACCCAGAUCUUGAGGAGGAAAAACUAGCUUGCUGAUGUGUUAGCAAAGUUAGCAUCGUCUUCACCUGUUGAAUUCGUCAUGUCAACUAAGAUUGAGGUGGUAAGGUCACCUAGCAUAAAUGACGGAUUAUUUGUGCUACUAGUAGCCUUCCACGACAACUAGAUGGAUUUAAUCAUAGCUUACUUGAAGGAGAAAAAGUUGCCAGAAGAUAAAUUUAAGGCCGGAAAAUAGGGACUUUGAGCAGCUAGAUACUUGAUGAACGGAGAAAUAUUUUAUAAGAGAGGCUUCUCAAUGCCUUACCUGAGGUGUAUACUACCAGAAGAAGCGAAAUAUGUUUAAGGGAGAUACACGAAGGGAUAUGUGGUAGCCACGCAGUUGGAAGGUCCUUAGCACGGAGGAUUAUUAGACAAGGGUACUAUUGGCCAACCUUAGAAAAAGGCUUUAUUGAUUUCUCCAUGAAGUGUGACAGAUGUUAGAAAAACACUGUUGUACCUAGACAAAUGUUGAGUGUUAGAAAAUGUAUAUUUAUAAAGGAGAAAAUCGUCAUUUUACAUUUCAAGUCUUACUAACAACCUUUACUUUUAUGUAUUUAACCUUCUUGUGAUUUAAUUACAUGUUUUUAUUUUAAUUAAGUAUUUUAUGUAUUUUAGGGGCAUCAUAGUCAUUUCACAAUAAAGGAGAGAUCAAAUGGCAAAACGGACAUCACUUUUGAACUCAGGACAGUCGAAAACCUUAGGAGGAGCAUAAAAGGAAAAAUGGCACUGUUCACAUGUACGGUACUAUUCACGUGUACGGUACUGUCUACGUUACUGUUCACAGCACUGUUCACAUAGACGGAUCGAUGACGUGGCAUUGACUGAUGAGGUGUCACGAUCCUGUUGGACUAAAAUUCUUAUACACUGUUGAUGGUGACGUGGCAGCAUAUCAGUGGACGAAAAAUCUCGCGUACGGUGCAUGCAUCACACAGGAUUAUUUUCAACCAAACCGCGUUACUGUUCAUCCGAGUCAAACCGUGUUACUGUUCAAAGUCGGGUCAAACCGUGUUACUGUUCAUCCGCGUGGUCAAACCGUGGACUGUUGACUGAUGACGUGGCGCAAUCCUGAGCGUCUAAACUGUUUUUAAUCCGAUGGCCAUGAUUUACUCCAUGUAUCUAUAAAAAGGGGGCCUCUCCCCCCUAAUUUGAUAUCUCUGAAUCCAUUUUUGGGAUCCAUUUUCUGUAAUUCUCUCUCCAUCUUGUAUUUUCUUCGUAUUUUAAUAAAUUCUCAUUUUGCCCCUAGUUCAAUUAUGAGUGGCUAAUUUUCUUUCAAGCUUGGGUUGAAGGUGAAGUCUCAACAUGUGUCAUGGGCUUAAUUUGGUAAAUUUACUUUCUCUUCCCCUCUAGUUUUUGUGGAUGUUUUGACUUCUCGUCGACAAAUAAUACUAAUCUUGUCUAGUACCGCCUUGGUUUCACCGGCCCUCUGGUACAAGGUUAUUAUUAUUUGGCACGAUAAGCCCUUAGCACCAUAUUGAUUAGAGCGUGGUUCAUGAGGUGUGGAUUCCCCCUUCAUGAUUUAAUUGGCAUUAAUACGGAUUAUUUAGCCCAUGAUGCAUGUUGAUACGGAUCCAGAUACCCAAGUACGUCAUUUCAAUAGAAUUAUCUUCAAUUUAUUCUCACCAUUUCAAUUCCAAUUUUAGAAUUUAUUCUCGCCAUUUUAACUUAAGUUUUAGCAUAUUCCAAAUCAUUUCCAUCACAAAUCCAACCACCUUAUACAAAAUUAAUUCUACAUAUAAUUAAAAUCCACCUCCUCGUGGGAUCGACACUCGUCACCAUCGAUCUAUACUACAAUAGAUUCGUGCGCUUGCGAGUACAUUAAAAUUUGCACAACAACAAACACCUCAAAUGCUAACCCCAAUGAGCAGCCCAUGGCCAUUCACACAGUGGGGAAUAGACCUAAUUGGUCCACUUCUAAUGGCAAAAGGUCAAGUGAGGUACAUCAUUGUCGCAGUUAACUAUUUCAAAAAAUAGGUUGCAGUAGAACCAUUUGCGAAAAUUAUAGAAGAGAAAACGACGCACUUUGUGCAUAAAGCAAUAAUAUGUAGAUUUGGCAUCUGUCACACUAUCGUGUCUAACAAUGGCAGGCAGUUUAAUAAUGCAAGGAUUAUAGAAUCUGGCUCCAACUUGGGAAUUGCGAAUGCCUUCUCAUCUCCUGCUCACUCUUAGGCCAACGAGCAAAUAGAAGCGAUCAACAAGAUCAUCAACAUUCUCCUGAAAACCAGGUUGGAAAAUCUGUAGGGUUCUUGGCAAAAGAGUUAUCAACUAUGCUAUGGGCUUAUCGGACAUCAGUUCGAACAUCAACAUGGGAAACUCAUUUAUUUUUGGCAUUCAGUUUUGAUGCGGUAGCCCUAGUUAAGGUAGGACUUAAUACGCAAAGGAUCGCUACUGGUAGGAGGAAAAGUAUGAACUCUUGGAGUUGGAUAAAGAGCUAAUUGAAAAAAGAAGGGGAAACGCAGCAGAAAGCUUAACAGAGUAUCAGAAAAGAGUCGGUAGCACUACAACACAUGAGUUAAAGUACGAGGUUUCCAACCUCGGUAAUUAGUACUAAGGAAGAUAGAAACGGUAGGAAUAGAGGAAGUAUUAGGCCUCAAUUGGGAAAGCUCGUAUAUAAUCAUUAAGGAAGUAACUCUAGGGACGUCUAUUCUGGCGGAAAUAAAUGAAAAACAACUAACUCAACCCUAGAACGCGGAGCAUUUUAGGCGUUACUAUGCAUGAACUCACAGACAUGUUUCUCUUUUUCUUGUUAGCAUCUUAAUGAUCUGCUUUCGAAAAUGAUUAGCUGAGAAGUUGUCAUGUGUUGAAAUGUGAGAUAUAAUAAGUUGGUAAUUGUUUGCAUUUUGCUUGUGGCUUUGGUCCCCACACUGAUGUCACCUAUACAAGGUGGUUUAGUUCAAGCUAGGGGAAAUGUCUUCUAAGUUAUUGUCAGUCAUUUGUUAUUUACAGCUCUGGACCCCAUAUUGGUUCUGGCUAUGCUAAUCGAACUAGUUCAAGCUAGGAGGUAGUCUUGUUUAAAACCUUAUAAAAUAAAUGUUCAUGCAUUCUCACGUGAAUUCAUAUAUUUCCCCACUUUGUGCUAUAACUUUGUCAUAAGACAUCGCAUGGGAUCCCAGAACAAGCAAGAUCAAAACGCCUUACGAGGCAAUGAUGAUACAACUCUUGAGGCACAAAAACUAUAGCCUUACAAGGCAAGGAUAAUUCAGUUCUACGAGGCAAAGUUCAAAAUGCCUUACGCGGCAAAGAUAAUAUAGCCUUUGAGGCAUGGAAAAUACAGCCCUACGAGGCAAGGUUUAAAAUGCCUUACGAGGCAAGGGUAAUACAACUCUUGAGUCACAAAAAGUAUAGCUUUCUGAGGUAAAAAUUAGAGACACCUUACGAGGCUAAACAAAAAACUACUUUAAUCAAGGCAGAAUCGUAUAACUCUAAUCAAGGCUUGAAAAAUGCUAUCCUAUUCAAGGUAUAGUCAUAUAACCCCUAUCAAAGCUUGGAUAAUGUACAAAAUGAACGGCAUUACGAGGUGAGAACUAAUAUGGUCCUCCGAUGUUUGAAAUUUUUUUCCCUCUAAGGCACGAGUUUACGCUGCAUGCCAAAAAGUGCUCCAAGGAGCACAAAAGCAUAUGAUUUGUGCAAUCAUGACUUGCAACAUCCUAAACAGAAAGGCAGGUAGCCAUAAAUUAUUGUCGUAUGGCCAACAUGAAUAUAGAAGUAGAUUACUGCCAUUUGAGUGAGAUAAUAAGCAAGCACAAAUAAUUUCAAUUUGAGGGAGCAAGCAAACACAAAUCAUCACCACUCAAACAAGGAGCAAUACUCUUGAACAUUUAAAAAGUGAUUCAUGUCAAAUAUUGAAGCGCAAUAUGAAAGCAAAAGCAUCCAUAAAUUCAAAGAUAAAAAAUUUGAAAGCAUCCCAAAUAAAAGCUACAUGAUAAAAGUGUCGAUUGUUUAACAAAGCAACCCACUAAAAUACAAAAGAUUGAAAAAUAAUUAUUAUAGUCUCUAAUACUAGCAGAAGAAAGAAAGUUGGCUUCAUCUAAUCUUUGGAAUAUUGCUUGGAUAAAUAGCAGCCAGGGGAGGAAUGUUUAAUGAAGACUCAUCUCUCUCAUCACUGGUCCCCCCGCCAACAACGGUAGCAGUAUGCACAGGUAGAGUGGGCUGAAACUGAGUACGAGGUGGUUCACCUGGCUGACCUGAUAGCUUAUCAUCAUCCCCACCAAACAUCUUAUCCUUAGGAGACAAAACAAAGUCAUCUACCUAAGGAGUUUCAAAGCAAUAAUCAUCCACGAAUUUUAGAUCCCACUUAAGGUGAUGAUUCUUCACCAUUCUCUUGCAGUCAUCUACCCCAGUAAAGAAUUCUACAUCUUUGACUUGUCUGAACUUGGCUAAUUAGAGAUAAGCCUCAACGUGGGUCUGAUAGCCCUCAUGAAGCUAUCGUCUAAGACGAGCUAUUUCUUCAUCUUUGUUCUUUAUCACCCUAUUAUUGAUAUCGUGCUCCAACUUCAGAGAGUCGUGGCUAGACUUGAGGGAUGCAAGCUCGGCCCUCAACUGGAUCACCUCGUUUGCCACUUCAUUCUUUUCGACCCUAGCCUUACACCAUUCGCCUUUUGAAUCGCGAUACAAGUUGUAUGCUUGAAUCAUGUUCAUGGUGGCUUAUAAAAGUCCAACGAAAAAUCCCGUUAAUAUUUAGCAGUAAAAGAACAAAUGAUAAAUUUAAGAGGGAAUUAUGAAGUCAACCUUGUGGGCAUUACUUAUGAAAAUAGAGAAUAAGACCUCUGGGUCAGUUUGCUUGGAGCGAAGACACUCUUGGUAGGGAAAUGCCCGUUUCAAUGAAGAAAGGUUGCCAAGGUCGUGAUCAAGCUCAAUAUAUUAGAUGGUCUAAUUGGCCAAGUCAUCAAACAUGAGGGCUGAAAUGUGCUCAAGAGAUCCAAGAUCAGAUGGCAAAUAAGUAUUUUCCCCAGCUUGCAAGGUACCAACAGGGACCCUGGCUUUAAACAAAGAAGGAUACAAGGCUACACAACCCUCAUGAGUUGCCAUAUUUUCAUUAGGGCUUGGGAUCCUAAGUUUGAUAGAAGCAUGAAUAUGAUAAUCUCUCCUCAAUUACUCUAAGGUUUAAAGUGUGGCUUUGGAUUCCCAUUGACUAGUCGAGAACCCCUCUAUAGGGACAUCUUGUUCUUCAUCAUCGAGAAUAUGAAUAAAAGUUGUGGAGGGACGAGAGAUGGAGGAGGAGCAACGUGUAACGCUCUCGGUAAUGUGUCUAAGUGAACCUUCACCCUUACUUGGUUCACCAUGUUUCACUUUAAGAGGAUCCUUGGAAAGCAAGAAAAAAAAAGUAGAACGGGAAAAAGAAGAGAGAAGAGAGAAGAGAGAAACAUACCUUAAACAAACAAAAGAAAAUGAGGAUUCCAAACGCCGUGGAAGAAAAAUAACAAAUAAAUUAUGUUUAGGAAUGAUAUGUAUCCAGAGGGUAAUGAACAAUUUUGAAUUUUAAAAUUUAAAUUAAGACUUUUAAACUUCUUAGUUCACAAUAAGAGAUUUUUGAAUUAAAAAAACUCUUAUAAUGAACUGGUGGGCCUGUGGUGAUGAGGUAAUUGAUGAAUGAUACCAUCUUAAAUGGAAAAGAAUCUUCAGAGAGGAAAAUCAGAUCCUUCAAAGAUAAGGACGAAAUCUAUCAGGUGGGAGUUUAGGAACCUUGUAGAUAGGAAAUAUGAAACCUUGAUUUAAACCGUGACUAGGUUAAAGCCGCCAAACCAACAAGGCUAAAAUGUUGGGAUGGUGCUUAUCACCAAGAAAGAAUCAUGGACAUACUGAAAAAAUAAAUAAAGAAGUUGGCUACAAAGCCACUAAACCCACAAAACCAUCAAAAAUAGGGGAAUCACCCUCUGCUCCGAGAAUCAUGCCCCAUUUUCUUCUCUAUUGAAGUAUUUUUAAGGUAAAAUAAUUGACAUGAAAGAGGUAUAAUCAUUCAAGCAAACAAAAACACUCGGAUUUCAAUUCCAAACACACUUUACUGACUUAAGCAUCGGAGUGUGAUGUGCUAAUAAUUUAUAUAUUAUUUUUAUAUUUUCCUAACUUAAUUUUAUGUUAUAUUAUGUUAAUUUUAUUUUAAUUUUUAUAUUUUGUUAUUUUAGGUAUAAUCUGGAAUUAAAGAGGAAUUAAAUCAGAAUAUUCAAGUAAGGAGAGCUUAAAGAAGGAAUUAAUUGGAAAUUUAAGGAAAGUGAUUGAAUUAAAAUGGAAGAAAAUCAAAGAAGCCAAGGCUUAAUCCUGGAAACCACGUGAAGAAUAAAAGAAAAGAGGAAAAAGGAUGCUUAAAGGAGAAUAAUUGGCCUUUUAAGUGUACAACUCACGUGAAUAAUUGGAAAAGCAUAGACCAUUGAUUCAAGUGGGCUCUAUAUGCAAGGGCUUAAAGCAGGGGCAGACUCAUAACUCUGCAGUACCUUGGGCAAAAUUAAAAAAAUAAAAAAUUUGUACCAUGUGAACAUGAAAUUUCAUAUAUAUAGAUGAUAAAAUACACCUAAUAACAAGAGACAUUAAGAGCCUUACGCAUAAAAUUCAUAUUGCAAAUAAAAAUAAUUUUAAAAAAGUAGUAUAAAAAAUACAAUCUUAAUACAAAUUUUCUACCAAAGUUGUACUUUUCUGGGUUUCAAAUUAUAAAAAUCAUCAAUUACAGAAUCUGAAUCAACAGUAUCAGUAAUUUCUCUUUCAACAUAGAUAACCAUACAAUCUGAAAAAAAAAAAAAAACUCAUUUUCCAUCUUACUACGAAGUGAUGUCUUGAUAAGUUUCAUGGCUGCAAAUGCACGCUCUGUUGUGGCCGUGGAAACAGGAAGAGUCAAGACUAGACGAAUUAAUCUAUCAAUCAAAAAAAUAGUGUUGUGACUUCAUUGUUUCAACAAAUCAUCGACAUAGCUCAAAAAGGGAAGCCAUAUUUUGAAAACGUGGAUGAGAAUGCACAUCACUUUGAUAAUGUUCUAAUUCUCUUCUCAAAACAGGCACCUCAUUUGGAGUGAAACCAUGAGAAUAAAAUUUCUCAGCAAGAGAACAAAUAUUGUCUAUAUCAAAUGAUUUGAACCCAUCAACUAGAUCUAAUGCCGAGCUCAAAGUGAGGGGUUCCACAGUUUGCUAAGAGAAUCUACUAUUUAACUCCAUUAAUUGAAAUUCUAUUACAGCAUUAAAUAUAUCAAAGUGAUAAUGAUGUUCAACUAUAACAUAAUCUUUUUCCUGACAAGAACGCCAUGUACCUUCAAUAUAACAAUCACUCAUAUUAAGCAUAGUAAUAUCAUAUUUUUCACAAAAAGAUACUACACUUCUAAUAAAAUCAUCCCAUCCACUAUCUCGCAACUCUUGCAAAAGUCUUUUUGUACUUGAGACAUAGUUCAAAGCAUUCAAGAUGUCCAGUGAUUUUGUCUAUAAUGCUUGACAAAGAAUAUCAGAAAUUCCGAGAACUUUAUUUAAUAAAAGCAAAAUAAACACAAACUCAAAGGAUUUCAUCUCCCUAUAUGCACCUUUAGCUUCCCCACGCAUAUCUCGACUAGAUCCAUCAUUAAUCAUCUUUCCUAAAACUUCAAGAGUUACACCAAACAUCUCAAUAAACUUACUAACUGAAGUAAAAUGUGAGCUCCAACGUGUAUCUCUAGCCCUUUGUAAAGUUCUAACUUGAUUAGCCCCUGAACCAGUCUCAAGCUCUUCUAAAGCUAUCAAAUCUAUAAUUUCUUUUUCUCUAGCAGAUUUUAACUCAUAAUAACGCUUGAAAGAAGCACUAGCAAAGUUAAUAAUAGAACUCAACUUCGAAAAAAAUAGCCAUAUCCCAUGCACUCCUUUAGAUAUUGUAACUAAUACGAGUUGUAGUCGAUGAACAAAACAAUGUACAUAAUAAGCAUACGAACAAUCAUUGAGAAAUAAAGAUUGUAAUCCAUUCCAUUCACCCACCAUAUUACUAGCACCAUCAUACCCUUGACCUUUUAAAUUUUCAACUAAAAGAUUGUAUUGAGCAAGCACAUUGCAUAUCUCAUUCUUUAAAGUCAAUGCCUUUGUUUCAUCGCCAUUCACAAUUUUAAAGAAACGUUCUCAAAUAAAACCAUCACAAUCAAUAUAUCUCAAAAUAAUAGCCAUUUGUUCUUUGUGAGAUUCAUCUAGUACCUCAUCAACUAUGAUACAAAAUUUAGCAUCACCCACUUCCUCUCGAAUCUUGUGCCGUACUUUAUUAGCAAAAAUAUUCAAUAACUCCUUUUGAAUCUUAGGUGCUAUGUAUUGGGCAUUUUUAGGAGCAUUUUCUAACACAACUUUAUUAAUCUCCUCAUUCAUUAUUGCUAACAACUUAAUUAAUUUAAUAAAAUUUCCACAAUUAAGAGAAUUAACGGACUCAUCAUGACUUCUAAAAGCACAUUCUUGUUUUGCUAACCACUUAGUAGCUACUAUUGCGGUUUUAAGUCGCGGUCUAUUCUCCAAAAUUUGUUGCGAAGAUUGUGCAUUCAUUCUCGUAUCAAUAUGUUUGGAUGGAUCCUUUAAAUUGCUCCAUUUUAACAUGGCAUCAUUGUGAGAAGAACCAUGACCUCCUUCAUGUUGAGCAAAAAGACAUGUUUUUUCACAACCAACAUACUUCCAAUUUUGAACCCCAUCAACAAUAAAUGCUUCAUUCUUAGAUGGCUUAUCAUGAAAAAUAUAGCAUGGAAAACAAAAUGCUUUGUCUUUUGAUAUAAAAUACUCAAGCCAAGGAAAUUUCGAGAACUAAGAAAAUUGAAAUCGACGGUUUUGCGUACCAUAUUUAAUCGAUGGAUACUUUUGUAGUUUGGGUUGAAAUGGUCUCAUAUUUAUAUAUGCCAUCCGCACAUCUUCACACUUGUCAAUGGGAAAAGCACUUAUUGAAAAAUGCAAUUCGGGAUCACGUUCUAAAUAAGGCGUGUCAAUAGUAGAUGGAGUAUCAACUUUCUCAAAUUCGACUCUUUGAGACUUGGGUGGAGAACUUGAGGCAUCAAUGUUGCACAUAGAACUUGUCCCAUUUGAUGAUUGACCAUCAUUUACUUUAGUAAAGAAUGAAAGUAGAGUUUUCCUCGGUUUGAAUUUGUUGUUUGACAUUAUAACCUAUAACAACAUGUAAUUGUGUAAGAAUCAAGAAAUCAUAAAAAGUGUUAUAAGCUAUACAUUCUACUAAUUUUAAAUAUAUUUAAAGUCGCAAAAUAAAAAAAUCAACAUUAAAAGCUCAUACAAGUCAGUAUAUGGUUAAUACAAAUACCCAUGCCUAUCAAAUUUUUGAAAAAAAAAUUGUAAAAUAUUAGAAUAAUAAGAAAAAAAUAAUAGAUAAACAGUGAGAUUUGAGUUAAUUUAAUCAAAUGAGGAAGUUCAAUAAACAAAUUUAUUUAUUUAUUAGACAAUUUAUUAUCUAUUCAUUCUAAUAUAGAGAUGCCAACCAUCAAUUAGAAUUAUAUGGUAACUAACAAAUCAACAAUCACCAAAAAGUUAUUACCCAAAUCUCAAUUGUUGAUAUUCGUUUAACUGUUUAUACUUUAUACCUAAUUAUUGCAAGAAAGAGAAUCAUAGAAAAGAUGUUUUGAUUUCACCCAUGCUUGUAAACGAGAGAGAGAGAGAGAUAGAUAGAGAGAGAGUUGUAAUAAAUUAAUCCAUACUUGUAAACGAGGGAGGGAACUGUUAUAUAUUAAAAUAGGAUGUGAUUUUUAACUAUUAAAAAUUGAAUGGAAAGUGCUUGAGCCGAAAAGAAAUGAAACAAGGGACCACCACAGCCAUGGGAGUGAGGGAUUUUGUUGUUGCUGCUGGAUGGAUGCAAAGGGGAGAAACAUAAAAAGGUGGAUGCAAAGGGGAGAAACAAAAAAAGGUGGAUGCAAAGGGGAGAAACAAGGAAAGGUAAAGAGGAAUAAGUAAAAGUAAAUAUUAUUUUAUGUAUUUAAUGGCAAUUUUGUAAUUUUCAAAUAACUUUUUAAUUUUUUUUUUGGGGCUAGACCGGGCUACAACGCAAUCUAGCCCAGGCACAGGUCCGCCACUGGCUUAAAGUCGAUUACACUUGGCUUGUUUUAAAUCCUUUUGAUUUAAGGAUUUUGAGGUGGCGCAACAAUAUAAAAAAAAAAAAAAAAAGGAAGUAGCAGCCGCACCAAUUAGAAGAAAAAAACCGAGAGCAGCAGGAGCAAUUUAGAGGAGGAAGAAGACGCUGAAAUUAAUUCUUGAGUUUUUCAUUCCCUUUUCUCUAUUAUCUUACUUGAAUGUUCCAUACGAUAUUUAUGGAUUUUCUUAAUAUUCCCAUAAACUAAUUUAUUUUACUAGGGCUACGAUAUAACCUAACUAUGAAAGUUUAGUUCCAUAAAUCUGUGUUAUUUUUAGUUUAUUAUUUUAUGGUUGAGUGUUCAUUAUUGUGCUUAAUGCUUUUAAAUAUCUAACCAAUAUUUUAAUGAUUUGAAGAUAUAUAAUGAGACCAAGAGAAGAUUUAUACAUUUUUGCUCUAUGUAAUGGAUGUCAUGAAUUGAACGAAAGACAUAGAUGUGCCAAUGUGAUUCAUGCAGUUUUUCUAAGAAUUUCCAUAGAACUUAAUGAAUCUUUGCAUAUUUAAAUUCACAUAGAGAUAUAGUGGGUUGAUAUUUUAAGAUAUUUUUGAUAUUAUUCGAGAGAGGAUAUUAACUAGAUUAGGAAAAUUCACUGUCAACAUGGGUAAUAAACUUUAAUAGCAUAGAUGGAGAAUUAAAUUGGAUUAGUUAGAGUGAAAUUGGAUGUCAUAGUGUCUUAAUCUCUUGGUGAUUUCUAUUACUGCCUGCAUAUUUAUUUAAUUUUUAGCUAUUUUAUUUUAUUUAAUUAUUAAUUUAAAUUCAUUUAUUUGAUUGUUCAAAUAAAUUAGGAUUAGAAUAAUUUCGGUAGCUAAUAGGAUAUACAAUCUCUGUGAGACGAUACUUUACUCUUUAUUAUAUUAUUUGUGCCGACUAAUACACUUACUAAUUUAUGCAUCAAAGUGGGCACACCGGAGACUACCACCUCCGGCCCCAUUUUACCCUUUUAUCAUUUGUUACCAUAUGUGUGGGUUACCUCCAUCUGUUGAACUUGGUUCGACUCCUAAGCGGGAAAAAAUAAGGUGUCAGCAAACCUCUUGAAAAAGGUCAUAUUUAUGUUGCCUAAAAGGUAAUGAACCCACUUUUUUGAGUUGGUGAGUUUUCUCUUUUUCCCAAGCUACCACUAAUAAACUCUUACAGCUAAAGAUUGAAACAUGCAGGCUGCAGCCACAUGAAGCAACCUGGCAAACACGGAAUGGGCUGGUCAGAACAAAGGUUAGAUAUAAUUUUGUAACUUUUAUGUUCAAAAUUAUAUCAUGAAAGUGAGCCCGUAAUAUAUGAAACAUGUGCAACGAUGCAAGUCAUGGUUGGAAACUAGUUUUGCAUCCAUAUAAGCAAGGGUUGAAUUGAAAUUAUUUUCGAAUUUAUAAAGUAAUGGUUUCGAUUUUUUGGAAAUGAUGCAGCAUUUUAUUGCCUAAAUAGAAUGUUGCCAAUACUUUGCUUAGAGCUGGCAAAAUUUGACACGACCCGAUUACCCGACACGAACACGACAUAAAUAAAUAGGUAUGGGUCGUCAAAUUUAACACGAUUAUUAAAUGGGUCGGGUCUGGGUCAACACGAUUUUUUUCCGUGUCGGGUUUGGGUUAAAAUUCUUGACCCAUUUACCCGAUCAAUGACCCGAUUAUAUUUUCUAUUUUAAAAUAAUUUACAUAUUCUUAUCAUUAAAACUCAAAUAUUAGAGAUGAUUUUCUUUUUUUUAUUCUUUAAAAAGGUGAAUAUAAAUACAGUGUUUUAUUUAUAAAAUUUUAAAUACAUUUAGAGCUUCAAUAGUGUAAAUGUAUAAAAAUUGAUAGACACGUAUAUUUUAUAAUAUUGAUAUAUAAUAUUAUAUAUAUAUAAUUAAAACCUCAAUAGUGUAAAUGUAUAAUAUAUUGGUAGAUAUGUAUAUUUUAUAAUAUCGAUAAAUUAUGUAUGUAUGUAUGUACAUACGUAUGUAUGAUAGUGUGUAAAUAUUUGAUGUAACUUUUAUUCAAUAUAUAUAUAUUAAACGGGUUAUUGGGUAACCCGAUUAUUUUUCCGUGUCGGGUUUGGGUCUCAAUUUUGACACGAUUAUUAAAUGGGUCGGGUUUGGGACGACCUAAAUUUGACACGACACGAACACGACCCGAUGACCCGUUUUGCUAGCUCUAACUUUGCUCUCAAAUGCAAUGUGCAUGCCAAUAAUUAAUAAGACUAUAGUCAUUUACAACAAAAAUUAAACUGAUCAUAAAUCUUAACUAAACUCUUCGAUAUAAUCUAAGGAUAUUAUCAGGGAUCCAUUAUUAAUUUUAUUUCGAGAAUAUAAUACUAUAGAUUAAUUUCGUAAUUGAUAGUUUAAAAAAAAAAUCUGAAGCUGGUUUGAUAGCAAUCGGGACACUGUUGCUAUCCGAAUUUAAAAUACAAAAGUAAUUGGGGAAAAGAUUGAAAUUGAUAAAUAGGGGUGGCAAUCUGGGUCAAGAUUCGUUUAUUGAUUUGAUUCGAUAUGAAUUAAAUGGGUUUGAGUUUGAAAAAAAUUAAUUCAUUUAAUAAAUGCGUGAAUUCGAUUCGAUUAGCUUAUUAUUCGUUUGAUUAAAUUAUUUUUUAUCUUUACACUUAUCUAAAAGAUUUUGAAAUUGGUAGGCUAAUAUAAUAAUUUAAAGGGUAAAUUUCAUCGUACCCCCUUAUUAAAUUGACAUACUUCAAUUUAUCCUCUAAAAAUAUGAAAACUUCAAUCUACCCCCAAAAUAUGUUUUCUCUCUGUUAAUUUUAACGAUCAAAAGGAUAAAAUUAUAUUUGUACAUUUUCUGUUAGGGUCAACUAAAUAGUAAAAGUCAAACUUCCAUUUUUUCUUUCAUUCAUACCCAAAUGUUUUAAUAAAUUAAAGAAUACACCUAAAUACUUUAAUGAAUUUCACAUUACACCCAAAUAGCUUAUUAUUUUAAAAAUUGAUUAUUUUUCGUUUAAUUUUUACUAUAUAUAAAAUCAUUUGAAAUUUUGAAUGGUUUCUGCUGAGAGUCACAAUACAGAAGAAGUAAGAAGCGGAAGCAAGAAAAGAAUAAGAAAGAAGCAACAAGAAAAGAAGAUGAAAAGAACAAAAGAAGACAAACAAUUAAAAAAAUGAUGAAGAAGAAGAGUUGGAGAUGAAGAAUGAAAGAAAAAAUUAAGAAAGAAGAAAUUGAACAAUUGAAUUACAAUUUUUUAAAAUUUUAAAUUUUAAAUGUUAUCAGUUUUUAUUUUUAAUUUUUGAAUAAAAAAAUUUUAAAGCAUAAUUUUUUUUCUUUAAUGCUUGAUUUCUUAUAAUAGCCCAAACAAUAAAAUUAUUUAUUUAAUUCCUGCAAUUCCAAUUUCAAUUCAAAUCUCUAGAUAACAUUUUAUCAACCUCUUUAAUUUGUACUAACAAAGGAAUUCAAUGUUCACAAAUUUUCCUAGAAGUCCCAAUAAGAAAUCAAAAACCCAUUUCAAGAACUAAAAAUUCCUUUAGAAAUGUAACAAAAAUAUAAUCUGGUAUCACAAUUACAACCCAAGCUCUUAAAUUAAAGCAUUAAUUAAAAAAAUCUAAAAAAAAGAAAGAAAGAAAAGAAAAACAAAGGAAGCGCUUUUGCCGUUUAACUUGAAAAAAAUCAAUUUUUUUUUCAAAAUCCCUAGCCACCAUGUCGUUACCAUUGUCACCACUCACCACCGCUAUUCCACCGUCCUUUCCACUAUCAAACAACUCGAUACCAAAUGAAAUACUAAAUACGCAACCUAAGAAGGGGGUGAAUUGUUAUUCUAAAAAUUUAAGCAACUAAAACUUAAUGCAAUAUAAACUAAGCAACCAAAUUCGAAAUAAAUAAAUUAAUACGUAAUGAAAAAUAAAGAAUUAGGGUAGGAGAGAGCAAAUACUCAAUUUUUACGUGGCUCGGCCAACUGUGCCUACUUCUACGCCUCCAAGCCCACCGGACUUGAGGAUUUCAUUAAGUAAUCCUCUAAGGCUUCAACAACUCUUAUAAUUGACUUCCAAUGUGUCAAUAGACCUUUACACCAAAAGAUUAUCCCCAACCUCUUAACCUAAAUGUAUCCCAACACUUACAACCUCUCAAGGAUAAAGAUUACAAAUGAAUUUUCUAUCACACAAUGUGUUUAAUUACAAAUGAAUGCUCAAUGUGUGAAUCAAAGAAACAAAAACAAGUUUAAAGCUCAAUAAUGGUUAUAUGCUAAGUAACAAGCUCAAUGAUAACUCUUAGAUCUAACUUUGUUUGAAUUUGAUUGAGCUAUUUUAUAGUUGGAGUUGAAAAGUAGCUAUUGUUGACUUUCUAAGAGAAAUCGGAUCGCCGUUAAUUGCUAUCGGUUUACUGUUUUGACCAGUCCAAAUGACCGUUGUGCUGAAAUUUUAAAUAGCCGAUUCACCAUUUGAAGUUAUCGAUUGACCGUUUAUUUCUAGAGACCUUUAAAACAAAUUUUGGCUAUCCGUUCUUGCUAAAUGGUUCACGGUUAGAAUCCAAUUCUUUUCUAGAAAUUAUCGGUUCACCAUUUUUCGUAAACAGUUCACUAUUAUUUUCCAAAAUCAUCAUUUUAACAACCCUUGUAGAACAUACUUUUUGGAAAUUAUUGGUUUGUUGUUUUCAACAAACGGUUAGCCGUUUGCUACAGUGAAGCUAUUUUACAAAAUUAUAAUUUUACCGCAAAACUUCAUGUAAUUAUACUAUGACCCAAAUUGUCAUAAAACUUUACAAAUAAGUCUAUUUUUAGAGUUUCAAAACUUUUUCAAUUAGACCAUGAACUUGAAAAACAACCAAUUUCAUUUAUUUAAAAAGUAUAAAAAAUAAUUUGAACUAUUAAAAACUUAAUCAUUCUUAAUCUUGUUUGUUAUCAUCAAAAUCAUCAUUAUAGACAUAUACAUAUUAACAUUCUCCCUCAUUUUGAUGAUGACAAACCUUACAAGAUAAUUAAAGAAUAUCUAGGUUUACUCUCCCUAAAUAUGUGGUCCCCCUAAGUAUGUGCCCAAUCAAUUUCUAACCAAAUAUAUAUAUAUAUAUAUCCCUCUUCAUCAUCAAAAAGAAAAAAAAAUGGAAAAGACUAAAGAAAUAAGUCAUCUAUUGCCCGUUUUGUGCGACCAAAAAUUUCAGCAAAAUUUCCAUUUAAAAAUGAGCAUAUCAUCAAAUACAAAAGUAGUUAAAAACAUUUCCAUAUAUUUGCAAACCAACUCAACGAAAACAACUCAAAACAAUGUUCAACCCAAUAAUCAACAUGCAUAUGACCAUCAGUCAUCAAAAUCAUUAAGUUAGGUUAGAAAUUACCAUGCAAUCCAAAUAUCAUCAUAAAAACUAAAACAGUACAUAUGACAUAAUGAUAUCAUCCUAAAUAUAAAAUGAGUGGAGUAAUGUAUGUACGAAAAACAUAAAGACAUAAACUAAUAAGGGGACUGUGAUGAAGAUCCAGCAAGAGGAAAUGGCACUGAUUAGAAUGAAGUUAGAGAGUAAGGAAGGUUUCUACGACCCCAAUUUGAUCAAAGAUGGAAGACAUUUAGGCCAAAAGUGGGUGAAGAAUGUUCAGCAAAACUUAGGGUUUCCGUUUGGGAUUUUUGAUUUUUGGGCUUGAAAUUGGGUUUUGAUUAUGAAAAUAAAGAGUUUAUGAGAAUUAGAAUGGUUAUGGAGUCUCAAUUUUGCAAAAAGAUUGUUACUUUUUGAAGGACUAGGUCAAAAUCAACCCUACCAUUUGUUAAUAAACUCAAAUGCAUAACCCAAUGAAGAAAACAACAACAACAAUAACAAUACUAAUAAUAAUAAUAUUCAAGUCGGCUAAGUCAAAUAAGAGGAUAGUGUUGGAGAAAAAUUAGUUUUUUUUUAAAUUUUAUAAAAACUUUUAAGAUCACUCUCAUACAAUAUAUAAGAAUUUAUAAUAUAGAAAUCGUACCUUGAAAAUCCGAUUUGGUUUUUUCCGCUGAAGUGAUUUAGGGUCCCAGAUCACGAUCCGUCACCACCACUCAUGUUAGAUCACGAUCCGUCACCACCACGCUUGUUAGAUCACGAACUGUCACCAAUGAUCUUCCAGGUUAUGACUUAGGUUUGAUCUGCACUUGACGUGUGGGCGCCUUUAUCACCACUAAAACAACUAGCACGAGAAAAUUUUUCUCUCAAAAUUUAGAGAGAAAAAUCUUUUUCUCUGAUUUGUAUAAAGUGGCUGCUCUUUUUCUUUAGAGAAAAUAAGCCUUUUUAUAUCUCUCUUUAGUGAAAACCCUAGGCUCCAUAUUUAUUUAUUUUUUAAUUCUAUUAAAUCCCAUUUGAUUUAAAUUAAAAAAUAAUUAAAACAAAAGUCACGUUACUUGUUCUUGUGUUAUAGGGGCCUACCUUGUAAAAUAUCACAAGGCCCCUUACACUCAAGCAUAUUAAUGGAGUCUCUCACUAAAUAAUAUUUUUAGUCUUUUAACCCAAAUAGCUAGUUAUCUUGCUUAUUAAUCUAGUAGCGGCGCAGUCAAUUAAAUGAGCUAACUUGGGGAUCAUUUGAGAACAUACAAUAGUGGCUACAAUAAUUAGACUUGUAAUUAAACUAGCCCAAUUAUUUAAUUCCAAAUUUACUCCACUAAAAGAUUGGAACUGACCUCUAUAAUUGUAUGCUUCUUUUGCAACUCCAGAUGUUGCCACAUAUUCAGCUUCAGUUAUGGAGUCUGUGAUACAAGAUUGUUUCACACUCAUCCAACUAAUAGCUCAACUUCCUAAUGUAAACACAUAGCCAGAAGUUGAUUUUCUAAAAUCCUUAUCUGACAAAAAAUCAGAAUUAGUAUAACCCACUGGAAUAAGUUCAUCACCAGAAUACACAAGCAUAUAAUUUUUAAUUCUUUUCAGAUACUUUAUAAUAUGCUUGACUGCAGUCCAGUAUUGAGGUCCAGGAUUAGAUUGAUAUCUGCUAACCCUCCCUACCGCAAAACAGACGUCUGGCCUAGUGCAAAGCAUAACAUACAUGAGACUUCUCACAGUUUCUACAUAGGGAACUCGUCUCAUUUUCUCGAUCUCUUCAGAUGUUUUAGGUGAUUAAUCCUUAGAGAAUACAAUUGCAUAUCUGAAUGGUAAUAAACCAGUCUUGAAAUUUUCCAUGCUAAAUCUAGCCAAUAUCUUUUCGAUAUAAACUGCUUGAGACAAGGCUAAAGUUUUAUUCUUCCGGUCUCAUAGUAAUUUGAUACCAAAAAUAUAACUUGUCUCUCCCAGAUCUUUCAUAUCAAAUUGUUUUGCUAACCAAAUCUUUAUUAUAGUCAAUACUCCUAUAUCAUUUCCAAUCAGGAGAAUAUUGUCUACACAAAGAAUUAGGAAGGCUAUAAAUUUUCCCUGAAUCUUCUUGUACACACAUGGUUCAUCAAUGUUCUGAAUGAAUCCAAGAGAUUUAAUCUCUUGAUCAAAUCUGAUGUUCCAUGACCGGGAUGCUUGUUUUAAUCCAUAAAUGGAUUUCUGCAACUUACAUACCAUGUGUUCUUGGCCUUUUUGUACGAAUCCAUCUGGUUGCUGCAUGUAGAUGUCUUCUUCAAGAUGCUCGUUAAGAAAUGCUAUCUUGACAUCCAUUUGCCAAAUUUUAUAAUUUAGCGCUGCAGCAAUGGAGAGCAGAAUCCUGAUGGAUUUAAGCAUAGCAACCGCAGAAAAGGUUUCCUCAUAAUCGAUUCCCUCUUUCUGAGUAAACCCUUUGGCUACUAAUCUUUCUUUAAAUGUUUCCAUCCUUCCAUCUACUCCUCUUUUUCUCUUGUAGAUUCACUUGCACCUUAUAGGUUCUACCCCAUUUGGUGCCUCUACAAGUUCCCAAACUUUAUUGGAAUACAUAGAUUCCAUUUUUUUAUUUAUGACAUUUUUACAAAAUUCAAUAUCUCUGUCUAUUAGAGCUUCGUUGUAGCUAGUGGGAUAUUGUACAUGUUCAACUGAGAUCGCCAUAUAGGUUUCUCUCAAUGACAUGUAUCUCACGGGUAACGUAGUUACCCUCCCACUACGACGAGAUUCUAAAAGUGAUGGUUGUUCAGGGAUAAUCUUGUGCUGAUCAGCUAGUUGUUGCUGUUCUUCCUGUUCUAUAACAGGUGUUGAAAGCUGAGCAUCAACCUGAUCUCUUUUAUUUCUCUAGUUUUACCUUACUCUUAGGUUAUAAGUCAUUAUAUAGUCUUCCUCAAAAAAAGUAAAGAAUAUGUCUAUAACUACAUUCCUAUCUUGAGGACUAUAAUUUAGACUUUCCCUUAUUCCUUUAAGAUACCUAAAACAUGCAAGCUUCUGAACACGAAUCCAUCUUCUUUACCUCUGAUUCUAGUAGAAAUACUAGUAAACUCCAAAUACGAAUGUGUCUCAAACCAUGUUUGUGACUUUUUCAUAAUUUCUUGGAGUAGUAGACACCGAUAUAGAUGAAACUAAGUUCAAUAAACUUUGCAGUUUUAAAUACUAGUAUCUAGAAUAAAAAAAGGUAAAUGAUAAACCACUUAGUAUAUAUCUUGUCUUAUCCAAAAGAAUCUUGUUUCUUCAUUUAAUACACUAUUGUAUCAUAGUGUUCAUUAUAUGAGGGAGUUUAUCUCAUUUGACAACCAAAUAGAGCUUGAAUUCUCCAUAGAGAUAUUUGUUGUUUCGAUCAUAUCGAAGUUCUUUUAUGUUCUUGUCUAAUUGCUUCUGUCUUAUCCACGUACUCUUUUGAAUUUCAAAAGCAAUGGAAUCAUGACGCAUUUAGACAAACAUAAAUAAAAUGAAUAUUUAUCAACAAGAUUGAUAGAAUACUCAUAACCUCUUAUAACAUGUAAACUGGUUACAAUGAUCAAUCUUAAUAGGCCAACAAGACUAUCAUUAAUCAUUUUCUUAAAAUCUUAUUAUAAUUAUAGUUUAUAUGACUUAAGCAUAAAUAUCAUAGGCGAUUUUGGUUAGAAGAAACAUUUAUUUUCUUAGAUAAAUGCAACUACUCUUUAUCAUUAUAUCUUGCUUUGAAUAGAUCAAUGGACUUAUAUGAUAUAAAUUAUCUUUAUAAAUAACCAAAAUAAGUAAUAAACAGAGGAUCCAAAAAUAACAGUGUACUCCUGUUUAUUAAAACAAGCCACCGAAAUUAAAUUCCUCUUAUAUUUGAAAAAAUAAAGACAAAUAUCAAAACUAAAGUCUUGUAAAAUUGAUCUAGUCUUUCAAUUGAUAUAAACUAGCAUGUCCUCAACUGCUGUUCGAAACUUUCUUCACUUAAUCUCUUGGUUUCCUGAAAACCAAAUAAAUGAAUUACAAAUAAGACUAGUUAUCUCAGAAUAUACUAUUGCAUGAAUCAAUAGAAAUCUGAACUAAUUAGAAGCUUAAAGAUUUCCUAUACCUGAUUUUAAUAAUCUUAGGACAAUCUUUCUUCCAGUAACCCUUCUGUCCACAUUUGAAACACUUACCUUUUGGCUUGCCACUUCUUUUAGUGGACAAUUUGUCGAUCCCAACUCUUUCUUGCUCAUUCUUGUCUUUCGACUUAAGCCUUGAAGAGAAUCAUUUUUCAGGAAGUUUUCUGCUAUGAUAAAAUUCUUCUAUAGCAUGUAGUUCGUGCAUUAAUUCAAUUAAGGUCAUAUCUUUAUUGUUUAAGAUAUAGCUGACCUUAAACUCUUUGAAUGUAUCAGGUAAAGAUUCAAUCACCAUGUUAAUCUUUAUUUUAUCAUUGAUUUGAACACCAUGAAUCUCUACUUCAUUCAAAUAGUCCAUCAUUUUGAGGAUAUGAUCACGAACUUUUGUGCCCUCUUCUAUCUUAGUAUUCGUAAUACGUUUUAAUGCCGCUUCUCUGGCAAAAUGAGUAUUUUGUCCAAACAUCUGAUGAAGACUAGCCAUUAUUUCAGUGGUUGUUUCUAUACUCCGAUGUUUCUUAUGCAGUUCCACAGAAAUCAAAGCCAAUAUAUAGCACUUGGCCAUUUUCUUAGCUUCGCACCAUUUCUCAUAAGACUCCCUCUAAUUUCUAUAAUCGUAUAACAUUGGUUCUGGAGGGCAUGGCUAGGUCAACACAUAUUUGCAACCUUUAGCAGUGAGAAUAUUAAAUAAAUUGCGUUUCUAAUCUAAAUAAUUUUCGCCAGUGAGUUCAUUUUUAACAAAGAUAAUUAAUAAUGGGUUGAUGGAAGACAUUUUCUGAAAAAAAAAAAUAGACAUGCAUAAAUACUUUAAAACAAAAUUCACAAUAAAUGACAAAAAUGCAAAAAACCAUAAAUGCAUUUUAAUUUAUUGAAACGAUAAUCUAGUACCGCUUUGACAAGCUAUCCGUUGGGAAAGUCAUGUCUACACUUACUAGACCCAAUUAUCCAUUGGAUUAUUUACUUUCAUGUAGAGACAUGAUAAAUAAUUAUCUUUAUCCCUUUGGGCCUAAAUUUGUUAACAGAGAUUCGUUGGGAAGAUUAAUAACAAAUUUUAGUUGAGUGUAUAACCAUUGUUUCAAUCUACGUAUUUUUCAUAUCAAUAGUCGCCGUUGGGGUGAACAAUUGAUUGAAAAAUAUUUCAAUUUUAUCUUUGAAGAAGUUCAUCAAAUAAAAUAUCUAAUAUAUAUACCCUCUGUAGGGAGCAUCACCGUAUCAUGAAGUCGUGGUAUAUAUAUAAUUUUAUUAUUGAACUAACAAUGAGGCCCGUGGAAAAAAUUAUCUUAAAUUUUCCCUCUCCCACUCAAUAUUUUAAACUUGAUUUUUUCUUUUUAAAACAUUCAUAUUGUUAAUUGCAUGCUUCCUAUAAUAUUAUCUAGAUGAUAUCAAAUAUUAUUAAGCAUAUGCAAAUUUCAAACAAUAUAGUGAGAUUCAUUAUUAAUGAAUGACAUGUAUCAUUAUGCAUAGAGUGGCAUUACCUAUUCUAUAUGACAUAUUAUCAUGGCAUGUUAUCAUCCAAAACAUAACAUAUAGAAAAAUAAUUAAACAAUCUUAAUUCAUGGUUUUCCUAAAAUAAAAAAAAAUACAUUAACCCUAAGCCUAAUCUUCAUUGGGCUUCUUGUCAAUGUCCAUCUUCCAUAGACUUGUCUUUGUUAAUGGACUAGGAGAAAUUGGGCUUUUUAAAUUUAUUAUUAGUCCAAUUUUAAUUUUGAAAGGAAAUAAAUAAAUAAUUAAAAUAAUUUAUUAAAAUAAAACUUUUGGACCAAAAAUAAAUUUAAUGUGUUUAAUUUUAUCUAUGCAUUUUAAUCCAUUAAACCCAAUUAAAAUUGGGCCUAAAACUAGGAUUCAUUAAGCCCAAAACUGUUUUUGAACUUAAAUGUAAAAAAUUAAAACUUAUCAGCCUAAAGAGAAAAACUAUGAAACUAUUGGGACCUUAAUGAUAAAAACUAUUGAAACCCUAAAUCCAUCUUUUCCUCUCCCCAGCCACCAUCACCAUAAAGGGCAGCCACUAUUCACACAUCUCCGAUGCUGAUUUGACCAUCACCGCCACGCCGGGAAGCCACCAAACGACGCCCUCCGCCAGCCGCAAACGUCCGCAAGCUUCCAGCCUUAGCGCGCUUGCUGCUGGCCUCACACGCGUGUUUGCUGUUGGCAGUGUUGCUUCCAGCUACAGCAAAUGCGCUGGUCGAUGCCGCUGAAAUUUCCAGUCUUCCUUCAAUCCAUCAUUGUGCGAUUAUUUCCAGCGAUUUACAAAUUUCCUACGCCAAUUUUGGCUUACAAAAUUUAUAUAACAGUAAAAUAAAUCAAGAGGAAAACAUGGUGAUAAUAAACCACUCCUCUUGUUACAGAUUCAAAGGAAAAAUACAGCAGAGAAUCUAACAAUUAAUUAAGACAAACUAAAACAUGCUUUAUUAAUAUAUUAAACAAAUAAUAUAUAUCUGAAUAAAUUAUGCCACUCUAAUACAUAAAUUUCAAAAUUGAUUUCAUACAAUAUUCUUAUAUAUUAAUAUGAGAUGACUUUGAUACCAAUUGUUGGAGAAAAAUCAGUUUUUUGAAAUUUUUAUAAAAACUUUUAAGAUCGCUCUCAUAUAAUAUAUAAGAAUUUGUAAUCUAGAAAUCGUACCUUGAAAAUUCGAUUUGACUUUUUCCGCUGAAGUGAUUUAGGCUCCCAGAUCACGAUCCGUCACCACCACUCCUGUUAGAUCACGAUCCGUCACCACCACGUUUAUUAGAUCACGAACUGUCACCAAUGAUCUUUCAGGUUAUGACUCAGGUUUAAUCUGCACUUGACGUGUGGGCGCCUUUAUCACCACUAAAGCAACUACUAGUACAAGAAAAUUUUUCUCUCAAAAUUUAAAGAGAAAAAUCUUUUUCUCUGAUUUGUAUAAAGUGUCUGCUCUUUUUCUUUUUCUUUAGAGAAAAUAAGCUUUUAUAUAUCUCCCUUUAGUGAAAUUCCUAGGCUCCAUAUUUAUUUAUUUUUUAAUUCUAUUAAAUCCCAUUUGAUUUAAAUUAAAAAAUAAUUAAAACAAAAGUCACGUUACUUGUUCUUGUGUUAUAGGGGCCUACCUUGUAAAAUAUUACAAGGCCCCUUACACUCAAGCAUAUUAAUGGAGCCUCCCACUAAAUAAUAUAUUUAGACUUUUAACUCAAAUAGCUAGUUAUCUUGUUUAUUAAUCCACUAGCGACGCAAUCAAUUAAAUGAGAGAAAAAUCUUUUUCUCUGAUCUGUAUAAAGUGGCUACUCUUUUUUUUUAGAGAAAAUAAGCAUUUUUAUAUCUCUCUUUAGUGAAAACCCUAGGCUCCAUAUUUAUUUAUUUAUUAAUUCUAUUAAAUCCCGUUUGAUUUAAAUUAAAAAAUAAUUAAAACAAAAGUCACGGUACUUGUUUUUGUGUUAUAGGGGCCUAUCUUAUAAUAUAUCACAAGGUCCCUUAUACUCAAGCAUAUUAAUGGAGCCUCUCACUAAAUAAUAUAUUUAGGCUUUUGACCCAAAUAGUUAGUUAUCUUACUUAUUAAUCCAGUAGCGGCACAGUCAAUUAAAUGAGAGAAAAAUCUUUUUCCCUGAUCUGUAUAAAGUGGCUGCUCUUUUUCUUUAGAGAAAAUAAGCAUUUUUAUAUCUCCCUUUAAUGAAAACCCUAGGCUCCAUAUUUAUUUAUUUAUUAAUUCUAUUAAAUCCCAUUUGAUUUAAAUUAAAAAAAUUAAAACAAAAGUCACGUUACUUGUUCUUGUGUUAUAGGGGCCUAUCUUAUAAAAUAUCACAAGGUCACUUACACUCAAGCAUAUUAAUGGAGCCUCCCACUAAAUAAUAUAUUUAGGCUUUUAAUCCAAAUAGCUAGUUAUCUUGCUUAUUAAUCCAGUAGCGGCAUAGUCAAUUAAAUGAGCUAACUCGGGGAUCAUUUGGGAACAUAAAAUAGUGGCUACAAUAAUUAGGCUUGUAAUUAAACUAGCCUAAUUAUUUAAUUCCAAAUCUACUCCACUAAAAGAUUGGAACUGACCUCCAUAAUUGUAUGCUCAAAUAAUAAUUUGUCCUAAGUCACAUUGAUUUCUUUACUGCACAAUCUUUUGUACCACAUCAUUAAUUAAAUUGAUAUCUCCACUGUCCAAUCAAUUUAAUUACAUCUUGUUCCUUAGUUCUUACUAGUUUUCUCUAAUGAUCAUUUUCAACAUACUAAAUAUAUUGACACACUCUGGCCAGAAAAUUCUAUGAUCAAGUGCCGAAAACCCAUCAAGAGAUGUGUUGUACAAAUUCUAUAUUGUUAAUCUAUAACUUCAAUAUUCAUAAUUGCUCCCACCAAAAUAUCGGAUAAUCUCGACUACAAGUAUGUGUCGUACCCAUUUGUAACUCAAAUGGAAUAACAAUUACAAUCAUGAAAUCAUAAUUAACUCAAGAUUAAGAUUACAAUAAAAUCAAUGCCUAUGAGAUUUAAUAAGUCUGACAGUUAUUUCAAGGUUAAUUAAAUCUCAUAUGUGAUCCAGUUCAAUGUAAUCAAACUACAUCAGUAAAUUCAUACAUGAUUAAGAUAAAUCAUUCAAUGAAUUUACUAUAGUUUAAAUAUAAAUAGAGCGCUCAACUCUAUUUAUCAACUGUGAACUUAAUUUGUUUAAUCAUAAAAUAACUUGUAUUUAUAUCUUCUGUGAAUUCAUAUGAUGAUCACAUAAAUACAUAUAAUAUGAUUAAAUAGACCUUAUUUAAAAUAUUUAUACAAUUAAAAAUAUCUCUAAUAUUUUAUUAAUCAUAAAAUAAAUUAAUAUGUUUUAAAAGAGCAUAUAAUCCUAACAGAUAACAUGCUGCAUAGGGAUGGCAAAAAUCCCCACGGAGACGGGUACCCUCGGGGAUUUUCCCCAUUCGGGGAGGGUAUGGGGAUAAUUUCAUACCCAAUUUCUUAUUUGAGGAAGGGGAUGGGGAAAUUUUUUUACCUAAUUUCUUAUUCGGGGAGGGGACGGGGAUGAGGUGGAAUCACCAUCCCCUACCCAUUUCCCCAUUUUAAUUUUUAAUUUAAUUUUUAUUUUUUAAAAUUACUAGUAAAUAAAUAAUAAAAUUUGAAUUAUAAAAUUAUAAGUAUUGGUAAAAAUAAAAAAUAUCAAAAUAUUUAUAUUAUUAAACUUUUAGGCCUAAUUAACUAAUUAAAGUCCUAAAUUUUUAUUUAUAACAUUAAAAAGACCGGACAGAUUCUAUUAGCCCAAAACUUUUGUUUUAAUUUUAAUAUUCAUUAAAUAUUUUAAACUUAAAUCUAUUUUUUAUUUAUCUUAAUCUAUUUUUUAUUUAUUUUUAUAUGUUAUAAUUACCCACAAUAAAUCACAAUUUUAAUAUCUAAUCUAAUAUAAUAUUUGCUCUUGAUUUACUUCCACUUAACUAUUGUGUUGUAAAGAGAAUAGUCCACAUUUAUAAAGUGCCAACGCCACCAUUGAAAAGUUAAUUUUGAAUCUAAAUUUGAUUUUAUUUGUAAUAAUUUUGUAUUAGGCUAUUAAUCUGUUCAUGAUAGUUUGUAUCUCUUGCAUGCUGCGUUACUUACUAAUUUAAUGUAUGUAACUUUUGUAAUGGAUAUUAAUGUAAGAUAUAUUUCGAACUUUACUUUUAUUUGAAUUUUUUAUUUUAAUAUGAUUAACUCAAAAUCGAAAACAAAAAAUAUAUAUUAAUUAUUCGGGUAUUGGAGACCCUCGGGGAUCUCCUGUUAUUAUUCGGGGAGGGGAUAAGAAUUCUCUUAAAUAAUUUUGACGGGAAUAGGGAGGGAACGAGGACAUACGCAAAAUAUCAGUGAUAGAUAUGAGAAGAUUGGUCCCCUCCCUCCCCUCCCCAUUGCCAUCCCUAAUUCUGCAUUUCUUAGAUAGAGGUGGAGUUAUUGGCGGUGGUGGCUGAGCAGAGUUGAGCUCGGCCUUGUUGCUGCGGAUAUGCUUGGCAGCUUCAGCAUAAGCUCUUGGGCUUCUUUGGCGAUGUUGAAAAUGCCAAGCCAAAUGCAGAUGCCCUUGUAACGGUCUCUAGUCUCAGCUGCCCAUUUUCCCCAUGGCCUAGCCUUAUUCCUCUAUAAACGUUCUUUUGAACUCGCAAAGUCUUCUUCUCCGUCCCCUCAUCAUGAGCAGCUUUAUAGCUUGAAUCUUCAGCCUUCGCAGAUGAAAGCUACCGGAAGUUCAAAAAUGGAUCAACAACGAUUUUGAGAGAUUUUAUUAAGUUGAAAAAUCGAAGAAGAAAAUGAAAAUUAGGGUUUUUUUAUUUAAAUUUAUUAAAAGCGUAAAAUCAGAAAUUAAUAUUUAACUAUGGAUAAAAUAAAGAAAUCAAACUUUUUGAUGGAGUGGAAAUCAGAUUUCCUCACUCGUUAUAGAGGAAAGUGAAUUCCUCAAAUAAUGGAAAUUGGAGGUAAAACAGAAUUUGAAUCUCCGAUGAUAUUUUGCCGGCCGAAUGAACGAAAUCUAGGCGGAAGUGAAAAUCAUCUCCUCUCCCGACUCGUCUACCCCCAACCGAACAUAGUCUUUACUGUCCUCUAUUUGUGCAAUGUGAUCGGAGGAGAUUUUUAUUUCUAUGAUUAUACUCUAACGGUCCUCUAUCUCUAAUUAAAUAGAUAAUGACAUAAUUUCAUUGUAAUCUGCUUAUGAUAUGCUUUUGAAUCUCUCUGUUAAUUAUACGAUGGAAGAAGAUAAUGUCAAAAAUGAGGAAGAGGGAUUCAACACAGGACCACUUUUGAGUGUUAAAAACAACACCUAGGUGCUUAUUAACUGUCAGAACAACAAGAUGCUUCUUUUCUUGGUCGAGAGCUUUUGAUCGUCGGUGCAAUAUGGUUCUUGAGAAUGCUUGAGAGAUGUGGUGUGAGCUGAGGUACCAAAGACUGGAAAUGGCAAGAAAAAGAAAAAAGGCACUCCCAGAGAAGAAGGAUGACUCAUCAGUAAGACUUUUCCCCGAGGAGAUCCUAUGAUCAUUGCUUUUAGGCACUUCCACCUUGUUUGAAAACCUCAUCUAUCAACACUGUUUGUGAUGUGUAUUGCACCAACCAUGUGCUGCCUAUCGGCUAUUCAAUGGAUAAUUGAUCAAUUGGAUUAGAGAUGUUAUGAUGAGUCUCAAGAUAAAUAAUAAAACUCUAUUCAGGUGUGAUAUACCGGCAAGCCUCUGCUUCGAUAACAAUUGUAACAACAGAAUUGGCUAAAUAUAUAAUGGUUCAUUUGCUAGACGGGAAAACAUUCAGUAGACAAAAUACCCUGCCCGUUGAAUAACUCCCAAUCGUUCAUUCUUUCUUAGGAAUUAACUACGUGGCCAAUACAAAAUAAAAUUGUUAUAAUCAAAAUAAUUGUUAGUUGAUAAUUUCUUGUUGUCACAUGAUUGUUGAUAGGAUAAUUUGACACUCACUCUAUCUCAAAGGUUAGCUCCACUAGAAGAGAGAAUUAAGGAUCUUUAGGGAGGAAAUAAUGAACCCAGAGAAAAGGCUCAGAAUUAGUCUGCCAAUCAACAUAAAAUGCAAAAACGUGGUUUAGAAGAUAUAGUAAAUUUAAAACAUGAACUAAGGAAGUUAUCUACAGUAUCUCAAAAUACAUAAAAAUAGGGGCAUGAUCCAAAAGCCCUACAAACAUGCCACAUAAUCAAAAUUCGAAAGGCAUCUAAGGAGAAAAAGAUAACGAGAGAGGUAAGAAAACUUUUUUUUCUGAAAAAAUUCUCCACUUUAUUGGAAAUAUACAAUUUUUUACAGGUCUAGAUACCCUAUUUUAUGUAUUAUUUGUUUCUUUUGAGUGCAAAUGUUGACAUUUUGUCUAUUUACUAUGUGUGCAAAUAACGAUCCAUCUAUCAUUCCCAGUUCAAUGCAAAGGGAAAGGAAACGAGCAUCAAUCUGUCAUAAGAUUAAAAUUGCUGCAAGUAAGCCAUUCAGACAAAAAGUUUCUUUUUCUCCAGUAUCUUACAAUUUUUUCUUUCUCAAAUUCAUGGCGCUAACUAUAUGGCAUUACGGCCAUAUGAUCUGAUUACCUUCUUAACCCUGACACUUUGAAUAUGACAGUUUCUGACGAAUCAAACUAUUUUUAUAGAUUGGAGUCAUCUGUCAUACGAAUUUUCACCCAGCAUCUAAAAAUUUCAUGUCUAUUGACAAUUCAUUAAGAUUUAAAGGCAAUGAAAUUUGUCUCUCAUAUAGGCAUAUAUAAAAUCAUGAAAAUCUCUUGUUAAUCAAUGAAUAGUUUGUGGUUUUUUAUGAACAAGAAAAACAUUUUUCAAAUAUUUAUAAAUUUUAUUUUUUUAAAAAAAAUGAAUAACCCCCGUGUCUGUUUUUAGUCACCCCCGCCUAACAAAUGGCUUUUGGAUUCGAGCAAGUGUACUUCUGGCAAUCAUAUGAAUUUCUCAUGUGCAACACGCACGACUAUAACAGUAAGAAUUUGGGGGAAGCAGGAUAUUUGAUAACAAUUUCUUAGGUAUCUUUUUCCUUUCUAAAUCACCAAUUUAAGCAUAUAAAGAAUCAGGAUGGAAGUAUACAAGAUAACAAAACCCUUCCAAUAUCCAUAAGCUAUCAAAUAUAUGCACAAGCAAAUUAAUGCUUCAAACAAUGAAUGUGGUAUCUCAAUCACCUCUGAUUUUGCGCAGACUGAGAGCUCACUUCAGAAACAAUUGAUACUGGCUUAACAUUGGCAAGGGAAAUUGGUGUCAGUGGUGGAGAAGAAACACCUUCCAACUUUUCCACAACUUUUGGAGACUCCAAGAACUUAGAUACAUGUAAUGCCAUUGCUUUCUGGCUACUUGAGGGUAUGGAGAAACUCCGAGAGACAAUCAAUGGGGGAAUCGGAAGAGGGGAUGCCGUAUUAGAUGCCAUCGAAGGAUUCUUAUUUGUUGAAGUAUGCUCUUGAUUUCUAAACAUCAACGGAGCAGAGUGACCAACCAAACCAGAGGAUUUUGCAGGCUUGGUAGCAAAAGCAUUUGGCGGCCGAGGAAGCUCAUGAAGCUCGCUUAUUCUAGGCGAGGAAACAAGGGGGGGUGAAGCAGUAGGGGAUACUCGUGGAGAUGUUUUCGUCUGAGGAACCGGUGCAUGAGAAAGUAAUCCAGAUACUAUUUGAGGAAGUUCGGUAUAGGUAAUGGGGCCACUGGAAGAUAAAGCAGGCUUCGAUGAAGAAGAUUUACUACUUAACGGACCAGAGGAGGCUUGUGUUUUGAUUUUCUUGGUAUCAGAACUAUUAAGAGUAUCAAGCUGUGGAAGUGCAAGACCGUCUCUCAGAGGAGGGGGUCUCGUGGAGGCAUUAUUACUGUCACUCUCUUUGAGAAGUGACUGUGAUUUUAAGACAGAAUGCUCAGACAAGUGAGCAUCACCAUAAUCUCUAUCUUCUUUCUUCUGCUCCAAUGGAGAAGAAUGUGACAAAUUGUAGGUUCGUCCACUGGGAUUAGAUGGUCUUGUACGGGGAGCGACGGAAGAAGAGAUUGGGACCUUUGCAUCAAUAGGCGUGGGCAGCACAUAUGUGCUUGGCUGCCGAGCAGAUGAUUGCUGCACUUGUCUUAUUCUUUCAGCUGGAUCAAUCUUCCUUUCUGGAAAUAUCGGGGCAGAAAAGCUACUUCCUCUCCGUUCCCUAUGUGAUGCCUGGUACUCUCCUGGGUUUUUGUCCAAGUUUACCUACAGUUCAAAUAUGCAUAAAAUUAAUCUUAAAAGUUUAAAACAAUGACUUCAAUUGGCACAACCAAACAUCAAAAUCAGUAAAAUGCCCAUUAUUCUAAAGAUGCAGCAAACAGUUAAAGAGUAAGGCAUGAGAAAGCUUCAAUCUAAACUAUACAACUACAUCAUCAGAGUCAAAUCUAUACUGCAAUGGUUAUAGGAUCCAAACCUCUGCAUUUUCCACUGUUGAAGCCUGGGGAAAUGAAACAUCAACAUCAUCUACCUGCAGAAUAAACAACUAUAUCAUCCAUACAUAUAUAAAAUCUAACAAUCGAAAAAACAGAGUACACAACUUGCAAUAUGAUCAUCAACUACACCAAUUAAGACCAUCACAGGUUACAUGAUUGAUCAGCCAAAGAUAAAUGCUAUAUUGAAGGGAUUUAAGUUGGAGGAUCCAAUCAGACAAAUGGAUCAUCUGUUUUUCUUUUACAGCGGGUUCAGAUUAGCCUUACUGGUCCAAAUUAGUAGCAUAAAGUAGAUAAAAUAUUCUGAUCAUUAUUUUUAAAAAUAAAAUAUUUGCAUUUAUUUUCAACAAUGAAGAGUAAACAAAAGUAGAUAGAAUAUAUUACAGCUAACGAAUGAGAGCUGUGGAAUGAAAAAUUUUGUGAUCUUAAAACCACUUAAAUAUGGGUUGAGUCAACCAUCAGAUAUAAUCGGUGGUUUAGCUCCUACCCAAAAUCACCUUAGAUUCAGACACACCCAUAACUGGAGGAACAGAAAGCAAAUGACCUCAUCCCCCAAUGUUGGUUUUCACACACUCCCAAUCUGACAGGCAUAUUGGAGGAUAAAUUCAGUAUUACCCCAUAAUUCCAUUGAAUCCAAUGAAUUUUAAGUUCAUAAAUCAUCAAUCCUCAGAUUCAAUUUUCUAUGCAUGUAUCUCUCAUGUAAACUGAAGAGUAACUUACUUUACUAUGACUACAAGAGAUCACAAUUUCAUUAUUUAAUAAACAAAGACGGUACCGAGUCAAGCCUAAAAACUUUUUCAGUUAUGAUAACCAUGAAAAAUAAUAAUUCAUCAAUUAGUUAUUGGUCUAUCUUCACAGCAAACAUAAAGCACACACUUUGCAUGCAGCCAAUGUGAACACAAUUGGACAACACCAGAACUAUCGUUGACCAUAAUACCGGAAUAAAUUAGCUCUAAUACACUAAUUUUCUGUGACCAAUAAUAUGAAAACCAUAUUCUACUUUCUAAUAAAGGUAGACAAUCCAAACCCUACUAUUAAAAGAUAUGACCAGUUGCGUUACAGUAUAUCCAUUCUAGCAACUGGGCUAUGGCAUGGAAUCAUGAUUAUGAGCUCAUUCACUAAAGCAUGGCCCAUGGCUGAGAAUAGAUCCUUCAAAAAAAAAAUCCUGAUGCUAAGAAAUUUUGUGAAAAACAGCUUGGUAAAAACUGAAAAAUUAAGCAUUCACAAUCCAAAACACUUCUUUUUUUUUCUUUUCCUUUUUUUUUUCAAUAAGAACAACGCAAAACAGCAUAAAUCAAAAGCAGAAUUGUCAUCCAACAAUAUGAUUGAGAGUUGUCAUAAGACAAGAUAAAAAUGCACAUCACGACCAUUUUCCAUAUGAAUGAAACAAAAAUCUCGGUGACAAUAGGUCCUCACCUCCAUUGAUUUCCUUGACGUAGAAACAACAUCAAGACCCUGCUUAUUAUCUCUGUAGUCAAAACUCAAUUCCCCUGCCUCAUUGGCAUAAUAGCUAUCCUCACCAUCUUCCCCAUCAUUAUCUUCAAGUCCAGAGAAUUGGUAAUCUAUAUGUUGCCUUUCAGCAACCAAUCUAACAUGAGUGUCAACUGCCUCAAGUGAUUUAAAUCCUUUCCUAAAGAAAUUCAACUGCACAGAGUGCAGAAAGCAAAGAAACCAAGGAAGCAUAUUAAGAUUUGACUUAUACAGAGUGAGAAGUCUAGGCAAUUGACUUUCCUAGAAACAAAUGAAAUAACCUGAGCUGCAUGGUGGCGAGCAGCCUGAGUUAGAAGACUUCGGUACUGCCCUUGUUUGAGAGAUUUCAACCGAAAAACACACAGCCUUGCUUCUUCUUCAUAUUCAUCAUUGGCAGCUUGUAAUUGCUGCUGCAAUGAAACACUUUCACCUUUCCCACUUUUUGACUUUCCCUUUUCUCUUUGUUGUGCCAUCACGUAUUCACAUACAUUUCUGAAGAUCACAUAUCAGAUUCAGAAAACCGUUUCAGACAAACAGAAAUAAGUCUUAGAGAUACAAGGGCAGACCUUUUUUCAUCGCAUUGUCGCUUCAUAUCCUGAAACAGCAAACACAAAAGAUGCCACUGAGCUGAACAACUUCGAUAACAAUAUAACUACGCAGUCAAAGUGAAUGGGUAGUGCAAAAUGAUGGAAACCUUCGUAGUCUAGGCAACAAAUAGGUUGCCAAACAAGAGGUAAGUGAGCAGGAUGUUCAGUGACCACCUGACAUCCAUUCUGCUUAACUAAGAAAUAAAUCCUACAUCUAAUAUUCAUGCAAAAUUUGGCUGAUUCAUGCCAUCGAACUAUCAUUGAUGCUCAUCAAGGCUUGAAGGAGCUACAAAAUUUAGUUAAAUAAUGACUUUGUGCAAAAAGCUUUAAGGAUCAGGACAAGAUCAUUACACAAGUGGAGCAGCACCAAUAUUCUAGCAAUAAUAUAUCCUCAGUCUAGAGUACAUUAGUCCCUUAUGUAUGCAUGCAAAAUCAUACAUAGAUAAACGACUGCUAAAGAACACGGUAACUCAAACAACUAACAGAGCAGGAAUUGCAAAUUCCUUCCCAACUCCAAUAAACAAAAGAAAAUCUGGGGACACUAAUACAGUUUCUUAAACAACUAUCAGCCCAAAAAAUGAAAAGGAGCACAAUAUUUCACCAAGAUGAUGAAAACAAAAACAUGGCUCCAAAGUCAGUCUAAGAAGCAAACAAUGCAGCACCAAUCUCUGCAUAUUUUACCAAGCCGUUAUGCAUGUGUGAACUAGUCUAAAACACCUCAAGAGUAACAAUAUGACCUAUACCUGCAUAUGGGAAUAAUGUAGAAAGAUCUGAGAUAUAAGCUAAACAUAUAGAAUUGACGAGAACAAACCUCAACUGUACGAAGUUCAUUGAGAAGAGAUUCCGAUGGGUUAGUGAUUGUCAGGAAUAUAUUUGAGCGCUGAAGUAUAAAUAACAGAAGUGCAAUAUCAGGAUGGACACAUUUUUGCAAAAGAAUAUGAAAAGCUAUGCUACAAUCUACAACAUGACGAUGAGCACUCACAUAGUUAUCGACAAGCUUUUGAAGUUCAAAUUGCACUUCACCCAACAUUAACAAAACUUUACCUGCAAAUAAAAUCACAGGAGAGAGAGCGAAACAUAUGUAAUCUAUAAUACCUCAAAAGUUGUAUUUAUUUAAAACAUUUGAAAUUUCAAACUGAUAAAAAUAGGGACCUACAUUAUAUCUGAAUUUAACUAACAAUCAUCCAGUUAUAAUCAUGCUAAACAUAUUGUUUUGAUCGAAAUGGCAUUUUACUCAAUAAAGGUAGAAGGGCACCAGGGCAUUAGACUAGAUUCUGCCAUUGUUUUUUGGAAAGACAGUACAACAUUUACCAGUGGAUUACAAAUCUAAAGGUGUAGUACAUUUUAUGCUACCAGUCUUUACCUUUAUUUUACAAAAUGAAAAGCAUUAUGAAGCUAAUCAAAAAUCAAGAAUAGGCUAACAAUUUCCAAAUUAACUUGGGCUCGAAGUGAAAUGAAAAUCACAAACUCAAUUAGCAAUACAAUGGCUUAGCUUCUCAGGUUUAUAAAAGAUUUACACUUCUUAUAAAUUAAGCCGGCCAGCAUAAUACCCCAUUCUACAUCUUACAGAAAAUACCUACACCAAAAUUUAACACAAAUGAUUGUUACAUCGACAUACUUCAAGAAAAAUAUAUGUGUGUGUGUGUGUGUGUGUGUGUGUGUGUGUGUAUGUAUAUAUAUUUGAUUUACUUACGACUUUCUUCAUCAUCGUGCAAUGAAGUUUUCUCCAUCAGACAAGAACCCAUUUCUUGCAAUGAUUCUGAGAAUUCUGAAAUCACAAAUCAUGUCAAUUGAGAACGUAUAUGUCACAACAUUAUAAAAUUGAACAAACUCCAUAAGCUUACACAGACAUAACUUUUAGCAAAAACCAAUAACUUCCCUAACAAACAGAGUUUAAACAGGGUACAUAUGAAAUCAUCAGGGAAUGACCUUAAAUAGUAUCACAUCUAUCUUGGAUUUCGGCACAUAUGAAUACAAACUCACUGUGUUACUUUUUAUCAAGAAAAUUUUGAAAAAACGCUUCCACAUUUGGCGAAGUCUACAAUUUAGAAUAACUAUUGCCGGAAACAGAUUACAUAAAAUUUAUACACAAUCUGAUAAUUCAAAAUAUAUAUAUAUAUAUAUAUAUAUAUAUAUAUAUAAAUAAACAGGUAAAAGCAAUCAAACACUACAUAACCCAAAAGUUUAGCAGAAAAUAUUUACCAUAUGCACUGUUGGCCGUGGCAGCAGCUGCAGAGAGUAAGCUAUCAUAGCAAUUUCGCAUAACUUGCAUAUCCUACAAAUCACAAUACAAAUUCUUAAUUAUAUUGUUUAUACAAUAUUCCAAAAAAAUUAAAAGAUAUCAUUGUAAGAUACUAUAAUAAAAUUGUAAAAUAAAUGAAUUUGUUGCGUUAACAGAAAAUUAUACCUGAGCAGCCUGGUCGAGGUCAUCAACCUGAGAGGAAGAAGGAAGAAAGUCGAUUUUGUCCUUCGUAUCGCUUUUGUGAAGUGCAAAUCUUCGCAAUUUGGAGAGCGAAGACUUCAUUUCUCGCAAAACCCUAACACUGUGUGCUUGCCAAACAGAUGCAGCAAAAUUCUCUGCCUAUUUUUUAAAUUUCCUUUUUGAUUUCUGAAUUCUGAAUGCUCCAACUUUGAAUAAAAGAAAGAGUUCACUUGUCCUUUGUUUGUUUGGGUGGAAAAACGACUUUAAACAGAUCAAAGAAAGAGAAAUAAUAAUAAUAAUAAUAAUACUAAUUGAAACGACGAAUGUGCUGAAAAAAAAUAACGCACAGGCAAUUAGAAUGGACAUAAAAAAUAAAAAACAAAGAAAAACAUAAAUUCUAAAAUUUAAAACUUUUACGAUCAAAUUAUUUAAUAAUGGAGUAAUUUACUAAAUAGGGAUGUAACUUUGACUAUUUGACUACUGUAUUUCUUGAAUUUUAGGGGGCACCAGAAAAGUAAAAACAUUCAAUUAAAAAGAUAUUUCUGUAGAAUUUUUGAAAAAGUGGUAUGACGUGGCAAGUUAAAAAAGGGGACGUGUAGGCGUGAGAUAGUUAUGGAAUGGUGGUUACAGUUGUAAUUGUACAAGGGAAGUCGUCAAAGUCAAAGAUUGAUGACAAGGAAAGAAGCAGUUAUAGAAACGGAAACCAUCUCAUACUUUGACCGUUGGUGGUGGGUCAGAUCUCCCUCGCUAUUGAAAUACCCUUUCUGCCCCUCCACUUUGUUCCAAUUGAUUACGGGUAAAACACAAAGUUUGAUCCUCCGCUUAUUUAUAUCGUGCUUGAAUUUUAUCCUCCGACUAUCCACGUUAUAAUCAAAAUUGUGAUUUUAUCUUUGACUGACCAAUCUAACUUUUUUUUUUUUUUUUGUGAGGAUAAGAAUUAAUUAAUUAAUCAUCCUUUGGUGGGGCAGAAAUUUAAGAUUCAUGUUAAGUCCACUAUUUCCUUUGAGAUAGACAACAAUCAUAUGGGAAUGUUAUUUUAUGAGAAAAUCCUGUAAAAUUUAUAUCUAUAUUUCUUAAAUAUAUUUUUAUUUUUGCUAAAUUUUUACUUAAAUAUAAACAUUCUUUUCUUAUUUAACUGAUUAAUUGUAGCUAAAUAUCUUCAAUUUAAUUAAUUGUCAUUCUUUUCACAAAAGUUUACUUAAAAUGUUAUCUUUUCCAAAUAAUCUCUUUAACUUAACGUCACAAUUAGUACUACGUUUUUACAUAUUUUUACAUCCCUUCACGGUUCGAUUUACUUUAAAGCCUUGUGGACAUCAUCAUUGCGGGUAUGCAAUCUCAUUUUUUUUUCCCGGCUUUAUCAUUCUAUUCUGUCCUUAGUUCGAUUUUAUCCUUAUUUCUUUCCAAAUAAUAGUCUUUUAUAUGGUUUUAUUUUCUGGAGGAGGAAAAAAACGAUAGCUCCUUGUUUGUUUGUAAAAUUUCUAUUAUUGGUCUGAUAGCAACUCAAUUAUCUUCUCCAUCCAAAUAAGUGGAGUCCCAAAAAAUGAACUCUUUAUUUGUCAGAACUAUCUGCGAAGCCACAAAUCUGCCUAAAUCUAUCUGCAAAAUUCCACCUACUACUUGUAAUUUUACGAGUUACGGGCAGAUUUGACACUUUAAAUUUAAUUCUACUGCUAAUUGCAAGUGAGUUUGGCGUUAAGAAAAAAUCUGGUACAUGCCUGCGACUAUAUUUGCCAACUAGCAUCUUUUUUUUAAAAAAAAAAUAUUUAUGUUUUUUAUUUUAAUCAUAAAAAUUACACUAAAUAAAUAUAAUCAUAAAUAUAUAUAUAAGCUGAAAUUAUUACUCAUGUCCUAAUCUUCCUAAUUUUUAAACAUAAUACAGUAAGCUUUUAAUAAAUAAAAUUUUAUAAUUUUCAAGUUUAUUAUUAUUGAUAUUCUAUUAUAAUUUGAUAAAUUUUAUUUGUCUUGGUUUAAUGACUUGAACCUAAUGAUUGCUUACUAAAAUUGAAUUUUUAUCUAUUUAAUUAAUCAUUAAUGGGACUUGUCCAAAAUUUACUUGUUAAUAUUAUCGACAGUACUUGUAUAUUGAUUAAAAGACGGAGCAAUACAUUGAUCUGAGUGAUGAUGAUUUUCCUACAAAAAGAAACAUUUUCUAUCAAAUUUAUAUAUUUUUUGUAUUUAUUUUAAUGUUGAAACUUUAAUAUCUCAUUUACAUUAAUAAAAUCUAAAUCUAAGUACUUUAUGUGAAUUUUUUAGGUUAUUGUUAUAAAUUUAUAGUUUGAAUUAUAUAAUUUGAAUUUUUAUGUAUUAUUGAAAGUAUUUUUUUUAAUAUUUGUGAUUUUAAAUAUGAGAACCUACAAAAAAAACUUGUUGUGGGGUACGGGUGGGUUUGAUAAUUAUUAAAACUUGCAACAAGCAAGUUCUUUUUUAAAAAAUAAAAGCCCAUGGUAGGUUGCAAAGCGGGUUUAGUAAUGAUAAACUCAUAUUGGGUGAUAUUCAUUACCAACUCUAUCUCGUACUUUAAUAUUAUGUUGAAAGUUUUUAAACAACCUAGGAAAAAAAAGACGUGGAUUUUAAUUUUCUUUUUCUUUUUUCAAUCUCUUAACCAAAAUACUUUUAUCUUACUUUAAAUUUUGAAAGCCCUAACAAAAAGGAGAGGGAAAAAAAACAAAACAAAACAAAAGAAACCAGUGAAGGUCGGAAAAUCCCUUGAACACUCAUGGUUCGAAAAUGUGUAUGAGAGCAUAUAUUUUUCUUUUCUUUGGAAUGAAUUUCCAUGUCUGGCAAGUAAUAAGAAUUUGGAAAAAAAUUUCCAGGUCUAAAAACCAUUGAGCUAGUGUUCAAAUCACGGAAGGCUUUUGAUACAUCUAUCAAUAUUUAUACAAUGUAGCUUCAACAAAAUACCGACCGAAUUAGAAAAGAAAAAAUGACUACAACAAAUUUUGUAUUUUUCUUCUUAGGUGGCGUUUGUUUUUUUGUCUGAAAUCUGAAUAGAUCUGAAUUAGUCUGAAUUCUGAAUAGAUCUGAAUGUCUGAAUAUGAAUAAUAUGUUUGUUUUUUCGUCUGAAUCUCAAAAAAUAAGUAUUAAGUUGUUUUUUUUUUCAAUUUAAAAAACUGAAAAUAUGUACUUUUACAUUUGUAUCCUUAUUAAAUUGGAAUGUCAAAUAAAUAAUAUAUUAAAUACCACAAUAUUUUAACAUUUAUAAGUAAAACUAAUGAUGAGAUUAUUAUGUGGGGUAAAUGUCUAUGGGUGAGUUUUGGAAUAGAAAUGAAAAAUAAAUUAUAAAGUAAGGAUAUUUUUUACAUUAGUAAGUAAUUGACUUAAUUCAAAUUUCUCCAUUAAGUAAAAAACUAAAAAUAUUAGCUUAUUUUAUUAAGUCAAAAUUAUCUAAAAAGUCUCAUUAAGUUAUAAAAACAAACACCUUUAAUUAACUUAAUUAAUUAAGUUAAGCACUUUAAGUCAUUAAGUUAAAAAACAAAUGCCACCUUAAUUAUCACUUUAAUUAAAAUAAAGGCUUCUUCAUUAGAUAAUUAUUUAUCUUAGUCAUCAUUUAAUUAAAAUUAGGGCUCGCGCAUUAGAUUAUUUAACUCAUUAAAUUAAUUUGACAUCAAAUAUGAAAGAAUCGACCCGAUUUGUUUGAUUGAUAAUUACUCAUUUAUUAAAAAAUUAUAAUAUGUACAUAGUACAAGUUUCAAGUUUCCAUAUUCUAGAUAAUACAUCAUUUUCCCACACUUUCAAGUAACAGAAGUUUAAUUUAGAUUUGUUAAUUUUCUUUCCCUAUAAAAACAAAAAUAUCCAAUGAAUCAGAUUGCAUUUGAUUGAAUCGUACUCUAAAGUCAAACUUAAUUGUUUGAAAUUCUAGAAAUGACCGGUUAAUAUUAGACCACAAUGAUUUUUAAUUAUAACAAAUCUUAUAAUAUAUCUAAUUGUGAGCAGUGGACCAAUCAAUCCCGUAGUGCAAAAUCGAUAACCACUUUUAGUUAGCCUAAAGAAAUUAAUUAAGGAAUAAACGUAUGCCCUUGGACCUUAACUAAUCAAAAUUAAUAACAGAUAAAUGAAAGGAUAUAUGUAAGAGUUAGGUGAAAGUCUUAGCAGUCAAUUUCUUAAUCCAAUAAUUAAGCUCACUUCUUGAAGCAUGAGUCGCUGGCACAAUCACGGUUGCAGUCACAAGUUGGUGAGAUUUUAUAUGGGUUACACGAACCUAAUUAAUGAUUGACAUGUACUUAGUUUAUCCCUUAAGCUAGGCUCUAAUUAUUAAUUAAUUCGUUUCUUUCGCAUGCAAAAUACGACUUGAAGUAAUUUACUUUUUUAUUAAUCAAUCAAACCUUGCUAGCUAGUGAGAGUUGAACAACAAUUCACGCUAUUUCAUUUAAAAUUAAGAAAAUGUGUUUAACAAAUAAUAGCUCUUAACAAGAGUAUUUUCACAGACGCUGUAUGACUUUAACCGUUUGCCUAAAAUCUUUAAAAAAAAAAAUAACACUGAACAUAGACACUGCUCUAUUUAAGAUAACAAUAAUAUAGAUAAUAGAUGAUAGUGUCUAGGAAGAGAAAUAUAAUUACAAAAGUGAUGGAGACAAAAAAAGAAAGUUAAAGAGAAAUAAUAAUGCGUAGGUACCCGAUACAAGUGGCUGUUUAAUUUGAAUAAAGACUUUCAAUUUUGAAUGGUCAAAAAGAAGUGUUUCUUGAAGCUCAAGGGAUAUGAAGGACGAUUAGGCAUUAGCACAAGAAAGUGACAUUUUCAAAAGCCGCCUUUUUUAAAUGGGAAUUUAAAUCUGUUCAGACUUUAGAUUCAAGACGCAUUGAGUGAUUGGAGGGGGGUCCUGCUGAUUAUGGAAGAAAAGUCUUCAGGAAAAGCCAUGUAUCAAACCCUAUUACAGAAGUUAAUAAUACACCAAUUUUUUUAAAAGUCUUUAAGUUUUGGUAACAGUUUGAAUUUAUAGCUUGAAAAAGUAAAAGAUUAUCGCUACAUUUCUCGUUUAAUAUCUCAACUUUUACCAGCUCAAGUGAGGUGACAAUCGAUCAAUUAGAUGAUGAAAUAUCAAUUGAUUAGAUGAUGAAAUAAAGUAACAAAUAAUUUAUUAGUUAUAAAUUUGAUAAUCCAAUGGAUGAAAGUUAUAUUGAUACUUAAAAUGAAAAUAUUAGUACAUUACUUGGUCUACUAGUGUUACUUAAAGCAAAAUUAUCGGUCUUAAAUGUAUACUUGUAAGCUUUUAAUGUAUGUUAAUUGAGUAUUGACGUAUUGACAAAGAUAUGUAAAUGUUAGCAUGAAGAAGUUUUUUGUAUUUUUGUAACGAAAAUUUUUCCUCUUAUGACUUGUAAUAUGAGCUCUCUUGAUCCAUGGUUAGGUUUCUCGAAAUUUUAGAAGCAUUUUAGAAUUCUCUAACUUGUACAUGUGUUUAUAUAAUAAUAUAAAAUUAAGAACUUAUUAUUUUUUAUUUUCUUAUUCAAUAAUUACCAAUCAGAUAUUGUAAUCAAAUAACCCCACCUAUAUCACAGCAAAUUCCUUCAAAUCGGUAGGGUUAACGCAUAAAUAUUUUUCUUUUCCAGAGCCCAAAAUAGAUGUUUAGCUUAAAAAUAAAAAUAAUCUUCUUAAACGUGGAUGGUAGCUCGUCAACAGUACAAGCACAGCAACUCAAUAAGUGAGAUUAUGUGAGAAGAUUAUCAUUGUAUUACUCCUAUGUUAAAGAAAAUAGAAAAAAAAAAUUGAAGAAAGAUUAACUUAAAGUUUUUACAUUUACUAUAUUCACCAGAAAUGAUAAUCUGUUGGAUAAUGAAAUAGAGUGUGUGAUGAUUUCAUUGGGGAAUUUGUUUUCUACUUUCUUGGUCUAGUUUCUUUAAUGGUUAUUAGAGGGGUACAUAUAUGUAUACAAAUGUAACUUUUAAAAAUAAAAUUAUUUUAUUUUAUUAAUGACAUGGUAAACUUUCUUUUACCCCCAAUUAGAAUGACAAUCUUUUGUUUACAUUGCAAAAGUGUGAAAACAUCCAUUUAUUGUCAAGAAAACAACAAAAAAGUUCAUCAAUGCACCCCCUUUCCCAUCAUCUUUGAAAAAAGGGUAAAUGUUUGUUUAAUCUUUAUAUUUUCAGUUAAGUGUCCCUUCAUUUAAAAAAAAUACUUCAAGAUACCUCUAUUAUUAAAUAUACUACACUCGUAUCUUUUUUCUUUUCUUUUACAAUAAUACCCUAAUAACAAUAUUUUUGGUGAUACUAAUAAAAAGAAUAAAUGAUAAUUUAUCAAAUUAACCUCAAAUAUAACAUAAAAUUUUCCAUAAACUUUUUUAUUUUUAUUUUAUUUUUAAGAUUAAUUAGGUAAAUUAAUUUUUUAUAAAAUAAUUAUUGGUAAGAUUUUUGUAAGAAUAUUAAACAUUACUUUAAGUUGGCUGAUAUUAAUUUAUUCAUAAAUAAUUAUUAGUAAAAUUAUUGCACAAGCAUAAAAAAAUACUAGUUUUUUUCACAUUGAUAUUUAUUGAUUAAUUUUCUAAUUAACUUUUUUUAUAGAUAAAUUAAUUAAUGUCAAGAAUAUUGUUGGAAGGUUAUUAUUUUGAAAGAGAAGAAAAAGUAAGAGUAAGAAUGUAAUAUAUUUAACUGCAGUGAUGUUUUCAGGUAUUUUUUAAAAUAUAAGGAUUAAACAAGAACUUCAGUUAAGAUAAAGGGACUAAACGAAUAUUUAUCAUUUGAAUAAAAAUAACAUAAAUUGAAGUUUUUUCAUGUUUUUAAUAAGUAAAUUAAGUAUUGUCAUUUCAAAUAAGGAGUAAAUUAAAGUUUACCUUAGUUUCCACCGGCAAGUAUAUGAAUAAUGAGCAGUUAAGCACAAACUGAAAAACAAAUUACUGAGGACAUGUUAAUCCUCUUUUUGUCUGAUACCACAAAUUUUAAUUAAGAAAAUAACAACUGAACAUUUACAUGAGAGAGGAGAAGGAGGAACAUUUACAAAAAGGUUCGUCUUGACUCUGUCAGUGAUAAUUUUCAACUGAUUGAUUUUAGGAGAUUUAAUUUGAUUUAAUUCUGUCUUGUUGAAGCAUAAAUAUUUACUAUUUUCUGCUUCGGCUGAUCCAUCCGACUGGUUUGUGUAUUGCAUUCCUAAACCCCUUUCUUGUGCUCUUCGUAUGCCUUUGGGGAGAUCUGGAUUCAUGCGCCUUAAAAUCACAAACACAAGAAUUUAUGGUAAAUAAUUUUUUUAAUUUUAAGAGCAAGAAAUACAAAUUUCAAAGAUUAUUUAUUUAUUAUUCACAAGAUUGGAUUAUAAAUGUGACUUAAACAUUAUCACCAAGAACUUUAAUAACGAAAGAGUUUAAGGAUCUAAUGAAGUAAUAAAUGAAGAAGUUAUAUACGUGUGAAAAUUCAUAAAGCAUAUUUAAUCAAAAUUAGUUCGAACACUUGAUUUUUUUAUUUUUUUUUCAAGUUCGAACACUAUCAUUAUGAAACCUAAAUAUCUCAUGCAUGGGGCGAAUUGAAGCUUUAUUUUUUUGGCUAUUUUAGGGGAAAAAAUGGGGGGGAAAAUUAAGAAACUGAAAGAAAAUUUAUAACAGAUUCUUUUUGAAACUGCUUUCUAAAGAACCAAAAAAAAAAAAAAAUCAAAGAGGAAAAUUUUUUUAAAUUGCGAAGUUUUGUACCUCGUAGAAAAAAAUAACAGCAGAAAAAUGUAUAAUGUAACGAAAAACUUUUACUUUCUAAUUUUGUUUUUUAUAUAUAAAACAAAGGUAACAUAUAUUAACAAAUUUGUAAGAAUAAGUAUGAUGCACGUACCUUUCCAUCAGAAUUCAAAGAUUUCUCUAGUGUUGAUACAUGAACUCUCUCUCCCUCUGAGCCGUUCUCAUCUUUUGCAUCAUUUUCAUCUAAGAAAGAAAAAAAAAAAACGAGUACUCCUCAAUUCACAGAGAUCGUUUAUUUUUAAAAAUAUUGCAUGUAACGUAUCUUAAAUAAUUUUCCUUCCUACUUGUAUGAGCUAGAUUCUCACCGUAGCUGGAGCCACUGUCAACAAUACAAUAUUCCCUAAAACUAGGGGAAGCAGGGCAUGCAGCGAUAUCUUCCCCAUGGUAAAAUGAAGAAUUUCUGGCAUGUCCAUCUUCAUUGUAAUCAUCUCUUUUAACAUUAUCCGUUUCCUCAACGACGCCGUCGCCGACGCCUCUGUAGUUGACAGCUGCAAUUACGGGGAAAUUACAAGACACGCUCUUGCGGGGGCCGUUGUGAUGAUUGUCAGAACUCACUAAAUCAUGAUCAGCCUCGUCUACAACAACAUUUUUAUUAUUAACAAUGUUACGUUUGUAGUGGUGGGAAAGUUUAAGUCGACCAGUCGCCUCUUCCGGGUCGAUCUUGGAAAUGCCACAACCCAUGGAAGAGGUGAUGAGACAUGAAAAUAAAUUAAGAAAAAAAUUCUAGAUUAUUUAUUUUAAAUUCUUUUAGGAGAAAAGUUGUUAUCUUCGUCCAGUUUCAGUUGAAUUUAUUUAGCAACAAAAUGAUGGAUAAAACGAGGCUUACGGGAUCAGAAAGGUUUCAGUUAAAAGUCGUUGAGAACCAUACAUUUAUUUUGUUUCUUCUCCACGUAUAUAAAUAUAUUAUGUUAUUUUUAUCCUCUUAUUAAUUGGUAAUUAUUUUCCAUUUUGAGCUCAGAAACGACGAUCUUGAAUGCCGUUUCGAUCACGUAUCGACUUCACAUGACAUGCACGUGGGAGAUGCUGCCAUAGACGGUUAAAAGAAGUGAGAAAAUUCUAUGUUUUUUUUUAAUUUUUGAAGCAAACCCAAGAAAUUCUAGAAUAUAUAUGUUGUAUCAUGUCAGCCAUACAACACAGUAAAUAAUGUCAUAACAUGUGUACAUUUAUUUUAUAAGCUAUCAUGUAAGUGGUGGUUGUAUUAAACUCAAUUACACAUGUCAUGCAUGCAUUAAUUAGUUGUAAUACAACAAAUGCAUUCUAGAAUUUCUCAACAAACCCAGUAUGCAAGCUGGCUUCUGAGCCAACUUUUUGGACACGUUUGGACUUGUAUAUAAAGUCUCUUAGGUUAUGUUUUGAUUCAGUCGAUUCCUUGAAGUUUUCUCUAGGAGCUUGUAACUUGAUUUGCAUCAAUGAAAGAAGUCAUAGCUCCGUUUCUCAAGAGGUUGUAGGCUACCAUGACUGAACAUCUCUAAACUUAUUUGUUCUGUUUUUAUUCUUCAUCUCUGUUGUUUUCGACUUGAUUAACUUUAAUUGACUUGUAAUCCAGUCUUGAUCCAUCAAUCGGUGUGUGAUGUUUAAUCUUGGGUUAUAGAACAGACAAUUUUUUAUCUUUAUUUCAACACAAAAUUUCAAUCAUUUUUAUUUAAAUUAAAAUAAAAAAUAAACAAUACUUUAAGUAUGUUAGUAUAAUUUAAAAGAUAAUCUGCACAUGACAUUACACACAAAAUUGCACAUGACCAUUGAAACAAUGAACAUUUCACCCAAAAAAAAAAUCAUUUAGUUUAUUGAUUUUAUGUUUAUGUACAAAUGUCUUAUUCUAUUUUACUUGUACAAUUUUAUGUGCAAAUAACAAUUUUCUUUUAUCCUACCUACAAAUCAUAAUUUAAUAAUUUUCACUAAAAACAUAUUCAAUAACGGGUGAAUUCAUUGUUUUAGGAUUUUAUUACAAUCUACUUAUAUACUAGACACAAAAAAAAAAAAAAAACUAUCAAUACCAUGCUUGGAUCAUUUGUCAUGGUGAAGUCAUGUCUAGGCCUAAAAUUAGCCAAAUUGAUCUCCGAAUAAUUAACACUCUAAGAUUUGAACUUUUGCCCUUCAGUAGCUCUCUCAUAGCAGCGCUCGAUUGUCUUUGCUCACCCUGCUCACACGAGGGCUUAAAUGCUCACUCUAUAUGCACGAGGGCUUAAAUCAUUUUUUUAGGUAGCUUUGUAAUGAUACAACUCAAAGAAGGACAAACCUGCCAAUCUUCCUGACAACGAUUGAAAGUGUAGAGAUUAGCUCAAGCAGCUUAUUCCAUGAGUGUAUUUAAAAUCUCUCUAGGAUUAUGUAACGACAUAUAGAGAGCAAUUGCAAGGUUUUGGUAGGGAUCAAAGGAGGUUAAGAAGAGGAUCCAUUUGGCAAAAUGGGAAAGGUGAGUUAUGUCAAGAUUAGAGGUGGGGUUAAGUUUUAGAGACCUUUUAAGCUUCAAUCAAGCCUUAGUUGCAAAGCAAGGGUGGAGACUAAUUCAAUAUCCAGACUCAUUAGUGGCCAAAGUAUUGAAAGCUAGAUACUUUAGGCAAACUGAUUUUCUGGAAGCUAAAACGGGCUCUAAUCCAUCCUUCUUCUGCGGGAGUAUUUUGUGGGGCAGGUUCGUUCUAUAAAAGGAAACAAGGUGGAGAGUUGAAAGUAAAGACAAAAUUCAGAUCCAGUCAAGCAAUUGGAUUUCUAGGUCAGCAACCUUUAGGCCACUUUUUGUGUCAUCCUUGUCUGUAAAUGUCAGAAUUUUAGAGCUCGUUGAUUCAAAUCAUCAAUGCAAUGAAAAUUUGAUUGACUAGAAUUUUGUAAGGGAGGAUGCAAAAACCGUAAAAAGAAUCCCACUUUCGAGCACUCCUCAAGAAGAUGAGUUGAUAUGGCACUAAGAUCAAAAGGGGCAGUACACAAUGAAGAGUGGCUAUUAGUUAGCUCUCGAACAGUUUUCUGAGCCCCCACCAAGUUUAGCAAGUGGAGCUCAUGGCUGGCACAAUGUAUGAACACUAGACUUGUCUGAGAAAAUUAAAAUUUUAGUGCAGAGAGCUGCCGAGAAUUUAUUAAUAACUGCAGAAAACCUAUAAAGAAGGAAAAUUUUGCGGCAAUCAAUAUGCCAAAUUUGCAAAACUGGAAGUGAGGGUCUGUUCCAUGCCCUUAAGGAAUGCAAAAUGGCUUGGAAAAUCUGAAAAUGCACUCACUUGGAGGCUAAAACUCAGGAAAUUAUUAGAGAAGAUACAUUGAGCGUUACGCACAGAUUAAUGGGUACGGUGGCCGAGAAUGAGCUUGAGUUUGUAACAGCUAUAUUGUGUUACUUCAGAAGUUAAAAAAAAAAAAAAAAAAAAACUAUAUGGUGGGUUAAGUGUCAUGCAACGAAAAAAUUCAUCUUUGAGGGGAAGAAACUAAACCUUAUAUGUUUUUAGCUGCUAAGGCUAAAGCAGCAUGAUAUUUGUCAAAAAGCACAAGUGAAAGAGUAAAAGUGCACAAGAAGCAAAAAUGCUAGAAAGUUGCAGCAAUGGAGUCCACCACUUAUCAACUGCUUAAAAGUCAAUGUUGAUGCUAUAAAGAUCAGUAGGCUGCAAGUCUAUAGGUGGGAAACCAGUGACGUAUAUUUUGAUGGCCAACUCGAAUGGGGACUAGAUUAGAAAAUUCCCAAAAAGUUUUGUGAAAACUGCGGAAGUUGUUUUGGUAAAAAUUGGUCUUUCAAAAUUUAUAUUUAACUACUUCUGUAAACAUGCUGGUUAAAACACUUCUAACUCCUGACUAAUGACUAAUGCCCAAAAACACUUUUUCAACACAUUAAUGGCUAAAUGGGCUAAGGGAGACCUUUUUUCAAAAAAAGCUUUCCAAAAAUCAGUAGAAAUUUUUACUAAAUUCUUAUUACUUUUGUCAAAAAAAAACAAAACCUUAAUUUUCAAAAACUUUUCCUCCAAACUCUUUUCUCCUGAAUGAUAACAUGGACCGCCUUUUGUUAAUGUUUUAAAUAUAACUUAUACUUUCGUUAAUUAAGCCAGACUUCUGAACCCGAAAGCUAAAUAAAAAUAAAGAAGUUAAACUACUUACUUAAUAGAAGCUUGCUAGUUGCUGUCUAAAGAUAUGAAUUAAAAAAUUUUAUUGCUUUUGUUUUUUUAUUACAAAGUGUUAACUUCACAUACACCUUGCAUAUAAAGUAUUAUUGAUUUUGACUAAUAAUUUAAUAAUAGUAUUGGCUUGUGCUUGCUGGAUAGUAUUACUUUUUUAACUAAAAUCUUUAUAACUAUAACCUAUUGGAUUUAGAUGUGGGAUUUUAUGCUUUAGUUCUGCUAAAGAUUCUAUUAAUAAUUUAUUUGAAGUUAUUCACCAACUAUUAUUUUAAUUGCAUGUAAUUGUAAUUGUAUAUCUCGCUGUGUAAAUUUAAUAUUUUCUAUUUCUACCUUUAAACUUUCUACAAGAUUUUUAAUUUCUAAUUCUACUGGAUUAGGUGUUUUUAUGUCUAAUAAUUGAAUUAAUUCUAUUAUCUCUUUCUUGCUAGGGAAUCUUUUAACUUGACUAUUAAAAUCCGCAAAUAAUUCUUUAAUAUAAUCUAAAAUUAUUCUUAAUGUAUUAAUAUUACUAGUUUCAAAAAAUUUUCCUACUCCUAGUACUAGCUCUUUUAUCUUUUUAAUAUUGACUUCUAAGUGUUGUCCUAAAUUGAUUAAUAAGUCUACUAUGAAACUUUGUUGACUAUUGCUAGUAUGUGGAAUAUGUUUAAAUUGAUUUUCUAAGUAUUCUAUAUUACAACUAAUUUUUAUUCUUUCUAUCAAAUUUAAUUUUUGUUUUCUAUGAUGGUUAAUUUCUAAAUCUAAAUAUUCUAAUUUUUGAAAAUUCAUAAACUAAUUUUCUAAAUCUUCUAAUUUAUUUCUAAUUUUGAGUGCUAGAUUCUCAUACUUGUCUAAUAAUUUUAGUUGCUUGUUAAUAUUAUAAUAUUGUAAAUUAUACUUUCUAAAGUUAAAUAUAGGCAAAUUUGUAAAAGCGUAAUGUUUAAUAUUUAUUUUUCUUCCUAUUUCAAGAGGUAAAGGAGAUGUGUAAUCUACUAAAAACUUUAUAUUUCGUAGUCUUUUUUUCUAAUAAAGUGUCUAAAUGUAAUUGUUCACUACUAAUUCUUGCUACUCCCACCUGUUUACCUUUAUCUUUCGAACUAUCUUUAUUGGGCUUUUGGAUUAAUAUUCCUACCCAUCCUAAGCUAUUGGCAUCUGUUUGUAUAAUUUUAUAGUAAUUGUCUAUUGGUAAUGCUAAUGGUUUGAGAUUUUUGACUAUUCGCGCCUAUCAUAAGGAACUCACUAGACCAAGUGAUAUCUCUAGCAAUCAAAAACAAAUUUCAAAGGGAUGUCUCUAUGGUAGAAGUUGAUGUUAUCAAAUAGGGGAUGGAGUGGCAAAAGAGGCAAGUCUUUCAAAUUUGAUCAAUGAAAUAGAUUACAAUAAAGUGGCUAAUUUAGCCAAUAACAAAACCAGUAAUAUAACAGAAAUUUGGUGGACCAUAUCAGAGAUUCAAAGAAGCAAAAAAGAUUUUCAAUUGAUAAAAGUCCACCAUGUACCAAGACAUUGUAAUGUUUUUGCUCACCCUUUGAAAAGCUUAAUAUUUGUCAUAUGGCUGAAUGAAUUGCUGAUGUAAUAUGUUUCUUUUCAAUUACAAAGAAUAAAAGGAUUAGUUUUUUAUCCCAAAAAUAAAAAAUAAAAAACUCAAAUCUCUCAUCUAACUCUAAAUAUAAUAAAAUCUCUCUAUAUUCAUAAUAUUCGGAUCAACUACUUUCAUUGUUAUAAGGGUGUCAUAACUUAAUAGAGAUAUGAUUACAAAAAAUAUGCACUAUAUUAAUUUUAUACGUUUGGAACUAUAUAAAAUCAUCUUAAAAGUCUAAAGAUUUGUAUUCUCUUUGAUGUUUUUCUCUCAAUGUAAAUUCCAUAAAUAUUAUAAAGUGAUUUGGUAGCAACUCUAAAGAAUAAAUCAUUAUCCCAAGCAACUUUUGAAAAAUAUUUUAUUCCAUCUUAAACUUAUAAUGCAACAUAGUAUGUAUGUUUUACAAUAUUUAGAUAGUUAUGAUUAUAUAGAGGCAUGUUUCUUAAAACGUGAUCAAGAAAUUUAUAACUUUAUGAGUUUUAUUCUUAUUUAUAGCUAGUCCAAAUUAGGACUAUAACUUUUUUUGGGGUAAAUAAUCAUUUAAUUUUUUAUAUUUUAGGUUAAGUAUUUACUUAGUCUCUAUAUUUUAAAAAAAUGUCUCAAGACACCCUUGUUGUUUCAUAUUUGACACUCAUGCACUUAUAUUUCAUUUCCUUGUACAAUAAUGUUGUGUUUACUAAAUAGCAAUGAGAAUCUAAAUGAAUAAAUCAGAAUCAAUAAGUUGUUUACUUGUAAAAUGAAAACUUGGAGUUAGAAAUGGGAAUAAUGUGAGGCCCACAAGUUUGGGAAUGAUUACCAUAUACAUAAUUAAUUAUAAUUCGCACUACAAGAAAAUUGGGAUAAAGCAACAUCAUUUUAACAACGUGCACAGAUGGAAUGUUGUCAAAUUUAUAAUUAACAACAGACAUAAACUGCAUGUUGGUAAAUAUAAAGUUUUAGCAACAUGCAAAAAGUGACCGCGGUCUAAAACCUUACGACAACGAGCGACCAUUUGUUGCGGUAUAGGAGUAUGUAAUAACAACAUUCAUAAUUUGCAUGUUGCAAUUAGUUAUUUAAGGCAACAAUGAAUUGCCUGUUGCAAAAAUCAUUAUUUAAAUAAGAACGUUUAUAUGUUGCAUGUUGUUGAAUUUUUUUUUUUGUAAAAUUCUUUGUUAACUCAAUUUAAUAUGAAAUUGGUGAAAAUUAAAACAUAAAUAGGUGCUCAUAGAAUUUAUGCAUAAAAGUAUUAUAAUAAAUAAAUUUUUUGACGGUAUCAUUAACUACAAUAUUUUUUAAAAGUAAAUUAUAACAAAUAAAUUUUUUGAGGGUAUCAUUAACUACAAUAUUUUUUUAAAGUAAAGUAAUAGAAAAUAAUGUGUAAUAAAUAAAAAAUUUCAUUUUGCGCACACGGAUUAAAGCGCGGUAAAAAAAAAAAAGAGACAAAUUGACUUAGUGAAACCCUCGGUUCUCUUUGCAGUACCACUUUACUCUUUCUCUGCCACUAAAGCAAAGCAAGCCUCUCAAUCUUCAUCGUAAUGGCGGCUGCCCACCCAAGGAAAUGAGUGUAUCAGGUACUCUUCUUUUUAAUUUCAUUGAUAAAGCUCACUUUCACUUCCCUAAUUCCAUUUAAUUAAUAAUUUACUCUUUCCACCUAUUUUGUUUUUAGAAGAUUUGGGUCUUUGCCCUACACUUCUUCUCACUCAAAAUCGCUCGACAUCGUCCCAUUGUAGAUUCAUUGUUUGGUAAGCGACACAAUUCUUUAUUGCUUGUGGGGUUCAUCUGUUAUGCAUGAAUAAAAUAAAUGUUACUUUUUUUGUGGUGGGUGAUUGAAACCAAAAGAUUAUUUUCUUUUGAAACGCCUGAAGCUAAAUAUUUUACAUGGAAAAGAUAAUUUUGAAGAUUAUAUUUUAUUUUCAAGAUAAACUGAUUUCGGUAAAAAUAAUUUAAAUGAGUAAAUAUUACUAGUGAGAUGGAUAAUGAUUUUUUUUUUCAAUUGAAAGGCACAAUUUUAAUCUCUUAUUGGCGUUGUUGACUUUAUGAAACAGAUAAGUUACUUCUGUUAAUGCCAUUAAUCUCCUGAAUCAGCUGUGACAUUUUAGAAUCUGAUUAUAGAGCAAACUUGAGGUACUGUUUCCCCCUUGUAUAAUUAAAAUUCAAAAUGGAUUUCUCUUUUGGAAAAGUUACUUACUAUGGAGUUUUGAGAGAUAUAUUAGUGCUUGUUUACAAUACUUUUAGUUCCCUAGUUUCAAAUAUGACUGAACUAAUAUAGUUAAUGGUGUUAAAGUUGACGAAGGAUUCACUUUGGUUAACCUUCACGAGGGACAAAGCCAAUUUGGAUUUAUUGUAAGGAUAAUGAAAAAUCAAAUUAGUAUUUAGUAUUGAAAAAACCACAAAGAGGGUUCUGAAAUGCAAGUUAUGCAACCCAAAAGGGGGGGUGAAUUGAGAUUUUAAAAUUUAUGCAAUACAAUUCGCACAACAAUUUAAUCUAUUGCCUUAAUCAAAUCAAAACAAUAAAUUCAAUCAAGCACAAUAUUAAAAGAGUAAGGGAAGAGAAAACAAACACAAUGAUUUUUAUGUGGUUCGGCUAUCCCCGCCUACAUCCACGCCUCCAAGCUCACCCGGCUUGAAGAUUUCACUAUCCAAGUCUCCCAAGGCUUCAAAUGUUUACAAUUGACUUCCAAGGUUUCAAUGAACCUUUACAACAAGAGAUUAUUUCUUCAAUCUCUUCACCCCAAGUGUUUCCCAUACUUGUGCACUCACAAUUUGAUGAGAAAUGAUAAUCACAACAAUGAAACUCUCUUUAAGAGUGGAUAACGAAUUAUAGCUCAAUAAUGAUUCAAUAAAUGAUGAUUUGCGAAAUGGAAGCUCAAUAUAUGUUAUAUGAUCUUAUAUUUGCUUGUAUUUUUUUUUAGAAUGAAGUUUGAGUUGAGUUUUUAUAGUGAAAGCCUGAAAACUAGCUGUUAUAGGCAAAUUCCCACGCCCAAGCGGUUAGUCGCUUGAUUAUCCGGCUAGCCACUCAGGAACAGUGAUAUUACUGUUAUUUUUGAAUUUGCUACAGUAAGAAUGUUCACUGAAAUUACACUUUGACUCAAAACUUUCUAUAAUUAUACUAUGGCCCAAAACGUCAUAAAACUUUGCAAAUAGGUCCAAUUUCAGAACUUCCUAAAAAUAGUUGUCUUUCCCAAACUUUCUGAAAUUAUGAUAUGGCUCCAAAUAUUUUAUUAUUUCGCACAAAGGUCCUUUUCAACAUAAUACCCAUAUUUUUCAAAGUUCUCAAAACCUUUCACUUUAGUCCAAAAUAUUCAUAAAUGAUAGUAUGGUCCAAAACAUUUCAAAUGUUUGUAAAAACGUCCAACUCCGAAAUUUAAUACUUAUUAAAAUCAAAUAUUUCAAAUUUUAGCAUUUAAGUCCAAAUUACUUAAAUCCACAAAAUACUUUACUUUAUAAAAAUAAAACCUUUUAGUUUAUGAAAAGAAUUUAAUUAAAUUAAUCUCUUGAGCUUCUCAAAUGCUAAAUCAUGCAUCAAUUAAAUCAUACCGGCUUUACAAGAAUUUAUCACACUAAUUUGUUCGUUGAGUUCUAAACUAUAUUUUUGAUGUCGCCGUUGUCCGUUGAGUGUCUUCAAUCUUGAUUUCACUUAAUUCACUUGCAUAAAUAUUAUCCUUAAAAAACUAGUGAAAAUGUGAAAUACAAUAUUUAUUAAAUUACUUAAUACACAUGUUUGUUAUCAUCAAAAUUACAUUAUGUAUAGCCCUUUAGGCUAACAGGUUCCAAGAUUUAUUAUUGGCUAGUGAGAGUGAUUACAUUUUGUUCAGUAUAAGUAAGAAAUUUUUUUUUCCGGUUCAACUUUAAAUUAUACUUUUUCAUGUUCAUAUACUUUUUUCUAGUAUGUUUAUUCCUACAUUAAUUUUGCUAUGUGUUACAAAGUCUUCUAGGCAAGUCGAGAUAAAUUUAGAGAAAAUGCAACUAUUCAAGAGGAGAAUGGAUCAUUAGCAACUAGCAAUAGGGAAAAUGCAAACAAACCUCAAUCUGAUGAUAGAUGCACCAAAAGACAAAAGAGGUCCAACCAAACUUGGAAUGAUUCAAGAUUGUUUUCCAUCAUUAAGCAUUGAAUUUAACGACUAUGGCCAGCCAGUAGGUGUAAACUCUUACAAAUAUGCACUUUUAUUAGAGUUAUAACAUGAGAGCAUGUGCUUGUGUGCAUUGAAAAUUAGCUUUUAGUUGACGGCGAACUAUUGGCCAUUGGUGCAUGUUUAUGGAAUUACAUAGUAAUUAUCUUUAUUUAGAAAUAGAUUAUUUAUCUUGAAUGCUUGGCGUUAAGAACGAUGGGUGACUGUUGGAGACAAUACAAAUCAGAGCUAACAACUAAGAUAAAGGAAACCAAAAAAGUACAUGACAGAGCAGGUUGCUCUUAUUAGGCCAAAAAAGUAUAAUUUUCAAAGAAGAUUGGGCUAAUAUUGUCAAGUAAAGAUUGUCUCCAGAAUUUAAAGUAAGCUAGUCCGUUGCAUUGCACUUAUAGUAUCCAUGUUAAGUUUCAUGUCUAUGAAAAUUAUACAUUUUAAUAUUUGUUGGACAGGCAAUAAGCAAAAAGUUUAGAGAAAUGAGAAAUAAUCAGGAAGUUGUAUCAAAUUGUUUUAAAAAAGGUAUGUAGGCAUAAAAUAUUCUUCUUUGGGGGGGGGGGUGUAAUUAUAUUCCAAAUGCAACAAAUGAAUAUUGAUUCAGUUAAUCUUUUUGUAGGAGUUUGUGCCUUGAAGAUGUUUUUGUUGGAGUGUAUAUAUGCUCUGAACAAGUUUUUUGAUGGAAUUGCUAAAUUGAAGAAGCUUUCGUUGGAGAUGGUUUUUUUUUAAGUUGAUACUUAUGGAAUUGCAACAGCCACUAAUGUGUUUUUUUACUAACUUUUUGGGUGUUUGGCUAGAUGAAAUUUAAACUGAUGUUGUAAAUUUCUAUGGAUUAAUUGUUAUAUGGUGUUUUUCAUAUUUGCUAUGUAAUAGGAUUUGUAUGAAUACAAAAAUGUUGGUGUGACCCUUAGCUAUAAUAUGUGCUUAUUACUAAAUUUAUGAAAACUUAUUAUAACAAGCCAAAUUGUAGAAUUAGUUCGCAUGAAUUUUACAUAUGGUGGCAGCAAUAGUGUAAUAAAAAUGAUAAUAUUAGUAGUCAUAAUAACGAUAAUAAUAAUUAUUAAUAAUAUAUUGUUUUUUUUUUACAACAUGCAGGAUAUGUGGUUUAUUGUAAAUAAAAAUUAGAAUUAAUGGCGACAUUUAGUUGCUUGUUGCUAUAUAAUUUAUAGCAACAUUCAUAGGCUUGUAGUCAAAAGUUUGGAAGCACAUGAUCUUUUUAACCACAAUCAUUGUAAGUUGUCAUAUGAUAUUUAACAACAUUCAUACCUUUUUCAACAACGUGAAUUGCGCGUAGUCGAAAGUUUCCUACUUUUCGCUACAUCAAGAACCGCAACGCUCAGAUGCUUGUUGUGAUAUCCCUUCUACAACACUCUUUGCAUGUUGUCAAAUUUGGGAAUGAUUACCAUAGUUCUGAUUCCCAAGGGGGGUUGGGAAUCAAAACUCCAUUCCUUGGAAUGAUUUUUUUACCUUUAACUAAACUUCCUAAUACCCAUGUUAUCCUUGAUUUAAAUAAUAAUUAAUAAUUAAAAAUAAUGAAAUUAAUAAAUAAUAAUAAUAAUAUUAAAAUUAUGGAGUAGGUCACCCCAUUGGUUUGGGCUCAAAACUUUUAAAAUAGUAGCCGUGGAAUAGGCUGGUUCUGAAUGUGAUUCACUUCUUAAGCUCCCACUUAAGUCGUUUCUGUAAUUUCAAAUCUUGACAAAUCUUUAAUCCUUCUUUAUUGACGAAACUGACAAGUUCACCGUAGGUAAGCUUGUCAUAAGGAAUACGAUUAUCAUAAAGGGCUUUGAUGGAAUUUCUUACUUUUUCACCUAGAAGGGUAGGUAAUCCAGCAAGAAAUUUUUCUUUCCAAGUUAUAUGAUUUGCAUCAUCCCUUAGAAAUAGUCUGGUAAAAAAUGAGGUUUUGUAACUUUGAAAUUCACUAAGUUUCCUACAUCUUAAAUUAUGUAGUAACUCAGCGUUUUUAUCACGAAGGUGUGACGGGUCACCAAUGAAAUGGAGGGAAAUGGUUAAAAUUAGAGUAGCAACAGCAUCCUGAAUUAGAUUGUUGAACUCAUCAAGAAUAAGGACUCCAUUUUCAUCGACUCUAAUGGAAUUUAUAAUGUCUAAUUGUUGCUGAUUAGUGAGAAGAUGAUCCCACCAACCUUUUAAUUGACCAGUAAAACCGGCAAUGAGGAUUUCUGAUAUAGCACGAUCAGAAGUUCCUGCUUGGGUUUUAUAGGCAUUGGCUGCCAUUGUCAUUUGUUGCAACAAUCCUAGGAUAUUGUAUUCGGACAUGCCGUCAAUAUUCCACUCAUAGAUUGAAGAUGCAUUAUAUCGGAAUUGAUUUAAUGCACUUGGUCUAUUAUCUAUUGCUAGAUCCGGUGGAGUCUUGACAGUGGGAAGGGCUAAUUCCCAAUGAAUUUUGUUGGCUUUAGGAGUAGAAUGUUCUUCUUUGAAGGCUUCUAUAUCAGAAGAGGCUAUAGACAUUUGGUCUUGUUCUAAUACUCCAAUCUUGCUAGAUUGAGGAGUAUCAGGGGCUAUCUGAACUUUGCUAGAUGAGGAAGAAGCAGCUUCUAUCCUAUCUAAUUGUUCUCUAAUGGCUUUAGCAAAAUCUGAUUUUGACUCUUGAACAAGCUUUUGGCUAGUUUUUGAAACCUGAAAGGGUUUGAAAAUAGGUUCCUUAAGCUUUUUGUCAGAAUCCGAUUUUGUUGGAAUAGGAGAAAUUGAUGGAACAGUAAUGGUUGACUUCUGGAUUUGGUUUUCUAUCCUAGUCAAUUGUUUUCCGAUUGUAUUUAAGUUAGUAUUACAGAAAUUAUUCUGUUGGAUAAUACUACUUAAAUUUGCCUCAGAAUCAUUUGGUUUUGAAAUUUUGUAAGGUGAAGCUCGAAUUUGGACAGGAGGUUCACCGUGAUCAACGGUUACACUUCGAAGAGGUGGGUGUUCAGACUCUAUAGUUCUAUCACUAUCAAGAAGUUUCCAUUCAGGAACUUUCUUCCUAAUAGUAAUAGGGUUUGACUCUUUAAAAGGAUAAGAGAUGUUGUUAUCAGAAGAAUAUAUUUCAAACCAAUCAAAAAACAAUAUAUGAAUUUUAUGAAAAUUCACAAAUUCAUAGUAAGUUUGUUGGAUUUCUUUUCUUUGGUUUAAAAAGUGUUUGAAAAACCAAAGUCUUUUUUCUUUGUUUAAAUCAGAAUAAAAAUCAUUAUGCAGAAAAGUUUUAUCUAAUUCAAAUUCUUUUUCAAUGACAUUAAUGACAUUUUCUGUAACAGCAGAAAACAUGGGGGAAGUUGGAAGAGAAGGUUCCUUCUCUUCUUGACUUUGUACAUGUUGAUUACUAGUGUAGAUCGGAUGAGGAACACUAGUGGUGUAAUCAACUGAUCGAAUGGAGGUACUAGGUAUAUCUGAAGUAGAAAACCUAGGUUGACUUUUUAUGGACUGAAAAGGGAGAUUUAUAACAGAGGGUAUUUUUGUAAAUUUUCUUUCUAAUGAAGGAAUGCUUGAACACGAUGCUUUAUCAGAAAAUCUGGAUGAGGUAGAUCUCCUGAAUGACAGUUUGACUUUACCAUCGGAAUACUGAGUCACAUUUUGCAACUCUGUAUUGGGCUCAAGUUGUUUCGGAAUCGCUGGCGGAGCGGCUCCUUUAAGGAUCCAUUCCUCUGGAAGAUUUACAUCUUUCCAUUGGAUUGAUUUAGGAAUGACGGUGUUUGCUUUGGACAAAUCAGUCUGCAAGAGAAAGGUCUCAUCUCUUUUCGACUGGUAUUUAUGCUGUGUGCUAAAUGCAGAAAUCAUGGCUUUGUAAGAAAUUUUAAAAAUUAAUGCAAGUGGGAUGGAUCCCUUAAUCAUAUGAUAAUUAUGGGUUUUGAUUUGUGAAAUCAUGCUCUUUAAAAUAUUUUUGAUUUGUAAAAUCACUACGGUGAACUUGUCAGUUUCGUCAAUAAAGAAGGAUUAAAGAUUUGUCAAGAUUUGAAAUUACAGAAACGACUUAAGUGAGAGCUUAAGAAGUCUAAACAAGAAUUAGGCGGUUUCUGUAAACAAUUCAAUUAUGACCCCUUUAAAACUUAUAUCUCCAAAGAUUGUAAUGGCGAGUGUUCUACUAAACCCCGCAGGAAACAUUACAAAUCAAGAAAUUUUAGGAAACCCUUUCGUAAUUUUAGAGAACUUCUUUAUAAGAAACCUUCGAGGCCUUAUAAGAAACCCAAAUUCUCUAAAAGAAAAGAGUUUAGAGCCAAACCAAAGACCCCUUUCAAUUACAAAGAAGCUAUAUGUCAUAAAUGUGGCAUGAAAGGUCAUACUGCAAAUUAUUGCAGGAUGAACAAAAAGCUUCAUGAACUUGACCUCGAUGAGGAAAUCCUUUCCAAAAUAGCCCCCCUUUUUGUCGAAUCUUCUGAUUCCGAAUCUUCCAUGUCGGGAGACAGUGAUCCAUAUCAAGUUGAUGAGCUUUUUGACUCAGAUGACUCUGUAUCUAGCAGUAGUAAAUCUGAAUCUGAUUCAUAUUUAAAGAAAAUCAAUGUUUUGACUAAAGACCAAGAAACUUUUCUUGAACUUGUAAAGCAUAUUUCUGAUCCAAAUCUUCAAAAAGAAUAUCUUGAUAAACUUUUGAAAACUUUGGAUUUUAAUAAAGCCGAGACUUCUAAAGUCCCAAUUGUUAAAAAGAAUUCUUAUGAUCUUACUCAAAUUUUGGAUAAAAAGAAAACAAAGAAAACGGUUCCUAAUAUCCAAGAUCUUUAGAAAGAGAUAAAAGAAAUCAAAUGUGAAAUCAGAGAUUUAAAAAAAAAACAAAAAAGUGAUUCUGAUACUAUCCAACUUCUUUUACAAAAACAAUUACAGGAUAAUUCAGACAAUGAAUCUAAUCCUGAUGAUGGUGAUGAUAUUAAAGUAGAAAACAUUGAGUCAGUACCCAAUGAUUUUCUAUUUGUUUUAAAGCAAAUCACCACAAGAAAGUAUUUGAUUAAAGUCACUUUAAUCUUUUCUGAUGAUUUUGCAAUGGACGCCAUUGCCCUUUUUGAUACUGGCGCCGAUUUAAAUUGCAUUAGAGAAGAUAUCGUCCCCAAAAGAUUUCAUGAAAAAACAAAAGAAAGACUUUCUGCCGCUAAUAAUUCAAAACUGAAUGUCAGUUCCAAGGUUGAAGCCUCAAUCCAUAAUAAUGGUUUUGAUUUUAAAACUUCUUUUAUCCUCACAAAUGAUAUUCAUCAUGCCAUCAUUUUGGGAACUCCUUUUAUAAAUCUUAUAACUCCAUAUACUGUCAAUUAUGAUAGUAUAUCCUUCAAAACAAAAAACAAGAAACUUGUUUUUCCUUUUAUUGAAAAACCUAAAACAAGGAAUUUGAAUAUUGUUAAAACCUGUUCUGUUUAUCAAAACAGAAUAAAUAACUUACUUAAAUCAAAACAGUGUGAUCUAAUGUUUUUACAAAAGGAUUUAAAUUUACAAAGAAUUGAAAGCCAAUUACAAAGUGAUUUCAUUAAAAGAAAGAUUUCUGAUUUCAAAACUCUCAUUGAAAAAGAAAUUUGUGCUGAUCUACCUUCUGCUUUUUGGGACAGAAAACAACACAUGGUAGAUCUACCAUAUGAAACUUCUUUUAAUGAAAGACAGAUCCCCACUAAAGCACGUCCAAUCCAGAUGAACAUGGAAUUGGAACAACAUUGCAAAAAUGAAAUCAAAGAUUUAGAGUCAAAAUGACUCAUUGUUAAGUCAAGGUCCCCAUGGUCUUGUGCCGCUUUUUAUGUUAAUAAAAAUUCUGAAAUUGAAAGAGGCACUCCUAAAUUAGUUAUAAACUACAAACCUCUUAAUAACGCCCUAAAAUGGAUUAGGUAUCCAAUACCUAAUAAAAAGGAUUUACUUCAAAAACUAUGUUCUGCUCUUAUUUUUUUCAAAAUUCGACAUGAAAUCUGGUUUUUGGCAAAUUCAAAUUCAUCAUAAUGAUCGUUACAAAACUGCUUUUACUGUUCCAUUUGGACAGUAUGAGUGGACUGUUAUGCCCUUUGGUUUAAAGAAUGCACCCUCAGAAUUUCAAAGAAUUAUGAAUGAUAUUUAUAAUCCUUAUUCUGAUUUUUGCAUUGUUUACAUUGACGAUGUAUUAAUAUUUUCAAAUUCUAUUGAUCAACAUUUCAAACAUUUAAAGACUUUUUAUUUUGCCACCAGAAAGGCUGGAUUGACAAUUUCUAGUUCUAAAGUUUCUUUAUUUCAAACAAAAGUCAGAUUCCUUGGUCAUCAUAUUUCUAAAGGAACAAUCACUCCAAUCAAGAGAUCUCUUUUGUUUGCUGAUAAAUUUCCUGAUAAAAUUCUUGACAAAACCCAAUUACAAAGAUUUAUUGGGAGUUUAAAUUAUGUUCUUGAUUUCUGUCCUAACAUUAAUAGGAUGUCUAAACCCUUGCAUGAUAGAUUAAAGAAAAAACAUGUUCCUUGGACAGAUGAACAUACCAAGGUUGUAAAGCUUAUAAAGAAUUCUGUGAAAAGCAUCCCAUGUUUAUAUCUUGUUAAUCCUACAUUACCUAAAAUUGUUGAAACUGAUGCAUCUGAUUUAGGUUAUGGAGGCAUAUUAAAGCAAAAAGAAAAUGAUAAAGAACAGAUAGUACAAUAUGUUUCUGCACAUUGGAAUGAUUGCCAGAAAAAUUAUUCUACUAUAAAAAAAGAAAUCCUUUCCAUUAUUUUAUGCAUUACAAAAUUGCAAAGCUGCAAAACAUGUUUUGGAAAAAGAUGUUCAAAAUAUUGCAUCAAAACAGAUUUUUGCACGAUGGCAAGCCAUUUUAAGUGUUUUUGAUUUUGAUAUUGAAUAUAUUAAAGGCGAUACAAAUUUUAUUCCUGAUUUUCUAACUCGGGAAUUUCUUCAAAACAGAUAAUGCCGCAAAAGAAAAAAGACAAAGGUAAAGUUGUUCUUAAAGAUUCUGAAUCUAGAGCAACCUCUAAAGGACCCCAAGCUACCCCUUCUAAAGACAAAUUACUUUCCUCAGCCAUGCCUAUUAAAUCUUGGAUAUAAAUGGUUGAAGAACAUGGUGCCCAUUACAAAACCACUUCUUCUAAUGACCAAGUAAAACAAUGGAUGAGUUCCAUUACAAAGUCCCCUGAGCUUAUGCUCGCCUUACAAAACCUUUCCCAAAGCCAGAUUUUCUCAAAAGAAGAAAAAGAAAACCCUAUCUCCAAAGAAAUCUCAAAACCCUCUUCUCAAAAUGUGAUUGUCUCUGGUGAAAGCUCUUUUUCCCAAAUUGUGCUUUCCCAACCAUCACCUUCAAAGAAAACCUCCGAUUGGUUUGAUAAAACUCAUUUUUAAAAUAUUCUUUCUUUAGAAGAUGGAUUUUACCAUACUGAUCCUUUCCAAGCAAUUUCAAAGUCUUUCCCUAAGGGCUGAUUUUUUAAACCAUGGGAUUUAACAAAACCUCAGUCCUACUAUCAAAGCAUUUUAGAAAUCACUGAUUCAGUUAAGUUCAAACAUUUCUUUCUCAGUGAAUCACAUUCAGAACCAGCCUAUUCCACGGCUACUAUUUUAAAAGUUUUGAGCCCAAACCAAUGGGGUGACCUACUCCAUAAUUUUAAAACUUUCCCUUUAAAUUUUCAAACUCGUUUACCUCAUUGUCGGACUUAUUCCUAUUGGGAUUACCAACAAGCCUUGUAUAACACAUUUUUUAUCCAAAAUCCCAAAAAAUCCCAUUCUUAGUUAUUUUUCUUCAACCCAAAAAUAAUCGUCCAAAGCCUUCCAAACUGGUUCCAUCAUUGGUGGAAUACUUUUGGCCCAAUACCAAAAAUUUUAACCAUGAAUGCCACCCAUUGUUUAAACCUCUUCAAAGCCCACUAUACUCCUUCUGAAUCCGAGAAAAGGUUUCCCCCCUUUCUCUGUUUCUGUACAAAUUUCUUCCUUCCAUGGGUAUGGAUGUGGAACCUUAGGCUUCAUACCCAAGAUUCCCAACUCAUCCUUCAAAGAACCUUUAAAGUGAAAUGGUGGUCCAAAUUUGACGAACAGUCAAAAUUGACUGAAAAUUUAGUCCGAGAUUGGCUCUCUGCCAAAGGCCUUCUUCAACCCACCAUAAAACAUUCCAAAGCCCAACAAACAUUUUUGACCCAAAAGUCCAAAGCCCAAUCACUAUUGGCAGGUGCCAAAACAGAAGAAGAAUACUUCAAAGCCAUGGAACAGCUCCUCGCCUCCCGGUCAAAGUCAUCAGUGGCUGACACCUCUGAAGACGAAGAUGAAGAUGAAGAUGAAGAGCCAUUCAUUUCUCUUGGAGACGAAAAUGAAGAUGAUUAUUUUGGAAUUUUUUCUCCUUUAAAGCAUUGUAAAUAACUAUUUAGUUAUUUAAAAAAAAAUUAUUUGUUCUGUAUAUUCGGGUGGUCCUCUGGACAUAAGUGAGAGCGCACAUGUCUCUUCACCCGUAUCGUAUUUUUGUACAAAGAAUCGACUAUUCAAAGAUACGAUCCAAAUGUUACUGUGCACUUAAAACUCCGCUACAGUGAACAGUGCAGAUUUUCAGAGUUUACUGUGCACUUAAAAUCCCGCUACAGUGAACAGUUUAAAGAUCUUUGUAUAAAAACCGAGAGGAAGACUCAGACUCCUCAGGUUUUUCAUUUCUAAGUUUAGAACUUCUCUCUCUUCUUCUCUCCCUUCUCUCUAGAAUUCUCUCUCUCUCUCUCUCUGGGAAUAGGAAUCUGGAAUCCGAAGACAAAAAGAAAUUUCUCCUGUCUUCAGAUUAAUUUCCCAUUAUUUCUCUUUCUUCUCUACAAAGAAAACCAACUAAUGUAAGCAUUUCAUUCCAGUUUUAUUAAAGCAAUUUUUAGCAAUUUCAAAGUUUUUCCCUAAGGGUUGGUUUUUUAAACCAUGGGAUUUAACAAAACCUCAAUCCUACUAUCAAAGCAUUUUAGAAAUCACUGAUUCAGUUAAGUUCAAAUAUUUCUUUCUCAGUGAAUCACAUUCAGAACCAGCCUAUUCCACGGCUACUAUUUUAAAAGUUUUGAGUCUAAACCAAUGGGGUGACCUACUCCAUAAUUUUAAAACUUUCCCUUUAAAUUUUCAAACUCGUUUACCUCAUUUUCGGACGUAUUCCUACUGGAAUUACCAACAAGCCUGGUAUAACACCUUUUUUAUCCAAAAUCCCAAAAAAUCCCAUUCUUGGUUAUUUUUCUUCAACCCAAAAAUAACCGUCCAAAGCCUUCCAAACUGGUUCCAUCAUUGGUGGAAUACUUUUGGCCCAAUACCACAAAUUUUAACCCUGAAUGCCACCCAUUGUUUAAACCUCUUCAAAGCCCACUAUACUCCUUCUGAAUCCGAGAAAAUGUUUCCCCCCUUUCUCUGUUUCUGUACAAAUUUCUUCCUUCCAUGGGUAUGGAUGUGGAACCUUAGGCUUCAUACCCAAGAUUCCCAACUCAUCCUUCAAAGAACCUUUAAAGUGAAAUGGUGGUCCAAAUUUGACGAACAGUCAAAAUUGACUGAAAAUUUGGUCCGAGAUUGGCUCUCUGCCAAAGGCCUUCUUCAACCCACCAUAAAACAUUCCAAAGCCCAACAAACCUUUUUGACCCAAAAGUCCAAAGCCCAAUCACUAUUGGCAGGUGCCAAAACAGAAGAAGAAUACUUCAAAGUCAUGGAACAGCUCCUCGCCUCCCGGUCAAAGUCAUCAGUGGCUGACUUUGAUAGUAAUAGUAUAUACUAUCAUAAUUGAUACCCUUUAUAUUUAAAUUACUACUUAGACAAAAAUAUAUAUUUCAACAAUUAUUAUUAUUAUUAUUUAUUAAUGUCGUUAUUAUUGUUGUUGCUUUUGUUAUUACUUCUAUGACCACAACCACUACCACCACUAUCAAAGGAAAAUAAUUAACAAAGGGUAUUUUAAUAAAAUCACAAUAGUUCCUUCCGAUUUCAAGACAAAGUAAAUAAAUCAAUGGAACUGAAUCUCAUUCCAAUUUGGAUUCCUAUAGCUCAAGUAAAUAACUUAUUUUGAUUCUCAUUUCUUAUUUCGAUUCCAGCCCAUUCUGAUUACUGAUCAGUAAACACACUAUAAUACCCUUACUACAAUUUUAAAAUAAUGUUUUAUAAAUUUACAAUAAUCUUAUUAAUAAUUAUUUAUAAAAAAAAUUAGCUUACUAAUUAAUCCUAAAAGUAAAAUAAUAACAAAAAAUUUACAUUUAUUUUUAUUUACUUUGGGGUUAAUUUUUUAUUUUUUUUAUAGAUAAAUUAAUUAAUGUCCCCCAAGAAUGUUGUUGUAAGGGUAUACUUUUAAAAGCAAAGAGAAAAAGGCAUGAGUUUCAUAUAUUCAAUAGUAGGGGUGUCAUGAGGCAUUUUUUAAAAUAUAAGAACUAAACAAAUAGUUAGUUCAAAAUAUAAGGAUUAAAUAAAUAUUUAUCUUUUUGUUUGACUAUAUAGAGAGGUUACACAGUAUUACUAUAGAGAGGUUUUACUGUGUAACCUCUCUAUAGUGAUAUUUUAUCACUAUAAGGACUAAACGAACAUUUACUUUUUUAUUUGACUAUAUAGAGAUUACACAGUAUCAUUGUAAAAAUGUUUUACUAUAAAUGAGAAAAAAUCUUUUACAAAAUACAAAAAAAGAUAGUAAUAUUUAAUCCUGUCAACUUAUCUCGUCAGUCUCCAAUUUUCAAUUAACUCUAUUUAUUUUCAUAAUUGUCCAAACUCGUAUUUUUUUAAAAUUUUUUAUUAAACCGCCUUUGUUCAAGUUCUUUGAGUGUCCUUUCCAAAGUCCAAACCUAAAUUUUCAACAUAAAGUGAGAUAAUUUUUCAAUUAGGGAUGUCAAAUAACAUUCUUUUUAGUUAAUUUGGCUUUUUUUUUAAUUUGGCAUUUUUUAACUCACUUGCUUAAAUUGCAUGUAAUUGUUCUAUCAGAUGUUUCAAAUUCUUUCAGAUUAUUUUCAAAUGGAGAUUGGCCAUUCAUUUUGCAUCUCUAAUUAUCACCCAACACCAAGAUUUAUUGCCAAUUAAAAUGAUGCCGUGACCUCCACAAUCAAGUAAUUGAAAUGAAUCGGGCCGAUUUCCUAAAACAAGAUAGUACUAGGAGUAUAUUUAGGAAACCCCUUUAAAAGAUAAAAUGGACCCCUCUUCCUUUUAUAUUCUCUCAAGAAUGUGAUCUGUGACACUAAAAGAACUCCAAAAGAAAGACAUUUCUAUCAAGUGAAAGAAUUAUAUUUAUUUUGUGGCCUACCACGUUGACUAGCUAGCCCUGUUCACACUCUUAGAUGAACCUACAGAGUCAGAAAUUUACGCUCUGCAAAUGGAAACCCAAUAUCUUCAUCUUUUCCUUUUGUCUUAUAUGAGAGACUAUCAUAGCCAAAGUGUCAAUAUAGCCUUAACAGUAUAACACGAUUAUGAUUCCAAAGCCACUCGUACAAGAAACCAUUUGUGGUCGGCGGUUUUGUACCCACCACAUGAGUAAAUUGAAAGCAACUACAUCUUUAAUUUUCAUGUUAUUUCUCUUUAAAAGAAUUUGUUUGUAAAGAGUAGUUAUCCAAAAAUUUAAUUUAAUGGAUAAGAUGAAACACGAAAAGAUAAGUUCUAACAAACUACUUAGAUGAAAUAUGAACUGAAAUGAGAGCUCAUUGAUAAAAUGAGAGAUAAAAGAGUUUGACAGUGAGUUAAAAAAUAAAAAUUAAAUAGAGUUUAUGUGUCUGAAAAUUUGAAUUUACCUUAUCUUUUGAUAUUGAAUUAAUGUUGCGUUCACUCAAAACAAAAUUAAACUGAUAGGUAAAAGUUUAAUAAUAGUAUUGAAAUUAAAUUUCAACCUAAUUCGGUAGUGUGAAUUAUAUUCUAUCAAAAACGUAAAUUUUAGCAUGACAUGACAUGACAAAGCAAAUCGACUGCUUUAGUAAUAUUUAUCUAAAGCAUUAGUGUGAAAAACUGAAAAUUAUAUGGCUCAGUGCGGCAAGCGAAUAAUUAUUGCUAACUUUACUGUUAUGUUCCUAAUUUUGAAGGUUGUUAACUUGUCCAUGAAUCAACCUUUUCUCAAUCUAUAUUUUUAAUUCCAAAAAGGGUAAUUGCAUAAAAGGUUGCUUAUCUUUUAGACAAAUACUUUAGCAUAUCUAUUCUAAGUUACUGAAAGUGUUUUGUUAUCUCCCUUUAACUAAGAAAUAAACACAUUUCGUUUUCACAUAACACAGACUUAAUAAAUCCUCUUUUUGCACAGUACAGGUGGUAGUGUUACACAUGCGAGAUGUAUUGAUUCAACUUACAAUGGAUCCCACAAAGAAGCUUGAUGAUCUAUUAUCGAUAAUGCAAAUUUCUUUUCUCUUAUCUAUGACUGAUCUAUUAUCGAUACAAUAAUUUUACUCCUCUCUCUAGACUCUAUGAAACUCAUUUUCGUCUUUUUAUGAUGCUUAAUUGAUUUAGUUGAAAGGGCUUCACUUUCCUCUCUUCUUCUGACUUGUUACUAAAUACAAUUCUAUUAUUCGGCUUAGGUUUUGGGUGUAAUAUAAUUGUCUUUAUAUCAUCAAUAUUUCAAAUUCUUUUAUUUAUUUAUUUAACGUAAUAACAAUUAAUUAAAUUUUUUUUUUAACUAUGUCAGUGAAGUUUAAACUCCAUACCUUAAUUUAAUUUUCUACGAAAGAGAUUUUAUUAAUGGAACAAAUUAUUCUAUAAUGCCUAUUUCAAAGCGCCUAUCUUACAGUUUACCUGUCUCAUCCUAACUCGUCAUUGAAUUAGCAUAAAAAGGUUGGAUAAGACUAUUAAUUCGGAGAUCGAUGGAUGCAUUUGAAGUGGGAGAAGAAUGGAAUUCAUAAAGUAAACAUGAAUGUCUCACAACUUUGGCUUCAUUGGUUGACAAAAAGAAUAUAAUUCUCGUAACCCCCAUGAGAGGUUGCGUUAACCAAGCCUAGAAUAACAUUUUAGUUACACAACCAACACCACUCUUUAGGACAAAACAUAUUUUAAACAGAACAAACCAAGAGAGAAGAGAAUCUCUUUGCUUUUUAAAUUGAUUCAAUAAGUAAAAAUAAAUUAAUGAUAAAAAAAAGUCAUAAAGAUUCGUUAAUGGAAGCAUAUUUUAGGUGGGUAUUGAUUUCUUAUAUUGAAAUAAGGACAAGAAUCGAAACCCCAUGUGCAGAUAUGCCCUUUGAUGAGCCCAUGAUCCUUUUUUGUGGUCAUGUUCGUGUGCUAUAGUGCAGCAGCACAUAAGGGUAUCUUCUUUUUAAAUAGUACAGGAUAAUGAUUAGAUAAUACAGAACCCUCUUUGCUCUUUUCAUUGGAUGCCUUUCUUUGAUAUGAAUUUCUUUGUUUGCAUAUCUUCAUUGGAUUUACUUUUCCGUCUAAAAAUUUAUUUGCCUUUUUGGUGGUAAAGGCUUUAGAUACUGAGCCUGUGAGCUAUAAUAAGGACCACUUCUUUCUUUCUUCUUCUUAAUGAACAAGUGUUCCCACUUUCCAUGUCACUAUAAUUGUUUUUUAACUUAGUAAAUUUUGAAAGCAUAAUAAUUAACUAAAGUGUUUGAAUUUGCUUGCAAAACAAAAUUUCAUAACUCUUUGAAACAGUAAUUAAUCUGCCUUUUCUUCUCUUUUUUUCCCCCCUUCCCCAUUAAUUUGUCACACAAUAACAAAACAACUGAUACAGUAAGUCUAUGAUCAAUUGCUGUAAUUCAGUACUUUCUAAUCCAAUAAGCAGUUAAGCACUAGUCUCUUCCUGAUCUAACACGCUAGGAGAUAAUUCAUCGGCCGUGAUUUCACUUGAACAAGAUGAAGCAGGCUGAGGAGGAGGACCUAAUAAAUCAGUCUGAUCAGCUUCAAUAACACUAAAAUCAAUAACCUGCAGCUGAUUUUUGUGGCUGUUCUUAGUGAUAUUGAGAUUAUUAGAAGAAACAACUCCACGCUUUUUAGGUUUUUUCUUCCUUUGAAAUAUGCGAUACACAACCCAAUCUCCUAUGAUCACCAUCUUAAAUACCUGCCAAACAUGAAUUUACAAAACAAAUUAAACUUUAUUGAACUAAAAGAAACGUUAAUUUGUGUUUGCCAACCAGUUCAGUUGUCAAAAUCUCUCGAGUAGAUGUAAGAAAUAUGGGGUUCAAAACCUCGCUUGCGUGGGUAAAGACGAGAUUUAAUCACUAUAUGAUCACAUAGAUUUUCCCAAAAGAAAAAAAAAGGGCUUACCGGCUGGGUUAAGUUGGUAUUUGUUGCAAUGGCCACAAGGUGAUAUUGAUGCAUCACCCAUUGAGUUUUGGUCUCAUGGCCGCGCUUGCCUUCGCAGAAAAUCAGAGUCUUUCUUAUUCCAACUACUUGCUUAGUCCCAGAAGCCAAAAUUUGCCUAUUUUUGCCAACAGGUUUCCAGUAACCAGAACCAGCAGCUAUUUUGCAUUUGCCGUCAUUAGCAAUCGCACUCUCAUUUCUAAUAUUGCUAAAAAAAUACCUCUUCUUCUCCUUCAUAUCACCUAAAUAAAUUAACCCACAUAAAACGUAACAAUUUAGAAUAAUCCGAUAAUCAUCGAUCAAGUGCAGCUAGCUAAAGCAUAUAUUAAAGAAAUGAUAUUAAAUUAACACUAGUAGCUAGCUAAUUAACCUGGCAAACCCAGAGGAUGAGACUGAAACACAUCAAGCUCAGGAAUAAUGGAAGCAGGCAAUGGCAAGCCAAACACCUUACGCUUCAAGUAAUGAACCACAAGCUCUUCAUCUGUGGGGCGAAACCUAUACCCAAUAGGCAGCUUUAACCCACCAUUCACAACGAAGUUGUUUUGUUUCUCCAUAUUUAUAUAUGUAUAAAUCCCUCUCUCAAACUGAACUGAUGAUGGACCAAAUCAAAGCAAAGAAAAUGUUAACAAUCCAUGCUUGAAGAUAAGAGAGAACGAGAGAGAGGGGGAGAAACAAAGAAAGGCUAGACUUGUGUUGUGAUGGGGUGUGUUGGGAAGCUAACUAGGGAGAGAGGAUGCAUAAGGGUUUGUAUAUAUAUAUAGAGAGAGAGAGAGAGAGCUGGAGUGAGGAAAUUAAUUAAUUAAAUGCCGAAGUUAAAAAUUUUCUGCUACGACUGAGCGUUGGUGCUUGAAUUUACACCAAGCAUUUUCCACUUUAGAAUUUUGCUUUUGUUUGACGGGUCGUUUCACAAACGUGUAGGAAAUUAGAAAGACCAUGAAACUUCCGUCUGCUUUGCUUUGCUUUGCUUUCGGUCAAGAAGCACGCGCUCGGGUACACUUCGCCGCACGUGUCUCACGUUUCAUAAUUAGUACUAAGAAUUUUGAGAGAUCUCGAAUCAAUCGAUUAAAUUGUACGCUAAAUCAUUCUAUUCUUCUCAUCUUUUCGAUGUUAUAUUGUAAUUUUACUAACUAUUAAUUAGCAUUUUACAGAGCUUGCUAUUAUCCGCCACAAUGAGCGCACCAUGAAAAAGGACUCAAAAAAUUAAUCAAAAGAAUCUGCUCAAAAAUGGAUUUUUAAAAAAUUUACCCAAUUUACCUUAACAUAUAUAACCACUAAAAAAAGUUGAAUCUCUUUCAUCAAUAUUGUCUUCUUCUUUUUUUUUUUAAAGUAUUGUAACACUAAAAAUCAAAAUGCUUGCUUCUGGUAUGUGGGUACGAUUUGAAACUCGGAACUGUUUAUAGCACUUCAAAAGAUCUUACAAAUUAAAUUAAUUUGUAAAAUAGAAUGAAAAAUGAUUUAAGAGCAAAGCUACGAAAAUAUGAAUCAUUAUUGAUGAAAAGUAAGGAAGCAACCAACGAGGUGUUGGUUCAGCUGGCGCCGGCUGAACCCCUUAGGUGGCUCGACUGGGUUUGCUCAUCAGUUCGAGCCCUUUGGGAGUCGCCCUCGUUGGGAGGGCUUUAUUGGCACCCGGCCCGAAUCCGGAGUAGUCGGGGCCCAAUGUGGUCGCCGGACACCGGAUGGUUAAGACCAAAAAAAUUUAAGAAGCACAUGGCUUUGCAUUACUUCUAUAAGAAUAGAAAAACCCUAGCAAAGCAUACCUCCUAGAAUACCGGACAUACAAGCAUUCUUAUUUUGUGAUUUGGAAAAACUAAAAGAAAUGAAAUGUAAGAAACGAAAAGAAAAAAUACAGUUCUAUAGGGGCGGAAAAAAGAGAGAGAGAGAGAGAGAGAGAGAAAUAAAAUAAGCUUCUGAUUAGCUCUAUGAAAUAAUUUCUAAAGGCAUUUUGGGGAACAAAGAGCGGAGUUUGGUAAAAGUAGUAUGGAACUCACAUCCUUUGUGUUGUAUAUUAAGAUCUAGUAACAAUGUUAUGCUGUAUUAACAUGCACUAUAUUGAUUUUCUUUUUCUAUUUGAAAGUUAGUCUUCGCAUACAAUAGUUGAAGUGAGUAGAUUAGGUUAGACCCGUAAAAUUUUUAAUGUGCUUUAUUGAAUUUUAGUAUAUGAGUUAUCUUUUUUUCCUUCAUAUAAAGAAUUCUUACUGAAUGAAAUUAAUAUCUAUGUUGUUAGGUGUUGUCCUAAUUGUGGCUGGAGUCUUAGACAAUAUCAUAAGUAUUGUAUUUUGGGUCCAACGACAUGAUGUAUUUUGGCCAUUUAAAAUGAAAUUUUCAUUAAUUUUCCCUCAUAAAAAAAUACAGCAAAAAAAAAAACACUAGGGGUGGUAAUACGGGUCAAGAUUCGUUUAUUCGAUUCGAUUCGAUGCGAAUUAAAUGGGUUUGCGUUUGAAAAAAUUGAUUCAUUUAAUAAAUUGGUGAAUUCCAUUCUAUUUGCUAAUUAAACGAAUUAAAUCCAGGUUUGAAGAUAUUGAUUCAUUUAUUCGUUUAGAAUUCGUAUUGAUUCGUUUAUUCGUUUAGGAUUCGUUCAAUAAACAUGUCAUAAACGAAUCGAAUACAAGUCGAUUCGUUUAAAAAUCGUUUAUUACUCGUUUAAUUAAAUUAUUUUUUUAUCCUUAAAUUUAUUUGAAAAUUUUUUUAAAUUUGAAGGUUAAUAUUGUAAUUUAGAUGACUGUGUAUUUAAUCCUAGAAUAUGGUUUGGAUUAUUUGUAUUUUGUUGUAGGAUAUUAAAUUUGUGGCUUUUUUAUAUUUUAUUUCGCUUAAUUUUGUUUAUUAAUUAUAUUUUUCUAAACGAAUUGUAAACGAAUCAUGAUUCGACUCGAUUCGUUAUGGAUUCGUAAUAAGAUAAACGAAUAAUAAACGAAUCCAAAUUCAAUUUGAUUCGUUUAUUAAUACUAUUAAACAAAUUAAACGAAUCAAACCGAAUAUUCAUUUAAUAAACGAAUCGAAUCCGAAUCCUGAGAUUUCAAUUCGUUUAAUAAACGAAUAGAAUCCGAAUCAAUAGAUUUUUGACUCAAUUCAUUUACAAUUCGAUUCGAAUUCGAUUCAUUUAGUUGUUUUGCCACUCUUAGAAAACACUACUAUCAUUUUGUGAAAUGAUUAAGAAAAAUACGUUGAGAAAAGAUGAGCACCGUUAAAAUGUUGAUAAGGGAAAUGUUGACCUAGCCGGUGGAUAGUGCAAUCUACGUACCUAGAAGUUCAAGCACAAAAGCAAAAUUUAAAAUCUUCACUUCAACUAAUAAAUUCACUUUCUGUCUCUCAUUCAGAAGCUAACAUAUGUACCCAAUUCCAAGAAGCCAAUUUCAAUUUCCCAUUAAAAACGACAAGCAAACCUCGGUGAACUAUGCACACAAUGACAUUUAACUAUUCCCAUUUUCCUACUCAAUUGGCAUUAGUCAACUGCGACAACGAUCGAUAUGAAUGGACAUAAUUAAAAACACCAUACACACAUUAAAUCCAUGUCUUAAUUAAUAUCGAAGUUUGAAAAUUUUGAACACAACACAUCUUCUUUCUCUAGAUGCGUGUUUGAAGGAACGAACACAUUUAUCUUUUUUAAUUUCUAUGAAUUGAAUGCGACUAAACUAUAAGAUUAAGAUAGGCCAUUUUUUUAUUUUUUUAUUUUUUUUCAUUUUCUUUAUAAGCUUAAGGUCGUUGGGAUUCUUUUUUGGUCCUUGAAGUUGACAAUGAGCUGCGAGAUUCGUUAUAAUGGAUGGCCAUGAUUUAGAUGUUUCAAUUUAAUUUUGCAUUAUCACUUUAUGCUUAUUACAUAAAAAUCUGACCAUUUCAUAAAUAUUAGCAGACUUGCUUUAUAGCUGUCGCCUCCGCAAUAAUUGUUCUCUAAUCUCUAUCUAACAAUUAUUUAUUUGGUUAACGCGCCCUAGUUGUUUUGUAAAUUAAUUAUGAUCUAGCUAAGCUUCGCAUAAAUAAAGAGGACAAUUUAUGAAUGUUUUUAUCCAUAAAUUCGGAUGCUUUUAAAGCUUAACGUGUCCGACUCAGUCAUUAAUGAAGGAUCUUAAAAAUAUAAAAAAAAGAAUUACACGGAAUAAGUUGUCAAAAUUAAAAGAAAAUUUCAACAAAAUCGAUUUGUUUUACGUUUUCGUAUUGGAAUCAUUGCACUAUCAAUUUCCUACUAUUAAUAUCGGUAUCAUUACACUUCAUUGAAUCGAUGCCGUAAGUAACAUUCACUUUUUAUUUUUUGAGAGAAUCAGUUCUUUGAUAAGAUUCACAGACGCUUAAUGGGUGGCCAUUACAAAUGGUGAGGGGUAUUUUUCCUUUUUCCUUUUUCCUUUUUAGCUCUAAGAGGGCUUUUUUUUUCUCCAAUAAGAAAAUUAUUAUUUGGACUCAUUUAACAAAUUUUGUGUAUAAGAUAACUUAGAGUAUCUCUAAAAAACUCUAUUAAUUUUACCUUUCAAAUAUCUGUUUGCUUACUUAUAUGGUAAAAAAGAGAGUGAAAAAAAUAUGUUAUUCUCCAAAAGACCCUUCAAUUUGAAAUAAGUUAAUAUUUUUAAUCAAAUAAAUAUUUUUUCAAAGGAAAAAUAAAUGGUAAUUAAAACACUUAUCUCUCUCUUCAAUAAAAAAAUAAUAAAAUAUAAAUUGAAGAGGGAAAAAGCAACUCUACAAAAUUGAAGAGAGGCAAUUAUUUCUUAUUUAAAAAAUUUUAAUUGGAGUAUCUUUUGAAGUCUUAAAUGUUGAUAUGACUCUUUAAAUAAGUAAUAAAAUCUUAUUUGAAGAGACUUUUUUUAAAAGUCUUUUAAAGAUAUUCUUAUAACAUAGCUUGUCUUAUAGUUGACAUAUCUUAUUUCAUAACUGUUUAUUUAGUGUGACGACUCUCCGUAUAUUAUACGUUAAAGGUUUGUACGAGGAUAUUUGUUCACUCUCUCAGUUCGAUUUUGACACAUUUUUGACGAUUUUGACACAUUUUUGACGACUCUUACGCAAUUUGAUUCUCGAAGAUCUUUGUAACUUUUUUUUUCCGCUCUUAAUAAAUUCGAUAUACUCAUACCAAAAAGGGCAAAAAAAAAAAACUUCAGCCUUUACAACUCAUGAAAGAAAAGUAUCAGAUUCAUAAUUCGAAGAUAAAAUAUCAAAAUACUCUUAUUGAUUUCAACGUUAUAAAGUUGUCGAUAUGUGUCCAUUAUUAAUGCAGAAACAAAAUAAAUAGAAGUUUUAUCUGCCCAGAAAAUUCUUUCACUUGCCACGCCCAUGUUGCGGGCAGAGACUUCCUGUUAGAAGAUCAGAUCUGUGGAAAAAAUGAACAAGACUAUUGCAAGUUAAGAAAAUGGCAAACAUUACCCCCCAUGGCUAAAUUGAUUUUCUCCCGAGAGGAGCUUUAUUCUAUUCAUACAUUAAAGCUUGGUUUUGGUGAGAUAUUUUCUAUAUGGAUUUAUUGAGCUCGAUAAAUGGGCUCAGAUUCUGUAUCAAACUUACUUGUGGGUUCAAAAGAAAUUUUCGUCGACAAUCGAACGAGCGUAAAGACCGUUGCUUAUCAGAUUUGGCCCAGUUGAGUAUUGAUGGAGUUUUAUGGUCUACACUUGAUUUCGGGGAAAAGUAUGGGUUUAUUUUUAUUUUUAUUUUUUUGGGGGUUACUAAUAGUUGGAAAGAUAAACUAGUCAUUUAAAUUAUCAAAAAGGAAUAUUUCAUCCAAACCAAUUGAAUUUACAAAAGGCUAUGCAUGUCUUUUUCAAAAAGUUUUUUUUGUUGUCUCUUUCCCUAAAUAUUAAAGGUUCAAGUGUCUUUUUAUGAUGUAUUUACUUCUUAAAUUGAGGAAUGGAAAUUAUUGAUAGUGUUUACUUAUUAGAUAUGUAAAGAAAUGAGAAUGAAUUUUGAGUAAAACCCACAAAUUUAAAAAUAAUGAAUAAGAAUCUCAUUCUUAUGGUAGUAGGUAGAAAUGGAAAUAAAGAAUGAAUUGACAUUUUUACCCUUAAAGAGAAAUACAUUUUUUUCCCAUUUAAAUAUUAAAUAAUACUAAUAAUAUGAAUAUUAAUAAUUGUUAUACUUAUAGCUACAGUAAUAGUAUUAUUUAUUAUAAUUCUAAUAAUAGUAAUAAUAAUUACAUUAAUAAUAUUGAUAGUUAAUAUAAUAAUAAUAAUAAUGUAGUAUUUUAUAGGAAACAUGUAUAUAUCUCAUUUAAAAGUAUUUAUACAUACAUAAUUGUAAGUUUGUAAUUAAUGCCAUUUUAAUGACUUAAAACAACUCAUUUUGAUUGCAAGAUAAAGUAAACAUAUCAAUGGAAAUACAACUUAUUCGAAUUCCAAUUCCUACAACUCAAGUAAACUACUUAUUUUGAUUCUCAUUAUUUAUUUUAAUUCCAGCCGAUUUUGAUUAUUGUCCAUUUGAAUUUCCAAGAAGUAAACGCACCAAUGAUGUAAUAACACAUUAUAAUUAUGUUGAACUAAUUAAUAAAUGAAAUGUCAACUUUGAAUCUAUCCUCAACUUUGAAAAACAUCAAAAUUUAUAUAUGCUAAUAAAAGAUGGUUAUCCAUCUAUCUUCUAUAAGAGUUGACCUAGGGAUGGCAACCCACAAAAAAUUAAAUUACUAAACACGUCCGCAGCUUGCAAUGAGUUUUUAUUUAAAAAAAAACUGCCUGUUGCGGGUUUUAAUAAUUAGUAAACCAACCCGCAACCUGCAGCUGAUUUUUUGUGGAUUUUAUCAUUUAAAAUCAUAAAUAUUAAAAAAUAUUUUUAAUAAUACAUAAAAAUUAAAGGGAAAAUAUCCACCGUCCACCCAUUUUUUCUAACUUUUUAAAAAAUACACAAUUCUUUCUUUUUUCGUCUGGAAUCCACCUAAAAUUACAUUUUGUUUCACUUUUCCACUUCCGUUUGGAAUCCAUUAAGAAAACUAACGGAAACUUAAAAAAUGACCAUUUUACCCCCAAAACGAAAAUUACAAUUUCACCCUAAAAAAUGCAAAAAAUAAUCAGAUUUAAUGAUGAAUAUCAUUAUUGGUAUGUUAAUGUAGUACCAAAAAAACUUAAUUACUAGAGAUUAUAACUCAAUGAAUAAUAAAACUUUACUUAUCUUAAAUUCAAUUGAUGGUUUGCAAGAUUGAGCUAUUUUUAAUACUACUGUUAUAAUUUAGCAUUCUAAUUAUAGACAUAUUAAAAAACAAAACCCUGCAUUUGAUGGUUGUGGAAUUAAUUUCUUUAUUGACCGAUGGGGAAAAUAAUUAGAUUUUGAUCUGAUUAUUUUUUGUAAUUUUUAAGGUAAAAUUGUAAUUUUCGCUUUGGGGGGUAAAAUGGUCAUUUUUUAAAGUUUCCGUUAGUUUUCUUAACGGAUUCCAAACGGAAGUGGAAAAGUGAAACAAAAUGUAACUUUAGGUGGAUUCCAGCAAAAAAAAAAAAAAUGAAUUGUGUAUUUUUGACAAAGUUGGAAAAAACAAGUGGACGGUGUAUAUUUUUUUAAAAUUAAAUUAUAUAAUUCAAAUUAUAAAUUUAAAAUAACAGCCUAAAAAAUCAACAUACAAUACUCAAUUCUAGAUCUUAUCAUUGUAAAUAAGACAAAAUAUUUAUAGUGUAGGCAAAUCAUCAUCACCGUUAUCAAUGCCUUGCUCCGUCUUUUAAUUAAUAUAUAAGUAUUAUCAACAAUAUUAACAAGUAAAAUUUGUAUAAUUAUUGUUACAAUUAAUUAAACAAACAAAAACCCAAGUUUAGUAAGUAAUCAUUAGGUUCAAGUUAUUAAAGUAAAACAAACAAAAUCAAUCAAUUAAAAUAAAAUACAAUAACAUUAAACUUGAAAAUCAUAAAAAUUUUGGUUACUAAAAGCUUAUUGUUUGUGUGUGUGUGUAUAUAUAAUCCUUCUCUAGUGAAGACAUCCUAACUUUGUUAAAGUAAGGAUGUUAUUAAAAUAUAAAAAAUCAUAAAUUUCAAUACAUUAAUAAUUGUAUUAUUUUUACUAUUUGUGGCAUCUUUAUUUUAACGAAUUAGGAAUAUUCUCACUAGAGAAUGAUUAUAUGUAUAGGAGACGGAUCAUCAGCUUCUCAAAAAUAUUCUUAAUUUUACACUCAUUAAUAUCUCUUGAAUUUGAGUUGAAUCAAUAGAUGAAAUUUACUUAAAUUAAAUAUUCAAAAAUUUUAAUAAUUUCUCACUUCAUAUGGAUCCCACAUCAAAUUUUUUCCAACUUAUAUUUUCUCUCACCUUAUCAUGUUCAAGUUUACCGUAUGAAUUGAUUUCGGACUAUACUAUAAUAGAAUUACUCAGAUAAAUCUCGACAGAUUUUUAAUUAUAAAUAUUAAGAUUGUAAUAUAUAAAUGUAUCAAAAAAAAAAAAAAAGUUUACCGUAUGAAUUGCACUUCCUCUUCUUCUGCCAAGAGCCAAUUCAAUAUUACUUUUGAGUCUGGCGUUGUUGUUAAUAUUUUUCUUCUGACACUUGGUUUGUGAAAUAUUUGGAUCUAAAAGUAAUGGCUGGGAGGAAUUGAUGCUAAAGUAAAGAUCAUCUAUUUGUUGGCAAACAAUGGUUGGCUGGGCUGAAAUAUCUAAAAGCUUUUUGGCUAGCUUAUUUGUACUAUCCAUGUAAAUCAAGUACGCCUCAUUUGAAGGGAGCUGGCUAAGUUACGGAUUCUGUAACUUACAGAUCCAGCUUUAGGCUUUAGCUAGCUCCCAUACACACCCAUUUGCUGGCUUUUCUCUCCCCUCAUGACAUGUGUGCUCCUCUCAUUGGGUGUGUAUGUUACCGAUUCUGUAACAUAGCAACCUCCCGGAGAUGGCAAAACGCCGGGCUGGGUCCGGGUAUUGCCAUGACCGGACCCUGCCCGGGUGUAAUCGGUCCGGAUUUGAGUUUGGGCCGGAUUUUAAUUUGGAUAUCCGAAUUUUAUAUUUUUUAAUAUUUUAUGUGUAUAUAUUUUUUUAAUAAUUUUUAAGUUUUAAAUUUAUUUCAAUAAAAUUUGAGAUGAAAAUAUAAACAUUAAGUGUUUAAAACUUUAUAUAUGUAUAAUAAUGAGUCAAAUAAAUAUAAAAUAUUUAAAAUAAUGGAUAUUUUAUAAUUUUUUUAAUAAAAUCCGAGUUCCGGAUUUAUCAAGUGAUACCCAAGACCGACCCGACUUCAUACCCGGACCGGGUAUUACCCGGCCCGCAACGCCUGGGGAUGGUCCGGGUCCGGACCAGGCGAGUAUUUUUGCCACCUCUACACCUAACAGAUGCUAAUUUUGUAGCUUGGUAACACAUAUGGCUAAGUCUCAAAGCCUCUAAUUCUUCUUUGUUAUCAUUUUUCAAAAAACUCUUUCAAAUCAAUCUUUCUAAAUUUAUUUGCCUAUUGUCUCCAUCUUGGAAUAAUGAAAUGAGUCAGCAGCUUUUCAAUAUCUAAAUAAGGAGAGCACUACCUUACAGUAUCUAUAAGGUGCAGUCCUCUCACAUAAACAAUAUUCAAUUGUGAGCUUAAAUGGGAUUAAUUGUCAAGUUUGCGAGAGAACUGCACCUUACAAAUAUUGUAAGAUAACAAACUCCUCUAAAUAAACAAAAUCUUUUAGAUAUAUCUACAAAAGUAUUCCAACAAACUCAAUUUUUUUUACAAUCACGAUUACUUUGAUAAGUUUGCAAAUUUAACUUCCUCUUAAACUCUUAAGAUUCCCCAUUUUCACAAAGAGUUGUGAGAUUAAAAAAGUAUUUUUUUUGGCAAAGGAUUAAAAAAAAAAAGCAAAUGAAAAGUCAAGAAAUAAAAAAACAAGUGAAGAGAAGAAAGAGGGAGAGACAAAGUAGAGAGAGAAAAUGUAGAGGGAGAAAUAUUUGUGUGUUGGUCUACAUGAAGAGAGAAAAUAUUAAAAAUUCUUAAAUGUUUAAUUUCAAUAAAUCUCAUACAUUAAUUUAACUCAAAUCCUAUUGAUAUUAAUUAAAGGUAUUAUUUAGGUGUUGUUGAUCCGCUUAUAUAUAUGUAGUGAGACAAAUUAAGUUUAGGAAUCAAGAAAUUUAACUUACACAAAUUUAUGAUUAAUUUUUUUUAAUGUAAUUUUUAUGAUUAAAAUUAAAUUUAUAAAUAAUUAAAUAAAGAAUUGGGAGUUGGCGGAUACCUAUGUAGGUAUCCAUCAAAUUUUUUCUCAAUACUAAAUCUACUUGUAACCCAUAACAUAUUUCAGUUUGAAAUAUUAAACCCACCCACAAUUCGUAAACUUAUCCACAGCAGGCGAAUUUUUACAAGCAAGUCCAAAUGAAUUGAUGAGUUUUUACGAGUGAGUCUGGACGAGUUUAUAGGUUGGCAUGUAAUUUUAGCAUCCCUACCUUGCCCGAACCCCAUCCCCAAUAUUAUUUGUGCUUAUUCUAACUGUUUUCAAAUUGUUUAUUAUACUUAUUAAAUUGUGUUACAUAUAUCGAGUUAAAAGUACAAAUUUGUAAAUGUAACCAAAAAAUAAAAUAAAUUCAAAGUGCAUUGCAAAAAUUACACGAUCGCGCAAGUGUAAUCCAACGUUUGAAAAUUAUAAUACAAAACUUAAAUCUCAACUUAAGAUAUAAAUUUGCAAAGUAAUACUCGUAACCCCUGUAACUUGUAACAUGUAUUUAUUUUGGUAAUGCAGAUAAAUCAUUAAUCUGAAAUUUGGCCAUUUAUGAAAAUAUAUAUAUAUAUAUACACACACACACAAUCAAAUGUCUACUAAUAUUUAUAUCAUACUAGAAUCAUUUAGAUCAAUUUUAUUAUGGCACAACUUGAAUUUCUACCUUACUAAUAGGAGAAGUAGGGAUGACAAAAAAGCCCGGACCGGCCUAGUCAAUUCCCCCAGGCUUUGCACAUGAGGGUCUGGACAAGGGUUUAGGAAAAAAAGUCAGGGACUGGUCCAAGCCCUCUAUUUUUAAAAAAAAUAAAAUUAUAAAUUAGAAUAAUAAAUUCAAAUUUGAAAAAUAAUGGAAAAAAAGUAAACUUAAAUUAUUAAUUUAUAUAUUAAUAUAAAUUAAAAAAACUUAAACUUAUAAUACUAAACUCUCUUUUAAGUGUUAAUUAGUUAAUAGAGUGUUUGAAUUAGAAAAUUUAGUACUAAAAAAUUAAAUAUCUAAACUUUUAUUUAUUUUAUUUUGAAAUAUUUAUUUUCUUUAAUUCAUUAUUGAUUAUAACAACUUGAUUAUUAUUAAUGCAUUUCACAAUUUUAACAAUUUUUUUUAAAAGUAAAAGGCCAAGCCCGUAGUAGGCCCGGCCCAAGCCUAACCGUUACACUUCUUAUCUAAAUGGCAUAACCUUGAGAUUGAAAAAAUCUAACCCAAACCCUUAAUUUAUCAAUGUUAAGUAGAAGAGAUAUUUGCUCUACCCACAAAUUAGCGGGGAGACAUUACUUUCCAAUUUGUAAUUAGAAAAGAAAAUGAGAGUUCUGCAUGGGAUAGUCCUCCACUAAACAAAAGGCCGAGUAGCUCUUAAUAAUAGUAGUAGAGAAAUUUGCUCUAUCCACAAACUAGUCGGAAGACAUUUCUACCCAAUUUCUAAUUGAAAAAGGAAAUGAGAGUUCUGCAUGGGACAGUCCUCCACUAGAUAAAAGGCCGACUGGCUCUUAAUAAUAGUAUUUACAGUCAGCUCUACUAAAGCUGACACGUAGGAGAUAGGUAGAGUAGGGUGCGAUGUUGCCAAUACCGUACCCAUACCAACCAAAAAAAUAAAUAAGUAAAAUUGCCAAACCUGUAGUCCCACACCAUGCCCACUAGUACCCAAGGGAUUUCUUCCUUGCUCCAAACCUUUAAAUAUAAAUUACAUCAUUCAAAUUAUAAAUUCAUAAAAUUUGCCUAAAAAUAUACAUGACAUACUUAAUUCUUAAUUUUAGCGAUGUAAGUAAGAAUAAAAAAGUUUUAACAUUAAAAUAAAUAUAUAGAGUUCAUUAAUUUAAUAUAAAUUCUUUAAUUUAAGUACGAAAUACAUAAAUUCUCCAGUUUAAGUAAGAAAUAAAUAAAGUCACUCGGCCAAAGGCCGAGUGGUUAGGGUUUUGGAGGGCAGUAGUUCGAACCCCCAUAAGUGCAAUGUGGAGGUAUUUCCUUCCUUAAUUAUAUUGUAUAAUUGAGUGAAGGUAGUCUUCUCACUUGUCCAAGAAUGAGUGGAGUAAACAUCCCUUGAAUAUUAGUAAGGGUUAAAAUCUGGGCAGAGCUUUAUUAACAUUGAUGUAAGUUGGUCCUAGUAAUAAUCUGAUUUGUAAAUAUCAGUUAUAAUCUCAUGUAAUAUGAGUUGUAGUUUGAGCAAUAGCCUCAUGUAAUAAAAAAAGUGCGAAAUAAAGAAGUUCAUACACAAAUUUUCCAUAAAAUAUGGGAAGGGCUCCAUUAGCAUUGAUGUAAGUUGGUCACAGUAAUAGUCUGAUUUGUAAAUAUCAGUUAUAGUCUCAUGUAAUAUGAGUUGUAGUUUGAGCAAUAGUCUCAUAUAAUAAAAAAAAUACAAAAUAAACAAGUCCAUAAUUCUCUAAUUUAAGUACGGAAUAAAUAAGUCCAUCACAAAUACUUUUAUUUUUUAAAAAAACAAAAAUACGAAGAACCACAAACUAACAUCCGAGAGUAGCACCCAUGAUAUAUCUUAUUCAACAUCAAGCUCCUAACUCCAAGAAUUAAAAUCUUUUUCUCAUUCACCACUACUAAUUGUACCCAUCCAACAUGAUUUCUAUAAUUUUGAUUAAAAUUAAUAUUAUCUAGACACAAUUAUAAAAUAAUUAUGUAUAUUGAUUUGAAAAAGCCUUGGGUGCCCCUUUUUUUGACAAAAAUUAUGAAAAAUUUGGGAAUCACAAGAUUAUAUUUUUUUAAAAAAAUGCAAAUUAGCGGAUACUAAUUUUUUUUUUUACCUUUACAAAAUUUACCCGCUUGCUGUAGCAAAUUUUAGUUUAUAUUACAAAACUGUCAAUUACCCGUAAACUUGUAAUAAGCGAGUUUUCGCGGGUUUAUGGGCAAAAUGACCAUCCCUAACAUGUCCAAAAUUUGAGUAAUUAUAUUUCUAUCCCUGAUCCCUACCUGAUUAUUUUCAGUAAACGUCGUAAGUUGGUUUGCUUACCACUCAGUCAAAGGUUGAACAAGACUAUUUGAUUAAAGAUGUCGAUUUGUUCUCCUCCUUUGGUAGUACUCAUCUUUCAUUUAGUAUGAAGUUUCUUUAUUUAAAUGAAAGAUAAUCAUAACAAAAUUUAAUGUAUAAAUUUUGAGUUUCGGACUAAUAUCUACAUUCAACUCCCCGUUAACAACAUUUGAAAAGAAAUCUAUCUUUUUUUUGUGUGUGUGGUGUGGGGGGUGGGGGUGUGUUGAGGGGAGGGGGGGAGGAGAAAAAAAAUCCCAAUAAGAGCGUGAAGUGAUAUUAUGGAACACGGUAGAUCACCGUUAGGCUACAAGCCAAUAUAACAAAAUCACUUUACCUAAAGUGAUUGGAUCCUCAUUUAUUAAAAUCCUUAUAAUGGGAUUUUGGGUUAAGAUUUGUUUAUUUGAUUAAAAUUAAGUGAAUUUGGGUUUUAAAAAAAUUAUUUUAAUAAAUAAAUCAAAUUCAAUUCAUUUAUCAAGCUUACCAAUUCAUUUAUUUGUUUAAAAUUCAUUUAUUGGAUGAUACAAUAAAAACAUAAAAUUAUACAUAUAAGUCACUUUAGUUCAACACAUUUAUUUUGAGAAAUUUAAUUCUUAUUAUCUUUAUAGUUUAGCUUGAUUUUUAUUGUUUAUUAAUUAUUAUUUGAUUUAUAAUAUUAUAAUCAUAGAUUAAUAAAUUUAGACGAAUCUAAAUUUAAUCAAAUUAUUUAUUAAUUAAACGAAAAAAGGUUAUUUAUUUAUGAUUCAUUCAAUAAACAAAUCCUGAAACUAGAAAUCGUUUAAUAAACUAUCCAAAUUCGAAACUGCCAAAAUUGAACCUACUUCAUUUGAUUAGGAUUCGAGGCAAUUAAGUAUUGAUUUUUCUUCGUAAAUCGAUACUUAAGAACACACUAGAUUUAUGUACAACUAUGUAAAUGGGAGGUAACGACCGAUAAAGAAACUCCCAUACUGGCCACAAAGGGGGUAAUAAACUAAUAGUUGCAAAAUUGUUUGCAAAAGCCAGACUAUAAAAAGAAAGCGACGCUGUAGCAAUUAAUGAAUUAAUUAAUGGUGUAUUAAUUCGGGGAUUAGCUUCAAGAGAAAGCUCAGCUCCCUCUGUGAGAAUUGUGGCUUUGUUUUAACCUCCCCAUCCUCACCCUCUCCGUUUAAACUCUUAUUAUCCUCUUUCUCCACAACCUUUGCAGGCUUAAUCAUAUCAUAAACGGCCUCAGUAAUCUCUUGAACCAAAUCGACAAUCACCCCAUCAAUACCCAUCAAAUGUUGCAUGUACACAGCCUCAGCCACAUUGUUCAAUCUCCCAUAAGUGAGAAGAGAAAGCUUGGAUUCUUUAAUUUUGGUCACAGCUCCAGGGUUUCUGAAAACUCCUUUAACUUCUGAAACAAUCCCUUGCAACCCACCUUCCAAACAAACUUUUACAGCCUCCUCCAACGAAUUUCUCCUCACAUCAUAGAAGAUUUCGGUCCCCCCAUUUGUUAAAAAGAACACAGGGUACGUGCUCUGCAAUUUCCUGAUAAGCACGGCGGCGUCCGGCUGAAACGUUGAGAAGAUAAUGGGUCUGUUCUCAGCAAACUCAAAGACGAUUUUUAAGAUGGCUUGAAUGACCCUGAUGAGAUAAUCUUGCUCGUAAACAAUGUGGUCAUCGAAUUUCAACUCGACGUUGAACCCCACAUUCGGAUCCACCUGUUGAAAUGCCUCUUGGAGUGUGCAGAGUGAAUCGUCAAUUUCGACGUUCCAGUGCAGGAUUUUGCCAUCUUUCGUUUUUCUUAACAAAGAUUUUCCAAUUUUGCCCUGUUCUCUUUGGGGCCCGUAGCUGAGGAAUUCUGAUAAAGAGAGCUCUGUAAUCCUCUUUUCAAAAAUUGUACCCUGAAAAUAGAAACCCAGUAAUCCAGAUUAGAUUGGUAAACGGUUCACAAGCUCACAGGAUUUAAUAAAAUAAAAUAAAAAAUUGAGAGAGUAAUGGAGUAACUUACGUUAUCUUCGGAGAGGAUGACGUCAUCAUGGAAAAUAACUGGCCAGCCAUCUUUUGUCACCUACAAAAAUCAGUGCUGUUUCUUUUUACUUUUCUGUAACUUUUUGAUUUUCAAUUCAAGGAAUAAAACCCGAAACUGUAGAAGUGAAAAAUUGAAAAGUAAAAAGAAAAUCAGAUCAGACGUGGAGCCGGAUUUGAAAAAGGACAAAAUUUGUCGUAUGCGGCGAGUAUACAACGACGGAUAAAAACAUCGCGGUCUCAAGUUGCAAUACUCUAAAAUCUACGUUGUUUUAUCAUGAAACCAAAAUAGAUUCCAGAUCCGAAAAAAGCGGAAAUCGUUUCGCAGUCGGAAAACAAGAAUAAACUAAACGAUAAGAGGCCUCACCUGAACGUCAAAUUCGAUGAAAUCAAGGGGAUAUUUAGCGGAAGAAUUGAACGAGGCGAUUGAAUUCUCCUUGAUAGCUUGCAUUCUCUUAUCAGACGAUUGCAGCACGUUCAUUCCGUGCCCUCUAUGUCCCACCACCAGAAACUUCGGUAUCCUAAACGACGCCGAUUUGUUCAUCUCGAGACAAGAUGAGAAGCUCGUGGAGAAGCGAGUGAGAGAAGGACUCUCGGGGACCUGGUCGAGAGACGGCACGUCGGAGACAUGAACAGCUUUAAGAGCCAUCGCAACUUUUUUGGUUUUUUUUUUUAAAGAGAAGGAGUAUAAUACUUAGCGGGAAUUUUGAGGAUUGUUGUGGAGGUGGUGUUCGGGAAGUGGUGGGUAUUUAUUAUGGAUUUUGGUGACCGAAUGCAAACGGGACGGGAUCUGCUAUUAGAAUAUUCCUUUUUGAUGUUAUAUGCUGUCGCAUAUUCUCGGUUUAAUCUCUCUCUCUCUUCGGAUACCAAGCCAAUAUAAUUUUUGUAUUUAUUCCGUUUAAACUUUCUUUUUAACUCUUCGUAACAAGUAAAGUUAGCUUUAUUGGUUCGAGAAUUUUGAUUAUGGUUUAGCUAAGCAAAAAAAUAAGAAUAAAAACUAACGGAUGUUUGACGCAGAUGCUAUUAUCGUUAAAAAAGGAACGAAGCUUUAAAGAAGCAUCGGCGCGCGCCAUCAUAAUUUUUUGACAAUUUGGAAGCGCUAAGAUGUUGGAACUAGACAACACGCUCAAAUCAGAUACUUUUCAAGCAAAUUCGGUCGCGCGAUUGUGGGGUUGCGCACACGCGCACACGGACAUGUGGGAUAGCGUUUCCAUGAAUAGCAUGUUUCUCGAACCAGAAGCGAAUAUUCACGGAAUAUGCGUGUUAGAAUCUGGCCGCGUUUUUUAUGGGGUAAAAAGAGUGGGAGUUGAUAGCGAGAGCUGCUUAACGCGCAAGUGACGAUGAUUUUGUUCAAAGUGAAUGGAUGACAGCUGUACACGACUGAUUGGAAUGAAAGAUAAUCUUUAAAAAUGAUGUGUCUGAGUCAUAUGUCUGUAAUGAAAGUGCGGGCAGGCGAUGUGGAUAAGAGAGAUUGGUUGGUAAUGACUGUGCAUGACGUGUGGCCACAUAGAUGAAUUGCCUAAACUAUGUCGUAUAAAUCCAAAAAGAAGGAGAGAUUCUUUGGACCCACCUCAUUAUGGCACAGAUUUUUGCUACCAUACAAUGUAAGGUACAAUUUCUCACAAAAUUGAUGGGCCCAAGUGAGAUUCACAAUUAAAUUUGUGAGAGGUUGUACCUUACAUUACAUGUAAGGUAACAGCUCCCUAUAGCACAAUUUCAAAAUAAAAGAUGUAUUCUUAUAAAAACGGAGAAUGCUAAGGUACAAUAUCUGUACCUCACAGCACCCUCACAAAAUAGCCGUCGACCCCAUUUGAGCCCACUUUUCAUGUUAUUGUGUAAGGGUGGCUGUAAGGUACAAAUACUUUAACUUACCCUCCCUCUAUAAAGACACAUAUAAUUGUGUAUGUUUUAACUUAAGAAUUCAUUCUUUAAUGGUGUCAUUUUAUUUGAAAAUGCAUUUUUUUUAUGUUGUCAUUUUAUUUGCAAUAGUGAUGGCUCGAUUUAGAUCAUUGAUUAAAAUCAAAUCUUAAACUAAUGACUAUGAAUGAAUGGGUAUAAUGAAUUAUGACAACCCAAAUAAAAAUGGCACAAAUAUAUUUGUAAAUAUAGCGAUAAUUAAACCAUUUAGACAUGAAAAUAAUGAUUUUAUACUACUCUUUUCUCACUCCUCUUUUUUUAAAUGAAUUUCAUCAUAUAAUAUUUAUUUUUUAUGCAUCAAAUAGCUAAUAUAUUGUUUUCUGCAAGAACAAUGUAUUGAUUUUUGGUAGGCUUGCAACAUUAAAAAAUAUUCAAGUUUACUUUCAUCGACACAUAACAUGAGUAAACAAAUACGUGGUUCAUUGUAUCAUUGAGGCGUAUUUACUUAAUCCAUGUGCAUCACUCAAUUGGUUGGGGGCAAAUAAUAUCUUAAAGAAAUCAACAUUUGUAAUGUAUCUUGAAAUACACAUUAUUUUUCUACAUUGCACUUAUUACUAUUAUUUUCGUUUUAUAUACAGAAUUAUAAACACAUUACUUUAUACAAUAAGGUUCCACAAUUAGUAUUGUCAUUAUCUACAUUUGCCAUUCCCCAAAAAUAAAUGUGUAAACUACAUCAAAUUAUUAAAUUUUAUUCCUUUUUUUUAAUGGAUAUUACUAUUUAAACCCACUAAAUUUUUCCCCAUACCUUCACGAGUCACUUUCCCUCUCUGUCUUGCAACUGGAUAUUCUCUCUUUACUCUCAUAUUCUAAAAACUAAACACUCAAUUUCACUCGUUUUGUAUUCAUUUCUUUGGCUCUUCAUACUCUAUAUUUCAUGCUUUCUAUAUAUAAGAAACUUUUUUUCUUGAUAUUUAUUAACUUUUUUCUUGAUAUUCAUUAACUUUCAUUUCUUAUAAAAACUUGUUGAUGUUCAUUUUUAAAUGGUGGGUUUUGUUUCUCUCAGAUAGUAAUACUUUUCAUUUAGAACUAAAAGAAUAUAUCUAAAUGAAUUAAUAAGAAUUUAAAAAAUUGAGAAGAGAAAAAUAAGAAAUAAUUAAUUAAGUAAUUUUUUUAAAAUUACUCAAAUAAUGAAAGAAGAUGUUUAAAAAGCCCACUCUUUUUAUCUAUUUAAAAAUAUCCAGACUAAAAAAAUACAAUAUCUUAAUCUGGAGCUACAAAUGCGACCAAAUAUCAUUGAUCAGCUUUAUUAUUUUACUUGUUAGAGGUUUCCUAAUAUGUUUGUGAGUUCGAAACCUUCUUGCGUGGAGUGAAACAUAAUGAUAAAGUGAAAAUUUUGUUUUCUUUUUCCAGAUUUGACUUCUCGUAAGUUAAUUUAUUAUUAUUAUUAUUAUUAUUUAUAAGUUAGAUUUGCUAAUGUGUUCCUGCAAAAGUUGACAAAAAAUUUUUUUUCUUCUUGAAAAAAUGAUAAUAUACAAUGGUGGGUGUUGUGCGUAUAAUUUUUCGUAAAAAAAAAAAAACCAUAAAUUAUAACAUGGGCCAUGUGCAGCGAGUGAGGAAGCGGUGAGAGAUGUAUUAUUAAAAGGGGAAAUUAGACGAGGAUCCACGUUGUGGAGACAGGAGUGGAAGGCAGCGCGCAGCAGGCAGGUGAGACUUUUUUAUUUUAAUUUAUUUUUUAAUUACAUACUAUAAUAAGAUUAUUUGAACUUAUUAAUUUAUUUCUAUACUUUUUUAAUUAAUAUUUUUUAUUACUAAUUUUUUCUGAUGAAUUUAUCUAACUAACCCUAUUUUCUAUUUCUUCCGUUCCAUCAGUUUCUCACCAGUUUUUACAUUUCUUUUUAGAGAUAGAUUGCCAAUGAUUUUUGGGAGAUACAUUAAAUUGCUCAAAAUUUUUAUAGAUAUUAUUACAAGGGUAAAAGCUUGUUUAGUCCCUAUAUUAUGAGGUUAGUGUCUAUUUAGUCCCUGUAUUUUUAAAAACACCUCAAAACGUCCCUGCUACUAAAUAUUGACACUUAUGCCAUUAUUUUUUAUUAUUUUUAACUUAUUUUUACAAUAUUACAUUUUUACAAUAAUAUUUCUUUUUUGGAUAUUAAUAAAAAAAUUAAAUUAUCAAAUUAAACUCAAAAAUAAAAUAAAAACAAAAAAGAUAUAUAUUAAUUUUUGUAGAAGCUCACGUAUGUCUAAAAAUUUAAUAUCGUAAAAAAUUACAUUUAUCAAUUUUUUUAGAAAAAUUAAUAUUUUAACUCAAGAGUGUGUUCCACAAAAAUUAAUAUAUAUAUUUUAUUUUAUUUUAUUUUUUGGUGUUAAACUGGUAAUUUAUUUUUUUCUUUUUAAUAAUGUCUAAAAAAAUUAUUAUAAUAGGGUUAUUUUUUUCUUUUUAAUAAUGUCUAAAAAAUUAUUAUAAUAGGGCAAUAUUAUAAAAAUAAGUUAAAAGGAACAAAAGAUAAUGGCGAAAGUGUCAAUAAUUUAAUGGUAGGGAUGAUUUGAGGUAUUUUUAAAAAUAUAAGGACUAAACGGACACUAACUUCAAAAUAUAGGGACUAAACGGGCUUUUACCCUUAUUACAACAUAUCAAGAAUAUAGAGGAACAAAAGCCCACCAUCCAUAUGCAAUCUUCUCAUACCACAAAGAAAAAAGGAUUUUUUAUUUUCAUCUAAUUUUUUAGGAAGAAAAGCUAACACCUAUUUUCUAUCAAAAGGUAAUUAUCUAAAUUAACAAACAUCUUGAUUUUAAAUUUUAUCUGAAGUUAAGAAAACUCCUUUUACUGACAAUGAUGAUAGAAAGAGAAUUGUGUUAUAAUGAGAUCAAAGAAGAAAGAGAUUAGUGAGUGUUAACUUUAGAAUUUUCAAAAAGUUAGAAUUUGAUAAUGAAUUUUUUUUUUCCAGAUGAGUUUAAAAAAGAAAUUAAUGAGUUCAAAUAGUCCACUCCAAUAUUGUACAAACAAAAAAUUGUCAACAUUAAUUGAUAUCAUUUUUAUUAUGAGAGGACUCAAGUAUUAUUCCUAAAAUAAAGAAGAAUCUACUUUCAUAUUAGGAAAAAAAUAUUACUCUUAUACUGGGGAGGAAUUAAGUCUUUAUAAUUGUUGGGACUCGAAUGAGAGUGUGAGUAGUGGGACUUUAAUUGGUUGUUUUUGGUUAUAUGUCUGUUAAGUGUUUUUAUUACAAUUAUUGUUAGGAUUGUCUUCCCAGUCACCAUCCACCACUCAUGUUUCUAUCGUACCUCUGCUCAUCUUUUAGGGGGGAAAAGAUGCAUAACUAUAUAUAUAUAUAUAUAUAUAUACACACACACACACACAGACACACACACACAACUUCAAAAAAUCUAGUAUUUUAGAAGUCAUGGAUUGGGGUCGAAGAAUUGAUCUAGAAUGUCAAAAGUUUCUUUAAUUUCUGUUGGCGUCGAAUUUGGUAGGCGAAAUGGCCACAAGCAACUUGUCAUAUAUAGUUAUAUAGUAUUGCGGGUAUACCAGAUACUAGUCACUUUGGAAGUCAGAUGUGUGAAACCUGUUGGAAAUGGAGCUGCGUUGAAAAUUUGUCCACAAGUAAAAUUUAAGAAACUAUUUUUAAAAAAGUUGACAGGAGAAAGAAAGUUCUAAUGCUGUAUGCAAAAUGCAAACUUGCUCUCCAUUAAUAUCUAUUUUACAAUGCCGUACAAUGUUUUACGAGACCAUAAAUAUUUAUCUGCAUUUGAAAAUAAUUAUAUAUAUGAGAUUAUGCUAUUUGAACGUAUUAAAGUGUGUAUCUGCAUACCAUAUAUGGUUGAAUAAAUAAAUGUAUUUAUUUAUAGAAGAACUUUACAAAAUCAAAUUUGGACUUCUCUUCUUAGAGAUAUUCAGGAUUUAGUGCACAAAUGUCACAACUGUCUUUAAACUACGUAAAACUAGAAAUUUUUGAAAUAAAUGAAAUCAAUUUUUCGAGAAUAAAAUUACAAACUAUAUACCCCUAGAAAGCUCUAUUUGUUAGAAAUUCAAGUAAUUUUACAAUGUUCAAUUUCAAUUUUUCUACAUUAAGAUAUGACUUAAACAAUAUAGAUUACUCAAAAGCAUUGAAGCAACCAACUUAGUAGAUGUCUUAGUUCUUUCUUUUAGCCUCUCUCCUUAAGGAGCACGACUAAGAGACAUUAUAUGCUCAACAACAAUAUAAACAUAAAAAUUCUAAAUAUCAAAUUAUAAAGAAUAUACAUAGUACUAACCUUGUUGAUCAAUAUUCAUGGCUUUCUUGUAGUGAUAGCUCCCAUAUUUACCUUGAACAUAAAUUUUUUUCAAAAUCAAAAAACUUUAUCAAUUGACAAAAAACUCUAUUCAGAAUUUAAUUAGAUUGAUUAAAGAAAACUCCACUCAAAUUUGAUUUUUGAUGAGAUAUUGUUUGUUGUUUACAAAUAUGAGUUCGAAUUAUGUUUCACUGCUGAUAGGAAAUAUUCUGCCAAGGUCGAAGUGGUUAACAAAUUGAGAAUUCUUAGAAUAAACCGAAUCGUGUAGUUGGCUAAAGUCCAGAAAAUUUCAGUGACCACCCCUACAAUUUCAAAUAUUCUCAUAAUUUCACUUGAAUAACCUAUUUUCUAUAAUUACACAAAAUUCAUAGGACAAUUUAAUUACACUUUAAAGUUUAUUUUACUAUGUGUCCUACACCAUUCAUUAUUGGCUUUUCAUAAUUUUAUUAAAUAGUAAUUUCAAGCCAAACAUGAAAGAGUUUUAACAUUUAAUUAAUUUGAAGAUUCAAUGCGAAACUCAAACUUGCUAAAAUAAUACUUAAAUCAUAGCCUUAAUGUUAUAAGAUAUUUCGAUUAUCAUGCAAUCAAACUAAUUUUAAAAUAUAUUUUGAAAGCAUGCAAACGUAUAUAGACUCUACUAUGAGAUUAUUUUAUUGUAAUGUAUGGCCAUGGAAGAGUACCAGAAGAUAUAUAUUUCUCCAAUGGUGAAAUAAAAAUACUAGCCUUCAAUUUCUCAUGGUAUAUUUUAUUGGCUUACUAGCUUAUAAAACUAUAUGCAAAUGUUGAAAAUUGGACUACUGCAUGAAAUAUUAUGUGAUAUAUCUCGCUUGACCUUAUAUUAAUGUAUGAAAUGCCCAUAAAAUAUGGUUUACUUCAUUAGUCUGCAAAUUAAUUUUUACUAAUAUUUAUAUUUAAUAUAUGAAUUCAUAAUACAUCGAGGUGAUUACGACUUUAAUUUUUCUCUUAUUAAUAAAUAGGGGUACAUAGAAGUACUCAAUAUGUGUGAGUUUGUGGAUCAAUUCAUAUGUUUUAAUAACUAAAAGAAAAAUCACCUCUACUAACUCUUUCCCAUACCAUUUUUACUACAUUUUACUAGUUGUCUUUCUAUAAUACUAUUUUGUAAAAGGAAUAUACAAUUGUGACGCAGGGCGGAAGCGAUAUUAGAUUUUAUUCUAGCGUACGCUCUUGAAGUUCAAAAAGGGGGCUCUCACAAAGGAGAAAAUAUAUUAUUUGAGAAAUACUGAAUAUUAUUAGUCAAAAGCUUGUGUCAAGAAACAAGCAUAUCAAGCCUAUUUAUAUUAGUUAGGAUUAUCCUAUUUCUAAUAAAAUUAUGAUUCCUUAUAAGUAAAGGAAUAUAACUUAAACAAUAAAAUAUAAAAUAAAUCGUAAAAAAAGGAAAUUGAAUUUAUACUCUUAUUAUGACUAGGGUUGUCCAACAUCAGUCUCCUCCUCUUCGAAAAAAAACUCGUCCUCGAGUUUUGAUGAAAAUAAAAGCCAAUUUGGAGGAUGAAGCUUUUAAUGAAGAAGUAAUUGAUCUUGCAAUGCAAACGUGUAGCACUUUGCAUUAACUUUUCUUAGAACUUGAAAAUACCAAAACUUCAAUUUCUUCUUGCUUUUAAAUGUGGCUCUCCUAAAAACUGUAGACUUGUGGGAACAAACCAUUAGAAGUUCUCUUUUAAUUUAAGUCACCAAUAAGUUAGGUAGGAUAGCUCUAGGAACAAGAUUAAUUUGAUGUUGAACAUUCCUCAUAGGAGGUAAUUUGUUAGAAAGUUCUUUAGGCACGACAUGUUGAAAUUUUGAGAGUAGCGGUUGGACUUGUUCGAGCAUUGAUUCUGCUUUAGCUUUCUCUUUUAGUAAUAAAAGAUAGGUUCCCUUGACUUUUGACUUCAUCAGAGUAAGGAUAAUUUCAUGUUGUCUUAAUAGAAUCUAUAUGUAUUAUCUUUCCCAAGAUGUAUUGUAUUAAGAUCAAAUUGCCCGGGUCUCCCAAGUAGCAUAUGUCAAGCAUUCAUGUCGAUAACAUCGCAGAUUACUUCACCUUGUAUCUUUCGAUGGAGAAAGGAAUGUGGCAUUGUUCAGAAACUUUAGUCUCUCCAACAUCUUUUAUCCAUCUAAUACGAUAAGGAGAAGGAUGUUUGUGAGUUUUAAGUUGUAGCUUGUCAACCACGGUCUUAGAAAUUAUAUUUUCGCUACCCUAGUUAUAUUCUUUAAGAUAUAAUAGUAAUUAUGUGUGGACUUUUUAGUAAUAAAAAAAUUGAUUAGAAAUCACAUCUAAAUAAUAUUUUAGAGGAUUUAAAUAGUUACACUUAUAUAUACGUACGACUCAUAUUGAUCUAUUGGUGGCUCCAACCCUGGAUUAAUGAUAAGAUGGGAUUAUUUACAUGGUAAAAUUUACUUUGGACACUCAUCUUUUAAUAUUUUUUUAUGUCACUAAAUUAACUCUACUUAAUUUACUGUUAAGGAAAUAUAAUAAAAUUUAAUUUAACAAAAUUUUGUCUACUGUCAUACUUUAUGUACAAUAAACUACAUCAAUAACGAAAAAUUGAAUGAAUGUUCACCUCGAAACAUUGUUUAUAGUUAUGGAAUAUAUCUUACUUAUUAUUUUUGUUAAAAGAAUUGCUAGAAAAACAUCAUGAAACAUGGAGGCCAUUAACCGUUGAAUAUAUUCAAUGGUUAGUACAUUUCAUUAACCUACCCGCAAUUCUGCCCAUCUCCACAUGAAAUCUACUUUAUUUUGGCAAGAGUCCCUGCGAAUCUAUGCUCUCUGAUAUUAUAAAAAAUAAAAUCUUUUCCUCAUUUUUUGUCUCUCUGCAAUUCUUUUAUUAUUGCUUGUACUUUUUUUCUUCUUUUUCUGUUUCUUUCAAUUCUUUUACUAUUGCUUGUACCUUUUUCCUCAUUUUCUGUAAAAUUCUUCCAUAUCUCUAAAUUAAUUACAAACUCUCUAGUUUUGCACAAUUUUUCAAAAAUCUUGCGUAACAUUAUUGUCUAUCACAAGUGCAACUAGUAAUAUAUUUAUUAUUAUUAUUUUUUAAAAGUAAUUCCGUAUAACACUAAAGUAAAAAUUACAAAUUGAUAUUAUAUCACUACUAGAAAAAUGUGUUUCUAUGAUAGAAAAUUUAUGAUAGAUAUCAGUUUGUCAUGUAAGUAUUAUGAAAAAAUGAUACUUUUGUGACUAACAUGCUUUUAUCAAACUGUUAUGACAUUAUCAUGACUCAUAUAUUUAUGUCAUGUAGUAUUGAUAGAAACAUGUCAUGUUCAGUAAUAUAUUUUUUUAAUCAUUUUCAAAACAUGACAGGCAUUAGUCAUGGGUUUAAAUUACAUCGUUUAAAAAUUGAUUUAUUUAAUUUUUUUUAACCUAUUUACACAAAUGCCAUUAUUUAUAUUUUUAAUUAUUUAAAAAAGCUUAAACGGUGUUGUUCAAGCUGAAGAUAGAAAGUUUUGACACUUAGAAAAUUUUGCAUCCCAUUAGUUUCAUCGUCUUCUCCAUUUGGAAUGAACGCUUCAACUCUCAUUGACAAACGGUUCAAGCAUCUCUCCCUCGCAGCUCUCUCUCAGUCACUGAAGCAUUUCACACACACUUCAACCCUCUCUCCCUUGCAGCCCUCUCUGUCACUGAAGCAUUUCAUAGACCACUAUCACCCACUAAACCAGACACAACCACCGUCAAUCACUGACCACUGUGUUGAUCUCUGAGCCCUAACCAUCACAAACACCGUCUCGCUCUCUCAGUCCUAAACCUGUCGUCAUUGCUGAAGAAGAAGAAAUACUCACAGCUGCCGUAAUUGCUUACAAUCGCAAAAAAAAAUAUAAAUAAAUAAAAGAAGCAGUCACAGCUGUAACCCUCAAAUCAAUUGUUGAAGAAAUCAAAGACCUUAAUCUCUCACUCCAGUCAUACCCAACUAUCACUGAAAAUCAGCCGUGAGGUAAUGAAACCCUAUGUAUUCAGUAAAAACUAAUUUUCAAUUAGUAUGUUGUAAUCGUUGAAACCAUAGGUGUUGCAUGUCAUGUUAAUGCUUCGCUUAGAGAAUUAGACACUGAUUUUUUUGCUUUAGGUAAAAAUGUGUUAUUUUUUUGUUUCAUGUCAUAUUUAGUAGUUGAUUAUACUGUUGAUUCUUCUUUUGGAUUUAUUGUAAGUGAAAUUUGUCAUUAUGUGCAUGUUGUUAUACUAAUUUGUAUGUGGAUUAUGGUAAGGCUAACAUUCUUUUUGAAACUGUCUUUUCCUUUUCAAGAAAGGUUGUUUUGUUUGUGGUCCUUGAAAACAUUGUGGCCUUCGAAAUGACAUAAAGGCUACAAUGUCUGGUGCACCAUCAUUUUUUUUCUUCAAUCAUUAUUUGUUAACAUUAUUAUCCAGGUAAAUUGUUUUGUUUAGUGCACUGUUUUGGUUAGUUUAAUUAUUGCAGGCCAUCCAUUCAACAUUCAUUUGUUUUUGAAUUUAGGGUGCGUUUGACAUACUGUAUUGUAUUAUGUUAUAUUGCAUUAUUUUAAUACUGGUAUAUUAUAUUAUACUGUAUUACAUUAGCACUGUAUUAUAAUAAUGUUGUACAAUGCUUGGUGCUAUACUAUACUGUAUUAUUUUUUAAAUUAAUUUAAUUUAAUUUAAAUAUUAUAUUAUAUUAUAUUAAUGUUUUAUAUUAUAUUAAUAUAUUUAAAUUGCAUUAAUAUUUUAUUUAUAUUAUUUAUAUUAUUAUUAAUUUUAAAUUAAUAUUAUUCAAAUUUAUUCAUAUUUAAAUAUUUUUAUUAGUUAUAAUAAGUUAUAAAUUUAUUAAUAAAUUAUAAUGUAAAAAUAAAAAAAAUACUAUUAUUGAAUGAUAAAUUAUUUAUUUAUUAAUUUAUAUUAAUAAUUAUAAUGUAAAAAAAAUAAAAUAAAAAUAUUAUAUUAUAUUAAAAACUAUAUUUAUUUAUUAUUUUAAUAUAAUAAUAAUAAUAAAGUAAAAAGAAAAGCUAAAAGCAAAAGCAAAACGAAGAAAAAAAAAAAAGCAAAGCUAAUGCGUCAGUUGACGCAUUAGCCCCCCACCCCAAUCCCUUGCAAUUUUGUUCCAAACAUGGGUUUGAUAUUAUUUUAAUAUAAACAAUAUUUUAAUACCGUAUAAUAUAAUGUACCAAACAUGCCCUUAUUGUUCUGUUAAAAUAUUGUAAGGCAUCUUAGCCAACGAGGGCCUUCAUGUUCUAUAUUUUUAUAACACAUGGGUCCUUUAGAUUGUAUAUUAACAUUUUUCACAACAAAUGAAGAUAUUAACAUUAUUAUAUAUAUAUAUAUAUAUAUAUAUAUAUAUAUAUAUUUUUUUUUUUCUUCAGAUUAAAGACGAUGCCAUUUUAGCUAAGGUUGUUGAAGGUAUAGCGACAACACACUAGGUAAAGUGAUUCAACCGUACUGCCUUUUCUUAUUAUGUUUGUCAACUAUGAUCUUUUAUAUAUUUGAAUGCAUGGCAGGUAGUUGAUGGAUGCGUGCUUUGCAUAUAUUUGUGUUGGUUUGGUUACUAUUUCUGUGGCUAUGACAGUCUUAUGCAACGGCUGUGAUUUUUAAUAUGACAGAUCGUUAUGACUCUUUAUUCAUUUAACGAAAAAACUGCUCUCUACUCAGUGAAUAAUGAUGAUAAUAUAUGUGAAUAUCUGUGUUUCAUAUUAGAAAAGGCCUUGAAUCCCUACUUUGAUAUUAUUUGUAUCAUGAAAAAUUAUAUAGUUCGUACUGCAUGAUUUUUUAAAAAUCAUUUUUAGUUUUUGGUUUUUCUAAACCCACUAAACAUUGAAUGAGUUACUCUCAGAAAUUUUGUUGGUGACGAUAAAUUUUCAUGCAUAUAUUGAAUGUUUUGGAACUUUAUUCGCAUAUAUGUAUACCACAAACACAAAUAAAGCAUUAUUUUAUGGUAUUUAUUUCUUUAGAUUGGUAAUGAGAGCAUAUUGAAUUAAGAAAAAGCAUUAAAGUUGUAGGAGCAUGUACAUUAUUAAUUAGGAAAUUAUCAUUCAUAUACCUUAUAUUUGUUAUGUUAUUAAAAAUACUACAACAUUUUGAGAGUGUAUCAAUCGUCCAUCCUAAGUUGACAAAAUGUAUCAGACGACCACCAAACCGUUAGUUGCCGUUUGAAAGUUAACGGAAUUAUAGCGAAUUGAUGAUUUUACCCUUGAAACUUAAAUUAAAGUAAAGAAAAAUUAUCACUUGUAUACCCUUAAAUUCUCUUUUUAUCACUUGUAUACCCUUAAAUUUUUACUUGUAUCAUAUGAAAAGACUAGAUUACCCCUCUGACGUCAUCAUAUUUAAACGGCAACUAACGGUUUGGUGGUCGGUUGAUACAUUUUGUCAACUUAGGGUGGACGAUUGAUACACCCUCAAAGUGUUGUAGUAUUUUUGAUAACAGAGUAAACUAAGGGUAUACGAAUGAUAAUUUCCCUUAUUAAUUCCUACUGCCUUUUCUUUUACUUAACUUACUAUACAAAUAAUAAGUUAUUAGAAAUCCAGUAGAGCCCUUAAUUGAGUUUAUAAACUUGUGGGGAAUUCACUGUAUGUCGGUGGGAAACUGGUGACAUAAAUUCUAGUGGUUAACUCGAAUGGGAACUAUAUCAGUCUGUACUAUCGAUGUAAUAAGCCACGUAUAAGUCUUCCCCUAAUGUUUUUCAUCAUGUAUGCUUUAUUUGGAUGGCUUGUGGUUCAAUUUUAUAGAUGUUUGUUGACUAUGAUAGCCUUAUUUAGUGGCCCUGGUAUUUGAUAUGAAAUAAGUAAUUGCUGACUUUAAAAUUGAAUAAGUAUCAACCUUUACUGAGUUCACAAACUUGUGGGGAAUUAACUGUAUAUUGGCGGGAAACCAGUGACAUAAAUUUUGGUGGUUAACCUGAAUGGGAACUAUAUCUGUCUAUAUUGUCGGUGUAAUAAGCCAUGUACAAGUCUUCCCUUCGUGUUUUUUGUCAUGUAUGCCUUAUUUGGGUGGAUUUUGGUUACAUUUUGUAGAUGUUUGUUGGCUAGGACAAACUUAUUCAAUGGCUCUGAUAUUUGAUAUGAAAUAAUUAAUUGCUGACUUUAAAUAAUUUGAUAUGAAUUAAAAUUGAAUAAUGAUGUAAGACAAUAGCUAAAAAACAACCAAAUUUAUAUAAGCCAGUCUAGAGUAACGAUGAUGUGUUAUUUUUUGAGUUUCACUUACUUGGUCAAUAGUAGAUAUUAUGAAUAAAAACAAAAAAAAAGUAUAUGUAUGUGUUUUCUGAAUUUGAAUGAAGGCUUGUUUUGACAUUUUGUAUCAGGAUCGCAUCAUGGUAUGAAAAAUGGAUAAGAGUUGGAUACCAUAUGAUAAAAGGUAUGUAGAGUAUAUUAUUGGGGUGAAUAUGUUUAUGGAGUUUGCUCUUCAAAACUUUGAUACUGGUGAUAUUAUAAGGUGUCUUUGCACUAAAUGCUGAAAUGUUGCAUUUCAUCCUUCUAGGACAAUGAAACAUCACUUAUUUUUUUAAGGGUUUCGAUGAGAGUUACACGAUUUUGACUUGGCAUGGGGAAAACGAACCUAACUUGAAAAUUAGUGACAUAGGUGACCAAGUAGACCCACCAUAUAUGGAUUUUAAUCAAGAUGAGGUAGUAGAUAUUAUUCAUGAUGCUUACAAACAUUGUGAUGAUGAACCUACAGCCUUCAAAUCACUUUAAGAAGAUGCAAAGAAACCUCUGUACCCAGGUUGUGAAAAAUAUACUAGGUGAAGUUCACUGGUCAAGUUAUAUAACUUGAAAGGGAAAUAUGGGUGGUGUGAUUUUAGCUUAAAUUAUUUAUUGAGUCUCUUGGGUAACAUGUUACCUAAGGAUAAUACAUCAACUAGCUCUGUAUAUGAGGCCAAAAAAACCAUGUCUUCCUUGGGCUUGCAAUAUGAGAUUGGACUUGCAAUAUAAGAAAAUGCAUGCAUGUCCAAAUGAUUGCAUAUUAUAUAGAAAAGAAUAUGCAAUUUUUUUUUUAAUGUCCUACUUGUGGAGUAUCUCGAUUGUAAAAUCUUGCGUCACAUGGAAUAGAUAAUCCUCAACAACUUAAUUCUCUACAUUAUGUAAGUAUCUUUAUACAAAUAAAUCAGUACAUGAAUUUACUGUUACAUUAUAAUAUUAAUUUUUUUUCUUUAUUAUUGAUAAUAUUAGGUGCUUGAAUGAUAAGAUGAUAGCUGAUGGGAAGCCUUUUGGUUUCAUGAAUCCAGCUAAGGUUAUAAUGGCUAUAUAUGAAAAUCUGCUAAAGUCUCGUCUACAGAGGACACAAUCAAUUUUUGAUCAUUUGGUUGUAGCUGAAAAGUGUCAGCUUAUUUUCAUUCCUUUCAUUCCUUAUAAUACUGGGUAGUGUUGUUUAUUUAAUAUUUAUUUCAAUUUUUUAGAAGGCUCUUUUUGAAAACCCAUUAACUAUACAUUGCUAACUUAAAGUUGUUGCUCUAUUAUAGAGCCCAUUAGGUUCUUGUUCUGAUUGAUGUGGCAGCAAAGAUGAGAUAUUACUUGGAUCCACAAGGAAAUGACCCAAGCAAAGACAUUAACGAGCUUGUGGUUAAAUAAGUACAAUAAAUGUUUGAUUUGAUGAAAUAUUUGUUAAAUACUGAUACUAUAUGUAUAAAAUUUGUAGUGGGAUCAACAUGUUCACAGCCACAAUUAGUAAAAGAAGAUCUCACCCAGUUUUAAAAACUGUUUAGGUAACAAAUAAAUGAUUACUUAUUUUAAUAUAUGUUUCUACACUUCAUAACAAAGUAUAUUAGUACAUCUAUUUCUUUAUGAACUUUUUUCACUGUUAUGGCUUUAUUUAUUUUAGGCUCCGGUAAAACCCAGUUCAUAUAAGUAAAUAUACUAUGUCAUGUUGUAUGUGAGAGACAUGAUUGCUAAUGCUAGUUUAUUUUUGAAUAAUGUAAACAUUUCUUUUUUUAUGGUUUUAGAUAAUUCAUUGUAUUAUAUGUUCUCUACUGAUUUAAUUAAUUUUUAAUGCAUUUUCCAAUCUGCAGUUCAAUAGCAAAGCAAUAUACACCCAGGAAGAAAUCGAUGAGGUGUGGUAUGAAUGGGUGGAUUAUUAUUAUUAUUUUUUUAGCUUUAGAUAAUUCAUUGUAUUAUAUGUUCUCUACUUAUUUAUUUAAUAUUUGAUGCAUUUUCCAAUUUGCAGUUCAAUAGCAAAGCAGUAUACACCCAGGCAAAAAUCGAUGAGGUGUGGUAUAAAUGAGUGGAUUAUGUCCAAUCUCUUAUUUAGAAAAUUGCAUUGUUGCUGCUGAUCCGUUGCGGUAAUUAGUUUAUAGGUAUUGGUUUGGACCAUUUGCUUUGGCAAAGUUGAGCAACUGGUAGUUAAUAUUUCAAAACAAAAAUUUAAAUUUUAGUUCAAACUUGGGAACCAAUUGUAUAUUGUAUGAGAUUGUUGUGUUUAAGAGUUGUGAUGAUUCAUGACUUGGAAUGUGCAUGUUGUAUAUGAGAUUGCUUAGCUAAGGAGUUGUGGUGAUGGUCAAGUUGUAACAUGCAUGUUAUCUUCAUAUGGCUAUGGAAAUUUGUCAUUAAGAUUGUUGUGCUGAGGAGUUAUUGCUAGGUUGAUGACUCGUGAUGAUGAGUGAUGAGUUGAUGAGUGAUGCGUUGUUCAAGUUAUGGUAUUUUCUGUGUUGAUUGAGUUCUUGGGAUAAUUAUAGUUUCUAGGUUUGCUUUAAGCAUUGCUUGCUGGUUAAUUUGCUUUGAAAGGUUUGCUUUGAACAUUGCUUGCUGGUUAACUUGCCUUGAAAGGUUUGCUUUGAACUUUGAAAGGUUUGCUUUGAACAUUGCUUACUGGUUAAUUUGCUUUAAAAGGUUAUUGUGACGAUUGAGCUAGUGGUUAAGUACCAUGCAAAUUGAGCUAGUGGCUUGGUUAUGUUUAAUCUUAGCUUCUGAUUGUAAUUGUUUUUGCAUUUUGCAGGUGUUGCUGAUCAUAAACUUGCUGAUGCUAGUUUCUCUAAGUGUUAAUGCUGCAGAUUUGUGGACUUGCUGAAGCUUAUAUGUGUUAUAGUAGAAUUUCUUAUUCAAAUUUUUAUUUUAUAAGUUUGUUGGGGAACAAUUUCUCACUUGAGUUAUUACAUUAUAAAUGAUAAUUAAGACAAAUGUUUAGAUCAUUCAGAUGAAUGUUUAGAGUGAUACUUGAAUUCUCAAUUAUUGAUGAUUUUUGUGCAACUUUAUAUUUUUAGUAAUUUAAUUAUAUUUAUAUUAUAUAUAUUAUUUGAUAAUAAUAAUAAUAAUAGAAAUUGGCGCAAAAAUAUAAAAUUGAUGCCAAAAAAUUUAAAAAAUAAAAUUAUAAAAUUGGUGCAAAAAAUUAAAAUAAUGUUAUUUCCCACCAAAUUAUUUAUUAAAAGCAUUCCCACAAAAUUAAUUAAAAGCAUUCCCACUAAAAAUAAUUAAAAGCAUUCCCACAAAAUUAAUUAAAAGCAUUCCCACUAAAAAUAAUUAAAAGCAUUCUCGCCAAAUUAAUUUUUAAUUUUAUAUAAUUUUUUUAUUAAUUUUAUAAUUAUUUUAAUAAAAUAUCUAUUUUUUUAUGAUAACUAUUAGUCAUCCAUGUAAAAAAUAAUGACAGACAAUAGUCAUAUGUCAAUAACAUUUUUAUGAUGGAUAAUACAUUAUAAAAUUCAUGACAUGAAAAAACCAUCAUCGAUAAUUCCUUGACACAGGCUUCAAUGACGGUUGGGCAACCGUCAUCUAAUAGCAUGUAUGACAAUAAAAAAUUGUCAUUGUUGAGCUUUUUUUUCUAGUAGUGUAUAUUCAAUUCAUGCACACAUGGGAAAUUCUUUACUUAUUAAUUUUGUACUUUUUCGCAAUUUCUUUGUUUGAAUAAUUUUAAUUAAAAAUAAUGGCAUUGUUCUAAAAUACGGGAUCGGUGUGGAAAGGCCAAUGAGGAGCCAUUUAGUUUAUAUUCAAAUUCUAUAAACAAUUUCUUCGUGCUUGAAGUAGUGGAUGAUAGCAAGCCAAAAAAAGGACAAGAAUUUGCAUCAUUAGAUGAAGUCCAUGAGUUUUACAAUAAUAAUGGAAGAGCAACUGGAUUCACUAUCAAAAUUAGCAUCUUGAGUUGCCACGGGCUAGGGGGUGGGGGAGGUGCGCAUAGAGAGCGUUGGAAUUUUUUCAAAGGAUCUUCAAGAAAUAAGGUGAAAGGACAUGAUGCAGAUAUGUUACAUGAGCAUUUUCGAUCAGAACAAGAAGAGAACCAUGCAUGUGCUUUGACCAAAAGACAGAUAAUGAAGGUCGCAUUACUCAUUUUUCUGGGCUGAUGCUUAUCAUGUUUAUGCUGAUGUUGUUUUAUUUGACACUACUUACAACACCAGCAAGUGUUCAAUGGUUUUUGCACCAUUGACAAGUGUUAAUAGUCAUGGUCAAACAAUCCUUUUUUGCUUCUGCAAUCUUAAGUGAUGAGACCAAAGGUGCUAGAGUCAGUAGAGUAAUUAAUGAUUGUUACUAUCUAAAAAUUGAUGUUAUGCCCAAUGAUCUAGUCUAAUUUAUAAAGUACGUAUUUCAUGGUGUACCGAAGCCGCUGGGGCAAUUACUGUGAGUUAUGGCUUGGAAGAUACGAAUACACCAAGUUGAAGCUCAAUUCACAUUGAAUCCUUGACUAUGAUUUCUUAGGGGAUCUUAGCCUAUGAGGGAAUGUCUACUGAGAUGAGCUAGUAGAGAACUAAUCAUUUUGAAAUAAUAAUAAUGAUGAUGAUGAUGAUAAUAAUAAUAAUAAUAACUUAGUUUAAAAUACUAAAUCCUAAAUCACGCAGUGACAUUUAAUGAAAAACAUGCAUUAGAAUUAAUGUUAAGCAUCAUAAAAAAAAAUUAAUGUGAAGCAUGCAUUAGUGUUAAGCAUGCACUGAUAUUAAUGAGAAGCAUGCAUUAAAAUUAAUGAAAAUGAAGACAUGAAUCCUAUAAAUAGUAAACUUUGCUAUUCAUUCAAGGCAUCCAUCAUUUUAGUUAAGAAAUCUGAGAGAGUUUGAAAUAGAGUUAAGAGCAUUUUCUAAUUUUCAAAACCAAUGUCCAAACACACUUCCAUAUUCAUUUUUUUUUUUAUAAAUGUUUCGUUUUCUUACAUUUGUCCUAAUUACAAUUGCUAGGCUACAAUAAUUUUAGAAAAUUAAUAUUGAGCUAGUGGUGACUCUUUAUUGUUCACUGGUGUACUCAACUCUAACAUCAUUAUUCAUAGUAAGUGCUAUUAUUAUUUAAGUUCAAAUAUUUUAUUCAACAAAACAACAGUUAUAGUCAAAGUUACAGUAAGAUGUUUUAGGCAAUAACAACAUUUGAAUACGCUAUUAGACCUUACUCUUAGACUAUAUAAUAGAAUCAGGUAGAUCAUAGACUAUUAAGCUCAAAUUUCAAUCAAGCUCAAAUCUAUUUCAAUCAAGAAACAACCUCGUCCUAUGACAUGUGGCCUGGUGAAAUUCCCACCUUAAGUACUUGGCGACUCCACUGGGGAGUUUAGUUAGGACUUGGACCUUACUUUCCAGACCAUACAAUACAAUUAGGUAGAUCACAUAUUACUAAGCUAAAUUUCUAAUUGUUGGUCAAUUUUACUUAAUUGCUAUUGAUGUCAAUGUGCAAGUGUACACAACAAAUAAUAAAGUGAUAAAUAUUCAAGAUCGUCUCCACAAGGAUUGAUGUUACUAGAAAGACUACAACAAUCACGAUAGUGCAAACUUUCUUUAUUUCAAAAGAAAUCUAGUUAAAGUUGAUUACUGCCGAAAUAAACAAUUGUAAGAAAGUAAAACAAAUAAAUACAGUAAUAAAGUAAAUUAGAUUAAUUGCGUAAAAAGAAUUCAAUAUGAAUGAGGUAGCUGAAUGAUCAAACUCCCUUCAUGGUCUGACUAUUUUGUUCAAAUUAACACUAGUUGCUACAUCAAUUCCUACAACCCUGGGUAGAAUUAGUUUGCAUCCUCAGUUGUCGCUUAUUGGACUUUUCAUACCCUUAAGCACUCUAACAAUGACCAGUUGUUAUCCACCUAAGGUAUGACAUUAUGAACAUACACUCUCUCUACCCUACAAGGUGAAUUCUUAUGUCUAGUUCUUCACAAAUCUUAACUCAAGUGUGGCCUUUUUGGGACUCAAGUAAAUUCAAUCUAGGAAACUUAAAUUAAGAUCAAGUAUUACUCUAAUAAUUUCCACUAAGACAGGCUUUUUGCGGCUCUCUCUUAACUUGAACCCUUAAAUGGAUGGUCAAUCGAAAUAAAGAUUAUAAUAUAAGCUAUUAGAGUAAAAUGCUACAACAAUCUUAAAGCAACUCAUAAGAACAGUCAAAAACCUAUUGAGAUUGUUUGUCACUCAACUACAAUCAAAUUUAGUUUAUACUUUGAAAAAGAAAAACAAACAGCAAAGUAUCAGCCAUGAAAUAUAUCAGUUCAAUCAAAGAGUAAGAAAAGGAACAAGUAAAGAACGAUGAAAAUUGAAUCCAAAAUAGUUCUGCUGAUUUCUUCACUGGUGCAGACUUAUUUUCCCUUGAACUCUAGUUUUUCCUUUUUUUCCUCUUGAUUCCUUCGAUGUUAAUUCACUGCCAGCUUUUCAUAUGAUGCGUGCUCUUUUUAUAUCUGAAAACUAGGGUCAACAGAAGCCUAGGGCGCGCAUAAGUCAGAUUAGGAAACUGCAGAUCACGAUUCUGUAUAUAUCCCGCGCUAAAUUUUCUCUGUCGUUGUUCCAGGAUUACUAUAGCAAUGGUUGCUCCAGCAACGACAACAGAACUACAUUGUUCCAGAUUUUGUUUUAAUUCUUAUGUAGCCAUGUUCUUCUUCAUUUUUUGCAAGCCUAUCACAUCAGCAUUCCUUCCGUGAAAAAUAAGCUUCUGGACACCCACAAUUAUGCACACAAUUUGAGCACGAACUACUCUAAAUCAAGCAAAAUUUAUUAAGACUAAACUAAAAUGAAUGUUUAUGCAAAAUGUAACAAAAAUACAAUAGAAACACAUCAUUUACUCUCUAAGUAAUCUUGAUUUAAGUCUAGAAUUGCCAUAAUAACUCUCAUGUCAUAGAGUUAUCACUAAUCAAGUCCAAAUAUAUUUCAAUCGAGAAAGAACCUCUCUUUGUGACAUUUGACCAGGUGAAAUUCUCACCCUGAACAUUUGGUGACUUUAUUGGGAGUUUGACAAUGGUUUUUAGUAAAAGAAAGGGUCUUAACUUUCAUAGUUUGAGCAUUAGCGAACAUGAAAAUCUCAAAGAACUUAUAGACUAAAUGAAGAAUUAUAUCUGGAAAAUAGUAAAAUAAAUAUUUGCUCAGUACAAAUAGCCAUGCAACAGGGGCAUCCAUAAGUUAGUCCACAAGAUCAACCUCGAGUCAUCCAAUAAGAUAAAGUUCGUGAUUAAUCACAACAAGACCAGCCAAGAGAAUUUGAGCCUAUUCCUCGUUCUAGACAAGUGUCUAUCCCUAAAAACGAGUAGUUUACUUGACCAAUUAUGAAUGUCUUUUUAGAAUUCAACAGAGAUCCUCAAUUUUAAACUUAAAUAGGUCUGUCAACCAUGGCAAAAUGCAAAUGCACUUGUUACUUAACAGAGGUAACGACUCUUCUGCGAUGCUAAAAUUAAAAUAUAGAGGACAUUGAAUAUUCUUUACUGCCAUUGUAUCCAGAAGAGAUCAUUUAUAGGCCUUAUGCUGAAGUCUACCUCUAUCCACGGUAAAAAAGCAAACCUAGAGAACAUAUUAGCUAUUACUUUGAUGCACUUGGCCAAUAUGUUAUUAAACUGGUGCUUUAAUUAAGGGAAUUAUUCAAAUCUCUUAUUGAUUGUACUUAUAAAUGCUAUACUAAUUUAAAAGUUUGUUUAAUCCACUUUUAGAAUGAAAUAGCUUCUAAGUUUUGCUAGAAGUAUUUUAGAAUGAAAUACCUUCUAAGUUUUGCUAGAUGUAUUUUCAGACUAAAGACCAAACAACUAUGGAGGAUUUGAAUACAAAUGUCUAAGGACCUAAAAAAGGUUUAGCAGACUAUCUCAAACUUUUUAGAAAUUUGGAUUUGGAUUGCUGAGUCCAAAAUUGAGAAAGAAUUAGUCCGUAUUUGCAUUCGUAACAUGGUGAACAGGCGACGAGUUUUUUUGGAGAGUCAUGACGUCUCAAACUUUAAUUAGCUAUUAGAAAAGGCCAGUAACAUUACUUUAUCCAUGAAAGCAGCGCCUACUUUUAUAAAAAAGAUGAGAGACUCAUUAAAGUGCUAUAGUAGAAAGACAUUUCAUGCUAUGUAAAAACAAAAUGCUAAGAAAGAAAGCCCCAACAUCUUCUAAGUAGCCAUGCACAGAAGAAGAAUUUGAUGUUAUUGUGGAUCGGUAGAUCAUGGAUGGACUACUCUAGCCAUUCAAACCAACAAGGCGAUUGAGUGAAGUAGAACAAAAAACCCAAAGCUUUAUUGCCUACAUCAAGCCUUAAUUAUCCCACAGUGCAUUACCACCAUAUCAUCAAAAUAAUCAAAGAAAAGGUUGCGGAUGGAUCGUUACAAUUUAAAAAAAGUGAGCAAGAUGUAGAUGUUAACCCACUACCUCACCACGAUGAUAGAUUAGCUAUAACGGUUACUGUUAAUUAUAUUACAAAUGAUAAUAGUUCACCAAUAGAUGUCAUGAUGAAAGAUAUUAUUGAGGAAUGGCAAACACUGAAAGAUCAUACAAUCUUCCCUGAUAAUAGCCUUUGGUAUGUGCUUUCUCACUUAACAUCAAGUUCAAGUCUUUAUUAGACUAGUUAAGAUACAGUUCAUAGGCACGUUUAGUAAAAACCAAAGCACUAAUAUGAGUUUUUGCUCUAUAUGGAUUGAAGUGCUAUACAACUGAAGUAGAAGUCAAUCGGGCUUAUUUGGAAUAUACCAAUGCAGUCAUUUUUUGUGAUGAGAAUACUGAGGUAAUAAAUCCUGAUCACUAACAUCCACUAUUUUUAAAAAAUAAGAUCAAUAGAAUACCAGUUAGAAGAGAUCUAGUGGAUACACGUUCAUCAAUAUUAUCCCUAAAGCAAUGUUCAAAGCAGCCAAAAUACUCAUUAAAAACAUUUAUGGCCCACAGGUUACAAUAUUUAGAUUUAUAAUCUGUCUAAAUCUAUAAAACGAUACAUUCAACUAGAUUUGAAGGUUGGUCCUCUUCAAGGUCCAACUGUAUUUCAUGUCAUGAAUGCUACAACUUUAUAUGAAAUUCUGUUUGGAAGGCCUUUGUUGAAUAAACAUAUGAUAAUACCCUCUAUAUACCAUUAGUGUGUGAAAUGAAGGAUUAGGAUAAAACUAAUUUGCAUUGCUACCAAUUUUACUCUAUUCUAUUAUAAAGAAAAUCAUAUGGCAAAUGUUCGAUUUUGUGAACUAUUUAUUGAAGAGAAAGGAACUAUUAUUGCUAAGCCGUAAAGGGUAAAACUUUUAAAAGACAAUGAAAGAAAUUGGAAACCAAACCAACAUGAGCUUGCUAAAGAAAAAACAAAUUAGAUUUCUUAGAAGAUGCUCAUUCUGGUAGCCUAAGACAAAUAUUCAAGGGCAUUCCAGUUUAUGAGAAGUAAAUUUUACUUAAUAGAAACAUAUUGUACUAUUUAUUACAGUAUAUGGGCCUAGUCCUUUUCUAAGGAAAGGUCCUAACAUUAAUAGCAUGUCAUUUUUGCGUGCAAAUACUGACAAUGAAGUAUAAAGAGAGUUUCGAUCAAAAGCAAUUGAAGAGAAAGUAUCACUUACACCCUAAAUGCAUGCAACACGAUUCUACAGCCACCGAUGAAGAGUUAAAAGAAAUAAAUUUCAACAAGGAGGGAAAUGUACAAAAAUAUGUCUCAAUAAGCUCUAAUUUAACUAAGAAUGAGAAGAAGGGGUUGUUCGAGCUAUUAAAAGAACAUCAUAGUAUGUUUGCAUGGAGUUAUUAAGACAUGCCAUAGUUGGACAUAUUUACGGCCUGUCACACACUUAAUAUAGACUCUAAUGGUAAACCACUAAAACAAAUUAAAAUGAAAUUUUAUCCAAAAAUGGAGAAGAAGAUAAAAAACGAUGUAGAGAAAUAAAUUGUAUCUAGAUUUAUUAAGUCGAUCAAGCAUCUUAAAUGGCUAGUAAACAUCGUACUAGUGAAGAAAAAAAUGGACAUAUCAGAAUUUGUGUAGAAUUUUAAAAUUUAAAAAAGAGUGCUGCUAUUUACCCCGAAUUUGCCCCGAUUUUGUGCCCCGAAAAACAAAACGCUUUCCUUUUUGCUUCAUUUGCUUUCCACUUAGCUUUCACUUUUGCUUUCACUUUCCACGUGUUGCUUUAUUUGCUUUCGGGGAGCAAAUUCGGGGUACAAUUUUGAGGUAAAUAACUUUUUCCUUUAAAUAAAGCUCACCCAAAGGAUGAAUUUUCUCUGCGCAACAUGGACAUGCUAAUUGACUCAACAUUCGAUCACUGAUUAAUUUCGUUUAUGGAUGGAUUCAGUGCAUACAAUCAUAUCAAAAUGGCACUAAAAGAUGUGGACACAAUUUCUUUAUCUAUUUACUAUCUAUUUUAGAUAUAAAAGUAAUGAAAACAACCCUCAGACAUGUAAGUCAGGCUUGUUGGGUGGUGGGACAUGAAAAUGUGGCCCACUAUCCUUUAUCUUGUUUAAUCUUCCACUCUUAUCAUUUCUUUAAGCUAGUUGGUCUUUCGAAUGCUACUAGAUGCCCUCCUUGAACAAGUACCCGAAGAUUGUUUUUUAUACAAUUAUGGAUAAUUUUUACUACAGUAUUAUGUCUUUUGGUCUUAAAAAUGCAGGAGCCACAUAUUUGAGGGCCAUGACAGUAGUAUUUCAUUACAUGAUGGGCAAGGAGGUAGAAGACUAUAUUGAUCACCUUGUGAUCAAAUUUUCUACCAAGAAUACACACUAAUUAACUCUAAGGAAGGUAUUUGAUCAAACCUUAAUUAUAAUUUGAAUAUGAAUCUUAAAAAGUGUGCCUUUGGUGUGUUAACUGGCAAAUUUCUUAGAUUUUUAGUACAUUAACAUGGGAUUCAUGUUGAUCCAACCAAAGUCCAGAAUAUUAAUUUUGUGCCACCACAAAGAAAUUCAAAAGAGCUAAAAAGUUUGAUUAGAAAGUUGUCUUAUAUUCGCCAAUUUAUACUAGGUUUCACAACUAUGAUUUCUAUUUACAUACUUCUUCUCAAGAAGAAAACUCAAUUUACUUCACAUACUUGACACUCCAGAAGAUUUAAAAGAUCAUCAUGAAUUUAAGAACCCUGAAGGCACCAAUAAAAGAAAAGCCAAUUCAAGCCUAUGCUUAUUGGAAAGCUAGGUAGGUGGCUUUUACUUAUUACAAAAUUUGAUAUUGUGUGAGUAACUCUGAGUACAAUCAAAGGGGAAAGGGUCAUUAAUAUGAUUGCCACAUUCUCUUCAAAUCGAAAUACACCUUUGUCAUAAGAACUUCUUGGGGAUUUUUCAUAACAGAACUGUUUUGUCUUAAAAACAAAAACAAAUUAGUGGACAAUUUAUUUUGAUUGUUCUUUUACUAAAAAAUAACAAGAGGCGCAAGGUUGGUCAUUGUUAAUACUUUUGAAAGGGUUUCAGUAUUAUCUAACAAGUUAGAUUUUCGUUGUACCAACAAUGAGGUAGAAUAUGCAAUAAUUACUGGUCUAUUCACAACAAAGAAACUAAAAGCCAAGAGAAUCAAGCUUAUCAUAGAUUUAAAUCUAAUAAUCUAAUAGAGUAAUGGUGAUUUUGCUGUAAAAGAACCAACAUUAGCUUUAUCUCGAACACAUACUAGAAAACUUUUAUCAACUCUUCAGACUUACAUGGUAAAACAUGUUAAAAGACAAGAGAAAAAAGUAUGUUGAUGCACUAUCCACGCUAAGUGACAAGAUCAAUCUAGUAAAGAAAAUAGAUCAAGUCACAAUCUUGUGAAAGAUCAAACUAAUAAUCCUUAUAGAAAGAUUAGAGCAGGAAACAUCAAUAGAUAAGACAGAUUAGCACACUACCAUUACCAAAGCAUUUAGUGAUCCUCAAGAGAGUCUCCACCUAAAGCAAGCAAAGGAUUACUCUGUAAUUCUUGAAGUUCUUUACAAGCGUAUGUUAGAAGGCAUCCUUAUAAAAUGUGUCCAUGAGCAAGAAGGGGAAAAACUAACUCAUAACGUCAGUCUUUAUAGAAAGAUACAAAGGGCAAGCUACCAUUGGCCUUAUAUAAAAAGAAAAGCACAAGCUACACAGUUAUCUUGCAUCGACUGCCAAAACUUGAAUCUUAGUAGAACGAGUCUUCGUAACCAUCAUACAUGAAGACUGAAAAAGCUUUGUAUUGACUAUCUAUAGUAAAAGCUACUGCCCCUGAAUCGUACAAAAGCACAUAAGAUUAAAUAGAUAGCCAAGAGAUAUUUCAUGAAAUGUGGUAUUCUAUUUCAAAAAAGAUUCAACGAAAAUCCAUUAAAGCGUCUAGGUUAUUAUAAGUCACAAAGGGCUUUACAUGAAAUCCACAAUGAAAAGUGGGGAGAACAUCAAGGUCAAAUAAAGUUAUACCGCUAGCUGUUGACUGUGGGCCAUUAUUAGCUUACAAUGGAACAAAAUGCCAAAAUGUUUGUUAAGAAAUGUCAUAUUUGAUAAAUCUAUGGGAUUAUCCCGCAUACUUUUCCUACCUUCUUGCAAGAUUCACCAUGGAUCUAAUAAGGCAGAUUCAUCCACCUACACGUUGCAAUAUUUGAAUCAUCACAGCCACAAAAUACUUUACCAAAUGAAUCAAGCAAUAAAGCCCAAUAUAUAUUAUCCACAAGAUAAUGGCCAAGUUGAGGCUACUAAUGAGAUCAUUCUAAAGAUCCUACGCAAGAUGUUGUACAAAUACAAAGUUGAUUAGAGUGCUCAACUCACAAAUGCAUGUUGGGCUAAUAGAACUUCUCCAAGAGAAUUAGUUGGUUUCUCUCCAUAUUCCCUUAUAUAUGGCAGCAGUAACACCAAUUGAACUAUCUCUCCCUACAACUCGAGUUAUUAUAGUAAAUGCUAAAGCAGAAGUAUAAGCAUCUUCAUAGGCUUAUCUAAGAAAGAAAGAGACAAACACAAGAUCACAAAUAAAUCUACCAGCGGUGAUAGAUGCCUAUGCUUGACGACCUUGUGCUUAAGGGUAGCCAACUAUGUUAGAACAUGCCUAUUUACUCCAACUAAAUUUUCACCACCAUAAGAAAGACCAUUUAUAGUCCGAGGAGCCCAAGACAGUGGCUAUUAAUGACUCUUCACUAAUAAAUGUCAGGUCUUCCAUGACCCUAUCAAUAGGAAAUGGCUUAAGCAAUACUACUACUGUUAAAAAAAUAAAUGUAUAGAAUAAAGGCCGAUUAGCAUGCUUAGGCAAUAAUCAUAGUUUAUUAUAAGUCUUUCCUCAUUAAAAGGCAGUGCACUCCUUAUUUAUAAAAGCCUACGUCAUUAGCCAUGUACCCGUGAAUUUACAGAAGCCCUAAUAAAGACUUACUAGAAAUGAUGCCUUUGUAAUAUAUUUCCGCAGAGUUGUACAUGUGCCCCAUUACAUAGAUGGCCUCAUGACAUAUGCCACAUAUAUGUACAAUACAUACUGAUGAUGCCUUCUAAUAAACAUUUUUUUUUAUAAAAUAAACCUUGUCUAAUGUAUAAAUAAGAUGUCUUAACAGAGAUCUUACCAUUAAAGAUGCCUCGUAAGCUGCUAGCAAACUUGUAGGCCAAAGAUAAAAGUGUGAUUGGGAAUGAACAUUUUGUUCGAGUUAUUAUAGUAUAUUCCCUUAAACCUAUAUUUCCUUAAGAAUGAUAUUUCCUAUGAACUACCUAUAUUUCUAGGCAUGUAGAAGCUUGCACUAUAUGUAAAUGUCUUACGAAUACAUUUUCAAUUGAAACGCUUGUUUUAAAGGAAAAUUUCAUAAAUUUUUAUAGGUUAGAAAGCCUAAAAAGGGAUACUCAUAUAUUGGGUUAUGUGAAUGCAAAGAAACCUCAUGAAAAGUCCCAAUAACUGAGAUUGUUAAGCUAAACUAUUUACCUUGUACAAAUUCAAGUAGGAUUAGCCCAUUGGAUAUAAGUCAUGCAAGAAUUCAUAAGAUUUAUACGAGAUGAAAAUUUAUAAAACAAAUAAUCAGAAGAACUAGGUAAAUAUUAAAAGUCUCUUAUUCUAUUUUUCUAAAAAAAGUGUGGCCUAUAUUACUCGAGAAAUCAUAAUUAGGAAUAGGUCAUGAAAGACUUUCAUCUGCUGCUUGUAAUUAUAUGCAUCAUUGGGAAUUUCCUCUAGUUUUGUCAGCUGUAAUCUUCUUUCUAAACUAGUUGUUGGAUGUCAAAGUUGAAUUUUUUAAUGGCCUAGUAUGCACGAUGCUUGAGUUCCACCGGUUGGUGCCAAGAUUUUCCAUACGUCACCAAAGUGUCGGGUAAUGGUUUGAACUUAACAUUUUCAUCUAAAAAAUUUUCAUAUCUAAAAGUUUGACAAACAACAUGAAAAUCAUUCAAAUAAUUGUAUGGAUCUUCAUUUUUUAGACCAUAGAAUGAUGGUAGAUAAUUUAGUGUACUAGCUUUUAACUCAAAACUUUUAGCUGCUACAUUUGGAUAUCUUAUGUAUAACGUGCUCAAAUUACCUAAUAGACUGAAGUAGUCCUUAAAUGACCUCUUUUGUGGACUUGUGGUUGUUGUUCCAAAUCUAUUUCAAUUUUAUUCUAAAUGUUAACUUUUGAUGCAAUUUAUCUUCAUAUACGAAGUGUCUUUUCCAAUUCAAGAUCUAUGGGUUAUAGAUUAGCUGACUGUGGCCUUCAGCCAUGCAUGCAAAGAACACAUAAAAAUUAUAAACAAAACUAAUAAAAAUAAAGAGAAAUGAAAAGCUACAAUACUGACCUUAUCACAUUAUUACACACUUACUAUGAAAACACACUUAAAACCUACACGCAAAGUUAUUUGCACAAUAUUUACAAUGAAUCUAUUGUAGAAUAGAUUUAUGGUGAUGAGUGUCAAUCUCACGGAGGCAAAAUUAAUUAUGUGUAGGGUUAAUAUUCCAAGUUCAUAUAUGUAUUGCUUGGAAUUGAUUCAUCUAUCUUAAGAUUUAAAAUAAAAUGGCAAGAAUGAAUUAAAGAUGAAACUUUGCAAAUGAGGUGCUUGAGUCUCUGGAUCCACACUUAACACUUCAACAUGAGCUUAAUAUUCCUUUUUAAUUCUAAUUAAUUUAUGGGGGGUACUUCUACUCCUCAUAAAUUCUCACUCUAGUAAAUAUGGUAUCAAGCACUCAUUGUGCCAAAGAGUAAUGAUCUGCUGCUAAAUGUGGUGUCAAGAACACGUAGUGCCAAAUGAUAAUAAUCUUUCUAUCGAUAACGUAGUAAUACCAUCCACUAAAUAGCUUAUAUGCACUCUUUAUCGACACUAAGAUAACCCACAAAAUAAUAUAAGGGAGUUUUCUCUCUAAUAAAUAUAUUGUUAAGUGCUCAUCGUGCCAAGCAGUAAUGAUAUUUCAUUAGGGAGCCGACAUAUCAUGCAAAAUCUAGUUGAGAUACAUUGUCUGUCGGCGAUGAGUCAAAACAACCACUUAAAUAAGAGAGAUUGAGUAAAUAAACUUACCAAAUUAAAUCAUGAAUAAUGUUAAGGCUUCACCUUUAAUCUAAACUUGAAAUUAAAUUAGCUAUUUAAUCAUGUCUUAACUAGGGGUAAAAUAAGAAUUCGAUUAAAAUAUAUAGAAAAUAUAAGAACAAGAGAGAAUGAUAGAAAAUAAAGCUCAAAAAUAAAUUCAGAGCUGCCAAAUUAUGGGGGAGCCCCGUAUUUAUAGAUAUAAUGAGUAAAUCUUAGCCAUCAAAUGAAAACAAUUUAGACGCUCAAGAUUGCGCCAUAUGGCAAGAUUUAAUAGGUUGGAACACAUCAUCAGUCAAUACCACAUCAAUAUUUCGGUCCAAUAAUAUGCUGCCAUGUCAUCAGUCAACGCCACAUCAGUAUUUUGACCUAAUAUGAUCUUGCCACAUCAUCGGUCAACGCCACAUAAUUAGUCAAUGCCACAUCAUUGGGCCAAUAACAUGAUGCCACGCCAUCAAGAUUGCGCCAUAUGGCAAGAUUUAAUAGGUUGGAACACAUCAUCAGUCAAUACCACAUCAAUAUUUCGGUCCAAUAAUAUGUUGCCAUGUCAUCAGUCAACGCCACAUCAGUAUUUUGACCUAAUAGGAUCUUGCCACAUCAUCGGUCAAUGCUACAUAAUUAGUCAAUGCCACAUAAUUAGUCAAUGCCACAUCAUUGGGCCAAUAACAUGAUGCCAUGUCAUCGAUCAAUAUCACGUCAUCUAUCAAUGCAACGUCAUCAUACCGUAUACGUGAACAUUACUGUACAUGUGAAUAGUACCAUAUACAUGAAUAAUAUCGUAUAUGUGAACAAUACCGUGUAUCCUUUUAUGCUCGUCUUAAGGCUUUCAGCUGUUCUGAGCUCAAAAAUACCAUCCAUUUUACUAUAUUACUUUUUGUUAAUUGUAAAACAAUCAAAAUGCCUCUGAAAUACAUAAAAUACUUGAAUUAUAAUAAAAUACACACAAUUAAAGUACAAGGGAUUUAAAUACAUAAAAGUAGAGAUAUUAGUGAGAGUUGGAAUAGGAAAUGAUGAUUUUACCUUUUUAUAAAUAUACAUUCUCUAGCACUCAAUAGCAAUAAUUGACAAUGAACUUUGUAAAUCUUUUUAACGGCAUUUUGAGGGAAAUAAGGAAAACACUGAUGCAUUUUAUGUGUAUUUUUUCAUAUUUGAUUUUGGUGUUUCAAUUAUUGUGGGAAACAAAAGAUAUUGAUUUAAAAAAGUCACGAAGUACCAUUAUCUGCCAUUUAUACAGGAAAAUGAAUCAAAGCACAUCAAAGAAACGAAUUAAUUCGGCAAAAUCAAGUCAAACAUGAACGCGAACAAAAUAAUAAAAUAAAGACACGCAAUGUAAAAAAUGAAUAUAAUAAAAUACUUAACUCACCUUCAUCUUUUAUUGAGUUAACCUCAAGUUUAAAUUAGAAUACCACUUUCUAUUUCCCUGAGUUGUCUUUUUAGAUCCUCAACAUGAGAUAUUAAUGCUGAUGGUUGUAAAUCCAAAGAGGGUGGGUUUUACAAAAUUGUAUCAGGCCUCUUAUAUGAAAUUUCACACGUAAAAGUUGCCCAAGAUGUUUGAAGAGAAUCUUUCUUAUUGAGGUACGCAUGACGUAUAUUAAAAAUGAUUAAAUGAAACACAAUUGUCAAACAAACACACUUAAGCGAGAAACAUCAUAACAUGUAUCAUCCAAGACAUAGAAAGAAACAAUAAAACAAUUAAAAAAUAGUAAAGUAACAAUUUCAAAAAGAAAAAGAAAAAGAAAAAUUACCCAUUAAAAACGAAAAAGACUUAAUUAAGAUUUGGUGGUAACUCAAAUUUAUUUUGGGGUCUUCUUUACGCGGUUAGUAUUCUAAAUAUGGUUUUAAUUUUUAAACAUUAACUUUAAAUGUAACACCUUUUUUUGGAUUCUUAAUUUCUACAACCCCAUAUGGAUAUACAUUUUUUUACAACAAUUGGAGCACUCCAUUUUGACUUUAACUUCCCUAGAUGAUAAAGACGAAAAUUAUAAAGUAACAUUUUUUUAUCAAUCUCAAAUAUUUUCUAAAAAAUUCUUUUAUCCUGAAAAGCUUUGGUUCUUGCCUUAGUAGUUCUUGAAUUUUCAUAUGCAUCGUUUCUCAAUUCCUCAAGUUCAUGUUUACACAUAUUACUAGCAUCAUCAAAAUUUGAAUUAAAAACUUUAAUAGUUAGAAUAAUUUAUACUCAAGUUCAACCAAUAACUGACAAGGUUUACCAUAAACUAGCCGAUAGAAUGACAUUCGUAAAGACAUCUUAAAUGUAGUGCGAUAGGCAUCAGUCAGUCAAAGAGACCAAUUUUUGUAGCUUGAUAUCUCUAUUUGCUAAUUCAACUUGAUCACUUGUUUGAGGACUUAUUAAAAACUCGAAUGACUUAUUAAAAAAAUACUUACCCCCAUCACUGAUAAUGACUCGAGGGAUUCUAAACCUACUCAAAAUAUGUUCUUUUAAAGAUAGAUCACAAUUUUAUGAUUGUUGUGCCUACAAGGAAUCGUUUUAAUCCAUUUUGAAACAUAAUCAAUAGCUAUUGAAAUAUAUACAAAUCCAAAUGAUGAUGGAAAAUGGCCCAUAAAAUCAAUUCCCUGACAAGGAUAGGAUUUAAAAGAAUCAUAUUUCGCCUUGAGAUGGACCUAACAUUUGACAGUUCUUACACAUUUUACAAAAUACAUGUGAAUCUUUAAAUAAUGCAGGCCAAUAAAAUCAAUAGUACAAUAUUUUUGGAGUUGUCUUCUAUGAAGAAAAAUGGCUACCACAUAUUUUAGAAUGACAAAAUUAAAUGACAUUACUUACCUCGUCAUUAAAUAUGCAUCUCCAAAAACUUUGAUCUAAACAAUACUUGAAUAAAUAUGGAUCAUCCCAAUAAAAACUUUUCACCUUUGUUAAAAAUUUCUUCUUAUACUGGGAGUUCCAAUCAGAUGGCAUUUCACGUAUUGCAAGAUAAUUAACAAUGUUAGUAUACCAAGGUAUAUUGUGUAUAGAAAACAAAAAUUCAUUAGGAAAAGAAUCAUUGAUGGUUGUUAUAUUAAUUGAAGACUCAUUUGUAAGUCUAGAAAGAUGGUCUACGACAACAUUUAUAGCGCCCAUUUUGUCCUUGAUUAUCAGGUUGAAUUCUUGAAGUAGCAAAAUCCAUCGUAUAUUAAUCUUGGCUUAGCAUCCUGUUUGGAUGUUAAAUAUCUAAUUGUAUAUCGGAAUAAACAAUAGUAAAUGAACUAAUUAAACACGAACAAAAUUUAUCCAAUGUAAAUAUUACGGGAAGUAAUUCUUUUUUAGUGGUGUUAUAAUUCAUUUGAACACUAUUCAACGUUCUACUUGCGUAAUAAAUGACAAAGGGCUUACCUUCCUUUUUUUGCGUUAGAACAACUUCAAAGGCAUAAUCACUAACAUCACACAUUAGCUCAAAAGACAAAGACCAACUAAGGGGUUACAUUAUAAGGGCUAAUGUUAAAAAAUUAAUUAUCUUCUCAAAGGCAUUUUGGUAAUCUUUAGUCCACAUAAAUGUUGUGUCUUUUAUCAAGAAGUUACAAAGUGGUCUAGAUAUAGCACUAAAGUCUUUUAUAAACCUCCUAUAAAAUCCAACAUGUCAUAAAAAUGACUGAAAUUCCCUAACUGUAUUUGGUGAGGGUAAAUUUGAGAUGACUUCAAUUUUAGCUUUAUUAACUUCAGUUCUAUUAAAAGACACUACAUAAACCAAGACAAGUCCUGAAAUCGUUAUAAAAUGACAUUUUUCUCAAUUUAAAACAAGUCAUUUUUCUUUGCACCAUUCCAAGACUCUUUCCAAAUUAUCAAGAUAUUUAUCCACAGAAUUUCCAAAUAUAGUUAAAUCAUCCAUAAAAACUUCCAAAUAAUUUUCAAUCAUGUCACUAAAAAUACUUAGCAUGCAUCUUUGAAAUGUUGUAGGAGUAUUAUAGAGUCCAAAGGCAUUCUCUUAAAUACAAAUGUUCCGAAUGAGCAUGUGAAUAUGGUUUUUUCUUGGUCUUUUCAGACUAUAGGGAAUUUUUUAUAACAACUUGAGUAGCCAUUAAAGAAGCAAUAGUAAGGUGUCCUACCACUCUUUCAAGAAUUUGGUUUAAAAAUAAAAGGGGAAAAUGGUAUUUUUAGUGGUGCCAUUUAAUUUUCUACAGUCAAUACACAUGCACCAACUAGAUGAGAUUCGUGUUAGGAUUGGUUCGUCUUUUUUAUUUUUCAUAACAAUUAUUUCAUAUUUCUUUAUUACUACUUAUGUUGGACUAAUCCAUUUAUUAUCAUAGAUGAGAUAGAUAAUUCCUCCAUUUAAUAGUUUAAGGACCUCAUUCUUUACCAUUUCUUUCAUAUGAGAGUUUAGUCUUCUUUGUGGUUGAUGAGUUAUUUUGGCAUUUUCCUCUAAGUGUAUUUUGUGUGUGCAAAUUAAAGGAUUAAUGCCCUUAAUGUCUUUCAAGGUCUAACCAAUUGCAAUCUCAUGCAUUUUAGAACAACCAAUAGCUUACCUUCUUCGUCACUUAUGGGUUAGGAAAAACAUUACCAUUGGAUAGGUUUGUUGAUUUCCGACAUAUGCAUAAUUUAAUUCUUCUGGUAAGUGCUUUAAUUUAAGCUUUGGUGCUUCCUCUUCCUUUGUCUUUUCAAGUUGCAUUAAGUCUUCAAAGUUCAAUUGGCCACUGUCAUCUUUAGGUGCCUAUGUAGAAUAGACCAUAUGUUAGCAUUAUUACAUUCUAAUUCCUUAUUUGACUCAAAGGAACCAACAAGUUAAAUUUCCAUAGAGUUUGUAGAAUUCUCAUCUUGAAUAUUUUCCUCAAUGAUUAGUUCACGAGUUCAAUACCCUCAUUCUCAUUAUUAUCAUCUUCCUUUUCACUAGGUUAUUUACACAUGUUAAGCACAUUAAGUUCCAACAUCAUGUUGCUGAAAGAUAACUUCAUCUCUUCAUUUUUGCAAUUAAUCAAAGUGUUAACAAUGGCUACAAAUGAUCGACCUAAUAUAAUAGGAAUUUUCUUACAUUCCUCAGCAUUUGAUUAUGUUUCUAAGAGAAUAAAGUCCACAAUAUAUAUGAAUUUAUGGAUUUGGUCUAAUACAUAUUCAAUUAUCCAUUUUGGUACCUUAAUUGACUAUUAGCAAGUAAAAGAAUUGUAGAGGUUGGCUUUAAUUCACCAAGAUUGAGUUGUCGAUAUACUGAAUAUGGAAGCAAAUUGACAUUAGCAUCGAGAUCAAGUAAAACAUGUUCAAUUUUAUGGUCCCCAAUAAUGCAAGAAAUAGUUAGACAACUAGGAUUUUUGCAUUUCAAGGCAUUAUUAGUUAAGAUAAUAGAACUUACUCGUUUUGCUACAAAAGUUUCUUUUACACUUUAUAUUUCCAUUUUACAUUGCACAAGUCUUUCAAAAAUUUAACAUAAGAUAGUACUUGUUUAUUGACGUCUAACAAAUGAAUGUUGACCUUCAUCUAUUUGAAGACUUCAUAAAUCUCUAGACCAUGAUUUGAUUUCUUUGGAUUCAUCAGUGCUUGAGGGAAUGGGUGUACAGGAGGAGAUUUUAUUGGUUAAAAGUUUCAUUAGACUAUUCCUUACUCUAUGAAAUUGAAUCUUACUAAUUUUACCAGGAUCAAGAAUGUGUUUUUCGACAAUUUUACCACCAUAAAGGGUUAUAACUGAUUUAACUUGACUUAUGUCUUGGUUUUCUAUACUACCCGUUUGAGGGUGUUGUUGACUCUUCGAAUUUAGUUCUAAUUAAGAAGGAAGCUUACCUUUUUCAUAAAUGACGAGGGCUUAUGUAAAUUUAAAGAUAAUAUCUGUCAAAUUAGUCAAGGUUUGCAUGGUUUGGUUAUUGAUAGACUAUUGUUUUUUAAUGAAUGAAUGCAAUGUAUCUUUAAAAAAUUUUCUUAAUGGUGGGACUUAAGGUGGGUAACUUUGAAAAUUUUAAAAAUUCGGACAUGGAAGAGGCGGUUGUGAAAAUUGUGUAUAAUUGUUAUUUUUUCAACUAAAAUUUGAGUGGUUUCUCCCACGAAAGUUGUAGAUCAAUGAGUAUGGAUUAAAAUUCGGCUUUUUGAAAUUGUCUAUAAAAUUUACUUGUUCAUGUAAACUUUCUUUUAUAGCUGGCAAGGUCGAACAAUCCUGCGUAAAAUGGUCAAUUGAGCUACAAACAUGACAUGAAAUAUCUUGAAUAGAUGUAACAUUAUCACACUUUUUCCACUUUAAUGCUUCAACGUUUCUAUCUAAAGAUGCAAAUUUGGCUCAAAAGUCAUGGUCUUCCCUAAGAUUGUACAUACCUCCACCAAAUGGAGAUGACUGGAGUUUACUUGAUGACUUAUAAAAACCAACAAUAUUUCAAUGUUGUGCAUUUUCAGCUAAUUCGUAAAGAUAAUCUAAUAUAACUUCAUGACUUUUGUCUCUAAACUCACUAUUACACAUCAUUUCGACAACCUGUCUACCUUGGGAUGUUAGACCCUUGUAAUAUGACACUAAUCUCCAUGUUUCAAAAUCUUGGUGUGGGGAAAUAUUAAGUAAUUCCUUAUACCUAUUCCAACACUGGUGAAGAGUCCCUUCUGCCUUUUGAGUGAAAGUGCUAAUUUGUCUCUUGAAAGAAUUUAUUCUAUGGGGUGGAAAAAAAUUUUCAAAAUUUGUUCUUGCAUGUUAUUCCAAGUUUUUAUUGAUCCAGAUUUAAGGUUUUGUAGUCAAUUCGAGCUUUUAUCUUAUAAUGAAAAGGGGAAAAGCUUUAAUGAAAUUAUGUUUAUGCUACAAUUUUGGUAUGUGUAUGUAUUAAAAACUUGCUCAAAAUCUCUUAAAUGCAAAUGUAGAUUCUCAUAUUUUAAACCAUGAAAUAUUAGUAAAAGUUGAACAAUACAUGAUUUGAAGUUGACUCGAGAUGCUUAUGGAGGAAAUAUUGUACAUGAGGGUGCUCUAGUUUUGGUUGGAUUCAUGUAGUCUCUCAAAAUUCUUAGUUGAUUCUAAUCAUGUGCAUUAUGUUGAGAAUGAUUGUUUCUUUGAUCAAUUUGAGGAUUAAAUUGGUCCAAAAGGUUUUAUUCUUGGAUUUCUUCUAUGAUUGAUGGUGGUGAUUGAGGUCUACGAAUUAACCCACCACUUGAAGUUUGAUACCAACAUUUCAUGCAAUGUCAAUAAUGCGUGUGUGUGAAAUUAAAUGAACAAACAAAUGAGUAAUAUAUGAAAAAAAUAAAUGAAAAUUACAUAAAAUAAAAAUAAACUGAAAAUUAAAUAAAUGAGUAAUAUAAAUGUACAAGAAUUAAAAAAAAUAUGAAAUAAAAAAUAAAAACAAACUGAAAAUUUAUUAACUAAAAUUAAAAUAACUAAAUAGGCAGUUAAACUAGCCAUAUAAACAAAGUAAUUAAACUACCCAUAUUAAUAGAAUAAUAAUAUAUUAACAAAAAUUAAAGAACAAUUUAGAGAUUAAACCCGCCAUAUAAACUAACAAAAAAAAAAAUAAAUGCCAAAGAACAAUUGCAAAGAAAAAUAAAAAAAAAUGAAAAGAUUAAAUUAUAGAAAUUAAGAGAAGGAAGAAAGAAAAAUGAAUACUUACCUCAAGAUGCACUUUUUUUUUUCAAAUUUUAAAAAUUACUGGUCAACUAAGUGAUUAAUUCAAAUUAUCAUACCAUUAUCAUAAUUUUUAAAGUCCAAGUCAUUGUUCAUUGUGUCCACAAAGUCUAAAAGUCAAGAUUCAUGUAGUUCUUAAGUCCAAAAGUCUAAAUAAAAGUCUAAAGAAUAAGUCAUAAUCCAAAUAUCCAAGUUCCAAAUCAGUUCAGGGACUAAUUUGCAAGAGGUUUUGGGUCAAAAUGAAGUUUUUCAUAAGUUCGAUACGUAGCACUAAAAUCUAACUGAAAUUUUACAAAAUAAAAUAAAAUUAUGAGAUCAAAACAAAGGAAUGAUGAAAAUAAAGCAAAAGUAAUAAAUAAGAAAAUAAAAUAACAGAAUAAGUACCUUUCCUCGGCAACAACACCAAAAAUUUUGACAUGAUUCAAAAGUAUUGAUUACUCCUAAGUAUAAGAGUAUCUUGUCAUAAUAUAAUUCACUGAGUCUAAGAUCGAUCCACAGAGAACAAAAAUUAAAUUAUUAAAUUCCUUUAAUUUUUCUAAAAACUAAAAUAAUAUAUAAUUUAAAUUCAUGCUAUUUGAUUUAAGUGAAACAAUGAAAAUAAAUUAGUUAGGGUUAUGGAUCCACCCUUAGUAGUAGAUAUAAUUUAAUAAAUUCGUUUCUUUUUAAUUUGUUUAUUGCCCAAACUAUUAAUUGUAUAAAUUAUCAUUAUCUUCUCAAUAAUUUUAUUACAUAAGUACUUGGUAUGCCAAAAUUCAAUUUGUCUAAAAUAAUUCAAAAUAUCAUUUUACCAUAUUUUAUAUAAGAGAUUAAAAAUUUAUUGUGCCAAAUUCCCUUAUUUGUCUACAAUAAAUCAAAAUUUCAAAAUAUAAAAUAUGGAUAAAAUCAAAUAGAAAUAAUUUAAUUUAUAUAAUUAAAAAUAGAAUUUAAUUAAAUCAUAUUUUUCUACUAAGACUUUCACCUUAUCUUACCUAUUAUUAUUUAGCUAAUAUAAUUGAAAUAAAAAUAAUCGUUAAAAUUAAAUUACACAUAAUUAUAAUUAAAAUAGCUGAAAUUGAAAAUAAAACUAAAUUUAUUUGUGAAUUAAAAUUACAAACUUCUAAAAAAAAUUAAAUACAAAAAAAAGAAGAAAUUGUUCUAAGCUUCUGCCUUCCCUUCUCCCCCUAGUUCUCCUCUCUAAUUCUACUCUCUGUGCCUCUGGCACCCCCGGAUACCUCUGCUUCUCCACCUUAUAUAGCCAGCCAACAAUCUUUAUCUUCUCUUAUUUUAUUAUUAUUUAUUAUUUAUUUAUUUAAAUAUAAAAAAAAAAUAAGGGAAAGAGUGAUAGUUAAGUGACAAAGUGGCGGCUGCCUCUUAAAUAUGACAUUACAAUAAUAUAUGACUACACUUUUAUUUUAUUUUAUUAUUUAUUAUUUUUAUAUUAAUACAAUCCAUCUUUUUUGUCUCUUGCAUUCUGCUUCGAUUUCUUUUCUUCUUUAUUCUUAAAAUUUAUCUACAAUAUGAAAUUGAGAUAAAAUUAACAUACUACAAUUCAAUUUAACAUAAAAUUAUAUUAAAGGAGUAUUAAAAUAAUUUAUAAGUUAUGAGUGCAUUAAUCAAUACUAUAAAUACAAAUAUGAUAAUUUUAAUUUUUAUUAAAUAUAUACUUUUUAGUGUUAAUCACCAAUCAUUUUAAUGAGAUGGACAGAAUUGUUUCAGUUUGCUUCUGAUGUAAUUAACAAGGUUGUUGAAAAUGCAGAGGCAACUAAGAUUGUGGAAGAUGGUUUUGAAAUUAUGCUCCAAAAAGUUGAGGCAAUGGUGACUAGUGAAGAAUUUUCUAACAAGAAGACUGUAACUCAGAAACGUCUCUUUAAUAGGCCACUUGCAAUUAGUGCAAGGGGGUGUGUAAAAGGAGGAAAAGAGAAAAACAAAGGUAAAGUGAAUGGAAGGAGUUGUCAUGGAUAAGGAAAAGUUGGCGACAAGAUGAUAAAAGAAAUUGUCCAAUACUCAAUGAUUGGUAAGGAUAUUUGUUUUAAUUUCAGUAGUGUAUUUUUAACAAGCUUUAAUAGUACAUAAGCGAUAAUUAAUGUCACAUGUAUUUUUAUUUUUAUGUAGGUCUUCAAUUCAAGACUAUGAUAUUACUUAAAAUAGUAUUAAUUCACAGAUAUAAUACAGCCAUUUUAAUGAAAAUAUAUAAUAUUUUGUAUCACUAUCACAUAAUGAAAAUUCUUACAUAAAAUUCAAUUAUUUGCACAAAUCCAUUAAAAAACACUAAUUCUUUAUACAUUUGGUAUUUCAUUCCCAUCUCACCCCAAAUUCAUCGUACUUUUUUCAAAUCGAACCUUGACCAUUUUUUACAAAACGAAGUCAACCAAAAUAAGCAAUCAUUUAGAGACACAUCGGCUCACUUUUAUAGCAGUGAGAACACCUUCGACUUAUUAUCAAAGCAUCUAUAAUUGCAUAUCUUAUCAAAUUCUUAAAGUUUGCUUUGAGCGUCUCACAAAAUAAAAAUAAGCAUAGUGAUAGGAUUAUGCUGAGAGUACUGCAUUCAAAGCUAAAGAAUCUCUAACUGAUGAUCAAGACAACUAGAGAAGGUCAUUAACAUUAAUUAAUAAUUUAACUUAAAUUAAAGUGUCAUUAUUUAAAGCGAAGGCCACAGGGCACCUAAUAGGAUUCCUCAUAAAGUUAGUAUAUAUCCAAAGUUGUUUCUUUCAUGUUCCCCCAAUUUAUAUUGUCUUCUUUUAAACAAUAACAUGAGGCAUCUUUGACACAUGCGCUUACACUAAUUGAGAAGGUAAAAUUGAGUCUUCACAUGAAGGCAAUUCAUUAUCGCACUAAAAGUUCAGUGGUGUAAUAAUACGUUAAGGUUAUAGAAAGAAAAAAAAAACAAUUAAAAAUUCCAAAUUUUACAACUUGUACAUGGAUUCAGCUAAUUAGAAUUGAAGCCUUAUAAAGAGAAAGGAAUGAAAAUAGGGCCCUUGAAAGGAGAAGUCAUUCAUACACUUGGGUGAGGGCAUCUCUAGAUAUAACGUGGACAGCUUCAUCAUAAUUUAUUCAUAUAAAUAAAAUUUACUAAAUUUGGAAUUAAUUAAAUUACAGCUUUGGCUCAGCUUCUUCGCAUACCAAAACUUACAAGGAGUUGCGAUAACCUGUGAUUCUGGUCGGUGGGUUUGAUGAGUUUAGAAAAUAUUAUUUUGGACCAGAUAUUAUUUAGAGCGCCCGAAAUGGGUUAUCUGCUAGAACGCGUGGAUAUUAUUGGGCUCAAAUUGUAAGCCCAAUUAAUAUCCUUGGGCCAUUGUUCAUAGUCGAAGGUUGUUAUCCUAAAUCUUUUAUUUUCACUCGAGAGAUUAUUUACAGUUUUACCAACUGAUCUAACUGGCACCUCAUUUCAAUUAAUAUACCUUCAUUAUUCUUUUAAUUUUCAAUAAAGUGCUUAAAACUUUAAUUCUAACCACUGCCAAAUAAAUAAAUAAAUAAAGAAUCAGUUGAUCUACCUAAAAUACCCUGAGCAUAACGGCUUCUUUAUAUUCAAAUCACAACAAAAUUUUUCCUAAAGCGAAAAAAAAUGACCGUACGCAUGCAAAAGAAGCUCACAGAAAGGCCGCGGUCAAAACUGAUGAAUGGAAAAAACAAGUUGGAUGAAAAUGAAAAGAUAAAUAAACAAUUGGUUGAAAGGGGGGGGGGAAGAGAGAGAGGGGCUAACAAUAAAUGAUGAGGAAGAAAUUGCAAAGAGAGCAUUAAUGGGGGACGACAAGGCCAUUAAAUAGAUUGCUGAGUAGCGAGAAGGUUACUUAAUUGCUUGAGUUUAUCGCUGCAAUUGUCUUUUUUUUUCCUGCCCUCUCUUUCAUUGCUUUCUAUCUCUGCAACCCACCUCCCCAUAUCACAUUUAAUGCUCUCUCUUACUCCCCUCAGUCUGUGCAGUAAAUUAAAUGAAAACCGUANNNNNNNNNNNNNNNNNNNNNNNNNNNNNNNNNNNNNNNNNNNNNNNNNNNNNNNNNNNNNNNNNNNNNNNNNNNNNNNNNNNNNNNNNNNNNNNNNNNNNNNNNNNNNNNNNNNNNNNNNNNNNNNNNNNNNNNNNNNNNNNNNNNNNNNNNNNNNNNNNNNNNNNNNNNNNNNNNNNNNNNNNNNNNNNNNNNNNNNNNNNNNNNNNNNNNNNNNNNNNNNNNNNNNNNNNNNNNNNNNNNNNNNNNNNNNNNNNNNNNNNNNNNNNNNNNNNNNNNNNNNNNNNNNNNNNNNNNNNNNNNNNNNNNNNNNNNNNNNNNNNNNNNNNNNNNNNNNNNNNNNNNNNNNNNNNNNNNNNNNNNNNNNNNNNNNNNNNNNNNNNNNNNNNNNNNNNNNNNNNNNNNNNNNNNNNNNNNNNNNNNNNNNNNNNNNNNNNNNNNNNNNNNNNNNNNNNNNNNNNNNNNNNNNNNNNNNNNNNNNNNNNNNNNNNNNNNNNNNNNNNNNNNNNNNNNNNNNNNNNNNNNNNNNNNNNNNNNNNNNNNNNNNNNNNNNNNNNNNNNNNNNNNNAAGUUGAUCUGGGUGGAGGUGGAGGGAACGAGAGAUACAUAGCUGCUUUGUUUCUGUGUUGGAAACAGCUAAGAGCAGAAUCCAUCAGCAUAUCGAAGCAGCCUCCGAUGUUGUUGAUACUGUGAAGAGUUCCCAGAGAGUUGAAGAAGCUGCAGAGCAAUUGUCUCUAUGACUCCUGCAAACCACUCUCCUUCUUGCUUGGCUUUGAUCCCUUCUUCUAGCAUUGUUAUUUCUGUUAUCAUCUUUGGCUCUAAAAUUUGAAAGAACCCUUGCCACAAUUGCCUGAUCCUGUUCUUCAGGCUUGUCCGUUUCUUUAUUUGUCAAUGAAUCCAAGUUUGGCACUGCACAAAAUGUGGCUGCAUAUUUAUAUUGAGCAAACCAAAAAAUACCAAGAAUGAGAACAAGUCUAUAUAAAUUGGAAAUGGAAACAUACUUCUCUUCAAAGCAGACCAAGCUGCGAUAGCAGCAUUUUUCUCAGCUUGCUUCUUUGUCUUAGCUGGUUCACCAGUAAAAUUCAUUCCAGCAAGCUCCACAGUACAAGUGAAAAUUGGAACAUGACCAGGACCUGAUCUUACAGUGGUAUAUACAGGGAGGUUCAGCCCUGCCCUAUGAGCAGUUUCUUGAAGAAGAUUCUUGUAAAUUCCCGUCUCAUCCUUCAUUUACAUACCCAACAAAUAAAAACAUAAAUUAUAAUAAGAUUACAUGGCAAGACUCCUCUUUUUUUUUUCUUCUAUUGAUUAAACCAAUCAAGAAAAUGAAGCAAAUUAAAAGACAAAACGUACAAGAACUCUUGCAGUUAGGGACCUUGAAGGGCCUCUCGUGGACAGAACAUUAAGAGCAACUUCAGCAGCUGCAUGCUCAGCCUGUCUUAAUGUAGUACAAUAACUAGGACUUUCAAAGAUCUCACCAUUGAAAUUCACAGAAGCUUUGAAUCUUGGAGCAUGAUCAGGUCCUUCUCUGAUACAAGUAUAAGAAGGGAGAUUGAAACAGCUUCUUUGUGCUAGUUCCUGAAGUUGGUUCUUAUACAUAUCUGACAAACAAAAGAAGCAAUCACAGAGAGAUUGUCAAGGAGAUUAUAUAAGUGAAAAUGAGCUCAACUACUGAAAUGUAAGAUGAUGUUUAAGACAACUGAAACUCACCUACUUCACCUGAUAUCUCAAUCCUACAUUGGCAUGAAAAUUGUCUCUCAAGACAAAAUCAUGGUUAUGUCUUAUGAGAGAACAAAAUGAAGACAGUGAAGCGAAAUUUGUUGAGCCGAACGGCUAAUAAGGACAUCAAUUACCCUUUCCUUGUUUUUUUUUAAAAAAAUAAUAAUAAUAGAAAUAAAAAACUAGUUAGGUAUUAAAAUUUAAAAUAGGACUCUGUGAAGGUUAAUAAGUUUCCAAAUAGAGCACAAUCUUCUAGCAAUGAAGAGCCAAGAAGAAUUAAUUAAGUUGCCUUCGUGUUGGGGGUAAUUGUGACAUUUCAGUUACUAUUUAUUGCGGGUAGUUUUAAAAUUACAGAAAACUCCCUGUGUUUUCUGGGUAGAACAAUUAACAAGGAGUGCCUUCUGAAGUUUCUGGGGAUUCUUUUUAUUUUUAACACAAAAUAACACACACAACCUUGACCGUGCUUCUUACUGGCACAGGCCUUCGAUGUUGUUGACUGGACAGAUGCCUUCAAACCUUUGACUUCCAUAUUAUUAUAUCAUGUAACUCUUGUCUGGUGUUUGCACCUUUAUAUUACUGCACUUGCAUUGCAUGUUGCAAAAUCACAAUGAUGUUUCAAUACAAAUCUGUUUUCCGAAAUUUGUAAAAUUGUUGGUCCUAGUAGGCAUUUAAAAUUGGCAGUUAAGCUAGUCUAGAGUGGUCCUCUCUGGUCUCUCUGGUCCAAUUUCUCUGUAUUGCAGUUAUAUUUUUAUGCGGGGGUUAAUAUUGUUCACUGAGACUUGAGAGCGACUUGCGUAGUAGAUGGGCACCAGCCUCAUUGACCGAUGACCACCAUCCCCAGAAAAUAACCACACAAAGUUUGGCUUUUCAAGGGGAAAAUAAAAUUUGCAAUAAACAAAUAGCCAAUGCUUGGAUACCAAAUUAACUUGCUUCUUGAAGUUGCAAUUUACAAUUUACAAUUUGGUUCUGAUGCCUUUCUGCUUCUGGAUUGGGCAGAACUUGGAUUGCAGCUUCCAACUUGUUUUUGUCUCUGGUCCGGUCUUCAGCUGAAAGCCAAGUAAUGUCAGACGUAAUUGAUUGCUACAAAAGUCAACCAAAUUCUGUUCAAUUAGAACUUCAAUUUCAUUAUUGACACGCACUAGUGGCUAUUUUAAAUCUAACAGCUCUAUACUUCAACUGCUACCAAAUUUUCAUUACAUUUACAAAACUUAUUUCUUAUGCCUUGACCUGAGAGGAGUACACCAUAAUUUAAGAAUAUGUCAGUGAAACACUUGUGACCGGUAAUAAAACUUGAUUGUAACAUACUGCUGUUAAGCGGUAGACAAGCCCUAAUAGAGUGGAGGCCCAGAGUAGGGGGAGGUACCAAAAAGUUUUGGGUAAUCAAUCACCAUUCAACUAUGGUGACCCUAGAGCCACACACUGGGAUCUAAAGCACUAACUGAAUCCACAAAUACAAUACAAUUAGACACUAACUAAUUCCACAAAUACAAAAUCAGAACCAAAAGAAGCUCAAUCAUACAACACAACAAACCAUUCCUUUUUGAAAUCACAAUUCCCAAACCAGCACUUUCAUACACCCUUUUCAAAACAAAACUCCCCAUAUUGCACAAGAAAUAGUGGAAGUUGAAUGACUAGGUAUGAAAUCUCAGGGAUAUACAUCAGUAAUUUGUCACAGCUUCCGCUAUGUUUGUCUAUUCUCAGUUGUCAAGUUGCUGCUGCUAGUACCACUCCCACCUGCACGAUUUGAUUCAAUUCUAGCAGCCAAAGCAGUAAGCUCAGGUGACAUGUCCCAGCUUCCACUUUUUCUUCCCCAACUAGAUCGCCUGGGAUGGAUUCCAACACGAUCCCCUUCCUCUACUGUAGUCCUAAUAUCCGGGGACAACUCAGCUAAUUCACCAUCUUUAACAUUUAUCCGAUCAUUGUUUGGCAGUUGUCCUUCUGUGAGAUCACCUCCAGGACCAACAUCUCCCCACACCGUUUUCCUACCCAUUUCUAUGUCAUCCCCAGCUUUCCCCAUAUUUGGACUCAUAAAACCCCCACCUACUGAUCGGGUUGGUAAUGCAGGUUCCCUUGGUACCAUUGCUCUGAAAUUGUUCUUUGAUGGAGGAAUGCUGGAGCAAAAUAUCUCCUUAAAGUUGUCCACUACCCCUUUGUUAUAGGGGUUGGCUCGCCGAUCAUAUCGGUAUCUAAAAUUCUCAUAUGUAGUCUGCAAAAACACAACAAUAAACAGAAAGUCUUUAUAUUAAUAAAACAAGAAUUUACACAAUGCCAGAUGACAAGGAUUUGAACAGCCAAAAAGGCUGAAAUAUUUUACCUGAUUUGUACUGAUGAGAUAUAAAUGGAAGGCCGUAAGGCCACCAACAAACCACAUUGCUAUAAAGGUGUAAAUUAUUAGAACAAUUGAUGCAGGGGUUUUAAUCAUUGCUUUCCAAAUUGUUGUGUACUCAGCAUCCAUGAUCCUUCUGAUGUAGACCCAGCAAAAUGCAAAAACGUAUAUACAAAGAAGGGUCGUCGAGAAUACAAACAUGAAGAAGAAUCGAUAAUUACGCUGCAUACAAAAAGCAAGUUUUCAGAUACAGUAUCCAUACACAUGUCACAGGAAUUUUGUGGAGAUGAUGAUAUCUGGAAAACCAAACUGUAGUAUCAACUGACAAAAUUGUGAUGCUAGCAUAACGGAAUUACUUUCUUGAACUAAGCAUGAUGAUGUUAAAUCAAGUUUACAAGGCAAUAAAUUAGCAGUCAAUUGAGAUAAAACUCAUCAGGAUUUCAACUAUAUCAAGAGUGGACAAGUUCUUUUCACCCUGAAUUUUAUUGCUUUUAACAGCCAAUUAAGAAACAUGCUCAAGCUCAGAAUUUCCAACCCAGUGUAGUCUCAUUUUCCAAUAAGGAAUUCUUAAAGGACAUAACCCAAAUCACCCUUCCAAACCCAACUCUCUCCCCCACCAAAUAUAAUACUUGUGUCCUUCAGAAAUGAUAUCUUUUUUCUUAUACCCGCACCAGACCCCAACCCCCUUCUCCUGCCAAACAAACAAUUCAAACUAAAUCCUCACCUCAUCCGACCUCUUUUCCAGCCGAUGCAAGGGGGUAUUAAUCUUUCAACAUUUUGGUCCACAAAGUCUUACCAGCCAAGCUAUCCCAUUGGGGAUAGAUACAAAUGAAUUCAAAAAAACAUGCCACUAUAUGUGCACAUUCUACCAAAAAAGGCAGGGAACAAAAUGAAUAAUAUAAGUAAAUCCUUCAGAUAUCAUUGGCAUAAUUCUAAAACAAACGAUCACUUACCAGUCCAAUACAUUGCCCAACCCAGGGGCAGUGGUGAUCAAAACGUUCCACACAGUUAUUGCAGAUGGAACAGUGGGAGCAGCGAGGAGGUCUAUAAAGCAUGCAAGUAUCGCAAUAUUUAAUCUUCACUGUGAUUCCAUUGACCUCUACUUCCUUUAUGCGAGGCAACCGUAACUGUGGAGUUUGGCCAGCACCAACAUCUGCAUUCCCGUCAAAGCCUUCUGGCUCAGGAGGGUGUGCAUUACGUGGAAUUAUACCAGGAUCUCUUCCUGAGGUUAGCAGGAGCAGAAGCAAAUCCUGAGAAAUAAAAAAUGUUCAUGAAUUUCGGGCUCAACAUACAGAAAUUUUUACUGACUUCACCUCAUAAAUUAAAGCCAUGCGGUAGAAAGCGUUACAGAUCUUCUGAUCUGUAACAAUGUAGGACUCUUAGUUGUUGGUCCGGGCAAAUAGGGUAAAUCCUAUGGAGAAGAAUAUCACAACCAAUGCAUAGACAUGUAACCAGUAUCCACAUCUCAAAAAGCAUGCACGCAUCAUGAAGUCAAUGCUUAUGAUGGGAUAGAUUGACCUACAUAUGGUGGGAUUGCAAAUGUUGAUUACUAAGUACAGUCCUAGAAAGGUGACGACAUUGAAAACCAGCUUACUAUACUAUCAUCUUAAAACAACAGCCACAGCAGGUUCAUUUUUAUUUGAAACUUCUCACUUCAGUAACAAAUGCAAUGUACCGGCAGACAACAAAAAUGUCCUAACAUUGCAUAAUAUAUUCCAACCGUUCAUACAAUUGUGCCCACUUCUUCCUAUAUGUCUAUUACUGUCCAUACUCCUCAGUAACAAAACAUGCUCCUUCCUCUCCACUAUGAUUAAAGACAACAGCUAUUUUGAAAGACCAUCAAAAUCUGCAAGCACACUCAACCUAGGUCACUGCCAACUUGCGUGGUGUAUGUUUAGGUCAAAAUUGCAAACUAUUUCAUGAAUAACAAAGAGCCAAAUCCUUCUCUUCUGCCACAAAAAUUCUUAAAAGACGAUGGAAACAUGCAAGAUAGAAAUAACUUCAUGACGAGCUUGACAGAAAGAGAAACUUACAAUUUUUUGUUUUUUCUUUUGAAAGGAAACACAGAAACUUUUAUAGAGUAUUAGGAGGGAAUAAAUAGUACAAAAGUGAACCAGAGGUCCAUAAACUAAAAUCUUUCCAGCAGUGUAGAACAACAAAAGCUAUACAAAACUUUGAAAUAAGAAACCCUUGUACUCAAGACACAGAAAUAAGAAUCCUAACCAACAAAAUACUUGCAUCCCAAUCAAGCAGAAAACUGUGAAAAGAGAAACUUACAUAAACAGUGAAAGUCACCGCAACAACCAUUAUUGAUAUUCCCAAAUGAUGAGGAUAAUCAUCCAUCAAUUUUCGAGCAACAAAGACGCAGAAAACUGAGAUGGGAGCAACAAUGAGAAAUAUAGUUAACCCCAGCGAUCUUACAUCUGGUCCAAAUAUAAGCCUCCCUUGAAGAAAAAAUAUCUGCGGCAACAAAUAGAACUGAUUAAUGCAUUUGAAGGAACAUGCACAAACACUCAAAUCCCCCAUACACAAAAGAUGGGAAUAUCUAUGCCAAAUUAAAGUCUAGGCACGACUGAAGGCUUAACACUGCACUUUGGUUCUUUGAAUGGAGUUGCUCCAUCAAUUAAUCACCUAAUUUAUUGGCCUUUGACAUUCAAUCAACUGAAACAACCACAGUUAAGCAUCUUUAAUUCAACAACUUCAAAUAUAUUAUUAGCUGCAUAGACAUGUGACCAGUAUCCACAUCUCAAAAAAUGAUUAGACCUAAAUAAUAAUCCCUCAAUCUUAGCUGUCAUACACAUAUUUCUUAAAUUUUCAAUUUUUAGAUAAAUUUAUUUAUAAUCAUGUACACAAACACAAUAAUAUGCAGCUCUACUGAAGCUCCUCUAAAAAGUGUCACACUCAAGUAAUGGAGGGGCACAUCAAAGUUUCCAUUUUUAAGCUGACAGAGACAGAGUUCAGCUCAAAUUCUUCUUCAUUAUCUUUAAUUCCCCGCAAAACUCACUUACACAUACGUAAAAGACUAAAAAUAACAAUAAAACCUAGACCGAUAAAAUUAGAUAAUUACAACUCAUAAUGCCCAAAAACAAAAAUAAAAUCCAAUAAACAAAAAAUAGAAAAAUAACCUACUUAACCAAACUUAGAAACAUUAAUUACGUAGAACAAAAAAAAAAUUAAAAAAAGGGGAAACAAAACACUUACAUUGCUUCCUUUCCAAGUCUGAUAAACCCGUAAAUCACCGGACCGGCCCUCAGAUCUCGGAUCCGAUCGCUGAGGUGGCGGCACUACAUACAUCCUUAGCUCCGCUUUUUUUGGAAAAAAAAAAUACAAUAAUUAAAAAAAUAAAAAUAAAAUAUUGAUCUUAUGAACUGAAGAUGGGGACUGAGUCAGGGGCGAGUCAGGACUCGGCGAGUCGAAUGAAAAUGACGACUAGACAUAAGAAGGAGAUUAGAAAGAGAGUUAAGGGUGAGGGAGGGAGUUUGGUUAAUUAACAGAGAGAUUCUGACUUCUGAUUGCGUUUUUUCGUUUGUUGUCUUGUCACUCUCUCUCUCUCUCUGUUGUGGUGACUGUGCGUUGUCUGUUUCGGGUAGCUUUACAGAGGUAGCUUUACAGAGGUGUUGGGGCGACGUGGCCGGAUUUGAUUGGUCGGUCACUGAGAAGACCGGUUGUGGUGGGUGGACUGCUUGGCCUUUUUUAUAAACUUUUAAUUAACAAGAUGGAGAGAGAUGACCAAAAAAAAAAGAAUGCGACGGCUCGCUCUACUAGUCUUCUCUGUCUCUCUUUGGGGCUGCUCUCUCCCCUAAUUCUCUUCUCAGUUUUUCCUCAUGGGUUUGCUUGUCACUUGUCCUGUUCUUCAUUUCCCCUUCUAUUUCACUUUUAAUUACAAUGCUGCCCCUCUAUGCUUCAUUUUGCUGCCAUUAAUCAAUUAAAUUUUUUUCCCCCCUUUUUUGUUUGUAUAUGAUGUAGAGAUACAUCCGAAUGUCAAUUGUCAAGUCUAUUUUUAGAAAAGAAUAAAUAAAUUUUGUUAAAGAUUUUUUUUUAAUAUAUUAUUAUUGGACAUUUUCCUAAUAGUUUAAAUUAGAACAAACUCUCAUAUUCGAACUCCUUUUUCUCACUUUGUGUCAAUUAAUUCGUAAUUUUAUAUGAGUUUAAAAGUGGAUUUAUUUUUAAUGUGCGGAUGUAUAAGCUAUUUUUUUUCUUUUAAUACAUUGCAACCCAUUCCUCCCAAUUCCUAAAUUGAACUCAUGAUCUCUAACUUUCAUUUGUAAGAAUUAAUUCAAAUGGACUAUUUUGAGGAUAAAUUAUUUAGGUCUAAUCAUUUUUUCUAAUUAAAUAUAUCUUAUAAAAUGAAGUAUGGAAGAAUAUAAAUAUAUUGAACAACACUGUAUUUACAUCUCAUUCGUGCUAUAUUUUUAUGAUUUUACUUUAUAUAUGAUCCUAGGGUGAACAAUAUAAUAAUUAAUAAUCUUUACUAUAUUUUAAGACCAAAAGAAAGCAAUUCGCCAACAGUAAUAGAGAUGGAGCCAUUUAAUUUUCCUAAUACCCACAAAGGUCAUAUUGAUCUUGAUUUAAGUGGAGAAAUAAUAAGCCACUAGGCUAGUUAAGUGGUUAGAACUCAUAUCUCACAAUAGUGAGAUCAUGGGUUCAAACCCCCACAAUGAAUUGUGUGGGUUUAAUUUUCUUUCUCAAUUUGAGUAAAGACAGUCUUUUAUUUUUGAAAUGUGAGUGGGGUGAAUUGUGUGGGUUUAAUUUUCUUUUUCAAUUUGAGUAAAGACAAUCUUUUAUUUUUCGAAAUGUGAGUGGAGUUGAUGACCCUCGAAUAUCAUGAUUUGAUGAUAAAUUAGUUACAGUAAUUAUCUAAUUGUAAAUAUCAUGAUUUGAGCAAUAGUCUUAUGUAAUGAUUCGGCAAUUGCAUUAAAGUAUUUAAGAAAUAUUUAUCAUUAUAAUUUGAAAAUAAAAUUGAUUUUUAUCUCAUACUUUAUAUGGUUAAAAAAGAGAAACUAUAAAUUUUUUAUUAUCUUCAUUAAAAUUAUUAUUUAAAUACUGUAUGUAUCACAUACUAUCAGUUUUUAUUGUUUGGAAGCAAAUUCAAGUAAAAUGGGUGCAAAUGCUUGCUCCAUAUGGUAGGAGAUAAGGGAUAUAAUAGAUAUAAAUAUCAAAAAAAAGAAAAAAGUAUUUAUGUCUCUCAUCAUUCAAAAAACUUGGGAAAUUUAUAGUAAUAACCAAAAAAUUUUUACUGUUUUUCAUCUUAACCCCCCAAAAAUAUUUCUAUCAACAUUAGCCAUAAAACAACAUUUGAGACCAAAAUGCCCCUCCCUCAUCUCUCCCCCAACACUCCUUUUCACUCAUCUCUCCCAAACCGAUCCAACUCCCAUCAUCGGCGGCGACAUCAACCCUCAUCGGCGGCGGCUCCAUCUCUCACCGGCAUCCGAUCUACGAUCUACAACCUUCAACAAAACCUAGGUUAGUUAUUUUUCUUAUUUUCAUUAAUUUAAAAUGAGAUUUUAGAAUAAUAAUAGUUAUAGCUUGAGAAUAAUAGUGGUGGUGAUGAUGUUUGUGAUGGUUGGUGGUGUUUGGGAGUAUUGUUUUCGAUUUUGGAGUGAUUGCACUUAAUUUUGGGGGUGGGGAGGGAGGGGGGCAGGGCGCGCGCGUGCCCAUCGCUGGGCAGCAGCGCGCGCCCAUGCGCGGCUUGCUGUCGCACCAGAUUUGGUGCGACAGCAGGCGCUGUCGUACCAGAUCUAGUGCGAUAGGCGCGCGCCUGUCGCACCAGUUCGUCUGUCGCACUAAAAAUUAGAGUUUUUUUUUAACGAGUCAAUUUUUUUUUCUGUAAAUGUAAUGUAAUAAUUUUAUAAAUAUUACAGAUACAUGGCGAAAUCAGAAUCACCAGAUAUUGAAGUAGGCAAGAUGUAUUUUCGUUAUACUGAUCACUUUCCUGGUCGAAUUUCGAGCAUGUGUAUGUUAUCUUCGGUCGUAAAAGCCAUCGAGGAAAAAUUAACAAAGCAGCAGUUGACUAUGUUCAAAAAGGAUAUAUUUGGGCAUUUUUUGGAGUGUCGAAGUUUUCCAUUUAGUGGGGUAAUUUUGCACAAUCUUUACUGCGGCAAGUGGCCCAUGAAGAAGAUAGCCGUGAGAAUCAAUUAUGGUUUCAAAUUGGUAAGCUUUUGAUUCGCUUGUCAAUUGUCGAAUGGUGCUUGGUUACUGGACUUUCAUUUGGUGUUGAUACCAAUCAAGAAAAUGAUGAAAUGGAGCAGAGGCUACGGAAUAUGUAUUUUGGUGGAUGCAUCGUAAGAUUAAUGUGAAGCAAUUCGAUGCAGUAUUUAAGGAGUUGAAAUUCGAGGAAAUGGACGAUAUGGACGCAUUAAAGAUUGCGCUAUUUUAUUUUGCCGACAGAGUACUAAAUGCAAGAAAAAAUCACUGUCAAAUUAAUUUCGAUUGGCUUGACCAAGUUGAUGAUAUCCAGUACUUCCGAAAGCGUCCAUGGGGUUUAUUGUCAUGGGAAAUGAUUUACGAGAGUCUUGACAAUGCACUGUUCGAGAAAGACGAGAAAUUUAAAAAGACUCAGUUGAAAAAUCCAGAUCAUAAUAUUGAAAAAUACAAUCUUUACGGCUUUACGUCUGGGGUUCAGGUGCUUUUUUUUGGUUUAUUAAUAAGUUUUAUAGUAUUAAAUAUUUGAUAGUUGUUUUAUUUGAUUUUUCACUUUGGUUAUUGUAGGCUUGGAUUUACGAAGCAAUCGGAGGGUUGUCAUCAACAUGGGUCGUCAAAACGAAGAAUAAGAUUCCCCGCAUUCUGCAAUGGAAGCCCAUGGCGUCUUCGAAAAUCAACUUUGCGGAGGUUUAUUCGUUCUUCAACGACGAAUCUCGUCUUAUAAGUAAUAUGUAUUACUUAUUUUUUUAACUUUACUAAAUUUAAUAAAUGUAUACUUACUUAAAAUUUUCAAUUGAAUUUAUGGCAGGGGGACGUUUUACAAACUCUUGAGCCAAAUUCAAAGGAGAGUAGCAGAAAAUAUUGGCUCUCUGUGAAGGAUUACUUGCCAAGCAUUUCAGACUGGGUUCAUAAGGUCGGUAUACUCUAAGUACUAAAAAUUUGUUAAUCGAAAUUUUUGACUUUUCAUUUACUAAUUUUAAAUGAUACUUUAUACAGCACCAACCCUCAAUCAACGCGAUGCUGUCGGUUACAAGGCAAUCAGACGAGCAUGACGAUCAUGACGACAUACCAAACCCAAUACCAGAGCAGCGUCAUGACACUUUUGAGGAUGAGGUGGGUCAUGACACUUUUGAGGAUGAGGUACCAGCAGCAAACAGAUAACUCUGAUGACGCACAGGAUUCUGAGGUUAUAAAUAAUAUAUGAUAUUUUUCUGAAAUAUAAAUUAUUAUUUUUUUAUUGUUAUUCUAAAUUUAUUUUUUCCUUUUGUAAUAGUCGAGGACAAAGCAGUUUAAUGAUUACGUACGACGACGGCUGGAUAAGAUUGAUUGUAACGUGUAUGAAAUAAAGUCAGAAUUAAAAGAUUUUAAAGAAACCGUUGUUGGCUUCAUUGACACAUUUUCUAAGCGUCCAAAUAAGGAUUCUCCCACUGCACGCUCGUAUGCGGUAAGCUAAUUUAAAUUUAAUAAUUAUGUUCGUUUAACUUUUAAUUUGAUAGUUAUUUAAUAUGUUCUUUUUGGCGAAUGUACAGGCCCCGGAUGACUAUGGAGUGUAUACUGACGUGGGCAAUGAAAAUUUGUCUACGCCCACGUCAUUGUAUAGUUUCUACGGGGAUGUUAGUGGGGAGAGCGUGCAGGUGUUCACAUAGGUGCCUCCCGGCGUUAGUAAGUUCGGCCGCGCGUACAUACUGUCAUAUGUUUAUAACAGUCCUUACAUGAUUCCUCCGGUCAGGCGAGGACAGAACGUCCAGCCUUUACCGUGACCCCAAAUCAUGGACCAUGCGAUUGACAUGAGUACGAGUGUGGAUGUAAAUCUACUGAGAGGAUUGGAGGACUCUAGUCUGUUUGCUGAGUUUGAUCGAUGGUUCACUGGUGAUAGUAGAGUCCGCCGGAGAGUCCAGCACCCGCGAUCAUUCUUUCAAAUAAUUUUGAAUAUAUCUUCGAUGGGAUGGCUAGGCGAUGAGGUAUUUAUAUUUUCCUCGUGGUGUAUUCUGUUGUGGAUUUGUGUAUAACAUUUAUUUUUUAAAUCGUAAUAUUUUUAUUUCUAUACAGCAUAUUCACGAGUAUCUCCGCUUGAUUAGCGAGAAACAACAGCAGUAUCCAAAUGUCUUACUCCAACUUGUCACACAUACUGACACAUUAUUUUGGAUAACGUGCCGACAAAACUUAUAAAUACCAUUUAAUUUGAUUUAUAAUUAUUGUCUUUAAGUGUUGUUCAUUUAUGCAUUUCUUGGUUAUCUAUGUACUAGGUGUUCUUGAAUCAGUUAUGGAACAACGGGGAUUGUGCGGUCGAUUCAUUAGUAUUCGACGACCGCUUGAAUAGUUAUCUUUGUGGGCGACAGCACACAAUGUCCAAAUCAAUGACGGAUGUCGAUAUGGUAUGUAUUUUAUUACAUUUCACAUGCUCUAUAAUGAAAAUAUUCGAGUUGUUGCUUUUUCUUUGUUGUAUUUCAAUUGCAUAUAUAACGAAUAUGUUUUUUAAUUUUUAUAUGCAGUUACUUAUCCCUGUUAACUUGGACGGCGCGCAUUGGGUACUAGCACGAGUUGACUUUUGGAAAAAUAAAGUUUGGAUUUAUGACUCAUUACUCACAUUUCGCGACGACAAAAGGUACAAGUUGAAAUUCAAGCCACUUGAAGUUAUAUUCCCUCGGUGGUUGGAAUAUGUUGGCUUCUACAAUAUCCGACCUGAGUUGCGGAGUGAAGACCCGUGGAAAGUUAUCGCAGUUAAGAGCGCGCCGCAACAAGAAAGAGGCACUGGCGAUUGCAGUGUUUUUGUAUUGAUGGUUACGAUGUAUUUAAUGUUCGGGCUUAGAUUGAAGUUUAACGCUAGUCAUGUCGAGUACUUUAGAAAGAAGAUUGCCGUUGAUAUAUUUAAUGACAAUAUUAUAUUGUAGACCUAUGUAGUAAUUUUAAUGUUGAAAUUUGAUUUUUUUUUAAUUUGCGCACUUAAGUUUAUAUAAUUUUAAUGCCUCACAUUUUGAACUUUAAAAUAAAAUAAAGUUUUAUGAAAUAUAAGUGUACAAUACACAAAAAACAAUAACAGUUUUAACCAACCAAACACAAAAACAAUAAUAGUUUUAACCAACGAAUAACACACAAAAUACAACUAACUUCGAGUCGACGCAAUAGGAUUCUUACAUCGCUUACGAUUAUGGCCUAGUUCAUGACACCGGCCGCAUCUUACAGUCCGCCGGUCAACGUCCUCGCCAGCCGAGGGUAUUCUGAGCUCUUUACGACGGCCAAGUGGUGGUGCCUCAACUGGUGGGUAUACUUGCAUCUCUUGAAUUUUAUCUAGAACUUCCCAAUCAGCCACAUCACCAACUGGCUCCACUGGUUGUGCAUAAGCCAUCGCCAACGAUUCUGUAGUGUAAAAGUCCGAGCAAAGGUUAAUAAAAUCCACCCGGUGUGUUAGACACGCCGCAAUUGCAUGAGCACACACAAGCUGAUCAAGCUGAAACACUCUGCAAGAGCAAGUUCUCUUUUGCAAGUCAACCAACCCUUCCUUAAGCCCACCGCCUAUAACUUGAAAGCGAUGCGGAGACACCGGCUGAACUAUCAUUCUUUCAGCUAUAGUUCUCCUCUCAGUGACUAUUUCAUCCGCCCAUGUUGUUAGCCGAGUAGUCAUUGAUUCAGCCACAAUUUUUCUAUCAUAAAACUAUUGCUGCAAUGUUUUCCUAAAAUGAUCAACAAGAUGCGUAACAGGAAAUUUUUUAGGUUCCCUCAUGAAAGCAUUAACGCUCUCCGCGAUGCUGGUGGUAAGAAUGCUGUACCUCCUACCUUUAAACUGAGACCUUGCCCAAUUACACGUACCGACAUUAUUUUCUAGGUAAUUAGCCGCACCCGAGUGGAUCAUCCACAACUCUUCAAGUUGUCUCUUAAAUUCCUCGUGGCCAUAUGCUUUUGCUGCAUUAAUAAAGGCAGGAUCAAAUUCAUCCCAAAGAGCUUUGGACAUUCUAAAUUGUGACUUAAUGUUACCUUUGACGUGGUAAAAACAAACGCCAUGAGUUGCAUUGUGAAAUACUUUAAGAACGGCUCUCCUUAUGGCAGUGCAUCGAUCAGAGAUAAUUACCAACUCAGGUCUAUCACCAAUCACUCCGUGUAACUUCAUCAUAAACCAUUCCCAAGCAUCAUUGUUUUCUGAAUCCAUGAUCCUAAUGGCUAACGGAUACAAUUGAUUGUUACUAUCAAGACAUGUUGCCACGAACAUGCUUCCACGAUAUAGUCCUUUCAGAUGAGUACUAUCUACAGCAAUGACAGGCCGAAUGUACUGCAUAAAUCCCUUGAUGGAAGAUCCGAGUGCUACAAAAUAGUACAAGAAAUUACCAUCUCCAUCCUGCUCGAGGUGAGUGACUGUACCCUCAUUCGCUGUAGUUAGUACGUGAGAGUAUUUAGGGAGCAAGUUGUAUGAUUCUGUAGGGUUGCCGCGAAUUAUUUCAAGACCAACUUCUCUCGCCCUAUAUGCCUGCUGGUAUGUUAACUGAACACCGUAUUCUUGUUGCAUAUAUGCUCUUAUGUCAUUGGGAGUAUAAAUCCUCUUAUCUUGAAUAUAUUUUUCUGCGAUAAUAUGACCGACAACCCGGCUCCUUACUUGACGACGUCCAUAAACCAAUACCUCAUUAUGACAAGUGUGUACAUUAUCAAUUCUCUUCACCACCCAAGGAACAUUUUGCUCGUUCGAACUUCUAGUUGCUCGAAUACGCCAUUUACAUGAUUUUGAACAACAGUGAGCCUCGAAACGUGUCGUAGUAGACCGUGCAAUCUUGAAAUCAAACUUAUCUCUAAAGGCCACCUUGCGUAGUUGUAAUAUAAGCUCAUUCUUCUCAGCAAAUAGCUUACCCACGCCGAUAUCAUCUGAGUCACAACUGCUAACAAAGCUUGGAGCAACCAUGUUCGAAGGCAAAGUUGGAGCAAGACUUGUAAGGGGGUCAAUUCUCCUUCUCGAUCGAACCAUAGAAGGAAUAGGUCUAUUGCCUCUGUUAUUCACAGGAGUAUUGUCUUCACACUCAUCCUCAUGCUGAAACGACGGAACAUUCGAAGGACCGGCUCCUCCAUCAUCACCAUCAUCAUUGAAACGAGUGCCCCGCCUCGUAUUAUUAAAAGGUUCUGCACAAACAUUAUCACCCUCUGUCUCAUUAUGAAAAUCAUCAUUGUCCCGAAAAUUAUUGUUGUGAUACGGAGAAUAUCGUUGCUCCAACGACGUUGUUAUUGUGAGUUUUAACUCGACAAAGGCAGAACUAACCUCCAACUUAUUGAAAAUUAAUGGAAUAUAAGUUUUUUUCUUAACAAAAUUUUUUUAAGGUAAUUCCCAACAUUCUUAUUAGUUGGAUAAACCAUAUUAGCAUACUGACGUGGGUACCACAGCCCAAAAAUGUUUUUUCUCCACCUCAUUUUAUUCUAAUAAAUUUUCCUUUUACAAGUCAUACGUAUCUGAAUAUCCCAUAAUAAUAUUUUAAAAUAUAGUUAUCUAAAGUUUGAAUACCCUUAAAUAUUUUUAAAAUUAAUAAAAACUGAUCAUUUGGGGAUACACGUGAGGUGUGAGACAUACACUUGGCAUUUUCGGUAAGGUGCAUUUAAUCAGUCCAUACAUAGAAUCAAAACGAGCGAGUUUCAAGUUACGAAGGGAUAAAAAAAAAGGAAGAAGAAAAAGAUGUAAAGUGCGCUUUAUCUCCCCAAUGGUAUAAAAACUCCAAGAAAUAAUAAUAAUUGAAGCAACAUCCAUGAUGACUAUACACUCUACAGUCUACACAUUGGAUUGACAGCGAUGAUACGUAAAGCACGCACUCAAAAUCAUACUAAGGUUUUCUUACAUUGAAAUCCCCUCCCCCCCUCUCCCGCAACAAAAAAAAAAGAAAAGGAGACGUGGGGCCCCCGCGUUGGACCUUUUUUGAACGCCAAACUCCAUCAGCGUAACGCCCUAGCUUAACCUAAUCCCAAUUUGUUCAUGCCAUAAUUACAGUAGUUGGUACAAAAUUAUUUGACAUUAUAAUAUAUUAUAUCAUAUAAUUUUGAUCAGAUGCACCCUGUCGUACAUGUCAUAUUGCACGACAUGAUAAGUGUCAAUUUCUCAUUGAUAGAACUGUAUUACAAACUUAGUGUAUGUUUGGGAGUUAGAAUUAAGUAUGAGAUUAGAUUAACUUGGGGAUUAAAUAUUUUAUCCCAUAUUUAGCUACUUUGCUUGGAUUGGAUUAGGAGGACUAAAUUUAAAUUUAGUCCUUAAAUUAUGGGAUUAACAAUCCCAAUUUAUAAGUGGGUUUAGAUGAGGAUUAGGAUAAGAGAGAAAAUUUAUUCAUAUUUCUUUCAUAAAUAACACUAUUUUUUAUUUGUAACCUAAAAUUUAAUUACUUAAUUAAUUAUUUUAUUCAUGAUUUACUUGAAUUUAUUUUUUAUUUUGUUUUUAUAGUCUAAUUAAAUUGGUACUUUUACUCCAAUAAAAUUAACUGUUCACUAAUUUGUACAAUAAUUAAUUGUAUUAAAUUUAAUAAUCACCAAAUAAUAUUAAAAAUAAGCAUGGAAUUUACUCAUACAAGUAAAUAAUUGAUUUUAUAUAUACAUUAUUUGCUAACUUUUUGAUAAAAUAAAAAAAUAUAAAAUAUAUGAUAAAAAUUAAUUAAAUAAUUAAGUAGUUUUAUUAAUUUAUAUUUGUUUAUUAUAAUUAUGACUACCCAAUAACUAAUUUACGACAUAUUUAAUUCUCUUGUUAAUUACCUUUAAAUUAAUUUUAAUUAUUACUAUAAAUAUUCAUAAAUAUUUUUUUGUAUUUAAAUAUGAUUUAACAUUGUCUAAUUCGAUAUCAAACAUAAUCCAGCUUAAUCCAAUCCAAUCCUAAUAAUUAGUCAAGUCCAAUUUCGUGUGCCAAAUGUAACCUUACAACUCUGUCAAUAAAAUAAUAACAUAUGUCUUAUUUAGAGAUGGCCAGUGGACCAUGCCGUGCUAGCCUAUCCCAUCAAAUAAAGGUUCAAGCGUGCUCAUACUUAUGUCGUACCAUGCCCACUAUGUGCUUCGAGUCGUGCCGUGCCAUACUUUGCUUAAUUUUUUUUUUCUUAGGCCCGGCAUGGCACAUGUGUCAUGUUGUACCUAAGAAAAAAAGUCCGCUAAGCUUUUCUCUUUUUUGAUUCUUUUUAAGAGGGCAUGCCAAAUUAUCGACGUAUUUUUUUCAAGCAUGUGUACUUUUUAGGGUCCAUGUGCUUUUAUUCAAAUUUAAUAGAAUCGAAAAUUCAAAACUUAAGUCCAUAUUCAAUAAUAAUAAACUAAUAAUAGUAAAAGAAAGUAAUAUUAAUUAAUAAGUUUGAACCUAUGUUAUUAAAUUUUUUUUAAUACUUAACAAUAACAAUAAUAAUACAUUUUUCUUAAGGGUUAACUUAAUUGUUAACUUAGACUUACAUACAAUCAUAGAUCAUAGUUCAUAAUGAUAUUAAUAUAUAUUUAUAAAAUCAUGAUAUUUAUAAUUUUAUUUAUUAAAAUCAUGAUAUCAAUUAUUUUUAAUAAAUUAUAAAAAUAAAUCAAUUAUACUAUUUUUUAAACUAAGAAUUAAAUGAAUUAAAAAGCUUGUACUAAUAAAAUAUAUUUAAAGAUUUAAUUUCAAGUUAUUUGUAAAAUUAUAAAAUUUUUAGUUUACUUUCAUUAAAAAAUAAAACGUGUUUUUUGCAGGUUUUUUCAUGUGCCGUGUUUUACCCCAUCUCUAAUCGUACAAUGCUUUUAAGGUUUGCGUGCUUAAAAUUCUAAACCCGGCAUAGUCCGCGUGCAUACCGUACCGUGCCGUGCGGCAUGCUCUAUCGAAACUUAUUUGUGCCGUGCCAUGCUAUAUGGACACAUGACAUGCCACGUGCCAUGCUAAUGGUAGCAAGGUCGUAUAAUCAUAUUCUAUAUACAAUUGACCCUACUAGGAUUUUUUUUCCUCCUUGAAUUUUGUGUGCGCGUGUGUAUAUAUAUAUAUAUAUAUAAAUAUUAAAGGAGCUCCUUUAAUAUUUGUAUGAAAUCACAUAUUUAGUUACAUAUAUAAUUGUUCCCAAUAAUCACGUAGUUAAUCUUGUUGUUGGUAUUUCAACUUCUAUGAUGGUUGUAUAAUAGCAUGGAACAAAUAUUAAAGAAAUAGUGAAUACAUAAUUUCUUGUAGAUUAUGGGAUCCGAAGAUUUUACGUUAAUUACUAUAGACUAAAGUUUUUAUCCCUUACCGAAACCAUGAAAGAGACAAUUCAUGACUUAAUACAAUAAAAUAAAAAUGUCAUGAAACAAGCAAACAAGGAAGGUUCCAUGGUGUAGUGGUUAGCACUCUGGACUUUGAAUCCAGCGACCUGGGUUCGACUCCCGGUGGGACCUUUAUAGUGACGGUUUCUUAAAAAAUUAAGAUGUUAAAAGUUUUUUAAAAAAUAUUUCCGUUGCCGGGAAUCGAACCCGGAUCUCCUGGGUGAAAGCCAGGUAUCCUAACCGUUGGACUACAACGGAUUGAUGUUAAUCGUCCAAUCAGUUAUUUAUUUAAUGUAUCCCAACUUUAUGUUGUUACAGAGGUGAAUGAAUGUACUCGGGCUUUAUGCUGUUACAAAGGUGAAUGAAUAUACGACCUUGCUACCAUUUUCGUGGCAACUAAAUUGCUAAUUUCAUUGAUUAGGAAAGCACAAAACUUAUGGCAACUUUCACAUAUCCAAGCCCAGGUUCAUAUACAGCAACAAUCAAGCCAGUUCCAAAUCUUAAAACAAUCAAACCAUAGCUUCUUAACAACGAGGUGGCAUCAUUAUUCUGCUAGAGAAUUUUCUCAGGUAGCAUGUACCAUGUGAUUGACCCUAAUAUGAAUUAUAUGCUUUUUCUAAAUUGACAAGCUUCAAAGACUGUAAUGCAACAAGUUACAGCUGACUGUGAACCUGAGGGGAUCAGAAGGCAUUAACAAUUCCUUGUUACUGGUAUUUGCCAUACUCAAUUAGAUUAGAGCAUUUACAGUACAAAUUAUAGCUGCAAUAUCUAAGCCAAUGAAAAAAUCAACAAGACCAAGAAAAUUUGAACUUAAUUUCCUCUCUUUAUUUUCCUGUAUCAUUCACAGAUUCAUUCUAAGAAAAUAAAUGUCUGCAUCCGACGGACACAGCUACAUAUUGUCAACAGCAAAAGCCUUUAGCAAAUUUUUUACACUUUUUCCCUAAAGUUCUCAAAAGUAAUACUGGGAUAAUGUACAAGAGAAGGGAGGCCAACAACAACUAAAGUAAUUAAUCAAAAACCAAGUCAGUGCUUCCAUUUUAUCUGGUGAAGAAAAUAUAGUCCAUCUUCUUGUUGCAGCACCUGCUUCACACUUAACCGCUUCAGCAAUGACAUUAUGACUUUCUUCACCGUGCUAAACUCAUUAACUCUCACGAUGUUUCAGUAUCAGUGUCAGAGAAAUGUCUUCACUACUACUCCAAUCUGCAAAAAUAGUUAUUCAAACAGAUAGUCUUAAAAUCUUAUUCUGUUCGAAGUAAAGAAAUGGAUUGCAAGAAUUCUCAGGCACUUAGUAGAGAAUUAAGUUUUCUGAAUUUUCUUCGAUGGAAAUUUUCUUUUACUCUACAAAAUUCAGCACAAUGGAAGAAUUAAAGAGCAUGUAUUAUCGUACACUUACGUCUUUUGCUCAUCAUUAUCAGUCUUUUGCUUAUCAUUAUUUUUCUGUUCACUCUGCAUCCUUUGAUCCCUCAAAGUUUCUCCCCACAUUUUGGCCUCUGCAACAGCUCGUUCCCUAUCUACAGCCUUGUCUAAUAUCCUCAGUUUUUCAUUUGGAGAGCUACGGCCCUCAGUCCUUUUUUUAUGAACCUUAUGAACUUCAUUUGGGUCAUACGGAUGAGCCACCAAGUAUUCAAGAGCAAGAACCACAUCACUGAUGGAAGGACGGACACUAGGAUUUUCCUGGACGCACAUGCACGACACAUUUAAAGCCCUCCUAAACAUUGACUCUGGGAACUGACCAUUCAACAGUGGAUCUGCGAACUGUGGAAUAUUCUUUCUGUCUUUGAUCCUGGGACGUACCUAAAAAUGAAUCAAUUUGGCUACAAUCAGAAUAUUUAUUAAUUGAAAAAUAGACUUUGGCAAUUUCAGUAAACAGAGCAGUUUUCAUUCAAUUAUGCAUAGAAGCUAAAACCAUUCCCACAGUAAAACUGCAGAACUGACACUGCUAUUGAUCUUUUGUUAUAGAAGUUUGAUUGACAGAAUUAGGAACCUUCAACAUGAAGAUCUAGUGCAUACAAAAGAAGAGUGUUACCCAAUCAACAAGCAUUCUUUCGUGACCCUGACUAUCAUCCAUUGCUGGACGUCCCGUAAUUAGCUCCAGCAAGACUACACCAAAACUGAAGAUGUCAGAUUUUGCUGUCAACUUUCCAGUUGUGGCAUAUUCAGGGGCACAAUAACCAUGGGUGCCCAUAACUCUCGUCGAAACAUGCGAUUUGUCACCAGUUGGACCGAAUUUUGCGAGUCCAAAAUCAGAGAGUUUUGGAUGGAACCCUUUGCCCAGUAAUAUGUUUCCUGCUUUUAAGUCCCUAUAUAUAACAGGAGGAUCUGCUUUAUUAUGCAGAUAUUCCAAUCCCCUUGCUGCACCAGCUGCUAUCUUCAUCCUCGUAUUCCAAUCCAGAGGCUUCAUUUCAGGUGUAAGACCUGCACAAAGAUCAAUUAAAACUUUGUAGCUAAAGAUAUUAAAUGGAUGGGACAGGCUCAGUGUAGUCCAUGUAAUGGAAUUAUCAGGAUGGCACAUUCAAUGUUAAUGUAAUUUGUUAAUGUGAUAUAUAUUAUGUCAACUUAGUUGUCUUAGACAAUCAGAAGUUACAGUUUGACUUUAUCAAAAAUCAAAACCAGUCAUGUCAUUAUCAGUAUCAUCAACUCCUUUGUCUAAAUAUUUCACUUCUUCCAAUAGCAGAUAUGGUUUGAUUUUGAACAUCUAGGUAUCAUAGAUAAAAUAAGAACUAGGCACAUUGAAAAUAUUACCGAGGAGGUGAUCUUCCAAUGAUCCCAGGGGCAUGUAUUCGUAGACAAGAAGACGCUGGGUUCCCUCAGCACAGUAACCAAUUAAAUGGACAAGAUUCGGGUGACGCAUUAGAGAAAGCAUAAGAACCUCCACAAGAAAUUCUUUCUCACCUUGGAAGCCCGUAUCGUCAAGUUGUUUAACAGCUACAACCUGCAAGAACCAAAACACUUGUGAUCAGCAAACAUAGAUUAGAGGUCUAAACAUCCUAUUGCUAAAAUAAUGAGGAAAAGAAAUUUGUAAUUACUUGAAAACUUACCUGACCAGUUUCUGCUAGUUUCCCUUUGUAAACGGCUCCAAAUCCACCCUGACCAAGAAAGUUUGUGUCCUUGAAAUUAUCCGUCGCAGCUACAAGCUGUCUAUAGGUGAAUGUAUUUUCCUUAUUUUUAUUUUCAUGAGCACUGAGGGUGUCAUCGAGGGUGUUUCUUCGAGCUGGUGUUUCCUGUCUCUCAACUGUAUCGAUUCUCGAAGGACCUGAUUCAUUAAACAAAACACAGCCUUAAUUAAAUUUUCAGGCAUGAACCAUGAGAUUCCAAUUUGUAACAGCAGAUAAAGUUCAGAGGUUUCCAGACUCAAAUUCAGUACAGUGCAUCAGAUUAUUAAAAUAAUAAUAAUAAUAAAGAAAGAAAGAAAGAAAAAUCAUGACUUUAUGAACUAUUGCUAAGGUCAGCUAUCAAAGAUGGCGAGGCUUUUCAAGGAUUAAUCAACUGGACAAUUCUUUUAUAACCCUGUUAACUAAUCUUUAUGUUAAUCGUUGAAGGAAAUUGAAUCUCGGAAUACAUAAUUAUAUCAACUGGACAGUUCUCUUAUAAACCUGUUGACCAAUCUUUACGUUAAUGGUUGAAGGGGAUUGAAUCUCAAAAUACAUAAUUUUCUCUUUUGCACUUGGAUUUGUUACGUAAUGAGCAUCAUUUGUUCAAGGGCAAAUUUUGAUUUUUCUAUUCGCAGUAUGAUGUCAUCUUUAAUUGGUUUAAUAUUGACCAAUCAAAACUCCUCAAACCCAGAAAAGAAAUUAUAAUUAGAAGAAACAGUUGAGGCCAUUUCAUAUCACAAUGUGCUCAAGAAACAGAAACAUGAACAAAAGAAUAAAAUAAAACGAGAGUAAGAAAAGAAAUUAACGAAGACUGACCUGGAGAAUCUUUAUCUUCAUUGAUCUUGGGUUUGGUUUUCUUCUUCCUCCAGCCAAAACAGGGGCAAUUUGGACUCAUUUUCUUCCUCUAACAAAGAAAUCAAAUACCUUUUCUCCGAAAAGCAAAAGCCAAUAUUGCUUUCUUGCUAAGAUGCACUGAAAUCCAUGAUGCUGAAACUUUUAGUUCUACGGUUAUUAAGCUCAAAGGUCAUUAAAGAAACAAAAAAGAAAAGAAAAUUGAUUCUGGUUUUGUACGGACGUAGAUUUAUGGGAGGUUUUUAAAACGGUUGCAAGAGGUGUAAUUUAUUUUUCCUCUUCGUCUUCGUUGUUCUUUGUUGACGAAUGUGAAAGGCACACGUUGCCAAUCAAACGAAAAUAAUUGUCAUUCCAGUACGGAACCCGUUACACGUUUUCCCACAGAUUCUUCUAAUGUCUCUCGUUCUCACUUCUCAUUUAUUAACGUCAUACUAUUGCGUCAUUCGUUCAUAUACAACAUCGUUUUAAAGUAAGAUUAUAUAAUUAUAUCUCUCUUAAAAAAAGGGGUAAUUUUUAAAAACCUCCCCUGAAGUUUGGGCUUGUUGCAAGUAGAUGGCGAGAAUUGAUUUAUUUGUAAAAAACCCCCUACCGUCAGUUAAGUUUAACAUUGACCGUUAGUUGACCGUGCAAAGACAAUAUUACCCUUAACAAUAGUUUAUAAACGAAAAUAACUAAAAAAAAAUCAAAAUUAUUAGCUAUUUUACACUUUUUAAAUUAUUGAUAUUUUCUUAAAGUUCUUAUAAAAAAUUAAAAUUAAAAAAUUAAAAAAUCCUCUUUAAAUUAUUGAUAUUUCCUUAAAAUUCCUACAAGAAAGAUAAAAUUUAAAAUUAAAAAAUGAAAUAGUCAUAAUCUUUACCUAUGAUAUUAUAAAUUUUUAGAAUUGACAAGGAUAAAAUUGUCAAAAAAUAGGGUUUGUGCUUUUUGCACCAAUAAUUUUGGUUUUUUUUUUUAGUUAUUUUCGUUUAUAAACUAUUGUUAAGGGUAAUAUUGUCUUUGCACGGUCAACUAACGGUCAAUAUUAAACUUAACUGACGGUAGGGGGUUUUUUACAAAUAAAUCAAUUCUCGCCAUCUACUUACAACAAGCCCAAACCUCUGGGGAAGUUUUUAAAAAUUACCCUAAAAAAAGAUGUAAAAUUAUAUAACCCAUUAUAAUAGUAGUGUUUUAUUGACUAUGUAAUCUGCUUAUCAGAUAUUUUCUUUGCUUACUACUAUUGGGGUUUGGUGAUUUUUUUUUGGAGGAUUUUAUUUAUAUUACUUAUUAUGAAUUUAUGAAUUAUGAUUGAUGGGUAGUGACAUGUGCUUGAUGACCUGUCGACAUUCUAUUUGUUGAGAGCUUAAUCUGUUUUUAUUUGUGGAUUUGAUAAUUAAUAUCUGAUGCUUAUCCAAUACAUCUCAUAUGAAACCAUUUACUUGCCUAAAGUGUGCCCUUACUUUAAAUAGAGAUGAUUUCAUUGAAUCACGAUGAGAAUUCAGGCAACAAAUAGUUGUUACCGCUUACCAUAUCCAGGUCAAUAUAAAUGGAUCUUUUUUUCUUUUUCUUUUUUCCUAACCCACCAAAUUGACGCAACGAAUAUUGGAUUAAUAGGGUAUCAAACCCAAAAGCACACUUUGUUUUGUAUGCUUCUCAACAGUUCUCAUAAUUAUGGCCAUAAUUCUCAGACAAAAAUUCACUAAGAAAAGUGAACGACAGUUUAUAUGAUCAAGGACGUCUUGACACUAUUUUUCUUAGAACUACAGAAAGACUGAAGCCGGUUCUCAUCUACUGUGCCAAAACCUGAUAGAUGGACGCCGAAUGCUGCCAGCCUAUUGAUAUCUCGGGGAAUUGGGGAUUCCCAAAGACCAUCCCACCAAGCUGGAGGCAGAAGCGGUGUGAAUGCACAUUGAUGAGACUGGUGAUGGCAACUCAAUGGCCCUGCAAAUCGGUUCCAGACGUGCCCCCAGCCAACCUGAAGCCUUAAUCCGCCUGUUAACAAAUUACUUUGAAAGCUGCUUAAGAAUGAGAAACUUAAGUCCGUAGAAUUAUCUCCUGAAAGAAAACAAGUGUUUAGAUACCUUCAGUAUCACUUCAGAAAUGGAAUUGUUCGCAAUUAUAGAUCAAAUAAUAAGAGAGGGGAAAUCAAGGAAUGAAGAGCAUAUAAGUACCAAGACUGUUGGCUGCAGCAAGUGCAGCAAUCAGCUGAGCAUAAGUAGUCCCAACACGCCUGAAAGCCCCAGAAACAACAGCAUGUUUUGCACGUGAUGCAAGAAAGAAGUCUACAAAUGCAACCCAUCUGGGUGCAGGGCCCCAAUCCUUUGCCCUGAAUUCUAAACUAGGCAAUCUGUUAACAUCAUGAGAGAUGUUUCCUCUGAAAGCUUUAUAAUCAAAGUAAAGAACCUGGAAUCAUAAAUGAUAAAACAGAAUUAGAAUCAAGUGGAGAAAAUGUUUGGAGCUGUGAAGGUGAUAACUUUUCCAUUUACAAACAACAUGAUACGGUAUCUCAGUUUAUUACCUCAGCAAAUUCACUUAUAUUUGGUGUAAUGGUUUUUGCAAAAGAGGGGGUAUCAGACACUAUAACUGUCUUAGGUCUAGAUGUCAGGUUCAAGCUGUUCACCACUUUUCUAAUGCACUUCACUGCUGCCUGUACAGCUCGGACAGACCUGAAACAUCAUAAACAAGAACUUGAAUCAUUAAUCAGAUAAAGUUUCAUCAUUACAGGACAAGUCAUAGCCAUCUUAGUAUGACCUAUCUCAAUGUAUGAAUUAUUCCGUAUAAAACAUAAGAGAUAACUUUCUUCAGAAGAUCCAUAAAAGAAAUUUGAAAAUCCAGCUUUUCCCCGAUAACAUAGUGGAAGCAGUGUGUGUAUAUACAUAUAUAUAUAUAUAUAUAUAAAGAGAUCUAAUCAGUUAAAUCCCACAGGAGAACAGAUAUAACAAGUUAGGAUUUUCAAGUGCACUCUUAAAUUAGCCCUACAUGGGCAUAACAAGCAAACUUUCGCCACAAUUCUUCUAGAAAAGGCACAUCUAUUAGGUAUUUAAUUCUUUUAACUUUUACCCUGGAUGAUAUACAUCACUGUAGUGCAAGUGAUAGAUUAUGAGAAGAAACAAAAUAAUAUUAAAUUCCUUAAAUAACAAACCUCAAUCAUAGACUUAUUAAGCAUGAUUGUUUCCUUUGUAACAAGAAAUCAGAAUAAGCAAUACCUAUUUGUGAGCAUCCGCAUAUGCAAUGAAAUAUCAGGAUCCACCCCAUUACCAAGAACCCAUUUGACAGCUUCUUCAACAUCUUCUGAAGGAGAAAUGAGCACUCUCAUGAGCUCACCAAAUACGUUAGGCCGAGCAUGGAGAGACUCAGGAUGUCCAAAUAAAUCAUUAGCUGCAUUUCUCAUUUCAGGGUGUACAUUCUUCAAGAAAAAUUGAGCUGCCACAGCAUCUGUUGUACCUUGAAACCUGCAUCCCACAAUUAAACGUUAAUCAAUGAUACCAGAGACGAACACACUGGCAUCAAAAUUGUUCCCACAUUACCAUAUGAUAGGUUGCUCCCAUUUCCUCCAGUUGCUACAGAGGACAUUUGUUUGGGGUGGCUUCUCAAAAUCAUCAAUCCUCAUAACAAGAUGCCUUCCAUACUUCUUUAAACAACCAUUGCGUCUCCAAAGAUGCUUGACUUCUUCCAAGGUAAAGGAAACAUUGGAAUAUGAAAUAUACUCCCCAAAAGGAUAUUUUCCCCUGAAGUAGAUAAAAGAAAAGAAAUAAUCAGGAGAUAAGAAAAAGCAUUAUAAUAUGUCUAAAGUUCCCUACUCUGCAACCACACAUCAGGACGAGAAAUUGAUGUACUAUAUUUAAUAUCGUAAAAAUCCUGGACAGAAUUUUUUAGCCUACAGCCAAAACAUUCAAUCAUAGUAAAGUGAUAUAAAGAGGCAGUUGAGAAGUAUUCUGGUGCCUCUCAUUUCACCACCAACAUGCAAUACUAUAGAAUUACUAACAUGCAGAUAAGCUGCAACUGUAACUUUUGCUAUUGGUAGAAGUAAAUAUUGAAAUUGCAGUGAUUUAAUAGAUAAUAGAAAGGCUUGAGAAAGGACCAAUAUGCCUGGUUUGCCCAAUGAUCAGGGACCGAUUCAACAUUACACUCAGCGCUGCACCAGUUAAGAUCUUGUACAUUUCAUUCCCAAAACCUGCCUCCGAAGCCUUCCCCAACACAAACCCAUGUUUGCAGAACUGCUCUGGAGGAAGAUUGCGAACUCUCGAAGCCCCUGUAACAGGAUUCCAACAGGUCAGCUUCCAGUUUCGGGGCACCAAAAUAAUAGCAUGUAUGUCUACAGAAAUUAAAAUGUUUUCAUCAUAAUAGUUCAUCAGUAACAAAGCAAGUUCAUAUUCCCAUCAAGAAAUGAACCCGUCAGAAAUUAUGAAAGAGCUCAAUAAUACGUUUAAAUUGACUUCUGAGCAAGUAAAACUCAACUAAAUUUCUAUGGUGCACACAUUUUAAAUUGAUAGUAGCUAGAAGCGUAGCAAUAGUACCAUUUAAAUCAAAGUGACGCUGGAUCAGUUUCCUAACUUUAAGGCUUUCUUCCCGAACACUGCCCUUGAAAUCCUCGCCCAUUUCUUCCACCGUAGCGCACCGUUUCGGAUUCGAUACCGUGCUAGUCUUUGUCUCUGACUCCGACUCCGACUCCGUCUCCGUCUCCGUCUCUGUCUCUUCGAGUAAUUGAGAAGAAUCGACGUCGUUUUCAACUGGAAGGAAAACAUCAGCGCUUGUAUUAGGAGGAGUAUCAAGGGGUCUGAGGAUGAGCAUGGUCAUCGUCAUCAGCAAGCCUACGCCAGCACUACAUAUUACGAAAACGACGACCAUUGUUUGUACAGACAGUCGUCUCCGUCUCGAUCCACCGUGUUUCAUCUUUUUUUAUUGUCAGCUGCCGCCUGUCCUCCGUUUUCAACCGACAAAUACUGCUCGCUUAUCAAGUGCGUGAACAGAGCAGCAGCAGCAGUAGCCACUUUACACUCGCUUUUACUAAACUUGGCCUUGUCGGUGGAUAUUUUUAUUAGGUCCAGCUACGUUGGAUUACCUCCACCUCCAAAGUAUAUAAUACAUCUGACCGUCAGUUACUAUUAUCAAAUAGAUCUGACCAUCAGGAUUACAUGUCCUGAAAGCACAUGAAACGUACAGGAUUAGAGAUUACCCGUUGAGAGGGUAAUUAUGAUCGAAUACGGUGAAAAUAGAUUAAACUUCAGUAUCGGUACAAGGGUUGAGAUCUAUGAAUAUCAUUUUUCCAUAAUCGAUCCAUUUUCGACUUCGAGUGGGUUGUGAGUAAUUAAUUAGUGGACGCGUGUUGUAAAGCAGAGAUAACAAUCAAGCACGAAUCCGGAUUCAUAUAAAGAUCAACAAUAAGCAGCGUGCAUAAUUCAUCGCAUGGGUUCCUGGAUCCGCAAACACAAGUCAUGUGGUAAAGAGAAUGGAAAAGAAAUCGGACAAUUAGGGUUAGACUCAUAAUUGGAAAGGAAAAACAUAUACGGCUUUGUUUCUUACUUGUAAGUUUGAACGCGUGUGGAAGUCAGUUUAAUGAAAUAAAUAUUACAUUAAUAUAGCUUCUGUUGAUAAUGGAUUUGCAAUAGGAAAAUGUAUUCCGGAAAUGAUGCUAAUUUUUGUGUGCAAUGUAUUUGUCAAUUUAAUGUUAUAAAGGACCUGUAAGUAUGUGACCUGUGACACGGUAGAAGAAGUCAGGAAAAUAAAGAACAAUUAGUUAUAAAAUCCUUUGAUUUUAGUUGGCAUGUUGUUUGUGUGAUAAUAUGAGAAAACUGUAAACAGAAGUAUAAUUGUGUGUGAUUUGUUAAAAAAAAUUUCAUUAUUUAUCAGUGGAGAGGCUGUUCGAGACAUUAAAGCAAGGUAUCUAAGGACGAGCAUUACUAAGGAGGUGCAUUGUUGAGCGAAAAAAUGAUUUGUCAUAGAGGACAUUUGUCAUUUCAUAUAGUUUAUAACUUUAAGGCAUAAGUAUUUUUAUAGUGCAUGUUUGGUUUUUUUGACACAACUUAUAUUAACUGUAAACAAAUAUAAGUAUUUUGCAGAUGCGGAAGGAAAUAAGGAUUGCAUUCAAGAACCUUCCUCUGGAACAAAAGCAGAAGUAUUGUAAUUGGGGCAAGAAAUGUGGAAAAAAUGUUGGAGAGAAGGGCAAUUUCAUAUUUAGGUAUGCUCCUGAUCAUUUUGCUGCAAUGGUGGCACAAAUGAGCGACGAACAAAUAGUGGCUGUAAGGGAAUCGAGUUUUAGUAAAGCUAAUAGAUAUGAACUGUGGAAGGUUACAAAAUAAACUUUGUGGGUGGUUGAUAAGGUAGAUGUUUUGAAGUCUGCCUUAUAUGUCAAUGGAAUGCAGUUGGAGAUUAAUGCAUAGAGUUUUUCAUAUAAAAUAGGUAUUAAGGAUAGAGGACUUUUUGUGGAUCUAACUACACUACAAGAAAACAGGUAAUAGAUGACGGGAAAUAACUGUCAUAAAAAGGGGUGCAUGACAGACAGUUCAUCCAUCAUUUAUAUCACUGUCAUUAAUUUAUGACAGAAUAUUUUCUAUCAUAAAUUCCUGAUAGUAUUUUACCGUCAUAUAUCUGUCACAUAAUAUUUUUAUGUGAAAAAAUAAUUAAAUUUGAAUUUGAAUUUAUUAUUAACGGGAAAUUAAAUUUAUUAUUGGCUGGAAUUUUACUGCCAUUUUUUUUAAUUUUUGGCGGGAAAUUAAAUUGUCAUUUGUAAAUUUAUUAUUAAAUUUUGGUAGAAAUUUUUUUAUGACAAAUGUUAUGGGUAUUUCCCGUCAUAAAGUUAAUUUUUUUUAAAAAAAAAUUAUAUGAUGAUUAUAAUUUAUUUGUGAAUUCUUGAUUACAAAUUUAAUUAAUUAAUAAAAAUGAAUAUCGUCAAAAAAACUAAAAGCAAUUAAUAUUAAUUAACCUCCAUUCAAUCCAACAAGUUAAUUUUGAAAACAAAUAUGUCUAGUAUUCAAUGUCAUCACAGCCAAUACAUAAUAAAACAUCCCAAAUAAAAAAGAAAAAAAUUCCAAAAUAUAAAACAAUACUUAAAUCCCAAUUAAACUCCAAGAAAAGCAAUUCAAAUUCUAGUUGUUGUGCAAAUUUUAUUGAAUUCGCAAGUGCACAAAUCUAUUGUAGAAUAGAUUAAUGGUGACGAGUGUCGAUCCCACGAGUAGAUGUAUUUUAAUUAUAUGUAGAAUUAAUUUUGUAUGAGGGUGGUUGGAUUUGUGGUGAAAAUGAUUUAUAUUAUCCUAAAAUUGGAAUUGAAAUGGCGAGAAUAAAUUUAAGAAAAAUCUAUUAAAAUGACGUACUUGGGUAUCUGGAUCCGCAUCAACAUGCACCAUGGGCUAAAUAUUCCUUAUUAAUGUCAAUUAAAUCAUGAGGGGGGUUUCCAUACCUUAUGAACCACACUCUAAUCAAUAUGGUGCUAAAGGCUUAUUGUGCCAAAUAAUAAUAACCUUGUACUAAAGAGCCGGUGAAACCAGGGCGGUAUCUAGACAAGAUUAUUAUUAUUUGUCGACGAAAAGUCAAAACAUCCACAAAAAUUAGAGGGGAAGAGAAAAUAAAUUUACCAAAUAAAGUCCAUGGCACAUGUUGAGACUUUAUCUUCAACCCAAACUUGAAAGAAAAUUAGCUACUCAUAAUUGAACUAGGGGUAAAAUAAAAAUUUAUUAAAAUAUGUAGAAAAUACAAGAUGGAGAAGGAAUUAUAGAAAAUGAAGGUAAAAAAUGAAUUCAGGGAUGUCAAAUUAGGAGGGAGAGACCCCGUUUUUAUAGAUACAUUGAGUAAAUCAUGACCAUCGGAUUAAAAACUGUUUGGACGCUUAGGAUUGCGCCACGUCAUCAGUCAACAGUAUGCAGUUUGACCAUGCGGUUUGAGCAGUCAACUGGCUUGAACAGUGACGCGGUUUGGAUGAAAAUAAUCUUGUGUAUAUGCAUAUACCGUAUGCACGAUUUUUGGUCCACUAACAUGCUGCCACGUCACCGAUCAACAAUGUAUAAGAAUUUUGUCCAAUAGAAUCAUGACACCUCAUCAGUCAAUGGCACAUCAUCGGCCAAUGCCACGUCAUCAUUCCGUAUGUGUGAACAGUGUCGCGAAUAGUAACAUGGAUGGUACCGUACAUAUGAACAACGCCAUUUUUUCUUUUAUGCUCCUCCGAAGGUUUUCGAUUGUCCUGAGUUCAAAAGUGAUGUCCGUUUUGCCAUCUGAGCUCUCGUUCAUUGUGAAAUGACCAUGAUGCCCCUAAAAUGCAUAAAAUACUUAAUUAAAAUAAAAUACGCAUAAUUAAAUCACAAGAAACUUAAAUACAUAAAAGUAGGAAUGUUAGUAAAACUUGAAGUAUAAAAUAAUGAUUUUCUCCUUUAUAAAUAUACAUUUUCUAACACUCAACACCCCCCCAACCAGCUUAUUGCUAGUCCCUAGUAAAUAAAGUGAAAAAAAAAUUCAAACCCAAAUUUUUUUUUAACACUCUUGUUUAUUCAAUCUGAUUAAUGAUAACAAACAAAUAAAAGUAUAAGCAUUAUCUCCAGUCUAAAGAAACAUCAUACCCACAUCAACCAUCCACAUGAAUCAGCCUAGUAGACUUUGUCACAGUUACUUUCAAGAAUGACAUGUCAAACCCCAAAAUCUCACUGGAAGUAGUGACACUCUCACAAGAAAAUUAAACCCAAUAAAAAUAGUCACUCCAAUGUAUGCUAAAUUUGAGAGAAAAUAAUACAGAAGUAAUAUCACACGCUUUCACCAAGAUGAAAGAAAUUUGCCCAUAGCUUAAAAAUAACACGAUCUAAAGUCAAAAUGCUAGUCAACCCAAUGUAUUCAUUUUUUUACUUUUUAUUUUUAUUAUUAAUUUUUAUGCAUCACUAUAUCUUUUUAGCCCAUAUAUCUAGCUUCUACUUCAGACUAUAGCUCCCUAAAAUCAGGAAGAACUUUUAUUAGGAUGUAACGUAGGCUAAGAACAUAGCUAACAAAUGAAGGAAAAUAGGAAAAAAUAUAUAUAUUUGAGAAAAAGUAGAAAUCUUUUGAAAAUUACAAGGUGGAUUUCACCUAUUAUUAUUUUUUUUAAACAACAAUUUUUUUUGUUUUUUUUGUUUGGCACAACUUCACUGAACAAAAUAAUUAUUUAUAUUUUUCUCAAACAUAAAUAGGUGAUGAAACUUGUAAGAUAUCGGGUAAUACUCCAAAUUGGAGUGGGUUAAGAUGAUAAGUUUGACAAAGAAAUUUUUUUAAAAAAAGGCUCAAAAGGGUUAACUAUGGAUUUUUCACAAAAGGAUAGCUUGAAAGGCUCAAACGAGUCAAAGAUGGUAUUUCCAUCAUCUUUUAGGGCUCUAAAUAAUUUUACAUUUCUACUAGUUAGAUGGACCUCAAGAUGUAGCAACAAACAUUUUUUUUCUUUUUUUAUCUUAAUUUUUUUUUCUUUUUAGAGGGUUGACUUAAAAGAAAUCUAGAGAUCGUAUAUAAAAUAAUAAACUGCUAAGCUGUAUGAAGAAUGGGCAAAAUAGGAUACUCUCCAAGAAAAAUGAUAGGCUAAAAAAAAAAAAACUCACUUGGUGCUUAUUAUGACAUGUGCAUUCUUUUAAUCAACUCAUAUUUGUCUCCGACAUCAACAUGUAGAAUAACAAAUAUAGUGUAACAUCACUUAAGACCAAAGAUAAUAUACAUACUAAAAUUUGAAAGUCAUCCUGUCAUCCUGUCAUCCAAUAUAAAAAAAAAUACACAAUGUUUUUUUUAACGACAGUCUAACCCCCAACAUAUUCUAAACAUGAAAAGAAAAUAUGCAUGCAGAAAGGUGAAAAUGAUGUAGAAAAACUAAUUAGUAAAGUUACACUUAAAAUGAUAGAAAAAGAAAAUAUUUUUUUUAAACUAAGAAGAUGCGUUUCUAGAGGCACCACACUCUAUAUUCAGCCAUCUUCGACUCAAAAAUUUUAAAAUGCAUAUUUAUAAAGGAGAAAUUAAAAAGAAAAGUUUUUUUUUCAAACCAAGAAGAUGCGUUUCUAGAGUCACUACACUCCAUAUUCAGCAAUCUUCAACACAAAAAGUUAGCCACGGUUAGUUUCCACAACAAAAAAUUAGUAAAAACGUAACCAAGAUUUCACAAUUAUCAACUAUUCCCUCCCCUCAACCAGAACGAAACAUUGCUCUCAAUUUUUUAAAGGAAAAAAGUAGAGUUUAGAAGACAUCACCUGAGUGGUGCAACACAGAAGAAAAUAUUUACAAGUGGAGAGUUAAAUCUAAUUUUUGCUUCUUACUGUGGCUACUGUUACCAUUAUUAUUUGGACGCUCCAACACAAAGGUCCAUGGGUCUGGUUCCAAUUUAUAAGUUUGUAACAGAUCAAGUAGUUCAUUAGCAGUGUGAGCACAAAUAAAAAGUUUUUUCGCUGUGAAAUGAAUGAAAUAAUUUUUUUAUUACAUGGUUAAGAAAUGCGAUGAAGCCAUCAUAAAAGUUAUUGACAUUUAACAAACCGAUGGGUUUCUGGUGAAUGUGCAGAUGGGCCCAAGAUGUUAAUGUGAUAAGCGCCUCUAGAAUUGAAAGAUCUCCUAGCAUCAACAUGAUUAAGCAUUUCAGUUAUUCUUUCUUGCAUACCUGAGACGACUAACUCUUCUCCAGUCGGUGAGUCAGACAAACUGCCCAAAGUUUUUAGGGCCCUUGGAAUGAUGCCUAACACUUGGCUUCCUCUGACAAAAACAGCUUCUGAGACCAAUUUUGAUAACCCUUGGUUACCUCCUCCAUACACCAAGUGUAAUUUUCUCUCUGCUAUACUUCGACCAAGAUCUAUGGCUGCAUCAAUGAACUCUUUAUGUUUGCCAUAGUUAAAUCUAGAAAGCACACAAAUGUUCUUGAAUUGUUUGUUGGGAGUAGCUGCCAUUGGGAUACUUCUCAAAAAUAAUUUGUGAGUGCUUAACAAAAAGUCAUAUUUAAGAAUCUUGGUGACAGUGGGUCACAGCUGUGUAUGAGGUAGCAUGUCAAUGUCAAUUAACGCGUAAAGCACAUGACUCAAAAGUCAAAAAGCAAACAGUAAAAAGGAAAAAAAUGAGGAAAAAAAUUAUUAAAGACAAUAACGCAAAUGAUAAAACAACAGUGAAAUAAAAUAACAGUGAAGUAAAAUGAUAUUUACAGGUAGUUGCGACUGUGGCUCACAUCUUCCUCUAGUUUUGCGUCCAGAAACGGCUUGAACGCCCUCUAUGGGUCGAUGAUAGGCUUCCCAUCUAGUUUUCUUAUAAACUGGCAAACAUGGUCGUUUAUAGUCAGAUUCCCGAGACUAUCGUGCAUGCUCUUUCUUGAAUAAUGGCCAUAAUUGGAGAAUCGCUCCUUGUACAUAUCCAUUGGGAUGCGUUUCAAGAGACAAAAGGAUAUCAUCCAAUGACUCCUUAAUCAAGCCAUCCUUAAUGAAUUGAAUCUUAUCUUCCCUGUUAUCAGACACCAUUCUUAAAGAAUAUGAUUUUUUAUCGCAACUCAUUCUGACACACUUAUGACAAGCAACAGAAAUUCUUUGAGCUCUUCGUUUUCUUGCAUAAUUUCCUUUACCACAACCAGGCAUGCAUGCAAUAAAUUUUGGAGGUAACUCACCUGCCAAUUGCACUUUGGCCUCAAUUAACCAGCGGAUGUCAGCAGGUAUGUUAUUCCUUAUGAGCAAUUGCAUGCUUUCGGACCAAACUUUAUAAAUUGUAAGGAGGGCAUUCUGAGGAAGUGAAGGGAAUUGAUAAUGAAGCUUUGCUAGAAUCUCAUUUAUGUCCAUACCUUCGCCUCAGAAGAUUAGUUUUUAUGGGAAACUGAAGUAACCGACUUGAUUGUCACGGAGUACCGUUAUCCGCCACUUUGCCGGGGUAACAAACUAAAACACACAAACAAAGAAAAACAAACUAAAACAUAUAAAGAAAAUUACAAUCAUCCUCUUAUUGAAUUGGCCUCAAGCUCCAACUGGAUGUUGUAGACACAUCUCUCAAUGUCUUUGAGUUGGCUUUCUAAAUCCUCAACAUGGGAUACUAACUCUGGUGGUUGUAGAGCCCAAAUAUGAUGUGUUUUACAAAAUUGAAUCUGCCUUUUGAAAUGAGAUUUUACAUGUUGAAGUGGUCUAAGAAUGUCCAGGAGGAAUUGUUUAGCUAUGGCACUCAUGAUUAACAAUGAUAAGAGAAAACGUAAUGGUUAAACAAACACACUUAUGCAAAAAUAAUUUCAAUUAGUAAAAAAUAGUAAAAAGAAAUAACAAAAAAUCAAAUCACCGAAAAGAAAAAAAAUCUUAAUUCAAAUCUGGUGGGUCACUUAAAUUUAUUUCGAUGUCCUCUCCAUGUGGUUGGUACUCUAGAUAUGACUUUAAUCUUUGACCAUUAACUUUAAACGUGACACCAUUCUUUGGGUCCUUAAUUUCAAUUACCCCACGUGAAAAAACAGUGUGGACAAUAAAGGGGCCAAACCAUCGAGAGCGUAACUUACCUAGGAAUAGGUGCAAGCGAGAAUUGAAUAAAAGCGCUUUCUGGCCUGGAGUGAAAGAUUUUCUCAUAAUUUGCUUGUCAUGAAAGACUUUCAUUCGCUGCUUGUAAAUUUUGGCAUUUUCGUAUGCAUCAUUGCAAAUUUCUUCAAGUUCUGCCAGUUGUAAUACUAAUGUUAUUGGUGUCAAUGUGCAAGUGUACACAAUAAGUAAUAAAGUGAUGAGUAUUCAAGAUCGUCUCCACAAGGGUUGAUGUUAUUAGACUUGCUACAACAAUCUUAACAGUGCAGAUUUUAUGUCUAAAUUAAGAUAAACAAUUGAUGAAACUAAUUUACUAAUUAAAAUAAAAACACAAUAAAUAAAAUGCAACAAAGUAGAUUAUCACGUCAAACUCAAGGAUAAAAACAAUGAAAAUAUAGAGUAGUUGAGUGAAUAAACUCUCUUAAUGGUCUUGACUAUUUUCUAAUGGUUGGCUCGGUUGCUGCAGUAUUUGCUACAGCACUGGGCAGAAUCCUUAUGUAUCCUCAGCCGUCGCAUGUUGGAUAUUUUAUAUCUAUAUGCAACCUAACAGUGAUCAGUUGUUAUGCCAACAUAAGAUAUAACAUUACACGCUUAGGUUUUAUUUACCCUACAAGCAUGACCCUUUUGGGACUCAAGUAAAACUCAAUUCGGGAAACUUAAUUUAAGAUCAAAUAUUGUUCUGAUAUGUUCCGCUAAGAUAAGCCCUUUUGCGGCUCUUCAUUAGCUAGUAUCAUUAAAUAAGUGAUCAACCGAAAUAACGAAUAAAAUAAAUACUAUCAAAACAAACUGCUACAGCAAACAUGCAGCAACACAUAUUUCUAGUCAAUAAACCAUCAAGAUUGUUUAUCACUUAACUACAAAUAAAUUUAGUUCAUGGUUUGUAAAAGAAAAAUAAAGAACAAAGUUUCAGCUAUGAAACACACCUCCAUAAAUAAAUAGAAAACGAGAAAACAAGAGAAGAAUAAGAAUGAUUGAGCUCCCAAUUGAUUUCUAUAAAUUCUCCUCUUGUGCAGCCCUUAAUCUCUCUCUUGAAUCUUGUUUUUCUUUUGUUUCUUUGUGUUUUUCUCCUUGGGUGACGGCUCUCCUUAAUCCUUAUGAUGUGUGCUUCUUUUAUAGUUGAAAAUUAGGGUAAACGGAAGCCUAGGGCGCGCAUAAGUCAAAUUAGGAAACUGCAGAUUGCAAUUCUGCAAGUAUCCCGCAUGGAAUUUUCUCUGUCAUUGUUCCAGGAUUGCUAUAGCAAUGGUUGCUACAUUAACGACUACAUCAACUGCACUGUUCCAAAUUUGUUUCAAUUUUUUUGUAGCUAAAUUCUUCCUCAUUUUUGCAAGCGUAUUGCAUCAACAUUCCUUCCAUGAAUUAUAAGCUUCCGGAAACCUACAAUUAUGCACACAAUUUAAGCACGCAUUACUUUAAAUUAAGCAAAACUCAUUAAGACUAAACUAAAAUAAAUAUUUAUGUAAAAUGUAACAAAAAUGCAAUAGAAACACAUUAUUUACUCUCUAAGUAAUAUUGAUUUAAGUCUAAAAGUGCCAUGAUAACUCUCAUUUCAUAGAGUUAUCACACCCCCAAACUUAAGCCAUUACUUGUCCUCAAGUAAUGACAAUAACACUAACACUUCAAUCACACAAUCAUGCAACAAAUAACUUAGCUCUGUCAUCAAAUUUGUAAGGAUUCUUCAACCCUCAGAUCACACUCUUAAUCAAGCAAAAUAGCCAUAGAAAUUUAGUUCUAGACUUAGGCUUCAUUCUGUCCAGAGUGUGUGUGUGCCACUUUGAUCAAAUUCCAGAGGUGCUACAACGUUACACAGACAUAUAAUUCAGAGAUAGAACACAAAUAUAUUCACAUAUGGAGGAAUAGAGUUCACAAAUAAACUCAAACUGUGCUACAAUAAUAAUAUUUUUUUUUUUCAGUUAAACUCUUCAAUGCAACAUUGAGCUUUCAUAUGAGUGCCCAUCACUUGUAAUGACGACACCUAAUUACUCAUUCAAAGUACAUGUCAGAGUUGCUACAGCAACGUAUUCAAGAUGUUAUAUCUAGGUCAUACCUUUGGACGCCUUUGACUCAAGACUGAACACGGGGCUCAUGAACAGACCAGGUUACUCAGUAUCCUAGGUAGUAGACCUCUUUAUCAUCAUUUUUUUUGCUUUUCUUCUUCUUUUUUUUUAAUUACUGCAACACUGCUCGUAGCUCGUGUUGCCUUUGGACUAAAGUUUGCAUAUGGGGUGCAUACUCAAUCCUGGUUACUCAACAACUUGAACCAUUGGAGCAGAAUUUAUUUCGUAACAGGGACAGUCUAACAAAAAUUUUCCUCUAAACUUGGGAUAUUUUCUACUAUUUUGGGAAACUCAAUUUAAGAUCAAGUAUUGUUUUGAUAUGUUCCACUAAGAUAGGCCCUUUUGCGGCUCUUCAUUAGCUAGUAUCAUUAAAUGGGUGAUCAACCGAAAUAACAAAUAAAAUAAAUACUAUCAAAACAAAUUGCUACAGCAAACAUGCAGCAACACAUAUUUCUAGUCAAUUAAACCAUCAAGAUUAUUUAUCACUCAACUACAAAUAAAUUUAGUUCAUGGUUUGUAAAAGAAAAAUAAAGAACAAAGUAUCAGCCAUGAAACACAUCCCCAUAAAUAAAUAGAAAACGAGAAAGCAUGAGAAGAAUAAGAAUGAUUGAGCUCCCAAUUGAUUUCUACAAAUUCUCCUCUUGUGCAGCCCUUAAUCUCUCUUUUGAAUCUUGUUUUUCUUUUGUUUCUUUGUGUUUUUCUCCUUGGGUGACAGCUCUCCUUAAUCCUUAUGAUGUGUGCUUAUUUUGUAGUUGAAAAUUAGGGUAAACGGAAGCCUAGGGCGCGCAUAAGUCAGAUUAGGAAACUGCAGAUCGCAAUUUUGCAAGUAUCCCGCACGGAAUUUUCUCUGUCGUUGUUCCAGGAUUGCUACAGCAACGGCUACAGUAAUGGUUGCUACAGCAACGGCUACAACAACUGCACUAUUCUAGAUUUAUUUCAAUUUUUUUGUAGCUAAGUUCUUCCUCAUUUUUGCAAGCCUAUUGCAUCAACAUUCCUUCCAUGAAUUAUAAGCUUCCAGAGACCUACAAUUAUGCAUACAAUUUAAGCACGAAUUACUUUAAAUUAAGCAAAACUCAUUAAGACUAAACUAAAAUGAAUAUUUAUGUAAAAUGUAACAAAAAUGCAAUAGAAACACAUCAUUUACUCUCUAAGUAAUAUUGAUUUAAGUAUCAAAGUGUCAUGAUAACUCUCAUUUCAUAGAGUUAUCAGUCAUCACUAAGGUUUGAAAGAAAAAUAUUAUCAAUUAUUUCUUCUAUUAAAUUCAUGUCAAUAAUUUCAUCAUCUGCAUUGUGAGGUUGUUUGGCAAUGUUGAAAAUGUUUAGCUCUAUAGUUAUGUUGCUAAAGGACAACUGCAUAUUUCUAGUUCUGCAUUGAAUGUGAGCAACGACAAUUGCCAAGAAAGGUCGGUCGAUGAUAAUGGGGAUGUGCUUCCUUGAAUCCUGGAUUGGUUGAGUAUCAAUUACAAUGAAAUCAAUGUGAAAAUAAAACUUGUCUACAUGGAUAAGCACGUCCUCCACAAUACCACGAGGUAUUUUCGUGGACCGAUCUGCAAGUUGUAACACCACUGGAGUUGGGUGUAAUUCUCCAAGUCCAAGUUUCAUAAAUACUGAAUAAGGUAACAUAUUUACACUAGCUCCUAGAUCCAAUAAAGCAUUCUCAAUUGUGUGGUUCCCUAUACUACAUGAGAUAGUGAGGGAGCCUGAGUCUUUGUAUUUUAGAGAAAUUUUGUGUUGGAGUAUAGAACUAACGUUUUCUGUUAAAAAGACCUUAUUUUGAACGUGAAUGUUUCUCUUUUUAGUGCAAAUGUCUUUAAGAAACUUGACAUAAGAUGGAACUUGUUUUAUAGCAUCAAGUAAAGGGAUGUUAACACUUACUUGUUUGAAGAUCUCAAAGAUCUCAUCUGUGAAUUUUCCCUUAUUUCCUUUAACUAACCUCUGAGGAAAUGGAGCUUUGAGAAUAUAUUCUCGUGGGUUGGUUUCUUCUUUCUCUUUUAAUGGUGAGUCCUCAACAUUUACAUGUAUAAUUUGAUUUUCUUUUGUUACCGGCAUCUCCACUUUGUUGUCGACUUCUUUUCCUUUUCGCAAGGUCAUGACUACUUUGACCUCUCCAUGCUGCUGUGGUGAACUAGUACUUACUUCAUGCCCUCCUUUAGGAUUAGGCACUGGUUGACUUGGAAACUUGCCUUUUUCAACAGUCAUUGCUAAGGUCUGAACUGAAGAAGCAAGCUGUCCCACCAUCUUCUUGAGACUUGAAACUGAUUUGGCUUGUGAGUUGAAGCCUGCUCUCAUCUCAUUUCAUAGUUCAUCGAUGGUGCGGUUCUGUUGCUCAAUCGUGGAGUGAAUAAGAUUCUUGAGAUUCUGGAAUGAAUCUUCCCAUGGUCUGGGUUGAGAGUAGUUCUUGUUCUGAUUAUAUGGUCUAAAUGAAGGCUGAGAGGCUUAAGGAAUUUGAGGAAUUGGUUACAUUGGUGGAGCUGGAGCUGUUGGUCCAUUCUGUUGGAAUCCUUGAGACCAUGAAAAAUUGGGGUGGUCUCUCAAUCCAGGGUUAUAUGUGUUGGAGUAUGGGUUGUAAUUUGAUGGUUUUCUCAUUACACCUAUGACAUUGACUUGAUCUGAGUAUGAGUCAUGGUCAUGUGGUUCUGUUGAUUUAGCAGUCGUUAACAAUGCUAUUUGUCGAGAAAGAUCUUCAAUUAUCGCUUUGACUUCUUUAAUUUCUGAACUUGACUCGCCAAUGUGAACUUCAUUUACUCCCUUAAUUCUUUUAGUAUUCCUGAGUGAUUGACUCUGUUGUUGGAAAUAUCUACUUGUCGCUGGAAGAAUUCUCAAAUCUCAUAUGCACUUUUUGACAUUAGCUCUCCUCCACUUGUUGCCAUUAGCCAUUCUUGCACAUGUGGCAAUAAUUCCUCCAAAAAGUACUGACAUUGGUGCCAUUUCUCGUACCCAUGAUGUAGCCACUUCAAGAGUAGCCCAUUGAAUCGCUCCUAUGUUUCGAAAAAUUGCUCGUCUUCUCUUUGGGUAAACUCUAAGAUUUCCCUGCGAAUAGCAUUGGUUUUAUGCAUUGGGAAAUAUUUAUUUAAAAAUUUUGUUACCAUUUGUUCCCAUGAUGUAAUGUUAUUAGCAGGCAAUGUAUUGAGCCAUGAACGAGCUCUAUUCUUUAAAGAAAAUGGGAAUAGUCUAAGUUUAACAUCAUCGUCUGAAAAAAUCUCAUAUUUAAAUGUUUGACAAAUAGCAUGAAAAGCAUUUAAAUGAUUAUAUGUGUCCUCAUUUUUUAGGCCAUAGAAUGUUGGGAGACAAUUUAGCACACUACGUUUAGUUCAAAACUCCUAUCAGCUACAUUUGGGUAUCUUAUGCAUGAUGUGCUCAAAUUAGCUAAAGGACUGAAAUAGUCCUUAAAUGGCCUCUCCUGUGGUGGUUGUUGUUGUUGCAAAUCCAUUUCACUUUCGUCUUUAAUUACAACGUGUUUGUGUGUGCGAAGUAUUUUUUCAAGUUCAAGGUCUAUAGGUUCAAGAUUAGGUAAUAAUGACCUUUGACCAUGCAUGGAAAGAAUAUAAAAAAUGGGAACAAAACAAAUAAAAAUAACGAAGAAAGAGAAAUUACGGUACUAACCUUAUCACACUGUUACAACCUUUCUAUAAAAGCACACUAAAACAAAUACGUGAAAUAAAUUAACUAAAAAUAAAUUAAUAAGAUCAACAAAAAAAUUACAAAGAAAAAUAACUUGAAAAUUAAAUUAUAGAAUUUUAAAGAAGAGAGAAAAAAAAAUUCUUAGCUCAAAAUGUAAAUUCACUCUUUUUUUUCUUUCUUUUUUUUAAAUUAAAACAAUUACAAGAAAAAUAACUAAAAGAAUUUUUUUUACAAAAAUUAAUUCUACAAAUUAAAAUAACUUACCUCCCUAGCAACAGCGCCAAAAUGUUAUUGUGCAAAAUUUAUGAAACUCGCAAGUGCACAAAUAUAUUGUAGAAUAGAUUAAUGGUGACGAGUGUCGAUCCCACGAGGAGGUGGAUUUUAAUUAUAUGUAGAAUUAAUUUUGUAUGAGGGUGUGUUGUGAAAAUUUUAAUAUACUCGCAAACGCACAAAUCUAGAGAUAGAAUAGUGGUAACGAGGUCGAUCCCACAUGGAUUGUUAUAAAUUGAAAAGUCUAAUUUAAAUCUAAAAUUAAUAUUAAUUCUAACCUAGUUGACCAAAUUGAGUUUCUAAGAAAAUUAAACCAAUUAAACUAAGGACGCAAUUAAAAUAAAGGAGAAUUCAAUAAGACAAAAAUUAUCAAGGUUUCAGAAUCCACCACUAUUCAACUAGUAAUCAUCUAAUUAUUAAUUAAUCCCCAAUUUUAGAGUGACAACUUGAAAUCAAUCUAUGUCAUCUCAUGGAUAUAACAAUUAAGCCCAAUUAAUUAAAUCUAAUAUAGGUUCUUUUUCCGCUUCAUAAUAUGACAUCUAAGUAUCCCAUGUGAACAUAUUGAAUAACAAAGAGUCAAAGUUUUCCUAAGCACUUUAUGUAAACAAUUUAAUGAAAGACAUAAAAUCAAAGAUAAUCAUGUAUAAACUUUAUAGAUCCAAGCAUAGAAUUAAUCGAAUAUUAAUCCUGACAAUCAAUAAUGCAUGACAGAAUUGAUGAAAAUUUUUUAAUAACAUCUAAUUAAUUAUGUAAAAAUAAAAAACCAUAAACAUUAAAGCACAUAUAUAGGGAAUUAAAUAAAUAAAAAGAUAAUUAUUUCAUUAAAUAAGGUUUCAUCCUUAACCUCAGUAUAAGAAAAUUAGCUAGACAUACUUGAAUUGGGAGCAACAAAAUAAAUAAAAUCACUCAUGGAAGUUGAACUGCUGCUGCUGUCCAGCCUUGCGUCUUGCGUUUGCAGCUCUCUUCUUCCUCUCGCGGCUCCCUUUUCUCCAAAAGCCAAAACCCCUUUUUAUAAUCUUUAAAAUGGGCCCCACCUCUUAAAUCCUAAAGCCAAAAAGGCUUGGCGUUUUACUUGAUUUGCUCUCACACACGUCCUGGGCACUUAAAAUUGCUAAAGGACUCUUUUUUCCAUUUAUAAAAGCCAAGUGUGGGUCCUUUCUUAAAGCUAAAUCAAUUUCUCUCCUUUGUCCGCAAGUACAUGAUGAAUUAACUUGUUGAAUUCAAUUCCGUGGCUUGAUUUCCGCAUGCAUGUAUGUCUAAUUGCUUCCAAAAAUCAAUUAAUCUUUAAUGCUUACAAAUUGAACUCCUUUAUGCUCCUUUUAUCCAUAAUCUCUAAUUAAUUUUCUAUUCAAUAAAAUAAUUUAAUUAAUUAAAAAUAACAAAUAAAUAUAACUAGUAAUUAUUUAAUUAAGGGUAAAAUAUGUAAAUAAAUUAUGCUCAUCAGAGUGGUUGGAUUUGUGGUGAAAGUGACUUAGAUUAUCCUAAAAUUGGAAUUGAAAUGGCGAGAAUAAAUUGAAGAGAAAUCUAUUGAAAUGACGUACUUGAAUAUCUGGAUCCGUAUCAACAUGCACCAUGGGAUAAAUAUUCCUUAUUAAUGCCAAUUAAAUCAUGAGUGGGGUUUCCACACCUCAUGAACCACGCUCUAAUCAAUAUGAUGCUAAGAGCUUAUCGUGCCAAAUAAUAAUAACAUUGUACUAGGGAGUCGGUGAAACCAGGGCGGUAUUUAGACAAGAUUAUUAUUAGGGAAAUUAUCCACUGUCCACCCGUUUUUUCCAACUUUUUCAAAAAUACACAAUUCUUUUUUUUUUUUUUACUGGAAUCCACCUGAAGUUACAUUUCUUUUCACUUUUCCACUUCCGUUUGGAAUCUGUUAAGGAAAUUAACGGAAUAUUGCUUAAAUGACUUUUUUAUCCUCAAAUGUAAAAGAUAAUUUAUCGAUCGACCACUUGUUUUUUUCAUACUUUUUCAGAAAUACACAAUUCUUAAUUUUUUUUUGCUGACCUCCACUCGAAGUUGUAUUAUUUACACCUAUCCACCACUGUGUCGUUGUAAAAUGAUGAUUUUACCCUUAUGAUGUUAGCAAAGUUAAAAUAGUCUCCAAACGGAAGUGGAAAAGUGAAAAGAAAUGUAAUUUCAGGUGGAUUCGAGCAAAAAAAAAAAAAGAAUUGCGUAUUUUUGAAAAACGGUGAAAAAACGAGUGGACGGUGGAUAAUUUCCCUUAUUAUUAUUUAUCGAUGAAAAGUCAAAACAUCCACAAAAAUUAGUGGGGAAGAAAAAAUAAAUUUAUCAAAUAAAGCUCAUGGCACAUGUUGAGACUUUACCUUCAACCCAAGCUUGAAAGAAAAUUAGCUACUUAUAAUUGAACUAGGGGUAAAAUAUGAAUUUAUUAAAAUAUAUAGAAAAUACAAGAUGGAGAAGGAAUUACAGAAAAUGAAGCUCAAAAAUGAAUUCAGGGAUGCCAAAUUAGGGGGGGAGACCCAUUUUUUAUAAAUACAUUAAGUAAAUCAUGGCCAUCAGAUUAAAAAUAGUUUGGACGCUUAGGAUUGCGCCACAUCAUCAGUCAACAGUACGCGGUUUGACCACGCUAUUUGAACAGUGACACAGUUUGACCACGCAAUUUGAACAGUCAACCGGCUUGAACAGUGACGUGGUUUGGUUGAAAAUAAUCCUGUGUAUAUGCAUGUACCGUACGCGCCAUUUUUGGUCCACUAACAUGCUGCCACGUCACCGAUCAACAGUGUAUAAGAAUUUUGUCCAAUAGAAUCGUGACACCUCAUCAGUCAAUGCCACGUCAUCGUUUCGUAUGUGUGAACAGUGUCGUGAACAGUAACAUGGAUAGUACCGUACAUGUGAACAAUGUCAUUUUUCCUUUUAUGCUCCUCUUUAGGUUUUCAACUGUCCUGAGUUCAAAAGUGAUGUCUGUUUUACCGUUUGAGCUCUUGUUCAUUGUGAAAUGAUCAUGAUGCCCCUAAAAUGCAUAAAAUACUUAAUUAAAAUAAAACACGCAUAAUUAAAUCAUAAGAAGCUUAAAUACAUAAAAGUAGAAAUGUUAGUAAAACUUGAAGUAUAAAAUAACGAUUUUCUUCUUUAUAAAUAUAGAUUUUCUAACACGCAACACCAGCCACCGAGCCAAGUUACCCAACAAAACUUCCAAAAAUUAAUAAAAUAUUCAAACAACAAGACUUCUAGCAAGACUCCAGCAAAACUUCCAGCACCAAUACCAUCUUCCAAUAGCACUCUAAUUCCAGCAUCAAACAAGGUAAAAGUCAUAGAUGAAACUUGUAUGAGCAAAAUCAUCCACAUUAAUAAAGAGUAGCUGCUGCUCUUUCUCCUACUGUAAAAGAGCCGCAUUACGGUCUGUCAGCUUAGCAAUAAUGGCAGAAGUAAUUCCAGCAUGUAUUUUCUAUCCAGCAGGGCCAAAUCCUCAUCCUUAAGGGCUAAGAUAUCGAAUGAGAUAAUAAAUAAGUAAAAGGUAAAUACGAGGGAUGCUAAAACAAAAGAAAACCUAAAACUGCAGGGAAAAAGAACCUCUUUUCCCACUACUAAGAGUAAUAUAAGAUAUAACUGCAAUUGAUGCUGCAGGCAUUAUUUGUCUUUUAGAUUGCACAUGUGAUGAUCAUGCUUCAUCCCUUUCCUUUUUAGUCUAGUAAUUACACAACAAGCAACAUCAUGUUGAGGACAAAUCAAUAUGCUAAGGUCAGUGAGCUGCUCAAGUAAUGAUUUAAUUACAAUUUGUACUAUGGUCAAAGAGAAGAAGACAUAAAAUGUAAAUGUGUAUUUUUUUAGAGGAAGAAAAAAAUGAAAUUUGCUAAGGCUCAAUGCGUAUUUUAUGGAUAAAUACAUUUUAUAGAGAUAACGGCAAGCCUAUAAACUAAUUAUCUAUAAAAUCAAAUUAUUUAGCAGCAACCUCAUAUUUCCAUUAACUUUAGCUAGCACAAUACAAUAUGUAUACAUACUGGAUAUUCACUGACUCACCUAAAGCAACAUGAGAAAGUUGGACACGAGGAUCAUCCGCAAGUAAUCUGUUAAGGUCCAAUAUUGCUUGCCUGCUGCUGCCUCUAAAAUGGUCUGGAACCUACUCUUCAGGCAUUGCAACUGUUCCCCUCCCAAAGUGUGUUGUCAUAGACAGCUAUACCGCCCACUUUGAACAACUUCAUCAACCUCUCAUGUAGUUACAAUAGUUGUCCUUGUCGGCAUCCACAAAAGCAUAGUCAAAACUGACUUCAUUUUCACUCUGCAGCAGAUUCCAAAAAGGAUAUUUGUUCAAAAACAAAAGUCAAUUGAAUGGAAGAGUAAUGGAAGGAACAAAGGUACAUAUUUCAUAGUAUUACAUCUUUACAUCUUUUAGUAGCUGAUCAAGAACUGAUAGUGCCUCGGACUCAAUGAAGUUUAUCUUGUGAUCAACUCCAGCCUUUUUAAUGAUAGGUAAUCAUAUUUCAUAUGUCUCACGAUUCACAUCAAUUGUUGUAAUCUGCAAUAUUUUGUUUCCAGUCAUAAAUAGCUUAGUAGUUAAGUGCAUGAUAUGAUAAUAAGAUGUUAACAAAAUUUAACCAAAGCCAUAACAUAUUGCUGGAACACUGCAUUAAUAAAUUCAAUUCUACAGCAUCACAUAUGACUAUGGACUAUUUACCUGACCAUCCUCUGGAAUUGUGAGUGCAGUGAGAAGAAGGGAAUAUCCAGUGAAAACUCAAAUUUCAAUAGUUUUCUUUAAUUUCAACCUCAUAUUUCCAUUAAUUUUUUAUCCUUUUUUUCUAUUUUAGAAUGAAACACAAAAUUCAAAAAAUAGAGAUGAAUAUAUAGCUACACUAAUGAAAUCAAAAUUAUUGAUUCAAACUAAAACAUAAUAAAAAGGAAAUAAAAAAGUGAAGAAAUGUUACCUAGGCUCAAAACUCUAGCUCCUGUUCCAGCCACCACACAAUAGCCACUGCCGCCACUGCUUUUAAUCUUUUAUGUCGAUCUCCACCACCAUUAGAACCAUAAAGACCCACCCAUCAAAUCCCAGCCGUAAAUACCACCGAUUUACUGCAAGAAUCACAAAACACGACUACCAAAUAUCAGCGAAACCUGCACCAUCGUUCACUAUCUUCCAGCGCGAUUUACCAACCACCACCAACAACACAUUACUCAUCAUUAGUUGUAUCUAUCUGGUUACCUCCCUCUUCCAGCCCUUCCCUUUUUGCUGGAAUUGAAGCAAAAAAUCAACACCGGCGCUUUCGUAAUUUUCGAUCAAAUGCUCGCGAAUUGAAGAGAACCUCUAGCAGGAUGUCGAAUUGUGGCCUAUGGGUGGGAUUCAAAGGUCGACUUUUUUACUUGGGUUAAUUGGUUGUGAAUGUAGGAAUUUUGUUUGAUCGUGAGUGAGGAGGGUUUGAGCUUCUAGGGUUUCAAUUUCUUAGGUUGAGAGAGGAUUUUUAACUUAGAAUAUUUUGUAGUAUUUUUCUAAAACUCACCGUUUGAAUUCCUUCAUUUACUUUUUUACAUCAUUUAAAUUAUUAAUAAAAUUAUAACACACUGUUUUCUUUUUCUUUUAAUAAAAUAUCACACCAAAAUUUUGGUCAAAUACGGUCAAAUUAAUAUUUCUAUCAUAAUUUCCUAAUAGAAAAAAUUUCAUUCACAAUUCUAUCAUAAAUUCUUGAUAGAUAAUAAUUCUAUCAUAAAUUCUUGAUAGAUAAUAAUUCUAUCAUAAAACCAUCAUCAAUUCAUGACAAACCAAAAUUCUAUCAUGAUUUGGUCAUACUAUAAUGAUAGAAGUCAAAUCCUUCAUAAAUUGUCUGUCAUCUAUUGCCAGUUUUCUUGUAGUGCUAAUGAUAUGGCGGAUUUGACCGGGUAUAUAGAUAAGUAUGAUGCAAUAUCGCGAGGUAUAAAUAUCAAGACAUUAUCUCAUAUGCUGAGAAAGUCGAAGAAUGAAGAUGACGAAUUCAAUGUGACAUUUACAUUGUUUGCACUUUAAUCACUACUUUGUCCGGUGGGUGGUGUUCAUAUAAGUUCCCAGAUUUUGUUUUCUGUUAUAUAUGUUAAGUCAAUUAGGUCAAGGAAUUGGGCAACUUUUUUGUGUUGGCUGAUUGAUGGAAAGAUAACGAGGUAUAAAGAAGAAAAAGUUGCAUAUAUUGGUGGAUGUUUGUUUUUCUUGAGGUAUGAUUCAAUGGUCAAAGUGGCGGGUUGAUGUCAUAUACUGUGAAUGAGCUAUUAAUGAUUGAGACGUAAAAAGUUUUGUUUUUCCUUUCUGGCAAAUGAUGCUUUAACUAUUUGGGAACAAAUAAUUGGUUGAUUGAAAAUAAAUAGCUAUAGUACAAUGCAAAUAUUUAUAGUUAGGCAUAUGAAAAUUUUAUUUUUUUAAUUUUAGAUACUAUAUAUCAACGUAGUUGCCUACUCAAAGAUACUAAGAGACCUAAAGAAUUGUUCGAUUGCAUUGUGGAAUUCAAUUGAAAUAAAAAAGUUUAUGAAGUGGUUCGAGAAGAAUAGCGGCAACCCGAAAGAGAAGGUAUUAAGAUAUUUUAUUCACUGGCAUCAAUUAAAGAGUAUUAAUGCAUGUAAUAUCGUGGAUAUUAUGUUGUUGUUGGUGCAGAUUGGAAAAUUUCCCACUACCUAAACAGGACAAGAAUAAUGAAUAAAGGUGUUGGGAUGUGAGAAUUAAGAGGAUUAAUGAUUGGGUUGGAUUUGGCUUGAGACAAUUUAUUUUUUGCCUCCUCUUCGGAUUGAAUGUGUUCACUAAUUCAUUGGUGACUGAGAGUGACACGAGUAUUAAAUUGUAACCAAAACAAAUUCAUAGUUGUAUUGGUUAAAUGCAUGCAUAAUUUAAUACAAAUUUAUUUUAAAGUUCCUAUCAUCAAGUCCAAAACCGUGGAUGUGUUAAAGAUUUUUUUCAUUUGAUUUGGGAGGAUUAACAUUGACAAUAAGUUGAAUAUUUGUUAAUUUGCAGUUAGACAUAAAACUUUAAUGGUUUUUAUGUUCAAUAAUUUGGUAAAAAUGUAUCGAUGAUAUCAUUUACGUAUUAACAUUAUUUAAUUUGUGGGAAAUGGGUGUGCAGAUGUUUUAUAUAAGUCGUGGUAGUAGGUAUUAAGCAAGGUAGUUAGGUGUUUGGUUUAAGGUGACAUGAUUACAUGAUUAUUAAGUGGGUCGUGUCAGGUAUUUCGUUAUUUUGGCGACAAGACUACAUGAUUAAAUUGAAAAGUGAAUCGAACAUGAAUUUUUACCAUCGAGCGACAACCUCUAAGGUACCACACUUGGUUUGUGUCUUGUUGUAUGCGACCAUAUUUAUAUAAUAUUUGUAGUGUUGUUAAUGAUUUCUUAUUCUGGGCCUUCUGGCACUAGGUUACUGUGACGAACAUAGUUGGUUAUAAAUUUGUUGGUUAACCCAUCUAAAAUCAUUUAAUGCAACACUGGUCAAAUGUUGACUAUAUAUUAUGUUAUUGGUAUAAGUUUUAACUUCAAUAGUAUGAAUUACAUUUAUCCAUGUUUGUGUACGUAUCAAUACUUGAAGGUAUAGAGGAAGUGAUGAACGAAGUAACAGACGAAUGUUCAGGCGAUGGCUCAUGGGAUGGUUUUGGUUAUUGUUCCUUGGAUAAUCCACUGUAUUGUUCAGAUGAAUGGCCUGUGGAUAGUGUAGAGGAUGGGCCCGUGGAUUAUUCACAGGAGGGUGUAGAAGAUAUGCGGUCACAAGUUCCUCUAAUAUAUGAGAAAGUUAGUAGCAUUUCAGCUUGGGUUGAUCGUAUAGUAUUUAGAGUUGAUAGUUUUGCAUCUCGAGUUGAUAGUAAUUCAUAUCGACUUAAAUGUCUAUCUCGGAUGACAUAUGAGAUAUUGGGCAGUCUGAAACAAUAGAAUGAUGGUUCGUGUGGUAAGCAUCUACAUAGAAAAUAAAGAUAUGAAUUGGGAUACUUAGAUAGAACAAUAGUUUGAGUUGCUUCAAUUGGCAACGAUCCGGAUAUUAUAAACGGUGAAUUGAAAUUAGAUGAUAUUUUAUGUAAAAUGAAUGCCAUUAAUUAUUCCGAAUGGGAUCUGAGCGGGAGGCAUUACAUUUGAAUGAUAUGUGGUCCAAGGUAGUGUAGUGUGGUUCACUUAUAUAAUGGUACAUGUGAACGGAUGACAUGUGAAAAAGAACAUGAGGAUGUCACACAUAUUGGUCAUUUUAGCCCAGGGCCUUUUGUUGUCCCACGACCUGUAUAUGAUGGUGACCUCAAGUUGAUUACAUAUAUAAUGAGUGAAGAUCUAGAUAAAUGCGAAUUAAAAUUCAAUAUUGACUAUAGUUUUAUGUUGCAAGUUGUGUAAUGUCAAUUUUUUUUUUUUUGGUUUUUCUUAUUGGUACCAUCGGCGAUAUCGAUUGCGUUGGUUCUUGCAAUAUGUAGAGAGGCCAUAGUUCAGACAAGGAUAAACAUGGUUUAUCAAAACGAAAUGCUAUCUCUUUGUCCCAAAUGCUUAAUUCACGGAGGGGGGGGUAGUAGUUUAUAAUGUGUAUGAAUUGUCAAACUUAAAUUAAGUUAAAUUAUUUAAUACCCUAAAGGUGAUUUCUGGAAAUUCAGAUAAUUUCGAUUGCUGGGAAAACACUCUCUGUGAAGGAUUAGCAAAAAAAAGAGAACACGCAUCGCAAUUGGUUUAUUCCAACGUAUUUUUCAAUAUGAGUUAUUGAUGUCUUUAUUAUGCUAAGUGCAAUAAGCAUGUUUGUGAUGAUUUAAUAAAACAAAUUGGGCUAACAUAUUAGGUUGAUUGUGAACUCAGUGGAUGGUGUUAUCAGAGAACACUGACAUGAGUAAAGUAGGCAGAGGUUUUAAGUUUCGACAAUAUUACAUGGACAACUUAAGACACUAUGUUAAGGUAAUUGCAUUAAUGUUUGGAAGACUAUGUAGAAAGUGUAGUUAGGUAUAUUGGAUUAAAUAUUGGGGUUGUUCAAUUUUCAAAUAUUCAUUCCCAUAAAGCAUGGGCAUUCCUAUUGGUAUGUGCUUGUUGUUGACCUUCGUUGUUGCUGUACUGAGAUUUGGAAUCCAUUUGCCAGCAUGUUGAAUGAAAAUGACUUACAUAUGGAUGCAAAUUGCAUGGUGAGUGAUAGUUAUAUGGAAUGUGCAUGUAUUAAAAGGUUAAGUAACUGAUACAUCUUAUUAAUAAACAAUUACAUGCAUUUUUUGGACAUGUCAUUCAUAUUGUGAUUUGAGGUGCUUAUUACUUUAUAGCUCAUCGAAUAUAAUCAUAUUCUAGGUAUGACAUGUGAAGGUAUUUACGUUUGUUGUGUUGCUCAGGCAGUUUUGUGGGCAAUAAAGUUGUUGCGGAAUUUUAUUUUUACUUAUAAAAAGGUUAAUUUAGAAAAUAUGGAUAAUGAUAUCUUAGUUCGGUAUUGUAAGAAAUUUCUUACUGUUAUAGUCAUUAAUAUGCAGUGUGAUAGUUGUAGUUUGGAACGAUUGUAUGUUCAAUCGCCAUUAUCUAUGUAUGCAUAAUAUUUCAUUGUGGUCCGGAAGUUGUAACAACAUUAGAUUGAAAUAAAUAUCGUCAUAACGUAAUUUUUGUAACUUAGGAAUAGACAAUUUUCUGUUAGUAUCUGAUAGAGUUGUUUGCAUGGACGUGCAGCUUCGUGCACUUGAUGCUUUGCUGAAAGAUGAAUUAAGGAUUGUUUAUGGUGGAGAGUAUAAGUUUGAGAAAUUUGUAGUUAGCGUUAGACAACAGUUACCAAGGAACCUAAAAGUUUACGACUGUGGUUUGUACAUUAUACGCUAUAUAGAGAAUCAAGACACUUAUAUGGACUUUGAUUACAAGGUUGUGCACUAUAAUUGUCCAUCAUGUUGGUUGUGAUGGUAAAUGUCAAGUUAUGGUAACACACUUAUAACAUGAUUUGUCUUGACAUCAUGAAAUUAGUGUUGGCACUAGAACUCGUUAAAUCUGAGAUGAAGAUGACAAAGAAUAAUGUGUUGCAGACUUUAAGGAAUUUUUGUUUGGGUUAUGAAGUUGUUGAAAUUAGUAGGUUCGAUUCAUAUGAAAUGAUGUAUCACAACCAAUGCAUGCGAUCUUAAUGCAUGGGACAUGGCCGAAUGAACUAAUAUUGGUUGUGUGACAGUAGAACUAGGACACUGAUGAAGUCGGCUAUAUUGACAAAAGCUAUCUGCCGACCACCAAACCAUUAGCUGCCGUUUGAAAGUUAACGGAAUUAUAGCGAAUUGACGAUUUUACCCUUGAAACUUAAAUUAAAGUAAAUGAAAAUGAUCACUUGUAUCAUAUGAAAAUACCAAAUUACCCCUCUGAUGUCAUCCUAUUUAAACGGCAAGUAACGGUUUAUGGACAGCAUAUACAUUUUUUCAACUUAGGGUGGUCGAUUGAUACAGCCUCAAAGUGUUGUAGUAUUUUUGUCAACUUAAGGUGGACGAUUGAUACACCCUCAAAAUAGUAGUAUUUUUGUCAACUUAGGGUGGACGAUUGAUACACCCUCAAAGUGUUAUUAUCAUUUGUAUACCUUUAAAUUAUCACUUGUAUCAUAUAAAAAUACUAAAUUACCCCUCUGAUGUCAUCCUAUUUAAACGGCAAGUAACAGUUUAGUGGACAGCAGAUACAUUUUGUCAACUUAGGGUGGACGAUUGAUACAUCCUCAAAGUGUUAUAGUAUUUUUAAUAACGAAGUAAAUUAAGGGUAUACGAAUGAUAACUUCCCUAAAUAGUAAAACACACAUUGUAACUUUGAUUAUGUGGUUAUGAAGGUGUGAUAUACCUUAGAGCAGUUCGAACAUAGUUAGAUUAUUAAAUACUUUCAACCGGCAUAUUAAUCAGCAAAAUGAUGGACUAGACAUAGACUCAACUAACCCACAUCAGAUUUGCAGGCAAAUGGAUUGAUUUGCAAUCAAGUUCACCUAGCCGUACAUUAUAUUACAUUGGGUCUAAAUAUUAUCUACAAUAUCGUGGAUCAGAAAUUGAUUACUUUUCAUUUCGUAAAAUGUGAUCUGCAAACACCCCUACGUUUGAACAGAUGCACAAAACUCACUUAUUAUGUUACUUCAAUAUGGCGCGUACGAGGAGUAUAAAUUGGGUGGACUGCUGGAGUUUGUGUUAACCCUAUUAGCAAACCAUUAUGUACACUCUGCUUUUGUGGAGUAUAUGAUGCGAACUUGGAGUUAGAAGUAGUAAGUUGGCAAAAUUAAGGAAGCCAUAACACUCGGGGGCGAUCCGAAUGUGCAUCCGAGGAUCGAAACCAUAUGCUCAUAACUCCACGGUACAAAACCGAUCCACCCCAAUUUUAACACAUUUGGAAAUAUUUCUUUUAUCCAAUAUCUUACUCAAAACAACUAAGAUAUAUAUAAAGUUUAACAUAAUGAACUGUGUUAAUGGUUUUUAAUAUAACUAAUUUUUUAUUGCAAGGUCAUUCAUAUAGUCAUAAGGGAAAUCGAGUGAAGAGAAGUUAGAAGCCAAAAUGAAAAUCCAUGCCAUAAUAUGUGUUUCUUCAUAAAAGUAAUUAAGGAAAUAACAUGUGUCGCAAUAUAAUAACCGCUAAGGUAAUGACAUGUAAUAAUUAAUGAUGUAGUAUUAUGGACAAUUUAAUGUGACGCUAUCUAUAUUAAAACACGCGAAAACCAGUUAGAUAGAACUAAUGACCUUAUUAUAAUGGUUAACACUAAGAUGUCAAGUUUCAUAGAUGCUCGAGGACGUCGAGGACGAACUAGAGCCAUUUUAAACACACAUAAGUUGCAACAAAAUAACCGCCAUCGACCUUAACAAGAAUGGAAGUUUACAGCAUGCAAGGUCAUAAAGGCAAAACAUCAAAGAAGGAACCUAAGCAUUGGGUAUUUCAAACCAAUUACAAUGGAGGGAGAUCUUACAGGACAUGCAUAACCAAUAGGAAGUUAGUAGUUCUAGUUUCCCUGUUUCGAAAGGGAAUCAAUGCAUUGCAGACAUGGAAUAUGCAAAUCAAAAGAGAAGGUAAGAUAAAGUUAAUGCAUACAAGACAGAAAAACAUACCCCGAAGCACCAAUAGGAAGUUGUCGGUUUGUGGAUCGAGACUUGAUAAUCUGGUGAAAGAUAAUUAUACAGGGGAUGCAUCUGAAUUUGAUAAGAGAAGGGAAAAUCCAACCCACUGGGAAGAUGACGAAGAGUGUGAAUUGCUAAAUGAUUUGGAUACAAGUGGAGACAUGGGACAUAAUGGCUCGAGUGAUGAAAGUAGAGCAUACAAAGCACCAUAAGACGCAAUAUUAUUUGCCGUAGACAAUAUUGGUGUAAAGUUUGACAGCAGUUACAAGCAGGUGAUGGUUAUGCACGAAGGCCAGAAAUUUUGUAAUGGGAAUCGAUUCAGGAAUUACGUGAAGGCAAUGGCGCAACAAAGGGGUUGAAAAAUGUGCAUUAUGGAUAACGACAGGGAUCGUGUAUCGUACGAGUACUCUGACUUUAGAUGUGAUUGGCAAAUCGAAGGAAAAAGAAUGCUUGGGUGUCAAAUUUUCAUUGUCACCAAGUAUAGACCAAACCAUGAUUGCAUGCUGAAGGAACCAGAGUUUAAGAAAUCAGCUUCGUGGCUGGCGCAUCAUUACAUGCACGUAUGAGACAAUGAUCCUGGUGGUGCAAUGUUUUGGGUGGAGAAGGAAAUUAACCACAAGUAUAAGUGAACUGUGAAAGCAAUUUACUUUUGAAAGCAGAGACAAUUGCCAUGGAGAUGGUUGGGGAGACCAUGAUCAAGCGUAUGGAAGAUUGUACUCUUCAUCUGAGACAAUAAUGAAGACACAUAAGUUGAACCAUGUUUCAUCAAAAUAGAGUGGUCAUAUUCACAAUAGAGGUUUAAGGGAAUUUUCUUGGGAUUAUUUGAAAUAAAAUGAAGAACAGUAGAAAGUGUUAUAAACCACACUUUAAGUAUAGAUGUUAAGUAUUUGAAACAACUAACCAUAGUCACGCUUGUGGACAACUGUAGAAAGUUGGUGUGCGUCAGACCCAAAAAAGCUGUUCGGCAUGUCUCGGAUCAACGGCGGAUCCAUCCUAGAACCACACGUCUAUGACUGCUUUUUUUAGGGAAUUUUGUUGAUGGACCACAUACAACAUAAGCAUUUCAUCAGUGAUGUCGAUAAAUUCUAGGUUUGGAGAUCUGAUUGUGACAUUGUGCUCAUUACUAGCAAAAAAAGAUGGAUUGCAAUUAGUUAUCACUAACACCAACCUCUUCAGAGUUGUUGAAGAAAUGAUAAGGUUCGAGGAUAGAUCUUCUAAGCUAAGAUAAACUAUUAAGGAUAGCUAUUCAAGAGAACGCCAUCAGGAAAACAAAUUUUCAGUGAUGUCAUUAGAAGGCUGCCACAAUAGUAGCUGACCAUAUGGAGGAACUGAGAGUGCACAAUCUCUAACACUGGAAACAUUAUCGUGCAUACCACGUAGCCCAUCAUGGAAGCGUACAAUAUGAAUACCUCUCUAAACAUGCCUUCAUCGUGAAGAUAGAAUAAAUGUGGCCACAUUGUCUUUUAUGGGAGGAAAACUAAGGAUGUAGGACAUAAUAGAAUUAAGUAGACCACUUAUCCUAUAUUAGGAUUUAUCCCCUUCCUCUGCAGAAUGAUUGAUGCAUAGGAUAAACAUCGCCUCUGAUGAGUUCACCAUGAAAGGCCUUCUCCACACACAUAAAUGAUAACAUGAACAAACUUUGAAUUAUUCAUAAUGAAACGAAUAUUUGAAUGACCUAAAAAGAUAAUAUAUAGAAGCAUUGGAGUAUUUUCUUAACCAUAAUUGACAAUAAACACAUUGACAGUUGAUCUUAUUUCAGUUCUUGAAACCCCAACGCAUGUAUUUUUACAAUUCCUCUAAAAGCAUACAUGGUAUGACAUAAUCAUUGACUAUGGGGUGGGGGAAAAAAUAACGAAACAAGUUCAAUAAGCAAACGAACUCUAUAUGGCCGUAAUCAGUAGCACUCCAAUACUAUAUGUCGCACAUUAUCGGAUGUUGCGAGUGUGACCUUUCGUCUGGCCUUAAAGAAAAAAAGUGGAAAACUGAAUAACUGUCAUUUCAAUUAAGAGACACACUUGUUAGUUGUUUCGGGCACUCUUCUAACAAACGUUUGUGGUUCAUUGGUUGAAUGCUAAACCAAUCCGUAAAUUGUCUCAGGUGAAAGAGUAAAUAAAUUACAUUAUACUUAAUGUUGAUGAUAUGUCAUUUUUCCACAGGCUAAUUAAUUUAUUUUAACAAGGUCGGUUCCGUGUGUCUUAAAUGGGGAAAUUUACCGUCAAGAAAACUUAAGGACCUGCCCACUACUUCGUUAGACCUUGAACGUAAUUCUCACGGGUGAUAGAAAUACUUUGUUCUACUUCUCACUGGGUUUCGGUUGAUAAAUCUCAUGGUGGAAGUGGAUUCAAUAGUAUUACCGAUACUAAUGUGGACAUAUACUAGUGAAAUUUAAAUUAAUAGAGUUGGGUGUACUAUCAAGGCAAAUUAGUUAUUUAUUAAAUGUCAUCGUUUCACCUAGUGACGAUAAAAUUUUAUUGGUGUCAAGUGACUAAAAUUUAAUUCAAUAAAGUUGGGUGUGAUUGAGAAUACAAACAUUAGAUGGCAAACAGUAGCAUUUUAAUAGUAUAAUUUUGGGAUUAAUGAGAUCACGUGAGCGAUGCAUGACUAUAACAGUCAAACAGAACAACAAUAUUGGGCUGCGUUUUUCACGUUACAGAAAUCACAAAUUCACGUGCCUAAAGCUUGUAACUUCUCAAAUCUAAAGUUAUUAUCAUCAAACGCUCCUUUAGGGAUACAAUGCCACAAUCACACCAUUUCCUAAAAAUAUUCAUCUGCAUUACGAGAUAAAUAAAUUCAACACCAAUCUCGGUGAAGCCAGAGGGGGAUUUGUUCAAUGACUGGUGGUAGGGGUGGGCAAAAUCGGAUUCGGAUCGGGUUUGGAUCAACCCGAUCGGGUUUGGGGUAAGUCGGGUUAGAUAAAAAUUAAUCCGAAUACAACCUGAACUAAUGACCCGAUCCGAUUCGAUCUGAAUAUAUUCGGAUCGGAUUAGAUCGGGUCAAAAAAUUGGAUUAACUUCAGCUAGAAUCGGGUUCAAAUUAUACAGAUCGGGCUAAUAUACCAUCAAUUCCAAGUCUCAAACUCUCAAAGGCCAAAGCUUCAUAUCAAAACUUAAGGGGAGUGGGAAACUCGGGUUGGGUACUGGAAUUGAUUUGCACUUGUAGCAGCGGGUUGGAGUAACAGAUUGGAGCAGCAGAUUGGGUGGCAAUAGAUCAAGUGGCAUCAGAUCGAGUAACAGCAAAACUCAAGGGGGAAGAGAAGCUCGAGUCGGGUAUUGGAAUUAGUUUGUACUUGCAACAGCGGGUUGGAGUAGUGAGUUAGGUGGUAAUAGAUUAGGUGGCAUUAGAUUGGGUAGCAGUAAAUCCUGCGGAUGUGCGGCAGCAAACUGUUCGGCGGUGACCGUGACCAUGAGUGCGAUUGUUGAGUGUUAGAAAAUGUAUAUUUAUAAAGGAGAAAAUCAUCAUUUUACAUUUCAAGUCUUACUAACAGCCCUUACUUUUAUAUAUUUAAGCUUCUUGUAAUUUAAUUAUGUGUGUUUUAUUUUAAUUAAGUAUUUUAUGUAUUUUAGGGGCAUCAUGGUUAUUUCACAAUAAACGAGAGAUCAGACGGCAAAACGGACAUCACUUUUGAAUUCAGGACGGUCGAAAACCUUAGGAGGAGUAUAAAAGGAAAAAUGGCACUAUUCACAUGUACGGUACUAUUCACGUGUACGGUACUGUCUACGUUACUGUUCAUGACACUGUUCACAUAGACGGAUCGAUGACGUGGCAUUGACCGAUGAUGUGACAUUGACUGAUGAGGUUUCACGAUCCUGUUGGGCUAAAAUUUUUAUGUAUUGUUGAUGGUGACAUGGCAGCAUAUCAGUGGACAAAAAAUCUCGCGUACGGUACAUGCAUCACAUAGGAUUAUUUUCAACCAAACCGCGUCACUGUUCAACCCGGGUCAAACCGUGUUACUGUUCAUCCGCGUGGUCAAACCGCGUACUGUUGACUGAUGACGUGGCGCAAUCUUGAGCGUCCAAACUAUUUUUAAUCCGAUGGCCAUAAUUUACUCCAUGUAUCUAUAAAAAGGGGGUCUCUCCCCCUUAUUUUGAUAUUUCUGAAUCUAUUUUUGGGAUCCAUUUUCUGUAAUUCCUUCUUCAUCUUGUAUUUUAUACGUAUUUUAAUAAAUUCCUAUUUUGCCCCUAGUUCAAUUAUGAGUAGCUAUUUUCUUUCAGCUUGGGUUGAAUGNNNNNNNNNNNNNNNNNNNNNNNNNNNNNNNNNNNNNNNNNNNNNNNNNNNNNNNNNNNNNNNNNNNNNNNNNNNNNNNNNNNNNNNNNNNNNNNNNNNNNNNNNNNNNNNNNNNNNNNNNNNNNNNNNNNNNNNNNNNNNNNNNNNNNNNNNNNNNNNNNNNNNNNNNNNNNNNNNNNNNNNNNNNNNNNNNNNNNUGGUUCAUGAGGUGUGGAUUCCCCCCUCAUGAUUUAAUUGGUAUUAAUAAAGAAUAUUUAGCCCAUGAUGCAUGUUGAUACAGAUCCAGAUACCCAAGUACGUCAAUUUAAUAGAUUUUCACUUCAAUUUAUUCUUACCAUCUUAAUUCGAAUUUUAGGAUAAUCCAAAUCAUUUUCACCACAAAUCCAACCACCCAUUUACAAAAUUGAUUCUACACACAAUUAAAAUCCACCUCCUCGUGGGAUCGACACUCAUCACCAUUGAUCUAUACUACAAUAGAUUCGUGCACUUGCGAGUUCAAUAAAAUUUGCACAACAGCGAUCCAUGAAGAGACUUCUUAACUUCUUGUUCUUGAGAUGUGCGUGUACCGUGUGCGUGAACCGUGACCGUGAGGGGGCAUCGAGCAGGCUGUGGCCGCUACUGUUGAUCAACGGCAUGCUGUGAGUAUGAGGGAGGUUGUGACUAAUCUGUGAGGGUAGUGAGUGUUGUGACUUGUGUUGUGUGUGUUUUGCCGUUUUGUGUAAUGUGUGAUUGUGUAUUGUCAAUUGUGUAAUUGAUCUGUUUGUGUGUGGUGUAUGGGUAAUUUGAUUUGUUUAUGUGCUGUGUGUGAUGGUGUGUGUUGAUGUUCUUUUUUUUUUUAAUGCAACCCGAUCCGAUCCGAACCCAAAAUUUUUCGGAUCGGUUCGGGUCAGAUUGGAUCGGAUCGGGUAUUUUGCCCACCCCUAACUGGUGGGGACUCAGAACCCACUGAAAACCUAAGAAUUGUGAUUGUGCAAACGUCUUCAAUAAAUUGUCAUCAUGGGCCCAAUAAACAAUACUCAAGAGCCAAAAAAUUUUUUACCCUUAAAUUCUGACCCCCAACAAUUGUAAAUACAAAUUACAAGAGUUGGGCUUUCCACCUAAAAUUUAAUCCUAUUUUGAUUUUUAAAUAAGUCACAAUGGCCUAAUUUUUAAUGGUUGGAUCUUACAUUUAUCCAAUUCCCCCAUGUGUGCAGUACCCAUAGAAAUUUCAUAAACUUUUUUUUCUUGGUAUCUUGUAAUAUACAAAAGACUAAAUGUGGUGGCAUAGCACACAAUUGUACCUAACUCUAAGCCCUCAAACAAUCAGUAUGUUGUCUUCUUCAUUGGGCGAAGCAAUAAGGGGCUAGAACAUUUGUGCUUGUUCCACUUGGGGGAUGGGCGUGAAGGGUACAAUGGUAAAUUGAAUUUUGCACGACACUAGUUGCGUAUGUAAAUGGCAUAAGGGUGGUAAUGGAUCGGAUCUAACACAUCAUCCAUAUGAUCCAAGUUAAAGCUUAUUGUCCGGAUUGCGGUAGGUCAAAAUUAAAAGGACUCUGCUUGGAUUCAGAUAUCUUUAAAGUGUGGAUAUAAGUCAGGUUAGGAUAAAUUAUGCGUCAAUCGUAGUAUCCACAUCCACAUUGUUAUGCACUAAGCUUAAAGUCCAUUAACGUUUCAUGGUUCAUCAGCUUAGCAUUAAUACUAGCUUUACCUGAACAUUAUUAACAACAUAUUCGUCUUUGCUUACACUAACCAUGUAGUCACCAAUCCUUGAACCCGAAGGUUAGAAUGUCCAUUGUAAGUGACGAUAUAAAAUAAGUAAUUAUAAGUAAGGUACAAUUACUACAGGCGGCAUAAUUUUUCAUUGUGCAUUCUACCUUUGGUCAUUAACUCUAAUUGAAUGCUCAAGUGGUAAGUGUAUUAACUACCCGAAAAAUCUGUAGAUUUGAGUAUCGUAAACGAUUAUCUUCUCACAACCCAAUAGUACGAUGAUACUAAACGGUGGCCAUCUACCAUGACAUAUGUUUUUUUAACAUAGAUGGAAUUAAUACAGUGUGUAUUUAUUAAAUUUUCUUGGCAAAUUGAAGAACUUAAGUUGAUAUAAAAACAAUUAACUUUUUCAAUUCCUUGCGUACAAAUUAUUAUUGUUUUAUUAUUUAAAUUGCCAUAAUUACUGACAGAUGGAGACCGAAGGUGGAUUUUAACUAAAUUACAGUUGGGAACAAUUACGAUGUUUAUGAUUUCAUAAUUAAUUUGUACGUGGAUCGAAAACAAUGAACUAUUGUGGAUAUAGAGCAUUUGCCGUAUAUGACAUUAGCUUGUAGAUAUAGAUGUGGAACAAAGUAGGUCUAAUCACUCUCACUGCCUUGUUGCCAGCCCUAGUAAGAGCGUUGGUGUUGAUAUUUUCAAGGACCAUAGGGAACUCAAUUCCCCAUUGAAAAACAAUAUUUCAUGAAAUAUUUAAAUACCGGAAUGUAUCCUAAAGUUAUAAAUAAAAUGUCAUAUAUAUUAAAACCUAUAUAACCCCCCCCCCCCCAACAGAAAUAAUGUAAAAUAUGUAUUCUCAAACUCGAGCAUUGCACACUGAAAAGCAGGCCUAUAAAUAUUAAUAUAUACAUUUUUUCCUAAAUUGAUAACCCGCACGCUCAUUAAAAAUUAAUCUUGACAUUUUUUUUGUACUGUGCCUUUUGCAUAUGAAAGAGGCUAAAAUUAAAGUGACAUGGCACACUAACUCAUCAUAUUUCCAUGACCCCAAGCAAUCUAGAAUAUGUUGUGUCCAACCUAGUAUAGAAGGGUAGAUAGUAAAUAAAAGAGACAAAGGAGGCAAUGAAUAAGUAUAAACAAAGAUUCCAAGCAUACGUGUUCAAUGGAGAAUGAGAGAGUGACCAAAGAAAUGGGGUCACAAUGUUAUUGUCUCAACUACCAAGCAAUUGUUCCCUAGAAAUUUGAAGCUGACAAAGCACAAGAGUUAAUUAAGGCAAUGAAUAUAUUAGAAAACAACAAGAUUCCUGUUGUGAAAAAUUUUAGUAUACUCGCAAGCACGCGAAUCUAGAAAUAGAAUAGUGGCAACGAGGUUGAACCCACAAUGAUUGUUAUAAAUCAAAAAGUCUAGUUUAAAUCUAAAAUUAAUAUUAAUCCUAACCUAGUUGAGCAAAUUGAGUUUUUAAGAGAAAUUAAGCUAAUUAAACUAAGAAAACAAUUAAAGCAAAUGAAAAUUCAAUAAGACAAAAGUUACCAAGGUUUUAGAAUCCACCACUAUUCAAUUAGUAAUUAUCUAAUUAUUAAUUAAUCCCUAAUUUUAGAGUGACAACUCGAAAUCAAUCUAUAUCAUUUCAUGGAUAUAACAAUUAAGCCCAAAUAAAAUUAAUCUUGUAUAGGUUCUUUUUCUACUUAAUAGUAUGAUAUCUAAGCAUCUCAUGUGAGCAUAUUGAAUGACAAAGAGUCAAAGUUUUUCUACGCACUCUAUAUAAACAAUUUAAUGAAAGACGUAGAAUCAAAGAUAAUCAUAUAUAGACUUCAUAGAUCCAAGCAUAAAUUUAAUCGAAUAUUAAUCCAAACAAUCAAUCAUGGAUGACAGAAUUGGUGAAAAGAUUUAAUAACAUUCAACUAAUUAUGUGAAACAAGAACUAUAAACAUUAAAGAACAUAUAUAGGGAAUUAAUUAAAUAAAAAGAUAAUUAUUUCAUUGAAUAGAGUUUCAUCCUUAACCUUAGUAUAAGAAAAUUAGCUAGACAUACUUGAAUUGGGAGCAACAAAAUUAAUAAAAUCAACCAUGGGAAGCCGAACUGUACUGCUCUUCCUUUUUCCUCUCUGCCGAAUACUCUCUUUGUGCGUCUAGCGGCUCCCCUUUCAAAAGCCAAAGUUAGCUUUUAUAAUUAGCUAAAAUGGGCCACCAACCUUGUCAAUUUUAAAGCCAAAGGCCAAGCCUUUUAAUUUGUUUUGCUCUCACACGUAAUCGUCACUUAGAAUUGCAGUAGGAUUCCUUUUUCCACUUAUGAAAGCCAAGCGCGGGUCCUUUUAAAUUGCUUCCCAUAUAUUACAAUGACAUGCAUGUGCAUUCCAAUUAACCAAAAGCCACCUAGUUACGUUGUGGUUAAAUUCUUCUUCACGUGCUGAAUCAAUUAAUUUACUAGCUUCGGUUUCCUCGGCUUCACUUCCAUAUGCAUAUAUGUCUAAUUGCUUUCAAAAUCAAUUAAAUAACACUUCCAAAAUUGAGCUCUUUUAUGCCUUUUUUUAUCCAUAAUCUCUAAUUAAUUUCCUAUUCAAUAAAAUAAUUCAAUUAAUUAAAAAUAACAAAUAAAAAUAACUAGCAAUAAAAUAAUUAAGGGUAAAAUAUGUAUAUAUUAUAUGUUCAUCAAUAUAUAUUGGAAACUUUGCCACCUGGUAGUACAACCAGUUAUUUUUAAUAAACUCAUUUUCCGAAACAUCUUCUUUAUAAUGUAAUCCAUGAUAUGCAUGUAUCUAAUGUAACUUAUGUCAUAACAUUUCAAGUUCCUAGAUGCAUAACAGAAUCAACACACAAUAUUAUUUAAGAACAACAUUCUUUAAUACAGGCGGCAUAGCCAACCAUAGCAUAAUUAAGUAUAAGUAUCACAGAUUAGGUGGCAAAGCCGACCAUAACAUAACUAAGUAUCAUAGAUUAGGUGGUAGAGCCAAUCAUAAUAUAACUAAGUAUCAGAGCUUAGGCGGUAGACCCGACCAUAACAUAAUUAAGUAUCAUAGCUUAGGCGGCAGAGCCGACCAUAACGUAACUAAGUAUCAUAGAUUAUAAUUAAUCACAUCAUAAUAACCAUCACAUCAUAAAAGAAUGGUUAAAACUGAAGUUAAAUAUGAAAAGAAAUUUUGUCCUUACAUUGUAGUUGAAGUGUUACUUACCUCUUAACCUUGACUUCUCUAGACCUUUCUAAAUUAAGAAUUUCUCUACUCUUGAUAUUAUGAUUUAGAAUAGAAGAGAAUGAAAUUUCUAGGUUCGAUUGAAAAUGAAAGAGGGUAGGGGUAUUUAUAGGAUUUCUUAGGGCUAAUAGAUGGCUAGGAUUUUGUCACCAUAAAUCUUGAUCAAUGGUUGAGAUUAACCUUCAUAAAUAACUUACUAAAUUUUAGAAUUCUUAACUUUCUCUACAUACUUCUCUUACAUCAUCACUUAUAUCAUUACUUAUGUCAUCAUUACUUACGUCAUUGCUUAUGUCAUCAUUACUUAGGAUUAAAUAUUUUAUAUUAUUAUUAUUAUUAUUUUUAAUACUCUAGGGGGCUUAUUAGCUUAAAAUAAAUUCUAUUAUAUUUAAGUGAGAAAAUUGUACCUCACAAUUCCUCCUUCCAUCAAAAAAAUUUCAUCCUCGAAAUUUACUUACUGAAUAAUUUAGGAUACUUAUUCUUCAUCUCUUCCUCAUGUUCCCAUGUUGCCUCCUCCACUGAGCUAUUUUUCCAUAGUACUUUGAUUAAAGGGAUCUUCUUGUUUCUUAACUCAUUUAUCUUCCUAUCAGGAAUUUGAAUUGGACGUUCUUCAUAGGUUAAGUCUCCUUCUAGUUGAAGAGGUUUAUAAUCUAGUACAUGAGAAGAGUCUAAGACGUAUUUCUUUAACAUGGAGACAUGAAAGACAUUAUGUAUUCUUGAUAACAAUGGUGGGAGGGCAAUUCGGUAGGAAACAUUCCCGACUCGAUUGAGUAUUUCAAAUGGCCUAAUAAACCUCGGACUUAAUUUUCCUUUGUUCCCAAAUCUCAUCGAUCCUUUUACUGGGGCAACUUUUAGAAAUACGUUGUCACCAACUUGAAAUUCCAAUGGCCUUAAUCUUUUAUCCGCAUAAAUUUUCUGUUGACUUUGAGCUACCUGCAUUCUUUGACGUAUUUUUCUCGAUCGCUUCAGAUGAAGCAGUAAUUAAGUUGGGUCCGAGAUGCCUUCGCUUGCCUAUCUCAUCCCAAUGAAUAGGUGAUCUACAUUUUCUACUAUAUAGAGCUUUGUAUGGUGCCAUACCGAUUGUUGCUUGGUAAAUUUUGUUGUAGGUAAAUUCAACCAAUGGUAAAUACUUGCUCUAUCAUCCUUGAAAGUCGAUGGCACAUCCUCACAACAUAUCUUCAAGCGUCUAAAUUAUUCUUUCUGACUAACCGUUUGUUUGAGGGUGAAAUGUUGUACUAAAUUUUAAUUUUGUCCCCAUAGCGCUAUGUAACCUUUCCCAGAAUGUUGAAGUAAACCUUGCAUCUCAGUUAGAAAUAAUUAAAAUGGGUAUACCAUGGAGUCUUACUAUCUCUUUUACAUAUAUUUCUGCAAGCUGGUCCAUGGUGUACGUGAUUCGAAUAAACAAGAAGUGAGCAGACUUUGUGAGUCGAUUGACGAUCACCUAAAUAGCAUCAUGCAUUUUUGCAGUCCUUAGAAGACCAAUGACGAAAUCCAUUGUGAUUUCUUCCCACUUCCAUUAAGGAACUUGAUUAGAUUUCAAAAGUCCUGUUGAUGUUCUGCUUUAAUUUGUUGACAAGUGAGACAUUUUGAUACGAACUCAAUUAUAUCCUUUUCUCCUUCUAGGCCACCAAUAAUGCUUCUUUAAAUCUUUGUGCAUCUUUGUUGUGCCGGGAUGAAGUGAAUAUGGGAUUGUGUGAGCUUAAGUAAAAUUUCUUUCUUUAUAUCUUUAUUAUCUGGUACACAUAUCAUGUCCUUGAACAAGAGGAUUCCCCUCUCUGACUUCUUAAAUGACGUCUCCUUUGAGUUGACUUCUAUCUUCAAGUUCUUCAAGUUCUUCAAGUAGGAAUCACUUUCCUACCCUCCUUACUCUUUUUUAAUCAAGUUGAACGAAGUGUCACAUUGGCUAAUUUUCCUGCUACUAGCUUGAUUUCUACCUUGCAUAUAUCAUUUUGUAAUGGCUUAUGUAGAAUCCUUAAAGCUGACAAGCUUGACUUUCUACUUAGUGCUUCUGCUACCACAUUUGCUUUUCCAAUGUGAUAGCUUAUUUCGCAGACAUAGUCUUUGACAAGCUCUUGUUAGCCUAAAGGGCUACACAUAUUGUAAUUUUGAUGAUAACAAACAUGUGUCUUAAGUAAAUUGAAAAAUAUUGUAUUUCACAUUUUACUAGUUCUUGAAGGAUAAUAUUUAUGUUGAAGUGAAUCACGUGAAAUUAAGGUCAAGAUACUCAACGGACAACGGCGCAAUAAAAAAUAAAGUUUAGAGCUCAAUAGACUAAUUAUUACGAAAAAUUUUUGUAAAGCCGGUAUGAUUUAAUUGAUGCAUGGUUUAGCAUUUGAGAAGUUCAAGAUUUUAUUUGAAUCAUUAUUUUUCAUAAACCAAAAUGUUUUAUAUUUAUAAGAUAAAGUAUUUUGUGGAUUUGAGUAAUUUGGACUAAAAUGAAAAAGUUUUGCAAUCUUUGAUUUUAUUAAGUAUUGUUUUGAAUUUCGAAUUUAGACUUAUUUGUAAAUAUUUGAAACUUUUUGGGUCAUAUUAUAAUUUAUGAAAGUUUAAGGACCCGAACGUAAUCCAAACAUUUAAAAUCCAAAAUUGGAUAAAGAGUGAGCAGCUAACCGCCUGACGGCUAGCAGCUAGCAGCUAGCUGCUUGAGGUAAAUCUCAUAUUUUCAAAUUUUGGACUAAAUUGAAAUGAUUUGAGAACUUUGAAAUUUAGGGGUAUUAUGUUUAAUUUUGAAAAGGACUUCUUUGAAAAAUAUUAUUAUAUUUUGGGCCAUGGCAUAAUUUUAAAAAAUUUUGGGAAUGACAAACAUUAUUUAGAAAUUCUGAGAUUGGACCUUUUUACAAAGUUUUGGACUAUAGUAUAAUUACAACAAGUUUUGGGCACAAAUGUAAUUUCAUGAACAGUGAUAUUGUAGUAAAAUUCAAAUUUAACGGUAACAUCACUGUUCUAAAGCGGUGAGCCGGAUAAAUCAAACGGCUAACCGCUUGAGCACUGGAAUUUGCCUAUAACAGCUAGUUUUUAAGCUUUAGCUAUAGAAACUCAACUUAAACUUCAAUUUUGAGACUUUUGCAAGCACAAACAAGUGCAUAAAACAUACAUUGAGCUUCCAUUUCACAAAUCAUCUUAUAUUGAAUCAUCUUUAUGCUAUAAUUUGUAGAUUCACUCUAAAAGAGAGUUGUUUGUUGUAUUCUUCAUUUUUCAUAUCAAAUUUGAGAGUGCAAAACUGUGAGAAACACUUGUGUAAAGAGAUUGAGAGAUAAUCUCUUGGUUGUAAAGGCUUAUUGACACCUUAAAUGUCAAUUGUAAUGAAUUUGAAGCCUUAAGUGCCUUGGAUAGUAAAAUCCUCGAGCUUGGUUGGCUUGGAGGCGUGGACGUAGGCAGGGAUUGCCGAACCACGUAAAAAUCCUUAUGUUUGUUUUCUCUUCCCUUACUCUUUUAUUAUUGUGCUAUAUUGAAUUUAUUGUUUUCAACUCCAUUAAGGCAUUAGAUUGAAUUGUUGUGCGAAUUGUAUUGCAUAAGCUUUCAAAUCCCAAUUCACCCCCCUCUUGGGUUGCAUAACUUGCAUUUAAGCUCUAGCCAACGACGCUAUCGCAUAUUUAAUUCCUUCUGUGUAAGGAAAUAUUUGAGGCUCUUAUAAUCAGUGUAAAUCAUACAAUGUGCCCCCAUUAAAUAGUGACGCCAUAUUUUUAAUACGUGUACCACCGCUGCCAACUCCAAAUCAUGUGUUGGAUAAUUUUUCUCAUAUUCCUUGAAUUGCUUGGAAGUAUACGCAUUGACUUUUCCAUUUUGCAUGAGGACGCAUCCUAUGCCAUUUUUUGAGGCAUUGUUAUAGAUGACAAAAUCUUCAGAGCUGUUAAGAAUGGCUAGGAUUGAAGCAGUGACAAGUCGUCGUUUUAGUUAUUCAAAACUUUUCUCGCAUUCUGGCGUCCAUACAAACUUGGCAUUUUUCUUUGUCAACUGGGUUAAUGGCAUCGCGAUCUUCAAGAAUCAUUCCACAAAUCUUCGGUAGUAUCCAACCAAACCCAAGAAGCUUCUGACUUCUUUGGCAUUAGUCGGUCUGGACCAUUGGCUUACAACUUCCACCUUCGAAGGGUCUACUGAAAUUUCAUCCUUAAAUAUGAAGUGUCCCAGGAAUGUAACUUGCUCAAGCCAAAAUUCACAUUUCUUGAGUUUUGCAUAAAAUUGCUUCUCCUUCAAGGUCUGAAGAGUGACCCGUAGAUGCUCAGCAUGCUCUUCCUUUGUUUGUGAGUAGAUCAAAAUGUCAUUAAUGAACACCACUAUGAAUUUAUCUAAGUAGUCUUUAAAAACUCUGUUUCUGAGGUCCAUGAAGGCUGCUGGGGCAUUAGUUAGUCUAAAUGGCAUGACAACAAACUCAUAAUGUCCAUAACGUGUUCUGAAUAAUGUUUUAGGAAUAUCUUCUUCCCUAAUUCUCAACUGGUGAUAUCCUGAUCGUAGAUUAAUCUUUGAAAAUAUUGAUGCUCCUUGCAGCUGAUCAAACAAGUCAUCGAUGUGGGAAAGUGGGUAUUUGUUCUUAAUAGUUACCUUAUUUAACUCUCGAUAGUCAAUGCACAUUCGCAUUGAUCCAUCCUUCUUUUUUACAAAUAGUAUUGUGCUCCCCAUGGUGAACGAGUUGGGCGUACGUAACCUUUGUCUAAUAACUCCUGCAAUUGACUAUUUAACUCCUUUAAUUCUGAUGGGGCCAUCCUAUAGGGCACCUUUGAAAUUGGAGCAGUUCCUGGUAACAAAUCGAUUUUGAAUUCAAUUUCUUGAUCCGGUGAAAAUCUUAGAAGUUCUUCAGGAAAUACCUCAUGAAAUUUGUUCACCACUGGAAUAUCUUCCAACUUUGGUCUUUGCUCUUCUAUUUCAAUGAUCACACUUGCCAAGUACCCCUCGUAUCCUCCAUUUAAUAGUCUGACUACUUUUAAGGCAGAAAUGAUAGAUAUUCUGUUCUAUUUGUAUUCUCAUUUAAAUGUAAAUGAUUCCUUUUGUGGUGGUAAAAAAGUUACCUCAUUUAAAUGUAGUGCUUCGAUAGCCAAUCCAUGCCAAAAAUUACGUCAUAGUCAUGCAUCUCGAGAUUUAUUAAGUCAACACAUAGUGUAUUACCACUAAUGCUAACCUCACAUGCCUUAAUUAAUUGUCCCGAGUUUAAUGUUUCAUCCGAUGGUACCAUGACACUAAAAGUCCCAUUUUUAUGUCAGGGACAUUUUCCAUUUUCCUAAUGAAUGUUAGUGAGGCAAAUGAAUGUGUAGCUCCUGAGUUUAUUAGCACAUAUGCAGAAGUUUUUAUGAUAGAUAUUCCACAUUUGAAACAUGUUCUGGUAUUUGCUCGACAUUCCCCAUGAUGAGUUCUACCGCACUGGUUGCAUAUUGGUUUCUUAGGGACUUCCUUCUGAUGAUUUUUUGGGCGCUUACUUUUAUUUUGAUCUUGGAUCGCUAGCAUUCCCUUUCUAUUAUUAUUCAAGUGUUGUCCUUCGUGGUUAGCUUGAAAAUUCCUCUGGUCCAUACUUCCUUUAUUCUUUCAUUUUUCUUCCUUCUUUUCUUCGUCUGCUUGCUUAAUUACCAAAGCUCGAUCGAUGAGUUUGUUGAAGGAAGCAUCACGAACUCCCGCCACCUUUAAAUCUUUUGCGAGAUCUUUGCUCAAUCCUUGCAUAAAAUGAUCAUUUUUCAAAUCUUCCAUUGCAACCAUAUGUGGGGCAUAUCGAGAGAGCUCAUCAAAUUUCUAAAUGUACUAUAGCACAGACAUCCUUUCUUGUUGUAAAUAAACAAACUCUCUUCAAUUGGCUGAGCGAAUAGUCUCUAAAAAAUAUUUAUUAUAGAAGUGUUCUUUAAAUUCCCUUUAUUGCAUUAUUCUUUCAUUAUGGAUUUCUUUGAUAGAGUUCCACCAAUAUUCUACCGCUCUUCGUAGCAUAAAGGAGAUAUAGGUGACUGUUUCUUCUUCGGGCACUUUCGUUACUUCAAUCAUUUUUUCCAUAGUCCGCAACCAUUAGUCUACUACGACAGGGUCUACACCUCCUUCGAAUGUGAGUGGAUUUAAUCUUCCAAAUUCGCUUCCUGUGUUGUUCAUUGCCUGAGCAUGUUCAUCUCUUCUAACUUUCCUUUCCAAGAUUCGUGCCACAAUGUCUGUAAGUCAAUCAAUUGCAGAUUACUCCCUUGUAGUUCGUUCCACCCUUCUGCUUCUGUUACCCAUAGCGCUUGACAUCUUAACAAGUUUUUAAUCUAAUUUCUACGUGUCAAACAAAUCAAAUGUAAGAUUUUUAACUAACCUAAUUUAAACUUUUUACUAAAAAGUCGAACCUUGUCCUUCCCUAUAACUUGUGCAUAUGGACGGUCUACAACAUCGCUUUAAACAUUUGGCUCUGAUACCAAUUUGUAACACUCUACUCAAAUAUUCAUUUUAAAGAUGUUUAAAACACUAUGCUUUUAUAAAUACGGAUUUAAAAAAAAUUUACGCAAUACAUAAAACUUUCUUACAAAAAGUAAAAGUCAUACAUAAACUUUUUAGUAUAAAAAACUUCAUUAUUACAUAAAAUUAAGAUGCUUAUUUAUUAUUGAAACAAAGAUGAGCCCAUCAUAGAAUCCUAAAGUCUAUUAUGCCCAUAUGCACUUCAUCUUGGUUAGGACUUGGCGCCAGCUUGCCCUACUCAUCGUUACCUGCAAUAUAAGGACUUUAUGAUCAAAUGCCCAAUAAGAUAACACCUGGAUGCAUGUAUAACUUAUUAUGCAUAUGGAUGAUCAUAUUAAGUUUUUAAAAGAAACUUAGAAAAAUACAAAACAACUUUAUUAGAGCCCUAGGUAUGUUGCACUACAAGGCUGGCACUUUUACUCUUUAAACUUAAUAUGAUUAUCCAUGAUAUGCAUAUGGAUGAUCAUAUUAAGUUUUUAAAAGAAACUUAGAAAAAUACAAAACAACUUUAUUAGGGCCCUAGGUAUGUUGCACUACAAGGCUGACACUUUUACUCUUUAAACAUUAUGCCAUUGGAUCUCAUUAGUUGAUCUUUUAGGCGUUACAUAUCGUCGUCCCCAAAAUAUUUCUUUUUACUUACUUUGAGGGCUUGCCUUUCUUGGAAACUUUGCCACCUGGUAGUACAACUACCUAUUUUUCAUAAAUUCAUUUUCUGAAACAUCUUCUUCGUAAUGUAAUCCAUGAUAUGCAUAAUAUCCAAUGCAAAUUAUGUCAUAACAUUUGAAGUUCUUAGAUGCAUAAUAGAGUCAACACACAACAUUAUUUAAGAAUAAGAUUCUUUAAUAGAGGCGGCAUAGCCAACCACAUUAUAUUUAUGUAUAAGUAUCACAAAUUAGGCGACAAAGUCGACCAUAACAUAACUAAGUAUUAUAGAUUAAGCGACAGAGCUGACCAUAACAUAAUUAAAUAUCAUAACUUAGGCGGCAAAGUCAACUAUGACGUAACUAAAUAUCAUAGAUUAGGCGGCAGAGGCAACCAUAACAUAAUUACGUAUCAUAACUUAGGCGGCAAAGCCGACCAUAACGUAACUAAGUAUCAUAGAUUAUAAUUAAUCACAUCAUAAUAACCAUCACAUCAUAAAAGAAUGGUUAAAACUGAAGUUAAAUAUGAAAAUAAAUUUUGUCCUUACAUUGCGGUUAAAGUGUUUCUUACCUCUUGACCUUGACUUCUCUAAACUUUUCUAAAUGAAAGAUUUCUCGACUCUUAAUAUUAUGACUUGGAAUAGAAGAGAAUGAAAUUUCUAGGUUCGAUUGAAAAUGAAAGAGGGUAGGGGGUAUUUAUAGGAUUUCUUAGGGCUAAUGGAUGGCUAGGAUUUUGCCACCAUAAAUUUUGAUCAAUGGUUGAGGUUAACCCUCAUAAAUAACUUACUAAAUUUUAGAAUUCUUAACUUUUUCUACAUACUUCUCUUACAUCAUAACUUAUUUCAUUGUUUAUGUCAUCAUUACUUAUGUUAUUGCUUAUGUCAUCAUCACUUAGAAUUAAAUAUUUUACAUUAUUAUUAUUUUUAAUACUUAAUGGGGGCUUGUUAACUUAAAAUAAAUUAUAUUAUAUUUAAGUGAGAAAAUUGUACCUCAUAUAUAUCCUAUAAGGUUCACACUUGAUAUGUCUCUGGUAACUACCAUGCCUACAGUUCUAUAGGCUUCACUAUGUUAGUUGGAGGAGUCGAAUAAAGAGGGGUACUAGAAUUUUUUUCACCUGAUUUAAUGUGCAUGAAAUAUGGUCAGUACACUAGAAUUUAGGAUGUUCAAGUAGAUAUCCAUGUAUUUCUCUUGUGCAUAACCUAUUUUUUAACAUAUUAGGAACUAUAAUCGUGUUAUUAUUAACUUGAGUAAUGUAUACUAUGACUAUUUUUGUGGAAGUUAAUCUAACAACAUUUUACAAUUCUCUUCUAUAUGUUUGUGUCAAUGGUUUGAAUUUUUAGACUAUUAUUGUGAAUUUCCAAUUUAUUCAUGGUCACACUAGGCAGGGUGAGUUGUUGAGGAUGAGGACAAUAAUAGGUGUGGUUCAGUAUAGACGAAACAGAUGUGCAAGCGUGGUUGAAAAUGAAGGUGAAGACAGGAUCAGUGCUUUACGUGAUUCUGUACUCUCCAACAUCCUUAAUUUUCUACCUAUAGAAGAUGCAGUGGCUACCUUCAGUCUUUUGCGAAGAUGGAGGCCUAUAUGGACCUCAAAUCGUAACCUCUGCUUUAAUGAUCGGGGUGCCAUAGGGACUACUGUUGCAUCAAGAGUUAGGCUGGCUGCAUUCUAGGAGUUCGUAGAUUCAGUGAUUAUUGGAAUUGACCUGGUAUCGAUACAAACGCUCUUUCUUCGGUGUGUGAGCCCUACAUCUAUGGCUCGGUUUGAUUUGUGGCAUCUAAGGCAAUAAUGCAUAACGUUCGGGAGAUGGAUAUUGAUCUUAUCAAAUACGAACGCAUGCACUUACCAGCCAUUGUGUACAGUUCAACCACGCUUGAAGUUCUUUGACUACACUCUCAUUUUGCCUUAUCAAAUCCUCUGGAUGGUGUAUGUUUUCCCAAUCUGAAGAUUCUUCACAUAUUCAUGCACCACCUUGAAAACCAGGUGAUAGAGAAGUUGUUUUCCAGUUGCCCUUCCCUGACGGAACUCGAUAUAACGAUGUUCAUACUAUCCCACAAUCCUUGAGCUAACUUUAUCAUUCAGUCCACUACUCUGAACAUGCUCAAGUUUGUUGUUCUCUUCGCCCAGUUGUGAGGUAAAUUGUAUCACCAUCGUGCUGUCAUUAGGGCACUGAUAACUCUAGAGUUAUCAUGACAUUUUUAGACUUGAAUCAACCAUACUUAGAGAAUAAAUGACAUGUUUUUAUUGCAUUUUAGUAAUGUUUUGCAUGAACAUCCAUUUUAGUUUACUUUUAAUAAGCUUUGUUUGAUUUAGAAUAAAUUGUGUGCUUAGAUCAUAUGCAUAAUUGUAGGUGACCGGAAGCUUAAAUUUUAAAAAAGGAAUGCUGCUGCAAUAGGCUUGCAAAGAUAAGGAAAGAACAUGGUUACAGAGGAAUUAAAACAAGUUUGGAACAAUGUUGCUGUAGAACCAUUGUUGUAGCAUCUUUGCUGUAGCAAUCCUGGAGGGUUAUCAGAGAAGAUUUCGCGUGAGAUAUUUUGAAGAUUGUGAUCUGGAGUUUCCUACACUGAAAGAUGCGCGCCCUAGGUUUCCGGUUGCCCUAAUUCUAAAUUAUAAAAGGAGCACAAACGCAAAAGAAAAAUGGGAGGCCGUCAUUAGAGAAAAAUAAUAGAGAAAUAAAAUAAGAAUAAACAAGAUCAAGAGAGAGAAUUGGUGGCUGCAACUAAAGGAUUCUAGAAGAACAUCAAGCGGAUCUCACUCUUAUUUCUUGUUCUCAUGUUUUUAUCUCUUUUUGAUGAAUUUUUUGAAUGCUAAAACUAUUUUGCUUCUUAUUUUACUUCAAAUUAUAAACUAAAUUUACUUAUGGUUGAGUGAUAAACAAAUUUGAUCAUUAAUUGACUAAUAUUCUAUGUUGCUAUAUGUUUGCAAUAGCACGCUGUUUUGAUAAUACUUAUUUCAAUUCACUAUUUUGGUUGACCACCCAUUUAGUGAUACUAGUUAAGAAAGAGCCUAAAAAAACUUGUCUUAGUGGAACAUAUCCGAGCAAUAAUUGGUUUUAGAUUGGGUUUCCUGAGUUGGGUUUAACUUGAUUCGAAAAGGGUCAUACUUAAUCUAAAAUUAGUAAUGAACUAAAUAUAGAGAUUCACCUUGUAUGGUAAUUAGAAUCUAGAACGUAUAAUGCUAUAUCUGAUGUUAGCAUAACAAUAAAACAUCCAACAUGCAAUAACUAAGGAUACAUGUUGUAGCAGAUGUUGUAGCAACCGAUCUAAAAACUAGAUAAAUAGUCAAAAAAUCAUUAAGUGAGUUUGAUCACUCAACUACUCUAUUCCCCUUGAUAACAUCCUUGUAUUUGCCGUAAUAGUUUACUUUAUUACAUUUUUAUUUUAAUUAGCUCAUCAGUUUAAUAAUAUGUUUUAAUUCUAAUUUAGAAUAAAAAUUGCACUGAUAAAAUUGUUGUAACAAUUGUCAUAACAAUAAUCCCUAUGGAGACGAUCUUGAAUACUUGUUAUUAUAUUACUUGUUGUGUACACUUACACAUUGACAUCAAUAGUAUUAGAAAACCUACAACAUGCACUAAAUCUCCAACAUCUCUGUAUUGAUCACGUAUUGAUGAAAUAUGAGGUACAUGAGAUGCAAUCCAUACAGCAAGCAAAUUUAGAUGUUUAAUAUCUGGAAUCGGCUACAGUUGAUCCACAGCGUGCUCACAACCUUGUCGAAGGUGUCGCGAAAACACCUCGUCUAAUUCUCUCCGCUAGCGUUGUUUUGGUAAGCUUUCUUAUAAUAUAUCAGAAUGCUAAAUAUUAUCCACCAAAUAUUUUGUUGCUAUUGAUAUGCAGGACUUUUAUUAUUUCUGCUGAACUUUAUAUAUAGUCAACAAUGGACAAUGUUGUGAUAUUAGCAAAUACAAUGUGUUUUUAAAUAUUUCUUACUCAACUGAUUGUAGUUAGUUCUUGCAACAUGUGCUAAUCACCAACAAGAAUGUAAUUGUUGCUGCUUGUGUAAUAACCAUUUCAACUGCAGGCAGUUGAGUGGGCAUGCGCAAGCCAUUCACUUGUUUUGUUUGACAACCUUACAUUUUUGGAUGUUGCGGUUAGACAAUGCGGCUGGAAAGGUCUCCAUACUAUCCUCAUUGCUUUGUCCUACUUGCAUACCUUUAUAUUAACAAAAGUGAGGAAGACACAAUCAUUUUUUGUCAUCUGGUACUGGAUUAGAUUUGUUAACCAUAUGUUUUAUUAUUUUCACAGAUCAAGGAGAUUGGUUCGAGUUCAACGAUCAUGAACUUGGCUGGCUAAAGACAGAGAAUGUAUCCCCUUGCUUCACUCAACGUAGUACCAAAAUAAAGAUGAAUACAUUUACUAAUGGAAAAAAUAACAAAUAUUUCAUGUGGCAUAGUCAAGUGUUGGACAGUUUUAGCUUCUAAUGCCACAACAGUGUUCAAGGCGACAAAUUAGAAAAACUUUGCCGCAAAGUACUCAAGUUUGACACACGGUCUCCCAGUGUGCACAUUCGAAUCAUGAGUCCUUCACACUAGGUGUGUUUGUUGUUCUUGUGUGCAAGUGUUGAGUUAGUAAUUGGAUAUGUUGCAGUUCUGAGUAAUGGGAUAUUAUCACUACAUUAAUGUCGCAUGUUUCAUUGGCGUUGUUUUGCUUGACUUUUUUACUUUUGUAACUUGCUGAUUCCCUUUACUACAUGAAAAACUUCAUUUUCCUUGUGUCUACUGAUUUUCAUGGUAGUAUCUAAUUGCUAGUAAAUUUAUUUAUCAUGCUAGAAAAAUUUAUGUGGGAAUGUCAAACAUUGAAAUUUAAAAUCAUCACUACUAUUAAAAGACCCACAAAUAUUAAAUAUAGCACAAAUUUUCUACGUUUUCAAACAAAUUCUUACAAUGUUAUAAUAGAUUAUACCAGUAAAUCUCAUGAACAAAAUCUUGGUGGUCUUAUAUUGUAAUUGGCUCUUGUUCUUUUACCUUCAAAUUUUCAACGUUUUCAAACAAAUUCUUACAAUGUUAUAAUAGGUUAUACCAGCGAAUCUCAUGAACAUAAUCUUGGUGGUCUUAUAUUUUAAUUGGUUCUUAUUCUUUUACCUUCAUAUUCACAAAUGAUAUUUUUAUGAUUAAUUGAAAUUUUUUUCAGUUGGAAAUUUUUUUUUGCUCAAUCAAUAAAGUUGUGGUCUAACAUCCACGACUUUAUUGAAUCAGCAUCCGAGGACGUUAAGCCACCAAUAAGGUAACUAAAUCUCGUGACAGACCAUGAAUGCAUCCCCCAUGAACAAUAACAAAUGGAACAGCAAAUUUUCAUAUCAUGUUUAAUACCUUCAGCCAAUAAAAGGAAUAGUUUACCUAAAUCAUUAAAUUCAUGUACCACUAAUGAAUGUUCCACACAUCAACUAUAAAUGAUAUGCUAAAAGUCAAAAUGUUUCCCAUCAAAGUCUUACAUCAUUUACCAAAACAACAAUGAGUCUUAAACCCCUCGAGAUGUUUGUCGAGUUUUAUCUCAGCACUAGCACACCCUCUAUGUAAUGCCAGUAGCUUCCGAUUGGGAAUUCGUAGCCUUUCCCCAUGAACACUGGCUCUGCAAUGUAUGGUCAUCGUUUGCAAGACUUUGCAAUGGCUCAGCAAGUACUCUAACAGCAGGAUGUAAGAGUUCUCAUUUCCAAGUUCUUUGAUAAUUAUUGUGCUCACAUAAUUAGUCAGAUAGCGAGGAACAAUUCCUGAUUCUAUCCAUCAUAUUUCCUUGUUGAACAACUCGCACCAAUAGGCCUACAUUAAUAACAAAAAUUGACUCAUCAGUGACUAUAAACGAUAAACAAUUGCACUCAUAAAACCAUUAAUUCUCACCAUUUGUAAUACAAAAGGUCCAAAUGUUUGUUGAUUUACUGAGGAUAAUAGGAAGUAUAAUCUAUCUUCAUUCACCAAUCAUCACAUGCAAAUAGGUCAAGGCCAACAAUGAAGGAAAUAAAUCAGCAUUGGCAAGCGCAAGAGCUCGUGCACGAGUGUGAAAAAUAGGGAAAAAGAGACGAACAAGUUGAGUUUAAUAAGUAGUAAUGAGUCUAAAAGGAAAUGUGCAUUAUUGCAGUAGCAUCAACUAUUGGAAACUAUGGUAGUGGCUAUGGACAACAAUGGCGUCCAUUCUAGAUUGCAUACAUGGAACAAGACAACAUAUGAUAAAAAAAUGUGAAGAUAUGUGUAUAUGGACUUAAAUGAAGAAACUGGAAAAGUAGAGAGCUGUUGUGCAGAUUGACUUCAGUUGAUGGGUUCUAUUUGAUAUCUUCCGCUGACGUGGCAUGAAUUCGUUAUAAUCUGUUAUAACGAAGCCCAGCACACUGAUAUAAAAAGGAGGCUGACGAAUGGUGCCAUAUACAGAGCCAAUAUCGUCUUCAUUUGUUCAUCAUUUUGCAUAGAAUCUGUUUCAUUGUGAUCUGUGCAUAAUCUUCUGUAAAUCACUUGUGAUUGGGUUAGUUCUUGAUCAAUAAUAAUGAGUAAAUUUUCCUUCUAAGUUUGCUGGUCUGUGUCUUUGUUUUGUUUCUGGUUUAGCUUCUUUGUUCUGGCAGUUCUUGAUUCGAUUGUGUUCUUGGUGUUUCUACUUACCAAGAUUCGUGAGUCUUACUGUGGUUUAGGCUUAAAAACUUAACAAAAAAUGUGCAACAAACAUCAAUCUAAACUAAACAGUACAUUUGACACAACUUACUUCAAUCACGCCAACAGACAGUUGUAUAAAUCUAGUGUGACUCACACCCCUGACCAACUCUACGUGUCAGAUCAAUGGCUGACAAUGGCAGAUGCGACACUUUUAUAAUUGAUUUUUGUACGGAUUAAGGUUCUUCAACAGCAUACGACACAAACAUCUUAUCAGUGAUAUCAAUGAAUUCCAGGUUUGGAGUCCUGAUCGUGACAUUAUGCUCAUUAGGUCCAGCUACACGAUUCUAUUUGGUUAUCACCAACACCAACCUCUUUAGAGUUGCCGAUGAAAUGAUGAAGUUUGAGGAUUAGAUCUUCUAAUCUGAGAUAAACAAUUAACGACAAUUGUUCAAAGGAAAAGCAUUGGAAAAACAAAUUCUCAGUAAGGUCGUUCGAAGAUUGCCACACUAUUAGCUGAAGAAUCUUCACACUAGGAAAGCACAGACCAUGUGGAGGAACUGAGGUGCACAAUCUAAAUGAAUUCAAAGAAUUUCGAUCGUCCGACAUCUGUACACACUAGCUGGUAAAGGAAAGCAUUCAUGGUUCCCAAGAUCAAGUUCCAUCUCCUAAACGUUACAACUUACUGCAGAGGACACCCAAAAGGCAAGUCUAGACACAUUAGGUUUCUCACACCGAAAAAACAACUUGACAAUGUUUGCUGGCUGAGUUCGAAUAACCACUUGGUGAACGAAGUCCUCAAAAGCGGCCAAUCUAACUAUUGAAACAUCAUCUUCAUACCACCUAGCCCAUCAUCCAAGCUUAAAAUAUGAAUACCUCUCCAAACAUACCUUCAUCUUCAAGAUAGAAUGGAUGUGGCUAUGGAAUCUUUUGUGGGGAGACAACUAAGCAUGUGCCACAGAAUAAAAUCUAGCAAACCACUUAUCUUAUCUUUAGAGCUGUUCUCUUCUAUUCCAGAAUAAUUCCUACAUGCGCUAAACAUAACCUCUGUUUCAUUCAUCAGUAAAGGCAUAGUCCACCCUGCCAAGUGUUAACGUGUUGAUAGUUUGCCUAAGCGCCUGCGAAAUCAAAAUGCCAAAAUUAUGCCUCCCUUUGAAAACAAACGAAAAAAAAUUACAUUUUAAAUAAUAGGUUCUCACUUUUUCCUCUAAUUAUUUCGCCAUCUGAAUCAAUACAGCUAUGUAUACACUGCAAUAAACUACGAAAUUUUUUCCGUUGCAACCCUUUCCAUUCCUUAGUUGUCACUUAAGAUUCUAAUUGCUUGUUUCGUAGUCAUAGUUAACCAGGUGUUGAAUACAUAUGUGUGUGUGUGUGUGUGUGUGUGUGUGUGUGUGUGUGUGUGUGUGUGCGUGUGUGUGUGUGUGUGUGGUAUCAAGGACAAACCCUUCUUAUGUCAGUUUAUCUAUAUACCACUUUCGAAUCAUCUUGCACUUUUGCAUUGAGUACUCAUAGUUCCACUUUAACCACUUCCUCAUCAAAUAAUUUGUCUUUAAUUUCAUAUUGUCAUAUCAAAAUUAAUCAAUGCUCACAACUCAGAACAUCAAACCCCCUCGUGGUCACAAGUUGGUGUUAUGCCUAGACAUAUAUAGGUUUCAAAUACUCAAUGAAUCUUCAAAACCUCAACUUGACAAUUAUAACAACAUCAUUCAUGACACUCGUUUGACAAAUAUUAAUUAUUAACACUUGGCGCACCAGAACAACAACAACAACCAUAAAUACAAAAUCAACAACAACAAGGGACACUUACAUAUUAACCAAAUCAUACCUACAAUACACGACAAACAGAACCUCAGGUUGUUAACUGUGAAUCAACAACAUCGGUUAUUGUUCAAACUCUGCACGAUUUCGUAAUCUUAAAUGUAUACAUUCUUUUGAAACUAUCCAUGGUCUCUGCACUCCACAAAUCCUCAUUGUUAACUUUCAAAACAAAUAUGUCACCAUGCUAGGAGUUGCAAACUAUGACAGAAUGGAAUUUAAUGCUUUUUUUUUCCUUCUUAUCUUUAAAAUGGAUUACUCUACCUGAAGUAUCACAUGGGAUCGAUUAUACAUCUCUUGUAAGUACGUCUGUAUUGGUUGUUUAUUCAAUUGAUGUAUCGCUACGAUAUUUAGUUUUGAUCACCCCCUCUACCGGUAACUCAUAAUCCAAUACAUUCAAUGUGUUCUAAGUGUACUUCAUCUUGACGGUUCAUUAAUAUGACUGCAAUCAGACGGCUCCUCUUAUUAUUAUUAUUAUUAUUAUUAUUAUUAUUAUUAUUAUUAUUAUUAUUAUUAUUAUUAUUAUUAUUAUUAUUAUUAUUAUUAUUAUUAUUAUUAUUAUUAUAAUAUUGUUUUUGUUUUUGUUGUUGUUGUUGUUGUUGUUAAACUAAAUUUCAGUUGACUCCUUCAUCAUGCAACCUAUCCCAAACUACUAAAAAUAUCAACAUAUUCUUUUUUAUGUUCAAAAUAUUAGGGCAAGAGAUAGCGUUGAAUGAAUUUUUUCAGGAAACUUUUUUACUUCUUAAUGAUAAAUGCGGAUGGUUUGUUGUUUUAAUAAUUUAGAGUGUAAAAAUAAUGCUUAUUAUUAUCAUUAUUAUUCAAGUCAAUUUGAAGUCAUUCAGGCUAAUUCAAACCCAUUGCGAGUUGCGAGGUAAAUUGAGAAAAAUUAGGUGAGUAUCUAUGGAUCCAUAACUUUUAAUUAUUUUUUUUAAUCACAAAAAAUUACAUUAUAAAAUUUUAAUCAUAAGAAUAUAUAAGAUAAAGUUAUUACUCAUGAACUAAUCGUCCCAUAUAAAUAUAUACAUAGAGAUAGAUACAAUAAGCUUUUAAUAAAUAAAAAUUUUGUACUUUUCAAGUUUUAUAUUAUUGAUAUUUUAUUUUAGUUUGAAUAAUUUUGUUCGUUUUGCUUUAAUGACUUAAAUCUAAUGAUUGCUUGGUAAAGUUGAGUUUUUAUUUGUUUAAUUAAUUCUUAACAGUAAUUGUCCAAAAUUUACUUGUUAAUAUAUUAAUGACAAUACUUGUACAUUAAUUAAAAAAGAUGGAACAAGGUGUUGAUCUUAUUGAUGAUUAUUUGUCUACAAUAGAAACGUUUUAUAAAUUGAUAUAUUUUUUGUAUUUAUUUUAAUGUUAAAACUUUAAUUUCUCAUAUACAUUGAUAAAUUCUAAAUUGAAUAUUUUAUACUGAUCUUUUAGACUAUUGUAAAAUUUUAUAAUUUGAAUUAUAUAAUUUAAACUUUUAAGUAUUAUUGAAAGUAUUUUUCUAACAUUUGUAAUUUUAAAUGCAGGAACCCACAAUUACCUGAUACAGGUUGCAAAUGGGUUUUAAAAAAAUAAAAACUGGCAGCAGAUCACGGGUAGUUUGAUAAUUUAAAUUUGUUACAAAUUCGUGUAACCCACAAUGGGCAGUACAUUGUUAUCCUUACAUUGUAUACAUAAUUAAAUGCUUUUGACCUUUAAAUAGAAUAGUAGUUGAAUUUCUUCAUUUUCUUUAUUAAUUUUUUCAUACUUAAUUAUGGUAGGCCAAUCUUUGAAAAAAAAAAUUAUUCUAUGAUAGUAGACAAUAUUUUCUUUAGUAUUAGAGAUCAAAAACUAAAAAUGUUGGACCUAAGUUUUCAGCUGAUAUUAAUUCCCAUGGGCAAAAUUAUAAGGUGAUUGAUGGUUGGUGGAUAAAAUCAAGGUACGAGUAGUUAAUUUUCUAUUAUACACUAUGACGGAUAUACAAAAAAAAUACCAUCAAAGUAGCAUUAUUUUUUAGAUGUGAAAUAUUCAACAGAAAGGUGUUCGAUAAUUUUGAGCUAAGCAAAACGGUAUAUUGUGUUAGCCAAACGCUAAACGAAAUUAAGAGGUUACAAUUAGUAUGAUGUUGCUCACUACAAUAUACCAUAAAUUGCAAGAACAAGCAAAAAUAAAUUAAACAAAAUUAACCACAAAGAGAGGGGUUAAAGCUACAUUGCGGAGUCAAUUUCAAUCAAGAGUCCAGCAAAUUGCAAGCUACCAGCAAAUAAUGUCUACUCAGAAGCUAGCUAUAGAACUACUUCAGCCAUUUAAAAACAACUUCUACAUACAAUGACCAAAAAGCAGCUUUUAAUUAAUUUGCAAGAUCACCGAGGGCUAGGGACUCCUCUAAAAGCAAAUUCACUAAUUCAUGCGAAGGCCUUACACUUCUACUUUUGUCUUCUUUAACGUGUGUGCAUGCACAUGCAUUGGGUAUUGCAUGGUGAUAAUGAAUUAUUUUUAUGGUUUCCGCUUCCCAUCAAAUAAUUCAUCAAUGUAAGUCUCUAUAUCUUCGGGCUGGUAUUUAAUGUACUUUUCUGUUUGCCUUCCAGGAUCCAGAUAUUGUGAGAAUCUUCCCAUGAACGAUCUAUAAGCCGGAAUCACCACCGAUGAUAUUGAAACCCUAAGCUCCGAUUGAAGCUGGUCAUCACUUACAACCCACGUGCUUUGAGUCCUAUGUAUUUCAUCAAACAUCGAAUUGAAGCUCUUGAACUUCUCUUUCAACACCGGCUUCACAACUUUCCCAUUCGCCAUCAACCCAUCGAGCCCUAAACAACCCAAGAGCCUCCCCCACGUCUCUCUCUGAUAAGUCUUGUGGUAGUUCCUAAGAUCAGACGACUUCUUGCGGCACCAUGUGUCCCCCAUCGCUUCGUGGAUCUCCACCGACCCUUUGAUCUUCUGCAAGAUGUAUCGGCCGUUGUUCAUCAUGAAAAUGCUACUCAAUGAUACAUCUUUAUACAUCUUCGAUUUCGCAUCUAAAUUUUGAUCCAACAAGUCCAUCACGCUCACCAAUUGCUGAGCGAAAGGCGAAGGCUGACUCGCAUUAUUGUUGUCGUUAUUGUUAUUAUCACAACUCUGAUCCUCACCUUCAGUUUCCUGCCUACUUGAUGAUGAUGAAUCAGUUCUUUCAAUUUUCCAAUGCUCUCUGAAAACUUGUUCCAACGUGUUCUUAUACUCGCAAGCAUAUUUCAAAUAAUUCAUCGUGUAGCGAGUCAAAGGAUGGACAGCCCCACCUGGCACUGUAGUCUUGGCCAUAUCAGAUUUGAUCGAAUUCUCAAGAUCACAAAACAUGAAAAUUGCAGCCUCGCCAAGCCGAAUCUUAGCAGCCAUCAUUUCGUUCUGGAGCUCGUUAGCACAUUGAUCAGGAACCAAAGCGUUCAAAGCCGGAAUGUUGUCACGUAAGCAUUCAUACAUAUCAAGAACCUUAAACAACUUUUCAGCCGAGCGUUUUGUCAUCGCCAGAGCUUCCGCAAAAUUCAAUAACUGAAUCAUUACCCCACGAAUGAGAUUGCUAAAAAGGCUCGAUGCGAUCAUGGGUUGAUCCGCGAACACUACCUCGGCAAGCUUAUGUUCGCCGGCGAAGUACACAUUGGUGCAUUGGCUGAAGGUGGUGAUCCAGGAGGCGAUCUCACGUUCCAACGUGUCCCAGUGCAUCUUCUGCACAUCAUCUAGGCUGAUCUUUUCGAAACCAAGAUUGUUCAAGCUCUCAUCGAAGGCAUUCCUUCUCGCGAUUAUAUAAAUCUCGACGCAUUCAGAUUCAUAGCCUCCGGAUAUCAUUACCUUUGCCAUUUUAUUCAACCAAGACGAGACUUCCAGAGAGACUCUGGGAGUGUUGAUGAUCGGAUCCUCAGCGGAUUGGUUGGAUUCUGCAACUGGUUUCAGAUCAGUUUCUUGAUUGUUUUCUUUUGUUGUGUCCUUCUUAUGGUCGAGAUUAAAUAUAUCUUGAUCAAGAAUAAAUCUGAAUUCAUCCUCUAAGAAAGACAUGGCACGCUGCUGAACGCCGCCAAUGCGGUUGUUCAAAACACCAUAUGUUUGAUCCGAAGUAUUUUCUGGUAACUUCAUUUCACUCAUCUUUCUUGCCAGCCUUGUAACUCGAUCCACUGAAUCUAAAAACAAUAAUGUAUCUUCUUCCGCCAAGACGGGAGUGCUCGUUUUUGCUUUCCCGUCAGGCCCCAGGUCGUGCUUUGGAAUCUUCUCUUCGAAAAGAUCUAAGAAUCUCCAAACAACCUCAGGGAUCUCCAACGGGGAUGCAAUUUGAUGAUCAUCAUUAUUUUUCAAAGUUGACAAGAACUUGUCAAUUUCAUCAGAAGCAGUUUCAAUGGUGUAAUGAAUCUCAAUAGGAAGAGUUUCUUCGACCUUUUCUUGAUCUAUCUGUUCUUGAAUAUCUUCUUCAAUCUCAUUUUCUUUCGCCUCUUCAGCCUUUUGUGUCUGUAUAGCAGCCUUCGGAGUACUCUCCGUCACCGGCACCUCGGAAGCAUCAGCAUUGUUUGAUUUUUCAGGGUUUUUUUUUUCUUCCUCCAUUGUUGUAAAUAUUAUUUUUGUUUUUAGGAAGGAAUAAAGAAGAAUGUUACAGAUCAAGGUGUCAAUUAUGAUGAAGCUAGGGAAUGAGAGAUGGAGAAAUUAAUUAGAUACGUUUAGGGAGGAGAAUUAUCCGUGUAAUUAAUUUUUAUUUAAUCAUUUAUUUGAUUUGAAUUAAUUCAUGUUUUUUCUUCUUUUUCUUUUCAUUUUUAAUGUUAAUUUCCGUGUAAAUUUCGUGUUAAUAUUUUAGAGGAUUGAAAUGGUCGUUGGGAGAAAUGGUGAGAGAGGAGAGAAGUGGACAGAAAUUAGCGUCAAGUUUUUGGUUACCAGAGAGUUUGUUAUGUGUAUUUGUUUGGAACUAUUGACCGUUGACCAUUUUCGAUUAUAACUAGCAUAUUUUACUUAUGCUUAGCACGAUCGAUUUUCUACUCUAUAAAUUCGGAUAUAUAUAUAUAUAUAUAUAGCCAUUAGUUUUCAAUCCAAAAUUCCGAUGGACCAACUUAUUUCUUUUUUGUUAACAAUGAUUUAAUUUAUAAGAUUCAACCGUGAGAUUUAUAGCAUUAAUUUUUGUAUUAUAUUAUUCUUAGAAAAAUAGCAUAAAAUUGCUAUUUUAAGGUCAAUUUUGAGCCAGAUGCACGUUGACAAAGUAUGCUUGUAUGGAUAAUUCAAAUUUCUUCCAUGAGCUCUUUAUAACGAAUCAAAAAUAGCUCAAUUAGUACUUAGGUGAAUGAAAAAUUGAAUCUUAAAAAGCUCCCAUUGCUUUAGAAAAAAAUGAAUACAUUAAAGGUCAUCUUGCCAUUUUCUUUUUAUUGUGCUAGAACUUGACUAAAAUUAAAUAUGUAACAUCAUCAAUAUCAAUAUUGAUCAUAACAACAAAAAACUAAAGAGUUGUUAGGGGAUGAAUAUGGCUGUAUUUCCAAAAAAAAAAAAAUCAGCUUAGAAGGUUGUUACAAGUGAAUUAAAGUUACAAAUCUUAUCUCAAAUAAUAAAUUUGAAUGUUAAAUACAAGUGUUAGUCCUUAAGUUUUCUAGACCAAAAUGCCUUCCACAAUACUUACAAAUUGGCGUUCAAUUUUAUUUGCUAGAUACACUAAAUACAAUUGAUUUAUUGCUCUUCUCUCCUAACUAAACUCUCUAGCUUUAGGUUUUAGUGUGGUAGUUUGCAAACACUAGUUUGAAGUUCAUCAAAUAGUAAGCUUAUGCUAUUGAAACUAUUCAAUUAUGUUGUAUCUUGGGAGAUAAACGCCAAUACAACCUAAGCACUGUAGAAAAGGUGACAAAUAUGUUUUAAAGAAACUGUACGUAAUAUCACAAAGACCUCAAUUUGUGUUCUAUUCUUUUGUCUUAUGGUUUAUUUGUUAUUAUAUAUUGUAGUAAUUUUACAAUAGAUUAUUGCUAUAUAUUUCAAUUAUGUUAUUAUAAGCUUGUGAUGAGUGUGCUCAAGUACCCUUAGAAGGUUUUAUCACAAAUGUUAUAUAAUAACUAAGGAGUCUAAGUUUUAAGUUAGACUGAUUAUGAUCUCUCUAGUUUUUCUUGAAAACUUAGCUAAUGUAUUUUUGUAUAUAACAUGGGUUGUCUUAUAUCACUUACUAAUAGUGAUUUUAUAACAUUAUCACAUAGCAAUUGAUGGCUUGAUGCUUAAAUUCAUAUGGUUGUUAAUUGUUAAUUUAGUCAAGACUAACUAAUGAGUUCAAAAUUAUGUCAUUAAUGCUUGAAAGGAUGUCUUUAAUGAGCAAUAAUAUAAAAUCAUAUUAGACUAAAGCCCUGUUUGGAAUUAAGGUUAAAAUGCUUUAAGUAUCUUAUUUAAUAAGUUUUGAGAAAAAUAGUUUAGUAAAUUUUUUUAAAAGUUGUUUAUCUCAUAAUUUUUUUUUGUUUUGACAAUAAUUUUAAGGGUUCCUCUAUGAUGCUGUAAUUUUUUUAUAGUAUCAAUAAUAUUUUAAUUGUGUACCAUUGGAUUUAAUCAAUGGUACACAAUAUUUGUACUAAAGAAAAAACUAAUUUUAAAAUAAUGGUAAACAGUUUGUUAAUUGUGACCACCCUUAGAGUUUGAAGAAAUUUCACUUAAAUAGCAUAUUUUAUUUAAAAUUACUUUUCAACCCCCUUGAAAUUUGUAAUGUGAUAAUCUUUUUUAAAUAGAUCUUCCAAAAUCAAUUACCAUUAAGUGUAAAAUAUAAUAUCAAGUACGUUAUUUAGCACAAAUCAAAUAAAUUAGCUGCAAUUGCAAAAUUUAUAUAUGAUAUAACACUAAUAAAUAACACAACUAAGUAUAUAUACUUAAGUAAAUGUCAUAGUUACUCAUUAUUUUAUAUAAUAUUAAGGACCAUUAUUGAAACGACCCGCCCCGCAACCUCCCCCAGGGCGAGUCUAUCUAAACUCGUAAAAUCGAAUUAAUAACAAAUCUAUAAAAAUUUCGGCAGAGUCUCCCUUAUAAAUAAAACAUAUCCAACCCUGCAAAUGACAAAAUAACACUCCCGAAAUAAUUUAAUAAUCAAACAUCCUCCAUAACCAACUUCUCAAACCAACUUCUCGAAUAUCACCAAAAUCAUCCGAAUAUUAAAAUACAACGAUUAUCCUUAAUAACAUAAAAUAAUAACACAAAUUUCGAAUAUAAUAAUAAAAUCCACGACUUCUAGCACCAUCACGUGACCACAAUAUCAAACUAACGUUCACUACUGGGAUGACUGAUGUACCUGUAAAUCUCCUGUGGGGGGAGGAAAAAAUAUAAUAAAAGAGGGGUGAGUAUAAAACUCAGUGAGCUCAGUGAGUGGAUAGUAGGUGCUGAUACUUUAAUAAAUUAUUCAAAAUCAUUUAAUCUUUCUCAAAUCUUUUCUUAAAUCAAUUUCAAUUUCGUAAAUCAAUUCUCAAAUCAAUUUCUCAAAAUAUCAUAAACUGAAUAACUGCAAUAAUAAAUCUGCAUAAAAUCGAUGAAAUCAUCAUACCAUAUCAAAUACUGAAUACUAAAAACUGUCAUCAAACAAGUACCCAGGGGAUAAUCUGAUCAUAUCCGGGCUACAACGGCCAGGCAAUGACGCACUAUCUGGGUAACGUCACGCCCCGGAGCCACAACGGAUAGAUGGGGACGAUCUCAUCUCAUAUCUCAUAUCUCAUAUCUCUUAUCUCAUAUAUCUGUACUGUGCAUGCAUAAGCCCCCAAAAGGUAAAAGCGCCCGAACACACGGCCCAAAGCCUCUAUGUGUGUCCCGACGGGCCCCAAAGGCCUCUAUCUCAUCUUAUCUGUAUCUCUUUUCUGUAUCUCUGUAUCUGGAGGGAAGGGUACUGUCUAAUGAUUUCAAAACUGAUAGUAAACAUAUGAUCCCAUCUGAAAUCUCAUUUUCUUUCUAUUCAACAUAUCUCAAGUCUGCUCAAUUCUAAUAUCAUGCUUUUACUCAAAAACGAUAAGAAAAUCAUAAAUCGAACUCAUUCUCGAUCAUAAUAAAUAUCAACACAUAAAUAAAAGUCAAUUCGCUGGAAAAUUAUUAAAUCAACGCAUUAAACAUUUAUUUCUCAAACAUACUGUACUAUAUAAGAAAAUCAGCAUAUAUUAUGAAAAUAGGUUUUGUAUAUUCCACUCACAGUGAUGAUGUCUAGACUCAGUAUCAACAACGUCCGCGGGUAGAUUCUCGUUCGCGGAUGCGGAUCCUCCUAAUCACGGAAAACACCAUAAUUAUUCUCCGUAAAAACCAAUUAAUAUAAUAAAUCUCGAAAUAAAUAUCUAUUAACGAUAAACUAGUCCCGCAUGUAUAAAAUUACCAAAAUGCCCCUAUAGGCCAAAAUUGCCAAAAUACCCCCAACAUCAAUAUUUUACCAACUUAUCCUCAAACUUCAUGAUUUUACCAAAUUAUCCUCAUAUUCGUUAAUACCCAUAUUGUCCUCAAUUCAGAUUUCAUAAAUUAAUCACAUUGUCCGAAAUUACGAAAUUACCCUCGGUUCGUAAAAUUACCGAAAUGUCCUUAACGAGUUAAAUCACCGAAUUACCCUUAAAAUCACAAAUUACUUCACUGCCUUCAACCAACAUUACCAAAAUGUCCAUUAUUUACAUAAAAUUACACAAUCACCCCCAAAAGUCCAUGAAUUUACCGAAUUGCCCCUCGCCGGUCAACGGUGACCGGACUUCAGUCAACGACGAUGGGGAACUUAGGUCUGCUAGUUCCGGCCUCGGUGAAUCCAACGGUGGUGGCAGUGAGUCGCCACGCGCGCUACCGGCGGCGGAUCGAAGUUCCAAAGUUCCGCAAAUUUUCGGAGAUCAUUCGGCGAGUUCCAGGCGUCCCCGGCGGUCGUGGCUGGUCGGGAAAUGUUGCUGGGGAUGUGAGGAACCAGUUCCAAGUGGUGGCGCGUCACAACUCCGGCGGGAUCAACGGCAACGAAAACGGGUCGAAGCCGCGACUUUUCGAGCUCGAUCACCGGCGUUCUGGCCAGUUUCCGGCGACGAUAACGGCAGGGAUACGACGGUCUGCUUCCAAGCUUCAGAUCGGUACCAAGCACGGCCGGUAAAGUGGCUGGAGUUGGGAGAAAUCGUCGGGUCAAUCCGCGGGUUACUGGGUCGGGUUCUCGGGUCAACGGGUCUGACUUCUCUCUCUAUCUUUCUCUCUCUUCUCGGGUUCUUUCUCUCUAAAAUGGAAAACCCGUUUCCCUCUUUCCAGUUAUACAAUUCUACCCCUCUUUUUCUUUUUUCUUUUUUUUUUAAGCUUAAUACAAAUUAAGCGAAUUUCAGACCCGUUACGAAAAUAAAAUCCGACCAUCGGCGCGUAUAAUCGAGCUCAAUUUAUCCCAAUUAAACUAUAGUGACGAAAUUAAAAAUUAAUAGAGAAGAGGAAAAUAAAAAUCGGCACUUUAUUAAGAAAGUCCAAGUGCGUAUAUUACAAUUAUCUAAUUGAUCAUGAAAUAUAUAUUAUUUUUAACAUUCAUUCAACAUACCUAUUCUUUAAAGUCUAUAAUGAUGUACGAGUUUUUACAACAUUGAUAAUGAGAUUGUUGUGAACUCUUGGAUUUUAGUUUUUUCAUCUCUACCGUUCAUUUGAUAUAGUGAAUAAAAAAUUAACUAUUUAAAUCAUAAUAGGUAAUCUUCAAGUUGCAAGUAAUCCUACAUUCAAUGAGGGAAUCAUUGGAUUUAAUAUUAGAAUCUUCACUCUUAAUUUAAUUUCAAUGGAUAAGUAAUUAUGUAACAAGUAAUCUAUAAGUUGUGAUAUUUCUUCAUACUUUAAAUUAUUUUUUAUCUAAUCAAUGGAUAAAUAUUUUAAAUCACCAAAAAAAUGAAAGAAAUACAAAUAAUUUGGAAUUAAUUAUUAUGUAUUAAUUCUCUUACUUUACCAUUUUACAUUGUUUUUUAGUUUUGCAUUUAGUAUUAGAAAUAUAUUUAAUAGCAUUAAAAUAAAUGUAAUUAACAAAUAAUGUUAUUUCAAUAAUACUUUAUAUAAAGAUAUUAUAUAAAGUCUUAUAAUAAUUUGUAUUGUAUGAAUUUAAUUACAAACCAUUAAUACUUAAACAAUAAUGAUAAUAGAAGGCAUUGCAAUAAACUAUUUUAUAUAUGUUUUAUCAAUAAUAUUAUAUGAGUCACAACAAAUGAGAAAUAUUUUAUUCACCGAUUAUUAUUGAAAAAUAUAUAUGUUUAUAUCACUAUAGAGUGAGAAAUAUUUUGAUUUAAAAUUUUAACAAAAAAUUAAACUAUUAAUUUCAUGCAAUUCAAUGGUGGAGGAUAUGACAUUAUGAAAUGUUGCUUUGACUUUCAAUAUCAACCAUUAGAUUAUGAGAUAUUAAUGGCUCAAAUAUUGUAUCAAAAUUUGAAGUUAAAGUAUCUCAAAUCAUGUCUUUAUAAUGGAAAUAUAAAUAUAUACAAUGAAUUUUUUUCUCAUUUUUUCCAUUAAAUAUUAUUUGAUAUAAUAUUUUAUUUAUUGUCAUUAUUAAUUAUCAUAAUAAAAGUAAUGACUCUUCGUAAUAUAAAAAUUUUAUAAUUACUAUCAAAGAAUAACAAUAAAAUAAUCUUUCAUGAUCCAUAAACUAAAGUUAAUUAGGAAUAUGUGUUACAUUUAACUUUUAUGAAAUUAACAAAGUGACAUUUGAAAAUAAAAUAAAAACAAGCUUGUGAAAGUUAAAUUUUAUAAGGCUCGGAUAAUUUCCUGUCAUGUAAAUAAAAAUAUAAAAAUAUAAAAGAUUUUCUUUCACAUUUUUUUCCACGUAAAUAUUAUUUGAGGUAAUAUUUUAUUUAUUGUCACUGUCAAUUAUCAUAAUGAAAAUAAUAACUUUUAACAACAUAAAAAUUUUAUAAUUACAAUCAAAGGAUAUCAAUAAAAUAAUCUUUCAUGAUUCAUAAACUAAAACUCAUUAAGAAUGUGUAUUAGAUUUAACUUUUAUGAAAUUAACAAAGUGAUAUUUGAAAAUAAAAUGAAAAUAUAUAGGCUUGUAAAACUUAAAAUUCCUACCACAUAAGAAUAUUAAUUGUAAGAUAAACAAAAAGUUCAGAGAAUAAGUAUGUUCAAUGAGUGUUAAGAAUAAUAUAUAUUUCAUGAUCGAUUGUACAAUAGUCCCUUAAUAUUAUAUAAAAUAAUGAGUAUUUUAAUAUACGAUAAUAAAUUUUUAUAUAUCACACGGUGAUCUUAGAACAAGGAGGCCGCCACCCUUCUCUGCAGGAAAUCUGGCAAUAGAUGGCGAGAAAAACUGCUCAUCAAGGGAGGUGGAUGCCAGUGAAAUUUCCCAUCAUCUAAGUCCAUGUCACUCUCAUAAGAUAGAAACAAAGUAUGNNNNNNNNNNNNNNNNNNNNNNNNNNNNNNNNNNNNNNNNNNNNNNNNNNNNNNNNNNNNNNNNNNNNNNNNNNNNNNNNNNNNNNNNNNNNNNNNNNNNNNNNNNNNNNNNNNNNNNNNNNNNNNNNNNNNNNNNNNNNNNNNNNNNNNNNNNNNNNNNNNNNNNNNNNNNNNNNNNNNNNNNNNNNNNNNNNNNNNNNNNNNNNNNNNNNNNNNNNNNNNNNNNNNNNNNNNNNNNNNNNNNNNNNNNNNNNNNNNNNNNNNNNNNNNNNNNNNNNNNNNNNNNNNNNNNNNNNNNNNNNNNNNNNNNNNNNNNNNNNNNNNNNNNNNNNNNNNNNNNNNNNNNNNNNNNNNNNNNNNNNNNNNNNNNNNNNNNNNNNNNNNNNNNNNNNNNNNNNNNNNNNNNNNNNNNNNNNNNNNNNNNNNNNNNNNNNNNNNNNNNNNNNNNNNNNNNNNNNNNNNNNNNNNNNNNNNNNNNNNNNNNNNNNNNNNNNNNNNNNNNNNNNNNNNNNNNNNNNNNNNNNNNNNNNNNNNNNNNNNNNNNNNNNNNNNNNNNNNNNNNNNNNNNNNNNNNNNNNNNNNNNNNNNNNNNNNNNNNNNNNNNNNNNNNNNNNNNNNNNNNNNNNNNNNNNNNNNNNNNNNNNNNNNNNNNNNNNNNNNNNNNNNNNNNNNNNNNNNNNNNNNNNNNNNNNNNNNNNNNNNNNNNNNNNNNNNNNNNNNNNNNNNNNNNNNNNNNNNNNNNNNNNNNNNNNNNNNNNNNNNNNNNNNNNNNNNNNNNNNNNNNNNNNNNNNNNNNNNNNNNNNNNNNNNNNNNNNNNNNNNNNNNNNNNNNNNNNNNNNNNNNNNNNNGUAUUUUGCUGUUUUUUGUUAUUAACUUUAUUGUUAUUUAAAAAUUUUGCAUUAAAAUUAACCUCAUUAUUCAAAUUCAUCAACAACCAUGAAUAGAUUGAUAUAGACCUACCAAGUUUCCCUAUUAUUACCAAUCUCAUCUCUAAAUAAUGUUGUUGUUAUCAGGAUAACAACUUUGCCUGUAGUUGUUUGUUGUUCAAAUAAAAGACUAAGCGUAGUUCAAGAAACCUAGGUAGCUAGCUAGGUCGUUGUUAUUACCACUUUGUCUAUAGUUUUUAACCAAUUAUAAUAUAUAAGUAAUAAAAAUGUUUAUGUACAGUUUUAGAUUCAUACUAACCAUUUUUUGUUGCGUUAAUGAUUAGAACACUUGAUUACAGUUUGAAAUUUCCAAACCUGGGAUUGUAUGGCAUGAACAAGAAUUGUCCUUUACAUGCUUUUUUUAAGCGGUUGCACACACCUUCUGCUCUGCUAGGACAGGAAAUGUCUGGUAUUUGACCAGGAGGGGGUGACACAACCUGGACAUAUGAAUCCAAAUGGUCUUGUUCCUUUUUUAUUUAGGAUAAUCGAGUCAUAUAGCAACCUGAAACAGUGGAUGCAAAAUACCAAAACUUGUCAUUAGACAAGUAUUGCAACAUUAUAUAAAUUAAUUAAAGUGGAAAGAAAAAAAAAUCUCUUACGCAAUAUAUACUUCAAUAACAUUAACUCAUAUCACUUGCAUCGUCAUCAUCGCAUCACAUUUCAUUUUCCUAACAUGGGCUACAAUACCUUCUAGCUGAAAUACAUCAUCAUCAAUCCUAUAUGGGAUCCAACCGGAUGGAGGCAAGUGCAUGUCACAUAAUCUGACAAAGAGUUGCAGCAUUGGAUGAUUGCUUUUGUGCAUUACCGUUGCACUGUACCUUUUUUUCCUUUUAUUUCUGUUCAGAUUUGCAGCCCUUGUUCUUGGGCUAUCAGGUGAAACUUGCUAUAGACCAUUAGCCAAUUGCACUUUCUCCUGAAAUAAUGACUUUCUCGAACAUUCUAGAUAACUUAGUGAAUUUUGUACAUCCUGGAUACACAUGUUUCUCAGUCUCUUCCAAUAGUUUUCUAAAUGUCUUAGGAUUUCCCUCACAAUCAUUAUAAGCAUCAUUGAUCAUAUCUGUUGUAUUAUCAUAAUCGAAGUCCAUUGAGUGAAAUGGAAUAUAUACAUUAGAAGAUGGCGUGGCGGGACCAUCUUCCCCAUGCCACUUUCAAAUUUUAUAAGACUUUACAAAACUGUGUCAAUAAAGAUGUUCAGUUACAAUCAUGGGUGUGCGAAAUUCUAAAUUCCUACAUUUAUAACACGGACAUCUAAUGACGCUAGCAUCUUCGACAUUUUAAAUAGCAAAAUUCACAAAUUCGACGACCCUUUUUUCAUACUCAUGUGACAUUCUCCUACAAUUAAUCCAAGACUUAUCUAGUUUAGUUUCAACGAGUUUUGAUCCUGGCACAUAAAAAAAGGCAAACAUGAAACAAUAAUAUUAGCUUUUCAAAUUAGUUAUUUCAUAAAAAAAAAUAACAAAAUAACAUUGACUUACACAUAUGUAGAACCGAAAGUAAGAAAAGAUCAAAACAUGUUGGCCUCACAUAUUAACGAAUAUUUGCAUAUUAAAAAAGCAAUCGACAGUACAAUACAAAAACAAAUGGAACAUUCAUACCAGCCAAAUUCAAAUAUCCAAAACAAUAGACAAAAAUAAUCAAUAAAGAAAGUUCGGUUAAUUUAUUAAGCAUGUCAAAAUGUAUUUAAUUUACUCAGUUUAUUGUCUGCAAAUGCAUAUUAAAGAAUUAAAAUACCUUGGUUUUGAUCGCAUGCACUGUGAAAAGCUUAAAGGGCCCUCCAACUUAGUAAUAAAGUGUGAAUUUGAAAGGAACAGCAGUAAAUAUAUCCAAGACUGAAACAAAAAAUCCAAAAAAGCAUAUUAACAAUUGAUAAUGACACAUUGCUUUGACUUAAAUAAUUUAUAUAAACAUAUUUGGGAACAUGUGUGACAAAUUUGAUUGCCCCAUAUGCAUAUGCUAUUAUUACUUUAUUAUAACAUAAUGGAAAACAUAGUUGCCCCACAUCUUUUUUUUUGUAAAAAAAAAAAUUACCUUUCCCUAAGGAACACGUUUAUAAGAUACAAAUCAAGAUAACAUUUAUUAAUAUGUAACUUUACGUCAUUGAAAUACAAUAUGAAACAAGAAAAAAUAGAUAACAUUACAAACAAGAAAAUAAAUUAAAAGAAAAAGUUGAUUUGCGAGGUAAUGGAAUGUAAUUAUAACCAUCAAAAGCAAAACCAAACAACCCAUUUCAAUCUUUUUCUCUCUCUCUCUCUCAUAGCUAUAACAGUAACAACCUUGUCAAAUUAAAAGGAAAAAAAAAAACAAGUCCAGAUUACUGCUAUUAUUUUGUAUUUUCCUUUUCUAGGUUUGCAAGUUUCCACAUUUAUGCAUAAGGAAGCAUGGGUGGCAACCACCUUGCCCCAUGCCUCCUCGCCAGCAAAAUGACAAACACAGAUACAGAGCAACCUCAUCAGCAGCCUUAUACAGUCUCAACUUUCUCUGCCCAUCUCCAACUGUAUUAACUUUACAUUGAAAAUGAAAAAAAAAAAAACCUUCACUCUCUCUAUCUCUAUCAUCUAAUGCAACUUCUAAACUAAACCCAUCAUCUCAUUUUUGUCAUUCACUCAGUCACUUGCUCGUAAACUCUCCAAAAUACAAAAUUACACUCAAUCACUUAGGGCCUUAAACAUAAUUAGGUGAAGAAGAAGAAUAAAACCUGGAAUUGAAGGCUUAGGGUUGCAAUCCUCUAGUGUGUGACGAUGUCAAGGUGUUGACAGUUCAUGUCACGUCACACCAUCACCAAAUGGUCAUGGUGGCUGGUUCAAUUUCAAUUAAUGGGUAUGUUAUUUGGGUGUUACCGUUUGCUCAGAGCUAGUAGUGGCUGAUUGUGUACAGAAAACUUAAAUGUAGCAAACAAUUAGACAGUUAGGGUUUGGGUGGUGGUAGUGAGGUUAUCGAUUGACAGUGUGAUGAUGAGUUUGGCUAGGCUUUAAGCGUUGAUUGUGAGAGUGACAGUGAUGAUAAUGUGCUAAGGGUUUGACUGCUCUUUGUCCGAGUGAGAGUGGAGAUGACUAUGGUGUGUGUAGGCUGAUUGAUUGAGGGUGUAACGGUGAAUGUGGCUAGGAUUUCAAAGUUGAUUGUGGAGUGAGACUGACGAUAACUGCGCCUUGGGUUUCAAUGGCCUUUGCGCGCGAGAGUGAGAGUGGUGAUGACUUCAUUGUGUAGUGUUUAGGACAUAGGUUUUUUUUUUUUUGUUCAAAUUUUGCUUAAACGCAUUGUUUUGUUUCUUAUUUGUUUUUUCACAAAUCAUUUCAUAAGUAAAUGUUGCGUUUAACUUUUUCAAAAAAUUAAAAUAAUACUUUUAAUUUUAGUCAAACACUGUCAACAUAAGAUUUCUAUCAUAAUGUAUGUGACUGAGUAAGAUUCUAUCAUACACAUAUCAUAAAUUAUUGAUAUACAAAGAUUCUAUCACUAGUACAUCAUUAAUCGUUUGAUAGACCACAAUUCUAUCACGAAUCUAUCAUAUUUAUAUUAUGAAAUCAUUUCUGUCAUAAAGUGGCUACCAUAUAUUGUCAGUUUUCUUGUAGUGAAUCUCACCAAUGAGUUUAUUGAUGUAACUAUGACAUUUACUGAAGUAUAUAUACUUAGUUGUGUUAUUUAUUAGUGUUGUAUCAUAUAUAAAUUUUACAAUUACAACUUAUUUAUUUGAUUUGUGUUAAAUAACCUACUUGAUAUCAUAUUUUAUACUUAAUGAUAAUAUAUUUUGGAAGAUUUAUUUAAAAAAGAUUAUCACAUUACAAAUUUAAAGUAGGGUUGAAAAGUAAUUUCAAAUAAAAUAUGUUAUUUAAGUGGAAUUGCUUCAAACCCUAAGGGUGGUCACAAUUAUUUUACAAAAUUUUGCACCCCUUAAAUGGUUAACAAACUAUUUACCAUUAUUUUUAAACUAUUUUUCUUUAAUACAAAUAUUGUAUAUUGUUGAUUAAAUUCAAUGGUACACAAUUAAAACAUUAUUGAUGCUGUAAAAAAAUUAUAGCAUCAUACAAGAACCUUAAAUUUAAAAGUAGGCAGGGAAUUAUAUUUUAAUACAAUUUAUUAGAAAUAUCAUCACUACUGUAUGUAGAUAGAUAUAAAAAUUUAUAUCUAUCUACAAUGUUGCUAUGUUACGAACUGUUACUUUUUGGGUUUUUAACAUUAUAUUUUAAAUUUGACAUCUUACAUUAUUUCUGCUUAAACAACCAUGUGAUUUCAUAGACAAUUUUUUAUGUAAAGAUUUGAAUAAAUUUCUUUAGUUGAAUUGGUCAAUUCCUCCUUGGUUUAUUCUUUAGAGUUUAUUUUUAUGUGAUUUUCGUAUUGGGCUUUAAUUAAUUGUGAAUUUAUGCUAAGCUUGUAUAUAUGAGUUUAUUUUCUAUGUUUCUUCUUUUUGCUUUUGUUGAUGCAAAUUCUUGCUCAAUGUACAGUGAUUGAUUUGUAUUUUGAACAUUUUUCUAAAUUAAAUUUUGUGGUUUAUUUUCCCCUUAAGGCGAAUAUCUCAAAUCACAUGUCUUCUUAUGAUUAAUUGUUUUGCUCAUUUGUUAAAGGGGGCUGCUAUGCCUGUAAUAAUCCCCUGACAUCAAUUUAUUUUACUCAACGUUUAGAGAGAAAAAAUUUAAAGUGAGAUGGGCAGUGUUUUUAUACUCAUUUUAUGCCCUUUUUUUCUUUUACCUUUAAAUGGGGUGUUUUUUUUUCUGUUAUAUAAGCAUCUUAGAGUCAAUUGGAGAGAUUAUAUUACACUUUUCCUAUAACAAGUGUCAGUCAAAACCCAUGUAUGGAGACACAUAUUCAUAUGUGUCAAUACUUAUUCAUUACAAGUAUUCUUUAGACGCUUAUCAUGUUUUUGGGCCCUUGACCUUUAAUAGGCUUGAGCUUGAAUUCGGCACUCAUGUUCCGUACAAAAAGGAUUGAUUUUGCAAUAUUUUUUCCGUAAGCACAUUCCAUAAAAUGUUUGUUAACAUGUCAGCUCAUUCCGUAGAAUGUUUGUGGCCAGAAAGCGCAUUCUGUAGAAUGUAUUUAUUUGCAUGUAGGCAUAUUCCAUAGAAUGUGUAUUUGCUCGUAGGCCCACUCCAUAGAAUGUAGGCUCAUUCUGUAAGAUGUAUAUUUGCCUGAAGACUCAUUUCAUAGAAUGUCUAUUUCCUAGUAGGUGCAUCCGUAGAAUAUGUAUUUGCCCGUAAACGCAUUCCGUAGAAUAUAUAUUUGUCAUAGGCACAUUCUUUAGAUUGUGUAUUUGUCCAUAGACUAAAUAUUUGUCCAUAGGCACAUUCCAUAGAAUGCAUAUUUGCUCGCAGGCACAUUCCGUAAAAUGUCUAUUUGCCCAUAGGCACAUUCCUUAGAUUGUGUAUUUCUCCAUAGGCGCAUUCCGUAGAAUCCAUAUUUUUAGAAAGUGUAUUUGUCCUAGGCGCAUUCCGUAGAAUAUAUAGUUGCCCACAGGCACAUUCCCUACAAUGUAUAUAUGCCCGUAAACAUAUUCCAUAGAAUGCUUAUUAGCAUGUAUGCUCUUACAUAGAAAUAUUUUAUAAGUGUGUAGGUCAUUCUUUGUGAGGUUUGUGAGGAAUGACCUAGGUCAUUCUUUGUAAAGAAUGGAUCUAAGUGAUUCUUUGUAAACAAUGGACCUAGGCUUUUCUUUAAAUCAUGCCUUUAGUGCUUUGUCAAAGACUUGCCCUUUAAACGUUUUACUUAAAAAUAUUUUCUAAGUGCUUAAAUAAUUAUUUAUAAAGAAUAGACCUAGGUCGUUCUUUGUAAAAAAUGGAUCUAUGUCAUUCUUUGAUGAAUCAUGUCUUUGACAUUUUGUCAAAGACUUGCUCUUUGGGCGUUUUACUCAGAAAUAUUUUCCAAGUGUUUAGGUCAUUCUUUGUAAGGAAUGGACUAUGUCAUUCUUUGUAAGGAAUGGACUAGGUCAUUCUUUAAAGAAGCACGACUUUUGCGCUUCAUUGAAAACUCACCCUUUGGACAUUUUACUUAGAAAUAUUUUCUAAAUUUCUAUGUCAUUCUUUGUAAAAAAAAUGGACCUAAGUCAUUCUUUGUAAGUAUAAGACCUAUGUUGUUCUUUGUAAAAAGUAUACUUAAGUCAUUCUUUACAAAUGAAUCACGCUUUUGGCGUUUUGUUGUAUCUUACAUUUAGACAUUUACUUCGAAUUCUAAAUACUUAGAUUAUUCUUAUAGAGAAUGGGCUAUGUUAUUUUAUGGAAAAUAUUUUUAUUGGGUCUAUAUUUUUCGUGUUUUGAACGAUUCAUAAUUUAGUCUAACAGCUUUAAUUGUGAAUAUAUGUUGAGCUUAUUAUCCAACUCUCUGUACUGUACAUAAUAUUGAAAAUUAUGCAUCCAUAAUAUUUGGUAAUGUCAUUAAUAAAUUCUUUUAUGUAUCUGAACAAUUUUUUUGAUAAUUUUAAAAAAUUAAUAAUUUUACAAAUUCAAAAAAAUUCUUAAUUCUAUCAAAUAAAAAAAUUAUGUAAUUAGAUUAUUAUAUAGAUAAUCAGUUUCCUUUUUGUCACAAUCAUGCAAUUUCCUGCUUGUAUUCUUGUAUUCUUUUACAUAAUCGAUUCAUCCAAUUCCCUAAUUAGGUGAUAUUUCCGAUUGAACUACUCUUGUCACUUUUUUUUUUUAAACCCUUGUAAAAAUCCUAGGGCAUGUGUCCAUUUACGAAUAAUGCUUUUUUUUUUCAUACCAAUCAUAUGUUACAAUUAAAACUUUAUUGAUAUAUUUACAAUCUAUUCCUACCUAAUUUCUUUUUACCCGUGUAAAAAUCUUAGUAGGCUUGAGCCACUGGCAAAUGAGCAAUGCUACUUUGAUAAAAGUAGUACAAUAAAAUUUUGACAAAAUAUAUAGAAAGAUUAAAUCGCCCGUUGUUCUGUAUAAAAUGAUUAGUUAACAUGAAUUGCAACUGAUUAGUUAACAUUAAGUGUUUUUUUAUCUACUCUUUUUUUUUUUUUUUUUUGGCGAGUAGGCUAUGAGCUAUUGGCAAAUGAGCAAUGCUACUUUGAUAAAACUAGUAUAAUAAAACUUUGACAAAAUAUUUAAAAAGACCAAAUAAUCCAUUGUUCUGGAUAAAAUGAUUAGUUAAUAUGAAUUGCAACUAAUUAGUUAAUAUUCAUUUCUUUUUUCAUCUGCCUCAAUUCUAUAUUUUCGUAGAAAGAUUACUCGAAUUGGUGCUCCUCAACACUGUUGAGAGCUCCAACCCAUGUCAUAUAAAUAUUGUAAGUCAAUUUCAAUUCUAUAUUUUCGUCCUCUAUAUAUAUAUAUAUAUAAGAGUAAAGAGUAGUGCCAAAAAUUAAUUCAUUUUCUAUGUGUACAGAAAGUUUAGAAGAGGUAAAUUUAUGCAAUUAAAUCGUUUACAAAGAAGCAAUCAUUUCUAAAAUGCAGAUGGCCAUCUCUCAUAAUUAUGACGCUCUAAUUAAUUGGUGUUCGUUUAUAUAAUUCAUUUCUUGGUUGUUUAAAAUUAAUUUAUUAGUUAUUUAAAACAGGCUGAUUAAUAUUAGACAUGAUGGGAAAAUCAUGUAACAAUAAUUAGGCUGAUAAAUUUGGCAUAAAAAUCAACUCCAAAUCCAGCUAAUCACUUGCUUGAUAUUCAAUUUAAUUUUACCUUCCUUUUAAGACCACGCUGCCCACAUAUUAACAAUAUUUUGUCAUGCGUUAAAAUUAAUGAGCCCAAUAAAUAAAUUCACACCUAAUAAUUAAAAAAUAAAAAUUAUUUCCAAGGUAGAAACAACUGAGUCUACAAAAUUUAAAAAAUAAAAAAUUACAAUUACAAGAAUAUUCCUAAAUUUAAUAAAACAAAUAAAUUUAAAAAUCCAAGAUGUUAACUUUUAUAAUUAUAUUUUUUAUAAUUAUAAUUAUAUUUAAUUUUUUAAUUAAAUUAAAUAUAGGGAAGUUUACAAAAAUUAACAUGAAGAGAAAAGCUCCCUAUAAUUAUUGUGAACUUCCCUAUAAUUAAAAUUAAGAAACUUCCCUAUACUUAAUUUUAUUGCAAACAUUACAUAAAAUUGUAUUUACGAAAAAUUAACAUGAUAAUUUCUAAAUGAAAUUACAAUUAUAAAAAACUAACAUCAUGAAUUUUGAGAUUUAUUUGUUUGAUUAAAUUCAUCGGUAUUCUUAUAAUUAUAAUAUUUUUAUUUUUUAAAAUUACAAAAAUUAUUUUUUAAAAAUUUUAUAAAAUAAAAUAGUCUUUUAAUUCAUUAAAAAAUAAAAUAAUUAUUUUUUAAUAUCAAAGUAAUUAAUUAAUAUAAAUUUAAAAAUAAAAGUAGUAUAAAAAAUAUAUUAAAAUUUUAUGGUAAUUAAAUAUAAAUAUGAUAAAAUAGAAGUGUUGCAGACGUAAUUUUCAUUUACGCCAUUACAUAGAUUCUGUCAGUCUGCGCCAGAGCCCUGAGCAGAACAUGUCACUCAUGACGAAAUCCGUUACACGAAGGGCAAUUUCGUAACUCGACAAAAAUUUCCCCACGUUCACAAGUCACGACACACCGUACCCGGUAGUCUCCAAGACUCGAACCGGAGGGCAACCCAAACUCGGACAGGGAAAAAUUAAAAAAUUAAAAAGAAGUGCCCAUUUAAAAACAACUCUGUACCUCUCUCUCGCUCUCGCUCUCGCUCUCUUAUCUCACAGAGAAACAAAACAGAGAAAGACUUCAGUUGCAGAGUCCGAUUCUUACAAUUACAGUUCGUACAGUUAAACUCAAGACUCUUCCAUCCCCUUAAAAAUCCUCCCGGAAAAUCCCUAAUUCCCUCCAAGUCCUCUCCUCCAUGGACACACUAUUUGAGCUACCUACUAUUCUCACCGGCCGUUGAUUCUCCUCGUGCCUCACCCGCAUUAUUUUUUCGCCUCAGGUUAUUUCUCCCCUUAAAAAUCCUCCCGGAAAAUCCCUAAUUCCCUCCAAGUCCUCUCCUCCAUGGACACACUAUCUGAGCUACCUACUAUUCUCACCGGCCGUUGAUUCUCCCCGUGCCUCACCCGCAUUAUUUUUUCGCCUCAGGUUGUUUCUCCAACUAAUCUCAAUUUCAAGAAUUUCUUUUUAAUAACAAAUUUCAAUUUUUUAUUUUAACUUAAUUGCUCUCAGUCUACUUGCUGGCUGAAGCUUGUUAAUUUUUUCUUAAAUAUAUAUUUAUUUUUUGAAGGUUUUGCAUUGGUAAUUAUCUGUUUUCUUCGUUGAAUACUGUUUCUUGAGUAGCCUUUUGCUGUGACCGCUUGUGCUCUCAGAAUGCUGUGUUUGUUGACGCCUAUAACCAAAUUAGUUUUAGGGUUUAUGUUUUGGUUUAGUUAGAGUCGUAAUUAAUUAUAUGAAAUUAUAAUAUAAUCAAAUAUGUGCAGAAACAUUGGGCAGUUCUGGGUAGAAUGUGUGUGUGUGCGCGCGCUUGUGCUGAGAGAGAGAGAGAGGAACAUGUACUCCAGAAGCUUUGAGUAAUUAGAGGAAUCAAGUUGGAAUUUCAGGGGGAAAAAAAAGGAAAUUCAAGCAUUAAUGUCUUGGGAUUGACCUUUGAGUCCCCUAACAUUGAUGUACUGUUUUUGUUCUUUUCAUUAUUGUUUGAUCAUUUAAUUAUUACACUUCUUUUUAUGUUGUGUAUCUCAUCUGCAGCGUGUUGCAAUCGCAGAAUCCUGUGAAUUACUGCUUAUAGAAUGCACUUUAUAUUAAAUAGUGUUUUGUUAUUAAAUAAUUUUACUGACAUGUCGUUUGAUCAAAGGAAACCUUUUCCAGUAAAGGACUGUGGUCUGACCCUUCUUUUUAAUCAUAGUCAUCAAUUAUUCCACUCAUUCACCAUUUACUUCCCAUUAGUGGGCCUUAGUUAUGAAGUCUCAAAUAAUUUAGUUUUUAGUGCGGUGUUUCCCCUAGUGUUUGAUGAUGGAAUGCGUUGUUACUUUUCUAUAUCUAGAAAAUUUAUGCUAGCUUAUAACAUUUAUAUGGCGUUUUAUAAUCUCUCAGCUGAAAUCCAUAUUUAUGCAAGCAACUAUAGCAAGCAUAAUGUUGUUGGCAUGGUAAUGGUUGAAAUUCGGGAACAUUAAAAACCCUAGCGCUAAUAGUGCUAAAAUAUGCGUUAUAGCAUUUCAAAUGCACGUUAAUUGAGGAUACUAGAUUUUUAUUGGAAUUAAUUGAGGAUACUUGAUUUUUAUCGGAAUUGUACUUAUAUUUCCUCUGCUUUUUCUUCCUUUUGCAGGAUCCUGCACUUUUGAAGUUCCGCCUUAUGCUUUGGUAACUGGGUCACCUCUUAACAAUCAUGGGCAGUACAUUUAAUCCUCAGAUUUUAGUAGAAAAGCUAGCCAAGCUCAACAACUCACAGGCUAGCAUAGAAAGUAUCCUUUUUAUUUCAAUUACAAGUAGUUUCUUUUUUAUCUUGGUGGUGUUAGUGUCUUUAAUGUUUAGGAAACUUUUAGGGCCAUUUUCACUUUCAUACUUCGGGCAGAAAACGCUAAUAUUUUGCUUUAACUGUCAUUAAUUUUUACUUUCAUCACAAAUAUUCAUCCUCAUAAAUUGAGAUUCCUUUUGCACUUUUUACGGUCAAUCUAUAGUUUUUAUCCUUAAUGUGAGUUAGCUUUGUCACAUUGGUGUAUUUUUCAUAUGAAUAAAGCCAAGCAAGUUGUUGAAACAUGGGACAGACAAUUUCAUUGCUCUCCACGUGACCAGAGAUUGGCUUUUCUAUAUCUUGCAAAUGAUAUUUUGCAGAACAGCAGGAGAAAAGGUUCAGAGUUUGUUGGUGAAUUUUGGAAGGUUCUUCCUGAUGCUCUUCGUGAUGUAAUACGAAAUGGAGAUGAGUUCGGAAGAAACGCUGCUCUAAGACUGGUAUAUUCACCUUAGCAUUGCAUACUUGUUUCUAUAUCUACUUAAUUUUUCAAAUUGGACUGUAUAUUCUACUAUGAAUCUUAUAACAUGUUAUCAUCUAACAUUAUAUCCGAAACUAUGUAACUUGAAGCUUUAAAAUAUGGAUUCUUUGUGUGUAAAGGAAACUCUUGAGCCAAAAAGACAAUUGUUAGAGUGGAUGCCUUGAAUGAUAGUUAGUUAUUGCAUCAUUACGAAUGUUCUCAAUUUUCUAUUGGACAGAACUAUUUGGCAUGUUUUAGGGGCUUCUAAUAAUGUUUUACAUUGGGCGGAUAAAGUAAAAAACAUAUAAUGCAGUACGUAGAAGAACGCUGUACGUGUUUUGAUGGCUUUUAUGUUCCUGUCGAUAAGACUCCCAAGUACCUCAAUGUGUUGCAAGAGAGGGGAAUAAAGAAAAUGGGGAAUGAAAAUGGAUCCUCAAAUAUAAAAUUCAAAAUAACAGGAAAUGCCAAUAAGGAGCACAUAAAAUUAGCCUCAUCUCCAUGAAAUAAAUUCCUCAGAUUAUAUUUCCAGGUAAUUGCUCACUUUACAAUCCUUUCACACCAAAUGUUGCACACCAAACGUUAGCUGUAUUUUCUCAAGUCCGUCCUUCCUCAUUGAGGUGUCAGGAUCAAUCAUUGAUGAAUGUGAAAAUAUAUAAUCACUGAUGUCUCAUUGAGUUGUCACAAUGAAUCAGGAUGUUUAAACUGGCCCGUGGUAGGUAUAGUUGACAUUAAUUGAAGAGUAAACUGUUUAUCAUUCAAUCUUAUUCUAUCUAGUUUGCUUCAAGAACUGCUAUGCAAAUUGCAAUCCUCUAUUACAUGUUUGACCUUUUCAGGAUGCCACAUACUUGUUACAUCUUAUUCGUAUACUCACUUUUGUAUAAAGUCAAUACUGAUUGCUGAAGGUUACAUUUUCGCUGUGUACCUGUAGAUUGGUAUAUGGGAAGAAAGGAAAGUUUUUGGUUCUCGGGGGCAAAUACUGAAAGAAGAGAUUGUCGGGAGGCACCCAGACAAUCACAGUAGAAAUGGGAAGCAUCUGGGGUUGAAAUUGGUAAUUCAAUUUUUGCCCUUUUCUGACUGAAUGAUGUUUAAUCUUGUUGAAAAUUUGAGGACUAAUGCCAUCUCUCAUCUUCUUUCCUUCAAGCAGAAGCAGCCUAUUGGAAAUACCGUGGACAAAAUAGUUUCAGGUUAUCAGGUUGUUUAUGGGGGCCAGGUGGAUGAAGAUGUUAUUUUGCACAAAUGUAGGGAUGCUAUAAGCUCUAUGGAGAAGGUAGAGAAGGAAAUUGGCAGUGACGUCCAUUCAGGUAGUACCUACAUUUGGUUUCUUUUGGACAACCACAGUAUAUGUAAAUGUUUUUCACUUCAUAAUAAAUCUUGAAUAUAUAGUACAUUGUGAUUUAUCUGCAUGCUCUUUCACUUGCACACAUUUACGUAUUUUGUUGUUUAGGUUAGGCUUUCAUAAUGUUACAUGAACUAGCAUUAUAGUCCUAAUUAGUGUUUCUAAUGUAACUCUACACUUUCUUGAAUUCACGUUAGUUUCUUCAGACUACUUUCUUCUGAUCUUUUCCCAUGGAAGGAUAGUCUUGAAUUCACCUUAGUAUAAAUUUGAUGGGAAGUGCAAAUUUGAUUAGCUAAUAAACCUUUCCCUCUCUCCAUUUUGAGUGAACCUCCUUAAACUAAGAUUUCAACUGUUUAAGAUUUCAUUGAUCAGCCUCAGGAUUAUAACUUUUAAUUAGUGUAUUGGUGCGCUGGGCUUGGACAUGAUAGUCAAGGAUUGGGAUGUGUCAGUGUAGUUUCAUUAAUUGAUUUCUCAAAUUGUUCAUAUUAUCAUAUCUGAUUAUGUCUCUCCUUCACAAAACAUUGUUCUGCACAGGACAAAUGCAUGAAUCUGCAUUUGUGGAGGAGCUGCAGGCGCAGCAUGCUACAUUAAGGGGCUGCAUUGAGCAAUUAACAUCUGUGGAAUCAUGGAGAGCAAGUCUUGUGUCUAAUUUGAGGGAGGCUCUCCAGGAGCAGGUCUGUCAGCCACACUAUUCAGUGGUUGCAAAAAUCUUGCAAUUGUGAUUGAAUGUAAAACUGACAUUUAUUUUUUUAUCUUUCAGGAAUCUAAGCUGGCUCAAAUUCGUAAUGAGCUUCAGGUUUGUCAUUGUUACCCAUUCUAACUAAUUCCAUGGAAAUAUUUACAUUCACAUGCUCAAGCAGACAUGCUCUUACACUGUAAAGAAAUUAAUUGAAAUAUGGCAUUUAUUCCAAAUAAAUCUAUAAAUGUAAAUGCAUUUAUUGAUGUGUCAUAAAUGGUUUCCUUUUUAAAUAUACUAAGAAAAAGCUUUAAACUGGGUGCUUGCUUGAAACAUAUAGCCCAAGAAAGAGUCGUAUGGCUAACUUUGAUUAGUUUCAUGGCAUCUUCUGCAUUUGUGCCCCACUUUUUUUUUUCCCUUAAUUUUUUAUAUCACCUCAUUUUGGUUAUUAGCAUGUGCGAGUAAUGAGUUUUUGAAGUUUUAUAGUGUUUUGAAGUUUUACAGUGUAAGGUUGAGAUUUAUGGUCUGGUGGGAGAGUGAGAAGAUUUGUGUCUUGCCUUGAAUGCUGACUGUUUGAACAUUGCAUUUUCAACACACUUAAAGUCUUUCCUGGCUUUAAAGUCCUUUAUGAGUGCGCAGAAGUUUUUAGACUGAGUAUGGAUUUGUUCAUUGUGCCAUAUUAAGCACGUGGAAAUCAUCAUCACUGUUUUUUGCUUACCAGGUGGCACAGUCCCAGUCAGAGCAGGCUGAUAACAUUUGCCGGCAGUUAGUAAAUGGUAACCAUGCACAGUUGCUAGCCGAGCAGAACUCAAAAGAAGUUCAUACCUCAAUGGCACCUCCAGGAUUUAUACCAGGGGAUAGGGAGCAGUCAGCUCCUGUGAUGUAUGCUCGACAGGCGUCUUUUCCAGAGAAGUCUGGCCACAAUGAAGAAGACCCCAGGAAAUCUGCAGCUGCUGCAGUGGCAGCAAAGCUGACUGCUUCAACGUCAUCAGCCCAGAUGCUCUCUUACGUCCUCUCCUCUUUGGCAUCUGAGGGUGUCAUUGGUAAUUCAAGUAAAGAAGCCACCAAUGAUUUCCCUCUGGAAAAGAGGCCUAAGCUUGAGAAUGACCAUUCUUAUGCACCUCCUCCGUGUACCGAAAAAUCACCAGCUCCUCCUUUCCCGCAUCCUGACUCUCUUCAGCAAAAUAUAACAACUACAACUUCACAAUUAGCUCCAAACGACCCACCACCUCCACCACCAUCAUCCCCUCCACCAAUGCCACCAAUGCCACCACUUCCACCUAUGCCACCAUAUCAGAUGCCCCCAUAUAUCCAAAAUGCUGGACCAAUGACUAGCUCACAAUUUAGCUACAACCUGACCCAACAACCCCCUACUGUGCCUGGUUAUCCACCUGUUGGGGCCCCGGUGACAGGCAUGUCUCCCUUUGGGACACCCCCAACAAAUCCUUACCAGAGCUUUCAGGGUUCUGAUGGUAAUUUCUAUAGUCAGCCAUCCUCAAUGCCUGUUGCACCGCCAAUUUCUCGGCAAUAGGAUUCUCAUCAGGCCUGCCUUAGUCGAAGGUUUUUCCGGGUAACUUAAGGCGUAAUCAUGAUAACUUAUAGAACUCAGUCGUUACCAGCGCUAGAAACUUUCCUGUUUGUGUUAGUUAUACAGCAGAUUUAGAGUUGCACAUAGUGAAUGUUUGUAACUUAUGAUUGUUUUUAGACUGUGGUGUUACAUUGUUGAAUUUAGAGGAAAAAAAUGGAUUUUUUUUUCACUUGAUUAUGCAAUCAUUUGUUAUUUAAUUGAAGUAAUUAACUAGGCUAUGGUCUCAUUUCCUGCGAGGAGACCCAUAAGGAACCUGCGGGCUCCAGUUGGUGGCGUCAUGCAGUUGUGGGCCUCGAAAGUGAAUUAUUUUCAUGACAUUGGGUUCUAAUUUCAUUCGUAAAAAACCAAUUCAUACGAGCUACUAAAGAGAAUUAUUUUUCAGAUAUUCCAAAAGUAGAGUCCUAAGAUAUUUUCUUGGGCAAAACUCAUAACGUCCACUUUACUUGAGGCCCCAGAAGCAGCUUUGUACAUUUUUGGUUGGGCUGUGCUAGGACUGGACCGGAGUUGGGGUUGGGAAUUUUUUAACUACGCGUUCUACAGGACCCCAGUAGACGGGCCACUUAGUUCCAACUGGUAAAUGUUGUAUCAUCAACUUAUAGGAGAGCACCAAAUGCCGAGUGACUUCUACCUUAGAAUGGUUUCAUCUCGCCAUAGUAUGUACGUGGCUUGUUAUACCAGUAGUUCAGAUUGAUAUAGCUCCCAUCAGAUUGAUAUAGUUCCCAUUUGGGUUAAUUAUCAGAAUAGAUGUUGUUGGUUUCCUGCUUACAUAUAGUGCAUUUCCAAAAAAUUUUGUGAAAACUGCAGAAGCUGCAUUGGCAAAAAUUGGCUUUUUAGAGUUUAUUAAAUCGAUUAUGAAAAGAUGCUAGUUAAAAACACUUUCAAACUCUUGACUCAUGCCUAAAAAUUUCUUCUCAACACAUUAACGGCUAAAUGGGUUAACGGAGACCGUGUUUAAAAAGAAACUUUCAGAAAAUCAGUAGAAAUCUCUACUAAGUUUUUAUUAUUUUUGUCAAAAAAAAAAGCUUAUUUUUCAAUAACUUUUCCUCCAAACUCUUUUCUCUUGAAUAAUAACAAGGACCGCCUUUUGUUUAUGUUUUAAAUAUAAUUUAUAUUUCCGUUAACCAGGUGAGACUUCUAAACCCAAAAGAUAAAUAAAUAAAACUAAAAACAAAUUAGAUAACUUACUUGCUAACCGCUAUCCAAAUGAUGUUUAAACUUUCUAAGUAUGAAUAAGAGAAUUUUAUUGCUUGAAUAUUGUGUAUAUAAUGAUUGCUUGUUUUUCUAGUGUGUCUAUUCUUUCUAUCUCUCUUUAUCUAUUCUUAGUCGCUUGAGAGGUCUAUAUAUACACUUAAGGACUCGAUACAAUAAUUGUUACAAUUAAUGACUCAAUGUACAAGAGAUAAGAUUUUGAAUUUACACAAUUUGCUAAAGGACUAACUAAAAGUAACUAGUAAAAAGAUUGACUUGGCUACUAUUAUUUUGUGAUGACUCAUUGUCGAUAAAUAGUGAUUGGCUAUUGUUUUCUAGGCUAACUCGUUGUAGAUAAUAAAAUGAAAAAAUGAAAAAGAUGAUUGCAUAGUUUUUCCUUAUCAAGUAGUGAGUAAAUGAAUGACAUAUGUAAAACAUGAAUUUGAUAAAGGCAAACUACUUUAACGUUUUGACUACUGCUAGUUGGCUAAUGCUGGCUAAUCAUCCAUGUCGUUUUCCACGUUGUCUGCUUCUUUACUUUCCAAAUCAUCCCACCAUUCAGCUUCAUGUAGAGCCAAUUCCUAUUGUUCAUUUUGAGCUCUCAUUUCUACUUUGAAUUCUUUGGCAUAGUGCUCUACCAAUCUUGUGUAUUUGGUUUUGGUGAAGGAGGGUACUUCUAGAAGGGGAUGUUUAGAGUAAAUUUUUUGAACUACAUCUUCAGUGAUUAAGAUAUAAUCUUCAAACUCUUAAUGCACCUAAUAGAACUGUCUGCCUAUCACUUUACUAGUCCAAUGUUUAAGCUACUCUUCUAUACUAAACUGUUUACAAGGCUAAAGAAAUUAUGUUUCAAAAAGUGAAGGUCUAAAUUUAUGAACUUUGACUACUAUUUUAUAUUGGACUGGUAUGACCCUAGACUCAUCCCAUUUUGGUGGUUUGUUGUCUAGGAAUAAUUCCACAAAUGAAUUAUUUGUUGUGGCAAAAGUGUUUAGGAUUAUUAUGGCUAUUUUUCUUCCAAAUGGAUUUGAUCGAUCACGGCCUGAAAAUACUACUUGACUUGAUAGGCCAUAAUCUAAAAGUAAGGUUGGUGUUAAAAGUAUUUUUUUUCUUGUUUGCAAUCUACUUCAACAAGUUCAUAUCUUGAUAGAUCUAUAUAGGCUGAUGGUAUGCUAUAAACAAGGUGUCAUCUAUAAGCGAAUCUUUCUAAGGGGAAUGAUUUAAUAAUGGAUCUUCUCUUGGGCAAUUUACAUUCUCAGUUUUAUAUUCAGUAUCCCAUAUAAUAUGUAAACCAUUAGUAUUUAAUUCUGAUAUAGCUAUAUUAUUUAAAAAUUUUAUAAUCUAUAUUUGUUUGUCUAAAACUAUUUUUACUGCUUUUUGUCUAAUUUUUUGGAUUAGAUAUGUUGGGUGUUGAGUGUUAGAAAAUGCAUAUUUAUAAAGGAGAAAAUCGUCAUUUUACAUUUCAAGUCUUACUAACAACCCUUACUUUUAUGUAUUUAACCUUCUUGUGAUUUAAUUACAUGUGUUUUAUUUUAAUUAAGUAUUUUAUGCAUUUUAGGGGCAUCAUAGUCAUUUCACAAUAAACGAGAAAUCAGAUGGCAAAACGGACAUCACUUUUGAACUCAGGACGGUCGAAAACUUUAGAAGGAGCAUAAAAGGAAAAAUGGCACUGUUCACAUGUACGGUACUAUUCACGUGUACGGUACUGUAUACAUUACUGUUCACGACACUGUUCACAUAGACGGACCGAUGACGUGGCAUUGACUGAUGAGGUGUCACGAUCCUGUUGGACUAAAAUUCUUAUAUACUGUUAAUGGUGACGUGGCAGCAUAUCAGUGGACGAAAAAUCUCGCAUACGGUGCAUGCAUCACACAGGAUUAUUUUCAACCAAACCGCGUUACUGUUAAUCCGGGUCAAACCGUGUUACUGUUCAUCCGCGUGGUCAAACCGUGGACUGUUGACUGAUGACGUGGCGCAAUCCUGAGCGUCCAAACUGUUUUUAAUCCGAUGGUCAUGAUUUACUCCACGUAUCUAUAAAAAGGGAGCCUCUCCCCCCUAAUUUGAUAUCUCUGAAUCCAUUUUUGGGAUCCAUUUUCUGUAAUUCCUUCUCCAUCUUGUAUUUUCUUCGUAUUUUAAUAAAUUCCCAUUUUGCCCCUAGUUCAAUUAUGAGUGGCUAAUUUUCUUUCAAGCUUGGGUUGAAGGUGAAGUCUCAACAUGUGUCAUGGGCUUAAUUUGGUAAAUUUAUUUUCUCUUCCCCUCUAAUUUUUGUGGAUGUUUUGACUUCUCGUCGACAAAUAAUAAUAGUCUUGUCUAGAUACCGCCUUGGUUACACCGGCUCUCUAGUAUAAGGUUAUUAUUAUUUGGCACGAUAAGCCCUUAGCACCAUAUUGAUUAGAGCGUGGUUCAUGAGGUGUGGAUUCCCCCCUUAUGAUUUAAUUGGCAUUAAUACGGAUUAUUUAGCCCAUGAUGCAUGUUGAUACGGAUCCAGAUACCCAAGUACGUCAUUUCAAUAUAAUUCUCUUCAAUUUAUUCUCGCCAUUUCAAUACCAAUUUUAGAAUUUAUUCUCGCCAUUUUAAUUUAAGUUUUAGCAUAUUCCAAAUCAUUUCCACCACAAAUCCAACCACCCAUUUACAAAAUUAAUUCUAUAUAUAAUUAAAAUCCACCUCCUCAUGGGAUCGACACUCGUCACCAUUAGUCUAUACUACAAUAGAUUCGUGCGCUUGCGAGUACAUUAAAAUUUGCGCAACAAGUUUUUGGCGCCGUUGCCGGGGAGGUAAGUAAUUUUAAUUCAUAGAAUUAAAUUUUUUUUAAUAAUUUCUUUUAUUUGUUUUCUUCUAUUUUUUUAAUUAAAAAAAAAGAAAAAAAAAGUGAAUCUACAUUUAAAGGUUAGUAUUUCUUUUCUUCUUCUUUAAAAUUCUGUGAUUUAAUUUUCAAUUUAUUUUUCUUUGUAAUUUUUUUUUAUUUUAUUAAUUUAAUUUUUAGUUAAUUUAUUUCACGUAUUUGUUUUUGUGUAUUUUUAUAGAAAGGUUUUAAUAGCACAAUAAGGUUAGUAUCAUAAUUUCUCCCUCUUAUUUAUUUUUAUUUGUUUUGUUCCCAUCUUUAUUUUCAUUUUAUUUGUUUUGCAUGCAUGGGCAUAGGUCAUUAUUACCUAAUCUUGAACCUAUAGACUUUGAACUAGAAAAAACACUUCGCACACACAAACAAAUUAAAAAUAAAAUGGAUUUGCAACCACAGGAGAGGCCAUUUAAGGACUACUUCAGUCCUUUAGCUAAUUUGAGCACAUCAUGCAUAAGAUACCCUAAUGUAGCUGCUAGGAGCUUUGAACUAAAACCUAGUGUGCUAAAUCGUCUCCCCACAUUUUAUGGCCUAGAAAAUGAGGAUUCAUAUAAUCAUCUGAAUGAUUUUCAUGCCAUUUGUCAAACUUUUAAAUAUGAAAAUUUUUCAGACGAUGAUGUUAAACUCAGAUUAUUCCUAUUUUCUUUAAAGGAUAGAGCUCGUUUAUGGUUAAAUAUUUUGCCUGCUAAUAGCAUCACAUCAUGGGAACAAAUGGUAACGAAAUUUUUGAAUAAAUAUUUCCCAGUGCAUAAAACCAAUGCUAUUUGCAGAGAAAUCUCGGAGUUUACCCAGAGAAAGGACGAGCAAUUUUUUGAAACAUGGGAGCGAUUCAAUGGGCUACUCUUGAAGUGUCCACAUCAUGGGUAUGAGAAAUGGCACCAAUGUCAAUACGUUUUGGAGGGAUUACUACCGAAUGUGCAAGAAUGGCUAAUGGCAACAAGUGGAGGAGAGCUAAUGUCAAAAAGUGCAUCAGAAAUUUGGGAAUUCUUCCAGCGAUAAGCAGAUAAUUCCCAACAAUGGAGUCGAUCACUCAGGACUACUAGAAGAAUUAAAGGAGUAAAUGAGGUUCAAAUUGGCGAAUCCAGUUCAAAAAUUAAAGAAGUCAAAGCAAUAAUUGAAGGUCUCUCUCGACAAAUAGCAUCGUUAUCGACUGCUAAAUCAACAGAGUGACAUGACCAUGACUCAUACUCAGAUCAAGCUAAUACCAUAGGUGUAAUGAGAAAGCCAUCAAAUUACAACCCAUACUGCAGCACAUAUAACCCUGGAUGGAGAGACCACCCCAAUUUUUCAUGGUCUCAAGGAUUCCAACAGAAUGGACCAGUAGCUCCAGCUCCAGCUCCACCAAUUUCUCAAAAUCCUCAAGCCUCUCAGCCACCAUUUAGACCAAACAAUCAGAACCAGAACUACACUCAGCCCAGACCAUGGGAGGAUGCAUUCCAGAAUUUCAAGAAUGUUACUCACUCCACGAUUGAGCAACAGAACCGCACCAUUGAUGGACUACGAAAUGAGUUGAGAACAGGCUUCAAUUCACAAGCCCAAUCAGUUUCAAGCCUUGAGAAGAUUGUGGGACAACUUGCUUCUUCAGUUCAGACCUUGGCAAUGACCGUUGAGAAAGGUAAAUUUCCAAGUCAACCAGUGCCUAACCCUAAAGGAGUGCAUGAAACAAGUACCAGUUCACCACAGCAGCAUGGAGAGGUCAAAGCCGUCAUGACCUUGCGAAAAGGAAAAGAAGUCGACAACAAAGUGGAGAUGCCGGUGACAAAAGAAAUCAAAUUGUACCUGUGAAUGUUGAGGAAUCAUCACUGGAGGAGAAAGAAGAAACCAACCCACGAGAAUACGUUCCGGAAGCUCCAUUUCCUCAGAGGUUAGCGAAAGAAAAAAAGGGAAAAUCCACAAGUGAGAUUCUUGAAAUCUUCAAACAGGUAAGUGUUAACAUCCCUUUGCUUGAUGUUAUAAAACAAGUUCCAUCUUAUGCCAAGUUUCUUAAAGACCUUUGUACUAAAAAGAGAAAUAUGCAUGUUCAAAAGAAGGCAUUUUUAACAGAAAACGUUAGUUCUAUACUCCAACAUAAAAUUCCUUUAAAAUACAAAGACCCAGGCUCCCCCACUAUCUCAUGUAGUAUAGGGAACCACACAAUUGAGAAUGCUUUGUUGGAUUUAGGAGCUAGUGUAAAUCUUUUGCCUUACUCUGUAUUCGUGAAACUUGGACUGGGAGAAUUACACCCAACUCCAGUGGUGUUACAGCUUGCAGAUCGGUCCACGAAAAUACCUCGUGGUAUUGUGGAGGACGUGCUUAUCCAGGUAGACAAAUUUUAUUUUCCUGUUGAUUUCAUUGUAAUUGACACUCAACCAAUACAGGAUUCAAGGAAGCACAUCCCCAUUAUUCUAGGCCGACCUUUCUUGGCAACUGCGGAUGCUCACAUUCAAUGCAGGACCGGAAAUAUGCAGUUGUCCUUCGGCAACAUGACUAUGGAGCUGAACAUCUUCAACAUUGCCAAACAACCUCACAGUGCAGAUGAUGGAAUUGUUGAUGUGGAUUUAAUUGAAGCAUUAGUUGAUGAUACUUUUGUUUCAAACCUUAGUGAUGAUCCUUUACAAACAUGUUUAACUCACUUUGGUUUGGAUUUUGAUAUUGACAGAUCAGUCGAUGAGGUCAACGCCCUGCUUGACUCAGCACCAUCCAUGGACACUAAUAAAUGGAAGUUAAGAGUUGAACAACUAGCACCAUCAGAGAAGAAACUCAUCCCAUCAUCAGAAUCACCACCGAAACUCGAGCUCAAACCAUUACCCAACACUCUGGAAUAUACAUUUUUGGGAGAAGAAAGUACUCUGCCGGUAAUCAUCUCAUCAUCCCUCAAUGACAAACAAAAAGGUAAGUUGUUGAAUGUUUUAAAAGAGCACAAAGGAGCAUUAGGAUGGACCAUAGCAGACAUAAAAGGUAUAAACCCAGUAGACUGCAUGCAUUACAUUCACCUUGAUGAAAAUGCUAAAUCUACUAGGGAAAUGCAACGUCGGUUAAAUCCUAAUAUGAAAGAAGUUGUUAGAACAGAAGUCCUUAAGCUAUUAGAUGCAGGUAUCAUUUACCCAAUUUCUGAUAGUUCAUGGGUCAGUCCUGUACAAGUUGUCCCCAAAAAGUCAGGAGUUACAGUAGUUAUGAAUGCCGAUAAUAAAUUGGUACCCACUAGAGUAACUACAGGAUGGCGUGUAUGCAUUGAUUAUAGAAAGUUGAAUUCUGUCACACGUAAAGACCAUUUUCAUUUACCAUUUAUCGAUCAAAUGCUUGACAAAUUAGCAGGCCAUGAAUUUUAUUACUUUCUAGAUGGCUACUCAGGAUAUAAUCAGAUUCUCAUAGCACCAAAAGAUCAAGAGAAAACUACUUUCACUUACCCUUUUGGCACAUUUGCAUAUAGGAGAAUGCCAUUUGGAUUAUGUAAUGCACCUGCUACAUUUCAACGAUGCAUGUUAAGCAUUUUUUCUGAUAUGAUUGAACGAUUCCUUGAAGUCUUUAUGGAUGACUUUUCUAUCUUUGGUGACUCAUUUGAUCAAUGUUUACAUCAUCUAACACUAGUUCUGCAGAGAUGUAUCGAGAAGAACUUGGUCUUAAAUUGGGAGAAGUGUCAUUUUAUGGUAAAACAAGGUAUUGUUCUCGGUCACAUCAUUUCGAGCAAAGGUAUUGAGGUUGACAAAGCCAAGGUGGAUCUCAUUUCUAAUCUUCCUCCACCCAAAACAGUCAGAGAAGUAAGAUCUUUCCUUGGGCAUGCUGGUUUCUAUAGACGUUUCAUUAAAGAUUUUAGCAAAGUUUCUAGACCCUUAUGCAAUUUACUUGCUAAGGAUGCACCUUUUGUCUUUAAUGAUUCAUGUCUUGUGGCGUUUGAAAAAUUAAAACAGUUGUUGACAUCAUCACCCAUCAUUCAGCCCCCAAACUGGAGCUUACCAUUUGAGCUAAUGUGUGAUGCAUCUGAUUAUGCAGUAGGAGCAGUAUUAGGACAAAGAGUUGAUCGAAUUCCCCACGUUAUUUACUAUGCUAGUAUGACAUUAAAUGAUGCACAGUUGAACUAUUCAACUACUGAAAAAGAAAUGCUAGCAGUAGUGUUUGCAUUGGAAAAAUUUCGAUCAUAUCUCAUUGGUUGUAAAAUAAUUAUAUUCACGGAUCAUGCUGCUCUUAAAUAUCUUCUCACAAAGAAAGAUGCAAAAGCCAGACUAAUUCGUUGGGUGUUACUUUUGCAGGAGUUUGACUUGGAAUUCAAAGAUAAGAAAGGCACAGAGAAUGUUGUGGCGGACUAUCUCUCUCGUCUCCAUUUUGACACAAUUAUAGAACCAUUACCAUUAAAUGAGUCAUUUCCAGAUGAACAAUUAAUGAGUGUGGAAGUAUUACCUUGGUAUGUUGAUAUAGUUAAUUAUCUUGUUACAGGUAAACUUCCAGAGCAUUGGACCAAGCAAGACAAGGCUAAAUUCUUUGCAGAAAUAAAUAAUUUCUUUUGGGAUGACCCGUAUUUGUUCAAGUAUUGUGCAGAUCAAAUUGUUAGACGAUGUGUCCCAAAAAGUGAAAUUCAGAAUAUUCUUUCAUUCUGCCAUGAACAAGCUUGUGGAGGCCAUUUCAGUGCUAAGAAAACAGCAACUAAAGUUUUACAAUGUGGUUUAUAUUGGCCAACUAUAUUUCGAGACGCUUACACUUUCUGUUCUUCAUGUGAUAGGUGUCAACGAAUGGGGAGCAUUACGCGAAGGAAUAUGAUGCCACUAAAUCCAAUUUUAGUGGUUGAGAUUUUUUAUGUAUGGGUUAUCGACUUCAUGGGACCCUUUCCCCCGUCUUUUGGCCAUCAAUACAUAUUGGUUGUUGUUGACUACGUAUCAAAAUGGGUAGAAACAAUUCCAUGUAGGACCAAUGAUCACAAGGUGGUGAUAGCAUUUUUUAAAAGUAACAUUGUUUCAUGCUUUGGAUUCCCUCGAGCAAUAAUCAGUGAUGGUGGUGCCCACUUUUGUAACAAAGCAUUCAAAGCUCUUUUGACAAAGUAUUCAAUCACACACAAAGUGGCGACCCCGUAUCAUCCGCAAACCAAUGGCCAAGUUGAGAUCUCCAAUCGAGAAAUAAAGCACAUAUUAGAAAAGACGGUGAGGCCAGACAGAAAAGAUUGGUCAUUAAGACUUGAUGAUGCCUUAUGGGCAUAUAGAACGGCUUUCAAGACCCCGAUUGGGAUGUCACCCUACAGGCUAGUGUAUGGAAAAGCUUGCCACCUACCUGUGGAACUCGAGCAUCGUGCAUAUUGGGCCAUCAAGAAAUUCAAUUUUGACAUGCAACGAGCCAGCUCAGAAAGAAGAUUACAGCUGGCAGAACUUGAAGAAAUUCGCAAUGAUGCAUACGAAAAUGCCAAGAUUUACAAGCAACGAAUGAAAGUCUUCCAUGAUAAGCAAAUUAUGAGGAAAUCGUUCACUCCAGGUCAGAAAGUGCUUUUAUUCAAUUCUCGCUUGCACCUAUUCCCAGGUAAGUUACGCUCUCGUUGGUCUGGUCCAUUUAUUGUUCAUACUGUUUUUCCACAUGGGGCAAUUGAAAUUAAGGACCCAAAGAACGGUGUCACGUUUAAAGUUAAUGGUCAAAGAUUAAAGCCAUAUCUAGAGUACCAAUCACAUGAAGAAAACACCGAAAUAAAUUUGAGUGACCCACCAAAUUUGAAUUGAUUUUUUUUUCUUUUCGUUGAUUUGAUUUUUCUUUCUUUCUUUUUAUUAUUAUUCUUUUGCUAAUUGAAAUUGUUUUUGCAUAAGUGUGUGUUUAUUUUACCAUUAAGUUUUCUCUUAUCAUUUUUAAUCAUGAGUCUUAUACUUAGACCGUUCCUCCUGAACAUUCUUAAACCACUUCAACGUGUCAAAACUCAUCUCAAAAGGCAGAUUCAAUUUUGUAAAACACAACGCAUUUGGGCUCUACAACCACCAGAGUUAGUAGCCUAUGUUGAGGGUUUAGAACGCCAACUCAGAGACAUUGAGAGAAGUGUUUACGACAUCCAGUUGGAGCUUGAGGUAAAUUCAAUAAGAGGAUGAUUUUAAUUGUGUUUUUAUUUAUUUUUCUAUUUGUGUGCUUUAGUUUGUUACCCCGGUGAAGUGGCGGAUAACGGUACUCCGUGACAAUCAAGUCGGUUACUUCAGUUUCCCAUAAUAACUGAUAUUCUGAGGCGAAGGUAUGGACAGAAAUGAGAUUCUAGCGAAGCUUCACAAGCGAUUCCCUUCACUUCCUCAGAAUGCACUCCUUACGAUCUAUAAAGCUCGGUCCGAACGCAUGCGAUUACUCAUGAGGAAUAACAUACCUGCUGACAUCCGUUGGUUAAUCGAGGCUAAAGUACAAUCGGCAGGUGAGUUACCUCCAAAAUUUAUUGCAUACAUGCCUGGUUGUGGUAAAGGAAAUUAUGCAAGAAAACGACGAGCUCGAAGAAUUUCUGUUGCUUGUCAUAAGUGUGCCAGAAUGAGUUGCAAUAAAAACCCAUGUUCUUUAGGAAUGAUGUCUGAUAACAGGGAAGAUAAGAUUCAAUUCAUUAGGGAUGGCUUGAAUAAGGAAUCAUUGGAUGAUAUCCUUUUGUCUCUUGAAACGCAUCCCAGUGGAUAUGUGCAAGGAGCGAUUCUCCAGUUAUGGCCAUUAUUCCAGAAAGAGCAUGCACGAUAUAGUCUCGGGAAUCUGACUAUAAACGACCCUGUUUGCCAGUUUAUAAGAAAACUGGAUAGGAAGCCUAUCCUCGACCCAUAGAGGGCGUUCAAACCGUUUCUGGACGUAAAACCAGAGGAAUAUGUGAGCCACAGUCGCAACUACCUGUAAAUAUCCUUUUUACUUUACUGUUAUUUUAUUUCACUUCAUUGUUGUUUUAUUGUUUGCAUUAUUGUCUUUAAUAAUUUUAUUACUGUUUUCUUUUUCCUUAUUACUGUUUGCUUUUUCCUUUUUACUGUUUCCUUUUUUACUCGCAAGCCACGUGCUUACGCGUUAUUUGACACUGACAUGUUACCUCAUACACAACUGUGACCCACUGUCAUUAAGACUCUUAAAUGUGAUUUUUUUUGUCAAGCACUCACGAAUUGUUUUUGAGAAAUAUUCCAAUGGCAGCUACUCCAAAUAGACAAUUCAAGAACAUUUGUGUGCUUUCUGGAUUUACCUAUGACAAACAUAAAGAGUUCGUUGAGGCAGCCAUCGAUCUUGGUCGAAGUAUAGUAGAGAGAAAAUUACACUUGGUGUACGGAGGAGGUAACCGAGGGUUAUCAAAAAUGGUCUCAGAAGCAGCUUUUAUCAGAGGAAGUCAAGUGUUAGGCAUCAUUCCAAGAGUCCUAAAACCAUUGGGCAGUUCGUCUGACUCAUCAACUGGAGAAGAGUUAGUCGUCUCAGGUAUGCAAGAAAGAAUAACUGCAAUGCUUAAUCAUGCUGAUGCUUUUAUUUUCCUUCCAGGAGAUCUUGCAACACUAGAAGUACUUAUCACACUAGCAUCAUGGGCCCAUCUGCACAUCCACCAGAAACCCAUCGGUUUGUUAAAUGUCAAUAACUUUUAUGAUGGCUUUAUCGCAUUUCUUAACCAUGCAAUAAAAAACUAUUUCAUUCCCGCUAAUGUGAAAAAACUCUUUAUUUGUGCUCACACUGCUAAUGAGCUACUUGAUCUGUUACAAGCUUAUAGACCGGAGCCAGACCCCUGGACCUUUGUGUUGGAGCAUCCAAAUAAUGAUGGUAACAGUAACAGCAGUAAGAAGUACAAAUUAGAUUUAACUCUCCGCCUGUAAAUAUUUUCUUCUGUGUUGCACCACCCAGGUGAUGUCUUCUAAACUCUACUUCUUUCAUUUCAAACAUUGAGGACAAUGUUUCGUUCUGGUUGGGGGGAGGGAAUAGUCGACAAUUGUGGAAUUUUGGUUAAGUUUUUACUAAUUUUUUGUUGUAGAAACUAACUGUUGCUAACUUUUUGUGUUGAAGAUGGCUGAAUAUGGAGUGUAGUGACUCUAGAAACGCAUAUUCAUCGUUUAAAAAAAAUUAAAAAAAAAACUUUAAAAAAAAUUCAGACAUUUUCUUUUUCUUUAUUAUGUGUUUAUGUUUAUUUUUCUUCUUUUUAAUUUCUCCUCUAUAAAUAUACAUUUUCCAACUUUUGAGUCGAAGAUGGCUGAAUAUGGAGUGUAGUUCCUCUAGAAACGCAUCUUCUUUAAAAAAAAUAAAAAAUCAUUUUCGUUUUCUAUCAUUUUACGUGUAACUUUUCUAAUUAGUUUUUAUGCAUCAUUUUCACAUUUCUGCAUGCAUAUUUUCCUUUCAUGUUUAGAAUAGGUUGGGGGGUAGAAUGUUGUUUAAAAAAAAAAAUUUUGUGAUUUGUUUUAACAUUGGGUGACAUGAUUAAUUUUAAAUUUUAGUAUUUGUAUUAUCUUUGGUCUUAAGUGAUGUUGCAUUAUGUUUGCUACUCUACAUGUUGAUGUCGGAGACAUAUAUGAGUUGCUUGAAGGAAUGAACAUGUCAUAAUAAGUACCAAGUGAGUUUUUGAGCCUAUCAUUUUUCUUGGAGAGUAACCAUUUUGCCCAUUCUUUAUACAGCUUAACAGUUUAUUAUUGUAUACACGAUCUCUAGAUUUCUUUUGAGUUAACCCUUAAUAAAAAUUAAAAAAAAAUGUGUUGCUACAUUUGGAGGCCCAUCUAACUAGUAGAUAUGGAAGGUUAUUUAGAGCCCUAAAAGACGAUGGAAAGGCCAUCUUUGAUCCGUUUGAGCCUUUCUAGCCAUCCCUUUUAUUAAAUAUCCAUAGUUAACCCUUUUGAGCCUUUAAAAAAAAAAAACAUUUUCUUUGUCAACUUAUCAUCUUGACCCACUCCGAUUUGGAGUAUUAUCCGAUAUCUUAUAAGUUCCAUCACCUAUUUAUGUUUGAGAAAAUGUAAAUAAUUAUGUUGUUCAGUGAAGUUACACCAAAAAAAAAACAACAAAACAAAAGUUGUUGUUUCAAAAGAAUAAAAAUAACAAUAAUAGGUGAAAUCCACCUUGCAACUUCUAAAAAAAAAAAAAAUUCUCUGCAUUUUUCUCAAACAUACACUUUGUUUUCCUUAUUUCCUUUCUUUGUUAACCAUGUCCCUAGCCUACGUUACAUCCUAAUAAAAGUCCUUCCUGAUUUUAGGGAAUUAUAAUCUGAAGUAGAAGCUAGUUAUAUGGGCUAAAAAGAUGUAGUGGUGCAUAUAAAAUCAUAAAUAAAUAAAUUGGGUUGACUAACAGUUUUUAUUUGACUUGAGAUCGUAUUAUUUUUAAGCUGAGGGCAUAUUUAUUUCAUCUUGGUGAGAGCAUGUGAUAUCACUUCUUCAUUAUUUUCUCUCAAUUAUCAUUCAUUGGAGUGACUAUUUUUAUUGGGUUUAAUUUCUUUGUGAGAGUGUCACUACUUCCAGUGAGAUUUUGGGGUUUGACAUGUCAUUCUUGAAAGUAGCUAUAACAACAUCUACUGGGCUGAUUCAUGUGGAUGGUUGAUGUGGGUGUGAUUAGAGAUGGCAAAACCCCGGGCCGGGUCCGGGUAUUGCCAUGACCGGACCCUGCCCGGAUGCAACCGGUCCGGGUCCGGGUCCGGGCCGGGUUUUAAUCCGGGUACCUAGAUUUUAUAUUUUUUAAUAUUUUAUGUGUAUAUAUUUUUUAUUUUUUGAUAAUUUUAUAAGUUUUAAAUUUAUUUCAAUAAAAUUUGACAUGAAAAUAUAAACUUUAAGUGUUUAAAACUUUAUAUAUGUAUAAUAAGUAAGUCAAAUAAAUAUAAAAUAUUUAAAAUAAUAUAUAUUUUAUAAUUUUUUUUAAUAAAAUCCGGGUUCCGGGUUUAUCAAGUGAUGCCCAAGACCGACCCGACUUCAUACCCGGGCCGGGUAAUAUCCGGCCCGCAACACCCGGGUACGGUCCGGGUCCGGACCGGGCGGGUAUUUUUGCCACCUCUAGGUGUGAUGUUACUUUAGACUGGAGAUAAUGCUUAUACUUUUAUUUGAUUGCUAUCAUUAAUCUGAUUGAAUAAACACGAGUGUUUCUAAAUUUUAAAAAAAAAAUCAUUUUGAAUUUGAAUUUUAUUUUCGCUUCAUUUGCUAGGGACUAGCAAUAAGUUGGUUGGGGGGUGUGUUGAGUGUUAGAAAAUGCAUAUUUAUAAAGUAGAAAACCGUCAUUUUACAUUUCAAGUCUUACUAACAACCCUUACUUUUAUGUGUUUAACCUUCUUGUGAUUUAAUUACAUGUGUUUUAUUUUAAUUAAGUAUUUUAUGUAUUUUAGGGGCAUUAUAGUCAUUUCACAAUAAACGAGAAAUCAGAUGGCAAAACGGACAUCACUUUUGAACUCAAGACGGUCGAAAACCUUAGGAGGAGCAUAAAAGGAAAAAUGGCAUUGUUCACAUGUACGGUACUGUAUACAUUACUGUUCACGACACUGUUCACAUAGACGAACCGAUGAUGUGGCAUUGACUGAUGAGGUGUCACGAUCCUGUUGGACUAAAAUUCUUAUAUACUGUUGAUGGUGACGUGGCAGCAUAUCAGUGGACGAAAAAUCUCGCAUACGGUGCAUGCAUCACACAGGAUUAUUUUCAACCAAACCGCGUUACUGUUAAUUCGGGUCAAACCGUGUUACUGUUAAUCCGUGGUCAAACCGUGGACUGUUGACUGAUGACGUGGUGCAAUCCUGAGCGUCCAAACUGUUUUUAAUCCGAUGGCCAUGAUUUACUCCACGUAUCUAUAAAAAGGGGGCCUCUCCCCCUAAUUUGAUAUCUCUGAAUCCAUUUUUGGGAUCCAUUUUCUGUAAUUCCUUCUCCAUCUUGUAUUUUCUUCGUAUUUUAAUAAAUUCCCAUUUUGCCCCUAGUUCAAUUAUGAGUGGCUAAUUUUCUUUCAAGCUUGGGUUGAAAGUGAAGUCUCAACAUGUGUCAUGGGCUUAAUUUCGUAAAUUUAUUUUCUCUUCCCCUCUAAUUUUUGUGGAUGUUUUGACUUCUCGUCGACAAAUAAUAAUAGUCUUGUCUAGAUACCGCCUUGGUUACACCGGCUCUCUAGUAUAAGGUUAUUAUUAUUUGGCACGAUAAGCCAUUAGCACCAUAUUGAUUAGAGCGUGGUUCAUGAGGUGUGGAUUUCCCCCUUAUGAUUUAAUUGGCAUUAAUACGGAUUAUUUAGCCCAUGAUGCAUGUUGAUACGGAUCCAGAUACCCAAGUACGUCAUUUCAAUAUAAUUCUCUUCAAUUUAUUCUCGCCAUUUCAAUACCAAUUUUAGAAUUUAUUCUCGCCAUUUUAAUUUAAGUUUUAGCAUAUUCCAAAUCAUUUCCACUACAAAUCCAACCACCCAUUUACAAAAUUAAUUCUAUAUAUAAUUAAAAUCCACCUCCUCGUGGGAUCGACACUCGUCACCAUUAGUCUAUACUACAAUAGAUUCGUGCGCUUGCGAGUACAUUAAAAUUUGCACAACAUUGGGAGUGAAUAUUCACUCUUUGAAAAAAAUGAGAAAUUUUCAAUUUCUCAAGUUCAUCCUAUUAUUUUCUUAUUAUUUUUAAUUCUAAUAAUUUAUCAAGGCCUUGUUCAUCUAUUAUAUCUUCAGUUCUUGCUCUAAUACCAAAGAAGAGAAAAAGGGGUUUAAAAGGUGAAGGGAAGAUACUUGUAAGUGGCUUGUUAUACCGACAAUGCAGACUGAUAUAGUUUCCCAUUUGGGUUAACGAUCAUAAUAUAUGUUGCUAAUUUCCCACUUGUAUACAGUGAGUUCCCAAAAAGUUUUGUGAAAACUACAAAAGCUAUCUUGGCAAAAACUAGCUUUUCGAAGCUUAUUAAACUGAUUAUGAAAACCUAUUAGUUAAAAAUACUUUCAAACUCCUGACUUACACUCAAAAACGCCUUCUCAACACAUUAACGGUUAAAUAGGCCAACAAAGACCAUGUUUACAAAAAAGCUUUCGGAAAAUUAGCAACAACCUCAACUACGUUCUUGGUAGGAGCAGCAGAGGCGGCUUGUGCCCUAGACAACUUAGGCGGUUGCCUAGGGCCCCCGCCAUGAUGAAGGCCCCAAAUUUGGGAUAUUAAUUUUUAAUUUUUUAAAUUUAAUUGAUAAUAAUUAAUUUGCUUUAAAUAAGGUAAACCAUAUUAAGUAUUAAUUAAAAGAUUCCAGCUAAAAAUAAUGGAUAAGACUUAAAAAAAUUUCAAAUUGGAAGCUUUUGAUUGCAUUUAGAUUUAGGCUAAUAAAUGUUAUUACAUUUUCAAAGAAUAAACGUUCAUAUUAGGUAGUUGAGUGCACUUAGAAUCUGGUUAAUAAAUAUUAUUAUAUUUUCAAGAAAUAACUUUCAAAUUUGAUAGUUAUAUAUUGCAUUUGGAAUUCACCUAAUUUUUCAUACUUUAGUGAAUUACUCCCCAUUAAAAAAAAAGUGAAUUACUCCAAAAGCAAAAGAAACGUGUCUACAAGAAAAAAAAACAAAAACAUUAUUUUUUCUCCACUGCAACUUUUUUCUCUAGUCAUUGAUCAUUGCUCCCAACUACUGUUGAAAGCCACAUUGCCACAAUCUCAAAAUUAAAGUUAAUUUGUGAUUUAAGUUCAAAGUUCCAAGUUUUAUCUUUCUAUUCUCUUGAAUCUCUAUUAUUUAUUUGUGCUAUUUUUUUCUUAUACAUAUUCUUGUAUUCACUUGUUUUGAUUUAAUUUAUCUAGCAUAAUUGUGUGCAUGCUUUAUUAUUAUUCUAUUUUAAUAAUAAAUAAUGUCUACAAGAAAAUAUGAAUCAAGAUAUCAAAACUGCAAAAAAAAGAUAAGAAUAGAAAAGUUAGUUCAAUCACAUAAAGGAGUCCUUGAUAAGUUUGUUAGGAGUGAUAAAAAAAAAAGUGAAUUUGAGUGAAGAAUUAGUAAUUGAACAAACUCAAGUUGAAUUAUUAGAUGAUGAAGUGUCUAAUGAUAAAAAUGACACCGAAGAUAAUAAUAAUAAUCAGAAUGAAAGUGAAAUUAGAGAUGAAACUGAAGAUCUAGGAGAGUUCCAUUUUCCAAAUAAUAUUUAUGAUCCUAGUAGAUGGGAAAAUAUAGAUACAAAAUUAAGAGAUUUCCUUGUAGAGAAAGGUCCAAUUAAAGAGAAUAAUUUAAUUUUUCCAAAGGAUGAAGAUGGCUAGUAUAUUCAAAAGAUUUUGAUAAAGUUUAUUAUUUCUGUUGCAAAUUAUUCAAUGCAAACUCUAAUAAAAGUCAACUAAGUAAUGAGGAACUAAUGAUUGGAAAAACCUUAGUGUUAAACUUAAAAGUCAUGAAACCAGCACUGCACAUAUCACUAAUAUGAACAUGUGGAUUGAAUUAGAAGAAAGAUUAUUGAAGAAAAGAACAAUUGACAAAGAUAUUCAAGAAAAAAUCAAUAAGGAAAGAGAUCAUUGGGAAUAAGUACUAAUAAGAAUUAUCGUUGUUGUAAAGAAUCUUACAAAGAAUAAUUUAGCAUUUCGUGGAAAGAACGAGAAAAUAUACCAAGAGACUAAUGGAAAUUUUCUAAGUUUAAUUGAAAUGAUUGCAGAAUUUGAUCCAACAAUGCAAGAACAUAUACAUCAUAUUAAAAAUGGUGAAAUUCAUAAUCAUUACCUUAGGCAUAACAUACAAAAUGAAUUGAUACAAAUGUUAGGAGUGGAAGUAAAAAAUUCAAUAAUUAAGAAGAUUAAAUAAGCAAAAUAUUUCUCAGUUAUACUUGAUUGUACUCCAGAUACAAGCCACCAAGAACAAAUGUCUAUUGUAUUGAGAUGUGUAGAUAUUUCAAUGGAUCCAGUGAAAAUAGAAGAUUUUUUUUUAAAAAAUUUUUAAAAGUUGAUGCCUCUAGUGGAAAAGGCCUUUUUAAUGAACUCAUAGAUGCCAUAAAAGCUCUUGAACUUGACAAUGAUGAUGUAAGAGGACAAGGAUAUGAUAAUGGUUCUAAUAUGAAAGGAAAAAAUUAAGGUGUACAAAAAAGAUUACUAGAAAUUAAUCCUAGAGCAUUUUAUACAUCAUGUGGUUGUCAUAGUCUUAAUUUAGUGCUUUGUGAUAUGGCUAAUUCUUAUUCUAGAGCUAGUUCAUUUUUUUGGAGUUGUACAACGUAUUUAUUCAUUAUUUUCUUCUUCAACAAAGCGAUGGAAAUUUUUGCAAGAACAUGUACCCAAUUUGACUAUUAAAUCAUUGUCACAAACACGUUGGGAAAGUCGAAUUGAAAGUGUAAAAGCAAUCAGAUUUCAAGCUCCACAAAUAAGAGAUGCAUUACUUGAAUUAGCAAAAAUAAGUGAAUAUUCUAAAAUAAAGAGUGAAGCUAAGUGUCUAGCAACAUAUGAAUUAGAAAAUUUUGAAUUCUUGCUAGGUAUGGUUAUUUGGUAUGACAUAUUAUUUUCUAUUAAUUCGGUGAGUAAGAACUUGCAAAAAGAAGAUAUGCAUAUUGAUAUUGCCAUACAUCAACUUAAAGGACUUAUUUCUUUUUUUGAAAACUAUAGAGAAAAUGGAUUGGUGUCUGCUAUGAUUUCAACUAAAGAAAUUGCUUGUGCAAUAGAAAUUAAACCUAAAUUUAAUGAGAAAAGAAUGAUCCGUAGGAAAAGAAAUUUUGAUGAAAAAAUUGUUGAAGUUCAAAGUGUCUCCUGAAGAUUCUUUUAGAAUUAAUUAUUUUAUAGACAUAGUAGAUCAAGCUAUUUCAUCAAUUAGGAGUAGAUUUGAACAAUUUCAAAUGUAUGAGAAUAUGUUUGGAUUUUUGUUUAAUUUCAAAAAAUUAAAAUAUUUAAGUGAUGAUGUUUUAAAAACUUCUUGUGUUAAUCUUGAAAAUACUUUAAAACAUGGUACGUUUUCUGAUGUAGAUGGUUUAGAUUUGUUUUCUGAGCUAAAAGUUUUAAAAGAAAAUUUUCAAGGUGAAAAUAAUUCUCCAAUUGAGGUGCUUAAUUAUUUAAAAAGAGUUGAUUCUUUUCCAAAUACAUUUAUUACCUAUAGAAUAUUAUUAACAAUACCGGUAACUGUUGCUUUUGCAGAAAGAAGUUUUUCAAAAUUAAAACUGAUAAAAAAUUAUUUUAGAUCAACCAUGUCACAAAAAAGAUUAAAUGGAUUAGCUAUAUUGUCUAUUGAGAAAGAUAUAUUAGUAAAAUUAGAAUACAAAAAUUUGAUUAAUAAAUUUGCAUCUCAGAAAGCUAGAAAAAUUGAUUUUAAAUAGUUUUUGUUUUCGUAUAAUUCAUUCAUAUAUAUUUUUUCUUCAAUUUUUUUGUAGGAGGCCUAAUUUUAACAACUCGCCUAAGGUCCCGAUUUUAGUUGAGCCGGCCCUGAGGAGUAGUAAUGUAGCAAUACUCAUUUGAUCUAAUUAGCAGGCACUAAAAUUACAGAAUUCAUAAUAUGUUAUUGUAUAAAUAAAUUUAUGUGGUCAUAAGUCAUAAAUUAAGAGGGAGAGGCCCGAGAGUGAUUUACAAAGAUGCAGAUGAUGCCAAAUAAUACCCAAGAAUGUGGUAUUCGCUUUUUUUUUGUUUAAUUUUUGUUUGUGUUUCUAUUGUUUUUUAUUAUCUUGUAAAAAUAAGGCGACUCUUUCUUGAUUUAAGUUAAAAUAACAAAAAUCGUGAAGCAACUCUUAUGUUAUCAUCUACAACUAACUAUUAAUCACUUCGGUGUAUUUAUUGAGAAAAUUAAAUCAAGAAUCCUGUUCCCAACCUAAAUCCCUUAAAAAAUGAUGGUGCAUGCGGAUCAAAAAGCUAAUUAACAGGACAAGGUUUAUUGGUUGCCGAUGAUUAAAGUAGGAUAGUGCUCCUGGGAAAGAGACAAAGGUCGGUGGUGAUGAAACGAUCACGUGAGUAUGACGUGGCUGCAGGAUCUUAUCAUCCCAUGUAGUUGUGUUUGGCUUUUUGGCUAGAAAGUUGAUAUAAGAGAACGGAGAAGAAAAAAAGAAAUUUUUUAAAGUUAAAAGUGGAAAUGGGUACAGACAGACUCACAGACAGCACAAUGUCUUAUCUUAUGUCUAGUCUUCAUUCUAACAGGACCAGCACCAAGACCCAUGAUAUAUAUAUAUAUAUAUAUAAGCAUGCAAUAUAUAUAUAUAAGCAUGCAUUUUGACCAUGGAAAGCCUGAAGCCAUCCAUUUUACAAAAUUUUCACAAAAGACUCAAAAUUGACUAGUGGGUUCCCAAGGUUUUGGGAUUUUAACUAGGUUUAGGAAGGGGGUAUAUAUAUAUAUAUAUAUAUAUAUAUAUAUAUAUAUAUCUAGACUAUACUAGCCAGUUGGUAUUUGAGGACAAGAAUUGGUUCAGGAAACAGAAUUCUAAACUAGACUAAAACACUUGGUAGAAAAAGACAUGAGAAUGUCCAGUCUUGUCUCUCAACGCCCGCUUAGGGAAUCCAAAAUCCCAAAUUCUACCUAAUUGUGUUUAAAUGCAUUAUUAUAAGUCAAAUAUAUAGUUGCAUCAAAAUCUGAAGAAUUUAAAAAACUGAUUAAGAAACCAAAUGUAUGUUCGAGGAAUGUUCGUAGAGAAACUUUUUCAUCCUAUGUAACGUACAUUAAUUUAAAAUUAAUUUUUUUUACAACUCAGGUCUUGGUUAUCAAAUAAUUAGAUGGUCAUGAGAGAUUAAUUUUGAGUGAACGAUAAGUUGCAUAUUAUAUAAUUAGUAGCUUCCAAAGUAAUCUUAUUACCAGCAAACAUAAUUAGUUUAAUUCAAUAAGUUAAGGAGCCAAAGUCGGCGGAGGACUGGAGGAGGGUGGAGCUCAAAACUAUAAUACGUUUUAAGAAAUUUUAACAAAAAUAAUAAAUGGUACUAUUUUGGACUUAAUAAUUUUUUUCCCUCCUCAGAAAACACAUUUACAAUUGUCUUAAGUAUAUUUUCGUAUUGUGAACACGUUUAAAUAAUAAAUUUGUUAUUUUAAAAUUUUUUUUUGAAUAUUAUAUUAGAUAUUGCAAUAUGAAUAGUGAUCAGAUAUAGCCAAAAGUACCUAUAGAGCCUGCAUCAUUGUAUCAAACUUGAAGUCUAGCAGAGAAAUCUGAAACCAAAGAAAAUAAUAAAUAAAUAUAUUCUACACCUAAGGGAAUACCCUAACCCUCAAUCUUAAGAUUGAGGUGAGGAGACUCAAUUAUGGAACUCUCGACUUUAAGGUUGAGGCGAAGAGAUCCUUACCAACUCAACUGAUGAGCUGCUAACAGUAUUAAAUUUAUUGCUAUUAUUUCAAUAUAAGUAUAAUAAAAUUAUCGUUCAAUCAUUAAUGGAUAGAUUUAAUCCAAUGAUAGUGUUUUUUAGAGGAGAAAUUAUUUGGAUUUUAUGUGGGUUAAACAUAUAAAUUAUGUAUAAUUGCAUAUUGAGAGAAGAUUUACGAUUAAUAGAGACAUUGAUAAGGAGUAAGAAAAAAAAACAAGAAAAAAAAUUGAAAGAAGGCUAGACUGUUGCUCAAAAUAAAUAAACCAAAAGUAUGAUUUAACAAGGGUAUUUAAAAGUUUUCAAUGUUUAGAAUGGCUUCCACCCUUUUGAGCCCAUAAAAGUUUUACCUAUAAUUACGUUUAGAAAAAUAAAAAUGGUAGAUCAUACAUACAUACAUACAUGCAUACAUACACACAUACACACACACACACACACACACACAUAUAUAUAUAUAUAUAUAUUUCAUGUCCUUCCACAAUAAAUAAAUAAAUAAAGUUUCACGUGAUGUGUUAUUGUUACUAGCUAAAAACCGAUGCUAGGUCCAAAGGCCCAAUCUAACCCAUUUUAUGGUGGAUCGAAGCCACUCUAUUGGGAUAACCGCAUUUGGUUGUGGUUUGAGAGACAUAAAUACAUCAAAGUGCUGUUAAGCAUGCUUGAAGGAUCUUAAACCAUAACGGAACGUUCUAAAAAAUGAGUUAGUGGAAAACCAAUUACUAUAUAAAUAAUAAUAAUAAUAAUAAGCUUAGACUAAAAUAAUAAAUCCUGUUGAAACUCAAUAGGCAUAGUUAACAAUUAAUACAAUGCUUAUAAAAUUGUUAAUAAAAAUGUCUAAGCAUGCAUGAAAUAUGAUGCAAGCACGCAUGCAAAUUAGUGCAAAGAUGAAAGUCAAUAGACAUUGUUAACAAUUAAUAUAAUGCUUAUUAAACUUUUAACAAAAAUGGUUAAGCAUGUAUGAAAUUUAAUGCAUACAAAUCAAUGUAAAGGUAAAAGUCAAUAGUCAUGAUCAACAACUAGUACAAUGCUUACGAAAUUAUCAACAGAAAUUGCAAAGCAUAUGUGAAAUUUUAACAUAUGUGAAAUUUUAAUGCAAACAUGCAUACAAAUGAAUAUAAAGGAAGAAAUGAAGUCUGUAGAUAGCAGGCCUCACAAUCCGUUCAGGCAUCCAUCGUCUUGGUUAAAUAAUCUAAGAGAUAAUUAAAAGUAAGUUAAAGGGUAUUUUUUAAAACUAAUUUUUUUAAAAAAAAAUUAGAUCCAGUUUGGAAAUGUUUCCAAAAUAAUGUCUGAGAAAACAUUUUCAGUAUUCUCCCAUAAACAUUUCUAUGAAAACAUUUCAAAAUUCUUCCAAAAACAUUUUCUAAAACAAUUUCCAAACACAUUCCAUAUUUAUUUUCCAAAUUUACACUUUCUAAGCUAUAACAAUUCUAGAACAUUAACAUUAAGUUAUUGGUUCUUCAUUAUUCCGUGGUGUACUCCACUCCCACGUUACUAUUCACAACAGGAGUCGUUAUUGUUCAAAUACAAAUCCACUACUCAAUGAAACAAUAGGCAAAGUCAAAGUUACAAUAGGAGUUUAUUUAGGCUAUACCAAGGUCUGAAUAUGCUUUGGGAUUUUACGCUCCAGACCACACAAUAGAGUUCAAGUGGAUCACAUACACUAAGCCUGAAUUUUCAAUCAAACCCAAUCUUAUUUUAAUCGGGAAAGAGCUAUCCGUAUGAUAUGUAGCCCUUGUGAAAUUCCUGGCUCNNNNNNNNNNNNNNNNNNNNNNNNNNNNNNNNNNNNNNNNNNNNNNNNNNNNNNNNNNNNNNNNNNNNNNNNNNNNNNNNNNNNNNNNNNNNNNNNNNNNCUAUGAGCAUCGUCUAGGAUGAUAUUCUUUAAGUUAAACUACUUUUCAUUUUUUUUUUUGCCCCUCAAAGAUUGAUACAUUAGUUAGAUUUGUCAUUGACCUAGGGGUUGGGUAUUUUUGUUAAGAUACAUAAUGUAAUCUCAAACAAAAAAUUUAUAGAUUUUUCCGACCGACAUAGGUUCCGAGACAGCACAUCGUUUGUUUGUGAGACAAUUCUCACUUCAUUAACUGAAAAUACAACGUUAAUUAAUGCAUGCAAUGCGAAGCACCAAAAAAGAAAUCUGCACACACACAGUAAUAAUAAAAAUAAUGUUAUUGGAGACACAAGGAGAGACAAAAGCACCGUCAGAUCCCAAUACCGAUGCACCAACCGGGGCUUUGAUGAACUGAUGGCAACUAAAAUUAAAUCAUAAUAAAUUAAUUUCUUCCAAAUUCCUAAAAAUAACAGCCCCCGUGCCCCCCCGGCCCUUCCCCCCCCAGAAGAUUUCACGAGAAUCGAACUUUUUCUCCAAAUAAUGCAGCAGCCGAAGCAGCUGAGGCAGACGCAUAGCAGAAAUAUGUUUUAUCAUUAAUAACUGAUAGGAGAAGUAAGCUAGCUGUCGUUAUUGUGUUUUUUGUUUUUCGAAAACGACAAAUCGUAUCUAAAGCCAAGGUUAAAUUUUGAAAAAAAGAAAAAAGAGCAGUCAACGUUCGGAUGACGUCAGCAUGCGGCAGGUGUAAGUAUGCAAGUGGAAACAAAAGCUGAGAAAAGCCGUCACGUCGGAUAUGCUUUAAACGGCUCAUGAAAGAGGAGAGAGUGUGUGGAGUUGGGGGGUAGGGCUUCCGAUUUUAAAAAGUUGUGCUUUGCUUCAGACUUUUGCUUUUGGCCUUUUGGUGUAAAGAAAUAAAGGACACAAAAGAAAAAAAAAAGCAGACUUUGCUGCGUGCCAAACGGGAUAAAAUGGGUCAAAGAGAGGAGACCAAGCAACAGCAAAAUCCACACGUAUGACACACCUCUCCCUAAUUUGCCAACACUUACUGAAUUCUGACUUAAUUUUUAAUUAAUUUCGCUGCUUUUGCAGCUAAUUUUGUUCCUCAAACCUGAGAUGGGGUGGGGAUGGGCCGAUGGGAUCAUGCGACCAUUUUUCGGAAAAAAAAAAUUUAAGGAUAUAGUUAUUGGUGAUGAUAAAUUUGCUCUUGCUAGUAAUUGAGAGAAUUUUUAAUUUUUUGUCCACAUUUAUGAGAGGAGAUGUUUGAGUUUCGAAUAAAAAUCCUCUCCUGAUGUGAACUCUCAUGAGUUUUUAAAGAUUUUAUAUCAUGUAUAUUUAAGUGAUAGUAUAUGGAUAGAAUUUAAUUUCUUUAUUUUUUUUAUCUAUUAAUUACCAAUCACCCAUAUGUAUUUUUACUUAAGAAGAUAUUAGAUCAUGAGAGAAUUCUGAUCCUUGAGUUUUGGUAUAGAUUCGAACUUGUGUCAUUUUCAAAGUUGAGCCAGUAAGUUCGUCAUUAGACUAACAUUUCAAUGGCAAGUGACUUGUUACAUAUGACGAGGGGUGAAUUGAUUUCUUAAUGCUUACCAUACAGUCCCAAAUGUCAUUAAAAAUUUCAAAACUUUUGGUUGUAUAUUCAAACUUAUGGAUUACGCAAUGCAAUAUCUAAGAUUUGUAAUAAAUAAAUUUGUUUUGUAGGUGAAAAAAAAAAAAAAUUUUGUAACAAAAAUGUGAGAAGAACAUUACAUAUAUAUGCAUGAGCUAUUUUAAUCCAAACUCACUUUUAUAUAAAUAAUUCACGUGAUAAAUUUAUAAAUGAUCCUAAUAUUUAUGUAUUGUAAAAUAUUACCAAAUUUUCAAAGAACUUCAAGGCUUCCCAAUUAACUUACAGAAAAAUAACUUUUAACACGUCACAGACCUAAUUCGAAAGUUCAAUUUUAGCAAGAGAUGAAUUUUUCUUCUUUAAUAUAUAUAUAUAUAUAUAUCCGGACGCCCAACUGCCCAUUACAUCAUGUUGUGAUCAGAAUCUUUGUCGGAAUAAAAAAUUACAGCAAUUGCCACUGCCGUUCCGUGGCUUCGAUUGGACAGUAGCACGAGUUCUUAAUUUUAUCCAAACUAACAUGUAGAUUAAGCGCACACGUCUUAUUUUUCAGAUAGUUAAAUUUCUUGUCGCCUAAUCAUCCUUUUAAGAGUUAGUGCACGUGCCAUUGUCCACCACUUUGUCAAGGUUGUUACUAAAAUAAUAUUUCCUUAAUAUUUAUUUUCUUUAAUCUCAACUAAUAUGAUGAUCAAAUAUGAGGAAGUGGGGAUAUUUCCACCCUAAAAAUUGUGUAAAUCCAUUUGAUUUUAAAAGUUUAUUUAUAAAAAUUUGCAAUAUUUUUUUAUUAUGAUAGAAAAACUUAUAAAUAAUUGAUCAAUAAGAUCGUUCUCAAAAUCAAUAGAUUUCAUGAAAUAAAUAGAAUAAAUUUUCUACUGAGUUAAUUUCGUGAGAUAUCAUGUUACAAAUAUAUUUUGCUAGUUUAAUUGAGGUUCAAUAAUCAUAUUAAUGAGGAUUUACUUGGUUUAUUGUUCUAUAAAAAAAUUGGUUAAUUGAUCAAAUUUACUUUUAAUUUGAAAUAGUUAAAAAUAAAAUAAAACAUCGAUAAGUUAAUAAAAUUGGGACAUAGAAAAUUUAUUAAUUUACCAACUAUAUCAAUAAAUUAAUAAAUUAUUAAUUUAUGAAGAAAUUCCUUAUUUUUUGAAAAUAUGACCACAUUUAUAUUAUUUAUUUACUCUUAUUAUAUUUUAUUUGAAUAAUAGUGUGUUAUCUUACAUUGGUAGUAAUUAAAUUAUUGUAGAGGUUUGUUUUUCUAUAUUAAAGAUGAUAUAUAGAGACUGUCUCACGCUUGUUGCAAAAUAACAAUGCAAACUAGAAUUUCGCAUUACAAAAAGAGUCAGAGAUGAGAUUUAAUUCCAAAUUAAUUUCAAGAAACAAUAAAGAUAGAUAACAUAUUUUACAAAAGCAUGUAAUUAUUAAUUUAUAUGUUAAUGGAUCCUAUAGGAAAAUAAAACUUCAAAAAAUUAUUAACUUAAAAAUUAACUGAAUUAUUAAUUUAUCAUAUUAGUUCUAAAUUAAAACCAGUAAAAAUUAUUAGUUAAUCAAGGUUAUCAAUUUAUCAAGAUUGUAUUGAAAUGUGAACUUUUUUUUUAUUAAUUUUUCUAAAGCGUGGGGUGUGAAUGCACGCAAUUUGAGGGUGAAAAUAUUAGCCGGCCUUAGAAUAUUCGCAUCACUCAUCAUUUUGAUAAUAAGACACUAUAAUCUCACAAUCGACUAAAUUUGUCAAACUAGAUCCACACAAGUUAGAAAUAACUUUGAUGCAGAGAUAUGUUCAUGAUGAUGCACAAAUGUUCAUAAUGACGACCAAAGAUUUGUACGUAACCAUGAAAAAAUUAAUAAACAUUUUCAAUGAAACUAAUUUUGUCCUCCCCAACACAAAUUGGUAGGCCACAAUGAAGCAAAUGGAUGACAUGCAUGGUGAAAAAAUUAUCUGUAAAACGUGGUUGCUGAUUAAUGAAUAAAAUUAAAAAUAAUUAAAAAGUUAGAUUAAUUAUUCCAAAGAAAAAAAAAAGUUAGACUAAUGGAAAAAAGAAAAAUGAGCGGCCGACAUGCAAUGUAUGAGGCGAUGGUUAUCGUGAGCACACCACAACAUGGUCACCGGCUUUUGGCCGCGACAUGUUCCUCGGUUCCCUUUUCUUCUUUACCACCAACACCAUUAUAAAUCUAUCAAAGUUUCUAUUGUCCAUGCUUUACCACGUGCUCAGAUAAUUUUUAAUGCAAUAUAAUUAUGUUUAACAUGUAUUUUAGAAUGCGUUGUACGUUCAUAAUAAUAAAAAUGCCAUCUAAGUGCAAUAACAUGCUUUGGCUUAGUGUUGUGAAAGUAGGUUUAUAUGGAUAAGUUUUUUUUAUGCAGAUGAGUUUUAGUAGACAGUGGCAGAAUCAAGCUUUUAUCUGACAGAGGUUAUGAUAGAUAAAAUAUAAACUUGACCAGGCUCUAAUACAAAAUUUAUAAAAUUGAAGGGGGACAACAACACGGGUUAUAACGAACAAACCAUAAAAUUUAGUAGACAAUCAAAAACUUGUGUGAAAAAUAAAGAGGCUAAACAUAAAAUUCAAAUAAAAUGGGUUCCAGAGUAACUUUUUAGUGUAUAAUUAUCCCCAUUUUAAGAGUAUAAUCAUAGAAAGUUCACUAUAUUUUUUAACAAUUUCAAUUAAAGAAGAAAUUGUAACAAUCAGUCAAUUAAAUCCUCCUUAAAUAACAACGAACCAAUGAAAUCUUCAUUAUUCUUUUUAUGAUUUUGUUGUUGACGACCUUUAACCAUUAAUGUAUCUUAAAAAAAAAACAUUGUUAUUGAAUUAGAAUUUGACUAUUUUGCUCUUAUAUGGUAAAAGUACAAAAAUACUGACAAAUUAUUUUGACUUCAUCAUUUUUUGGGGUAAUUUUUAAAAACCUCCCCUGAGGUUUGGGCUUGUUGCAAGUAGAUGGCGAGAAUUGAUUUAUUUGUAAAAAAUCCCCUACCGUCAGUUAAGUUUAACAUUGACCGUUAGUUGACCAUGCAAAGACAAUAUUACCCUUAACAAUAGUUUGUAAACGAAAAUAACUAAAAAAAAACCAAAAUUAUUGGUGCAAAAAGCACAAAUCCUAUUUUUUGACAAUUUUAUCCUUGUCAAUUCUAAAAAUUUACAAUAUCAUAGGUAAAGAUUAUGACUAUUUCAUUUUUAAAUUUUUAAUUUUAUCUUUCUUGUAAGAAUUUUAAGGAAAUAUUAAUAAUUUAAAGAGGAUUUUUUAAUUUUUUAAUUUUAAUUUUUUAUAAGAACUUUAAGAAAAUAUCAAUAAUUUAAAAAGUGUAAAAUAGCUAAUAAUUUUGGUUUUUUUUAUAGUUAUUUUCGUUUAUAAACUAUUUUUAAGGGUAAUAUUGUCUUUGCACGGUCAACUAACGGUCAAUGUUAAACUUAACUGACGCUAAGGGGUUUUUUACAAAUAAAUCAAUUCUCGCCAUCUACUUGCAACAAGCCCAAACCUCAGGGGAGGUUUUUAAAAAUUACCCUCAUUUUUUGUACAAAAAUUUAUAUUUUUCAAGAUGAUUUACCUAUUGUACUUCAUUAAUAUGAUUAUUAGGGGUAAAAUAGUCAAAUUAUAGCGAUAGCAAUUUAAUAAAAAAGAAAAAAAUCUAAUUGACUAAUUAGUUAAACUUUUUCUCUAUUUAAAUUGUAAAGAGUAAAGUUCAUUUUUUUUUUAAUAAAUAACUACUAAAAUAAGAUGGGCUUACAUAAAUUGUCGGGUAAAAAUAUUUCCACCCUUAAUUUGGGGGUAGAGAUGGCCAACAAGCUUUUUGCUUAGGCCCGGUCCGGCACACGUGUCGUGCUGUGGGUCAUGUCGUGCCGUGUACAGGAAAAAAAAGCUCACUAAGUUUUUUUUUUUUUUUUAAGAGCGCAUGCCAAUUAGUUGUCUUACUUUUUUAAGUCUAUGUACUUUUUUGAAUCCAUGUGCCUUUAUUCAAAUUUAAUAGAAUAAAAAAUUCAAACUCAAGUCCAUAUUUAAUAAUAAUAAAUUAAUAAUAAUAAGAGAAUAUAAUAUUAGUUACUAAGUUUGACUCUAUAGUAUUAAAAUUCUUUUUUAGUACCUAACAACAAUAAUAAUAAUACUUUUGUUAAGGGUUAACUUAAUUCUUAACUUGAAAUUAUGUAGAGUCAUAUAUCAUAGUUUAUAAUAAUAUUAAUACAUAUUUAUAAAAUCAUGAUAUCUAUAAUUUUAUUUAUUAAAAUCAUGAUAUCAAUUAUUUAUUCAAUAAAUUAUAAACAUAAAUCAAUUAUAUUUUUUUGAAACUAAGAAUUAAAUAAAUUUUAAAAACUUGAGCUAAUAAAAUAUAUUAAAAGAUUCAAUUUCAAGUUAUUUAUAAAAUUAUAAAAUUUUAAGUUUACUUUCAUUAAAAAAUAAAGCGUGCUUAUUGCGUAUUUUUUCGAGUGUCAUGCUUUGACUCAUCUCUAAUCGUGUCAUACUUUUAAGGCCCACGUGCCUAAAAUUCUAAGCUCGGCCCAGCCCACGUGCGUGUCAUGCCGUGCCGCGUGCUCUACCGAAACAUACUCGUGCCGUGCCAUGUUGUACAGACAUGUGUCGUGCCCGUGCCAUACCUCGUGCCGUCCGGCCCAUUGGGCACCUCUACUUGGGAGCACCCUAGCCACCUUAUAAAUACACAGGAUUCCACCAAUAGGCCAUAGAUGAUCUAAAUCCAGGCAAAUCCCAGUAAAUCGAUAACACAUCAAAAAAUAAAAAAUUUUGUCGAGAUUUUUGAUGCUCUGAGGUUUUUUAUUUAUUUUAAGAAUAAUAUUGAAUAUCUCAAAACUGCUUUCCAAGUUUUAUGUUUAUAUGCCUAGUGUUUAAAUUCUAUUAUGGUUACAUCCACUAAAAUAAUAAUAAAGCCCAAUUAUAUAAUAUAUCCAUAUAGACUGUAACCAUUUACAAACGAAUCCUUGCUUAACAAGAAAAUUUAGAUUAGGUGGAAUUUUUAAAAAAUAAAAAUAAAGAAUUGACAAUCUGGGGCAUUCAAACUCAUGAUAAUCAUUAAAGAAACUGGCAGCAUCUCAUAUAUGCUCUGUUUUGGCCUCUUCCUUUUAGGCAGAAUCAUGUAAAUAAAUGAUCGUUUUCCACAUCUAGCUCACUCCAACUCUGCAACUCAAUCCCCGGCCUUGUUUCAACAGAAAAGGUAAAAGCAACGGAGAUAGAGAAAGGGCAUCAUUCAAAAACAUGCAGCCCUUAAAAGUUGAAGAUGCCAUCACGCUUAUGUUAGCAAGUCUAUGCUGUUGCUUUCGUUUGCCAUGACAAGUCCAAUCUUUUGUUCAUUAUCUCCAUGUAAAAAUAUAUAAAAGAUAACACUAUUCUAAACUUUUUCAAUUUUACGUUACAAGAUGCUCUAAAUUAAAAAAAAAAAAUUAUGUUACAAAAAAUUUCUACUAAGACCUUUGGCUAGAUAUUUUUUAUGCACUAGCACUAGAAAUUUGUCUAGAUUCUGCCCAGAUAUUUAUCUCUUAAAAAUUGAAAUAAAACCUUCCCACGUUAUCCCAUUUUCUUCCAUGAAAAAGAUAUAUGAGCUAUGAUCUCUUGAAAAUAUAUCUUUUUUUUUCCAUUUAGCAAUCAGAAUACAUGUAUGAUUUUUAUUGAAAAUGAACCUAAUCAAACAAUAAUUUUACAAUAAUUUAAAGUUAGUUAAUUAAACAAAUGGGCAAUCGCAUCGCAUGAUUUUGGGGGAUGUCAAAAUUUAUCCCCCAUUUAAUCACCCUUCACUCAGUGACUUAAACAAAAGACACGUAUGGUUGCUGAGUUGGAUUGUACAAAGACUAGUCCUCACAAAAUUAAUCACACAACCUACAGGUCCAAAAUAUGACAAGUGUACAUCAUAGGGUUAAUCGAAGUCAAAUCACUGAGUCAGGGCUCGGGCGAUAGACCAUGACGAAAACGAAAAAAUUAUUGAAAGGGGCCCCGACAAGAAAAUCGUUUUCUUUUUCUUUGGCCAACAUCAAUCGCAUUCAAAACAUGCAGCAGCCGCUGCUGCUCCUUUCGCUACUAAACUGAAAAGGCAAAGCCCUCUGAAUACUUGAAGAAGAAAUUUUCUUUUACUCUUCAAAGCAAUACAGCCUCCUUUUUUAAGCUCAAAAUUUAUUGCUUAUUUUCGUCUUGCAGUCAUUAGUGCCAAGGCAAUCGUGCCUUGAGCCAAAGAAGCCAAAUCUGCACUGCAAAAGGCCCCACUUAGUAGCUAGAAUUCCCAUAUAUGGUAAAAAAAAAAAAAAGUAACUAUUCAAAUGAAGAUAUGUAUCUGAAAUUGUAUCCAGGGCAUUGAAUAUUUUAACCAAACACGGGCGUAAUUUAAAUCCAGAACAGUAUCAAUUAAGGACGAUAUGAGAAGUGGCUUCCAUGAAAAGCUAUGAAUUUUCAGAUUUGAUGUCUAUAGAAAUAAAUUCUUCUCAAGUUUAUAUUAAGCUAUCUUUUAUCUUCAUUGUAUGAUGCCUAAGGGAUAAUGUUGAAUAAUCCAAUAACUGCCAUACGCAACUCAUGUAACUGUAAAUGGUAAUAUAUUCCAUGGAAAAGAGACCGUCCAAAUCUAAAGAUAAAUUUGGGCACACAUUGAGAAUCAGAGAUGAUGAGAAUAUUCAUCAAUUGCCUUGUUGUCCAACUUCUUAAAAUUAAAAAAAAAAAAAAAGAUACCCAAAUCUCACAAAUUGGAUACUAUUAUUUCAUGAACAUUAUGAAGAUAAGAACACUAACAUACUAUGACGUCCUUAUUUCUAUUAGAAUAGAUUAAAAAAAUAUACUUAAUAGCGAUUGAUUCUCCAUAUUAAUUUCUGAAAUCGUAGAGAUUUAAGCAUCCAUAUUUGAAACGGAGAGUUUAACUGUGUAUGGAAGUCUUACACCACUCGAUUACACGGUAUGUGAAGCGGUAGCUAGUAUCAGAGCUAACUCCAGGUCUAAAAGGUGCUUUUUUUCUUUUUAUUUUAAAGGGUAAAAAGGGGGGCUAAAAUGCGCAUGAAUGUCACGUCAAAAAAAAAAGAAGCAAAAUAUUGUGAUGGCCACGUUCUUAUUGCUUUUAAAAAUUUAUUUACAGAGAAUUAAGUAGGAUUUCCCAUAGGGCCCGGCAACAAGGACGAAAACAGCCGUCUAUUAAGUAAUCACCCAACAACUCUCCCCUGUCAAAGCCUGUGCUUUAUGUCUCCCCAAAACCCAUUAUUAUUAUUGUUUUUUUCUGCGAACUUAUUAAAAUUUUAAGGAUCUUUAGUAAUUAAUUCUACCCACCUAAAUGUUUUAAGAGGUACAAAAUAAUGAACCUAUUAUUUUGCCUCCUAGAUUUGCAUUUAUUAAUGCAUAAAUAAAAAAAGUGCGCGUAUAUAAUAAUACCAUAAUUAUUUGAACUUUAAUUUAAAGCCCCAUUAAUAACAGAAUACAUCCCCACUUUUUUGUCGGAAAAAUAUUUAUAACUGAAUCGUCCAUGAGACUGUAUGACUAUGAUCAAUUCGUUCUAUCUUUAAAAAAAAAAUUCUUAAGAGCACAAACUUGUUAAAAGAAUAACCCUAGAACUAAAAAAAUAAUAAAUUAUCUUUGGCCCAUUCUCGUAUCUAUAAAUACCAAGCAAAUCUUCCAAUCCGUUAACUCAUCACUCAACACACUCACUAGCCAAAUAGUUCCCGAAAGAACAGUUUUUGCAUUUCACUUGCUUCCGCUUUCUUAAUUUGUUAUUACAUUAACACACAAUCACAAUGCAAUACCAAACGGAGUCAUGGGGCUGUUCGUACAUGCCGUCGUCGAGGGGCGCUCUCGGCGGGGACCCACUGGAGCACAUAGAGAGGCUGGCCUCGGAGAACGCCGUGGUCAUCUUCAGCAUCAGCAGUUGCUGCAUGUGCCACGCCGUGAAGCGCCUCUUCUGCGGGAUGGGCGUUAACCCCACGGUGUACGAGCUGGACGAGGACCCCAAGGGAAAAGAUAUGGAGAAAGCUCUCAUGCGCCUCCUCGGCACCUCCCCCGCAGUCCCCGUCGUCUUCAUUGGCGGCAAGCUCGUCGGCUCCAUGGACAGAGUCAUGGCUUCCCAUAUCAAUGGCACCCUCGUCCCGCUCCUCAAAGAAGCUGGCGCCCUUUGGCUUUGAAUUUCAUGAUCAGAAGUCCAUUUUCUCUUCUUAUAGCCCCCCACCCAAAAAAGAAAAAAAAUCACUUUAUUGUUAUUACAUUAAGAGAAACUAAAUGGCAGAGGAAGAGGAGUUUGUGUUGUGUUGUGUCUCCUCCAUUUUGGGUUGCAAAGAGGAGUUACGACUACUAGUAUUGUGUUAGCCAGCUUCUGCUUCUUCUUGUCUGUCUUUUAAUUGUGGCCGGCUCUUUACUUAUGUUUUGUUUGCUUUGUAUUUUCUUUCACUGAUGUAAUGUAAUCUAAGCUCCCUCCUCUGUAAUAUUAUUUAUAGAUAGAAAGCAAAAGCCGGUUUAUUUUAUCUUUUUUUUUUUCACAGUGCUUCUAUUCUUUUUACUGACUUGGGGUGGGGUGAGUGGAGGAAAAUUCGGAAAACAAAAAAGUUUCUGGUUUUGUGCCGGAAAACUCGCCGGGUGCAAACCCCACGCAGAAGAUGAACGUUCUUUCGGUGGAUGUGUUGUGUUUCGUUUGGUUUGGUUUGGUUUUGUUGGGUUGGGUUGGGUCCGGUCCGAGGAUAUCGUACAUUUCAUUUGAUCAAUUUAAUCCGAUAACCGUGCAUUUUUUUCAGCAUGGGCCAUCUUUUCAUUCUGAUCCAUUGUUCGCCAUCCGAAUGGAAUUGGACCUGGACCUGUACCUGUUCCCUCUUCUUAUUGGGGGGAAGGUUGGGUUGGCGUAUCAUUUAGUUUUCGAGGAAAGUGUAGGGGUUAAAAGAGUGCAUAUGUAGAGUGGGGUCAUCAGUCUUUUCCCCACUUUUAUUGAACUUCUCUGUCCGUACAUCUGGCUCCACCAUAAACCUCAUUUAACAGCACUGCGGCUACGCCUAUUAUCAUCGAUCUACAAUAACUUCGAUAUAUAUAUAUAUAUAUAUAUAUAUAUGUGUGUGUAUUUAUUAAUUUAUGUAUAUAUAUAUGUAUGUUUGGUUAUGUUGGAGUUAUUUCACCUUAGGUAACUCCAAUAAUCAUACAAUUAUAGUCAUGACCUGACGGCUAAAGAGAACGGAUUUAAUCGUUUGAUUAGAGUUGCUCAACUAAUGAUUUUUUCUUUAAAAAAAAAAAAAACUCAUUUUUAUUGCAAUUAGUUUAGCUCUCUCAUAUGAUGACAUUUGUCAUGUUCGUAAUGACGUGGUGAACUCUUUCUUCCCACGUAAGGCAGGCAUAUGUUCCCUCAUUGCUGUGGUCCGUGGUGACGGUUUAUGCUUGUACCCUCGAUUGAUAUUCCCACAGUUUCCUUAAUCCUUAUCUGCUUGAUUCGCUCUUUUUCCUUCUUUCUUCUUCCUUUUCGUUUAAAAACAUUAAUACGGUUAUAUAAUUCGUUGAAUCAAUCUCCACUAGUCUAUAAAGUGGACUUGAAUUCCUCCAUAUUCAAAAGUAAUUUAUAACAUGAUAUUAUUGGGUGGUUUUAGUAUCUCUUACGUUCAUAAAUUGUAAAUAUUGAAAUGUGAUGCAAUCAAUUUGAGCUUACUAUAUUUCAUGGGGAUUCUGUUAUAUGUUUAAGAAUUUUUUUUUCUUUCAAGAUUAGCUUGUCUUUAUCUCCAAUUCAUUUGUUGGAAUUUUAUUACUAUUUCAAAAUAUUAAUUUCCCACAUUUGAGGGAACUGAGAGCAAUCAUUUUUAUAUUUUAUUUAAAAUUAGUCACGCGUUUGAUUUACUUAUAAAUUAAAGUUGAAUAAGUCAAAUGUAGAUGUCAUUUACAUUAUUUAAAAAUUACAUAAAUUAUGAGGUAUAUGAAUGACUAAUUCAAAUUAAAUAAGGAAAGUGGGUGAUUAAUUUAUUUUGAAUUAAGAAAAAGAUUAUAGAGGGUUUCUCUAUAUAAAUGAGACAUAAAAAAACCUUUAAGGGACUGCAACCUCUAUUUUCUUCAUAAAAUAUUCUUUAUGUGCUUGGAGUACAACCUCACAACAGUAGCAUCAUUUGAGUCCUGGAGAUAAGCCCGUAUUAUUUGUGUCCUUAUUUCAUUGGAAAAUCUUUUUAUAAGAGUGAAAAUUGGUCAUGAGGACAAUGUAUUAUGCACGCCUUGACGAAUAUUGUGAUUGCUGGCAAGUGAACAUCGCUGUGAAUAGUAUUGACUGAACAACACCCAUCAAUAGCGACAUGAAUAGUGUUCGUAAAUAGUAAUGUGAACAAUAUUGACAACUACUAUUCAUAGGGCUCUAUUUGCAUGUCAAAAUUGCUGCUUCGGCUGGUUUCUAGAAAUUCAACAAAGCAAUAUUGACUCUUGUUUCCAACAUAUCACCUAAUACCUAAGCGGUUCACAAUAAGGAAAAAGAGAAAAAUCAAUGGCAGCACCCUAUUUCAUACGCAGGGAUGGAUCCAUAAAAUUAAUCUAUUAGGGACAGUACUAUAAUAAAAAAAUUAAUAAAAAUAAAUGUUUGGGAGGGAUACUGUUUGGGACAAAUGCGUCGAAGGGACCAGGAAUGACGAGCAGAUAUCUGAUGGCGGAGUUCUGCGAACCGGUGUGUUCCGUUAAAGCCUGGCGCGUGGAAGAACAGGAGCAGAAACAUCUUGCUCGUCCACGAUGUUGUCGUCCGCGAGGCCAAUUCCUAUAAAAGGCAUAAGGCCAUUCCGGCUAGAGAUCGAGAGGCGAGGAGACCCGGUCGACGGCAGUUGGCAAGACGUGCUCUCCAGCACGAGAAUCUAGGCACAACAGCCACGCUUUCCCCAGAACCGCGACGUAACACGCAAGAUCUCACAGAGCCAUGACAGCCACACUUUCCCCAGAACUGUGGCGUAACACGCAAGGUCUCACAGAGCCAUGGCAGCCACGCUUUCCCCUGAACCGUGGCGUAACACGCCAGAUCCCAUGUUUUGCCCAUAACGCAGCAGUUGGAGUCCCAUACCGUCUCGAAAAGAGCGGAAGACUGAGAUUCAGAGGAAGCCUAUAAAAAGGUAGCCAACGAAGGUAAAAGGGUUGGCAUUCUUGAGAAAAGGGGAGAAAACCACAAGAAACGCCAUAAGACCUGUGGCAAGCUUUUCCCGAACCUUCAUAUCUGACUUGAGCGUCGGAGGGUUUACGCCGGGAAAACAACCGGCGUACUCUGACUUAUCUGUGUACGCAGGGACCUCUGGAGAAGAAGCCUGGCGAGGAGACCUCCUGGUCGUGACGAAGUUGAUCGAGCAGAGAUCCUGAUCGUAGAACGAGGAGAACCGAAAUCUCGCAUCAACAUUUUGGCGCCGUCUGUGGGGAUCCAGAGCAAAAAGCUUCUGUCGAUAGCAAGAAGAGAGGUGGAGUAAGCGAAAGGCAAUGGAGAUAGGAGGAAGUAGCGCACAAGGGGGUGACAUAAGGCUUAACGAUUCCGUGACGCUGAGGGAGGUAAUCAGCGAAACACGGGAAAAAGUCAUGUUCGACCGGAUGGAGCGAAUGGAAAAGUAGAUGGAAACCUUGACAACCAUCCUGCAUGAGUUGCGGAACGAGCGAAGGGUAACCCAAGAGGGAAGGGUGAGAGGCGGUGGAGCGGCACCAGGUACCGAUAGUGCGGAGAGAAGUCAAACCGCUGGGAGAUUUGGUGGUGAGAGAGGUAACGUACCUCUGCGGGGAGAAUUUCAUAGAGAAAGAGAGCAGUCCCCGGUAAGACAGACUUGUGACGGGGGCGACGGGGUGGUGAAUGCAGAGGAAACAGAACUGAGGCAACACUUACAUGAUGUAGAGCGAGAGCGGGAUCAAGCUGCCGCGCGCGACCCUGGUCGCGCAGGACAGCUGGAGGAGGAAGUGCGAAGGCUAGCGCAAAUAAUUGACGACAUGCAAGGGAGGAACAGAGCCCCUGGUUGGAGGAUAAUGCUGGACGGGGAAUCACCGCUCGCAGCAGAGAUCAUGAGGGCAGUUAUUCCGAGAGAUUUCCGCCUCCCCGACCUCAAAUACUCGGGAAGAACUGACCCGCUGGUGCACAUAGAGCGCUUCAACGACAUAACGGGGGUCCAGGGAUUAUCUCCAUCCCAAAGGUGCAGGGUGUUCCCACUAUCCCUUGAGGGACGUGCACGAGAAUGGUACAGGAAACUUCCUCGGGGCAGCAUAAAAACCUUCGAGCAGAUGUGCCAGGAAUUCGCAGAGCAGUUUAGUGGGGCAAUGUCACCGGAAGAUGACAUGAUGGAGCUGAAGAGCAUGAAACAGGGGGAGCAAGAAACCCUUCGGGAAUUCAUCAAGAGGUUUCAUCGGGCUGUCCUCGACUUGGGAGCCUUCAACCACCCUCAGGCGUUAAGGGGACUGAAAGAAGGGGUGAAGAUAUGAAGGCUGUGGUACAAUUUGAGAAGCCCAGCUAUUCAAACGUAUGCAGCCGCAUACGAACAGGCUAAAAGAGACAUCGAGAUUGAGGAGGAGAAGGCUGCACGGAUCAAGACAGACCAGUUGGAAGGGUUAGGGAGGAAAGAGAAGAAAGCAUUACCAACUAAUGGGCCGAUCAGGAGGAGGGACCACCAGAUCUCCGGUAGUGGAGCAGGAGGUAGGGUAAUUGCUUACCAGCCUCAUCAGAGGCCGCCACAGUAUCAGCGCAGCAGGGCGCCACCUCCUCGUUCCCCAGCUAGGGAGCCUUGGAGAAGACAUGAUCCGGCAUCCGGCGAUCUUCAUCAACAUUCCCACGAUAGCAGGACGAGCAGACCAGAAGCACUCCCAUCGCCCCCAACUCACAGUGGGGCAAACAGAGAAAGAGCAGUGCAUCUGGUCGACCAGAACCAGGACUAUGGGCGGUACACUCCCUUGAAGAUGCCCCUGGAUGAGGUGUACGAGGCCAUAAAGGGUCGAGGGCUGUUGCACCUCCCUACACCAAUAACAAAGCUACCCAACAGGAGGGAUAGAGGACGUUAUUGUAAGUUCCAUGGCACCCAUGGCCAUACCACAGCAGAGUGUAGAGAUCUCAAGACCCAGGUCGAAGAUUUGGUGAGAAAUCGGUACCUGGACGAGUUUAUGGAUGAGACUUUCCCGAUGGUGGCCACAACGGAUGAAGGGGAGCAGAGUGAUGGAAUCUUGGGACGCGAGCCGCCCGCAGCGAGGGUGAUAGCUGGGGGCCCAACGUUGGCCGGAGAUUCGAACAGAUCGAGAAAAAAUUAUGCCAGAUACGCCAUGACCAGUAAAGAGAUACUCUUCAACACCCCAGCAGCCAAACGAGCAAGGGUCAGGCAAGUGCCAAUCAUGUGGACGGAUGAGGAUGAGGAAGGGAUUCUAUACCCCCACGAGGACGCUUUAGUCAUCAAGGCUACGAUCGCUAGCAAGAAGUUUGACCGGAUACUGGUUGAUACGGGGAGCUCAGUUGAUGUGCUAUUUAAAUCAACUUUGGAAGAGAUGGGAAUAGCCGACCGGAAGUUGGAAUACACCAACACCUCCUUGAAGGGGUUCGGAGGAGGGAAGCUGGUCCCUCUGGGCGUGGUCGAACUGCCCAUCACAAUCGGGAGCCCCCCGACAGAAAGAACAAUGAUACUGGACUUCGUCGUAGUGGACGAGGAAGGUCCUUACCAGAUGAUCCUAGGUCGGCCAUUUUUAAGGAUGAGCAAAGCGGUGCUGUCCAACCAUUAUCUGGCUCUGAAGUACCGGGUGAAUGGGGUAGUCGGAGUGGUACGAGGAGACCAGAGGAUCGCAAGAAGCUGCUACUCCUCGGCAGCAAGGGAGGUGAUGCAGAUAACAUCCCUCGAUACCCGAGUGGAAAACAAGACUGGCAGACAAGAACCCGUAGAGGAUCUGGAAACAGUAAGCAUGGGACCAGAGAACCCGGGAAAGACGAUCAGAAUCGGGUCGAGACUUGAGGGAGAGCAAAAGCAGGAGUUGGUGAAAUGCUUACAGGCUCAUGCCGACGUGUUUGCCUGGACACAUGAGGACAUGCCAGGGAUUGACCCAGAGGUAGCAUGUCAUAGGCUGGCAAUAAAGAAAGGUGCUCGGGCAGUAAGGCAGAAGAGGAGGUGCUUCAACCAGGAGAGGUAUGAGGCUGUAAAUGAUGAGGUGGAGAAGCUUCUGAGAGCAGGGUUCAUUCGGGAAGUCAAUUACCCAGAGUGGAUAUCAAAUGUGGUGUUGGUAAAGAAGGCAAACGGCAAGUGGAGGAUGUGUGUGGAUUUCACAGACCUCAAUAAGGCGUGCCCAAAAGAUAGCUUCCCUUUACCAAAGAUCGAUCAGCUAGUAGAUUCAACGGCUGGACAUGGUCUGCUUAGCUUCAUGGACGUAUUCUCGGGAUACAACCAGAUCCCCAUGUACGAGCCGGAUGAGGAGAGCACGGCUUUCAUCACUAACCAAGGUCUGUUCUGUUACAGGGUGAUGCCAUUCGGUCUCAAGAAUGCUGGGGCCACCUAUCAAAGGCUGGUGAAUAAAGUCUUUAAGCCCUUGAUCGGGAAAACCAUGGAGGUGUACGUGGACGACAUGAUCACCAAGUCCAAAAUCCCGAAGGAACAUGUCAGACAUCUCGAGGAGACGUUCGAGCUUUUGAGGAAGUAUAAGAUGAAGCUCAACCCGGAGAAGUGUGCUUUUGGGGUCGAGUCAGGGAAAUUCCUGGGAUUCAUGGUGAGCCAUAGGGGGAUUGAAGCAAAUCCCGAGAAGAUCCAGGCGAUUGUGCAAAUGACGUCUCCUCGAAACCUGAAGGAGACGCAGAGCCUCAUGGGGAGGUUGGCGGCGUUGAGCAGAUUCAUAUCCAAGGCUACAGAUAAGUGUCAGCCAUUCUUUCAAGUGAUAAGGAGGGGAAAGAAAACGGAAUGGACCCCAGAAUGCGAGGAAGCCUUCCGGAACUUGAAGCAUUACUUGCAGCAAGCUCCGCUACUGUCCACACCGAGGGAUGGGGACAAGUUGAAUCUGUAUUUGGCGGUAUCUGAUCGGGCCGCCAGUUCCGUUCUAGUGAGAGAGGAAGAAGGAAUUCAGUAUCCGAUAUACUACACCAGCAAGGCCCUGCUCGACGCUGAGACCAGAUACCCAACGAUGGAGAAAUGGGCACUGGCCCUUGUGGUUGCUGCUCGGAAGUUGAGGCCGUACUUUCAAGCAUUCCCGGUCUCGGUAAUAACCAACCAGCCAUUGCGUCAAAUUCUGCACAAGCCAGAUGCCUCUGGUCGGCUCGUCAAAUGGACUGUAGAGCUGAGCGAAUUCGACAUAGACUAUAAACCCCGCGCGGCGAUAAAGGCCCAGGCAAUGGCCGAUUUCGUAGCUGAGUUCGCGGAGCCCGAAGUAUGCUUGGAUCAGCAAGAUGCAGAUAUAGGCAACGACGAAACUCAAGUAUGGCAGAUAUCUGUGGAUGGGUCAUCAGGAGAGCGGGGUUCAGGAGCAGGGAUUGUCCUGGAAGGCCCAGAGGGGGAGGAGAUCUCUUAUGCUGUAAAGUUGGAAUUUGCAGCCACAAAUAACCAGGCAGAAUAUGAAGCCUUGAUAGCAGGGCUGGAAUUGGCUAGGGCCGUGAAAGCGGACAGAGUUAAGAUCAGAACCGAUUCCCAGCUGGUUGCGAAUCAUGUCAGUGAAAGAUUCCAACCAAGAGAGGAGAAGAUGGAACAGUACCUAAGGAUAGUCAGGCAGAUGAUGGGGAAGUUCGAAGCAGUGGAGGUGAUACAAAUCCCCAGGGAGCAGAAUAGUCGAGCAGACAUUUUGGCUAGGAUGGCAGCCGUAGCCGACCCAAAAAUGCCAAAGUCGGUCCCCCUAGAAGUGAAGUCUCGCCCGAGUAUCGAGCAAAAUUUGGGGGUGUUGCGGAUAGAACAAAAAAGCUCGUGGAGGGACCCGAUAGUUUCAUACCUUAGAGACGGGGUCUUACCGCCAGAUAAGCUACGGGCUCGGAAGAUUAGAGCUCAGGCCUCGAGAUACACGAUGAUCGAUGGGGUACUGUAUCAGCGAGGAUAUACAUUACCGUUCCUUCGGUGUUUGGACGAUGACGACGCGGAUUACGUGCUGAGGGAAGUACAUGAAGGAAUUUGCGGAAAUCAUUCUGGCGGGAGGUCCCUGGCCCACAAGGUUCUAAGGCAGGGAUAUUUCUGGCCGACGAUGCACCAGGAUGCGCAAAGGAAGACCAGGAGCUGUGCAAGCUGCCAGAGUUUUGCAAAUUUCUCUAACCAACCACCAGAGAAGCUCACCUCCAUGGCCUCCCCUUGGCCAUUCGCUCAAUGGGGAAUUGAUCUGAUCGGCCCAUUGCCAAAGGGACGAGGAGCAGCAACACACGCAAUAGUCGCUAUAGAUUACUUCACGAAGUGGAUAGAGGUAGAAGCCCUUAGCAGGAUCACAGAGAAGAAAACAACAGACUUCGUGUGGAGAAACCUGGUCUGUCGAUACGGGAUCCCAUAUGCCUUGGUAACGGAUAAUGGCAGGCAGUUCGAUAAUCACAGCUUCAGGGAUUUCUGCCAGAACCUCGGGAUAGAGCUGAAGUAUUGCUCGCCUGCUCACCCUCAAUCGAAUGGACAAGUAGAAGCAGCCAACAAGACAGUCAAGAGGCUUCUGAAAACCAGGCUCGGAGCAAAAAAGGGUGCGUGGGUUGACGAGCUGUCAGGUGUGCUAUGGGCAUACAGAACAACCCACAAAACCGCAACGGGGGAGACACCGUUCGCUUUGGCUUUCGGACAUGAAGCGGUCGUGCCGGCUGAGGUAGGAACGACCACACACCGGACAGAUCAUUUCAAUGAACAGGAGAACGACGAGCAGAUAUGUUUGAAUCUUGAUCUGCUAAUGGAGAGGAGGGAACAAGCAGCCGAGCGAUCAGUCACUUACCAACAGAGGGUUGCUCGGUAUUAUAACCAGAAGGUGAACAUACGGCAAUUCAGGGUCGGAGACUGGGUACUGAGAAGAGUGAAUCAGAGCACCAAAGAUUCGACUCAAGGAGUGCUGGGACCGAAUUGGGAAGGGCCGUAUAGAGUCAAGCAGAUAGCGGGGCCCGGAGCUUACAAGCUGGUUCGCGCGGACGGCCACGAAGUGAAACGCCCAUGGAACGCAGCACACCUCCGAAAAUACUUCCAGUAAGACUUGCUCACAUUUUAAAGCAAUUUCUGCUCAUGCUGUUUAUCUUUUAUUUUUAUGUUUUAUGUCCGAACAAUUUCAUGUAAGUCAAAUCCUGCCAUUAAUGUAACGUCGACGAAUUUUAUUCGCUUGAAACCGAAAAAAAUCCUAAGGCAUGCAAAGGCUCGUCAAGUCUCAGAGCCUGUCUUAUGGCGAGACAGAAGCCAAGCAUGCCAGGAUCUGCUCGGCCACGAGAAGGCAGCAGAAUCCAAAUCGUUUGAAAAAAAUACUAAGGCAUGCAAAGGCUCGUCAAGUCUCAGAGCCUGUCUUAUGGCGAGACAGAAGCCAAGCAUGCUAGGAUCUGCUCGGCCACGAGGAGGCAGCAGAAUCCAAAUCGUUUGAAAAAAAUACUAAGGCAUGCAAAGGCUCGUCAAGUCUCAGAGCCUGUCUUAUGGCGAGACAGAAGCCAAGCAUGCCAGGAUCUGCUCGGCCACGAGAAGGCAGCAGAAUCCAAAUCGUUUGAAGAAGAUUCCCAAGGCAUGCAAAGGCUCGACAAAGUCUCAAAGCCUGUCUUAGGGCCAGACAAAAGCCCAGCAUGCCAGGAUCUGCUCGUUCGCGAGAAGGCGAGCAGACUCCAAGGCAUUCGGAAAGUUUUCUACGGCACGCAAAGGCCUCACCAAGUCUCAAAGCCUGUCUUACGGCGAGACAGAAGCGAUCAGCGUUUCAGACGAAAAUUAAUUCAUAAGUACGACACGAGAUAGUAAUCAACAACAUUUUUAUUAAUGGCUAACAGAGGGGAUAAAUUUCAUAAACGUUGUUCAUUACAAUACAAGAAGAAAUAUAUCAAAAAGAUGGUGGAUCAGUGAGCCGAGCAGCAUCGGUUGGCUGGACCUCCUCGGGUGCAGGGGGGGUAUCACCAGUUGCGUCCGGGGGGUGCUCGCCUCGCCAACAUCAGCAGGGACUGCACGAGGAGGAGAGUUACCCUCCUCAAUCACGAUCGGCUCUAACCCCUCGGCAUCUUCCUUGGCCGCCUCCUCGUCCAUAUGCUGAGCAACACCAGCUGCAAGGUCAUCCAUCUUCAGAUCAGGGUGUCGCUUCCCGAGGACAGCCAUGAUGCAACGGUAGGAAUGCCGAAGUCCCUGGUCGUACUGGUUGUCGACUUCUCUCUCUAAGUUCUCGACUUCCCUCUCCAAGUUCUCGACCUGGGCUCGGUGGGAGUCGCGGAGAGAUUCGAGCUGAGCCGCGUACAUAGCCAUCUGCCUUUGCAUAUCCUCCUUGACCUUGGUAAGCUCCUCCUCGAGGGUAAUGGCUUUUGCUUGAGCAAGUGAUUCUUGCUCUAUCAGCUUCAGGUUCUCGAGAUUCAGCUCCCCUGCUUUCUUCUCGGCAACGUCAGCUCUGGUCGUCGCCGAUUGAAUAUCUUCCUUCAUCUUCCGGUCGUAGCGGCCCACCUUAGCCUUGUAAUAGGUGGUCAUGCAGCUGAGGUGGAAGGCGCUAUGCUACAUGGCCCCCACCAGCUCACCCAAGGUGCGGCCGUCAAAAUCCUCCAGCUCCUUCUUGCUCACGAGUUUGGUUAACUCAUUGAGGUAAGGGACCAGAUGUUCUGCUCGGCUGUCGGGUAAGCGAGAUCGAGGCCCGACAGGAAGAGAAGAGGUAGCAGGACCUGUGGCUGCUCCACUGGCUUCCCCAACUUUUUCAGGGGCUGGAGGUAAAAUCUUCAAGGGUGGGGCCUGCUGCACGACGUUGGCCCGCUUUGCAGUAGGGGCAUCCUUACUGUGGUCCCCCUUCGUGGUUGGAGGUCGAGAACGUUUUCGGGUCAGGGCCCCAAUCACAGCGUCCUCCAUCCUAUGGCCAGGAAGUAUCAAGCGAGACUCGAGCAAGUUGUAUGUGCUUAACAGUUCUCGGCUCGAGCAAGAAUUGGCCCGUACCGCCUCGACCCGUUUGAGCUGGUCAGGUUUGAGCGGGAAGUGGACACCCCAAGAAACUACAACACAAACAGACACUUGGUUAGAGACAAGCCAAUAAAACAAGGACAAUUAUGGAUACAAGACAUCUGAAGCGAGCAGGCAACCUGGGACCGUGAAACGGGGCGGGACCCGGUAAUCCUUCCCGUCCAUUUGUGCGACCUGACCCCAAGGACCCCCAGCAAAAAAGAACUUUCUCUUCCAAUUCCCACCACCACCAGUAGGGAGGUCGGUUAUGGGUUUCCUGGUCUUGGUGCUAGAUUGGAAGUAGUACCAACCGGCAUCUUUGGGGCUGCUCUUUAGCUGGUACAGGUGCUUCACCUCAUCAAUUGUGGGCUCGCUUUGACAACAUCUGUCCCACAAUAUGAACAGACCAGAGAGCACUCUCCAACCAUUUGGGUUCAGCUGACCAGGAGAUAGAUUUAGCCCGCUAAGUACCCGGGCAAAGUAAGGUUGCAAGGGACAUCUCAGCCCGUACUUAAAGCUAUCCAGGUACAGGGUAACAUAUCCCCUAGGAGGCCGGCUAGGAGCAUCCUUAUUUCCUGGGACCUUGAGAAGUAUUUCACCAGGAAUGCUAUACCUCAGCCGGAGGUCCUCGAGCUCAUCAAACGUGGUCGUGCACGUCAUGUAAUCAAUAGCGUAGUCCCGCGAUAGGGCUCUACCUCCUAUUCUACUCCUCCCUUCUGGUCGCGGCGCUCCUGAUGGGGACGCCUCACCAGAAUCAUCCCCUUGACCCUCACUCAAGGUGUUCUCCGAUCCAGAAGAUCCUUCUUCAUCGCUACUGUCGCUCGAGGAGGUUGUUUGGGGAGACAUCCUCCUAGCGCUAGUACCAACACUAGACCUAAUGGGCUCUAAGGGGAUCCCGGGAUCAAAAGCGGGAUCAGCGAGCAGACUAGGUGGGAAGUCCAACUCGUCGUCGUCAACCUCAAUGACCUUCUCUUUGCCCUUCGACAUUCCCUAAACUCUACCACAACGCCACCAACUACUACCCAAACGAAAGAAAAAAGAAGUUAUCUAUAAACUAUCCGAGACCGAGGAGAGAGAAGUAAUACCUGAAGUACUGCUCCAAUCGGAGAAAGGCAAGGAUGGGGGCUUCGUGCCGGAACUUCUUUGCCGGAGAAACAGAGACGUAGACGGAGACAGAGUGAAUGGUGAAUAUGCCGUUCGAGAGGAUUUGGCUUUCCAAAUGAGGACGGACUCUUGGGUUGCCAGCAUAUAACUGCGCCGAAUCCCGAGGAUCUCGUAACCGUCGGUUUGAAAUUCAAAUGGAGGGGGGGAUUUCUGCCACGUCACCUCAUCCGCAAUUAAAUGCGACAUGACUCCUGGCAGCCUUUUCCAAACCCACGCGAGCGAGUACUAUCGAGUUUCUACUGCUGGUCCACUACAUUACCCAACACCAGAAACUGGGGGACCGGUGUUUGGGAGGGAUACUGUUUGGGACAAAUGCGUCGAAGGGACCAGGAAUGACGAGCAGAUAUCUGAUGGCGGAGUUCUGCGAACCGGUGUGUUCCGUUAAAGCCUGGCGCGUGGAAGAACAGGAGCAGAAACAUCCUGCUCGCCCACGAUGUUGUCGUCCGCGAGGCCAAUUCCUAUAAAAGGCAUAAGGCCAUUCCGGCUAGAGAUCGAGAGGCGAGGAGACCCGGUCGACGGCAGUUGGCAAGACGUGCUCUCCAGCACGAGAAUCUAGGCACAACAGCCACGCUUUCCCCAGAACCGCGACGUAACACGCAAGAUCUCACAGAGCCAUGACAGCCACACUUUCCCCAGAACCGUGGCGUAACACGCAAGGUCUCACAGAGCCAUGGCAGCCACGCUUUCCCCUGAACCGUGGCGUAACACGCCAGAUCCCAUGUUUUGCCCAUAACGCAGCAGUUGGAGUCCCAUACCGUCUCGAAAAGAGCGGAAGACUGAGAUUCAGAGGAAGCCUAUAAAAAGGUAGCCAACGAAGGUAAAAGGGUUGGCAUUCUUGAGAAAAGGGGAGAAAACCACAAGAAACGCCAUAAGACCUGUGGCAAGCUUUUCCCGAACCUUCAUAUCUGACUUGAGCGUCGGAGGGUUUGCGCCGGGAAAACAACCGGCGUACUCUGACUUAUCUGUGUACGCAGGGACCUCUGGAGAAGAAGCCUGGCGAGGAGACCUCCUGGUCGUGACGAAGUUGAUCGAGCAGAGAUCCUGAUCGUAGAACGAGGAGAACCGAAAUCUCGCAUCAACAAUAAAUAUUCAAGUUUGAUAUUCAUUGAUAAUCAACUUAGGGAAGGAAUAAAUUACCUUAAUAUAGCAAAUAAUUGUGUUCAUAAUUUUUAAAUUUGUAAUUGUGCCUUCUAGUUGAUAAAAUGAGACAAAGAAAGAGGAUGAAUUUUGAUGGAUUAAAAGAGGGCUGUGUUGAUUAAGAGUGAGAAAGGAGAGGAAAGAUCUCUGUUUUCUAGAUUCACAGUGGUGAGCCGUGUACGAGAUUUGGCAGAUAAGAAAAUCGUUUGGUUCAUAUUUUGAGUUGGAAAUAUUAAUUUGCCCCCACCGCAAAACGCAAUUUAUAAAAUUGAUUCAUUAUUAAUUUUUUAUAAAAUUACCUCACUAUGAAGUAAUUAUCCCGAAAAUUAACAUGAAGUUUAAACAAUUUUUUUUUUCCACUGGCGUCAAUUGCCCCCACUGCCCAAUAAAUAGAUCCACCCCUGUCCAUAGGCAGCUCAUAUUUGGAGGUUCCAAAAGACAAAUGAGAUGGGGAUGAAGAAUGGAACAUUCUCAUGGUUAUAAUAUUAUUAAUAGACCAAAAAGUAUUUGCGACUUUAACAAUUAAAAAAUUAAUAUUUUUUAAAAAAAAGUAGUAAAGUUUUGCUUAAAAUAAGGAUUUUAGUUGAAAAUUGAAAAGUUUGAUGGAACAUGAUCUGUUUUUGAGUCGGGCAAUCAUCAUUUUGAUACAUUCCUUUAAGAUAUUGUAAAUUUGAAUUAAUACCCUAUCUAUUAGGUUAUCUUAAUCAAAUAGGUCGGUACAUAGGCAUCUAUUAUAUGGAUUCUGUCUACAGAAUCUAAAAUUAAAAUAGUGAUGGAUGAGAUGAGCCUCUUCGGGAAUCAGGAAGAUGGAAAAAGAGAAAAUCUAAAAUGAUUUUGGAAGCUAUUUUGUAAAUUUUAUUGUACUAGUAAACAUAAGAAUCUAUUAAAAUAUAUAUUAAGAAUAACGAGGUUGAAGUCGUAGGAACUUUUUCUUUUAAGAAAGGAAAAUUUAAUCUAAAUUAAUUAUAAUCGAUCUUAGUUGAAAAGAAAAUAUUUUGUUUCAGAAAAUUAAAACCAAAGAUGCAAGUAAAUUAACAUAAGAACCAAGAGAUUGAGGUUACCAAGUUUCAGUAUCCACCAUAAUUCAAUUUAACAAUUAUCUAAUUACCAAUCGAUUCAAGAGACUGGGGCUAGUAAGUUUCAAAAUCAACUAAAGUUCAACUUAACAAUUAUCUAAUUACCAAUCAAUUUUUAAUUUUAGAAUGUCUAUUCAUAAAUAUAAUAAUCAAGCCUAAUUAAAAUUAAUUUUAUGAAUACUCUUUUUCUACUUCAUAAUGCGAUAUCUAAAUAUUUUAAGUAAAUAAUAUUGAAUAAUAAAGAGUUAAGAGUUUAUUUGAGCACUCUAUGUAAACUAUUUGAUGAAAGAAAGAAAAUUAGGAGUGGUAAAAAAGCCCGAGCCGGCCCAGGCCCACAAUGUGUGGGCCUAAAACAAAUUGCAAAGCCCACAUAUGUUAGGUCUGAACAAGGGCUUAGCAAAAAAGCCCGGACUUGGCUCGGGCUUUUUAAAUUUAUGAAUAAAAAAUAAAAUUAAUUUAAAUAAAAAAGAAAAAAACUCAAAAUAUUAAAUUAGUUUAAUUUUUUAUAUUAGUAUUUGUUAUUUUAUUAAGUUGUAUUACUAAUAUUUUAUGUAUUGGACUAUUAUUUUAUUAUAUAUUAGAUGAUUAUCUUUAAUUUAAAUAUUUUUUUUAAUUUAAAAAUAUUUUAUAAUUAAUUUAAAAAGCCCGAGCCCGGCCCGUCUAAAUUUGGACGGCUUUUUGAAGGGCCUGGACUUUGUUUGAAUGAUGUGGGCUUAGGCCUGGGUUUCGAAAAGCCUGGCCCAAGCUCGCAAAUCGCCAACCCUACAGAAAAUUAAAGAUAAUCAUGCAUAAAUUUUAUAGAUUUAAGUGUAGAUUUGAUUUAAUAUUAAUCCCAACAAUCAAUAAUGCAGGACAAAAUUAGUGAAGAUAUUUAAUAAUAGUCAACCAAACAUAUAAAAAUAAGAAUUAUCCACAUUAAAACACACAUAUAUAAGAAGAUAACCGAAUAAAAUGUAAUUUAUUUAAUUAAACAAGAAAUUAUCUUUAACAUUAGUAUGAAAAAUGAAAAAGACAUGGAGAGAUUGAAAACAAUAAAACCGAUAAAAAGCCAAGCCUUCAGCGGCCUUCAAUUCCUUUCUGUCUCGCUGAAAGCUUGGCUUUGUAAGGGUGUUCAGAAUCCAAUCCGAUCCGCUCAAUCCGUCUGAUCCGUAAAAAUCUGAUCUGUGGACCUGUGGAUUGGAUAUGGAUUAAAAUUUUAAAAAUCCGCAGUCGAUGGAUUAGAUAUGGAUUUACUUCUGUAAAUCCGUAAAAAUUCGUGAAUUCGCAAAAAAAAAAAAAAAAAAAAAUAUAUAUAUAUAUAUAUAGUUAAAAAAUUAUUAUAAAUUUAAUUAAAUAAUAUUAUAAAUGUGACAUUACAUAGUUACAUAAGCACUAUAACAUAUCUUAGCCAUUACCCAAUAAUAAUAUUAAUUAAAAAAUAAUUAAAUAAUCAAAUAUACAAUAUAACUUGUAAAAAUUGUAAAACAAAAUAAAAACAAAGUCACUAGCAACAGCAAAGUAACAUAACGGCAAGUUACCAACAAUUUGUAAAGUCACCCAAAAGCAAAGUAACAUAACGCCAUGAUGAGAACCAUCAAGGGAAUACCAUUAAAGUUUCAAGUGAUCCUUUGCACAUUCAUAGAGGCCCAAUUACAAGGGCUAGAGCAAAAAAGAUGCAAGCUGCUUUAAAUUGAUUAAUUGAGAAAAUAUGAAUUGAAAAUGCAAUUCAAGAUGCAAGACAUCAUGAAUUGGGCUUGAAGAGAAGACAAGGCAUUGUGGGCAUUAUUCAAGUUAUUGGGCAGCCAAAUACACAAUUUGUAUCAAAUGCAGAAAGGUCAAAUUCGGAAUAAAACUAGUAUUGAUUGAGCCAAAAGUAAUGUGCAAACUAUAUACCGUUGGAAAGAUAAUUACGUUAGCUUUCCAAUGCAUUUUACAGAGUUAGAUUUGAAGUUCUCUAAAAGGAGUUAUGACCAAUUCAUUACAGCUUGUUCAGACUUGAGAUUUUCAACGACUCAUUUAUUUUUCAACUUCAUUUCUUUAUUUUGUUUCAAGUUUGUCAAAAGUUUAUCAAUGUGUAAGGUAAGUCUACUAGGAAUGGCAAAAGGUCGUGUCGGGCUCGGGCUUGACCAAGCCCGAACCCGACCCGAUCAAAAAAAUUUGAAGCCCGACCCUAAAAAAGCUCGAACAUUUUAUAGUUAGGGUCGGGUCCGACCCGGCCCGAAUCAAGUCAACGUCAGGUCGGGCCCAACCCGACCCUACCAAAAUAGUUUUCAUAUUAUUUUAAUAUUAAACUAUUUUUUAACGUUUUGUUUUAUAUUCAUGUUAUUUUAAUGUUUUUCUUCUAUACAUGCACCUUAAUUCAAUAAUUUAGGCAACUCAAAUUUGUCAAUAUCUUGUAAUUUUAUGACCACAUCCCAAAUUCAUUCAUGUUACUUUUUAAUUUUUGUUCUCUUUCUAGUUAUAAUACCAUGAAUAUAAUACAAAAGAAAUAAUUUUUCUAAUUUAAAAUAAUUAACAAGACAAAUGCAAAAUAUACAAUAUAAUUAAUCACAAAAUAAUGCACAAAACAACCAAUUAAUAGGAAUAAUUUUUUAAAUUCAAUUCCAUAAUCCAACUUUAAAAACACACAAUGCGAUUAAAUUAAAAAAAACACACAAUUUAAUUCCACAACCAUUUCAACCCCACACACAAAUCAAUUCCAAAAUCCAACAUGAAAAACUCAUAAUGCAAUUAAAUUAAAAAUACACAUGUAAUUUCACAACCAUUUUAGCCAUACACAAUUCAAUUCAACAAUCCAACAUAAAAAAUAAAAAAUAAAAAACUCAUGUCUUAUACAAAUAAAAACACACAAUUUAGUUCCACAACCCAACAUUAAAAAAAAAAACAUGUCUUAUGUUGAGUGUUAGAAAAUGCAUAUUUAUAAAGGAGAAAACCGUUAUUUUACAUUUCAAGUCUUACUAACAACCCUUACUUUUAUGUAUUUAACCUACUUGUGAUUUAAUUACAUGUGUUUUAUUUUAAUUAAGUAUUUUAUGUAUUUUAGGGGCAUUAUAGUCAUUUCACAAUAAACGAGAAAUCAGAUGGCAAAACGGACAUCACUUUUGAACUCAGGACGGUCGAAAACCUUAGGAGGAGCAUAAAAGGAAAAAUGGCACUGUUCACAUGUACGGUACUGUAUACGUUACUGUUCACGACACUGUUCACAUAGACGGACCGAUGACGUGGCAUUGACUGAUGAGGUGUCACGAUCCUGUUGGACUAAAAUUCUUAUAUAUUGUUGAUGGUGACGUGGUAGCAUAUCAGUGGACGAAAAAUUUCGCAUACGGUGCAUGCAUCACACAGGAUUAUUUUCAACCAAACCGCGUUACUGAUCAUCCGGGUCAAAUCGUGUUACUGUUCAUCCGCGUGGUCAAACCGUGGACUGUUGACUGAUGACGUGGCGCAAUCCUGAGCGUCCAAACUGUUUUUAAUCCGAUGGCCAUGAUUUACUCCAUGUAUCUAUAAAAAGGGGGCCUCUCCUCCCUAAUUUGAUAUCUCUUAAUUCAUUUUUGGGAUCCAUUUUCUGUAAUUCCUUCUCCAUCUUGUAUUUUCUUCGUAUUUUAAUAAAUUCCCAUUUUGCCCCUAGUUCAAUUAUGAGUGGCUAGUUUUCUUUCAAGCUUGGGUUGAAGAUGAAGUCUCAACAUGUGUCAUGGGCUUAAUUUGAUAAAUUUAUUUUCUAUUCCCCUCUAGUUUUUGUGGAUGUUUUGACUUCUCGUCGACAAAUAAUAUUAAUCUUGUCUAGUACCGCCUUGGUUUCACCGGCCCUCUAGUACAAGGUUAUUAUUAUUUGGCACGAUAAGCCCUUAGCACCAUAUUGAUUAGAGCGUGGUUCAUGAGGUGUAGAUUCCCCCCUCAUGAUUUAAUGGACAUUAAUACGGAUUAUUUAGCCCAUGAUGCAUGUUGAUACGAAUCCAGAUACCCAAGUACGUCAUUUCAAUAGAAUUCUCUUUAAUUUAUUCUCACCAUUUCAAUACCAAUUUUAGAAUUUAUUCUCGCCAUUUUAUUUUAAGUUUUAGCAUAUUCCAAAUCAUUUCCACCGCAAAUCCAAUCACCCAUUUACAAAAUUAAUUCUAUACACAAUUAAAAUUCACCUCCUCGUGGGAUCAACACUCGUCACCAUUAGUCUAUACUACAAUAGAUUCGUGCGCUUGCGAGUACAUUAAAAUUUGCACAACAAGUUUUUGGCGCCGUUGCCGGGGAGGUAAGUAAUUUUAAUUCAUAGAAUUAAUUUUUGUGAAUAAUUUCUUUUAUUUGUUUUCUUGUAUUUUUUUAUUAUUAAAAAAAAAGAAAAAGAAAAAAAGUGAAUCUACAUUUAAAGGUUAGUAUUUCUUUUCUUUUUCUCUUCUUUAAAAUUCUGUAAUUUAAUUUUCAAUUUAUUUUUCUUUGUAAUUUUUUUUUAUCUUAUUAAUUUAUUUUUAGUUAAUUUAUUUCACGUAUUUAUUUUUGUAUAUUUUUAUAGAAAGGUUUUAAUAGCGCAAUAUGGUUAGUAUCGUAAUUUCUCCCUCUUCUUUAUUUUUAUUUGUUUUGUUCCCAUCUUUAUUUUUAUUUUAUUUGUUUUGCAUGCAUGGUCGUAGGUCAUUAUUACCUAAUCUUGAACCUAUAGACCUUGAAUUAGAAAAAACACUUCGCACACACAAACAAAUUAAAAAUAAAAUGGAUUUGCAACCACAGGAGAGGCCAUUUAAGGACUACUUCAGUCCUUUAGCUAAUUUGAGCACAUCAUGCAUAAGAUACCUAAAUAUAGCUGCUAGGAGCUUUGAACUAAAACCUAGUGUGCUAAAUUGUCUCCCCACAUUUUAUGGCCUAGAAAAUGAGGACCCAUAUUAUCAUCUGAAUGAUUUUCAUGCUAUUUGUCAAACGUUUAAAUACGAGAAUUUUUCAGACGAUGAUGUUAAACUUAGAUUAUUCCCAUUUUCUUUAAAGGAUAAAGCUCGUUCAUGGUUAAAUACUUUACCUGCUAAUAGCAUCAGAUCAUGGGAACAAAUGGUAACUAAAUUUUUGAAUAAAUAUUUCCCAGUGCAUAAAACCAAUGCUAUUCGCAGGAAAAUCUCGGAGUUUACCCAGAGAGAGGACGAGCAAUUUUUUGAAACAUGGGAGCGAUUCAAUGGGCUCCUCUUGAAGUGUCCACAUCAUGGGUACGAAAAAUGGCACCAAUGCCAAUACUUUUUGGAGGGAUUAUUGCCGAAUGUGCAAGAAUGACUAAUAGCAACAAGUGGAGGAGAGCUAAUGUCAAAAAGUGCAUCAGAGAUUUGGGAAUUCUUCCAGCGACAAGCGGAUAAUUCCCAACAAUGGAGUCGAUCACUCAGGAAUACUAGAAGAAUUAAGGGAGUAAAUGAGGUUCACAUUGGCGAAUCAAGUUCAGAAAUUAAAGAAGUCAAAGCGAUAAUUGAAGGUCUCUCUCGACAAAUAGCAUCAUUAUCGACUGCUAAAUCAACAGAGCCACAUGACCAUGACUCAUACUCAGAUCAAGCCAAUGCCAUAAGUGUAAUGAGAAAACCAUCGAAUUACAACCCAUACUCCAACACAUAUAACCCUAGAUGGAGAGACCACCCCAAUUUUUCAUGGUCUCAAGGAUUCCAACAGAACGGACCAGCAGCUCUAGCUCCACCAAUUCCACAAAAUCCUCAAGCCUCUCAGCCACCAUUUAGACCAUACAAUCAGAACCAGAACCACUCUCAACCUAGACCAUGGGAGGAUGCAUUCCAAAAUUUCAGGAAUGUUACUCACUCCACGAUUGAGCAACAGAACCGCACCAUUGAUGGACUACGAAAUGAGUUGAGAGCAGGCUUCAACUCACAAGCUCAAUCAGUUUCAAGCCUCGAGAAGAUGGUGGGACAACUUGCUUCUUCAGUUCAGACCUUGGCAAUGACCGUUGAGAAAGGUAAGUUUCCAAGUCAACCAGUGCCUAACCCUAAAGGAGUGCAUGAAGCAAGUAUCAGUUCACCACAGCAGCAUGGAGAAGUCAAAGCAGUAAUGACCUUGCGAAAAGGAAAAGAAGUCGACAACAAAGUGGAGAUGCCAGUGACAAAAGAAAAUCAAAUUGUACCUAUGAAUGUUGAGGAAUCAUCACCAGAGGAGAAAGAAGAAACCAACCCACGAGAAUACGUUCCGAAAGCUCCAUUUCCUCAGAGGUUAGCGAAAGGCAAGAAGGGAAAAUCCACAGGUGAGAUUCUUGAAAUCUUCAAACAGGUAAGUGUUAACAUCCCUUUGCUUGAUGCUAUUAAACAAGUUCCAUCUUAUGCCAAGUUUCAUCUUAUGCCAAGUUUCUUAAAGACCUUUGUACUAAAAAGAGAAAUAUGCAUGUUCAAAAGAAGGCAUUUUUAACAGAAAAUGUUAGUUCUAUACUCCAACAUAAAAUUCCUUUAAAAUGCAAAGACCCAGGCUCCCCUACUAUCUCAUGUAGUAUAGGGAACCACACAAUUGAGAAUGCUUUGUUGGAUUUAGGAGCUAGUGUAAAUAUGUUGCCUUAUUCAGUAUUCGUGAAACUUGGACUGGGAGAAUUACACCCAACUCCAGUGGUGUUACAGCUUGCAGAUCGGUCCACGAAACUACCUCGUGGUAUUGUGGAGGACGUGCUUAUCCAGGUAGACAAAUUUUAUUUUCCUGUUGAUUUCAUUGUAAUUGACACUCAACCAAUACAGGAUUCAAGGAAGCACAUCCCCAUUAUUCUAGGCCGACCUUUCUUGGCAACUGCGGAUGCUCACAUUCAAUGCAGGACUGGAAAUAUGCAGUUGUCUUUUGGCAACAUGACUAUGGAGCUGAACAUCUUCAACAUUGCCAAACAACCUCACAGUGCAGAUGAUGGAAUUGUUGAUGUGGAUUUAAUUGAAGCAUUAGUUGAUGAUACUUUUGUUUUAAACCUUAGUGAUGAUCCUUUACAAACAUGUUUAACUCACUUUGGUUUGGAUUUUGAUAUUGACAGAUCGGUCGAUGAGGUCAACGCCCUGCUUGACUCAGCACCAUCUAUGGACACUAAUAAAUGGAAGUCAAGAGUUGAACAACUAGCACCAUAAGAGAAGAAACUCAUCCCAUCAUCAGAAUCACCACCGAAACUCGAGCUCAAACCAUUACCCAACACUCUGGAAUAUGCAUUUUUGGGAGAAGAAAGUACUCUGCCGGUAAUCAUCUCAUCAUCCCUCAAUGACAAACAAAAAGGUAAGUUGUUGGAUGUUUUAAAAGAGCACAAAGAAGCAUUAGGAUAGACCAUAGCAGACAUAAAAGGUAUAAACCCAGUAGACUGCAUGCAUUACAUUCACCUUGAUGAAAAUGAUAAAUCUACUAGGGAAAUGCAACGUCGGUUAAAUCCUAAUAUGAAAGAAGUUGUUAGAACAGAAGUCCUUAAGCUAUUAGAUGCAUGUAUCAUUUACCCAAUUUCUGAUAGUUCAUGGGUCAGUCCUGUAUAAGUUGUCCCCAAAAAGUCAGGAGUUACAGUAGUUACGAAUGCUGAUAAUGAAUUGGUACCCACUAGAGUAACUACAGGAUGGCGUGUAUGCAUUGAUUAUAGAAAGUUGAAUUAUGUCACACGUAAAGACCAUUUUCCUUUACCAUUUAUCGAUCAAAUGCUUGAUAGAUUAGCAGGCCAUGAAUUUUAUUGCUUUCUAUAUGGCUACUUAGGAUAUAAUCAGAUUCCCAUAGCACCAAAAGAUCAAGAGAAAACUACUUUCACUUGCCCUUUUGGCACAUUUGCAUAUAGAAGAAUGCCAUUUGGAUUAUGUAAUGCACCUGCUACAUUUCAACGAUGCAUGUUAAGCAUUUUUUCUGAUAUGGUUGAACGAUUCCUGGAAGUCUUUAUGGAUGACUUUUCUGUCUUUGGUGAUUCGUUUGAUCAAUGUUUACAUCAUCUAACACUAGUUCUGCAGAGAUGUAUCGAGAAGAACUUGGUCUUAAAUUGGGAGAAAUGUCAUUUUAUGGUAAAACAAGGUAUUGUUCUCGGUCACAUCAUUUCGAGCAAAUGUAUUGAGGUUGACAAAGCCAAGGUGGAUCUCAUUUCUAAUCUUCCUCCACCUAAAACAGUCAGAGAAAUAAGAUCUUUCCUUAGGCAUGCUGGUUUCUAUAGACGUUUCAUUAAAGAUUUUAGCAAAGUUUCUAGACCCUUAUGCAAUUUACUUGCUAAGGAUGUACCUUUUAUCUUUAAUGAUUCAUGUCUUAUGGCGUUUGAAAAAUUAAAACAGUUGUUGACAUCAUCACUCAUCAUUCAGGCCCCGAACUGGAGCUUACCAUUUGAACUCAUGUGUGAUGCAUCUGAUUAUGCAGUAGGAACAGUAUUAGGACAAAGAGUUGAUCGAAUUCCCCAUGUUAUUUAUUAUGCUAGUAUGACAUUGAAUGAUGCACAGUUGAACUAUUCAACUACUGAAAAAGAAAUGCUAGCAGUAGUGUUUGCAUUGGAAAAAUUUCGAUCAUAUCUCAUUGGUUGUAAAAUAAUUAUAUUCACGGAUCAUGCUGCUCUUAAAUAUCUUCUCACAAAGAAAUAUGCAAAAGCCAGACUAAUUCGUUGGGUGUUACUUUUGCAGGAAUUUGACUUGGAAUUCAAAGAUAAAAAAGGGACAGAAAAUGUUGUGGCGGACCACCUCUCUCGUCUCCAUUUUGACACAAUUACAGAAUCAUUACCAUUGAAUGAGUCAUUUCCAGAUGAACAAUUAAUGAAUGUGGAAGUAUUACCUUGGUAUGCUGAUAUAGUUAAUUAUCUUGUUACAGGUAAACUUCCAGAGCAUUGGACCAAGCAAGAUAAGGCUAAAUUCUUUGCAGAGAUAAAGAAUUUCUUUUGGGAUGACCCGUAUUUGUUCAAGUAUUGUGCAGACCAAAUUGUUAGACGAUGUGUCCCAGAAAGUGAAAUUUAGAAUAUCCUUUCAUUCUGCCAUGAACAAGCUUGUGGAGGCCAUUUCAGUGCUAAGAAAACAGCGACUAAAGUUUUACAAUGUGGUUUCUAUUGGCCAUCUAUAUUUCGAGACGCUUACACUUUCUGUUCUUCAUGUGAUAGGUGUCAACGAAUGGAAAGCAUUACACGAAGGAACAUGAUGCCACUAAAUCCAAUUUUAGUGGUUGAGAUUUUUGACGUAUGAGGUAUUGACUUCAUGGGACCCUUUCCCCAUUCUUUUGGCCAUCAAUACAUAUUGGUUGCAGUUGACUACAUAUCCAAAUGGGUAGAAGUAAUUCCAUGCAGAACUAAUGAUCACAAAGUGGUGAUAGGAUUUUUGAAAAGCAAUAUUGUUUCACGCUUUGGAUUCCCUCGAGCGAUAAUCAAUGAUGGUGGUGCCCACUUUUGUAACAAAGCAUUCAAAGCUCUUUUGACAAAGUAUUCAAUCACACACAAAGUGGUAACUCCGUAUCAUCCACAAACCAGUGGCCAAGUUGAGAUAUCCAAUCGAGAAAUAAAGCACAUAUUAGAAAAAACGGUGAGGCCAGACAUGAAAGAUUGGUCAUUAAGACUUGAUGAUGCAUUAUGGGCAUAUAGAACGGCUUUCAAGACCCCGAUUGGGAUGUCACCCUACAGACUAGUGUAUGGAAAAGCUUGCCACCUACCUGUGGAACUUGAGCAUCGUGCAUAUUGGGCCAUCAAGAAAUUCAACUUUGACAUGCAGCAAGCCAGCUCAGAAAGAAGAUUACAACUAGCAGAACUUGAAGAAAUUCGCAAUGACGCAUACGAAAAUGCCAAGAUUUACAAGCAACGAAUGAAAGUCUUCCAUAACAAGCAAAUUAUGAGAAAAUCUUUCACUCCAGGUCAGAAAGUGCUUUUAUUCAAUUCUCGCUUGCACCUAUUCCCAGGUAAGUUACGCUCUCGUUGGUCUGGCCCAUUUAUUGUUCAUAUUAUUUUUCCACAUGGGGCAAUUGAAAUUAAGGACCCAAAAGAACGGUGUCACGUUUAAAGUUAAUGGUCAAAGAUUAAAGCCAUAUCUAGAAUACCAACCACAUGGAGAAGACAUCGAGAUAAAUUUGGGUGACCCACCAAAUUUGAAUUGAUUUUUUUUCUUUUCGUUGAUUUGAUUUUUCUUUCUUUCUUUUUAUUAUUAUUCUUUUGCUAAUUGAAAUUGUUUUUGCAUAAGUGUGUUUAUUUUACCAUUAAGUUUUCUCUUAUCAUUUUUAAUCAUGAGUCUCGUACUUAGACCGUUCCUCCUGAACAUUCUUAAACCACUUCAACGUGUCAAAACUCAUCUCAAAAGGCAGAUUCAAUUUUGUAAAACACAACGCAUUUGGGCUCUACAACCACCAGAGUUAGUAGCCUAUGUUGAGGGUUUAGAACGUCAACUCAGAGAUAUUGAGAGAAGUGUUACCCCGGUGAAGUGGCGAAUGACGGUACUCCGUGACAAUCAAGUCGGUUACUUCAGUUUCCCAUAAUAAUUGAUAUUCUGAGGCGAAGGUAUGGACAGAAACGAGAUUCUAGCGAAGCUUCACAAGCGAUUCCCUUCACUUCCUCAGAAUGCCCUCCUUACGAUUUAUAAAGCUCGGUCCGAACGCAUGCGAUUACUCAUGAGGAAUAACAUACCUGCUGACAUCCGUUGGUUAAUUGAAGGAAAGUACGAUCGGCAGGUGAGUUACCUCCAAAAUUUAUUGCAUACAUGCCUGGUUGUGGUAAAGGAAAUUAUGCAAGAAAACGACGAGCUCGAAGAAUUUCUGUUGCUUGUCAUAAGUGUGCCAGAAUGAGUUGCAAUAAAAACCCAUGUUCUUUAAGAAUGGUGUCUGAUAACAGGGAAGAUAAGAUUCAAUUCAUUAGGGAUGGCUUGAAUAAGGAGUCAUUGGAUGAUAUCCUUUUGUCUCUUGAAACGCAUCCCAGUGGAUAUGUGCAAGGAGCAAUUCUCCAGUUAUGACCAUUAUUCCAGAAAGAGCAUGCACGAUAUAGUCUCGGGAAUCUGACUAUAAACGACCCUGUUUGCCAGUUUAUAAGAAAACUGGAUAGGAAGCCUAUCCUCGACCUAUAGAGGGCGUUCAAGCCGUUUCUGGACGUAAAACCAGAGGAAGAUGUGAGCCACAGUCGCAACUACCUGUAAAUAUCCUUUUACUUUAUUGUUAUUUUAUUUCACUAUUGUCUUAUUGUUUGCAUUAUUGUCUUUAAUAAUUUUAUUACUGUUUGUUUUUUCCUUAUUACUGUUUGCUUUUCCCUUUCUACUGUUUCCUUUUUGACUCGCGAGCCACGUGCUUUACGCGUUAUUUGACAUGGACAUGUGACCUCAUACACAACUAUGACCCACUAUCACCAAGACUCUUAAAUGUAUUUUCUUUGUCAAGCACUCACAAAUUAUUUUUACGAAGUAUCACAAUGGCAGCUACUCCCAAUAGACAAUUCAAGAAUAUUUGUGUGCUUUCUGGAUUUACAUAUGGCAAACAUAAAGAGUUCGUUGAGGCAGCCAUAGAUCUUGGUCGAAGCAUAGCAGCGAGAAAAUUACACUUGGUGUAUGGAGGAGGUAAUCGAGGGUUAUCAAAAAUGAUCUCAGAAGCAGCUUUUAUCAGAGAAAGUCAAGUGUUAGGCAUCAUCCUAAGAGUUUUAAAACCAUUGGGCAGUUCGUCUGACUCAUCAACUGGAGAAGAGUUAGUCGUCUCAGGUAUGCAAGAAAGAAUAACUGAAAUGCUUAAUCAUGCUGAUGCUUUUAUUUUCCUUCCAGGAGAUCUUACAACACUAGAGGCACUUAUCACACUAGCAUCUUGGGCCCAUCUGCACAUCCACAAGAAACCCAUCGGUUUGUUAAAUGUCAAUAACUUUUAUGAUGGCUUUAUCGCAUUUCUUAACCAUGCAAUAAAAAACUAUUUCAUUCCUUCUAAUGUGAAAAAAAUUUUUAUUUGUGCUCACACUGCUAAUGAGCUACUUGAUCUGUUACAAGCUUAUAGACCGGAGCCAGACCCCUGGACCUUUGUGUUGGAGCAUCCAAAUAAUGAUGGUAACAGUAGCAGCAGUAAGAAGUACAAAUUAGAUUUAACUCUCUGCCUGUAAAUAUUUUCUUCUAUGUUGCACCACCCAGGUGAUGUCUUCCAAACUCUACUUCUUUCAUUUCAAACAUUGAGGACAAUGUUUUAUUCUGAUUGGGGGGAGGGAAUAGUCGACAAUUGUGGAAUUUUGGUUAAGUUUUUACUAAUUUUUUGUUGUAGAAACUAACUGUUGCUAACUUUUUGUGUUGAAGAUGGCUGAAUAUGGAGUGUAGUGACUCUAGAAACGCAUCUUCAUCGUUUAAAAAAAAUUUAAAAAAAAACUUUAAAAAAAAUUCAGACAUUUUCUUUUUCUUUAUUAUGUGUUUAUGUUUAUUUUUCUUCUUUUUAAUUUCUCCUCUAUAAAUAUACAUUUUCCAACUUUUGAGUCGAAGAUGGCUGAAUAUGGAGUGUAGUUCCUCUAGAAACGCAUCUUCUUUAAAAGAAAAAUAAAAAAUCAUUUUCGUUUUCUAUCAUUUUACGUGUAACUUUUCUAAUUAGUUUUUAUGCAUCAUUUUCACAUUUCUGCAUGCAUAUUUUCCUUUCAUGUUUAGAAUAGGUUGGGGGUAGAAUGUUGUUUAAAAAAAAAAUUGUGUGAUUUGUUUUAACAUUGGGUGACAUGAUUAAUUUUAAAUUUUAGUAUUUGUAUUAUCUUUGGUCUUAAGUGAUGUUACAUUAUGUUUGCUACUCUACAUGUUGAUGUCGGAGACAUAUAUGAGUUGCUUGAAGGAAUGAACAUGUCAUAAUAAGUACCAAGUGAGUUCUUGAGCCUAUCAUUUUUCUUGGAGAGUAACCAUUUUGCCCAUUCUUUGUACAGCUUAACAAUUUAUUAUUGUAUACACGAUCUCUAGAUUUCUUUUGAAAUAACCCUUAAUAAAAAAAAAGAAAAAAAAGUGUGUUGCUACAUUUGGAGGCCCAUUUAACUAGUAGAUAUGGAAGGUUAUUUAGAGCCCUAAAAGACGAUGGAAAGGCCAUAUUUGAUUCGUUUGAGCCUUUCUAGCCAUCCCUUUUAUUAAAUAUCCAUAGUUAACCCUUUUGAGCCUUUAAAAAAAAAAUUAUUUUCUUUGUCAACUUAUCAUCUUGACCCACUCCGAUUUGAAGUAUUACCCGAUAUCUUAUAAGUUCCAUCACCUAUUUAUGUUUGAGAAAAUGUAAAUAAUUAUGUUGUUCAGUGAAGUUAUACCAAUAAAAAAAGUAAAAAAAAAACAACAAAACAAAGGUUGUUGUUUCAAAAGAAUAAAAAUAACAAUAAUAGGUGAAAUCCACCUUGCAACUUCUAAAAAAAAAAAAUUCUCUGCAUUUUUCUCAAAUAUACACUUUAUUUUCCUUAUUUCCUUUCUUUGUUAACCAUGUCCCUAGCCUACGUUACAUCCUAAUAAAAGUCCUUCCUGAUUUUAGGGUACUAUAAUUUGAAGUAGAAGCUAGUUAUAUGGGCUAAAAAGAUGUAGUGGUGCAUAUAAAAAAAAUAAAUAAAUAAAUUGGGUUGACUAACAGAUUAUAUUUGACUUGAGAUCGUAUUAUUUUUAAGCUGAGGGCAUAUUUAUUUCAUCUUGGUGAAAGCAUGUGAUAUCACUUCUUCAUUAUUUCCUCUCAAUUACCAUUCAUUGGAGUGACUAUUUUUAUUUGGUUUAAUUUCUUUGUGAGAGUGUCACUACUUCCAGUGAGAUUUUGGAGUUUGACAUGUCAUUUUUGAAAGUAGCUAUAACAAAGUCUACUGGGCUGAUUCAUGUGAAUGGUUGAUGUGGGUGUGAUGUUACUUUAGACUGGAGAUAAUGCUUAUACUUUUAUUUGAUUGCUAUCAUUAUUCUGAUUGAAUAAACACGAGUGUUUCUAAAUUUAAAAAAAAAAUUAUUCUGAAUUUGAAUUUUAUUUUCGCUUCAUUUGCUAAGGACUAGCAAUAAGCUGGUUGGGGGGUGUGUUGAGUGUUAGAAAAUGCAUAUUUAUAAAGGAAAAAACCGUCAUUUUACAUUUCAAGUCUUACUAACAACCCUUACUUUUAUGUAUUUAACCUACUUGUGAUUUAAUUACAUGUGUUUUAUUUUAAUUAAGUAUUUUAUGUAUUUUAGGGGCAUUAUAGUCAUUUCACAAUAAACGAGAAAUCAGAUGGUAAAACGGACAUCACUUUUGAACUCAGGACGGUCGAAAAUCUUAGGAGGAGCAUAAAAGGAAAAAUGGCACUGUUCACAUGUACGGUACUAUUCACGUGUACGGUACUGUAUAUGUUACUGUUCACGACACUGUUCACAUAGACGGACCGAUGACGUGGCAUUGACUGAUGAGGUGUCACGAUCCUGUUGGACUAAAAUUCUUAUAUACUGUUGAUGGUGACGUGGCAGCAUAUCAGUGGACGAAAAAUUUCGCAUACGGUGCAUGCAUCACACAGGAUUAUUUUCAACCAAACCGCGUUACUGUUCAUCCGGGUCAAACCGUGUUACUGUUCAUCCGCGUGGUCAAACCGUGGACUAUUGACUGAUGACGUGGCACAAUCCUGAGCGUCCAAACUGUUUUUAAUCCGAUGGCUAUGAUUUACUCCAUGUAUCUAUAAAAAGGGGGCCUCUCCCCCCUAAUUUGAUAUCUCUUAAUCUAUUUUUGGGAUCCAUUUUCUGUAAUUCCUUCUCCAUCUUGUAUUUUCUUCAUAUUUUAAUAAAUUCCCAUUUUGCCCCUAGUUCAAUUAUGAGUGGCUAGUUUUCUUUCAAGCUUGGUUGAAGGUGAAGUCUCAACAUGUGUCAUGGGCUUAAUUUGGUAAAUUUAUUUUCUAUUCCCCUCUAGUUUUUGUGGAUGUUUUGACUUUUCGUCGACAAAUAAUAUUAACCUUGUGUAGUACCGCCUUAGUUUCACCGGCCCUCUAGUACAAGGUUAUUAUUAUUUGACACGAUAAGCCCUUAGCACCAUAUUGAUUAGAGCGUGGUUCAUGAGGUGUGGAUUCCCCCCUCAUGAUUUAAUUGACAUUAAUACGGAUUAUUGAGCCCAUGAUGCAUGUUGAUACGAAUCCAGAUACCCAAGUACGUCAUUUCAAUAGAAUUCUCUUUAAUUUAUUCUCACCAUUUCAAUACCAAUUUUAGAAUUUAUUCUCGCCAUUUUAAUUUAAGUUUUAGCAUAUUCCAAAUCAUUUCCACCGCAAAUCCAAUCACCCAUUUACAAAAUUAAUUCUAUACACAAUUAAAAUUCACCUCCUCGUGGGAUCGACACUCGUCACCAUUUGUCUAUACUACAAUAGAUUCGUGCGCUUGCGAGUACAUUAAAAUUUGCACAACAUCUUAUACAAAUAAAAACUCAUAAUUCGGUUUGGGUGAUGCUGUGAUGUGUGUGUGUGUGUGUAAAACUUGUGUUAGCUUUUUUUUUUUUUUCAAAUAGGGUCGGGUCGGGCCGGGUCAGCUUAAAGCCCGACCCUGACCCGAAAUUUGUUAGGGUCUAAAAAUUUUGACCAUAACCUGACCCGAGACCCGAAAAUUCGGGUCAAAGCCCUAAAAAUUAGGGUCGGGUAAGUCGGGCCAAAAACAGGAUCGGGCCAAAUUGCCAAGUCUAAAAUCUACCAUAAAUGAUGGUGGGUUAAUUAAAUUUGUCAAUGAUAGCAUUAAUUAUAGUAGGCUAGCAUUAAGUUUGUCAAAGAUAACAUUAAUUAUGGUGGGUUGGUGAAGACUUUUGAAGCAUCCUUUAACAAACUUACUUGGAGAGUUGUUCCAAUGUUUCCAUUUGUAUUUUUAGGAUCCUGGGUUUCUUUUAGCCUAUUUAAACUCAGCAACCUUGCUAUGUAAUGGAAUUAGAGAUUAAUGUUAUUUGAAUUUGAAAGAUUAUUCUUUCUUUGGUUCUUUUGAGAAUUAGUGAACUUAUCAAGAAUUUGCAUUCUUGUGGCAUUCCAAAUUUAGACUUAUCACUCACAUUCUCAUCUCUUGCUUGAGUGUGGCGUCAAUAUCAUUAUCUAUACUUUUGGUUCAUGUUUUCUUAUGCAUUGGGUCAAGAUUUUGUUUGUAUUAAAUAUAUUUAGAAUUUUCCUCGGAAGUUGAAACUACAAAUUAAGUGUGGGUUUGAAAGUUUCAUGUGAGAUUCGCAUCACGUCCAGUCACCAACAAUUUGCAAAUAAAAAACCCUAAACUUCCCCGCCGUCACACGCACUAGCAACACUCAAUACUGGUUCGAUACACUCUCGACACCAAUUUGAAGGACGUCGGCCGCGUGAUUCCAGCGAGAGCAAGUCAUCUUCUUCCCUGAGUCCAUUGAGCCACUUCACAAUCACUGGUUCCAGUCAAACAAUUGCACUAUCACAACCUUCAAGGUCGCCACCCGUACUUCUCCUGGUUCCCAUCGUUGACGGCUCCGUAAUCACCACUUUUCGACAAGUGCAAUAGCCCUAAUGAAGGAUCAGACUGUGUUUGGUUUCAGAAACUUCGUCAUUUCAAUUAAUUAUGGCUUUAUUUGAACAAUUAAUUUCGGUGUUAUAUUAAUGUAUUAUUGUAACUUUAUUUGAACAAUUAAUCUUAGUGUAUUAUAUUUUAAAACUUUAAACGUAUUAUUUUAGUUUUAUUUAAAUAAUUAAUUUGUUUAAAUUUUAUUCAAUUUUAAAUUUAAUUGGUAGUAAAAUUAUUUUUAUAUUAGAUUUUUUUUAAAAUUUCAUUAGUUCAUGGAUUGGGGAGAACUAAAAAUUUUAAAUUCGGAAACUAAUGUGCAAAAUGGUAGAUUGGAUAUGGAUUAAGUUAAAUCCGCAUCCGAUCCGCAGAUGUAUGGAUUGGAUAUGGAUUAAGUCAAAUCCGCAUCCGAUCCGCAGAUGUAUGGAUUGGAUUUGGAUUGAGUUUAAUCAAUCCGUGAAUUGGAUUGGAUUAAAAAAUUAUAAUCCGCACAAUUGUAGAUCGGAUAUGGAUUGAUAUCUAAUCCGUAAAAUCUGAUCCGCAAACACCCCUAUGGCUUUGUAUACAGAGUGAAGAAGUUGGCCGCUUCCCCAUUACAAAACCGUUGUCUUUAAAGAAAUUAAAGACCUUGCACUUGCUCUCCACUUUGAUUCCAAAUUAAAUUAUCAAGAUACAUUUAUUUUGCUAUUGCUUCUCACGUGCUUUCCUUACAAAUUGAGCGAUAGAUUUAAUUCUAAUUCAACCUUAAACCAAAUAGCAACAAAGUCAAUACUCUAACCUUCAAUUUAUUACCUAUUUAAUAAAAUAAUUUAAUUAGCCAAAAUAAUAAAUAAAGGAAACUAACAAAUAUAAGAUUAGAGGAGAAAUAUAUCAGUAAAUUUUACCCAUCAGAAGGAAUGGAAGAUUCUGUAAAAAUAGGACCCAAAACAAGAAGGACCAAUGGGCUACUAGGCCCGUUUUAAUGCAAAGACGGCCCAUGUCAACUUGGGAGUUCUUUCAUUGAUCAUAAUGACUAAUGAGUAAUCUUUUUGUCAUUUAUCACAUUAAUCCACCUUUUUGCUAUUUUCUAUUUUCAUUUUAUGGCUGGGCUACCUUGACUAAAAAAUUUUGACUUAAAAAAUUGACCUAAAUUUCCAUUCAUUCGAUCCACUUAAUUCAACGGCAGGAAGUUUUAAAAAAAAAAGAGUCAUUUAUGUCUCCAACUCUCCAUCAAUCUACCAUUAAAUUAAGUGAAUCCAAUUGAUUGAAAAUUAAAUUAUUUUUUAAGUCAAAUUUUUAUUAUUUUUACUUUAAAAUUAUAUUAUAGUUUCUUAAACAAUAGUCAUUAUAUUUUAAAUCAAGAAAUCAAUGCAACAUUAAUUCAUUAACAUAUUUAUUGUAAGUAUUUAGAUUGGAGAAAUGAUCAGGUGCGCAACAAUGCGCGUGUCAUGAUUUGGGAUUUGGGAUUGUGCUGUGGAAUACACAGCCCCUAAUUUGGAUCUUAAUACGUGCAUUAUCAAGUACGAUAAGGUGCGAGACAGCCAGACAGUGCACACAUAAUGCUUCUGUGUGGAUAUAUUUACAAUGGCACCAUUACAUUCGGUCAAAUCAUCACAAUUUCUCUAAAAUAUGGGGAGGAAAAAAAAGUACAUUAAUGAUAUGGAAUGGAUUUUUCUUUACAAUGCUCUUUUCCAAUUGAUAUGGAAUGGAAUUUUAAACAGAAAUGCAUAGAUGACAUGAAAUUUUCCAAUAAAGACUUGUGAAAAUCCACCAUAUUAAAUAAAAAACGAUAAAGACACAUAAUAAUUAACCUUUACAUAUAUAUAUAUAUAUAUAUAUCCGAAUAAUGAAGAAACCUAAAAAACUAUCUCCACACUUAUAAUUUUUGGGAAAAUAGAAGGAACAAAAAUAAAGUAGGAAAACAAUUUUGCCUUCAGGAGAGCUCCCUUGACGGGAAGUUUAACAGAAAGAACUUGUUCUUAUCUUGAAGAUGGCUAUAUAAGAAUGGAAAGACAGAGACGAAUCUUAACAGUAAUUUUGUUUAAUAGUAAUUUUAUUUUAUAAAAUAUAUCGUCCUAUAUCUUUUAUCAUUUAUCAAAUUAAUCUAUCAUCAAUGUGAUAGUAUUAAUGAAUAAAAUCUCACUUAAAAUCUUAACGGUUCAUUUGGGGUCGUUUUUAGCAAACUUAAAUGUGAUUUUGAAAGCUAAAAGGAUUUUGGUGUUUGAUAAAAAAUUUUGUAAAUCACUUUCGGCAAAAUCACCACAUUCAGCCAUCUUAUAACAAAUUUUUAAAAGAAUGGAAGUAGUAAUUUUUCAAAAUUCAAUUUUAAGAAUCACUUUAAUACUUAAUACAAUUUCAUAUAUAUCCUCAUAUAUUAUAAAGACACAAAAUUAUCUUAUUAAUUAGGAAAUAAAAUCAUUAACUUUAAAAAGAUUAUUAUUGUUUUCGAUUAUAUUGAGAUAAAAAAAAUAUAAAAUAUUUAUUUUAGUUAUCAAUUAUUAUAGGUACACAAUAAUUUUUUUUUAUACACAUGUUUAUAAAUGUUUAAAUACAUACGACAACUUUUAAAAUGUUUAACUGAUUCUCACAGUUGAUUAUUUUUACAAUACAGUUCACAGUAUCUUAAAACCUACAACAUUGCCAAACUCGUCCUUAAAUCUAUGAUAUAAACUUUUUCACAUAUAAUCUCACUUUUACAACAAAGAAAGUAAUAAGUUGAAAUGAGAUUAGUAUAAUCACAUAAUUUUGUCGCCAUUUUUUUUGAGGCAAUCCCUUAGUUACACAUUAGUGGUGUUUAUUUCAUUGUACGAAAUUUAAGUAAACCUAAAUUAACCAAUUCUAAACAUAGUUGAUUGUUUGAAUCUAAAUAAUAUAUUUGUCUUCUUGUCGAAUCUCUUAAAAUAUGUAUUAAAUUAUUUUUUCAACUUUAAAAAUCUGAAACCAACACCUCUACGUUUGUGUCUUUACAAAUUUAAAUAUUAAAUAAAUAAUAACUAUCUCAAAGAACAUUACUGAGAUGAUAUUUUAUCAUUACAUAAAUCAUGUUUAAGUGAAUGUAACCCUUUACUAGUCUGAAUUAAAACAUGUUAAUUAAUUUUGUAGUAGUCUAUGAUAUUUUAUAUGAAAAAUAUUCAUAAAAGAUGUUAAAUAAAACUAUGGUAAUUUGAAGACAAUAAAAAGAUAAAAAUAAUAUUAUUCUAUUUCUAUAUUAUUACAAGCUAUAAAGAUGAAUAAUUAUGUUAAUUAGUAAGUUUCAUUUAGGUAAGGAUGAAAAAAAUUAAUUAGAUAAUGAUAUUUUAGAGAAUAUGUUUUAAUGAUAUCAUUUAGACAUUUUAUAGUAAAAGAAUGGCUAAAAAGAAAAUUGGCACACCAAUUUAACAAUCAAAAUUUUUUAUUAAGUUAAAAAAAAACUUAACAACUUAACUAAGUGAAAUUAAGUCAUUAAAUAAAAAUACAAAUGACCCCAUUUUAUAAUAAAAAGUAGUACACAUUUAAUUCUAAAUUAUAUGAUAUUUAUUUAUUAAUUGAUGAGAUAAUAUAAUUAAUUCACUUAAAAUUCAUAAAAAAUUAUUAAUCAUUGAAUGAAUGACACACCGAACGCCACAUCAUUUUAAAUGACAUUUAGAAUAAAAAUUUAAAUGUUUGUGGCUGCACUUUAAUAAUUAAAAAGGGGUUAUAGUUUUACCUCAAGACAAUAAUUAAGACAACAUUAAUCUCAGUGCUAAUUAGGAGGUUAAACGCGUGUCAUUUAACUAAAAGACUUUUAAGAUGUCAUUUUACACGCGUAGGCGGUGCAAUUAAACUCCACUCCGAAUCCGCGUCACCGACCACUUCAGUUUUCCCUCGCUCCAAUUUUUGGUCAAACUUGCCUAACUCUUCUGACAUCCACUAUUCCUACUUUCAAAUUAACCAAUAAUCAAUUACCACGUGGGAAUACAAUCAAUUUAUUCGCCCACGCAAUUUUAAAGCAGUGUGCUUGAUAACAGAGUGAUAAAACUCAAUUCUAAGCUUCGGCCUGGGCAUUUUUACUGACAAGAUUCGCUCUUAAAAUCCGUCUCUCUCUCUCUCUAUAGACUCGUCAAAAAGAAUUUUAAAAAAUAGAGAAAACAGAGAAGCAAAAAUUAUAAAAGGAGAAAUACAAAAAGAAACAAAGCAAACUUAAUCUACUUCUUCUGCUAAUAUACACGCACACGAAAGUCGAAACACAAUUAACUCAAAAUAAUAAUAAAAAUAAAUAAAUUAAGCGGCAAGACCGGUGCCUAGUCUAGGGUUUCUUCCAGAUUCGACACACGAGAAGCUCGAGAUUCAAUUUCUCAUUCAAUCUUUUGUUGUUGAGGUAUUUUUUUUCUUUUUUUUUUUGUCUUGUUUUGCUGCUGUAUUCGUAUUGUUUUAUAUGUUUAAUUUGCGUUAUAUUUUGAUGCUUAUUGGCUUUACUUGUCAUUUUAUUGAAGUGUUAAACUGCUGUGCUUCAGAGUGAAUUCUAAGACUUAAAUUGGCUCUAAUUAUAGCUUUCCCCCCCUUAAUUUGGAGGUUGUGGUUUCUAUUUAUUUCAUUUUAAUUUGUGUACAUUAGAGUAUAGGGUUUAAGGCACUGUUUUUUUUCUUAAUUGGUGUUGUCAUCAAAAUCUGUAAAUUGAUUAGAUAUAUUUUUGCUGUGGAUUCAGUGCUCUUUUUUAACUUUUUUUUCCUGGAAUGGAAAGGUUUGUGGGCACAGUUCUUGUUGAGGGCCUUUGUAUUGGUAGUAAAAGAAAAGAAGUGAAAUGCCGGAGGAGGAACUGGUGGAGCUGAAGUUUCGAUUGUAUGAUGGAUCGGAUAUUGGUCCAUUCCGGUACUCACCAACCUCAACUGUGGCCAUGCUGAAAGAAAGAAUCUUUUCUGAUUGGCCAAAAGGUUAGGACUUCAACUUCUUGAUAGUUUGUGAAACUGUUUCAUGGAUUUUUUUUUUUUCACUCUGUUUGAUGAAAAUUUCGCAUGAUGGUCAUCGAUUAAUGUAUAUCCUCCUUUCAGCAUUUAUGACUGCAUAUUUUGUAAGAAAGAUACAACUCAAGAACUUUGGUAGUGAUUUGAUUGUUUAAUCUGAUUUGUGGCUUUGUUUCUUGAGCUCGUUCUAUUAGACUUAGACAAAACAUAUGGCCCAAAAGAGCAGAUUACCAGAACCGGAAGUCCAAUGAUGAAACAUCUGGAAAUUCUUGUUAUGCUAUCAAUCAACUUGCCUUAAAAGGAACAUGUGCAUGAUUUUUCUUGCGCAUCCAUGGCUUUCGAUUUUUCCUAGUGCCUGGAGAAAGGGAAAAUUAGUGACCAACUCUUUGUUUGUAUGUAUGUGCUGCCUCAAUGUUGAUUAUAUGAGUUAGAAGAAGUUAUUCUGUGACAGUUGAUGGGAUAAUUUUAUAACCCUCAGAUUUUGUAGUCUAAGAAUAUGAGUGUAUUUGUCCCCUAUUGUCUUUUAUAUAGAUGCAAAAUGAUGUUUCAGUCUUUUCAUUUGUAGAAGUACAUUUUUGCUUUACCAAAAGUGCAUGUGUCCAAGUAUUUUUGUUGUUUAUCCUUCAUUUUUGUAAUUACCGUGGACACGACAAUUUCUAAUUUAAUGUUCAUGAAUUCCUCUAGACCUUGUGCCAAAUUUAAUAUAUGCCCUGUUUGCAAGUAUAAUAUACAAUCCUAUUGGAAGCGAUACAGACCCUGAAAAUUCUAAUUUAGAUAGAAUAUAACUUUUUAUCUCGAUUUUGCUCUAUCUAGUGUGGCAUUCUUAAAAAGGAAAAUGCAUUUCAACGAUCAAUCUUUUUUGGUCUGGCUGUUUUCUUUUAUCCAUCUUCUGUUUGAGACAUCCAUGCUUCUCAUGAAUGCAAUUGUAUCUGGAUAUUGUUCUUUUGUUUUGGCUACACAUUUGUAACAGCAUCCUUUUUUCAACCAGAAUCUGUUUGAAAUUUAUUGAAAAUAAAUUUUAAGCUUCUUCUUCUUCUUUGUCAAAAUCUAAUGAUAAUUCUUCUUUAUUAAAAUCUAGUAAUAAAUUGUCCAAUCAGUCUAAGAUUUAUUAUCAUGUGAAGUGCUAUAGGUUUUGUUAAAACUGAAAAAUAAGCUUCUUGUCAGAUGUCUUAUUGCAAUAAGGAUGCCUCGUUUUCGUGUCAUCUUAUUGUUUGUUAUGAUGAAAUAGAUUCUUCAUUCUGAGAAGUCCUUGCUUCUGUUUUCGUAGAGUUUUAAGUAGUACUGGCUGUUUCUCUCUCUCUCUCUCUCUCUGUCUAUCUCUUUUUGACAAUAUUCUCAUAUUCUUUACAGAUAUAGAGUAUCGUGAUUCAUUGAACAUCCUAAUUAUCAGCCAGGUUGAUAGGAAGAUAAUGAAUGGGAAGAGUUUGGUUGUCUGCAUAGGGAUAAUUGAUCUUUUUUGUUGUAAUAGAUACUUGUGUACAGUGAGAAAGAUAACACAUAAAUGUAAAUUAAGCCCCUCCACAACCUUGACGUGAAUGGGAUUCAAAUUCUAGACCUCUUGAAUGAACCACCACCUCACAGACCAAAGGUUCCUUUGAAAUCCUGCCAAGUUUCUUAAAAUUAUUAGAUCUUUAGGAAAUGGAUUUAAAUGAAAAGUGUACUUGUAAUAAAUGUCUCCUUUCCAAUCAUAGGACUCUGUUUGAUUGUGCUAACAUUUCCUUCAUUGUUGUUCUAGUUCACAUCAAGAUGGGUCAGUUGAUUUGACUCAUAUAGCAUCUGAACCAGAACGAUCACAAAUUUAUGAGUAGGCCGGAUUCCUAGUUAAUUAUGUGUUUGUUGGUUGUGGGGCCAGAAAUAGUCACAACACUAUUUGUGGAUUUUUUGUGAAUAUCUUGGGGUGAUCAUGGCCCAAGCUUUGUUAUGUGCUGUUUGGCCAUGCAUCAUUGUCCGCAGGAAAACUUGUGGGUUUCGAAACACAGAUAUAAGAUAAUAUUAGAUCUUGGAUUGUGUUACUCGACAAUGCUGAUUGAAAGUUCUCAGUUUAGUAAUUAUGAUGUAAGUAUGCAUCGAAUUUUUCUCUGAAUUACUGUUAUCUUACACUUGACACUGCCAAGUGUUUCAGGAGCGUACUCCUAACAGUAUCUACAGGAAACCUGUUAUCUGGGUAAUUAUUGAUAUUUUCUGUAUUGUAAUUAUAUAUAGCUUUAUUUCCAAAGAAAAAUACAAUCAGUCACCGCUGUUUAUGAUCGGUCAUUGCUGUUUCUCCUGUAUAUUAUAUCUCCAUUACUUUGGCAUACACAAUCACAUUUCUGAUUUUUCUGCUACUUUAGCUGUGAAUUACCUUACUCUGUCAAGCAAGAGUGAGAUAAUGGAAUGUGGAGUUAUAGUCAUAUGGACUUCUACUUAUCCUCAUUUCUGGUUGGUUGAUAUUUAUUUAGUAAUAACUGUUCUAAAUUUUAUAUUUUUAUUAGAUAAAAAAAUUGUACCCAAGACGGCCAAUGACAUCAAACUGAUUAGUGCUGGAAAAAUUUUGGAAAACAACAAGACUGUUGGCCAAUGUAAAGUACCAUUUGGUGAGCUUCCAAAAGGGACCAUCACAAUGCAUGUUGUUGUGCAGCCACCAUUAACAAAAGCAAAAACAGGUAACUUUCAUGUGCUUUGUGCAAACAUAGAGCAAGAGCCAUUUCAUAUUUCAAUCAUGAGUUUGUGACAUGAGAUAUCGCAACUUCACUGUUACUUUUUCUUAUGUUUUUGCUGGAAGUUACAAUUUUUGUUUGUUUACCUUGACAGAGAAGAAGCUGGAUGAACCACAAAAGAAAAAUUUUUGCUCAUGUUCCAUAUUGUAAUAGAGUUGGUGUUGAUAUAAGAAGUUCAAGCUUUUGAGAUCCCAUGGGGAUCUGCUAGGAUCUCGUUGGCCACGGAAAUGGAUAGCUGGAAAGAAAAAUAAUUUGUGAAACAGUGUCAUCCUAGCUGGGUAGGUACGUGUUUGUUGGAGGGCAUUCCUAUGUAACUCUGUGCAUGAUGGCAAUGAUGUAUUUGUGUUCUAUAAAAUGGCUUUUUGAUGCCUUUGUAGCUGCAAUUAGUUAUUAUUAUUAUUGUUAUUAUUAUUAUUAUUAUUAUUAUUUUGUUUUGUCAAUUUUAUACGUGUUUGAUAUUGAAGGAUCCGUGUAUGUUUCUGCUGAUGCUAUUAUUUGACAUUGUCAUUCUCGAAGUUGUACAAGGUUUUGGGAAUAUCCAUGGCGCUGGUAAUAUUGUUUGUUGGAUUGAAGUUGAGGGUUGUAUGGUUGUGAAGUUACACAUGUGUUUUACAAAGUGCAAGUUACUUGUUUUUGGUGCCUUGAUGAAGGCACACUAUUGAUGCGGUAACUUGGCCAUAAUGUCUUGUUAUUUCUGAGAUUGAGCUUAAUUUUAUAACUUUCGGUACAUCAGUUUUUAGAGGGCUUUGUAUUUCUCUUAAUUAGAAUAACUUAUAAAGGUUCUCGGAUAAAAGAGUAUUUGAGUAUUUCUCUUAGUUUGAAUAAGUUAUAAAGGUUCUCAGGUAAAAGAGUAUUUGAGUUAAAUUCGCCACUUUCAAAAUAUAAAUAUUGUUCGGUAUCCAUUUUUUAAAGUGCUUUAAAUUUAUUUAUCAUGAGGUACAACUAUUAUUACGACUAUUAACUUGAUGUAGGUUUCAUUAUUAUAUAACUUAGCCAAUCACAAUAUAUAGAAGUUAUUAAGGGGUUAUUAUCAUUUCACUACAAGAAUUGUAAAAUAUGAAAUGAUUAUAAGAAGUAUGGUUCUUUGUUAUUUUACUACUAUAUAAAAUUUUUCAUUGUAUUAUUCUUUCAUUAGAAUUGUUAGUUGACUAGUAAAAUACUAAUUUUAUCCUUUAUAAUAAAAUACUCAAAUAAAGGUAUCAAAUAAUGACAUAAAAUUAUUGUUAUGUCCUUAAAUUGUUAAAUAGCAUUUUUAACCAUGACUUUAUGACUAACCUUGAAUUUAUUAUAGCUAUAAAAGUAAUUAAUUGACAUAAAUGUACCUACAUAUUUUUUGUCGAAAAAAAUUGCAAUCUAUUCUAAAAAAGAAAACACUUAAAUAUGGAAGUAUUGAUUUUGUAGAUAAAGCUUUAAGUAUUUUUGUUGUUUUAAGAAUAGACUGUGUGUCCUUUUUAACAAAAAUAUCUAUGGGUAUUUUUUAUCAAUUUGUUACUUUUAUACUUAUGACAAAUUUAGGGCUAUUCAUAAAUUCAUGGUUAAAAAUAUUAUUUAACAAUUUAAGGGCAUAACAAUAAUUUUAUGUAUAUUAUUUGAUACAUGUUUUUGUGUAUUUUACCAUAAAUGAUAAAAUUUUUAUUUUAUUAAUCAAUUAACUGGUUAACUAAUGAUCCUAAUGGAAAAGUAGCAAAAUGAAAGGUUUGCAAAGUUAGAGUAGUAAAAUGAUAGGAAACAAUAUUUCUGUAGUCAUUUGAUAUUUUACAAUUUUUGAAGUAUUGAGCAAUAAUAACCAUUAUUAAAAUAUACAAUAAGUGGUUUACUUAAAAUAGUUUGUAAAUUUAUAUCUAAUUAAGAUGAGAGCUACUUACACUUAAAAAUUAUUUACAAGAGAGAAUAUGUUUUAUCCUUCCCAUGAUUGCGAGGGAGUCUUCACGAAUCGCCUUCUUGCAGUGACCUAGGUGGCUAGUAAUGAAUUUAAGGCGGCGUUUGUUUUUAUGUCUGAAGUCCUAAUUUGACUUAAUUUAAGAUGUUUUGAUAUUUUACCUUGUUUGUUUUUGUAUCUAAGUCUUUUUGUAAGAGUUUUUUUUAUCCAAAUGAAAGAAAAAAAAAAUCAAAUUUCUGAACUUUUAUUUGAAUGAUAAAAUGUCUGAAUGGAAAAUCAAUUUUUUUUUCUCACAAAUACCAUUUUUUUUUAAAAACACAAAUACCAUUAUUAAAUGUACUUAUUCCCCACCUAACCAUUAGAUGUCAUAUUAAAAUUUUCCUUAAUCUCAAAUUUUACUUGUUAUUAAGUACUUAACAUAUAUUCAAUUUGAACUUUAAUUUUUUUUUUAUUAUUAGAUCACAACUUUUUUAUGUAUAAAUAUUAUGUUAAAUUGUAAAAGAUAAUGUUAUCAAAAUUAUUCUUCAUAAAUUAUAUAUCAAAUACUUACCUUACAAAUAUUUAUAACAUAUAAAAACCAUUUUAUUAGAAAAUAAUGUAAAUAUAUACCUAUUUAAACUUCAAGUAUAUAUAAUAGUUUCAAGGUCAUAAGUGUAAAAAUAUUAGGUUUAAGAUAUUUUGAGUUUAUAAAAAUAAACAACUUAUUAUUUACAUUCAGAUGUCAAAAAAUUAAAAACAAAUACAUUAUCCUGAUAUAUUCAUUCAGACCUUUUUAUACUUUAAUAAUAUAUUCAAACCCAUUCAAAUUUCAGAUUAAAAAAAAAUCACAACAUAAGAAUAUUUAUUUAUUUAUUUUAAAAAAACUGUUAGUUGAUUUAGAUGCUCUCUUAGGCAUUUUGUCCCCUAGUCUCCUAAUCUUUCAAAGAUCCAUUAACAUGUGCCAUUAAUUAAAUUAAAUUUCUAAGAUUUUGUUUUAAUUAAAUUUUACCUAAAUAGACAUCCAAACUUAUGUGUGGCUCUUGUCAAUUUUUUUUAAAAGUAAAUUCUUUCCCUUUCAAAACAAAUCCCAGUUAUAAAAAUACAGCAGCCAAAUUUUUUUUUUCUUUUUAAGGGAAAGAAGAAUCGAAGACCUUAAUUCUCCCUGUUGACUCAAGUAUUUCUUCAAAAAACCGAAUAAAAAAUCAUAUCAACUUGACUUUUGUUAUUGUUAUUUUGUUCUAAAUAAAACUUAUUAAAAAAACCCGAGAAAACUUAAAUGCGAAUUUGGGAAUUUUCAUCUUCCAAUUUGGUCGAUGCAAAUCUUGAUGGUUGUUGAUGAGUUAUAAUGUGAACUCGUAUUGGGAAGAGCCGCGACUGGGAUCAAAUUUAGUAAUCAUGGCAGCUCCUUUGAGAGGGGAAAGAAUUUAUUGGAAAAAAAUUUGACAAGAGUGACACGUAUGUUUGGAUGUUUAUUUAGGUAAAAAUUAAUUAAAAUAAAAUUUUAGUUAUUUAAUUUUAUUAAUGACACAUGUCAAUAAAUCUUUGAAAACUUUGGAGAAGUAGAAGAGAAAAUGUCUACGAAAAGAUCUGGAUUGUUAAAUAUUUUCUCCUUGAGUUUGAUUUUUGAAAACCAUUUCAAGCUAGACACCAUCAAAUAUGAUAUGGCCCUAAACGUUAUUAAGAAAUACUACCUUCAUUUUCAAAAAUAAUUUCUAAAAAUGCCAUUUAAAAUAAAUAAUCCCCAUAGGGAUCGUAAUCCUAUACUAAUUUUUACCUAUCAAUUCAAUGAUAUAUGACCUGGGCUUAUCUUAUCAAAGAGGUCUAUGGCAUUAAGUCAUACAUGCAUUCUCAUCAUCGAUCAAGCGGUCAUUAUCAAAAAUUAAUUAUUUAAAUUUCAAAAAAAAGAAUAUCUGAUGAACAAUUGUAAAACUUCUUGUCUUGCCACCAAUUUCUUUUUUAUUUUUUAGAAGCCUUUUUUUGGAUACUCUUUUUUUUUUUUAAUUUGAAGCCUGAAGCCAGUGGUUACGACAUAAGGACGGGAAGGGGAAUCAGGUCAGUGUGUGAUAGAAUCUAAAUUCGAUAUAAUUAAUUAAUUGACCUUAAUGAUAUAUCCUAAGGUCACUUUCUGCAAAAUCAAACAAUUUAUCCUUUACGGCUUUCCCGUUUUCCAUUUUUAGCAUUCAUCUCGUGGUUUUUGCAUGGCAUUAUUACCUACACAUAACAAAUUAACAUAAAAAUUUCUAAUAAACACGAGCCUAAUUAAUAAUUAAGCAAAAUAACCAACAAGCGCAUAGAUCAAUUAGCAUGGGCUGUUCUAUCUUAACCAAAGUCCUCAGUUCGAGGCUUUGGAAUACAGUUACGUUAAAUAUUUGUUGGAAGAGUUUUACUGCCCUAGUGGUUCUACCCGGCUUGAAUAUGAAUUAGUCGGAGUCCAAUGUAGUCUUCGGAUACCAGAUGAUUUAAUACACUGAAAAUAAAAAAUUAAGCAAAAGUACACGUACGUGAAAAAUAGAGAAUUGCUCAUCAUCAUCAUCAGCAUCGCCAUGCAGAAGCAGCAAGAAGUGCUCUAUCUUGCCACCCCAAAAGCAAGCAACCAUUAUCUUCAGUCAAGCGAUAGCCAUCACAUGAAUAUAAUCCAAGCAAUAUCUUCGAUUGAGUCACAGCAUUUGCACUCAAUGGCACCCCUCUGAAUCCUUUCCCUUCCAUUAUCUUUCUCCAUUUCUCAAGCCUCUCGUGCCUCGCCGUUCUCUCCCCCCCUUCACAUGCCACUAUGUUUCUUAUCUCCGGUGCAAAUAUGUACUGCUCCACUUUUGCUCUCUGUGCUGAAUCAGGAGGAAACGUUGCGUCUAAUGAGUCGAAAAUUGCAGAGUAAUAGUGCAAUGCCUCGAGGAACCGGCCUAAGAAGUAUGGUCCGUUAUGGCUUGCUUCUUGUUCGACUAUGGUUACGAUAUUUGGUGCUUGGUCACGGAUCAUUGCUAGUAAAUUUCCUAGGCAGUUACUGGGGACACGGUGGAGGCGGUUAACGGCGUUAACGGCAAGAGCCUCGCCUACACGUCUGUUGAACAUGUGUGGCUUCAGGUCUUCGAGUUGUUCACCUACUGGGUGGAACUCAAACGGUACAUGGAGUGAGUGGGCAAGUUCUGUUAAGCAACGUCCAGUUUCCUUCGCGGAUUCUAUAGUAGCCCCGACUCCGGUUAUUCGGAGAAAUGGAGCGCCUCCGGGUCGAGCAGCUAGGGCCUGCAUGAAGGCUGGCCAUUGGUAGCCCUGGAGGAUGUCUAGGUCGAUGACAUGGACACGUUCUUCGGCUUCAAAGGCCUCAAAUAUUGCUUGAUUGGCGGUGAAAUGAGCGAACUUAACGUACGGGCAAGCUUGGUAAACGAUUUGGUAAAUCUUUAGGACCUCUAAAGAGUUUGGUGGGAAAGGAGAGAAGGGUGUUGGAGUAGAAGUGCUUGGUUUUGUGGUUAGGGUUGCUGCAAGUCUUGCACUUAGGGCUUCAGUGAAGCAGGAAGCAACUCGUUGCAUGGAGUCGCCGAGAGGCGAGACUACUCGAUUGAGGUGAUGCAAGUAUCUUCUUGCUAACAUGAAGUCCUCUUUAGCCACCGCUUCAGCACAGGCAAGAAGGAGAUGCACCAACUGAAGCCCGCUAUCUUGUUCCUAAAGAAACAAAUAAAGAUAGCAAUAAAAUAAAUAAAAAUUAAAAACAAAGUGUCACAUAUGAAAAUGCUUAAGUCAUAAGUGUGGACUUUCACACUUUAUAAAAUUUGGACUGAUUUCUUUAUACUGUGUAAAGAGCCUGUACUGUACUAAAAAUAUUUUUACAUCAAUAUAAAUAUGAGUUGUAUUUUUACAUUAUUUGCACUUUGUAAAAUGCGGAUAUCUGCACUUAAACAUGACUUUUACUAUAUAUAUAUAUAUUUUCUUAUACAUAUUGAGAAACAGUUUUGCACAUGAAAAAAAUAUGUACAAACAGCUAAUAGAACAUGUAUGUGUGUGUGUGUGUGUGUGUAUAUAUAUAAUUUUCUUAUACAUAUUGAGAAAUGCUUUUGCACAUCAAAAAUAUGUACAAACAGCUAAUGGAAUUAUGACAUGUAUACAAAAAACGUACAUAUAUAGACAAGGACAGAAAAGUUUUUAACCUGCUCAGAACUGAUUGGGAGAGGGACCAUCAAGCUGUGGUUAAGAUUCUGCUGCUGUUGUUGCUGUGCUUGCAGCUGCUGCUGUUGUGUUUGUUGCCUCUCCUGCAGUUGCUCUUGUUGCAGUUGUUGUGAUAAUGGUGCAGCUGCUAUUGAUCCCAUUUGAUAAAUAUCAUUGUCAUGCUGAGAAGCUCCAGCCGUUGAUGAUGAUUCACUCACUGGUCCACUAAACCUCGACGGAUUAUUAUUUGUCAUUGGUAAGCAUUCAAGCGUUGCUGGAACCGUCGUAGGCAUAUCAAUUAGUUGAGGUGAGCUUCCACCACCACCACCACCACCACAUAUCUUCAUAGGCGAAAACAUCCCGUAUCCAUCCUUUUGAUAAUCCUCCAAGAAAUCUUCAAUAGCCGUCGUCAAAGCAAGAUUCUCCGGCUGCAUAUACUGGUUGCCUGGAGAGUUAAAUACUUUAUGAAGCGGGCUCUGCCCUUUUGCUCUGAGGCUACUGCUGAAUGCUCCAACCUGAGCCGAAAAGCGAGGAGGGGAACAUCCUGAAAGGCUCUGUCCUUGCAUUGAUUGUGCAUAGUUGUAGUUGUAAUUAUUAUUGUAAGCUGAAGUUCGUGGAGAAGGCAAGUUUCUCACCGGAGAUGAGAUCAUGAAGUCACCGUCUAAGUGAUCGGAGAAGAAGGUUUCCCAUAUUGAACAAUCCGGUGAUUGCACUUCGACGUCGCCAUCUAUUUCAAACUUGAGUGGUGGGAAGUUGAGGCUUGGUGGUGUUAGGCUACUUGGCUGCUCCAAGUCAGAAGAUUGAGGAGUUCUUUUUGUCUCUGAAAUUGAUGACUCAUUUGGAGAAGUUGGAUGGAUUUUAAUGCUUGAUGAUGAGUUCUCACUUUUAAGAGUACCCACAGUUCCACACACUGAAUUAAUCAUCUUUUCCUCUUGGUAUUCUAAGCUCAAAAUCUAAAUAUUCAAAACCCACAAACCCGAAUCAAGAUAUAUGGUUUUACAAAUUAAGAAGUGUUGAUUUUGAUAAAAAAUAAUAUGGGUGUUUCAAUAUUUGCUAGCUAGCUUUUACUAAAAGAGCUAGAGAAUGUGCAUCGAUCUCUCUCUUUUUAUUUGAGUACAUUAGCAAAGGACUGUGUCACAUUGUCCAGAAUGGCUUUAGAAAAUGAAAGAGAUGAAUUGACAAGUUUGAAAUCUAAUAGGCAUAUGAUUGGAGGUUAGUGAUUUUAUUCACCUCCAAUUUAUCACCUCUACAAUGUAAGUUGUAUUCUAGAGGUGUUAAUUUGUCAUCUUUACUCUUUAGCUGCCAAUUUUAACUCUCUGUUACACGGCUUUGGAAGGCCUGUGAUUGCACUAAAUGACAGUUUAUUGAAUGGGGUCCACUUUCCUAGAGCCGGCCCAUGCUGAAAAUAAUUUAGAUGGAAUAUUUGGUCUUUUUCUUGGUUUAUAAUAUUAGUGAUUAUCGUUGCCUUCGUAUCCAAGACCGACGAUUGGUUAAUAAAGAAUAAUACAGGGGAGAAAAUUAUGAAGGAAAUUGUUCUAAAUGAGAAAGGACAGAAAAGGGACCCAUCUAAAAUGUCAAUUGUGAAAAGGACUUCAACAAGGCAGAUUGACAUUAGAGAAACAAUCGAUUUUGCAUUAACAAGAAGACCACCGUAUAUUACCUUAUUUUGUGGUCAAUUGCUUUGGCAUUUUUGCUCAUUCUGAAUUACUCCUUUUAAGUUAAAUUACUUUUGGUGAGAAAACAAAUUGAAGAAUGUAAAUCGGCUAACCACAAAGAUGUGUCUUCGAGGAAAACUUCUUGAGUGUUCUUGGAGGUUUUUUUUUUUUUUUUUUUUUUUAUCUCAUUCACUUAUUAUCACAAGUAUGUUUCAAUUAAUCAUAAUGAAAUGUAUAUAUACGUGACAAAUAAUGAAUAAAUAAGAAUCAAUAUUCCAAGAGCAUCAAAAACCUUCUCGUCUUCAAAAUAAAUCAAUGUACAUGCAUGAAAUCUUAACAUAAGCCUAAUUAUUAUCAUUAUUUUUAACAAAAAAUUGUUGGUAUUUCUGUGUCAACAACCUUCCUUAAAGAGAUGGGGCGGCAUGUGACUUCGGAGCUUGAUAGUCCAGCCCGUCCCCUCAGGCUUGCCUACAACACGUACCGAUGUGGGACUCUAUGCUGCCAUGUAAUACAGUCCCCAACUGCCAACUAUAGGCUUUUGGCUAUUCUCCCUUCAAUAAAAUGAUCAUAAAUUUUGUAUUGGUUCGAUCAUCUCCAACGCAAUAAUAUAUAUAAGAGUUAAAUUCAAAACACAAUAGUGAUCUUCUCAUAAUUUCUCUUGUGAUUAAAUCAUCCCUUCUUAUUAUAAAGCUAAUAUUCUUAAUUAUCUAAGUUUUAUCAUCAUCUUUCAAAAUGGUAGUCCCAAUGAAAUUAUACAACAAUAAAUAAUAUCCCAUCUUAUUGUUUCUCCGAAGAGAGUGAGGUAAUUAAGAGGAAAGAGACGAGAAAGUGAUAAAGGAAAAAGAAGAAGAAGAAGAAGAAGAAGAAGACAAGAAAGAAGACAUAGGCGAGAUCGUCGGACUUGGCGUCGGUGGCGCCGCCCUACUCCUUGGAUUUGCCAAAGGAAUGAAGCUCUUGUCUCUCUUAAUUAGUCGGCAUUCAUUUUAAUUAUCGUUUAGUUACUAACUAAUUAUUAAAUAAAGCCAUGCACACGUGCCAUGCAUCUACCUUCAUUCAAAUCAUUUCUCACGAUCAAAUUAAUUAAUCUUGCCCCGUUGCAUGGAAACAUUUCACAUUUCUUCACAAGGACGGAAUGAAACUACUUUAAUCUUUAAUUAAUCUUCUACAUGAGUCCACUCACAACCAUCUAAUUUCGCUUAAUUUCUCUUCUUCUGUUUGUCAGUACUUGAAUGAUCCUGCAUGGAAACUUAAUGCUUUCAGCAUUGUCAUCGUAUUGGUAUUAAUUCUGUAUUCUUGUACGUGUUGAUUAUCCUUAAGAACGUCACAAAACUAUACUUUUUACGCUUGCUUCUGUGUUUGCAUGUACAACUGUCAUAUGUAAACAUUAUAAUCAUGUUAUAUUUACAAAGUUGAGUGGCAAAAUUUAUAUCGUUUAAAUAAAAUUCAGAGUCAAAAUUUAUAUGUUAAAUGGUAUGCCAUAAAAACCAAGUCUAGCUAGGGCCAGAUUGCUUAUGUAUCACGCUAUGAUUUGUUUUUGACUUUUGAGGGAAUUGCUUAAUCAUUAUGCAGUGGGUAUACAGGAUCAUUAAUUAUCAUUAGAGUAACUAAAAGUUGAGAUUCGUCGAUCAAUCAUUCGUAUAAUUAAUUGUCGCCGUAAAACAUGCUUUCCCAUGAGAUCUUAUUCUGUAUUUGCAACUUCAGGACCAAGUCUGUAUUAACUUUUCUCUUGGCAACCUAAUGAAUGAUCAAUUCAAGAAAUAUUAAAUUGGAGCUAAUUAAUUUUGCAAGUAGUUGUAACAACUUUCUGAAUGCGAUCACAUUAAUUGAAGAAAAAUCUUACAUGAAAACGACACUUUGUGACCAAUUAAGUUUGUUUUAUAGCUUGUUUUCAAUUCAUAAAACGUAUUAAUACUAUUGGCUUUAUUACCAAAUCCAGCUAUCUCUCUUACACAAGAUUAAUGGGCACCACGAAGUAGUGAAAGCUCCAUUCAGAUGGGAGCAAGCACCGAGCAUGGGGCCUUCAGGGUUCAGUGCUACAUUUUUAUGAUAUUUGUUUGUACUAUUUGUAGCCGAAAUCGUAGCGGGGUCAAAGAUAUGAUUAUACAUUGUAAUACUACCAGGGAAAAUUUGUUUGACCAAGUUAUGAAUCUCUUACUCCCGGCAGAAAGAGUAAUGAACCUGACAGUUUCUGUUUGUUCUCAACUUUGAUUAUUUAUUUGCAAUUUCUUCAGUAGUACAAACAGAAAAUGCCUUUUUUCAAUUUAUUUUCCAGCCUUGCAUAUCGUGAACUUCAAGGAUGGUUUCUUCUUUAGAAUAUCAAAAUGUUUCCACGAUAUGAUCAAAGGUAUACUGGUGUUUACGGUUAGGAAUUUGCUGGGAUUAGAAACUAGAUCAAUUCAAUUACGACACAUCUCACAUUUCUGUUCCCAUAUUAAUUAAGAUAUAUCUUUUUCACGAGAAGAUAUAUAUAUAUCAACUUUAUCUAUAUUUGUGAGAGAAAUGUCCACUCCUACCCAAUUAUGAAAAGGAAAUAGAACGUGGGCCCUCAAAUGCUUCAAUGACGGUUGACAAAUGAAAAUCCUAAACGGAAAAAAGGUCUGUAAAUUACAAUUUCAAAUUUUGUUAAGAUUAAGCACAGAAAAUUAAGGCAUCAUUGUCAAUUAAAUUGUAGAGAUUACAAAAUGAAGCAGGUUUGAGAUUAAGAUUUGGAUUCAAUGCUGAUAUUUUUAUAAGAUUGUGGUUUUCUUUUGCUGGAAAGGCAAUUCAUUGAACACGGCAAGAGUAUAAUAAAAUAAACGUAUAACUUGCAAAAUUUCUUUUGGUUUAGCUGUUAAUUCAAAAUGCUAGCCUACAUAACAUAUGUAUUUAUGUCUAAUAUAUGAAUCUUUUUUUUUUUUAGUGAUAGCACUAAUUAGUCAUAGUUUUAAGAUGGUCUUUUAGAUAUUAUCUUAAAUUUUUUGAGUUGUUUUAUUAUAAUCGAAGGAGCAAUUUUAUAUAUGUAAGGUUAUGAGGAAAUGUAUACAUGUUUAAAAAAAAAAAAAGAAUUGAGGGAUAAUCAAUCAUGUCAAUGACCAAUUUGAACAUUGGGUCUCCCCAUGAACACGCUGGGAUGCACGUAGCUGGUAGUGUGGAUGUUUUGGGUGAACCGUUGUGCUCGUUUAAAUUUGAUGGAAAAAAAUAAAAGGAAUUCAAAAAGCCAUAACUUUUCUUAAGUAGCAGAAUAAUUAAGUGUUACGUUGAUGGUCAAAAAUAAAUUACAAACGGAAAUCCUUAUCUGAUUACAAAUAAAUGCUCUUUUCUAAUGAGUUGUUCAAUAUUCUUAUUUGAUCUUAAUGAAGAAGAGAAGAAGAUGAAGAUUUACUCUCCGCAAACACUUUCUCUGCAUUAUUAUAUUUUCUAGUAGUUAUAACCAAAGUGGGAAGUUGAUAUUAUAUCUUCCUUCUUAACUUCCAAACCGCACUUGGUAACUGUAAAAGCAGUUACCAAGUACAGGUCGGGUGGGGUUGUUGGGAAAAUAUGUUCUUUAAAAGCAUAUGUGUUUAUUUAAUUGUAAUAAAUAAUUUUUCUAAUUAAUAAAAUAAAUGAGGUAUUUUAUUCAAAUAUCUUAAUUGCAUUAAUAUUUGUAUUAAAGUCCAUUUAAUCAUAUUAUAUGUAUUUAUGUGAUCACCAUGUGGAUUCACAGAAGACAUAAAUACAAGUUAUCUUAUGAUUAAAUAAAUUUAGUUCGCAGUUGAUAAAUAAAGUUAGGCACUUUAUUUAGGUAUAGACUGUAAUAAAUUCAUUGAAUGAUUUGUCUUAAUCAUGUAUGAAUUUAUUGAUGUAGUACGACUACAUUGAACAAGAUCACAUAUGAGAUUUAAUUAACUUUGUAAUAACUGUCAGACUUAUUAAAUCUCAUAGGCGUUGAUUUUACUGUAAUCUCAAUCUUGAGUUAAUUAUGAUUUCAUGAUUGUGAUUGUUAUUUCAUUUGAGUUACCAAUGGGCACGACACAUCCUUGUGGUCAAGAUUACCCGGUAUCUUGGUGGGAGCAAUUAUGAGUAUUGGAGUUAUGGAUUAACAAUAUAGAAUUUGUACAACACAUCUCUUGAUAGGUUUUCGGUACUUGAUCAUAGAAUUCUCUGGCCAAAGUGUGUCAACAUAUUUAGUAUGUUGAAAAUGAUCAUUAGAGAAAACCAGUAAGGAUCAAGGAAUAAGAUGUUAUUAAAUUGAUUGGACAGUUGAGAUAUCAAUUUAAUUAACGAUGUGAUACAAAGGAUUGUGCAGUAAAGAAAUCAAUAUGGCUUGAGACGAAUUAUUAUUCGAGCAUACAAUUAUGGAAGUCAGUUCCAAUCUUUUAGUGGAGUAGAUUUGGAAUUAAAUAAUUGGGCUAGUUUAAUUACAUGCCUAAUUAUUGUAGCCACUAUUGUAUGUUCCCAAAUGAUCCCCGGGUUAACUCAUUUAAUUGACUGCACCACUACUGGACUAAUAAGUAAGAUAACUAGUUAUUUGGGUCAAAAGCCUAAAUAUAUCAUUUAGUGGGAGGCUCCAUUUAAUUAGCUUUUAUAUAAGGGGCCUUAUGUUAUUUUACAAGGUGGGCCCCCUAUUGAAAAAGCAAAAUAACGUGAGUUUUAUUCAGGGCAUUAUUUGGAGCAUAGGGUUUUCACUAAAGGGUGAUAUAAAAGGCUUAUUUUUCCCUAAAGAAAAACAGAGAAGCCACUUUAUACAGAUCAGAGAAUAAGAUUUUUCUCUCGAUUGUUGAGAGAAAAAUUUUCUCGUGCUAGUUGCUUUGGUAGUGAUAAAGGCGCCCACACGUCAAGUGCAGAUUGAACCUGAGUCAUAAACUGGAAGAUCAUUGGAGACAGUUCGUGAUCUAACAAGCGUGGUGGUGACGGAUCGUGAUUUAACAGGAGUGGUGGUGGCGGAUCGUGAUCUAGGAGCCUAAAUCACUUCAGCGGAAAAAGACAACACAGAUUUUCAAGGUACGAUUUCUAGAAUACAAAUUCUUAUAUAUUAUAUGAGAGCGAUCUUCAAAAGGUUUUAUAAAAAUUUAAAACCUAAUUUUUUCCCAACAGGGGUCGGCUCAUCAUGGGCAACCCGCCCAUCUAACAUCUCCCACUCGCAUAGGAUGGGACGACGUCGAAGCAGUAGAGCAGUGGACAAAGAAACAAUGAAAAACCACAUAUCUUUAAUCAUAUAGGUAAGUAUACCGUGUGACAAUGAACAUAUUCAAAGACCCAUUGGAGGAGCCAAAAAAUAUAUCUCAAUUGCUAACCUAGGCAAGAUAUAUCUCAAUUGCAAUCGUAUGCAAGAGAAUUUCAAUAUAUGUUUAUUGUAUCCCAGAUUUAAUUCAUUGUAAUAUUGAAGCAUAAUAAACCUCUUCAGUAUGCCAAAAUUGUGCAAUCUUUUUAUGUAUUCACAAUUGUAAUAUACCACAUGUAUUAUACAAUUGGUCGACCAGUGGAUCACAUAAAAGGAAAAAAUUAAAUAUUUAUAUCACACUCAUGUUCAUCAAUCCAGAAUAAUCACUUUCCUAGUCAUGUUUCAUACACUGAAUCAUGUCAAGGUCAGAGAUAACAUGCUAAAGUAGCAGACAUCAUUAUGAGAUCUCAAAAACGUAGUUGAUAGUCAUAAUGAUACUAGGAUUAACUUAUAGAAAGUCAUAUGGAACUUACACAAUGAGGAAGAAGAGAAAUUCUCUAAUUUUCUAUUUUGGUCAUUAAGCAAGUGUGGUAUGAUACAAGCGUUGCAGUGAAUCUUCCAUUUAGGGCAUUUGUCUCAUUAAUUCAAUUCAUUGUACAUAUUUUAGUCUAGUCGCUCUUCUACAAUGUCUGACCUGAGUUCUUAAACUGAACGCUCCUUUAGUGUUAAAAUAAGCUCUCACAUAUUGUUUUUAUCAAGUCUCUAUAAUGGUAGGGUACAUCAUAGUUGAUCUACGAGAAAUAUUGUUUAAGACCUCAUUUUGAUUCUAAUCAAGGCAACAAAAUUUGUAGAAUAAUCCUUUUUAUUGGGCUCUUAAACAAAUAUAUUGUUUCAUUAUUCUACUUGUCUCAUCUUAGCUUGUUCCCAGAGCAAUUGAGGCAAUUGCUCGUGUAAGAAAGUUGGUAAUGACCUGAUGACAUACUCUCAUAUGUGUGUAAUUAGGCCUUUUAUAAAAUAAAUUGAAAUAAGAGAACUUUAAACAUCAUUGCAUUUCAAAAUAAUUUAUGUAACAAAGAUGUUCAUAACAAAUAAAUACAUCUUAACAAAGUAAAAUUACAAUCUACAUAGCCCUAAUGAUUUAGCAUGAUAGGUGAAUACAUCCCUCGUUAUAGCUUUGGUAAGUGGAUCAACUAUCAUGCUAUGCGUAGAUAUAUAUUGUAUGACUACUUUUUUUUUCGCCAAAAUAUCUCUAAUGAAAUUGUAUUUAGUCUCAAUGUGUUCUGAUUUGCUGUGUUAUUUGACGUCCUUAGAGAAAGAGAUAGCAGCUUGACUGUUACAGUAAACAGUUAUUGGACUAGUGUUAGUGUAUAAAUACUAAUGCUAUUGGUGUCAAUGUGCAAGUGUACACAAUAAGUAAUAAAGUGAUGAGUAUUCAAGAUCGUCUCCACAUAGAUUGAUGUUAUUAGACUUGCUACAACAAUCUUAACAGUGUAGAUUUUGUGUCUAAAUUAAGAUAAACAAUUGAUGAAACUAAUUUACUAAUUAAAAUAAAAACACAAUAAAUAAAAUGCAACAAAGUAGAUUAUCACGUCAAACUCAAGGAUAAAAACAAUGAGAAUAUAGAGUAGUUGAGUGAAUAAACUCUCUUAAUGGUCUUGACUAUUUUCUAAUAGUUGGCUCGGUUGCUGCAGUAUUUGCUACAACACUGGGCAGAAUCCUUAUGUAUCCUCAGCCGUCGCAUGUUGGAUAUCUUAUAUCUAUAUGCAACCUAACAGUGAUAAGUUGCUAUGCCAAUAUAAGAUAUAGCAUUACACGCUUAGGUUCUAUUUACCAUACAAGGUGAAUCCUUAUGUCUAGUUCAUCACUAAUCUUAAAUCAUGUAUGGCCUUUUUGGGACUCAAGUAAAACUCAAUCCAGGAAACUCAAUUUAAGAUCAAGUAUUGUUCUGAUAUGUUCCACUAAGAUAGGCCCUUUUGCGGCUCUUCAUUAGCUAGUAUCAUUAAAUGGGUGAUCAACCGAAAUAACGAAUAAAAUAAAUACUAUCAAAACAAACUGCUACAACAAACAUGCAGCAACACAUAUUUCUAGUCAAUAAACCAUCAAGAUUGUUUAUCACUCAACUACAAAUAAAUUUAGUUCAUGGUUUGUAAAAGAAAAAUAAAAAACAAAGUUUCAGUCAUGAAACACAUCCCCAUAAAUAAAUAGAAAACGAGAAAGCAAGAGAAGAAUAAGAAUGAUUGAGCUCCCAAUUGAUUUCUCCAAAUUCUCCUCUUGUGCAGCCGUUAAUCUAUCUCUUGAAUCUUGUUUUUCUUUUGUUUAUUUGUGUUUUUCUCCUUGGGUGACGGCUCUCUCUAUGCCUUAUGAUGUGUGCUUCUUUUAUAAUUGAAAAUUAGGGUAAACGGAAGCCUAGGUCGCACAAAAGUCAGAUUAGGAAACUGCAGAUCGCAAUUCUGCAAGUAUCCCGCGCGGAAUUGUUCUAGGAUUGCUAUAGCAACGGUGACAGCAACUGCACUGUUUCAGAUUUGUUUCAAUUCUUUUGUAGUUAAGUUCUUCCUUAUUUUUGCAAGCCUAUUGCAUCAACAUUCCUUCCAUGAAUUAUAAGCUUCUGGAAACCUAUAAUUAUGCACACAAUUUAAGCACAAAUUACUUUAAAUUAAGCAAAACUCAUUAAGAUAAACUAAAAUGAAUAUUUAUGCAAAAUGUAACAAAAAUGCAAUAAAAACACAUCAUUUACUCUCUAAGUAAUAUUAAUUUAAGUCUAAAAGUGCUAUGAUAACUCUCAUUUCAUAGAGUUAUCACACCCCCAAACUUAAACCAUUACUUGUCCUCAAGUAAUGACAACCACAUUCACACUUCAAUCACAUAAUCAUGCAACAAAUAACUUAGCACUGUCAUCAAAUUUGUAAGGAUUCUUCCACCCUCAGAUCACACUCUUAAUCAUACAAAAUAGCCAUAGCAGUUCAGUUCUAGACUUAGGCUUCAUUCUGUCCAAAGUGUGUGUGUGCCACUUUAAUCAAAUUCCAUAGGUGCUACAACAUUGCACAAACUUUGUAUACAAUUCAGAGGUAGAACACAAAUAUAUUCACAUAUAGGAGAGCAGAACUCACAAUUAUAUUCAAACUGUGCUACAAUUUUUUUUUUUUUUUAGUUAAACCCUUUAAUGCAACAUUGAGCUUUCAUGUGAAUGCCUAUCACUUGUAAUGACGACACCCAAUUACUCACUCAAAGUACAUGUCAGAGUUGUUACAACAAUGCAUUCAGGAUGUUAUAUCUGGGUCUUACCUUUGGACGUCUUUGACUCAAGGCUGAACAUGGGGCUCAUGAACAGAUUAGGUUACUCAGUAUCCUAGGCAGCAAACCUCUUUAUAAUUUUUUUUUACAUUUUUAUAUAUAUAAUUGCUGUAGUACUGCUCAUAGCUCUUGUUGCCUUUGGACUCAAGUCUGCAUAUGGGGUGCAUACUCAACCUUGAUUACUUAGCAACUUAAACCAUUGGAGCAAAAUUUAUUUCAUAACAGGCACAGUCCCACAAAAAUUUUCCCCCAAACUUGAGAUAUUUUCUACUUUUUUUUUUUGGUUUUCCUGGCUUUGCUACAACAUUCUCAUAAAACUCAACUAAAGUCUAACUGUCGGGACAGAAGUUAAACCUCCAUCUAUAACUAUCUCUACUUGGCUUUCUCAUAAAUACUGAAUAACAUUCAAUUUAUCUUUAUUAGGUUUUACACAAAUAUUAGAUAACAGAGCUUCACACAACACACAACACACAACACAAGCAUAAACACAUGUACUUAAAAACACAACCCCCCCCAAACUUGAAUGGUGCUGUGUCCUCACGAGCACACAAAACAAAACCACAUGAACCGGACAUGCGUACACUAAAUAAAAGGACAUGUAGAAUGAAUCAUAAAAUUAAAACUAAAUGAAAGAAAAGUUUUGCAGAAAGAAGUAAAAUAAACUAGCGGUUAGGGGUACUGCCCUGUUAUUGGAAGCACUGCUGCAGCACAGGCUGUAAAGGGUCACUUAUUCUUUGAUCUACUUCUCAAACACUCCUUAUUAUAAAAUUUGAUCAAUCCAUUUGAUGCUACAAAAGUAAGAAAUGCCUCUGUUGUUUGAGAAUCUUCUGUUAUAUGUCAUGCUGUAAGUGAUACUGCAGCAAUUCCCUCAUGCUUUUUUUGCCCACAUUUUUUUUACUUGCUGCAAUUUAACACAAAGACAUAAAAAAAAAAUAGAUGCAUACUUAAAAUAACAAAAAGACAAAUUAAAUAAUUUAAAAACUAAAUUUAAUGCUUUAAAGACUUAAAACAACUUCCCUUAUUGGGUUGCCUCCCAAUUAGCGCUUGAUUUUAGGUCCUUCAGCCUGACCUUUCUUGUUUCCUCAACCUGGAUCUUUCAAGAACCAAUCCCUCUUUAGGCUGCUCACAUCAGCUCCCAGAUAGUGCUUCACUCUCGGCCCGUUAACUUUGAGUUCUUGUUGGUUUGGAGUGAGUUCCCUUUGCUGGAUUUGCUCAUCAAUUCUGAAGGGUUGCUUCUCCCCUGACCAUGCUAUGUUAGCUGCUCUAUAAUCUUCAUAAUCAAGUUCUUCAAAUGUUACAGCAUUGAUUUUUUCUUUACUGCAGCAACUGUGUAAUCUCUUUACUACAACAAAGUCCACAACACUGAUAAAAUUACAAUUUUCAAUCUCAUCGGGACUCUUCAUGGCAUCCAGUACAUUGAAUGUAACUUGCUGUUCAUUCAGCUUCAUGGUUAAUUCUCCUUUUUUAAGAUCAAUUAGAGUCUUUUCCGUAGCUAAGAAAGGUCUUCCGAGAAUGAUUGACACUUCUUUGUCUACCUCAAAGUCUAGCACAAUGAAAUCCACUGGAAAAAUAAAUUUAUCCACCUUCACCAACACAUCUUCAAUCUUUCCUUCUGGAUAUGCAUGAGAUCUGUCAGCAAGUUGUAAAGUCACUGUUGUUGGUUUACAUUCACCAACUCCCAAUUGCUUAAACACUGAUAAAGGCAUGAGAUUGAUGCUAGCCCCCAAAUCACAAAGUGCUUUGCCACUGUAUUUAGUGCCUAUGGAGCAUGGGAUUGUAAAGCUUCCUGGAUCUUUCAUCUUCUGUGGUAUCUUACUCUGAAGCAUUCGGCUACUCUCUUGUGUUAAAGCAACUGUUUCAAACUCUCCAAGUCUUCUUUUCUUUGUCAAAAUAUCCUUAAAAAUUUUGCAUAGUUUGGCAUUUGCUCUAGAACUUCCACAAAAGGGAUAUUGAUAUACAGCUGUUUCAGCACUCCCAAGAUUUUGCUGAACUGCAUGUCUUGUUGUUGCUUCUGAAAUCUUUGAGGGAAAGGUGGUGGGUGUCUAAACUGUUGUGCUGCAGCAGAUUGUGCAGACUGGUUCUCUUUUGCUUUACUCGGUUCUGUUGAUGUUAAUGCUGUAGCUGCCUCACCACUAGGUGCUAGAUCAUAAUUUUCUGCAGAUGCUGUACCAGAACUGUGUCGAUUUACAUUUUGAAAAGUGAAAAAUUGUGACUCCUUCUUUACUGGAGUGUCUUAUUUGCCUUUGUUGGACUCAAUUCUUCUUUUUGGUACACCAACUGAACUAUCAAUAUCCUUUCCAGAUCUCAAGUUAAUCACUUUACAAUGCUCUUUCCCUUAUCUUCUUGGGUCCUCUAUGUUGCUGGGUAAACUUCCUUAAGGUUUGUUGCUUAAUGCUGUAGCAAGCUGUCCAAUUUGGUUUUUCAAGUUUCUCAAAGAUAUAACAUGACUUUGGACAACCGCUUCAUUCUUCAUAAUAUAAUCCUUAAUCAAAGCCUAAAGGGAGCUAAGUUGAUCAUUGUUGAUGCUUCUUUACUCUUGAUUUUGCUGAUAAAAUCCAGGUGGUUGAGCAGGUCUAUUCUGUCCACUAAGUGCUGCAGCAGUCUGGUUCUGAUAACUCUAUGAAAAGUUCGGGUGCUGUCUCCAUCCAAGGUUGUAAGUGUUUGAAUAUAGAUUGUCUUAAUUCUGUUUAUUGAAGCUGCCCACAUAAUUGACUGAAGUUGGAUUCCCAGGACAAUUAUCAAAUAAAUGUCUCUCUCCACAAUAAACAUAAGAGACCUCAGAAAUUUGGUUAACAGUUGCUGGAGCAGUAGUCAUAGCCUUUACCAUAUUUGUUAAUGAAGUUACUUGGGCUGACAAUGCUGUCAAGGUAUCUACGUUAGGAACUCCUGUUGUUCCUCUUGUUGCAGCUUGUCUAGUUGAUGGCCACUGAUAAUUAUUGUUAGCAAUCCUCUCCAAAAUUUCAUAAGCCUCAUUGUAAGACUUAGCUAACAAAGCCCCAUUUACUGAAGCGUCCACCAUCAAUCUAGUUCUUGGGUUGAGAUCAUUAUAGAAAGUUUCCAACUGUAUGCAGUAAGGAAUACCAUGAUGAGGACAUCUUCUGAGUAACUCUUUAAAUCUUUCCCAUGCAUCAUACAAGCUCUCAUCUUUAAGUUGAUGGAAAGAUGUAAUCUCAUUCCUUAACUUUGCAUUCUUGGUUGGCGGAAAGUAUUUUAUCAAAAAUUUGUCAGCCAAAUCAUUCCAUGUAGUGAUAGAAUCCGGUGGUAGAGAAUUCAACCAUGUUCUUGCUCGGUCUCUCAAAGAAAACGGGAAAAGUCUGAGUCUCAAUGCUUCCUGCGAUGCUCUAGUAAUCUUGAAAGCAUCACUCACUUCCAAAAAUAGCUUAAGAUGUAGAUGAGGAUCUUCUGAUAGCAGUCCAUUAAAUUGCCCCACUGUUUGUAGCAUCUGAAACAUCACUAGUUUGAGCUCAAAAUUGUCAGCUUGAACGUCGGGUCUAACUAUUCCUGGAUGUAUGGCUUGAGGAGUCAACACUGCGUAGUCUCGAAUGGCUCUAUCUUUAUCAUUUGCCAUGUGAAUAAUGUUGUUGUUUCCUGGUUGCCUUUGAAAACAUUGUCCACUCAGACCUUCAUGUACAGUGACUGGUUGUAUCUCCUCUCGACGGUUCAAGUUUCUCAAAUCUUACAAAUCAUCCAUUGGUACAGCAGCUUGUAAUUCUCGAUGCUCUUUUCUCAAUUUCCUUGCAGUUCUUUCAAUUUCUAGAUCAAACUGGAAGUCAACAGAUUUAUAUUUGCGCAUGCAAGGGUUGCUAGAUCACCUAUGUCAACAAAAUAAAUAAAUAAAAAUAAAAUAAAAUAAAUUAGCACCGUUAAAACUAAUUUCACAACUCACAAUGAACAAUCAAUCCCCUGCAACGGCACUAAAAACUUGUUAGUGUAUAAAUACUAAUGCUAUUGGUGUCAAUGUGCAAGUGUACACAACAAGUAAUAAAGUGAUGAGUAUUCAAGAUCGUCUCCACAGGGAUUGAUGUUAUUAGACUUGCUACAGCAAUCUUAACAGUGCAGAUUUUGUGUCUAAUUAAGAUAAACAAUUGAUGAAACUAAUUUACUAAUUAAAAUAAAAACACAAUAAAUAAAAUACAACAAAGUAGAUUAUCACGUCAAACUCAAAGAUGAAAACAAUGAGAAUAUAGAGUAGUUGAGUGAAUAAACUCUCUUAAUGUUGCUACAACAACAACUACAGCAAUGUUGCUACAGCAAUGGUUACAGCAACUGCACUGUUCCAGAUUUGCUUUAAUUCUUUUGUAGCUAAGUGCUUCCUCAUUUUUGCAAGUCUAUUGUAUCAACAUUCAUUCUAUGAAUUAUAAGCUUCUGGAAACCUACAAUUAUGCGCACAAUUUAAGCACAAAUUACUUUAAAUUAAGCAAAACUCAUUAAGACUAAACUAAAAUGAAUAUUUAUACAAAAUUUAACAAAAAUGCAAUAUAAACAUAUUAUUUACUCUCUAAGUAAUAUUAACUUAAGUCUAAAAGUGCUAUGAUAACUCUCAUUUCAUAGAGUUAUCAACUAGUAUUAUUUAUAUUAAUAUUUAAGUCUUCUAUAAAUCUCUUAAGCCACACAAUUUCUUAGACUGCUGCAAAACAUGCAAUAUACUCGACUUCUAUCGUCGAUAAAGCCGUGCAUGUUUGCUUCUUUCUACUCCAUGCAAUUGCUCUUCUGUUUAGUAAUAAUGCAUAUCCCGAGGUUGAUUUGUGCUCAUUGAGAUUGCCACCCUGGUCGGCAUCUGGAUAUCCAAUAAGUCACAAAUUACCUUCUUAAUAGCAUAAAAAAUAAUUUGAAGUGCCUUUGAGAUAUGCCAAAAUCCUUUUAACAGCAUUACAAUGCUUUUGACUAGGAUUAGAUUGGUAUAUACUCACUAGUCCUAUAGCAUAACUAAUAUCGAGACUUGUACACAUCAUGACAUACAUGAGACUUCCAAUAACAUUUGUGCAAGGAACUCCAACCAUUCUUUCCUUUUCUUGAGGAGUUUUAGGGCACAUAUUGAGACUGAGAAAUUGUCCUUUAGUUAUUGGGAUAUUCUUUAGCUUACAAUCAGUCAUGUUGAACCUUUUAAAGAUAUUCUUAAUGUAAAACUCUUGUGAUAGAGUUAGAAAUUUCUUUGAACAAUCCCUAAAAAUUUUAACUUCUAAGAUAUAAGUUGCUUUGCCUAAAUCUUUCAUGUCAAAAUUUAAACAUAGUCAAUCUUUAAUAAUUUUGACAAACUCUUUACUGUUCCCAGUUAACAAUAUAUCAUUCAUAUAGAAAGAUAAUAUCACAAAAACGUCUUUACACCUCUUAAUAUACACACAAUUGUUUUCCUUAACCAUCCUGAAGCCAUAAGAAACUAUAACUUGAUGGGAUUUAAGGUUUCAUUGUCUAGAGAAUUGAUUAAGGCCAUAGAUAGAUCUUUUAAACUUGCAUACCUUACACUCUUGGCCUUUAACGAAAAAAACCUUGUGGUUGUUGCAUAUAAAUUUCUUCCUCUAUUUCUCCAUUGAGAAAUGCAGUUUUUACAUCCAUUUGGUGUAACUCAAGGUCUAGAUGUGUAACAAUAGCCAAGAUCAAUUGUAUAAAAGCAAACCUUAUUACAGGAGAAAAUGUCUCUUCAUAGUCUACGCCCAUUUUUUUAGGUAUAGACUUUAAGGACUAAUCUUGUUUUAAAUCUUUCGAUGGUCCCAUCCGUCUUACGCUUUAUUUGGAGAACCCAUUUGUUUCCGAUAGUUUUACUGCUGGCUAGAUGAUUAACCAAGUCUUAGACCUGAUUGACUUUCAUUGACUCCGUCUCCUCCUCUAUUACUUUCAUCUAUAAAUCCUUAGCAGACAAUGUAAGGGUCUCGUUAAAAGUAUUUAGCUCUUCACCAUUGUGUAAAGCAAUCAUAAAAGCUUCUCCCUCAAUCUCAAAAUGACGACGAGGAAUUGAUCUACGAUCACUCCUUGAAAUUGAUUUCUAAAUUGGAAUUAAAGUGUCUGGUGUUUCACUCCCACUCAGAGUAGUAAUCCCGAAUGAUCUGUAUUAAUGCCAACACUAACAUCAGAAGUGAUAACCUCAUUUAGAUCUUUUAAUUCAUAAAAUUGAAAAUCCUUAUCAACUUCUCUAAUGUCAUAGUUCCACUUGUAUGUUCACUAAUGAACACAUAUCCUUGGAGUGUUUUGAGUAUCUAAUAAAAAUACAUUUUUUACUCCUAGCUCUUAAUUUUUCAAGUUUAUGGGUGGAGUUAUAAACAUAAGCCGCAGACCCCCAAGGUUAAAGAUGAGAUAGGUUCGGUUUCCUAUUUGUCCAUAACUCAUAUGGAGUGAAAGUAACUGAUUUUGAAGGAACUUAAUUAAGUAUAUAGGCAGCAGCUAACAAAGUAUCUCCCUAAUAGGAUUUUGAAGGAACUUAAUUAAGUAUAUUGACCUAACCAUUUUUAACAAGGUUUUAUUCCUACUUUCCACUACUCUAUUUUUGUUAUGGAGUUCCAAGAAUAAUCAGUUAUUUAUCUAUUCCUUUCUUAUUACACAGUUCCUUGAACUAUUCUGAAAGGGAUUCCUGUCCUUUGUCAAUCCUCGGAACUUUAACAUUAUUGUCUAGUUGAUUCUCUACCAUGUUUAAAUAUAAUCUAAGGUAAUCUAAUACUUCUGAUUAAUAAGAGAUCAAGUAGACAUGACCGAAACGUGAAUAAUCAUUAAUGAAUGUAAUAAAGUAUGAAGCUCCAUGUUUAACCCUUACAUUCAUUGGUCCACAGAUGUCGGAGUGGAUUAAUUGCAAUGGUUUUUCAGCUUUAAUUCCUUUGCCGAAUGGUUUUCUAGUUGUUUUGCCAGCUAGACAAUUUUCACAUAUAGGCAAUUCAACCUGAUGAGUUGACCUAAUAAGACCUCUCUCGCAAGUCUAUGCAUUCUCUUAUCCUAUGUAACAUAAUCUAACAUGUCAAGUAAUUGCAUCUAUCUCUUUGUUGCUAGAAGAAGUAACAUACGAAAAAUAACUAUUAUCAUUACUUAAACCAUCAAGCAUUGUAUCUAAUACAAUAAAACCAUUAAUCAAAUUUCCAAUUUCAAUAGAGAUUAAAUUUAAGAAAAUUUACAAACAAACACCAUGAAAGUUUAAAUUAUAUCAUAAUUUAAAAGAACAGAAACCAAAACCAAGUUUCGUUGAAUCUCCAGUGCAUAUAGGAUAUCAUGUAACAAAAAAAUACGACCACCACGCAAAGUCAAUUUACAGGUGCCUAUUUCUUUUGCUUCAACUCUGGAGUUAGGUGUUAGUGAUUAUUAUAAUCAAACUCUAUCGAUGCCAAUGUGCAAGUGUACACAACAAGUAAUAAAGUGAUAAAUAUUCAAGAUCGUCUCCACAGGGAUUGAUGUUACUAGAAAUGUUACAGCAAUUACAAUAGCGCAAUCUAUCUUAAUCCCGAAAUUAACAAUUGUAAAGUUGGUUAUAUUGAAAUUGAUAAUUGUGAUAGAAUAAAAUGAAACAAUGCAGUAGUGAAAUAAAUUAAAUAAAAUGUGUCGAAGAAUCAAUUGAGAAUAAGGUAGUUGAAUGAUCAAACUCUCUUUAGGGGUUGACUGCUUUUCCUCAAGUUAACACCAGUUGUUACAGCAAUUACUACAGCACUGGGCAGAAUUAUUUUGCAUCUUCAGCUGUCGCGUGUUGGAAUUCUCACACCCUUAAGUAUAUUAGCAAUGACCAGUUGUUAUUCUACAUACAACAUGGCCUUAUGAACCUCUAUUCUCUUCACUCUACAAGGUGAGUACCUAUGUCUAGCUUGUCACAAAUCUUACCUUCAAGUAUAGCCCUUAUGGGAUUCAAGAUAAACUUAAUCCAGGAAACUUAAAUUAAGACCAAGUAUUACUCUAAUAGUAUCCACUAAGACAUGCCCUUUUGCGGCUCUAUCUUAACUUGAACUAUUAAAUGAGUGGUCAACCAAAAUAACAGUUAUAAUAAUAGCUACUAGAGUAAAAUGCUACAGCAAUGACAUAGCAACUCAUAAGAACAGUCAAGAACCCAUUAGAUUGUUUGUCACUCAACUACAAGCAAAUUUAGUUCAUAUUCUGAAAGAGAAAAAUAAACAUAAAAAAAUUGGUCAUGAAAUACAUCGGUUCAAUCAAAGAGUAAGGAAAAGAACAAGUAGAGAAUGAUGAAGAUUGAAUCCAAAUAACUCUGCUGGAUUCUUCACUGAUACAGAAUUGGUUCCCUUGAAUUCGGAUUGUUUUCUUCUCUUCCUCUUGAUUUUUCCAAUGUUAAUUCCCUUGCCACCGUUUUAUGUGGUGCACGCCUCUUUUUAUGACUAAAAACUAGGGUAAACAAAAACCUCAGGCGUGCAUGAGUUAAAUUAGGAAACUGCAUAUCGCAAUUUUGUAGCUGACCCGCUCUAAGUUUUCUCCCUCAGUGCUCCAGGAUUGCUGCAGCAAUGAUUGCUCCAACAACGGCUAUAACACUGCACUGUUCCCGAUUAUGUUUCACUUCUUCUGUGACCAUAUUCUUUCUUCUUCUUACUAGCCUAAUAUCUUAACAUCCCUUUAUGAAUUAUGAACUUCUGAAAACCUAAAAUUAUGCACAUGUUUUGAGCACAAAUUACUUUAAAUCAAGCAAACUUAUUAAUGAAAUACAAGUGUGCAACCCAAGAGGGGGGCGAAUUGGGAUUCUAAAAAUUAUUUGAUUAUAAAACAAAUUAUCAUGCAAAUCUAAAAUGAAUUUAAUGGAAUAACAAUUAAAUCAAUUACAAUAUAAAAAGAUAAGGGAAGAGAGAUUCAAACACGAAGAUUUUUACGUGGUUCGGCCAACCUCGCCUACGUCAACGCCUCCAAGCUUUCCGGGCUUGAGGAUUUCACUAAGCAAGCCUCCAAGGUUUCAAAUGCUUACACUUGCUUCCAAGGUGUCAAUGAACCUUUACAACAAGAGAUUAUCCCCAAUCUCUUAGCCCAAGUGUAUCCCAACACUUACAAUCACUCAAAGUAAAAGAUUAAAAAUUAUUUUUCUCUCACACAAUAUUUAAGAUUACAAAUCAAUGCCCAAUGUGUGAAUAGAUGAAGCAAGAAUGUGUUUUAAAGCUCUAUGAAGAUUGUAUUCUCGAAUAUAAGCUCAAUUGUCAUGUUGUGAUCAAAUCUUGUUUGAAUUUGAAUGAGUUUAUUUAUAGUUGGAGCUGAAAACUAGCCGUUAUUGACUUUCUUCUCACUGUCGGAUCACUAUUAACUAGAUGUCGGAUCACCGUUUGACUGGUCAAUAUGACCGUUGGGCUGAAUUUUUAAAUUAUCGGAUCGCCGUUAUCUAUAUGUCGAAUCGCCGUUUUCUACAUUAACGGCUACAGUUAACUUUUUUUGUAAAAUUACAGUUUGACCUCAAAACUUUAUAAAAUUAUACUAUGACCCAAAACUUUAUAAAACUUGUCAAUUAGGUCCAUUUUCAGGAUUUUAAGCAAUACUUGUUAUUAUAAAAAAUCUCAAAGCUUUUUUAAUUGAAACCAUUAACAUGAGAAAAACAAAAACAUUUUCAUAGAAUAUAAAGCCUUUAUAAAGUGAGAAUGAUGAUUUAAAAGUAUAUGAAAACUAUUUUGAACUUUUGAAACAUUAUCAAUCUUAAUCAAGUUUGUUAUCAUCAAAAUCAAUAAUAAAGAAAUAUUUAUGUUAACAAUUAAGACUUAACUAAAUCGUUACUUAUCCUCAUGUAAUGACAACAUAUUAACACUUCAUGCACACAAUCAUGCAACACACAACUUAGCUAUUUUAUCAAAUUUGCAAGGAUUCUUCCACCUUCAGAUCACAAUCCCAAUCAUGUAAAAUGACCAUAGUAAAUCAUUUCUAGACUUAAGUUUCCUUCUAUCCACAAUGUGUGUGUGCUACUUUGAUUGAAUUCUAGAGAUGCUAUAACAUUACCAAGAGAUUGCAUGUAAUUCAGUAGUAGCACAAUUUUAUUCAUAUAUGGGGUAGCAUAAAUCUCACAUACUCAAACUGUGCUGUCUUUAAGAAUGAAAACUUAAGAGUAUUCAACCUCCCCACUGCAACAUUUAUUUUUCAUGUGAAUGCCAAUCAAUUGUAAUGAUGACACUCAAUUACUCAAACCAUGCACAGAUUAGAGUUGCUGUAGCAAUAUCUGUAACAUAAUAUUACCUAGAGAUAUCUUUUACUCAAGGCUAAACAUGGGGCUCAUGAAUAGACCCGACUACUCAAUAUCCUAGAUAGAGGACUUCCUUGUAUUCUUGUCUCACUUUUUUUAAAAGUAAUUGCUAUAACACUGCUUAUAACUCUUGUUGCCUUUGAACGCAACUCUACAUAUGGGGUACAUACUCAGCUCUGGUUACUCAGCAACUUGAGUCAUUGGAGUAGAAUUUAUUUUAUAACAAGCACAGUCAAUCAAACUUUUUCCCCCCAAGCUUAAGAUCUUUUCUAUUCUUUUGGCUCUACUACAGUAGUCUCAUAAAACUCCACCAAAGUUUAAGUGUCAUGACAGAAUUUCACUCUCCAUCUAUAACUAUAUAUACUCGACAUUCUUAUGAUAACUAAUUAACACUCAAUUUAUCUUCAUUAGGUUUUCAAAUCCAUACACAAAUAUUAGAUAGCAGAGCUUCACACAACACAUACAUAAACACAUAUUCAAAAAACCUAGAUAUACAUCCCCUUCAAACUCUAAAUGGUGUUGUGUCCUUAUAAGCACACAACAGUAAAGUCACACAAAUCGACAAAGACAUGGAAGAGGGUGUUAGAAAAUAAAUCACACAAAUUGAAAACAUAAUAAAAGAAAAAUUGUUCAGAAUUGAUUAAAUUGACUAGCAAGAAGGGGAUACUCCCCUGUUGUUUGAGUUUUUACUGUAAUAUGGUGGGAUGGCAUCAACGCUUCUUGGAUGCACUGCCCAGCUUAUCCUUUGGAGAAGCUUGUGGGGAGGUAGUUGGCAACAUCUUUGUCUUUUUCUUCAGUGGGCUGGUGAGAGGAGUGGCGGCUGGGGCAACUUGCUUGGUUGACACUGAUAUGGUCCUUUUUGGUUCUAUCAAGGCUGUUGUAGUAGUGCCUCCAGAAGUGCCGCCCUUUCUUUUCCUGGAUCUUCUAGGACUAGCAUGAACAUGUUUGCUAGGAGUUUGCUGUGGAGGAGCUGGGGUUGGUGCAUCAGCUGUAUGUCCCUCAGCUGUGAUGGCGGUAAUGAUGUCCAGUAGCUGCUUGGCUUCUGUGGGUGUACGCGUGACUCUGGUUGCUGCAGCUUCCAGCUCUGUAUCAACUUGCUUGGCUUCAUCUUCAGAGGCAUGAGGGGUUGCUAUUUUUUCCUUGCCCUUGCUCGAAAGGACUGGAAUGAGGGUCUCCUCGUUAGUUCAUUCUCGUCAUCUUCUCGGAUGAUGUGCUUUUUCCUGGUUUUGGAGGAGGUCCUGACUGGGGAUUCCUCACGUUCUUUCACAGAAUCUUCCUAUGCCUCUGUGGGUGAGUUGUCAGUCACAGACUUGUCACCUUCUUCCUCAGGUUAAUCAGAUGGUUCAGUAUCUUCUGAGUCAACCUCUGCUUGUGGGUUUUUUGUAGCUUCUUCUUCUGGUUCAUCUGCGUCAGUGGCUUCUUCACUGGCUUCUGCUGGAGCAUCUGUGGUGUUGGUGUCAAAAUUGUACUACUGGAGCAAUGAAUUAGGAAAAUUCUGGUGGGUGUUUUUCAUGUAAAGGGCAAAUUGGUGUAGGUGGCUGUCCAUGUGCUGUAAAUAACUCCAAAACCGAUCGUUUUUCCUUUGCUCAGCCUCAGCACAUUGAGUGAUACUGGUGCUCAGUGCCUGUAUUGUCUGUUCUAAACCAAUAGCUCGUUUCACCCCUGUUACAGCAGCUGGUUCAGUUGUUGUUCCAGCACUUUCACUAGCAAUUCUCUCAAUGGUGCGUGCAGUAAAGGCACUAUUAUUCUUGACAUGUUCAUCAUUUGCAUCAAGACGAACACCUGAUACUACACAGAUGCUGGUGAUGAGUGAAGGGAAUAGCAAUGCAGCAGCUUUGUGGUUUUUUAUGGCACAAUCUCGAAUUUCUUUUUCGAUAAUACUUCCCAUAUCUAUGGGAAGCCCUCGAACAAUAACAUAUAAUAGAACCAACUUUUCUUGUGAAACGGUAGUAGUGUGGGUGGUUGGCAUAAGCUUGGAUUUCAGAAAUUUCACCCACACCUUAGCAAUGAGUUUUAAAUCUAUCCUAUUAACUACACGCCCUUCCUCAUUAGUCCACGAUGCCUCCUCUACUGUAAGAGUUGUGAAUAUGGUGUUCCAUCUUUUCGGGGUCAAUUUGUCAAGUAACUUGGCAUACUCAAUUAAUUUCAGCAAGUAAAUUAUAAAAAGCAUUUAUAACUCGAGAGUCUAAUGGAACAAAUGUGUUUCUUACCCAAAUGUUGUGCUGACCAGGGCUUACCAAAUUGGCGUAAAAUUUUUUGACUACUGGCAGCACAGGAUCUCGAGAGUGGUUGCAAAACUCUAGCCGCCCAGGCUUUGCUGUAGGAUUGUGUACUGUUCGCACAAUUCUGUGGGUUGCGAUGGAAAGUGAAACCCUUUUUCUUUCAAAAUCUUGCGCGGUUCAAUGAAUUCUUCAUUUUUUUCUUUCGCGUGGUAACUUUGGAAGCGUGAAAGAUCUUUGAGUCGGCUGGCUGUUCUUUUAUACCUUGGCAUUACUAUAGCAGUAACAAUUUGAAGGUAAUAUGCCUGAGAGCAAAAUGAGAAGAAGGUGUUAAGAAUUAUUAGAGUCGUGCUUGCGAAGGAGAGGGGAAAUAGUGUCGUAGGUCACUAAGCACAGUAAUUCUCUUUUAUAGAUGAAUUUAAAUGAAAAUAAAUCUGGUAAAGAAAGAUAAAUUAGGAAAGAAAAUAUUUUGAAUUCAUUGAGUAUAUCCCAUAAAAAUAGGCAAGAGAAAUUAAUGCAUUAAUUUCAGGGAUUUUUCUUCCUUAAUUUCUAUCCAAAUCCAUGCAUCCAUCUGUCAUAAUUUAUCUCCAACGAUAAGUGAGAGGCUCCAAUUUGUUGCUGCAGCACCCAAUUGUUUGCUCUAGCAACGGUUACAUACUCCACUCCAAUAGCUUCUAACACAUGGCUUGCCUCUGCACUCUGUCACAUUACAACCCCAAUUGUCAAUAUAGAAUCCAUUUGUCAUACAUAUUUCCCUCAAUUUUUUUUUUAAAAAACAACUAAAAUCAAUUCUAAGAAAUUAAAAAUAAAGAUAUAGAAUGAUAACAGAAGUAAAGGGUUCAAUAAUUCGAAAUGAUAAAAAUAAAUAGUAAGAAGUGAAUAAAAAAAUUAAAAUGAAAUAAAAGGAAAAGCUUUCAACAAAACCAGAGAGGAUCAAGCUCGGUUUGAAGUGGCUGCCUCCACAAUGGGUUGCCUCCCAUUAAGCGCUUGAUUUAAGGUCCUUCAGCCUGACCUUCUUUGACUGCUCAAUAGCUUGGUUCUUUAAGGAGUAAGACCUCCUUUGAACAAUCUGCCGCAGGGUGUAUAUAAUGCUUAACCCUGUGUUCAUUGACUUUAAAUUCUUAACCUGUCUUUUUCAUCUAGAAGAUCAACAGCCCCAUGGGGAUAAAUUAUGAGCAGUUUGAAAGGUCCAGACCAUCGAGAUUUUAGUUUUCCUAGAAAUAAUCUUAGUCUUGUAUUAUGGAGCAACACUAGUUGACCAGGGCUGAAUUUCCUGUGUUGGAUAUGCUUGUCGUGCCAGUGUUUUGUCCUCUCUUUAUAUAUUCUUGCAUUUUCAUAUGAGAAUAGCCGUAAUUCAUCAAGCUCACAGAGUUGAAGCUUCAUUUGCUCUGUUGCAGCAUGUAUAUCUAAUUUAAUUGCUUCAGUGCCCAGUGUGCUUUAUGCUUUAGCUCAAGUGGCAAAUGACAAGCCUUCCCAUAAACAAUUCGGUAGGGAGACAUGCCAAGUAGUGUUUUGUAUUCUGUUCUGUAGGCGCAUAGGGAGUCAUGUAAACGCAAGGAUCAAUCCUUCCUUGAUGGGUUCACCACUUUUUUCUAAGAUAUUCUUAAUCUCUCUAUUGGACACUUCUGUCUAACCAUUAGAUUGUGGGUGAUAUGUUGUUGCUACUUUAUGCCUGACUCCAUAUUUUACCAUAGCUGCAGCAAAGACUUUGUUGUAAAAAUGAGUACCCUCAUCACUAAUAAUUGCUCUGGGGGUGCCAAACCUGGAAAAAAAUAUUUUUAUGAAGAAAUGCCACCACUGUUUUAGCAUCAUUGGUAGGUAAUGAUGCAACUUCUACCCACUUGGAAACAUAAUCCACAGCAAUAAGGAUAUAUAAGUUCCCAAAGGAUGGUGGAAAAGGUCCCAUAAAAUCUAUUCCCCAUACAUAAAAAACUUCCACUUCCAUAAUAUUUGUCAAUGGCAUUUAAUGUCUUUUAGUUAUGUUCCUUGUCCUUUAACACCUGUCACAACAUUUAACAAACUUAUAAGCAUCUUUAAAAAUAGAAGGCCAGUAAUAACCUGAUUGCAGAACUUUAGUAGCUGUUUUGUGACCACCAAAAUGUCCUCCAUAUGCUGCAGUAUGACAUGACUCCAGUAUGUGGGGAAUCUCUCCAUCUGAAGUAAAUCUUCAUAUUACUUGAUCAGUGCAUAACUUAUAUAAAUAUGGAUCAUCCCACUAAUAAUUUCUAACAUCAUGGAGAAAUUUCUUUUUCUCCUGAAACUUCAACUCAUGCGGUAACAACUCACUUACUAAGUAGUUAGCAAAAUCUACAUAACAUGGAGAUCUUGAUUGCUGCAGCAUCUAUGAUUGCUGUACUACUAACAGUUGUUCAUCAUGAAAAGUUUCAGUGAUGUCCUUUCUUGUCAAUGUACUUGUGUCUACUUCCAACCUCGAUAGGUGGUCUGCUACUUGAUUCUCAAUCCCCUUUCUAUUUUUAAUUUCCAUAUCAAACUCCUGAAGCAAUAAGAUCCAUCUGAUUAAUCUUGGUUUAGCAUCCUUCUUUGAGAUUAGGUACUUGAUGGCCGCAUGGUCUGUGUAUACUGUCACUUUAGUACCCAUCAAGUAAGCUCUGAAUUUAUCAAAAGUAAAUAAUACUGCUAGCAACUCUUUCUCUGUAGUGGUGUAAUUAAUUUGAGUUUGAGUAGGAGUUUUGCUUGCAUAGUAUAUAGAGUGAAAAACCUUAUCCUUUCUCUGUCCUAAUACUGCUCCAACAAAAUGGUCACUGGCAUUACACAGCAGUUCAAAUGGUAGAGUCCAAUAUGGUGAUAUAACUACUGAUGCAGUGACCAAAGCUUUCUUUAAUUCUCCAAAGGCUUGUCAUGUUCCAGCAAUGAGCAUAAUGGUUUAACUACCUUGGAAAAAUCCUUAAUGAAUCUUCUAUAAAAUCUAGCAUGACCCAAAAAACUCCUAAUACCCUUAAUUGAAGUGGGAGGUGGCAAUUUAUCUAUUACUUUUAUCUUGGCUUUGUCUACCUCAAUACCAUUCUUGGACACCUUAUGACCCAACACUAUACUUUCUUACACCAUGAAAUGGUAUUUUUCCCAAUUAAGUACUAAGUUAGUCAUCUCAUAUCUUUUAAGAACUUCUAAGUUGUGUAGACAAUCAUUAUAUGUCUCUCCAAAAACUGAUAAAUCAUUCAUGAAGACUUCUAAAGUUUGCUCUACUAUAUCAGAAAAAAUAGACAUCGUACAUCUCUGAAAAGUUGCUGGAGCAUUGCACAAACCAAAGGGCAUUCUUCUGAAGGCAAAUGUUUCAUAAGGACAGGUAAAUGUAGUCUUUUCCUGAUCCUCUGGAGCUAUAACAAUUUGAUUGUAGCCUGAAUACCCAUCUAGGAAACAAUAGUACUGUUUUCCAAUAAGUUUGUCCAACAUCUGAUCUAUGAAUGGGAGUGGGAAGUGAUCCUUCCUUGUGGCUUUGUUGAGCUUUUUGUAAUCCAUGCAUACUCUCCAUUCAGUCACUGUCCUUGUAGGAAUAAGUUCAUCCUUCUCAUUUGCUAUUACUGUUAUUCCUCUAUUCUUUGGAAUACAUUGGACUGGGCUUAACCAAGAGCUGUCUGAGAUUGGGUAUAUGAUUCCAGCAUCCAAUCAUUUAAUGAUUUCCUUCUACCACUUCCUUCAUAAUAAGGUUUAACCUUCUUUGUUGCUCCACUGAAUUGUUGUAAUAGUUGUCCAACAGAAUUUUAUGUAUGUAUAUAGAUGGGCUUAUUCCUUUGAUGUUUGCCAUGGUCCAUCCAAUUGCUCUUCUAUAUUUUCCAAGUACAUCUACUAGACUCUGUUCUUGACCUGCAUCCAAAGUAGAGGAAAUGAUUACAUGGAGUGUGUUGUUUUGACCAAGAUAAACAUAUUUCAAAUGUGAGGGUAACAAUUUUAAAUCAAGACUAGGAGGUGAUUCAAUAGAUUAUGGUAAAGUUUUUUUUACUUUCCUGUCUGAAAGAUUCAUAUGCUCAACAAAUCUGUUAUGUCUAACAGAUUGCUUUCCUUCCAUCCAAUCUAUAUGGCUUGCUGCAACAUCUUCUUCUUCAAAGCCUUUAAAAGUGGUAACUUUGUUGAUCUCAUUACUACAACAUCUGUCGACUCUGUCUGCUACAACAAAAUCCACAACACUCAGGAAAUUGUAAUCUUCUAACUCAUCAGGGUUCUUCAUAGCCUCUAAUAUAUUAAAUGUGACCUGCUAAUCAUUCACUCUCAUGGUGAGCUCUCAUUUCUACACAUCUAUUAGAGUUUUCCCAGUUGCUAGGAAAGGUCUUCCAAGUAUAAUGGGUACCUCUUUAUCAACCUCAAAGUCUAGUACAAUGAAGUCUACUGGGAAGAUGAAUUUGUCAACCUUCACCAGUACAUCCUCAAUUUUUCUUUCAGGCUAUGCAUGAGAUCCGUCUGCUAAUUGCAGAGUGACUGUUGUUGGCCUGUAUUCCCCUACUCCCAACUGCUUAAAUACAGACAAUGGCAUCAGAUUAAUACUGGCUCCCAAAUCACAAAGUGUUCUGCCAGUGUACGUAGUUCUAAUGGAACAUGGUAUUGUAAAACUUCCUGGAUCCUUCAAUUUUGUAGAAAUCUUACUUUAGAGCAUAUGACUGCUUUCCUGUGUUAAAGUAACAAUUUCAAAUUCUCCCAGCCUUCUCUUUCGUGUUAAGAGGUCUUGUAGAAAUUUCACAUAAUUAGGCAUUUGCUCCAAAGCUUCCACAAAAGGUAUGUUGAUGUGUAAUUGUUUCAGCACUUCCAAAAAUUUACUGAAUUGCUUGUCUUGUUUUUGCUUCUGGAAUCUUUGUGGAAAAUGAGGUGGAUUCCUAAACUGCUGGGUAGCCUCACGAGGUACAACACUUUGUUCAUUUGGUUUAUUGUAGGCUGUUACUGCUAGUGUUGCAACUUCUUUUUCAACAUGUACUGGUUGAGUUCCUUCCAUAGUUGCUGCAGCUUGAUCCCUAACACCAGAGUCUUGAUGGCUGGGUUGUUGUAACAUGCUUCCAUCUUGAGGUGGCUUUUAUGAGGAAUUAAGUUCCAGCCCCUUUUUAGUCACAUCAACAGGGAUAUCAACAUUCUUUCCAGAUUUUAAGUUAAUUACUUUAUAGUGUUCAUUUCCUUCUCUUAUUAGAUCUUCUGUGUUGCUGGAUAAGCUUCCUUGAGUUCUGCUACUAAUUGUUGUGGCAAGUUGUCCCAUUUGGUUCUCCAGGUUUCUCAAUGAUACAACUUGACUCUGCACAAUUGCUUCAUUCUUUGCAAUAUAUUCCUUAAUUAGUACUUCCAAUGAAGUGAUUGGAUCUUUACUGAUGUGUUUUUGUCAUUGACUCUGCUGAUGAAAACCAGGUGGUUGAGUGUUCCUAUUUUGUCCAUUCAAUGUUGGAGCAUUUCGAUUUUGACUGCUCCAUGAGAAAUUUGGGUGUUGCUUCCAUCCAGGGUUGUAAGUAUUUGAAUAUAGGUUGUUUUGAAGCUGUCGGUUGAAAUUACCCACAUAAUUCACUGAUGCUGGAUUUCCAGGACAUUUAUCAAAGUCAUGUUCUGCACCACAGUAUACACAAGACAGUUCAGCAACUUGUUUUACUACCGCUGGAGCAGAUGUCAUGGCUUUUACCAUGUUAGUCAAAGAGGUUACUUGUGCUGAUAAAGUCGUAAUUGCAUCUAUGUUAUGUACCCAUGCUGCUCCUCUUGUUACUGGUUGCCUGGUUGAUGGCCACUGAUAAUUAUUGUUGGCAAUUCUCUCCAAAAUUUCAUAAGCUUCAGUGUAAGAUUUGGAUAACAAAGCUCCAUUUGCUGAACCAUCCACCAUCAAUCUUGUACUAGGAUUCAACCCAUUAUAGAAAGUUUCCAAUUGUAUGCAAUAAGGAAUGCCAUGAUGAGGACACCUUCUGAGCAGUUCUUUGAAUCUUUCCCAAGCCUCAUACAAACUCUCAUCUUCAAGUUGAUGGAAAGAAGUAAUCUCAUUCCGUAAUUUUGCAUUUUUUAUUGGUGGGAAAUAUUUCAUUAAGAAUUUAUCAGCCAACUCAUUUCAUGUAGUGAUUGAAUCAGAUGGUAACGAAUUUAACCAUGCUCUUGCUCGAUCUUUUAAGGAGUAAGGAAAAAGCCUCAGUCUUAAAGCAUCUUAGGUUGCUCCAGCAAUCUUGAAAGCAUCACUCACUUCCAAGAACAACUUAAGAUAGAGGUGAGGAUCUUCAUUUGGCAAUCCAUUGAAUUGCCCACUGUUUGCAACAUUUGAAACAUUACUGGCUUCAGUUUAAAGUUUGCGGCUUUCACUUCAGGUUUGAUUAUCCCAUGGUGUACAACUUGAGGAGUUAACACAACAUAAUCUCUAAUAGCUCUGUCCCUGUCAUCAGCCAUGUAAAUAAUAUUGUUGUUGCCUGACUGUCUUUGGUUAGCAUACUCAUUCUGCUCUUCUUGAAUGUUGACUGGUUGUAAGGGCCCGUGAGGGUCCAAAUUUCCCACAUCCUGUAAAUUAUCCAUGCCUGAAACAGUUUUUGAAUUCCUUUGUUCUCUUCGCAGUCUUCUAACAGUCCUUUCAAUCUCAUGAUCAAAUUGGAAUACAAUAUAUCUGUCUUUGCGCAUGCAAGUGUUGAUAUGCCAAUAAAUAGAAUAAAUCAAACCAAAUUGACACUAUCAAGACUUACUUCACACUUCAAAAAUAAACAAUCAAUCCCUGGCAACGGCGCCAAAAACUUGUUGGUGAUUAAUAUAAUCAAAUGCUAUCGAUGCCAAUGUACAAGUGUACACAACAAGUAAUAAAGUGAUGAAUAUUCAAGAUUGUCUCCACAGGGAUAGAUGUCACUAGAAAUGUUACAGCAAUUACAAUAGUGUAAUCUACCUUAAUCCCGAAAUUAACAAAUGUAAAGUUGGUUAUAUUGAAAUUGAUAGUUGUGAUAGAAUAAAAUGAAACAAUGCAGUAGUGAAAUAAAUUAAAUAAAAUGCGUCGAAUAAUUAAUUAAAAAUAAGGUAGUUGAAUGAUCAAACUCUCUUUAUGUGCUGACUGCUUUUCCUCAAGUUAACACCAGUUGUUACAGUAAUUGCUACAAUACUGGGCAGAAUUAUUUUGCAUCCUCAGCUGACACGUGUUGGAAUUCUCACACUCUUAAGUAUAUUAGCAAUGACCAGUUGUUAUUCUACGUACAACAUGGCCUUAUGAACCUCUAUUCUCUUCACCCUACAAGGUGAUUACCUAUGUCUAGUUUGUCACAAAUCUUACCUUCAAGUAUAGCCCUUAUGGGAUUCAAGAUAAACUUAAUCCACGAAACUUAAAUUAAGAUCAAGUAUUACUCUAAUAGUAUCCACUAAGACAUGCCCUUUUGUGGCUCUAUCUUAACUUAAACUAUUAAAUGGGUGGUUAACCGAAAUAACAGUUAUAAUAAUAACUACGAGAGUAAAAUGCUACAGCAAUGACAUAGCAACUCAUAAGAACAGUCAAGAACCCAUUAGAUUGUUUGUCACUCAACUACAAACAAAUUUAGUUUAUAUUCUGAAAGAGAAAAACAAACAUCAAAAUAUUGGUCAUGAAAUACAUCGGUUCAAUCAAAGAGUAAGGAAAAGAACAAGUAAAGAAUGAUGAAGAUUGAAUCCAAAUAACUCUGCUGGAUUCUUCACUGAUACAGAAUUGGUUCCCUUGAAUUCGGAUUGUUUUCUUUUUUUUCCAAUGUUAAUUCCCUUGCCACCGUUUUAUGUAGUGCGUGCCUCUUUUUAUAACUAAAAACUAGGGUAAACAAAAGCCUCGGGCGUGCAUGAAUUAAAUUAAGUGACUGCAGAUCGCAAUUCUGUAGUUGACCCGCGCUAAGUUUUCUCCCUCAGUGCUCCAGGAUUGCUGCAGCAAUGAUUACUCCAUUAACGGCUAUAACACUGCACUAUUCCUGGUUGUGUUUCACUUCUUCUGUGACCAUAUUCUUUCUUCUUCUUGCUAGCCUAAUAUCUCAGCAUCCCUUCAUGAAUUAUGAACUUCUCAAAACCUACAAUCAUGCACAUGUUUUGAGCACAAAUUACUUUAAAUCAAGCAACCUUAUUAAGACUCAACUAAAAUUGAUAUUUAUGCAAAAUAUAUCCAAAAUAUAAUAAAAACACAUCAUUUACUCUCUAAGUGGUCUUGAUUUAAGUUUAGAAUUUCUGUAAUAACUCUCAUUUCAUAGAGUUGCCAUUAGGCCACAUAUAUCCAUCUACUCAUUUGAGUAAUUCGACAUACUUUACAAAUGCAUCUUGAUCACAAGUUAUAUGGUUUGUUGCUCUUGAGUCUGUAGUCCAUAUAGAACGAGAAUCAGUUAGGAAUAUAGAACUCGUAACUAACGCAUACUUCAAUAAAGUGGAGUUGGUCUUACUUUUUUAGCUCAUUGCACUCACUAGCGAAGUGACCUAUCUUCCUAUAAUUGUAUCAUUUCAUAUUAGAUUUGUCUUUUUUCUUGCUAACACGCUUACCCGUUGGGUGCUUCUUAGCAUCUGGCUUCUUUUGAUCAGAAUUAGAUCUCUUACCCUUCUGGUUAUAAUUAUGAUCUCUCUUACGUUUGAAGCCUGAAGUCUUGUGUGAGCUUGAUUCGGCCAUAUAAACAUGAUCAGAAAACUUAACUGCCUUAAGGCGCUUUGCAUCCAGCUCAAGGUGAUAUUCAAUAUCAUUGAAUAUUUUGAUAUUUUUAUUAUGAAUCAUAUUCACCUUCAUGUGUUCCUAGGAAUCAGGUAGAGAUCUUAUCACUGAUUAAAUUUCUCAUUCAUCAGUUAGAAUAUGACCAGCAGCCUUAAGUUCGUGAAUCAUGUUUGACAUCUCCCUUAGAUGUUGUCUCAUAGUAUGAUUCUGACACUUUCAAUAACAAUCAAACUUGAUCAUAAGCCUUCUGAACUUAAUGGUCGAAGUGCCACCGAACUUGUCUUUCAAAGUAAGCCACAUCUCUUGAGCAAUCUCACACUUCUCAAACUCACACAUGAGGUUAUCUUGUAUACUACUUAACAUCGUUAUGGGAGCAUUACUAUUCUUCUUUUCCAAGCCUAGUAGGCCUCAAGAUCCCUCCUAUGUUGAGCAGUAUUGCCAUGCUCAGGCUCAGCUAGGAUGUUGUUUAGAGCUUAUAAAGUCUCUUGCUCUUUAAGGAUGUACUAAAUCUUACGAUGCGAAAUAUCAUAAUUGUCACCAUUCGGCUUCUCACCCUCGUUCAUCUCGACCACAAUGUUUUUAGAUGCAGAUGCCAUCUCAACUUUCUUUUAACAUAGAGACAAUACAAAAUACAAUCAAUAAAGGCAUAAUUAAUAACUACACAUAAAUAAUUAAUUUUGCCACAAACAUGAAACAAAAAAUGACAAAUUAAUAUUGGAAAUGGAAUCAAAAAGUCGUCGAAGCUUCCAAUCAUCAUCCAAUUCCCUUUAUUAUAUUCAUUAUUAAUUUUAUUUUAAUGCACAAAAUUAUCAAUUCUAAUUUGAAUUAAUUAAAUUCAAUUUAAGACUCCCACUCAACGGAAUGAUUCAUGAGAUAUCGUAAAAGAGCAUAUUGAGUUGAGCAACAACUAACGUAGAAAUUCAUUAAUAAAAAUAUAGCAAGCUAUUGUUCAAUCAAUAAAAUAAAACCAAUAUUAAAACAAUAGCAGUCAACAAACAAAUGAAAUAGCAUAAUAUGAUCAAGCUAAUAUAUAAAAUCUUCUACAUGUUCUUAAAAUAUUCUUUGUUGCUCGAGACUCUUUCAUCUAAUUUAUACUCAUGUGCAUCUCCAAAUAAAAAUAAUUGUUCCUUUUUUAUGAUCCUAUUUAUGGUUUUUUCAUACCAUAAUUUGUGCCUUCUACCAAGGCGAUUACCUUGUCUCUCAUUCCAAAGACUCGUGUGAAUGCUAAGUAUUAAGGUUCGCCAUAUUUUUUAAGCAAGACGACGCUCCUCCAUCAGCUUAAUUUCACACCUCAGCAUAUAAUAUGUAUUGUUCUCAAUUUGCUCUAAUGCGUGAGCUUUAAAGACAAGCGUAUUAUCAUCAUUGGGUAAGGAACUUGUGAGAACCCGUUGAUAGUAACCUUAGUACGCAUACUUGGUGUCUAAUUUUUUAUAUUUUAUUCUGUUAAAGACCUCAUAUAUAUCUUCUAUAUUUAUACAUAUAGAACGGUCUGAGUCUAUCUUAUAACUCUCUAUUUUCUUCAUAAGUUCUUCAUUAGAUAAAUUAUCAUUAAUCUGAAGUAAAUCAAUAGGUGCAACCUAAGCUCUAUAUGUCGCUAAUCCGUCUUCCUUAGUCCAUAAUUUUCUAGGGAGGCAUCUAGGAAAAGUAACAUAAAAUUCAUAUUAAUGAUCAUUAACAAAUGACUAAACGCGAGAUAUAAACAAUUUCAGCCAAUUUCCAUGAAUAAUAUUUUCAAGCUUCCUCUAGAGCAAAAUAUUUUCAAGCUUCCUCUAGAGCAAAAUAUUUAUUAACAUAUAAUGUUCAUCCAUGAGACUAUGUAUAUUUGAUCCGAAAUUUAUUUAAAAAAUAGAAAUUCUAAUUUUAUGUUAAAAAUGAAUAGAAAAUUAAAUUUCGGAUUAAAUGGCCCAAACAACACCCAAAUCGGAGUCCCAGAUAGCAAGAUACAUGGAAAACAUUAAUUUGGAUUCACAUCCCCACAUGCAAAGGUAGCCACGUGCUAUUCACACGCGUUACAGUACGAUAUAAUAUACGCUACAGUUUCACAACAGUGCGCUACAAUAUUGUACACUCCCCCAUGUGCACAACUAAAGAGUGGGACCCACAUGUUACCUUUCUUGGUGUUUGACUCGAUUUUUGGUCUUGAAUCCAAUGGUGGCCUUAUUUUUCAAUUGGAGCUUAGAAUAAGCCAGAAUCGCUAAGAAACUGAUUCUGACACUAUUCAUCAUCUUCUCCAAACUUAGGGUUUUUUAUUUUUUUUGUAACACUAAUCCGACCAAAUUCUUGAUUUGGCCAUAACUUUCUUGUUUUAAGUCUGUUUUUAACAAGACACAUGUCAUUGGAAAGCUCUUGAAAGGAUCUUUCUAAUUAUAUAUUACUCACAAUGCUAGAUUGCCUAGAUCAAAAGAUAUGAUCAAAUAAAUUUUCAAGUUUCAUGUUUAUUUUGUUGGGGUUGAUGCAACCUAAACCCUAGGCUAUUUUUAUGUCUUUCAAUUCCAGAAUUUUACAGUGAUUCUAGCACUCCAUAACAUAAUUUUAACAAUCGCUAGAUGAUACAUUUCAUGAAAAAAUAAUUAACAUAUAAAAUUCAUGCAUUUUCAUGAAAUAAACUCAACCAUUCACACGAAUCCAACACAAAAACAAACUCUGAUACCAUUGAUGGAAAAAAAGAAUAAAAUGAAUGCAAGAAGCCAUACCUUUUUUUAAGCAGCGGAAUCAUUAAGUGUUGGAUCACAUUGAUGGUCGAAAAGAAAUCAAAAACAGAAAUCAUUCUCUGAUCACAGUAUAUAUGCUCUUUUUCUAAUGAGUUGUUCAAUAUUCUCAUUUGAUCUUGAUGAAGAAGAGAAGAAGAUCAAGAUUCACUCUCCACACACACUUUCUCUGUGUUAUUAUUUUUUCUAGAAGUUAUAACCAAAGUGGGAAGUUGAUAUUAAAUCAAUUCCUUCUUAACUUCAAAAUUGCACAUGGUAACUACUUUGCAGUUACCAAGUACGGGCUAGGUCGGGUCGGCCCAUCAUGUGUGACCCACCCAUCCAACAAGAUUUAUUUUAGUUUUCUUUUCGGUUUUUGAUUUUUGUACCUUUAUCUUGGCAUGGAUACUUUGAAACUAGUUUGGCUCAAUGAAAUGCUUUCAUUGAAGGAUAAGAUGACUACGAUUGUUCUUUUUUAUGAAGUUCAAUAUGGGGAUGAGGCAAUGAUGAAGGGCAACAUUCGUUCAUGAGGUUCCUGAAAACACAACUUUUGCGCAGUAAAAUUAAAAUGAAUCGUGGAAGAAAAUCAAUAAUAAAGACUGAAGUUUAAUUUUCUCACUAGGAGCUUUAAAAAAAGGUUCGUGAGGUAUGAGAAAAAGUCUAAAAAUAGAAAGUUACGAACAUUGUCCAAGAAACACACCUCUGCAUGAACAACUUCUAUUUUUGGAACAUUGUCCAAGAAAGACACCACUGCAUGAACAAUUUCUAUUUUUGUGUGAUUUGAGAUCCUUAAGACACCCCAAUUGUGAUGCCUCUAAUCGAACCAUACUUACGAAUUUUAUAGGAGUUCAUAGGAUUUGGAAUCACUAAAUGUUGUUUUGAAAUGAGAGAGAUAAUGAAGAAACAUGAAUGCUAGUUCAUGAUCAUUCAUUCCACCAAGUAAAGUCAUCACUAUCUUUUUAAUAAUGUCACCAAAUAUUAUCAUUAGCUAGACCUAUGCACUAAGUCAUUUUUUAUUAGAUGUGAUCUUAUCAGUCCAAAUCAUUUAUUUAAUCAAAUUAAUUUUAAACAAAUAAAUAGCCUAGUUACUUAAUUUUGUCUUUAACAAAUUAAGCUCAUUGAUCAAAUCAAAUGGUUAAUUGUGAGCUUAGUUUGUGACAUAUUUUUAUGCUUUUUCCCAAUCCAUAUUAAGUUCAAUAAAAGCCUAAAAUUUUGCAUACAAAAUUGGUCUAAAAGUCCAUAAUCAUUUAUAAACCGAAACAUGUCCAACAUGAUUAUUUUACAUGCUUGAUCUUAAACCUAAUGAUUGAUUAAGGAUUUAUUAAAUUUAUUUUGUUUCUUAAACUAUUUAUGGAACAUCAAAAUUUUAUCUUAAAUUGUAUUUAAGAUAUAUUCAUUCUUUAAAGAAUUAUAACAUAAAUACUAAUUUUCCUAAGAUUAGGAAAUUUAAUUUUCAUUUUCUAGUAACUGUUUUUUUGUUUUUAUUAGGUGUGUGACCUUUUAGGUUCUUUUGUUAUAAGGUAGUAGAAUUAUUUUAAGGGAAAAUAUCCACCGUCCACCCAUUUUUUACACCUUUUUCAAAAAUACACAAUUCCUUCAUUUUUUGGCUGGAAUCCACCCAAAGUUACAUUUUUUUUCACUUUUCCACUUCCGUUUGGAAUCUGUUAAGAAAACUAAUGGAAACUUAAAAAAAUGAUCAUUUUACCCCCAAAACGAAAAUUACAAUUUCACCUUAAAAAUUACAAAAAAUAAUUAGAUUAAAUCUAAUUAUUUUCCCCAUCGGUCAAUAAAUAAAUUAAUUCCACAACCAUCAAAUGCAGGUUUUUUUUUUAAAUAUGUCUGUAAUUAGAAUGCUAAAUUAUAACAGUAGUAUUAAAAAUAGCACAAUCUCACAAAUCAUCAAUUGAAUUUAAGAUAAAUAGAGUUUUAUUAUUAAUUGAGUUAUAAUCUCUAGUAGUUAAGAUUUUUUUGUACUUCAUUAAAGUACCAAUAGUGAUAUUCAUCAUUAAAUCUUAUUAUUUUUGGUAUUUUUUAAGGUGAAAUUGUAAUUUUCGUUUUGGGGGUAAAAUGGUCAUUUUAUUAAGUUUCCGUUAGUUUUCUUAACGGAUUCCAAACGGAAGUGGAAAAGUGAAAAAAAAUGUAACUUUAGGUGGAUUCCAGCCAAAAAAUGAAUGAAUUAUGUAUUUUUGAAAAAGGUGUAAAAAGCAGGUGGACGGUGGAUAUUUUUUCUUAUUUUAAUGAUAACUCUUUAUUCAUUAAAAACAUGCUGAACAUCUUGAAAUGUAAUUUAUGCAACCCAAGAGGAGGGGGUGAAUUGGGAUUUUAAAACUUAUGCUAAGCAAACCACACAACAAUUCAAUUUAAUGUCUUAAUGGAAUCGAAAACAAUAAAUUCAAUCAAGCACAAUAUUAAAAGAGUAAGGGAAGAGAAAACAAACACAAUGAUUUUUACGUGAUUCGACAAUCCUUGCCUACGUCCACACCUCCAAGCUCACCCGGCUUGAGGAUUUCACUAUCCAAGCCUCCAAUGCUUCAAAUGUUUACAAUUGACUUCCAAGGUGUCAAUGAACCUUUACAAUCAAGAGAUUAUCUCUCCAAUCUCUUCACCCCAAGUGUUUCUCACACUUGUACACUCACAAUUUGAUGAGAAAUGAAAAUUACAACAAUGAAACUCUUUUUAAGAGCAGAUAAACAAAUUAUAGCUCAAUGAUGAUUCAAUCUAUGAUGAUUUUAUAAUUUGGAAGCUCAAUAUAUGUUGUAUGAUCUUGUUUAUACUUGCAUUAGUUCUUAAAAUGAAGUUGGAGUUGAGUUUUUAUAGUUAAAGCCCGAAAACUAACCGUUAUAGGUAAAUUCCCUCAACCAAGCGGUUAGCCGCUUGAUUUAUCCGGCUAGCUGCUCAUAACAGUGAUAUUACCGUUAUUUUUAAAUUUUACUACAGUAACAUUGUUCACCAAAAUUACACUUUGGCAUAAAACUUUAUGUAAUUACACUAUGGCCCAACAUGUCAUAAAAUUUUAUAAAUAAGUCCAAUUUCAGAAUUUCUAAAUAAUACUUUUCAUUCCCAAGACUUUCUAAAAUUAUCACAAGGCCCCAAAUAUAAUAGUAUUUUUCAAAGAAGUCCUUUUUAAAAUUUUGCAUAAUAUCCAUAUUUUUCAAAGUUCUCAAAACCUUUCACUUUAGUCUAAAAUUUGAAAAUAUGAGAUUUUCCUAAGGCGCCAAGCCGCUAGCCUCAGCCGGUUAGCCGUUCACUCUAUCCAAUUUUGGAUUUCAAAUGUUUAGAUUACAUUCGGGUCCUCAAACUUUCAUAAAUUAUAGUAUGGCCCAAAACAUUUCAAAUAUUUGCAAAAAGGUCCAACUCUAGAAUUUAAAAUACGUAUUAAAUUCAAAGAUUGCAAAACUUUUUAUUUAAGUCCAAAUUACUCAAAUCCACAAAAUAUUCUAUCUUAUAAAAAUAAAACAUUUUAGUUUAUGAAAAGUAAUUAUUUAAAUUAAUCUCUUGAGUUUCUCAAAUGUUAAAUCAUGCAUCAAUUAAAUCAUACCGGUUUUAUAAGAAUUUAUUGCAAUAAUUUUUCCGUUGUGCUCUAAACUUUAUUCUUUAUUUUGCCACUAUCCGUUGAGUGUCUUCAACUUGAUGUCACUUGUAUAAAUAUUAUCCUUAAAAAAUUAGUGAAAAUGUGAAAUAUAAUAUUUAUUAAAUUACUUAAAACACAUGUUUGUUAUCAUCAAAAUUACAUUAUGUGUAGCCCUUUAGGCUAACACAUUUUAGUCAUCAAUUAGAACUUUCAAUGACCUCAAGAUACAUUGUUAAUACCCUUUAGUAAUAAUGAUCUUAAGUUUCCUAUUCAUGAGUGACACCUAACAGUAUUUCAUGACCAUCCAAAUAACAAGAAUUGUUGGAUCUACAGAACCUAUUCCAUUGUUUCUUUAUGUCUUGAUCUUUUCAUCAUUCAUGUUAAGAGAAAAGCAUGACUUGUGGUUUAGUGUAUUAAGCACUUAUGCUUUAUCUCGAAAUAAAUCUAAAUGAACUUGGCAUGAAAAAUAUAAUUUGAACUCUUUCAAAUAUAUUUCACCUUGGCAAAGGAUUUCUCAUGCCAAUCCAUAUUAAUUUACAUGGGACAUCCUUUGUCAGUAACAAAUGACAAAUAUUAUUAGUUUAAUAGGUAUGGUAUUGUCAUCGAAACCAGUGAAUAAAGACAGUUUACUCUAUAGUAAUUUUGUGAUUUGAAAUUCAUUAAGGGUGUUUGGGUGGAGCACUUGGAGUAGAAUAUAUUUUUGUUUUAAUUCUCUUCUAAACAAGAUCGUUGUAAAAUUUAGCAAUGGGGCCUUGGCAUUUCGAUCGGUCUUUACUGGUUGUUUCUCCUAUUGGAUAUGAACUUGCUAAAGUAGAGCAAGGGAUGAAUACCAAAUUAAAUGAUGGCGACUGGUAGCGUGCUAUUGGCAAUAGUGAUAAAAGUAAGGUGGUGAGCCAUGGGAGUUCACUGAAGUAAUGGUUGGGAAAUGGAGCCUGCUAGAGAUGACGAGAGUGCUCAUGAGAAAACAAGGAAAAAUUCGAUUAAGUUGCCCUCUCAUGCAACUCGUGAUACUAUUAUUUGAGAUUUUGACAAACAAGGUGUGUAUUAUGUUAAAUGAGGCUACAAAUUGGUUGUAACUCUCCAUUAUCUUCUAUUGCUAGGUUUCUUGUUGGUGAUAGCCCUUAUAGCUUGGAUAGGAUUGGCUAAUAUUCUUCUAGCUUUGGUUAAUUUAUUUCAAAAGAGGUAUCUGUGAAUGUAGAGCGUGUUUUAUAUGGCUUUAUUAUGGCAUUUAUGGAUGGAGGCCUCCUUAAUUGGUUUGCAAUCUCUGAGACUUUAUUUCAGAAAGUAAAUGGAGUAUUUUAUACGAGGGAGACAGUUUAAAAAAUAAAAGUUUUCCUUCUUAAAGCUCAUUUGGAACAUUUUCUAAAAAUAUUUAAAUUUUUUUCAUUAACAAUUCUACUUUGUUUAAUAAAAGUUAUCUUUAAUGUCAUUAUUAAUUUUUUACUAAAAGUUUUAGUUGAUAAUUAAACAACCAAAAUAUUUUUUAUUAAAAAAUAAAAAGUUGUUUAGAAGCUUCAUUAGGAGAAAAUUAGUACGGGGUGGAAAAAAAAACUUACGAACAUCUUAAACAGAAUCGAUUCAAUUAUCAACUUUUUUAUUUUUAUUUUUUUUGAAUAUUCAAAUGUUUGUCGUAACUUUUUUUUACUUUGCACUUUUUAGAACCAAUUCAUGUUGGAGAAAAAUCAGUUUUUAAAAAAUAAAACUUUUAGGAUCAAUCUCAUACAAUAUAUAAGAAUUUGUAAUCUAUAAAUCGUACCUUGAAAAUAUGAGAAUAUGAACAAUCUUUACUUUUUCCACUGAAGUGAUUUAGGCUCCCAAAUCACGAUCCGUCACCACUACUCCGGUUAGAUCACGAUCCGCCACCAAAUAAUCUUCCAGGCUAUAACUCAGGUUUGAUCUACACUUGACGUGUGGGCACCUUUAUCACCACUAAAGCAACUAACACGAGAAAAUUUUUCUCUCAAAAUUAGAGAGAAAAAUCUUUUUCUCAGAAUUGUAUAAUGUGGCCACUUUUUUUCUUUUGAGAGAAAAUAAACUAUUUUAUAUCUCUAUCUCGUGGAAACCCUACACUCUAUAUUUUUUAUUUUUUAAUUCUAUUAAAUCAAAUUUGAUUUAAAUUAAAAAAUAAAAAACGAAGGAAACGUUACUUGUUCUUGUGUUAUAAGGGCCCACCUUGUAAAAUAACACAAGGCCCCUUACACAUAAGCAUAUUACAUGGAGCUUCCCACUAAAUAAUAUAUUUAGACUUUUAACCCAAAUAGCUAGUUAUCUUACUUAUUAAUUCAGUAACAGCGCAAUCAAUUAAAUGAGCUAACUCGGGGAUCAUUUGGGAACAUACAAUAGUGGCUACAAUAAUUAGGUUUGUAAUUAAACUAACCCAAUUAUUUAAUUCCAAAUUUGCCCCACUAAAAGAUUGGAACUGACCUCUAUAAUUGUAUGCUCGAAUAAUAAUUUAUCCAAGUCACAUUGAUUUCUUUACUGCACAAUCCUUUGUACCUCAUUAUUAAUUAAAUCGAUAUCUCAAUUGUCCAAUCAAUUUAAUUACAUCUUGUUCCUUGAUUCUUACUGGUUUUCUCUAAUGAUCAUUUUCAACAUACUAAAUAUGUUGACACACUCUGGCCAGAGAAUUCUGAUCAAGUGCCGAAAACCCAUCAAGAGAUGAGUUGUACAAAUUCUAUACUGUCAAUCUAUAACUACAAUACUCAUAAUUGCUCCCACCAAGAUACCGGGUAAUCUUGACUAUAAGUAUGUGUCGUGUCCAUUGGUAACUCAAAUGAAAUAAGAACUACAAUCAUGAAAUCAUAAUUAACUCAAGAUUAAGAUUACAGUAAAAUCAAUGCCUAUGAGAUUUAAUAAGUCUGACAGUUAUUACAAAGUUAAUUAAAUCUCAUAUGUGAUCAUAUUCAAUGUAAUCAUACUACAUCAAUAAAUUCAUACAUAAUUAAGACAAAUCAUUCAAUAAAUUUAUUACAGUCUAUACCUAAAUAAAGUGUCAACUUUAUUUAUCAACUGCGAACUAAAUUUAUUUAAUUAUAAGAUAACUUUAUUUAUAUCUUCUGUGAAUCCACAUGGUGAUCACAUAAAUACAUACAAUAUGAUUAAAUGGACUUUGAAUUAAAAUAUUAAUGCAAUUAAGAUAUUUGAAUAAAAUGCCUCAUUUAUUUUAUUAAUAAGAAAAAAUGUUUAUUACAAUUAAAUAAACACAUAUGCUUUUAAAGAUCAUAUUUUCUCAACAAUCUCUCACUAGCUCUCAAAGCAUAUUUGACAUCUCACGCAUGCCCAUGGAUUCUAAGUGCAAGUUAAAAGGUUUCCCAGGUAUGGCCUUAGUAAAAAGAUCUGCCAAGUUUUAUUGUGACACAAUCUGAGUAACCUUCAUAUUACAUCUCUGCGCUAUAUCCCUUAUAAGAUGAUAUUUCCUCUCAAUAUGUUUUUGUUUCUUGUGGUUCCUUAGUUCCAUAGAUUGAGCUACCGCACCACUAUUAUCGCAAAAUAGUUUAAGGGUGCAGUCGCAGCAGGUACCACCUCAAGAUCUUGUAGGAACUUGAGGAGCCAUAUAGUUUUUUUUGCAACUUCGGAUGCAGCCACAUAUUCAACUUCAGUUGUGGAGUUUGCGAUACAAGAUUGUUUCACACUCCUCCAACUAAUAGCUCUACUUUCCCAUGUAAACACAUUGCCGAAAGUUUAUUUUCUAGAAUCCUAAUCUGACAUAAAGUCAGAAUCAGUAUAACCCACUGGAAUGAGUUCAUCACCAGAAUACACAAGCAUACAAUUUUUAAUUCUUUUCAAAUACUUCAUUAUAUGCUUGACCGCAGUCCAAUGUUUAGAUCCAGGAUUAGAUUGAUAUCUACUAACCAUCUCUACUGCAAAACAAAUGUCUAGCCUAGUAUAAAGCAUGGCAUACAUGAGACUUCCCACGGCUUUUGCAUAGGGAACUAAUCUCAUUCCCUCUAUCUCUUCAGAUGUUUUAGGUGAUUGAUCCUUAGAGAAUGUAAUUCCAUAUCUGAAUGGUAAUAAACCAGUCUUGAAAUUUUCCAUGCUAAAUCUAGCCAAUAUCUUAUCGAUGUAGACCGCUUGAGACAGGGCUAAAGUUUUAUUCUUCUAGUCUCGUAGUAACUUAAUACCAAGAAUAUAACUUACCUCUCCUAGGUCUUUCAUAUCAAAUUGUUUUGCAAACCAACUCUUUAUUGUAGUCAAUACUCAUAUAUCGUUUCCAAUUAGGAGCAUAUCGUUUACAUAAAGAACUUGGAAGGAUACAGAUUUUCCUUGAAUUUUCUUGCACACACAUGGUUCAUCAAUAUUUUGAAUGAAUCCAAACGAUUUAAUCGCUUAAUCAAAUCUGAUGUUUCAUGACUGGGAUGCUUGCUUCAAUCCAUAAAUGAAUCUUUGCAACUUACAUACCAUGUGUUCUUGGCCUUUUUGUAUAAAUCCAUCUAGUUGCUGCAUGUAGAUGUCUUCUUCAAGAUGUUCGUUAAAAAAGGCAGUCUUGACAUCCAUUUGCCAAAUUUCAUAAUCUAGCACUGCAGCAAUAGAGAGCAAAAUCCUGAUGGAUUUAAGCAUAGCAACUGGAGAAAAGGUUUCCUCAUAAUCGAUUCCCUCUUUCUGAGUAAACCAUUUGGCUAUUAAUCUUACUUUAAAUGUUUCUACCCUUCCGUCUACUCUUCUUUUUCUCUUGUAAAUCCACCUGCACUCUAUAGGUUUUACCCCAUUUGGCGCCUCUACAAGUUCCCAGACUUUAUUGGAAUAAAUAGAUUCUAUUUUUUGAUUCAUGGCCUUUUUUCAAAAUUCAACAUCUCUAUCUAUUAAAGCUUCAUUGUAGCUAGUGGGAUCUAGUACAUGUUCAUCUGAGAUAGCCAUAUAGGUUUCUCCUAAUAACAUGAAUCUCACGGGUAAUCUAGUUACCCUCCCACUAUGAUGAGGUUCUAAAAGUGGUGGUUGUUCAGGGAUAAUCUUGUGUUGAUCAGCUGGUUGUUGUUGUUCUUCCUAUUCUGUAACAAAUGUUGAAAGAUGAGUAUCAACCUGAUCACCUGACAGUUCUUCAAGUAUUACCUUACUCUUAGGUUUGAAGUCAUUCACAUAGUCUUCCUCAAGGGAAGUGAAAUGUGUGCUCACUAUCACUUUCCUAUUUCGAGGACUAUAAAAUAAACCUCCCAUUGUUCCUUUGGAAUACCCCACGAACACACAAACCUCAAAAUGUGAAUCCAUUUUGUCUGCCUUUGGUUUCAGCACAUGUGCUGGUGAUCCCCAAAUACGGACAUGUCGUAAACUUGGUUUGCGACCUAACCAUAAUUCUAUUGGGGUUUUAAGCACUGACUUAGAUGGAACUAAGUUCAAGAGGUAAACUGCAGUUUCCAAUGCUAGUCCCCAAAAAGAGAUUGGUAAUGAUGAAUAACUAAGCAUAGAUCUCACUAUAUCCAAAAUAGUUCUAUUUCUCCUUUCAACUAUCGCAUUUUGUUGUGGUGUUCCUGGGACAGUCAACUGAGAUAUAAUCCUAUUUUCAACCAAAUAUUCUUUAAAAUCUCCUGAGAAAAAUUCACCACCUCGAUCGUAUCGAAGUUUCUUUAUGUUAUUAUCUAAUUUCUUUUUUGUCUCAGCCCUAUACUAUUUGAAUUUCUCAAGAGCUUCAGACUUGUGACGCAUCAGAUAAACAUAAUCGUAUCUCGAGUAAUUAUUAGUGAAAGUGAUGAAAUACUCAUAACCUCCUCGAGCUUGUAAAUUGAUUGGUCCAUAUACAUCUGUAUGUACUAAUUCAAUUGGUACUGUUGCACGUAAUCCUUUGGCUGAGAAUGACCUUUUGGUCAUUUUUCCUUCUAAACAGGAUUCACAGAGUGGCAAUGAUUCAUUUUCUAAUGGACUCAAGAGCUCAUCUUUGAUAAUUCUUUGUAUCCUAUUUUAGUUUAUAUGACCCAAGCGUAAAUGCCAGAGGUAACAUUGGUUGAAAGAAAUAUUUUUUUUCUUAGAUAAAUGUGUAUGCUCAUCAUUAUUGAUCACUAUGUCAUGCAUAGAAUAGAUCAUUGGACUUAAAUGAUAUAAAUUAUCUUCCAAUAAACCAGAACAAAUAAGUCUCUUAUUAUAAAAAAUAAAAGCAGAAGAUCCAAAAUUUACAGUGUACCAUUUCUUUAACAAACAAGCUACUGAAAUUAAAUUUCUCUUAAUGUCUGAAACAUAAAGACAAUUAUUCAAAACUAAAGUCUCAUUAUUAAAAGAUAAUAAAACAUAUCUAAUCUUCACUGCUGACACGAACUGUCUUGUCCCUAACUACAGCUUGACGCUUCCUUCACUUAUUUUCGUGGUUUCCUGAAACCAAUAAAGUGAAUUACAAAUAUGAUUAGUUGCUCCUGAAUCCAACACCCAAGUGUCAAUAGGAUUCUGAACUAAACAGACCUCAAUUACAAAAAGAUUUUCCAUACCUGAUUUCACAAUCUUAGGGCAAUCCUUUUUCCAGUGACCUUUUUGUCCACACUUGAAGCAUUUGCCUUUCGACUUGCCAUCUUGCUUGGUAAACGGUCUCUUUUUCCCAGCUUUCUUCUUGCCUUUACCUUUUGGCUUAGGUCUAGAAGAAGAACCUUUUUCAGCAAUAUUUAUGCUUUCUAGAGAUUUCUCAACACAAUAGAUCUCUUCAGUAAAAUGAAGUUCGUUCAUCAAUUCAGUUAAGGUCAUGUUUCUUUUGUUCAUGUUAUAAUUGACCUUAUACUCUUUGAAUGUUUCUGGCAAAGAUUCUAGCACCAUAUCAAUCUUUGAGUUAUCAUCGAUUUGUGCUCCUUGAAUCUCAACCUUAUUUAAAUAGUCCAUCAUUUUAAGGACAUGAUCACGAACUCUUGUGCCCUUCCCCAUUUUAUUUUUCAUAAUUCCUUUCAGCGCUGCUUGUCUCGCGGAGCGAGUACUCUGCCCGAACAUCUGUUGGAGACUAUCCAUUAUUUCAGUGGUAGUCUCCAAGUUUUGAUGUUUGGUCUGCAAAAUAUUAGAAAUCGAGGCUAAAAUGUAGCAUUUUGCCAUUUCAUUAGCCUUUUGCCAUUUCUCAUAAAGCCUCCUCUGAUUUCUAUGAGCAUCUUCCGCUGGAACUGGAGGGCACGGCUGGGUUAAGACAUAUUUAUAAUUUUCAACAGUCAGGACAAUGAAUAAAUUUCUUUUGCAAUCUAUAUAAUUCUCCCUAGUGAGUUUGUUUUGACUCAGAAUAAUAGUAAGUGGGCUCAUGGAGGACAUUUUCUGAAAAAUAAAGCAUCCAUGCAUAAGUAAUUGAAAUAAUAUUCACAAUAAAUGACAAAAGUGCAUAAAACCAUAAAUACAUUUUAAUUUAUUGUAACGAUAAUCUAGUACCGCUUUGACAAGCUAUCCGUUGGGGAAGUCAUGUCUACACUUAUGAGACCCAGUUACUCAUUGGAUUAUUUACUUUCAUGUAGAGACAUAAUAAAUAAUUAUCGUUAUCCUUUUGGGCUUAAAUGUUUUAACAGAGCUUCGUUGGAAAAGUUAAUAACAAAUUUUAGUUGAGUGUAUAACCAUUGUUUCAAUCUACGUAUUUUUCAAUAUUAAUAGUCAUCGUUGGGGUGAACAAUUGAUUGAAAAAUAUUUUAAUUUUAUAUUUGAAGAAGUUCAUCAAAUAAAAUAUCUAAUAUAUAUACCCUCUGAAGGAGCAUCACGGUAUCAUGAAAUCGAGGUAUAUAUAUAAUUUUAUUAUUGAACUAACAAUGGAGCCCGUGGGAAAAUUAUCUUGAAUUUUCCUCUCCCACUCAAUAUUUUAAAAUUGGUUUAUCCUUUUAAAACAUACAUUAGUUAUAUUGUUAAUUGCAUGCUUCCUAAAAUAUUAUCUAGAUGAUAUCUAAUAUUAUUUAAGCAUUUACAAAUUACAAACAAUAUAAUGAGAUUCAUAAUUAAUGAAUGACAUGUAUCAUUAUGCAUAGAGUGGCAUUACUUAUUGUACAUGACAUGUUAUCAUGGCAUGUUAUCAUCCAAAACAUAACAUAUAGAAAAAUAAUUAAAUAAUAUUAAUUCAUGGCUUUCCUAAAAUGAAAAAAUACAUUAACCCUAAGCUUAAUCUUCAUUGGGCUUCUUGUCAAUGUCCAUCUUCCAUAAACUUGUCUUUGUUAAUAGAUUAGGGAAAAUUGAACUUUUAAAUUUAUUAUUGGACCAAUUUUAAUUUUUAAAGGAAAUACAUAAAUAAUUAAAAAAUUUCAUUAAAAUAAAACUUUUGGACCAAAAAUAAAUUUAAUGUGUUCAAUUUUAUAUAUGCAUCUUAAUCCAUUAAGCUCAAAUUUCAAUUGAGCCUAAAACUAGAAUUCAUUAAGCCCAAAACUAUUUUUGGACUUAUAUACAAAUAAUUAAAACAUUUUUUCCCAAAAGAAAAAUUAUGAAACCAUAGAAACCUUAAUGAUAAAAACCAAAAAACCCUAAAACCAUAUUUUUCUUUUCCUCCUUCCCCAGCCGCCAUCUAUACAAAACAACCACUGUUCAGACCUUUCUCACCGGACAGCCGCCAUCAACGCCGAGUUUGCCGUCGCCAAGUCACCGGGAAGCCGCCACCUUCCGCCAGCAGCGAACGCACGCACGCGACCAGCACUUGCCCGCGCUGCUGGCAGCGUUGCUUGCAGCCUGCUGUUGCCGCGCGCGCUGCUCGCGGCUUGCUGUUGCCGCACGCGCUGCUCGCGGCCUGCUGCUGGCCUUGUUGGCCGCGCACGCUGCUGCAGUGCGUGCUGCUGGCAUGCGCUUGCAGCGUGUGCUUAGAUCGGUGUUGCUGCUGAAAUUUUCGGCAUUCUGUUUCCUUUGAUCUCGUUAUUCCGAUUAUUAUUCUCCUGUAUUUACAAAUUUCCUAGGUCAGUUUUUGCUUACAAAGUUUUUAUUACAGUAAAAUAAUUCAAGAGGAAACAUGGUGAUAAAAAGUCAUCUCUUUUUUUAUAAAUCUAAACGAAAAAUACAGUAAAAAAUCUAAUCAUGAAUUAAAAUAAAUUAUAACACAUUUUAUUCACAUAUUAAUAAAUAAUAUAUAUCUAAAUAAGUUGUGCCACUCUAAUGCAUAAAUAUCAAGAUAUAUUUCAUACGAAAUUCUUAUAUAUUAAUAUGAGACAGCUAUGAUAUCAAUUGUUGGAGAAAAAUUAAUUUUUUAAAAAAUAAAAUUUUUAGGAUCGAUCUCAUACAAUAUAUAAGAAUUCGUAAUUUAUAAAUCGUACCUUAAAAAUUUGAGAAAUUGAACAAUCUUUGCUUUUUCCACUGAAGUGAUUUAGGCUCCCAGAUCACGAUCUGCCACUAAAUAAUCUUUCAGGCUAUGACUCAGGUUUGAUCUGCACUUGACGUGUGGACGCUUUUAUCACCACUAAAGCAACUAGCACGAGAAAAAUUUUCUCUCAAAAUUAGAGAGAAAAAUCUUUUCCUCAGAAUUGUAUAAUGUGGCCUUUUUUUCUUUUAUGAGAAAAUAAGUCAUUUUAUAUCUCUAUCUAAUAGAAACCAUAGGCUCCAUAUUUUUAUUUUUUAAUUCUAUUAAAUCAAAUUUGAUUUAAAUUAAAAAAUAAAAAACAAAGGCAACGUUAUUUGUUUUUGUGUUAUAGGGGCCCAUCUUGUAAAAUAACAUAAGGCUCCUUACACAUAAGCAUAUUACAUGGAGCCUCUCACUAAAUAAUAUAUUUAAGCUUUUAACUCAAAUAGCUAGUUAUCUUACUUAUUAAUCCAGUAGCGGCUCAGUUAAUUAAAUGAGCUAACCCGGUGAUUAUUUGGAAUAUACAAUAAUGGCUACAAUAAUUAAGCAUGUAAUUAAAUUAGCCUAAUUAUUUAAUUCAAAAUCUACUCCACUAAAAGAUUGGAACUGACCUCCAUAAUUGUAUGCUCGAAUAAUAAUUUAUCUCAAGCCACAUUGAUUUCUUUACUGCACAAUCCUUUGUACCACAUCAUUAAUUAAAUUGAUAUCUCAACUGUCCAAUCAAUUUAAUUACAUCUUAUUCCUUGAUUCUUACUGAUUUUCUCUAAUGAUCAUUUUCAACACACUAAAUAUGUUGACACAUUCUGGCCAGAUGAUCAAGUGUCGAAAACUCAUCAAGAGAUGUGUUGUACAAAUUCUAUAUUGUCAAUCUAUAACUACAAUACUCAUAAUUGCUCCCACCAAAAUACUGGGUAAUCCUGACUACAAGUAUGUGUCGUGCCCAUUGGUAACUCAAAUGAAAUAAUAAUUACAAUCAUGAAAUCAUAAUUAACUCAAAAUUAAGAUUACAGUAAAAUCAAUACCUAUGAGAUUUAAUAAGUCUGACAUUUAUUACAAAGUUAAUUAAAUCUCAUAUGUGAUCAUGUUCAAUGUAAUCGUACUAAAUCAAUAAAUUCAUACAUGAUUAAGACAAAUCAUUCAAUGAAUUCAUUACAGUCUAUAUCUAAAUAAAGUGUUCAACUUUAUUUAUCAACUGCGAACUAAAUUUAUUUAAUCAUAAGAUAACUUGUAUUUAUGUCUUCUGUGAAUCCACAUGGUGAUCACAUAAAUACAUAUAAAAUGAUUAAAUGGACUUUAAUCAAAAUAUUAAUGCAAUUAAGAUAUUUGAAUAAAAUACCUCAUUUAUUUUAUUAAUCAGAAAAUUUAUUUAUUACAAUUAAAUAAACACAUAUGCUUUUAAAGAGCAUAUUUUCCCAACAAUUCAAACAUAUAUUGAGACUCCAUUUGAUAUAAUUUCUCAAAUAUAAUUUAUUCAAAUAGCCUUUACAAGUAGAAUUUUAACCAAAAAUAUUUGAUUUGGCUAGUUAAUGAGAGACUUUAUAUAUAUAUAUAAUAUUACUUUAAUAGGUAACUUUUUUAAAAGUAAUAUUAUAAAAAAAAAAGAAAUAAGACUGUUUAAAAUUUUAAAAAAAUUUCUAACCUCUACUUAUAAAAGUUCAAAAUUUAAGUUUUUAAUAAUAAAGACAAAAUAACUUAUUUAAUUAUCAAAAGCUUUAUUCAAAAUAUACUAAACAACAAAAAAAAAUUAAUUUUUUUUAAAAAAUUAAAUAAGUAUUUUUAACCAUUAAAAACUAUAUCAAUUAACAAACGUUGCACUAAACCGAUAAACCAUUCGUUUCAAAUGAUAGGAAUGAACUGAACUCAGGCUCUCGGCUUGGCUUUAGUUUCCGCGAAUGUUUGUCAAACCUUCGGGAAAGACAGGCCUUAAAGGCCCAUUACAAGUGUCUGCCUUUGGGUAGUUGGGCAGCCCAUAAUUACCUUAUGGGCCUUGCAGAAGAACCUAUUUAAAAGCCCAACAGAGAAAAUGGAUUUUGUGCUUGAAUUGAUCUGGUUUGCCAAAAAAGGAACAAGAUUUGCGGUGGUCCAAUUAUUUGAAAAAAUAGAGCAUGUGGUCCAAUUAAAAUGGGACUUACCAUAGUCUGUCCCACAAUCCUCAACCUCCAAAACUAGCUUUAUUGCCUGCUUGAUUCAGUAUGAAUGGGGUUCAUACAUUCAUUUGCAGGCGUCUUGUGCUCUUAUUUUUAAUUCAUUUCAUUUUAGGUUCACAUCAGGUAUUUCUGAGCUGAAACAGGCCUUUCCUUUUGACUAGAGUGCUUUUGGAAAGUGUUUUCAGAUACAAUCUUAAAAUCCAUUUCACAAGGGAAAUGGCCCAUUCAAUAAGUUGAUAAUAACAGAUGAACAAUGAAGUGCUUGUGAGUAACAUCAAUACCAUAUCCCCAUGCCCUCUCAAUUCUGCAUGACAUAUCUUCCUCUUCAUGAAUGCCUCAUCAAUCCAUGCAACCAACACAACACAAGCAUUAAAUUCACCGCCUCAAUCAACUUCACCAUACAUAAACUUACUCGUCUCCUUUUAAUUCAUUCACACUGUUCUUGUGCAGUGCAAGAAUUAGUGGAGAUAAAAGUUUUUUUCUGCUUAUUAAAUCAAAAGCCCCGCACUGAAUCUGACCUCCCAAAAUAAAUAAAUAGCAAUUUCAAUUUCACCUAAUAAAAGAAAUAUAAGAAUCCACUAAAGUGUGUUUUUCUCUUUUAGUCUCUUUUCAUGAAAUAAAUGGUUAAAAUAUUUUUUUCACUUUAUUUACUUUUUUUUUUAAUGGAAAGUAAACAUUUCAUUCCACAAUAACAACACGAUUAAUUACAUUCUGCAUGGCUGCUGAUAUUGUUUCAAGGCAGACAGCAGCUGAAGUAUUCCUUAAACCAAAUUUUACUAAGGCAUGGGCAUGCGCAUUACAGAUUCUAGGGACAAAAGAAAAUUGGAUAUGCGCAUUACUUUAUUUACUAUUAAACUAACCCUUUUUUACUAGAUUUGAAAGAGUAAGAGAGAUUAAGGGGAAAAAAAAAAACACUGAAGAAAGAAUCACUCCACAUAAGCCAAAGUACAUUCACAUGUCUUUGUUUUAUUGUGGAAAAAAGAUAAAUCUCAUCAACUUGUUGCCUCCAGUUGGAUCUCCACCAACUACUACUUCAACUCUUUAUCCACACAACCACAAUACUAAUAGUACAUGAUAAUGCUUUGUUUAUAAGCCAAACUAUUUGUAGUGAACUGAACACUCUAUGUGAAGUUCAUCUCUUUUUAUCUCUACAAAAUCUUGGUACCAUGAAUCCCAUUUUCAGUUUCUUGGUUAUUUCAUUUUUGUUUAUUAAUAACACACACUCCUUGAAAGUUCACCGUCCAAAACCCAAUAAUAGUAAUGCUCAAAUCACUGUAAUGGGCUUUGUGUAUUGUGACAUUUGCUCCAACAACAGCUUCUCCAGGCACAGCUACUUCUUACCAGGUAAAUAACAAAAAAAAAAUCUCAACAACCCAUUAAAAGUUUCAAUUGAAUUGAUUGUUUUAAUAUGUGCUACAUUGUUGUUAAACCAGGUGCUGAAGUCAAAGUUGACUGCAAAAUUAGAGCAAUUUCGCCAAGAAUAAGAGAGCAAAUAUCAUUCACAGUGAACAGGACAACAAACAGGUAUGGAAUAUAUAAGCUGGAGAUACCGUCAGUUGAGGGGAUAGCAUGUGCAGAAGCAGCCAUUGCAUCUUCAUGCCAGGCAAGUUUGAUGUGGAGUUCAAGUACUUCGUGUAAUGUUCCUGCUUACAGAACCACAACAAAUCAGAUAGCUAUCAAAUCCAGGAAACCAAAUCUCUGUAUCUACAGCUUAAAUGCAUUGACUUUUAGACCAUCAAAGAGAGAUAUCACUCUCUGUGGGAAUUAAUUAAUCUGAAAGAACACUUUUCAGCUUUUUCAUUUUGUUGUCAAUACAUCUAAUGUCGAAGUAAAUAUUUGCUUGCUGUGGUUUAGGGAUCUCGUUGUAUUGGAUGCGACUCUUGGGUUAAUGUAAGUUAGAACAUUGCAUAACUUAGCCACACCGGAGACAAACGUAAAUUCAUUUUGUUAUUCAGAUUAAACUGUUGUCACAAUAAUGUAUGAAAUUUAUGUAGUAUUUGAAGAAUUUAUUAAGAAAAUGAAAUGAAUAUGUUUAGCAUUUUGAGAAUUGAAUUAAUUUUCAGAAGCUAUACAUCAAUAUCCUGUCUGAUUUUUAGGGAGUUCUGUACGGUUCUGUAAAGUGCAAAAAUCUUUUCAGGAUGUUUUUACACGGACAUCGGGGAUGAUUUUUAACUAGCUUUUAAGCUUUAAAAAAUUUAAUUAGGGUAUCUUAUAAAUUCAUUAACCCACAAAUAUGCCAUCCAUAUUUUGCAGAAUUUCAGUCUCAGCUAAUUCAUGUAUCAAGCAUGUUAUUAAUUUUCACUUCAUAAAAUUUAAAAUGGAUUCCUUGUACCUUGUAGCACCGUUAUGUUAGUCUUUUCUUUCCUCUACUCAAUUAUAUAUUGAUUAGUCCCAAAAUAUGUUCCCAAUUGCAUAUAUUAGAACGCUUUUUUAUUGUAAAAAUAUCAAUGUCUUUAGUGUCAUGCCGAUAAGGACAUAACCAGGAAUUUAAUUUCAGUUGGGCAAGAAAUUCCAGGAACAGUAUCCUGCUCGAAUCAUAGUGAUUAAUGUGAAGGAUUAGUGAAUUUCAUUUUUGAUGCUUUCACAUUUUAAGUUGUUAAACGAACAACUGAUGCAAAUAAUCUCUAGAUCAUAAAUGGGUACACAACAACAAUAUAACCCAUCCACAAUAAAUAAAUUAAUAAAGAAUGCAGAACAUAGUUUAAAUCACAAGGAAGAAACAGAAAAUAUUUGCCAGUAAUACAGAGUCCAGGUGGACCUUCAAUUCCCAUGAAGACCUUUUAUGAAACUUCCAUCUUUUGCUGGUUAACCUCUAGAUGGUACUAGGCCUUGCAUAGUGCUUUUCUUUUCCCACAGCACAUAAAUAAACAUAAUUCACAGAAAAUGAAAUUGAACCACAACAAUGCAACAUAAUGAAAGUAGCAUGCAGCAUGAUAAAAAAAUGAUCUCGAAUCUCUAGAGAGCCAUAAGUUCCUGGAAGAUCUUCAUUGCAGAAGCAGGCAACCCCAGAAGCACAUUGAUGCUUUUCCUCUCUUUGCCAUGAGAUAGGAACAGACUCACUUCCUUCUCGGGCAGCGCCACCGGCCCCGAUAGAACAGGCUCUCCCCAUCCAAAGUCAGUAGUGUGGAAAGAUAGCCUUGACCAAGUUGUUAUCAAAAGAGUUGAAGACAGAGAAGGCCUAGCUCUUGUUACUUCAAAAUAAUCAAUGGCAGAUCUCAUGUAAAUGUCAUUGACCAUCUUAAUGGCAUCCUGAACUUGCCCCACAGCAAAUGAUAAUGGUUUUUCCGUCAGCUCACCAGCUUGGCAUAUGGAGUUUGUCAACACAAUUCCAUUGCCGAAGUAGCCUUUCGGCAAUGGUGGAUUGAAUUUCGACCUUCCAUCAACAGCAAAGAGGAGCUUUGUUUGUUGAUGGGGCAGAAACUUUAGUGCCUUGGUUCGAGCCUUCCACACAAAUGCUGAGAGUGCUUCAAAAGUGCUGCACUUGUCAAGAACUUCAUCUUCCAUGGCAAUCAUUUUGAUCUUUUCUAGCUUUGCGGAGUCAAAACAGAAGGACCUGUAAAGCAUUUCAUCUUUGUAGAGUUCACUAGUGCCAGACUUGUCUUCUAUUUCAGCAAAUUCUUGGUGCAGGUCCUCAAUCUUUGGAGGACUCCGCGCUUUGAGUAUGCUUCGGUCUAGGAAUGGAGGAAUCUUCAGGGGCAAGCCUCUGGCUGUUUCAGCCCAUGCGUUCACAAAUUCCAUAGCGCCAAUGCCAUCGAACAUACAAUGGUUCAUGCAAAGCCCAAGAACAAAUCCCCCACAUUUAAACCUGGUCACCUGAAAAAGUUUCAACUAAAAUCAUACUUCUAUUGCUGAAAAAUGACUAUGAUGCUAACAUAACAUGAAGAGGAAUGUGUUAAAUUAAGUAUAAAAACCUGAGCAGCAAGAGGAGGCAUUUCUAGUAUGUUCUUUGCACCGGGAAUGUCAUAAACCAGCUUCCCAAGAGUCUCAGGAUCAGGCUUUGUUAUGUCUCCAAUCUUUUCAAGUACACAGUUUGCUUCAGCUUCAACAAAAACAGCCCCUUCCCCAGUACAAUUUAUGAUAAGCUUCCCUUCCGAGCUUAUAGUUAGCCUGCCGGCAAGAGGGUAGUAAUGAACAAGAACCUUUUCAAGGGCAUUCUUGAUCACUUCUCCAGCUUUUUCAUUGCCUUUCUCAUCUGACUUGAAGCAAUAAAUUGUUCGGACGAUCACAGCAAUGUUUUGAUCAAGGUUUGACAGGAAGUAGAGACCCUUCUCUGUGUCCUCUGCAGGCUUAACCAAAGUUGGCUCACCUUGCUUCACGUUGAGCUCGAUUGCAUGGCCAUUAGUGUUCUUCAUCACUACCGUCUCUUCAAGCUCCAAAACCUGAAAGCACAGGUACAAGAAAGCAACAUCAAAGAUGUUAUAUUAUAAAGUGCACGUUGAGCAUACAAGGAUUUAUUAAAUGAUUGUAACAAACCAUGUGAACAAGCUGAAGAGAGACAAGAGAGUUUUGAAAGUAACUGAAGAUAAUGCUCAGAACUUCAAGGGAGAAAUUCCCAAAUUGAUAAUCAAACACACAAGGCUUGCAUUCAAACCUGAUGUUCAGAUUUAUCAGAAAAUUUGUAAUGGUCACAUAACUGGCCAAAGGAUGGGGGAGAUAUAUAUGGAAAGUUUGUGGACCCUUGCUUCAUAUUUCUUUUGCUUAUUUAGGCAAAUAAAAAUUGUAUGAGAGGGACAAAUGUUAGUGUCUGAUUGGAUUAGUAGAUCCACCAUAGUUUUGGUAGUUGAAUUAAAUUGUAAAAAGAGAGAGAAAGAUUUGCUUUCUUAAAAUACUUUUGGACGUGGCCCCUUUUUUUUAAGUUUUAGUUUUGGUCAUAUGGGUGGGAUUAGGCCACUUAAUAGGACCUAACAAGGAGACAGAGUCUGUUUGUGCAGCCCCCUGUUUGGUGAGGUUGGCAUCCCAAUUUGCUUGAUUACUGAUUACUCUUUAUUAUCCUGGUAAUCAAAAUUAUUGGGCAAGACAAAGUCAUAUGGAGCUAAACAAGUAUGCCUUAAAAAAUUACUAAGCUUAGAGUGAUAUGAUUGAUUCAAAAUCUAGCCACAAGAAUGUCUUUUUCUAAAAUGAUACGAGGAGUUUUUAACCAUUUUUUUUUUUUUGGGGUCUUGGAAGAAACGGUUUUAAUUGAAAUUAACAUAUUUAUAUGUAAUGCUUUUAUGAAAAUCCUGAUUCCACCACUGUGUAGAAGAGUUGGCAAUCUCGAGUGUUAAAUUAGCUUCGAAAUUAAACCAUAAAAUGGAGCGAGUCCCUCCUCUAAGGCAAAAGUUGUAAGUUAAUUAGUUUAAAGACAAAAAAAUUGGCAAGAGAAAGGUCAUUUGUUAUUACGAGUAUUGAUGAAUAUUCUUGUUCAACACGAGGGGCAAAUUCUGUAAUAUGGUGAGCACCAACCCAGUGGCCGGUGCUGCUGAUUUCAGUGUCUGUAAAAAAGAAGAAACGUCAGCUAUUCAAGUUUAUGAUUGGUUGUUCAUCUAACCAUGAUUUACUAACGAAGCAGUGUGCGUCCAUAUACCUGAUUGCAACGUCUCAACGAAUAUGGUGUACAAAUUGAAAAAUCAAAGUAAAAAUUAAAAAAUGAGAAAAAAAUAGAGUUCCGUAAACCAAAUGCACUAAAAAAAUAUCUUUGGCUAGGUUGACUCUCUGUUUUGAUCCAAGAAAUUUCAAAACAGGCUUUCAGUAGCCCCAUUGAUGCAUCAACAUAAUGCAUACAACUAGAUAGGUUUUUUAAUUUUUGAGAGUUGAGACCUUCACAAAUUUACAAUCCUCCACAAGUUUUAUAUUUUAGUUUGUAAAGUUAUGCGCUCAAAGUUGCAUACAAGAACAACCCAAUGUUAGCUUCUUCUGCAUUUUUUUUUUAAUAUCGUGAUUUGAUAGCUUUUGGUUUCAAAAUAAUAUAAUUAAAUUUAGUGAAAUUAUCUCUCCACCACUUUUCUUUUGUCAUAUGUACAUCUAAUUAUCAUAAAAUUUUGACACAUACUUUACACCACUUUUAUUUUUAAGUUUGUAUCAAUCAACCAUUUUGACACUAAAAAAUAACUAUUUUAUCCCUAAAUGAAUUAAAAGACUAUUUUUUUCUACACGAUUUUAAAAAAUAAAAAACUAUAAUUAUAAGAAUAUCUUUGAGUUUAAUAAAAGAAAUAAAUCAUAAAUCCAUUAUGUUAAUUUUUUUAUAAUUAUAAUUUCAUUUAAAAAUGAUCAUAUUAAUUUUUUAUAAUCAUAAUUUCAUUUAAUUUGUAUGGGGAGUUUCUUAAUAUUAAUUAUAUGGAAGUUUACAAUAAUUAUAGGGAGCUUUUAUCUUCAUGUUAAUUAUUGUAAAUUUCCUUAUAAUUAAUCUAAUUACAAAAAUUAAAUAAAAUUAUAAUUACAAGAUAUUAUUUUUAUAAUCAUAAUUUUAUUUAAAAAUUAUCAUUUUAUAUUUUGAGAUUUUUUAUUUUAUUGAAUUUAGGGGUAUUCUUAUAAUUAUAAUUUUUUUAUUUUUCAAAAUUUUGUAGAAUAAAAUAGUUUUUUAGUGUCAAAGUGGUUGAUUGAUACAAAUUUAAAAAUAAAGACGGUGCAAAGUAUAUGUUAAAAUUUUGUGGUAGUUAGAUGUACAUAUGACAAAAGAAAAGUGGUAUAGAGAUAAUUUCUCUUAAAUAUAAAUCAUACAAAUACAUUGUUAUAGAUAUCUUGUGUGAUAGACGAUUAUAAACCUAAACUGCACAAUUCAGCUCGCCAUUGGAUAAAAAAUUCACUUGAGGAAUUGAGUUUAGCUUCUUAAGUAAAUAAAAUGUUAGUACAUCUUUAGCAUUAGUAGUAAAUUUGCAUUAAGGAUGGUAAAAUGUCAGGCUCAGGCUGGGCUUGCAAAGGUUGAGUCCCGUCCAAGCAUGUCUUUUGUUGGGUCAGGGAAAAAAAGGCCUGAAUUUUAUGUUGUCCUUUUUUUAAAAAAAAAAAAAUUGUUAUAUGCACAAAUUUUUAAUUUUUUUUACUAGAUUAAGUUUUAAAAUUUGGGCUUAAAGUAUUUUUAAAAUUUAAAUAUAAGUUAUGAGUGGAUUAAAUAAAUAUUUAAACAUGUAUUUUAAUUAAAAUAGAAUAUAUAUUUUUAAAUUUUUUUUAUGUAUUUAAAAGGCUUUUGGGCCGGACUCAGAUCUUUUAAGUGAAUCCAAGCUCAGCUAGAAACAUCUGAGCCGGGCCUGAUAUUCUGAAAUCCCUAAUUUCACUCUUAUUGGGCCUAGAUUUUCAGAUACUACUCUCUAGAAACGCUAGAGCUCCUAACACCCCUAUAAAAUUCUUAUGAAGCCCCAUUUCUUUUCUUUUUCUUUUUUUUUUCAAUUUUCUCAUCACUAAUUCAGAAUGAAGAUAAAAUUUUCGCCUACCGUCUUGUUUUCUUACCCUCUGCACACACAAAUUUUCUGUCUAUAAUAAAAUAUAUUUAAGGUUGUUUUCCCCUCUUACAAAAACCAACAUCAAUACUCAAAUUAAUCUUGAAUUGCAACCUAAGCAUUAAACUCCCAGAUUAGGAAUGGUCCGAAUGGAGCCUGACCUAAGCCUGGGUGCAUAUUUUAUAAAUAUUUGAGUCGGGCUUGGACUUCACCCAAAAAUUCUAAACCCAGUCCGAAUGUCUAGAAGUACUUUAAAAUUUUAAAAGAUAUACUAUUUAAAUUAAAAUAUAAAAUUUUAACAUAUACUUAACCUACCCAUAACAUAUAUUUAAAAUUUUAAAAAUUUAAGUCAAACUUUUAGAGCCCUAAUCUAACAAAAAACUAAACUUUAUAAACUAUAAAUUUAUAAUACAUAGUAAAAAAAAAAUAACAAAGAAUACAAAAUUCAGGUUUUUGACGCGGCCUGACAAAAGGCAUGCGCCGGCUUUGGCUGUUGCCAAGCCUGACAUUUUGUCAUCCGAAUCUCAAACCCAGAAACCCAUAUACGAUCCAGUAAAAGCGUCGCAAUCCGAACCACCUACAUCACAAACACAGCUUCUUAGGAUCCUUCCCUCCUCUGCAAUUUACCGUCAUCGCAAUGCUACACUUCAACCAUGAAUCCGCUUCUAAUUAGAAAUUCCCAACUUUAAAAUAGUCAAGCAAAAGUUAAAAGACAAAAAAAUAAAAAUCUCAAACACUGCAGAAAAAAAAACUCUACAAUAUAACAUAUAUUUUUUUGUUUUAUUGUUUGUCCCUAACUUUAUUAAUCCCUAAUUGAAAAAUUAUUCCUCAAACAUUCAACCCCACGGCAAUUUACAAAAAAAAAAAAAUCGAAUAAACUGGAAAAAAAUCAGAUGCGUGCAUGAAGAUGAACAUUCAUCGUUAAUUACCCAAUCUUAGACUUGGAAUUUACUUUAUUUGGAAGAAAAUAACAGCAGGAAGUAAAACAAUCGGGCAGAAAGUCAUAAUCCAGCUGAGAGGCUAGUUCUAAACUCAGCUGAUGUAUAUUACAACAAGCUUUGGGAAUAUACAAAAUGAAAACCGUUCUUUAUUUUCAGUUUUCUGACCACAAGAUUACACCAAUGAAGCAAUCUAAUGCUAUCAUCUUCUGAUAUCUUUCCAAUAGGCUUACAGAUGCCAGCAAGGGAUGCACCAAUCUUGAGUUUCAACACAACUCGUUACAGCUCUUGAAACACCUUUCUCAUCUAUUGAUUUCUCUACCAUGCUUUUGCUCAUAACGCUAUCAGAGAGAAUGACAACAGUUAAUAGUGUGACAAACUACGUCAGAAAGUCAAGACGGACCACACUUGCUUAGACAAGCGAUUCCUUCUUCCAAGUAAUCAUCUCUACUGAUCCAAAACUCAGGUGCAUCCUGCAUGAUCAUCCAUCAUAUCUACUUCUUAGAUUAUAAAUAGUAGGAAGAGAAUGCUAGAAACACUUUAGGUUGCAACAAAGCCGUGUAACUCGUCCGCCUUCAUGUGUGUGAAUGUGUGUGUGUGUGUGUCAGAGAGAUAGAGAGAUAGAGAGAUAGAGAGAUGUACCUUCAUAAUCCCAGCAAGAACCGCUCCUCCAAGAUACACCAUAUGCUUCCUUCUUGGUGGAUCCUCAAUUCGCAAUCUCAACUUCUGUCACAAGGUAAAGAAAAUGAGUUUAAAGAUCAAGUCCUUUUACAAAUUCUGCUUCUAAUCAUUGCCUCAUUUUCUGCAGCAGAACGAAAAUCUUUAAGAUCAUUUUGCUCCAGGAUUGAACAAAUGGCCAUCAACUUAAGAAAAUUAAAAAGCUAUUAAUUUCAAAAUCGAGUAUGAUAUUCUAACAAUUGAUCACAGUAGUAAUGAAUCUUUGAUGCAAGAAAAUGUUAACUGCAGCACCCUAACCAAUGAUAUCCUUUAAAACAAUGGUUAAGGGUUUCAUCAGGCACCUAAACAUAAUUUUUUGUAGCUUAUUGCACAAGGGAUUCAGAUCUUACCUUUAACCCAUCUUUAUUACCCUUUAGAACCACUUCGAGAUAUCGAUCAAGGAUUUCCUUUUCCAAGCUAAAAGGGGGGAAAAAAAAUAGUCACUCCAUCAAUUUCUUACCAUAGGAAAGCACAAUGUUAAAUGAUGUGCCCUUGAGAGAUGUCAAACUAUUUUCUAGCAUAUUAUUUGCUGACACAAAUGUCAUUUAAUCAUAGAACUAUAAAUAGACUGGCUUGCACAACCAGGCCAAAAAUUAAGAAGAAAAGUGAUAUAUCAUUGCCAUGUGAUGCUAGGUUCUGAAAUCAUAGAACAAAGACAGAUAAGAACAGUGAAUAUACAUGAAGACCCAAAUUUCUAAGAAAGCACGGUGGAAUGUCAUGUGAUGCAAAGAAAAGUUCAACAUAAUACCGACUAGGUAGUCCUGGAUACAUGGUGCUCCCUCCACUUAAGACUAUAUGCUGGUAUAGCUGCAAAGAUAAACCAAAUAAUAACUGAGAAUUAUGAAGCAGUCAGUUCAUAUGCACUCACGCAUUGAAAGCAGAAAAAGAAGGAAAUACAAUAAGGUACACCACAUUUAUCCGGGCCUCCCACAAAGCUACAUGGGUUAGCUUAUCAAUCCUAUACUAUUGCAAAAAUGAACAUCCAUAUGCUGGUCAUUUUAAUAAGUGCAUAAAACACAAUACAAGCCAUUUAAACAAUCACAUUAGCAAAAUCACACCUGUUUCCUUCAAUCAUAUCUGUACCCGACAAAUAACCUAAUUGAAUGUACCAAAAAAACACAAAGAAAACAAACAAACUGAAGGUACUAAAUAUGGCAUGUAAAUUGAAAUGCAGAAUGUGGUCUCCAGUGGAAAAAUUGGAACUACAACAGAAAAAUUACUUCAUACAUGACUAUAAAAAUUGUAAUGACAAACCAUCUCAAUCAUCUAACCACCACCUAUCGCAUGAUCGAUACAUCCAACUUAUAGGAAAAAGGCAUUAUAAACUAAAUUCUAACAAAAUUUCAAGUAAAUAAGAAUGCAAAACAACUGCCAGUAUCUGCAUAUUUAAUCGUUUAAAAAAGAAAGAAAUUACAUAAAGAUAAGAUCUUCUAGCAAAUCCUUAGCUUUAUUUUCAAAUACGGAGGAUAAGUUAUCCUAUCAACAUAUAUUGACCUAUAAGCAGAAAUUAAAGUAAAAUGUUCAAGGAAAGUAAUGUAUUUUGGAUCCAAUCAUAAUACCAUCAUACGAUUGUCAAUAUCCAUUUCCUGAAUGCAGCGGAAAACCAUAUCAGCCAUCCCAUCACCUUCAACAUCUAUAAGUUCCUGAAAAGAGGAAGUAUUUUAAAUUCAGAAACUUCCACUGAUAAAUGUAAUUCUCUGAUACAAGUAUAUAAAAGUUCAAAAAAAAAAAAAAUUGACCUGUUACUAUUACUCUGCAAAUAAUGAACAACAAAAUGCAUCAAUCAACUUCUUUGUUUAUUACAUAAAGCACUAGUGCAACAGUUUUCCAUUUUAUCAGAAAGCAUACGAAUAAAGUGGCAGAGCCACAUGGCCCCACAAGUACCACCAAAAUUUCAAGGUAAAAGAAAUAGAGAACUUCUUUAUACAAUCAGCCCUCCAAAUUAUGCUUUUAUAGGCGGCCCCCACAAAUAAUGCUUUUUUAAAUCAUCAAUCACCUCCCUAAAAUGACAGAUGGAACAUAAACAAAUAGCAAAAACUAAUAGUAGUAUAUAAAAAUUCAAAAAUAAGAAUUGACUUGCUACUAUUACUCUGCAAAAAUAAACAGCAAAAAUGCAUCAAUCAAUUUCUUCAUUUACUACAUAAAGCACUAGUGCAACAGUUUUCCAUUUUAUGAGAAAGCAUACGAAUAAAGUGGCAGAGCCACAUGGCCCCACAAGUCACACAAAACUUUCAAGGUGAAAGAAAUAGAUAAUUUCUUUAUACAAUCAGCCCUCCAAAUUUAUGCUUUUAUAGCCGGGCCCCCACAAAUACUGGUCUUUUAAAUCAUCAAUCACCUCCCUAAAAUGACAAAUGGUUUUAUACUAACAUAAACUAAUAGCAUAUCAUAUAUGUUGCAUCUGUGCAGUAAACAAUCUCAGUAAACUACCAAUACUACCAAUAUAAUACAAAAUGAUCUGGCAGCGUGCUAAUAAUAGCAUGUUCAGUUGAACAUGAGCAAUGUAUCUAAUGGGUAAGUUUUAACGGAUAGAAUACAACAGAAAAGAAGUACAGGCUUACUGGUGUGAAUAGAGCUUCAGGGGCCUGAAAUCUCUCAGUUCCUACUUUAAUGACUCUUCCAUCUGGCAGCUGAUAAAAAUAUAUAUAAGCUUAAUACUAUGUUAAAAAGAGAGCAGAAAAAAAACUACUGAAGUCACGGGAUUUAAGGAAAUAGAGAAACUCAAGCCAAAAAUAGCACUAUUGAUUUCUUAUUUUCCGCGUGUUCAUUCAGAGUGACCAUCACAUAACUUUACAUGAGUGGUUUUUUGAGAAAAAAAAAAAUGCAAGUAAAGAAUGAAUGAGGCUUCUAUACGUACCCCUAAACUGAGAUUCUAAAAUAAAGCCACCUCAGAGUAUUACAAAUUGAGCAUUAAUAUGGAAAAACCAUAAGAUUCAUAAAAUACAAAGAAAAUCAACUUACAGUAUAAUUCUUAACCAGGAUGGUGGUCUCUAGUCCCAACUGAUAUUCCCUUUUAUAGUCAUAACUGCAGGAAAUAGUUUUAUGUUAAUUAUAAUGCAAUAAAUUCUACAAAGAUCACACAAGAGUGUACUUGAUCCUCAACCUUAUGUAGCACAGCUUCUCUUUGAUUUGCCGAACAGUCUCAAAGUCUGCAGUUCUAUUCAUUGAAUACCUACAGGAAACAAAAUUUUACAUUUAAAAGACAAGUAUUCUAAAUCAUGUUCAUCUUGCUAACUUAUUGACAAUGAAUUGAUCCUCACCCUCUCCGUGAAAGUAAAUCAACAAGAUAGGAUGUUAUGUGCCGACCAGCUACAUUCAUUCGCUUAGUAAGAUGUGGGAAUGAGUAGCCAUCAACAACAGGAACCUGGGGAGAAAUGUUGAAAUAAUUAUGGUUCAGAAUUACCAUGCAGAGUACCAAUAGAACACUUUACAUUUUCAUAUUGAUAAAAACUCUCAUUAUUACUUUUGUAUCAGAUUGACAGAUUAUACUUUUAUUUCAGGUUGACAUAUUUGUGUUCCAUUAAGACAAUUUCCUGUAUCUUAAGUGAUAUGCCCACUAUUCUGUGGAUGAAUACAUGAUUUAAACAGCAGGAUAAAAAGCCAUCUAAUAUUCAAAUUUGAAUUCUCCAUUUAGAAAAAGUCCUGUUAUAAGGGUUAUGGUAUUUGUUGAUCUAUUUCAACACAGUCUUCCUCAAAUCCUUCAGGAGAAGAAAAAAUAUCAGGUUCCAGUGUGAAGAAUAUUCCAAAAAAUUUACUUAACUGAAGUGGAAUGCUCCUUUUUUUUUUUUUUCAAGAGGAAGGAAAAAGAGACAAGUUUAUCAUUUAAAAUAACUGGGAUAUUUAUUACUUUUGCAAAGGGGAAAAUAAGUGCAAAUAAUUGAAACUGACUAGUUAUAAAUUCCCUCAUAAAAAUUCAAAUGCUAAAUUAAACAGAAUGAAUUCGGUCCAAAGUGCUCCAUGAUACAAUGUAAUCAUAUCAUAUGCAAGCGACAAACAUGGGAGUCAUCAGUCCAAUCAGGGAAAUGAAGAACUAAAAAAAAAAUAAAAGGGCAAUAAUCAUUUCAAGAAUCUGAAAAUGAAGUUAAAUUGGUUUCUUGAGUAGUUUACCACAUGAGUGACACCAUCACCAGAGUCAAUAACUAGUCCAGUCAGCAAACCUGUGACAAUUCAAGAUAAUGCUGAACCAAACAAGCAAUGAGAUUGAACAAAAAGAUAGAACAGUUGUAAAAAUAGGAAUUUUUUUUCCCCAAAAAAAGGGAAAGAAAAUCUAGAAAGUCUUCACCAGGUAAAAUCAGUUUUCAUGCCUAUAGUUCCAAGGUCCUCACAAGUGUCAGUAGCAGAAACUAUUUAGAUAUAUGUUUGUGCACACACGUGUUCAUGUGUCUGCUCAUAAAUGUGCCUCAAUCAGUUAAUGGAAUUUAAACCUUCAGGCAUCUUCAUAAGCACCUUGAGCAUACAAAGUUAAAACAGCUUGGAUUUGAAUGAAGACGCCAGCAAAGUUGUAUUUCUCAAACAUUGUCUCGACCUGUUGUGCCAAGUCCGGCCAAAUUCAUGAGAUCUAAUUUUGAUGUAACUGAAUGUAUUAUUUAUCACAAUAUUUAAGUAACAAGAAUUGGAUUACACACCAUUUUUUCACGAUUUUUAGCUGGAUUAAGAGGUGGAUCUGUGAGUAAUAUCUUACAUUCUGGUGGGUCAAUCUGUUGAUAGAUAAUGUAGAGGAGUUAGGGACUAUCUAGAGAAAGUAUAUUACAGAAGAGAAGAAGGGAAAAAGAAAAAGAUUUAAGACAUAUAUUAUCAACAGAAGCAGCAUAAAACUUACUUUUAAUUCACUGAAAAAAGCAUGAUCCCACACUUGACCCAUAUCCUCCCAGUUUUGCACUAUACCAUUAUUAACAGGAUAAGAUACAUCCAGUUGAUGCCGCAAGUCUAAAGCUGCAGCUCCAACAAUAGUAUCCUAAAUGAAUUUGAAUCAAAGAAUGAGAAAGAAGACCUUUCUGAAAAAGUUCUAAGCUGCAAGCAUAAGCAUUGUAACAAAUGUGGCAUGACCUACUGCAUGUUACAAAAAUACACAUUAUUAAAUUUGAGCAAGGACUUGCUUGCCUAUCUUCAAAAGACUAAUGUAGUUUCAUGAUAGAAAAUUAUAUAGUGUCUGACCUUGAGCUCUUGUUCCAUGAGUGAUUCUUCGUAGCGUAGCAUUGGCCUUCCCACAACACAUGGGAACACAGAGUUAGGAAAAUUUUCCCCUGCGAAUCCGCACUUGACAUACUGCAGUAAGUGAUCAAAUUAUACCUUUGCAUAACUUAAUGAAACAACAGCAAUUAACAAAUCAAUGUAAACAUGUAGAGAUGUUUAGAUUUAACAUUCAAUUUAAAUAAGCAACUUCAUAAAGUCAAAUUAGCAGAUUCUAACAUUUAAGCAGAUCUACAAAAUAGCAACCAAGAAGAAUCAAAUUAGAAAUUAAAUCACGUGCUUGUGUUAAAAAAUAAAUAUUUUUAUCGAAAUUUUCUGAUGAUUGAUCGAUUUAGAUGACAAAGCAUACGCGAUCGGAAUGAAAUGAUAAAAGAGAGAUACCCCAGUGCCAUUGUCGCAAACGACGACGUUUCUGUUGUCCAUUACACGGUGAUGCUGUUGCCCAAGCGGAGGAGUAAGUGGGAGUGUUGCUGAUUAGUAGCUGCUUUCUUCAUCUAACCGCUUUCCUUCAACCGGAGGAGCUUCUAAAUGCAGCAAAGUAUUCGUUACGCUACGCGAAAUAUACAAAAUACGAUACGCCCAUAUGCUACUUCAAAGCUGUAAUUUUUACGGACCUCCCCUGAGGUUUGGCGUAUUAAUAGUUAGAGAGAAUGUAUCUAUGUAAUUACAAAUAUCUCCCUUACUGUUAGUAUUCAGUUAAUUUGAUUGUUAGUAUACUGCUAAAAUUACAAAAUCGCCUUUCCCCCAAAAUAAAAAAUUAUUUUUUUAGACUGGUUCUCCAUUUUCAUUGAAAUUUUCUCUCGCUUCCUCCCGCUUUUUCUUGACCUCCAAACAAAACAUAUUUGAUUUUUGUUAGAUUUUGAAACGGGUAAAGGAGGCGAAGAUUACGGGGCACAGAAAAAUAUAACUGAAACAAAAAAGAGCGAGGAUCGCGAGAUCUUCCCGGUGUGGGCGAAAUCGGUUGACGAAUGCAAAAAGCAAUAUAGAGUGAGAACAUAGUUGGUUUGAAAUCCGCAAAGUUGGUAUGUAAUAUAUUCAGCCAUGAUUUUCCUUUUUUAUUUGAAAAAUAAAAAUCUCCAAUAUUUUUACAUUCUUCUCCAAAUUCUUAACAUUUAUCUCAUUCUUGCAACAAUUGAUAGAAAACAGAACAGAAAUAUUCAAACCAACAAAUAUUCAAAAAAUUGUUAUGUUUGGCUCUUGCGAAGUUGAAGGAGAAGGGAGGAAAAUCAGUGAGUACGCAAGUGAGGUUGAGAGAAAUGUUUUAUUUUGGGUUUUGAGAUUCUUGGAUCAUUUUUUUAAUUUUCGGAAAAGUGACUGAAGGACAGAAUGUUAGUGGCUACCCGCUUCCCAUCCAUCGGCUAACCGCAUGAAUUCACCUACACUCCAGAAACAUAUCGACUAGCUGGCUACUAUAGCCGGCUAACCGUUGGUGCAAUAAGAACAAUACGACAAAUCCAGAGAGAUAGCGGCUAGCCGCGUACAACUAUGCGGCUAACCAGUUGCAAUCACCUGCAAUCCAAAAACAUAGAGGCUAGCUGGCUAGUAAGUAUACUCGGCUAACCGCAUGUGCAAUGGUAAUAUUAAUCCAUUUCAGAGACAUAACGGUUAGCCGGAUGGUUCAUGCGACUAAUUGACUGUGCCUCGAAAAUUAUGACUUGAGGACAGAAAGUUUGCAGCUAACCGGCUACAAUUCACAAACAUAGAGGCUAGUCAGCUAAUGUACGCAACUAACCGCAUGUGCAAUAUUAAUAUUAAGCCAUUCCACAGAGACAUCGGCUAGCCGAAUGGUUCAGGCAGCUAUUCUGGUUGAAUUCACAACUGCUAUUGUCUGUGUGUUUGUGCUCCAAGUUAGGUACCCUGUGUCACAAGUUCUUUGGUUACUCUCUCAUUAUCACAACUGCUGCUCAACAAUGUUACAUGUAAUAUACUGCAUGUCACAGGCACUAUAGUUGGGCUUUUACUGUCUCAAGUGGCGAACAUUAAGGCACAAAUUUUGUAAGAAACGUUCCCAAUAAAAGAAUAUAUCUAAUUAAUUUAAUUAGCAUAAAAUUAUUUUACGAAAGAAAUUAAAUUUUAAUUUUGAAUCAUUUUGACCAAAAUUUAAGUAUUUUAUGUGUUUAUAAAAAUGAGUUGUAAUUGGUUUAAUUAAUUGGAAAUAAUGAACAAAUUAUGUAAUAAAAAAAACAGAAUGGUUCGUCUUAAUUAGAAAAAGUAAUGGACAAAUUAUGUAACUAAAAAACAAAAAAAAAGGGUAAAACAACUUGUUUAGGAUAGAUUCCAAAAUUUCUCUUCAUCAAAAUUGAAAACAAUUAUAAAAAAUUACCAAAUCAUUUUUUAACUUAAAAAAUGUAAAAAAACUAGUAUGUUUACAUUUGUGCCCUUAUAAAUUGUAAAUGUUAAAAUAUAAAUAAAAUUAUAUACUAUCAUAACUUAAAUCAUGUUCAAUUGAAUACAACCCUUUAAUAUUCUAAAUUAGUAUAUAUUAAUCAAUUUUAUUAUAGUUUUUGAUAUUUUUACAUGAAAAAUGUUCAUAAAAAUUACGAAGAUAAAUAAUGCUAGUUUGAAGAAAAUAAAAAGAUAAAAAUAAUAAUAUGUUAACAUAUAUGUUUCUAUAAUAUUGAUUUUGAUGAUAACAAACAAGAUUAAGAAUGAUUAAUCUUUUAAGCUCAAAUUAUUUUUUAUACAUUUUAAAUAAAUUAUUAUUUCACAUUAUAAAGGUUUUAUAUUUAAUGAAAAAAUGAUUUUAUGAAAUUAGUUAUUUUUCAAGUUUAUGAUUUAAUUGAAAGAGUUUUGAAAACUUUGAAAUCAACAAGUAUUGCUUGAAAUUUUGGAGAAGAACUUAUUUGAAAAGUUUCAUAGCAUUUUGGGUCGUAUCAUAAUUUUAAAAAGUUUUGAGAAUAGCAAGCAUUAUUUAGAGAUUCUGAAAUUGGACCUAUUUAUAAAAUAAUAUAACCUUUUGGGUCAUAAUACAGUUUUAUAAAGUUUUAUGGUCAAACUAUAAUUUUAGAAAAUAGUGCACUAUAACGGUUACUGUAGCAAGCGGCUAACUGGAUGUGACAAGCGGCUAGCUGGAUUUUGGGCAGUAAGCUUCUGGAAUGAAAGCGGCUAUCCAGAUUUCAAAAGCAGCUAACCGAAUUUGAAAAGCGACUAACCGGAUAUGAAAAGCGGCAUGCCGGAUAUUCUGAAAUUCAAAUUUUUGCUGUAAUGGUAACAUAAAAGCGGCUAACCAGAUUCCAUAAACGGUAAGCCGGUUAUCACCAAAAUGUGCAUAACGGCUAGUUUUUGAGUUCAAACUAUAUAAACUCAAAUCCAAUUAAUUUUUUGUAAUCUUUGCAAGCAUAAACAAGUGGACACAACUUAUAUUGAGCUUCAAAUUCGAAAAUCAUCAUAGAUUAAAUCUUUAUUGAGCUAUCAUUUGUAUAUCCACUCUUAAAGAGAGUUUCAUUGUUGUAAUUUUUAUUUCUCAUCAAAUUAUGAGUGUACAAGUGUGAGAAACACUUGGGGUGAAGAGAUUGGGAAGAUAAUCUCUUGAUUGUAAAGGUUCAUUGACACCUUGGAAGUCAAUUGUAAAAACUUAAAGCCUUGAGAGGCUUGAACAGUGAAAUCCUCAAGCGGGUGAGCUUGGAGGCGUGGACAUAGGUGGGGAUUGCCGAACCACGUAAAAAUUAUUGUGUUUAUUUUCUCUUCCCUUACUCUUUUAAUAUUGUGCAUGAUUGAAUUUAUUAUUUUUAAUUUGAUUAAGACAAUAGAUUAAAUUGUUGUGUGGUUUGCUUAGCUUAAAUUUUAAAAUCCUAAUUCACCCCCCCUCUUGGGUUGCCUAGUUAGUAUUUCAUAAUAGUCCAGAACUAUAUUGUCACAAGUUAUAGAAGUAGGUGAUAAUGUUAAUUAUUAAAAUUUAUUUAGGUAAAGAUGAAAAUUGAUUAAUUAGAUAUGAAUAUUUUAGAGAAUAUUUUUUAAUGAUCUUAAUAACUAAAAAAAUUGGUUUAAUAACUUAAUAAUGAUUGGAAAAUUUCAUUAAGUUGAAAAAUAAAUAAACUUAAUAAUUUAAUUAAUUGAAAUGAGUCAAUUGAGUUACAAGGAAAAAAAAAGCACUUUACAAUAUAAAAUCCUAAUUCCAAUUAAAAUUUUCCAAGCGAUUUUUUUUUUCUCAAUGGAUGGCAGCUGAAUUGAAAUCAAUGGAGAAAAAAAAUUUGGACCACGUGGAGAACAAGAUUGUAAAGCGAGAUUAAGAUGCAAGAGCAUUGAAUUGGUAUCAUGAAACCUGUUGAAGAAAAUCAAAGUGGUGUUGCUGGUUAUGCCGUUGAGGGGUGUGUGUGUGUAUAAUAUAUAAUUUAAAAUUCAGAUAGGGGUAAUAUCUGCAACAAAUAUUAGAUUUGCAAAAUUUAAAAUUCAAUAAUUUAAUAUAUAAUUUAAAAGUUCAAUAAUUUACCAAAUAAUAUAAAAUAAAAUACAAUCAUAAUUCAACAUGAAAAAACAUACAAUAAUCUCAUAAAUCUAUGAAUAAAAUUUAAUUUUUAUUUUUAUUUCGUUUUUAAUAUAUAUAUAUUUAAUUUAAUUUUUAAUUUAAAAUAAAAUUCAGUAAUUUACCUAAUAAUAUGAAAUAAAAUUCAAUCAUAAUCCAACAAUUAGAAAUUCAACAUGAAUAAGAUACGACAACAUCAUAGAAUCUACAAAUAAAAUUUAAUUUUUAUUUUUAAACAAUUUUUAAUAUAUAUAUUUAAUUUAAUAAAAUUCAUUCAUUUACCUAAUAAUAUCAAAUAAAAAUCAAUCAUAAUCCAAAAAUUAAUAGAACAAAAUGAAUAAUAUACAACAUCAUAAAUCUACAAAUAAAAUUUAUUUUUUUAAUUUUUCAUUUAAUUUUUAAUAUAUAUUUUUAAUUUAAAAUAAAAUUUAUCUGAAUCUAGAUAUCUGGUUUUCCGAAUGCAAUUGCAUCCGGAUCUGGAUCUAUGCGGAUCCCAAUUUUUCGUAUUCGGAUCCGCAUUUUUAAUAUGUAGAACUAGAUUUUUCUGGAUCCAGAUCUUCCGGAUCCUUGUAGAAUCAGGCUGAAUCCGGAUUUAUUUGUCAUCCCUAUGGGAGAAUUGGUUCAAUCUAGUAAUAUAUGGUAAUUAGGGAUGGGCAAAACUGAACCGGAACAAAAAAAAAUUUGGUUCGGUUCGUUUUUUUGGGUUUCUGUUCAGUUUUUUAAAAUAAAAAAUCCGAAUUUAUAAACAUCGAACCAAAUGGUUCGGUUCCGUUCGGUUUUCGAAUAAAAAAUUAAAAAAAAUUAAACUGAAUGGAAAGUAAGGCAUUUUCGUAAUUUCACUAGAACAUAUAUAAACACAAAUUAAACAUGUCGUUUACCUGAUUCAGUCCUCUGCCACAUUCUAUCAUUUCUACCCACCAACAUUGUCGUGGCAAGUUCAAUUUUAUCUUCAAGAUGGAGGCUUCUAUGGACUUCACUUUAUAGUCUUUGGUUUGAUGAGAGAUUAUAAAUAAGAGAGGGUGCUUUCAGUGAUGCUACUAUGGUUAGGUUCGAGAGAUUUGUACAAACCGUGCUUCAGCGAACAGACCUGAGAAAAUUAUAGAAGCUUUGUCUCUGUUCCUCAAGACUUAGUGCAUCGGGUAGCUUGAAAUCUUGGCUUUCGUCAAUAGUGAUGUGUAAUGUUCGUAAGAUAGAGCUUGGCAUUGCGGAGGAAGUGCACAUGGAGUUACCUGAGAGUAUUUAUAGUUGCAGCACGCUGGAAGUUCUCAAACUUCAUUCAAAUUUUGACAUCAAGGUUCCUGAUGGUGGAAUGUGUUUCCCAUGUGUGAAGAUCAUACACGUCAUGCUCAAAUAUCCGGAUAAUAAGUUGGUCGAAAAUCUGCUUUCCAAUUGCUCAUUGGUUAAAGAUUUGUGCGUUAAUGUUUAUUUGAAAAGUGGUGAUUCUGCUACGAGUGUCAUCGUUGAUUUCUCAACCCUGAAAAGGUUGGCAUUGACAAUUGAGGUAGAAGAGGAAUACUUUAGUUUUCUUCCUUGUCAUCACAGAGUUGUGCUUAGGGCUCUAAAUCUACAAUUUCUCCAUAUUGUUGAUGACAUGCUGGUAUCAUAUAUGGUGGAACAACUACAUCUGGUAUAGACUGUGAUUUUGAAAAAAUUAUUUUUAGAUUUGGCAAAAGUUAAUCAAUUCCCUGCUCUCGCCCUUCUCAAAGGUGUCAGUAACAGCAAGUCUUUGAGUUUAUCUGCUGGCAUGAUAUAUGUAAGUUAGUUUUGACUACUGUAGAAACUCUAUACUGCCUAUGCAUUGUAUUCACAUUUCAAUCCCAACGCCGCACUGUUAUUAUGUGUUUGGUUACCAUCGAUCAUUAACUAAAAAAUGAGGAAUUUACUUUUGUUAACUGUUUGUGGCGGAAAUGUUUUGUAAUGGUUUGUCUUGUUGUUUAUUUCGAUAGGCACUUGACUGGGCAUACGACACUUUAUUUCCUGAGUUGAGGUAUUUGGAAGUGCAGUUUGGAGAAGCUGGUUAGCCACUUAUUCCUAUCAUCCUCAUUUCUUCGGCUAACUUAGAAACUUGAGUGCUAGAGAAGGUCAGGAUUUGAAGUACUUGAUAUUGUAAGUUUUUUCACAUAAUUUCAUAUAUUGAAAUUUCUUGUCUUUGUGAUCAGCAAUGUUUCCUUAUAGACACCGAGAGAGUUCUUGGAUGGACUGAAAGUGGAAGUGUCCCAAAUUGUUUACUCCAUCGGGUGAAAAAAAUUGAGCUUAAGGGACUUCAAGGUGAAAAAGAGGGCAUAGGACUAAUACAAUACUUGCUCAUGCAUGGUACUGUCUCAGAAAAGUGCACCAUUUGGAGUAAGGGUCCUGUUUCCAAGAGAAAAUUGAAAAUGUUGAGCUUGAACACAACAGAAGCAAAAAAGAAACUGCAAGAAUGAAACAAAGAUCCAAGAACUCACUCGCAAGAUCAUAAACUCACUCGCAAGAUCAUAAACUUGACCUUGAACACCAACACCAGGCACAACAACUCAGAGGGAAAACUAGUACUCUUUUAUUACUCAAAAUAUUUACAAGUCUGUCAAGCUUUGUAGAAGAAAUUACAAGCUUUACAAAAAAAUUAGAAACACUCAAAUUGGAUAAAAAAUGAAAGAGAAAUGUGAACUAUAUCAGAUGCCACGAACCAGCUCUGUUUAUAAAGCAUUAUCCUAAGAAUUUCCAGAGGUUGCUUCAACAAACAUAACAAACUUUUAAACACGUCAGCAUCGAGUUUGCACAUUGGUCCUCAAACUUAAGUCAAUCUGCACGAAAGCCACAUAAGUCUUAACUCUUUGCAUUUAACCCCCUAAAAUAGAAACUGAUUCUUCACAAUCUCCACCUUGCAGACUUGAUUCAGUUUGAUUCUUAACCAUAAAAGCUGCUUCAAAAAACCCCUUUAAACACACAGCUUAUCACUUGAUUACACAAAGUAAUCACUGUAAGUUAGCCAUGAUUCCCAUCAAAUUUACACAAAACUUAAACUUAGCAGUGGGAACCACUUUUGUAAGAGUAUCAGCAGGAUUUAUAUCAGUGUGUAUUUUGUUCACUGAUACAGCACCUUUAGUUACUUCAUCUCUAAUGAAAUGGAGUCUCACAUCAAUGUGUUUAGUCCUUUCGUGAUAGAUUUGAUUUUUAAUGAGGUGGAUGGCACUUUGAUUGUCACAGAAAAUGGUGAAAGUUUUCUGUUUUAACUAAAGCUCAUUCAAAAUCCCACUAAGCCACUUUCCCUCUUUUACUGCCUCUGUUGCAGCAACAAACUCAGCCUCUGUAGAUGACAAAGUGACCACAGAUUGAAGAGUUGCUUUCCAACUGAUCAGACAACCAUUCACCAUGAACAAGUAGCCUGAGAUUGAUUUCCUCCCAUUAAAAUCUACUGCAAAAUCUGAGUCUACAUAUCCCACUAUACUAUUCUCAUCCUACUUUGACUUUCCAUACAUCAAACCAUGAUCUGGAAUACCUCUAAGGUAUCUCAUAAUCCAUUUAACAGCAUCCCAGUGCUCCUUUCCAAGAUCACUCAUGAAUCUGCUAACAAGACUAACAGCAUAAGCAAUAUCAGCCCUAGUACACACCAUUGCAUACAUAAGGCUCCCAACUGCCUGAGCAUAUGGAACUUCACUCAUUAUAGACUUAUCUUGAUUUGUAACAAGAGCUUGCACUUUUGAAAGUUUGAACUGAAAUCCUAGUGGUGUCUGAACAGACUUUGCAUCCAGCAUAUCAAAUCUGUCAAGAACCUUUAGAAUGUACCUCUCUUGACUGACAAAUAGAGUUCCAGCAGUUCUAUUCCUUAUAAUAUCCAUCCCAAGGAUCCUCUUAGCACAUCCCAGAUCCUUCAUUUCAAAUUUUACAUUCAACAGGUCUUUGAGCUUCUUGAUCUCACUUCUAUCUUUGCUAGCAAGUAGCAUAUCAUUAACAUACAGCAGAAGGUAAACAGUUCCACCUGAACUUGAGCUUCCAGAGUACACACAGCUAUCAUAUUUGCUUCUGAGAUAGCCAUUGGAGAUCAUGAACUCAUCAAAUCUCUUGUACUAUUGUCUUGGAGACUGCUUUAGCCCAUAGAAAGACUUGUUUAAAUGACAAACAUGAUAUUCCUUUCCUUUGAUUUCAAAGCCCUCUGGUUGUGUCAUCAGAAUUUCUUCCUCAAGCUUCCCAUGUAGAAAAGUUGUCUUCACAUCCAUCUGAUCAAGCUCCAUAUCAGUCAGAGCUACCAUUGACAGUAACAUCCUUAUGGAUCUAUGUUUAACCACAGGUGAAAAAACCUCAGUGAAAUCUACACCUUCCUUUUGUGUGAAACCUCUAGCAACUGAUCUAGCUUUGAAUCUUGAAGCUUCAGCUCCUGGAAUUCCUUCUUUUCUUUUGAAAAUCCAUUUACAACUUACCAGCCUUUUGUUGCCUGGAUUUUGAACAAGAGUUCAAGUCUUGUUUUUGUUUAAGGAAUCCAUUUCUUUUUCCAUAGCUUUGAUCUAGUUGCUAUUGUCACUACCUUUCACAGCUUCUCUGUAGCUUGCUGGUUCUUCAAUAGCUAUUUCCUCUGCACUGUUAAGAGCAUAAGCUAUCAUCCCAACAUAUGCAUAUCUAGAAGGUGGUUUUGUCUCCUUUCUUGCUCUGUCCCUUGCUAGCUGAUAGUCUUGUAGCUCAGCCACUGAAGUUCUUAAAUCAUCCACUUCAGACCUUUCUUGAAGAUCUUCUGUAGUACCCAUAUCUUGACCCCCUCUGUCACUGCUACUGGAUGACUCCACCUCAAUUCUGGAAUACUUCCUUAUUGCAGCUUCUUUCAUUGAUUCAUCAGUAUAAGGGCUGAAGUCAAAGACAGCAGAGUCAUUGUCCUUCAACAUAGAUUCCUCAUGAAAUGUAACAUCUUUACUGAUGAUAAAUUUAUGAGUGGCACCACACCAUACCUUAUACCCUUUCACCCCCUCAGGAUAUCCCACAAACACCCCUUUCAGAGCCCUUAAAUCCAGUUUUCCUUGCUUGACAUGCACAUAGGCUGUACAUCAAAAAAUUCUCAGAUGUUUGUAGUCUGCAGAUACACCAGUCCAGACUUCUUCAGGAGUCUUGAACUUGAGAGCUGCAGAGAGGCUCAUAUUAACCAAGUAACAAGCUAUAGUUACAACUUCAGCCCAGAAGCUUCUUGGUAGCUUGGAGUUUAUGAGCAAGCAUCUAGUCUUAUCAAUUAGAGUUCUGUUCAUCAUCUCAGCUAAUCCAUUUUGCUGAGGGGUGAACCUGACAGUCUUGUGUCUGGUGAUUCCAUGCUUCUGACAAUACUCAUCAAACUCUUUAUUACAAAAUUCAAGCCCAUUAUCAGUCCUUAGUGCUUUCAGCUUCAUCUCAGACUGAUUUUCAACCAAAGCUCUCCAUAUCUUGAAUUUCUCAAAAGCUUGAUCUUUAGUCUUGAGAAUGUAUAACCAGACUUUUCUUGAGAAGUCAUCUAUGAAUGUUACAAAGUAUCUGCCACCACUUAGGGAUGACACUUGAGCAGGCCCCGAUAGAUCAGAGUGUGCAUAAUCCAAUACAGCUUUGGAUUUAUGCAAUCCCCUUUUAAAUUUCAUUCUGUGGGCCUUUCUAAAGAUACAAUUCUCACAUAACUUCAGCUCUUCAACCUUAUCUCCAGAUAACAACCCCCUUUUACUCAGUUCUUGUAAGCUUUUGGCACUCAUAUGCCCAAGCUUUAGAUGCCACAUCUUGGCUUUAUCUACAUCAGAACUAACAUGCAAUGCAGACAACACAGGUACUGAUGAUCCUUCCAACACAUGCAGUCCAUUAUUCUUGACUCCCUUCAUUACUAUGCUGGAGUUUUUCAUUACCUUUAAGCCCCCAUAGUCAGACUUAAAGACAUAGCCUGAGCUAUCUAACAUGCCUAAGGAUAUCAAAUUCUUCUUUAAUCCCAGUACAUGCCUAACAUGCUCUAAGGUUCUUGUCAUUUCAUCAUACAUUCUGAUUUUGACAGAACCUAUACCCACAAUUUUACAGGCAUUGUGGUUUCCCAUUAAGACUCUACCUCCAUCUAUAGUUUCAUACUCAUGAAAAAAGGGUUUUAUCAGGACUCAUAUGGAAAGAACAACCAGAGUCUAGAACCCACUGACCUUCAAUCUUUCCAUUUGAUGCCACCAGUAAGUCUGCACUUUGAUAACCUCCAUCAGAUGAUUCAUCAGAUGCUACAGCAGCAUCUCUUAAUUUUUCUUUGCUGUCUCUCUUCUUCUCAGCACAGUCUCUGAUGUAAUGGCCUGUCUUCUUACAGUAAAAACAUUUUCUUCUUUUCAUCUUUUCUUUCUCAGACUCAUCUUCUUUCUUAAACUGAUUCUUGUUCUUCUUUUUUUUAUUAUCUUUCUUCUUCUCAGCUUUUGCCAUCAACCCUUCACCAGGGUUUUGAUCCAGAUCUCCAGAGUGCCUUUGUAUUUCUUUUGAACACAAGGAGGCCUUCACAUCUUCUAGUGUGAGAGUUGUCCUCCCAUAUAGCAUGGUAUCUACAAAACCCUCAUAGGAUUUUGGCAUGGAACUCAGCAAGAAGAAGGCCUUAUCUUCAUCACCUAUCUUGAUGCUUUCCGCUCCUUCAAGAUCAAGAAUGAUCUUGUUAAACACAUCAAUAUGCUCCUGUAUUGACACACCUUCCUUUAUAAAGAAUAUAUAUAGCCUUUUCUUUAAGAACAGUCUGUGAGCAAGUGAUUUCUUCAUGCAUAGAGCCUCCACCUUGUUCCAAAUACCCAGAGCUGUUUUCUCUUCUGAGAUUUCUCUCAAGAUUGAAUCACUUAGACUCAAGAUCAGGGUAUUGUGGGCUCUAUUGUGGAUCUGCUUCAUCUUUUCAUCAGAUCUCGAACUUCCAGCAGUUUCUGAAUCUUCUUCUUCUAAAGCUGACUCCAGUCCUUGAUGAACAAGGAGUGCUCUCAUUUUCAUUUUCCAAAGUGAGAAAUCACCAUCAAUGGUGAAUUUCUCAAUCUCGGGUUUUGGAAGUGACAUUGUUGCGAUCCCCCUAGGGCUCUGAUACCACCUGUUGAGCUUGAACACAACAGAAGCAAAAAAGAAACUCCAAGAAUGAAACAAAGAUCCAAGAACUCACUCGCAAGAUCAUAAACUUGACCUUGAACACCAACACCAGGCACAACAACUCAGAAGGAAAACUAGCACUCUUUUAUUACUCAAAAUUACAAGUCUGUCAAGCUUUGUAGAAGAAAUUACAAGCUUUACAAAGAAAUCAGAAACACUCAAAUUAGAUGAAAAAUGAAAGAGAAAUGUGAACUAUAUCAGAUGCUACGAACCAGCUUUGUUUAUAAAGCAUUAUCCUGAGAAUUUCCAAAGGCUGCUUCAAUAAACAUAACGAACUUUUAAACACGUCAGCAUUGAGUUUGCACAUUGGUCCUCAAACUUAAGUCAAUCUGCACGAAAGCCACAUAAGUCUUAACUCUUUGCAUUUAACCCCCUAAAACAGAAACUGAUUCUUCACAGAAAAUCGUGCGGCAUAAACUAUUACAAUUACAGAGAGGGUCUGAGACAUUUGAAAUUCAUCUCUUAUGUGAUUAGUAUGUGAUGCUGGUUUGUGGUUGACAUUUUGUUGUUGCUUUCAGUUGCAUUGGCUACAUUGUUGUUUUAGUUACAGGACGUUCUGUAUUAAGCACACAACCUUUGUUCGCAUGUUUCUAUUACUUGGAACAUUGUGUCUACAUUUUACAUUGUGUGUACGUAAAUGCACUUAACUCUCUUGAAAUUUGUUUUAUGUAUGAGACAACAUAUUGCAGCACUGCACUCCAUGCAAAAGUUUAAGCAAAAUCAAGCAACUACUUGAGUUCAGUCCACCGAAAUGGACGAGACCAACUAUUUGUCCAUUACUUUUUUGUUUUUUGGUUACAUAAUUUGUUCAUUACUUUUUCUAAGACGAACCGUUCUGCUUUUUUUUUUGUUACAUAAUUUGUUUAUUAUUUCCUAUUAAUUAAACCAAUUACAACUCAUUUUUAUUAACUCAUAAAAUAACUUAAAUUCUGGUCAAAAUAAUUCAAAAUUAAAAUUUAAUUUCUUUCAUAAAAUAAUUUUAUCAUAAUUAAAUUAAUUUGAUAUAUUCUUUUAUUAGGAACGUUUCUUACAAAAUUUGUGCCUUCAUGUUCACCACUUGAGACAAUAAAAGCCCAACUACAGUGCCUGUGACAUGCAGUAUAUUACAUGUAACAUUGUUGAGCAACAGUUGUGAUAACGUGAGAGUAACUGGAGAACUUGUGACAUAGAGUACCCAACUUGGAACACAAACACACUGACAAGCGUAGUUGUGAAUUCAACCAAAUUAGUCGCCUGAACCAUCCGGCUAGCCGCCUGAACCAUCCGGCUAGUCGCUAUCUUUGUGGAAUGGCUUAAUAUUACUAUUGCACAUGUGGUGAGCCGCGUACAUUAGCCAGCUAGCCUCUAAGGUUUAUGUAUUGCAGGUGAUUGCAGGCGGUUAGCCGCUGGAAAAUUCACAGAUAGCCGCAAAUUUUUUGUCUUCAAAUCACAUUUUUUGGGGCAUAGCCGAUUAGUUGCAUGAACCAUCCGGCUAGCUGCUAUGUCUCUGGAAUGGAUUAAUAUUAAUAUUUGCACAUGCGGUUAGCCGAGUAUGCUAGCUGGCUAGCCUCUAUGUUUCUGGAUUGCAGGUGAUUGCAACUGAUUAACGCUUUUUUUUUUAAUGCGGGGAGCCUCUAUCUCUCUGGAUUUGUUGUAAUGUUCUUUUGCAGCGACGGUUAGUCGACUAUAAUAGCCGGCCAGCCGAUAUGUUUCUGGAGUGCAUGUGUAUUCAUGUGGUUAACUGGUGGAUGGGAAAUGGUUGGCCUCUAACUUUCUGUCCUUUAGGUACUUUUUUGAAAAUUACAAAAAAGUUUCGCACUGUUCGAUGCAAAUUCAAUGUAAGUCAAUGGUUGGAUAAUUAAAAAACAAGCAACUAGAAAAAAAGGUAAGUGUGGACCCAAUUACAAUUACCAACUAGAAAAUAGAACCGCGUUUCACGCGGCUUUAAAAAAAAAUUUAGUAUUAUCAUUUUUUCUUAUUUUACACUUGAUGAAACUGAUAAAAAAUAUGAAUUGAUUUUUUUUAAAAGAUGAGAUAGCCUUAUAAAAAACAAAAAAAAAAAGCUAUUAGCCAGCAAUACAAAUAAAGAAGCAAUGCAAGAUAAAGAAUAAAAUGAGAAAAUAUAUUAUAGAGUGAUUUUAUUCAUUCCAAUUGUGUGUGUACAAAACAAAAAUAUGAGCUCUCAUUUUAUAGUCACAUAAUCACUCUAUAAAAUUAAUGAAAAAUUAUGGAUCAUAAUUCCUUGUGAGAUAGUGGGAGUUAUAGGGAAGCUAAAGGUUGCUAAUGGGAGAUAGUGGGGAGACUAAGAGAUAUAUGUUAUAAACAUCUACAUUUAUUUUAAUAAAUUCAUAACACUCUCCUUUGAAUGUUCAUUACAAAGAAUAUGUCUCAUUAAAAUCUUUACAUAAUUAUUAUUGUGUAAAAACAAUCAAAUUAAUUAUGAGAAAAUGAAAAGCCAAAUCUAAAAGAAUUUUUUUCUAUUUAUUAGAUAAUAGAGAAUAUACAAAGAUAAGAAAUGGUGACGCCACAUCACCUCCUCAAGUCCCAACUUUAUAUAUAUAUAUAUAGAUAUUUCAAUUUCAAUUACAGUUGCAAUUCCAAUUACAAUUAUGAGCUCAAUUUUAAUUUUAGCUACAAUUACGAUUGUCAUUACGAUUGUCAUUACCAUUGUAAUUAUAAUUACAAGUUGGAUUCCAGUGGUAAUUCUAGUUAUAGUUAAAGUUACAAUUUCAACUCAAUCAUAAUUACAACCAUUGACUAAUUAGAUUGAUGUACAUAGGUCAUGUUAAUAUUAUUUUAAUUUUAAUAUAAUCAUUUCAAUUGAAAUAAUAUUCGUUAUAUACUUAUGUUAUUUCUUUAAUAACAUUCAUAUAGAAAGACUAAAAUUAACAUUUAGGUAGGUAAUCUAUCGUCUUAUCUCUUAGAAAUAAUUUCAUUUAUCAUCCUUUUGGGGCCAAAACUACCGCUAGUCUUUUACGUAAAAAUUUCAAAUCUAAUGAUGAUAGAUUGUUGUUACCAUCACUGUCAUCAUCUCAACUCUUGUGAAGCGGCCAUCAACUUAGUCAUAGUUUUCAUCUCAACACGAACUAUGAAAGAUUUGGGAUAUUACUUUUUAGAACUGGUGAUAUACAAUUUUUAUGUAGAGUUUUCUUUUUAAUUUAUUUGAAAUCGGAGUAUAUAUGGCCCAAUUCCCAUUCGAGUCCAUUAAUUUUCUUUUUAAGCACACCUCAAGGUCCUUCUAAAAGAGACAUUACAAUAAAUGUAACCAUAUUUGAAAUAAAACAUGACGGCAAUAACAUAGUAAUUAUAGAGAGCAUGGUUCGAAUUUCAGCAUCCACAUUUAUUCAUUUUAGAAUAUAUUUGAUCAAUUUUCCAAGAUUACCACAUAUUACUAGAUUGAACCAAUUCUCCCCUAAGAAUGGCAAUUAAAUCCGGAUCCGACCCGAUUCCGUAAGGAUCUAGAAGAUCUAGAUAUGGAAAAAUCCAUAUCUGCAUAUUAAAAAUGCGGAUCUGGAUAUGAAAAUUUGGGAUCCGCACGGAAUCUGGAUUAAGAUAAAUUGUAUUUUAAAUUAAAA
rnacentral:lncRNA from 1 species